CAAAUUGAAUGGUCUUGCAGGUUACACAUUCCUGGCGUAGUGACUCUAGUUUAGCUGUGGAAGGAGAAGCUUGGCUUUUACAUUCGAUGUGUGCUUGGCCUCACAAUAGCUUUCCUUUCAGAUCUGUAAUUCGUGAGGUUGUGCUCAGGAAAGUUUAUGUUAAGCACUUUGUAUGAGAACGUUUCUGAAACUAAUAAAGCCUUCUCCUCAAAUUGUCUAAAUUAUCUUUGUUCAUAUAUCAUUUUUUGGUUCUACUAGUAAAUAUGCCCAUGCGUUGCAACGGGAGUAAAACAAUUAGAUUGUGCAUAUGUGGUAGAAAUAAAAAAAGUCUAAAACAUAUUCCAGGAUGAGAUCGGGACCUUUAAAAUGUGAUUUCAUAAACUACGUCUGAAUCAUGUCAUGAUGAGAAAAGGAACUUCUGUAAGGUCAUUUCAAAAGCUAAAAAUGUGAUGGUCUCAUCACGACUUGAUUUUCUAAGGCACCACAACAAAAUAUUUUCUACCUGAGAAACUGUAUUGAUGGACCCUACCUGAGCUACACUAAUUAAUGGUGUGUCUCGCCUUCACCUAGGGUCACGGUGUUUACCAUGAAUAGGAAAACUAUAGUACCAGAAUAAACAUAGAGGUGUAUGGAGGCAAAUUAGAUAUUUAAUCAUUUUUGUAUACAACUUACAAAAACUAAUUGUAGGAAGUUUUGUCAAUUUUUUUGGGCUCAACGUUGUGCAGAUUAUGGAAACCUUUUUUUACGCGACUCGCAUGUACUAAAGAAAAUCAUGAAACAACCUCUACAAAUAAAAAAACUCUAUAUAAGCAGGUUAGUUUUGUUCGUUAUUUACAGAUCUGCUUAAUUUUUUUGAACAUUUUCUAAAAUUUACAUUCUUCCAAAUUUCCGAAUAUAUUUUGAAUACAUGAUAAUUUUUCUAAAAUCUUGAAUAUUUUGUGAACAUUUUUUCGAAAACGUGAUUUUUCAUGAAUGCAAACAUUUUUCAAAAUACUGGACAUUUUAUAAUUUUCCAAACAUUUUUUGAAUUAAUGAAAAUUUUAUGAUUUCGCAAAAACAACGUGAAUAGUUUUUAAAAAUACUGGACAUUUUAUGAUUUCCUAAACACUUUAUGAAUUCAUGAACAUUUUAUAAUUUCCCAAUAAAAUCCAAAACUGACAACUUUUGGAAAUCCCGAAUUAAUUUGAAGAAGGAAAAAAAGAACCAGAAUUAGGGUGAGGUUAAUGUAGCAUGAGUCUCGGGAUGUUACAAAUCUACUCCACUACAAAAAAUCUCGUCCCAAGAGUUAAGAGGCGGAGUAAGGUGGAAAGUUCUGGUUACGAAAUUCUAAUGAAUCUUCUCGUUCUUGGUUGCUCUUCUCGAAUGAGUUGACCCAUUACGUUGAUGUCUUAUUUUCUCUACUUCGGGUAAUAAUGACGAAGUCGUCAUCCUUUCUUCAAGAACUCCAUCGUACUUACGAAGGAAUAGAGGGUGGGUAUUCCAGGGGAAACAUGCCUCUACAAGGUUGAUUAUUUGGUUGAUAACAUCAGGGAAGGUGGCAGAGAGUAACUCUCUAAUUGAAACCUAAGAAAAUAUCUAGAGCAAAGUAAGGAGGUAUCAUGGGAAGUCUUGAGUGGGCAGGCAAUCGUUCGGUGCCUGAAAUAGGGCAUGAAAGGGGUUCAAGGCAACGAGAAUAAGUAUUAUGUUUGAUAGCAGAAUUGAUGAUCUCUCGAAAGGUGGCUUGUGAAUUACAUAAGAGGACACACGCGAGGAACAACCUUGGGAAUAGGGGGUGUACAGGAGAGUCAGGUUUCGAUCCUGUGGAACUGUGGGUUCCACCAUGUGGGUUAAAUUUUGGAAAGGCGGUGUUGUCUUGCACGAUCAUGUAAGCAAGGCAUGUCAGAGGAUAGCCUGUCAGUUAUGUCGGCAACAACAUCGGUACCAUUUUUCUGCUCGUUGAACGAGGCAGACCAAUAGGCAAAGUUCUCGUCCAUCGGUGGUUACCGGAAUGUCAUCAACAUUAGUAACAGGGUCUUACUGACAGAGUGUUACAACGAGGUGCUUACUUAACCAAGGAAUUAUCAUUGCUCAGUUAACUCAGAUUACAAGAAAGGUUAAACCAAACAAUGGAAAGGAAAAUGUGUUCAAACACAUAUUUCAGGGGUAUAUCCUCCCCAAGGGCAAGCAGAGCACGAUAUCCAUGACAGGAUAGAAACUAGAAAACCAUUUAGGUCAGGGGGGAGGAAUUUCAUGACAUUACCCAAACAACGGUGUUUGGAUAAUUGACGGGAAAAAAUUAGCAUUGUGCUUCAAAUGUUCUUAUUGAAGAUCGAAGGACCACAAACAUGCUUUAAGAUUGCAUUGACAUGGUCUUCAAGCAAGGUCGGACUUUGGAUACUCAAAGGAUUCAUCAGGAACAACUUAUAGAAUAAGUCUUACAAUUUCCUCAUGGAAGAAUGGUUAACCUUGCUAAAAAGGAAACUAUAACAAUAGGGCCCCGACCAGGUGUGCUAGGCAUGACAUCACAUUAUCGGGUCAUAUAAAGACCAAUGUUAUAACUCUUGGAAAUAUGUUCCAACCAUCAUAUUUGACCGAGAUUCGGAUCUGAUUGGUGUCAGGAUACCUCGGACUCAGGAUGCUUGAGAAGAAAAAGGUGCGACACAUAUUGACGAGAUGGCAUUUUAAGAUUAUUGGGAAAUGAACUAUGGGAGCGAGUUCCGAAACAAAAGUUCAUCAUUAAAUCAAGGAGAGGGCGAGGAGGUGGCUGAUGGACUCAGCGACAAUUCAUUGAGAUUUCCCAAAAGAUGGAUUUGCACAAUUAUGUGAAGGAGAUAACAUUUGUAAGAUCAAAUGAUAUAACGAUGUAUGCUGAAGGAGAACAUCCACGAGUAAACAUUGGUUGAAAGGUGCAACCAAAAUAUGGGCUUAGGUAGCAUGAUCAAUGUUAGAAUGGUGAUUCAAUAACCAAUACACAAAGAAUGAAACUAUCAUUCAUUAACUUACAUGCAAUAGGGUUGCUAGAAGUUUUGAAUUUUACACAUCACAGUCCAGUUGUCAGUACUCUGGUUAAGAACAACAUGGGGACCAAGAACUGAAUGUAGACGGUGAGAUAUAUCACUUGUAUCAAGAAUUCUUAAGAGGUGGUGAAAUUCUCACAACUUUCUUGAUAUAUAAAAUGAUAAUACUCCAAGGUAGGACAUAAGAUAAGUUGGAUUGCCAGGAACUCAUGGCACACCACAACACUAACAAGUUUGUGUUGGAAAGAAGGUGAGGAAGUAGUUGAUGACAACACAAAUUACGAAGGAUAAGGAUGGUAAUCCCCAUCAGAAAUUUGAUUGAUAUCCUGGAAGGAGUCAAAAUGUUGUUGAUGAUCAUGAGAAAUUUGGUCGAGAGGCUCCACGAAGAAGCAAUCAAACAGUGACUGCAUCAAGCAAAAGUACUAAUGUAGCGAAAGAUUAUUGGAUCCUUGGAUACGCCACCAACUCGGAAUGAAGCUUGUUGUUCAUGGUGGAAUGAUAAGACGAGGGAAUCGACGUAAGAUUAGCUCAUCGUCGAAGUUGUGCUCUGGGAGUAAGGAACAUGUAGCACAGUUAAAAUCAGCACGAUAAUGAUAUAGCCGAGAAGGACAAGAAUGACAUGGUCGAGUACAAACUCGUGAGUAAAGGAGAUUACUUUAAUCAUGGUGCGGACCUGAUUUAUUUAUUGGUGUCCUCGAGUGACUAACAACUCGGAACCCAGGAAAAAUUGGAAUCGGUGAGGAAUAAUACUUGAUGAAGGCUCAUAAUAAGCAACAUGGUUCGGUGCUAUUAUCGAGAUACCAGAGGGUAAUACUCGGAGGUAGAGAAAAAUAGAGGGUUGACAAGUUUAUUGAUAUGCAGAAGACAAGUACUUUAACUUGUCCGAGAAAAGGAAUCAAGGAAUAUCAAUAUGGCCGAAACCAUAGCUACAAGGGAACCAAUUUAAUGACACCGAAAGAAUUAUCCAACUAAUUAAAUGUUUUGCAAGAAGCUUGUAUGACAAGUUCCACAUCAGGUCCAUGGGCAUGAAAACUAAGUUCGUGCAGUUUUUGCAGAAAAGUGAGACUACGUCCUCCUUGUGGCAGUCCUCGACCUUGUUAAGCACAAGGAGGAAGUUGGCCCAGUAACGGUGUACCGUCUCCAGGGGCUCUUGCCUGAUGCGGGAGAGACGGUUUAAGUUCGAGCGAGUGUUGUUGGCUAAAUCCGGAUCUUGAUCCGAUCUGACACCCGGGGGCAUGGACAGUUCUGAGCCCGACAGUUCGGGGUCCGGAGUAUCACCCGAUCUCUUCGGCCCGAUGCCCGACUCUAAGUUCGGGACUCGGGUCAUGUCUUCCUUUGAGUAGGUGUCCGGCUUACUGAGUUCGGUGAUCCGGACAUAAUUCGUCCUUAAAGUUGAGGGGCGACCCGUGUGUGGUUCCUCCACUACCGCUAUCUCAUGGGUGGCGGGCGGGGAUCCAAUAUCCCUCUGGUUGGGUUUAAGCCCAAUUCGGUCAUAGUCCGUAGCGACUCCCAAAGCGGCGAUGCGAUCCAGGAGCUCAUUAAGAGAGGAGAGCUCUACCGGAUCCAUCUGUUCGGCAAGCUCCGAAUUGAUGCGAAGGUUAUGCGUGAUGACCCGAGAGGCCAUCGUUGGCGAGACAGCCAAUGGGGCGGCCAUAAUGAAGCCCCCAAGUUGGAGGAUCUGGCCUACAACCAGUGUUCCUCCUGAGAUGAUGUCGUCCUUGACAACGAGACGAGCCAUCAAGCCUUGCAGCGACGACAUAGAAGAACUCUCAACGAAAGCACCAAUGUCGGUGUCAAAACCGGCGGAUCUCGGGUAGGGGGUCCUGAUCUGUGCGUCUUAGGCUGAUGGUAACAGGAAGCAAGGGACACAAUGUUUACCCAGGUUCGGGCCCUCUCGAUGGAGGUAAAACCCUACUUCCUGCUUGAUUAAUAUUGAAGAUAUGAGUAGUACAAGAGUAGAUCUACCACGAGAUCGUAGAGGCUAAACCCUAAGAGCUAGCCUAUGAUGGUAUGAUUGUAAUUGUGAUCGGCCUUCUAAGGACCAUCCUCUCAGGUUUAUAUAGACACCGGAGAGGGCUAGGGUUUACAUGGAGUCGGUUACAAGGAAGGAAAUAUAAUAUCCGGAUCGCAAAGCUUGUCUUCCACGCAAAGGAGAGUCCCAUCCGGACACGGGCCGAAGUCUUGAGUCUUGUAUCUUCACGCUUCAAUAGUCCGGACGAUGUAUAUAGUCUGGUUGUCUGGAUACCCCCUAAUCCUGGACUCCCUCAAUGGCCCAGUGGAAUAAUGGGCCGUUAAUGGGUAUAAAGUGAUACACUUUUUAUUACGGGCCAGUUUCACCACGGGUCGUUAAUGGGCCAAGAGUUACAAAGGGCCUCAUAUGGGCCGAAAGAAGUCAUGGGCCACACAUCGGCCGGAAGUUAAAACGGGCUGGAAUUAUAUUGGACGGCCCAGAUGAUGCUACUGGGCCUAAUUCGGAUAGGGCGUAACGGGCCCAAGGUUAGCGGGCUGUAAAUGGGCAAUAUGCGAACAUGCCUUUAACAGGCUUUCUGUGGGCCGGCCCGCCACCUUUUGACCAAGUCAAACGAGCCGGCCUUUUCACAGGAAUGGGCCUCUGUUGGGCCUUGCCGCGUGUCGCCGUAUCAUAGGCGCCUUCGGUCCAAUGAGCGGAUGACAUCUAUCCCAGCGGUGAGCCGACACGUGUUUCCUCCAGCCAAUGAUGAUUUUACACGUGGAAAAUCCCCAUUGGUCGGGGCUGUUAAUGGGUUCUCGGAUCCAAAACUUGACCUGAUAGCUUAACGGCGUUCCAUUACGGUGGAUGCCACGUGUCGGUCACCCUUGACGAAAGCACUUUUGUGACGCGCGAUUUAUCAUCAUGGAAGUGGACACUUCCGUGAUGAUAAUUUUGGUAAUAUCAUGGAACAUUUCAACGACAGCACAUGUAUGACUAUCUAGAUUCUGUCAUAAAUUUGUCAUGGAUGUACAUGCAUGACAAAAAACGUGACCUACUGUGACAAACACGUAUCAUCACGAAAGUGUAUUUUUUUUAGUGCUACUUGUUACCCAUUACGAAUUAUCUUAUCAGAGAACUAUCUGUUACCGAUAAUUUCAGCGCUUGCAGAGAAUACCUUGCUGAAAACCGCUUGUCAUUUCCUUUUGCUCCUCGUUGGGUUCGACACUGUUAUUUAUUGAAAGGACUAUAAUAGAUCCCCUAUACUUGUGGGUCAUCAAGACUCUUUUCUGGCGUCGUUUCCGGGUUGUGAAGCGCCUUUGGUAAGCAAACAUUUAUAUAGUGUGCUGAAAUUUACUGUCACUUGUGGUUAUGGAAAAUAAUCCUUUGAGGGGCUUGUUCGCGGUAUCUUCACACCGACCGGAAGAACAAAGAGUUGUCUCUCAACCUAAUGAACCUAUUGAAAAUAUUUAUUAUUAAAUUUCUUCAUGUAUGAUAGAGAAAUUGCUAGCUAAUCCUUAUGUAGGAGAUGGAACAUUACAUCCUGAUAUGCAUCUCGCACUUGAAAGGGUUGUAUUUGGCACUUGAAAGGGUGUGUUUUAUUAAGUAUCGGGUUCUAGUUAUCAUAAGGUCGAAGUACAACUCCGGGUCGUCCUGUUACGGUGGACACGACUAUUCGAAUAGAUCAAUCUUCCCUGCAGGGGUGCAUCACAUUACCCGACACGAUCGAUCCCUCUGGCCGGGCACACUUUCCUGGGUCAUGUCCGGCCUUGGGAGAUCAACACGUCGCAGCCCUGCCUAGGCUCAACAGAGAGGUCAGAACAUCGGUCUAAAUCCUAAACGCGCAGGGGUCUGGGCCCAUCGCUCGUUGCACACCUUGCACGUUGCGAUCGUGGCCGGAAGCAGACCUAGCCUCCCUAAUACAAGACCAGGCGUUCCAGUCCAAUCCGGCGCGCGUCGCUUAGUCGCUGACGUCAGGAAGGCUUUGUCUGAUACCACGAUGCCCAUUCCCCAUAUCUUGUCCCACGUGGCGGUUAGUGCGUAUAAGGUGAACGACCCAACUCAGAUCAAAUACCAAGAUCUCGUUAAGCAUGUUAUUUUGAGGUAACUCCGGAUGCUGACCAGGACUAGACCCACCUGUCUCCUAGGUGGUCACAACCUGCCCUAUCGCUCUGUCACAAAGAUCCACUCAGAGGGCCGUCUGGACAAAUGUCCUUUCAGCACCCAAUAUGUGAAUCAAUCGCGGGUACUCUACGAGCCGACCCCACUUUAGUCACAUCAUGUAACCUGUAUAGUAUGUAUGUAUGUAUAUACCCGUGAUCACCUCCCGAGUGAUCAUGGCCCGAUAAUAUAGCAUGGCAGACGGACAAGAAUAUAGGGCCACUAAUGAUAAACCAGCAACCUAUACUAAGCAUGUAGGAUUGCAGGUAAAGGAAUCAACAAUCGUAGCAACAAUGACAUGCUAUGCAACAGAAUAGGGGCUAUCCAAUCAAUAAUAGUAGAAAAACCAAUGCAAGAAUAAGAGAGAAGAGAGUGGGCGAUAUCUGGUUGAUCAAUGGGGGUUUGCUUGCCUGGAAGCUCUGCAGACAAAUACGGACCCUCGACGGUGAAGUAGUCGACCACUGGGACAACCGCGGUGUCGAGGUCUGCCGGAAAGAAGUAACGGAGGGGGAACACAAUAAAUAACAGAGCAAUCAAAGUAUCACAAAGUAUGACAUAGCAAUACACAGUGCUAGGGGUGACCUAACGUUGUGCUAAGCGUUACGGACGGAGCGGGAAAUAUCCGGUCAUAUUUUCUCGGCUCCAGGCAUUUAUCGGACAAACGAACUGGUGGGAAAUGUUCCAUGUUUGUAAUGUUUGGGGCACAUGAUAGGUAUGUGGGUGGCAUAUUCGGAUUCGUCUCAUUUUUCUGAUUAUUUUUCAUAUUUAAAUUAUUCUCAUCGGAGUUACGGUUUAUUUUCUAUUAAUUUACAAAGUUUAAAUGAUUUUCUGAAUUUACAGAAUUCUUUUAAUCCGAAAAUAAAACAGCAAAAUACUUUUGCACCUAGUGCUAUUCUAGCCAUAGUGUAUGACAGUGGGGCCCGUGGGUUUGGGUUGACUAGUCAACAUAUAAACUGUGUAGGGGGCCACAUGUCAUUGACUUAAACUUUUGUUAAAAUUUGUUUUUCUUUAAACUAACAGUGGGUCUACAUGUCAUCUACUAUCUAAUUAGCUAGCACUACUAAUUAGACUGACUAACGGGCCGGCCACCCGCGCGGCUGUGGCACAGCCCGCCACAGACACACACACGACGCACACACACCAGCUCAUGGCCAUGGCCAUAGAGCAGCAGCGGUGGCAGCUAACAAGGCUGCGUAGCAGCAGUGUAAGAGGAGCAGCGGGAAGCAGGAGCAAGGAAUAACAGCGACGCAGCAGAGCAUCAACCAGAGCAGCGGCGUAGCGGGAGGUGGAGGGAGAUGGAGGUGAGUUGGGCCUCCCAGCCCCACUCGGGCCUCCCUCUCUCUUACUUUUCUCUCUUUCUUUCUUUCUUUCUUUCUUCUUUUUCUGUUUUCUUUCUAAUUUGUUUUGUUUUCUAUUUACAUUCAAUAGUUUUUCGGUUUUAUAAAAUAUGAGACUUGGUCCAUAAUUAGUUAUUCAAUAUUAGGCACUGCCACAAAAGUUUUGGGGGUUAUUUAAAAUAGUUUGUAUUUUCAUAAAUUAGGAAAGGCAAUUUUAAUAAUGAAUUGUCCCUUGUUUCAUUUAUUUUUGGGCACUCAACCAAUUUAUAAAAUGUUGGUUAGUGAAUGACAAUUAGUUAGUGAAUAUUUACUGUUUGAAGGAAUAAUAAUUUAAAUUGUUAUUUGAAUUUCAAUUUGACUUGAAUUUUAAUCAAGUGACAAUUGACUUAGUAGAUGAUGAUGACAUGGCAUCAUUAGGGUGAGGUUACUGUAGCAUGAGUCUCGGGGUGUUACAAUCUAUGAGCAAGAAACAAUAACUGGAAAGAAACAAAGAGGAAGGAGAAAAACAAAAACAGGGCAAAAAAACUUAGGGUGCGUUUGGAUUGCAACCAAUAGUAGCCAUAUCAAAAAAUUGGCAAGCCCAUGGAAAUUGGCUAGUGCUUGGAUAGCAGCCAAAAUUUUGGCUCGCCCGACGUUCCGCCAACGGGCCAGUGCAAAUUUUGCCAACACAUGGGCGAGCUGGCGGCGCCGAAAAGCUCCGCCAAAAUAUUGGCAGCGCCCACGCCCGCUCACUCCACGGGGCCUGCUUAAUUAUCGCAGCUAACUCACGAUUGACCCUGAAAGUGAUUUGUAGAUCGGCAUAUUUCUCCUGUUCCCUGAUCGUUUGGUGGUAGGUACUCUUUUUUGGCUCAACAAAUCCGCAUGUGCAUGCAGGAAGAUAGCUACCUAAUUACCACAAAAUUAGCAUGAGUCGUGUAGGUUUAUUAAUCCGCUAAGCAGUACUUAAUUUGAUUAUUAUACUAGUACGGUCGAGUAGCAGCCCUACCUCAUAGAACUACUCCUGAAAAGCACGGAACUAUUUUUACCUAAAGAAGGGAUAUAUGUUUUGACGAAUGAAACAUUGCUUUUGCAUGCCCAUUUUUUUGUUACUUUUUGUGUAUUGUAGCUAUUAAAAAAAUCAUUUCACAUUUUUUUGCGGGGCAUGUCACAUUAUUUUUUGACUUGGAAUAAAAAUAAGCAUGGAAUAAGCCUAAUUCCCAAAGUUUGUCGCGUUAGUUGGCAACAAACCAAAUGACAGCUCAGUUAUUUUGCCAAAAAAUUGGUAGAAACAUUGGCUCUAAACCAAACAAGAACAACCAACCAAUAUUUUGGCCAUGCCCUCACUUUGGUCAUGCCAAAAAAUUUGGUGGGGCUAGUUGGGGCACAAACCAAACACACCCUUACUCCAAUGACAUCUCUCUCCCUUAAAAGGAAUGGGAAAUGGGCGAAAUGAAUGCGAGGGGGAAAAACUACUCUGAGAGAGACAAACGUCCCGCCAGCCCAACUAUCGUGACAAACACCCCGGCCCGCUACUAGUAUCAACCUGAAAACGGGCCGCACGACACACAAUAGCCGCGAGCGAAUGCACCAGCGGGACAAAAAUAGGUUUGCGCGAAUCUUAAAGACAGACGAGAUCCAAUGGCUCUUGACUUAGACGUGAAGUAGUUAUUUCACAUCUAGAUGUGAAAUAGCAAAUCUGAUAUAAUGAUUGUAAUGGUAUAGUCUGUAGAUGUGUAAUUAAUGCACAAUUCAUUUUUUUGAUGCAGUACCAUUCCUUCAAGAUAUAUAUAAUUAAUAUAACGUUGUAGCAUGUAGAUGUGUAAUUAAUGCACACGUUCAUUUUUUGGUGAAGUACCAUAUCUUUCUAUCUUCAAGAUAUAUAUAAUUAAUGUAAUAUUGUAGCAUGUAGAUGUGCAACUAAUGGAUACAUUCAUUUUUUAUGCAGUACCAUAUCUUCAAGAUAUAUCAUAUAUAGUACAACUAAUGUAUGUAUAACGUGUCGAUGUGGAGUUAAUGUACACACUCAUUGUUCGAUGCGAUUACAUAUCUUCAAGGUAUAGCCUAUAAAUAUAGAGUUAAUGUGAACAUCCAUUGUUUGAUACAAUAUGCAUCUUCAAGAUAUAGAACUAAUGUAUGAUGUGGCCUCUAGAGUGCAAUUAAUGUACAUAUUAAUUGUUUGACAUGGUGACAUAUCUUCAAGAUAUACAACUGAUGCAUGUGCCCAUAUCAUCAUCUCAAACAAGGCUAUAUAAACCAAGCCAUAGCUAUCGAAGUCAUGUAUCCCACACAUUCACAGAGAAGCCACACAAACAAUUAUAACAUCAAAGGGAUAGAGAAGGCUCUAGUGUAGCAGAUACAAAAGCCAUAGCCAUGGCGAAACUCAUGGGCUUAUGUUUCAUCAUCCUCACUAUUGGGGUAGCCGUCUCGGCUGAUGAAUGUGAGGGUGACCGACAGGCCAUGAUCAAAGAGUGUGCUAAGUACCAAAAGUGGCCAGCAAAUCCGAAGAUAGAUCCGUCGGACGCAUGCUGCGCCGUGUGGCAAAAGGCAAACAUCCCAUGCCUUUGCGCUGGUGUCACCAAGGAGAAAGAGAAGAUAUAUUGUAUGGAGAAGGUUGGCUACGUUGCCAAUUUCUGCAAGAAGCCGUUCCCACAUGGCUACAAGUGCGGAAGUAAGUGAAAUAUAUUAAGGGAAUUAUGACGAUCGGCAUUGCAUACAUGCAGUUUUCAUAUUUGUUAUUCUUCGGAUUCACACGAUUUCGAUUUUAGUUAUGCAUUUUAUAUGUUUCUUGUGCUAUUCUGAUCAUAUGUUGGGACAAAUUGAAUGGUCUUGCAGGUUACACAUUCCCUCCUCUGGCGUAGUGACUCUAGUUUAGCUGUUGAAGGAGAAGCUUGGCUUUUACAUUCGAUGUGCUUGGCCUCACAAUAGCUUUCCUUUCAGAUCUGUAAUUCGUGAGGUUGUGCUCAGAAAAGUUUAUGUUAAGCACUUUGUAUGAGAACGUUUCUGAAACUAAUAAAGCCUUCUCCUCAAAUUGUCUAAAUUAUGUUUGUUCAUAUAUCCUUUUUUGGUUCUACUAGUAAAUAUGCCCAUGCGUUGCAACCGGAGUAAAACAAUCAGAUUGUGCAUAUGUGGUAGAAAUAAAAAAAAAGUCUGAAACAUAUUCCAGGAUGAGAUCGGGACCUUUAAAAUGUGAUUUCAUAAACUACGUCUGAAUCAUGUCAUGAUGAGAAAAGGAACUUCUGAAAGGUCAUUUCAAAAGCUAAAAAUGUGAUGGUCUCAUCACUACUUGAUUUUCUAAGGCACCACAACAAAAUAUUUUCUAGCUGAGAAACUGUAUUGAUGGACCCUACCUGAACUACACCAAUUAAUGGUGUGUCUCGCCUUCACCUAGGGUCACGGUGUUUACCCUGACUAGGAAAUCUAUAGUACCAGAAUAAACAUAGAGGUGUAUGAAGGCAAAUUAGAUAUUUAAUCAUUUUUGUAUACAACUUACAAAAACUAAUUGUAGGAAGUUUUGUCAAUUUUUUUGGGCUCAACGUUGUGCAGAUUAUGGAAACCUUUUUUUACGCGACUCGCAUGUACUAAACAAAAUCAUGAAACAACCUCUACAAAUAAAAAAAACUCUAUAUAAGCAGGUUAGUUUUGUUCGUUAUUUACAGAUCUGCUUAAUUUUUUUUGAACAUUUUCUAAAAUUUACAUUCUUUCAAAUUCCCGAAUAUAUUUUGAAUACAUGAUUAUUUUUCUAAAAUCUUGAAUAUUUUGUGAACAUUUUUUCGAAAUCGUGAUUUUUCAUGAAUGCAAAUAUUUUUUCAAAAUACUGGACAUUUUAUAAUUUUCCAAACAUUUUUAGAAUUAAUGAAAAUUUUAUGAUUUCGCAAAAACAAUGUGAAAUGUUUUUAAAAAUACUGGACAUUUUAUGAUUUCCUAAACACUUUAUGAAUUCAUGAACAUUUUAUGAUUUCCCAAUAAAAUCCAAAACUGACAACUUUUGGAAAUCCCGAAUUAAUUUGAAGAAGGAAAAAAAGAACCAGAAUUAGGGUGAGGUUACUGUAGCAUGAGUCUCGGGAUGUUACAAAUCUACUCCACUACAAGAAAUCUCGUCCCAAGAUUUAAGAGGCGGAGUAAGGUGGAAAGUUCUGGUUACGAAAUUCUAAUGAAUCUUCUCGUUCUUGGUUGCUCUUCUCGAAUGAGUUGACCCAUUACGUUGAUGUCUUAUUUUCUCUACUUCGGGUCAUAAUGACGAAGUCGUCAUCCUUUCUUCGAGAACUUCGUCGUACUUAUGAAGGAAUAAAGGGUGGGUAUUCCGGCGGAACGGGCCUCUACAAGGUUGAUAACAUCAGGGAAGGUGGCACAGAGUAAAUCUUGAAUUGAAACUUAAGAAAAUAUCUAGAGCAAAGUAAGGAGGUAUCAUGGGAAGUCUUGAGUGGGCAGGCAAUCGUUCGAUGCCUGAAAUAGGGCAUGAAAGGGGUUCAAGGCAACGGGAAUAAGUAUUGUGUUUGAUAGCAGAAUUGAUGAUCUCUCAAAAGGUGGCUUGUGAAUUACAUAAGAGGACACACGCGAGGAACAACCUUGGGAACAGGGGGUGUACAGGAGAGUCAGGUUUCGAUCCUGUGGAACUGUUGGUUCCACCAUGUAGGUUAAAUUUUGGAAAGGCGGUGUUGUCUUGCACGAUCAUAUAAGCAAGGCAUGUCAGAGGAUAGCCUGUCAGUUAUGUCGGCAACAACAUCGGUACCAUUUUCCUGCUCGUUGAACGAAGCAGACCAAUAGGUAAAGUUCUCGUCCAUCGGUGGUUACCGGAAUGUCAUCAACAUUAGUAACAGGGUCUUACUGACAGAGUGUUACAACGAGGUGCUGACCUGACCAAGGAAUUAUCAUUGCUCAGUUAACUCAGAUUACAAGAAAGGUUAAACAAAAAAAUGGAAAGGAAAAUGUGUUCAAACACAUAUUUCAGGGGUAUAUCCUUCCCAAGGGCAAGCAGAGCACAAUAUCCAUGACAGGAUAGAAACUAGAAAACCAUUUAGGUAAGGGGAGAGGAAUUUCAUGACAUUACCCAAACAACAGUGUUUGGAUAAUUGACGGGAAAAAAUUAGCAUUGUGCUUCAAAUGUUCUUAUUGAAGAUCGAAGGACCACAAACAUGCUUUAAGAUUGCAUUGACAUGGUCUUCAAGCAAGGUCGGACUUUGGAUACUUAAAGGAUUCAUUAGGAACAACUUAUAGAAUAAGUCUUACAAUUUCCUCAUGGAAGAAUGGUUAACCUUGCUAAAACGGAAACUAUAACAAUAGGGCCCCGACUAGGUGUGCUAGGCAUGACAUCACAUUAUCGGGUCAUAUAAGGACCAAUGUUAUAACUCUUGGAAAUAUGUUCUAACCAUCAUAUUUUACCGAGAUUCGGAUUUGAUUGGUGUUAGGAUACCUCGGACUCAGGAUGCUUGAGAAGAAAAAGGUGCGACACAUAUUGAUGAGAUGACAUUUUAAGAUUCUUGGGAAAUGAACUAUGGGAGCGAGUUCCGAAACAAGGAGAGGGCGAGGAGGUGGCUGAUGGACUCAGCGACAAUUCAUUGAGAUUUCCCAAAAGAUGGAUUUGCACAAUUAUGUGAAGGAGAUAACAUUUGUAAGAUCAAAUGAUAUAAUGAUGUAUGCUCAAGGAGAACAUCCAUGAGUAAACAUUGGUUGAAAGGUGCACCCAAAAUAUGGGCUUAGGUAGCAUGAUCAAUGUUAGAAUGGUGAUUCGAUAACCAAUACACAAAGAAUGAAACUAUCGUUCAUUAACUUACAUGCAAUAUGGUUGCUAGAAGUUUUGAAUUUUACACAUCACAGUCCAGUUGUCAGUAAUCUGGUUAGGAACAACAUGGGGACCAAGAACUUAAUGUAGACGGCGAGAUAUAUCACUUGUAUCAAGAAUUCUUAAGAGGUGGUGAAAUUCUCACAACUUUCUUGAUAUAUAAAAUGGUAAUACUCCAAGGUAGGACAUAAGAUAAGUUGGAUUGCUAGGAACUCAUGGUACACCACAACACUAACAAGUUUGUGUUGGAAAGAAGGCGAGGAAGUAGUUGAUGACAACACAAAUUACGAAGGAUAAGGAUGGUAAUCCCCAUCAGUAAUUUGAUUGAUAUCCUGGAAGGAGUCAAAAUGUUGUUGAUGAUCAUGAGAAAUUUGGUCGAGAGGCUCCACGAAGAAGCAAUCGAACAGUGACUGCUGUCGUGGUUCUAAGCCUGACAGUAGAGUGGGGGGUAGGUAUGGAGAGGCAAGGUCCUAGCUAUGGAGAGGUUGUAAGCACAAAGGAUGUACGAGUUCAGGCCCUUCUCGGAAGAAGUAACAGCCCUACGUCUCGGAGCCCGGAGGCGGUCGAGUGGAUUAUGAUUGUAUGAAUUACAAGGUGCCGAACCCUUCUGCCUGUGGAGGGGGGUGGCUUAUAUAGAGUGCGCCAGGACCCCAGCCAGCCCACGUAGGAGAGGGUUUAAGGUGAGUUAAGUCUGGGGCGUUACUGGUAACGCCCCACAUAAAGUGCCUUUACUAUCAUAAAGUCUACUUGAUUACAGGCCGUUGCGGUGCAGAGUGCCUCUUGACCUCCUGGUGGUCGAGUGAGUCUUCGUGGUCGAGUCCUUCAGACCAGUCGAGUGAGUCCUCGUUGGUCGACUGGAAGGCGACCUCUUCUAAGGAUGUCCUAGGGUAAGUUACUUGGAUCAGGUCCAUGAUCCUACCCUAGGUACACAACCCCAUCAUUAGCCCCCGAAUGGAUUGAGGCUUCGAGUGAAGGAGUUGAUGUCGUUUCCGAUUGACCUUUGCGCUCUAGUUGUGCGCUGUUCUGGACCAAAGAAUCUCUUCGUUGACAGGGAGCAAUUUGCCUUCAGUCGACUCGAUCCAUUCUGUUUUUACGUCGAGUGAUCUUUCGGGCUUCGACGAUCUCCGAGCGACGGAUCGCCGGAAACACCGCGUCUGACAGACUGAUUUGUUGCUCGCGGAUUCCGCGGGAUGCGAAAUUUGGGGGCGCGCGCGUUGCGGGGCGGACCGCGGCGUUCGGAUGGGACGGGGCAUAGACGCCUCGAUCUCCGCGCCGCCUUUUUCGCCACGUAUCCAGCCUGCAUAACUGCUCUCAGAUAUGAUUAGAUCGACCGGGCCCGCAUGUCAGCCACUCGGAAGGGACCUUAUAAAUGCGCCCGACGAGGAUUUCUGUGCUGCGCCCCAGCAUUCUCCCUCUAUCUCUGCUUCCUUCUUCCCUGCUCAGCGUGCUCGCUCUCGCCCCCGCGCCACUUCCCUUCGCGCAUCUCUCCGGCGACCAUGGCAAAGGAGAAGACGGCGGCGCUGGAGCGCGCCAAGAAGGCGUCAGCGUCGGAGAAGGCGAAGGGGAGAUCCACCAGCCGCGGAGGGUCCUCGUCCAGGUCCCGCCUGCCGAAGGGCUGGGUCCAAGGAGACUGGAUCCAGUCGACCAUCACAGAGAAGGACCUCCUCGACAUGGCCAACGAGGGCUUGAUCCCUCACGGAGCUGCGAGGUUGCCGGGGGAGGAGUGGCAUCCACAGCCAGAAGAGGGUGAGUGUGUGCUUUUGGCCACUCAUGUUGAUCGUGGGUUUUCCUUGCCGCCAAGUAUUUUCUUCCGUGGCUUCUUGAAUUUCUUUGGAGCGCAGCUUCACCACUUUACCCCAAACUCCAUUGCCUAUCUUGCUGCAUUCGUGUCCAUGUGUGAGGGUUUCUUGGGCUGUCGACCGCACUGGGGUUUGUUCAAACAUAUCUUCACGUGUCGCUCUCAGACCGUGAAGAAGGCGAGCCCAGGUGAUGAGAAAACCCGAGUCGUCCAAAUGUGUGGGGGCCUGGGGAUCCAGGUGAGGAAUAAGAGCACCUUCCCGCCCAUGACCUUUCCCGAGUCCGUCAGAGGCUGGCAGUCGACUUGGUUCUACUGCCAGGUCCAGUCGACGCCAGGGCAGUCGAGUGGACUCCCUCCGUUUACCAUGGACCGAGUGAACAAGCCCUCCCCCCUGAAGCUGAUUCCGGAGGAGAAAGCCGACGUGAAGAUGUUGAUGGAGCGCGUGGUGCAGUUGGUUCGGGAGGGGGUGACGGGCAUGGAUCUUCUGGAGGUCUUCCUCAGGCGUCGCAUCCAACCCCUUCAAUUCCGGAGCCACUGCAUGUGGUUGUACUGUGGGACCGAAGACGAGACUAGAGUCCAUCCAGAAGCAGUCGACGACGUCACUCUGGAAAGAUGGAUGGUAGCCGUUACCGGAAACAAGGACAACCCGCGCGGAGCCAGAAGGAUUCCUCCACUCGACCACAAUAGCGACCCAAACAAGGUACACUUGCUCUGCUCUCUACUGCGCCCUUGUCGUAUUCAUUUCUGUUAAUCCUGCCGACUGGUCGACUGAUUCUUGUCUGGGCAUUUGUUAGGCCCUCACCGAGCUGUACUCGAUGCCCAAUGGGGCACAAGCUUCGACUGAGGAGGGCGAGGCGAGCGGAGGCGAGAGCCAGGAAGAGGAGGAAUGGGACUCGGAUGUCACAGAGGAUGAUGACGACGAUGAUGAUGAUGUCGAUGAUGAAGACGACGUCGAGGACGAGGAAGAGGAGGAGGAGGAGGUCGUGCCACCGCGCUCGGAAAGGCGGUCGAAGCUCGUCAACGACCCUUCGACUGAACGUGGCAAGGGGGUUGCGACGCAGUCGACCAAGCGCCCUAGGACCACCUCUCCAGCGCCGACUGAAAAGGCGCCGAAGCAGCCCAGGGCGGCCUCGUCGAAGCCGAUCAAACUCUUGCCGAAGAUGAAGGUGUCCAUCCCUACCAUAUCAGGGUAACCGUGCUGCUCAUAUUUUCUUAUUCUGUGUGAACUUUAUUUCUGGUCGACGCUGAAGUUAGUCGACUGAUCCUUUGGAGUUGCAGUGCUGCUACUUCUGAGACCUCGGCCCGGGCCGAUGACCACGAGAUGGAGGAUGCGGCAACUUCGAACCCAGGUACUGUAUUCUUAACACCGUUCUUAGUCGACUGACUCGCGAUCUCUGAUCCUGAUCCUUCUCCGCAGCUCCACCCAACACUGUUAUCAAUCUCCCUGACGACGACGAGGAUGAAGAACCACUGACGCGCAGGAGGAGUCGGAAAGCGUCCUCCAGUAAGGUACCUCAGGAUGUGACGGCGCCUGAGAUUCUGACUGUGGAGGAAGGGAACACCACUCGACACACGGUGUCCUUCGCAAAUCCACUGACGAGUGCUCAGCAGCCCUCCCUCUUUACAACGCACCACGUCCCAGAGGACCAAGCUGGCGCAGCGAAGGAGGCAAUACGCCAGGUGGGACUCAUGAUGGAGCAGCUGAAGACCAUCCGGGACGCGAGCCAGGCAGCUUAUGACGCCAGUUCUGCCCUCCAAAGCAAUGUCCAGGUCAGUCGACCGCUGUUUGUUCUGUUGGAUAUGCUACCAAAAACUUUUCUUUUCCGGAAUUUAUAUUAGUCACCCACUGGGUGUGUCGAAUGAACUCUGUGUUAGCGGGGGCACGCUGAGUGCACCCGCUGGGUGUAGUCCCCAAGGCUAAGGUCGACUGCUGGCAGUCGGCCUUAGGCUUUAUGAUGUCGAUCUUUUUGUCAGUCGACUGGUCGACUGGAUUUCACAAACCGGUGGGGGCACGCUGAGUGCACCCACUGGGUGUAGUCCCCAAGGCUAAGGUCGACUGCUGGCAGUCGGCCUUAGGCUUUAUAAUGUCAUUCUUUCUGUCAGUCGACUGGUCGACUGGAUUUCACAAACCGGUGGGGGCACGCUGAGUGCACCCACUCGGUGUAGUCCCCGAGACUGUGGUCGACUGCUUGCAGUUGAUCACAGUCUUAGAGAAUGCAUCUCUCUCUUUUUUUUGUUUUUUUUUGAGGUCGACUGGUCGACUUUGUCUUCAAUAGGAUUAGUGGGGGCACGCUGAGUGCACCCACUGGGUGUAGUCCCCGAGACUACGGUCGAAUGUUUGUAUUCGGCUGUAGUCUUAGAAACGUGUGUUUUUCCCUUUUUCAGUCGGAAGUGAAUUAUAUUUGACAUUUAGUCGAUUGGUUCUUCGCAGAACUCUUGUGAUCUUGUCGCUCGCUACUCAGAGCUGGAACAAAAACAUACUCAAGUCGAGCUGAGCUUGAAGCUGGUUCAGGAGAAGCUGACAAAGGCAAAGGAGGAGACCGAAGGUAUGUUUGGUGAGACCCUGACGACUGCUUUUCCCCUUGCUUGUUUCAGCAUCUGAUCUUGCGGUAACUUGCAGGUAAGGUAAGGGAGGCCCAGCAGAAGAAAGACCUUGAGCUAGCUGAGAAGAUCAAGCUUGCUGACGAGAAGUUAGCUUCAGUCACCAAGCUCGAACAAGACAAUACCAAUCUGAAAGCUGCUCUUGGGAUUGCCAACAAGGAGGUCAGUCGACUGAGAACUGACAAAGCUGCCCUGACCGACCAAGUCAGCAAAUUAACUGAGAAGAAAACUGAACUGGAGGCCUUCCUGAGUGGCCUUGCCAAGAAGCUGUUUCUUAUGCUUGAAGGUAAACCUCUAUGCUUGGCAGACAUUUCCAAUUGUGAUUUUUCCAUUCGACCGUCCUCUUGACUUAGUGACCACCCUUGCAGAAUUUUGUCAAAACUUUGAAGAAGAAACUAGCCGGCUGGAGCCAAACCUCGACCCCGUCAAUUCUCCGGUGAACGACGAAGUUGCCAUGGAAGUUUUCCGACUGGAGUCUCGUGUUGCAACUGUUGUGGACUAUCUCGCAAGGCUGAAGGCCGCCACAUCUCGCAUCGACUCGACGCUCUGGCCUGAGGAGACACUUCAGAAUGACCUUGAGUCGCUGAUGGCCCGCUUGAACACGAUCCCUGGUCGAGUGCAGGAGUGGAAGAAGUCUUCGGCUCGGUGUGGUGCAGAUGUCGCUCUGUGUCUGGCCCGAGUCCACUGCAAAGAUGCACGAGAGGAGAAGCUGGAGGCCCUUCGGGUGGCCAAUACCAAGAAGCACGACUUCAGGUCCUUUAUGGAGACUUUCCUUGCAGCUGCCACUCGGAUCGCCGACGGAAUUGACCUUGAUGAAUUUGUUGCACCUUCCAGCCCUCCACAGGAGGGGUAAAAAACUUCUUCUGGCUCGACGCUUUAAAUUUGCCUCGGUAUGCCGAGUGAAAUUGUAACCGACAAACCUUAACGGGCUUGACGCCUGAGCACUUUCGGUUCCUUUAGAUAUCGAUUCAAACUUGAAUUUGGCGCUUGAAUAUGAUUGCCUUCGGCUCGGAAUGUCUUUUGCAGGUUCAAAGCAAGGUGCCUGUACUGCAAUCGACUUAUUCUUUAGUCCACUUAGGCGAGCACUGGGCUGCAGCUAAGCCCCCCGAGUGAGAGGGUUGCUCUCCACUCGGCAGGGUUUUUAUACCUUAGGCGAGCACGGGGCUGCAGCUAAGCCUCCGAGUGAGAGGGUUGCUCUUCACUCGGUAGGAUUUUUAUAACUUAGGCGAGUGCUUGGACUGCAGCUAAGCCCCCGAGUGAGAGGGNNNNNNNNNNNNNNNNNNNNNNNNNNNNNNNNNNNNNNNNNNNNNNNNNNNNNNNNNNNNNNNNNNNNNNNNNNNNNNNNNNNNNNNNNNNNNNNNNNNNNNNNNNNNNNNNNNNNNNNNNNNNNNNNNNNNNNNNNNNNNNNNNNNNNNUAAGCCUCCGAGUGAAAGGGUUGCUCUUCACUCGGUAGGAUUUUGAUAACUUAGGCGAGUGCUUGGACUGCAGCUAAGCCUCCGAGUGAGAGGGUUGCUCUUCACUCGGUAGGAUUUUAAUAACUUAGGCGAGCACAGGGCUGCAGCUAAGCCCCCGAGUGAGAGGGUUGCUCUUCACUCGGUAGGAUUUUAAUAACUUAGGCGAGCACAGGGCUGCAGCUAAGCCUCCGAGUGGAAGUCGGGCUUACCACUCGGUAGGAUUUUGAUAACUUAGGCGAAACGGAUUCGCAGCUAAGCCUCCGAGUGGNNNNNNNNNNNNNNNNNNNNNNNNNNNNNNNNNNNNNNNNNNNNNNNNNNNNNNNNNNNNNNNNNNNNNNNNNNNNNNNNNNNNNNNNNNNNNNNNNNNNNNNNNNNNNNNNNNNNNNNNNNNNNNNNNNNNNNNNNNNNNNNNNNNNNNNNNNNNNNNNNNNNNNNNNNNNNNNNNNNNNNNNNNNNNNNNNNNNNNNNNNNNNNNNNNNNNNNNNNNNNNNNNNNNNNNNNNNNNNNNNNNNNNNNNNNNNNNNNNNNNNNNNNNNNNNNNNNNNNNNNNNNNNNNNNNNNNNNNNNNNNNNNNNNNNNNNNNNNNNNNNNNNNNNNNNNNNNNNNNNNNNNNNNNNNNNNNNNNNNNNNNNNNNNNNNNNNNNNNNNNNNNNNNNNNNNNNNNNNNNNNNNNNNNNNNNNNNNNNNNNNNNNGGUAGGAUUUUCACAAACUUAGGCGAAACGGAUUCGCAGCUAAGCCUCCGAGUGAGAGUCUGGCUCACCACUCGGUAGGAUUUUUACAACUUAGGCGAGUGCUCGGACUGCAGCUAAGCCUCCGAGUGAGAGGGUUGCUCUUCACUCGGUAGGAUUUUUAUAACUUAGGCGAGUGCUUGGACUGCAGCUAAGCCCCCGAGUGAGAGGGUUGCUUACCACUCGGUAGGAUUUUGAUAAACUUAGGCGAGUCCUUGGACUGCAGAUAAGCCUCCGAGUGGAAGUCAGGCUUACCACUCGGUAGGAUUUUGAUAAACUUAGGCGAAACGGAUUCGCACCUAAGCCUCCGAGUGGAAGUCUGGCUCACCACUCGGUAGGAUUUUUACAAACUUAGGCGAAACGGAUUCGCGGCUAAGUCACCCACUGAGGGGGAAUUUUAUUGUGGACAAAAAUAAAAAGUGAUAGAUAUUAUGGAGGAACCAUGACACUUAUUAUUUUGAGAUCCAUGAACUACAAAAGUACUUUAUUGUAACUCAUCCGAGUGAUAAAACUUAAGUGUAGAAUGGGCGGAGUAGCUCCGCGUUCCAAGCUCGGGGCUCGUCGAUAUUAUGCUCGACGUUGUAAAGACGGUACGCCCCGUUGUGGAGGACCUUGGUGACGAUGAAGGGGCCUUCCCAGGAAGGAGCAAGCUUGUGUGGUUUGUGCUGAUCCACUCGGAGAACCAAAUCCCCUUCCUGGAAGGCUCGACCUCUCAUAUUUCUGGCGUGGAAACGGCGCAAAUCUUGUUGGUAGAUGGUCGACCGGAUCAGAGCCAUCUCCCUUUCUUCCUCUAAAAGGUCGACUGCGUCCUGCCGCGCUUGUUCAGCUUCUGCUUCGUUGUAGAUUUCAACUCGAGGAGCAUUGUGAAGAAGAUCACUCGGCAAGACUGCUUCAGCUCCAUAGACCAAGAAGAAGGGAGUUCUUCCGGUCGACCGAUUAGGCGUGGUCCGCAGUCCCCAGAGUACAGAUGGAAUUUCGUCGACCCAAGCCCCAGCCGCGUGUUUGAGAUCACGCAUCAGUCGAGGCUUCAGUCCCUUGAGAAUCAGUCCAUUAGCUCGCUCUGCUUGUCCAUUCGACUGCGGAUGGGCGACCGAAGCGUAGUCGACCCGUGUGCCCUGGGAGUCGCAGAAAGCUCUGAAUUCCUCUGAGUCAAAGUUCGACCCAUUAUCCGUAAUGAUGCUGUGCGGGACUCCAUAUCUGAAUAUUAGUUCCCUGAUGAAGCUAACAGCAGUACCGGUGUCAAGGCUCUUGAUUGGUUUAGCCUCGAUCCACUUGGUGAACUUGUCGACUGCCACCAGUACAUGCGUGAAGCCACUUCGUCCUGUUCUCAAAGGACCGAUCAUGUCCAGCCCCCAAACUGCAAAAGGCCAGACGAGUGGGAUGGUCUUCAAAGCUGACGCAGGCUUGUGCGACAUAUUCGAGUAGAACUGACAUCCCUCGCACUUAUCUACUAUCUCUUUUGCCAUCUCAUUCGCCUUGGGCCAGUAAAAUCCGGCUCGGUAUGCUUUGGCCACGAUGGUCCGAGAGGACGCAUGAUGACCACAGGUCCCUGAGUGGAUAUCAUUGAGGAUGAGUCGACCUUCUUCUGGUGUUAUGCACUUCUGACCGACUCCAGUCGCGCUUUCUCUGUAUAAUUGUCCUUUGAUUACGGUAAAGGCCUUAGAUCGACGGACGAUCUGUCGAGCCUCUUCUUCAUCCUCCGGAAGCUCUUUCCUCAAGAUAUAUGCGACAUACGGAAUCGUCCAGUCGGGAAUGACCACCAAAACCUCCAUGAUCAAGUCGACCACCGCUGGGACUUCGACUUCAGUCAGAUCUGUGGCGCUCUUGGGCUGCGGAGUUUCUUCGGUGAAAGGAUCUUCUUUGACUGACGGAGUGUGUAUAUGCUCCAAGAACACACCACUCGGAAUGGCUUCUCUCUUGGAACCUAUCUUUGCUAGAUCAUCAGCUGCUUGAUUUUUCAGUCGGGGUAUAUGAUGGAGCUCCAACCCCUCGAACUUCUUCUCCAGCUUCCUCACUGCACUGCAGUAUCCAGUCAUGGCUGGGCUUCUCACGUCCCACUCUUUCAUCACCUGAUUGACCACUAAAUCCGAGUCACCAUAGACCAUUAGGCGACGGACGCCGAGUGAAAUGGCCAUGCGCAAACCAUAUAGGAGGGCCUCAUAUUCUGCAUCAUUGUUGGAGGAAUCAAAGUGAAUCUGGAGCACAUAUCUGAGCUUAUCUCCUCUGGGGGAAACCAGGACAACCCCAGCACCGGAACCAUUCAACAUCUUAGAGCCAUCGAAAAACAUGGUCCAAUGCUCCGAGUGAACUUCAGUCGGCUGCUGUUGUUCAAUCCACUCGGCGAGGAAAUCUGCUAUCGCCUGGGACUUAAUGGCUUUCUUUGCCUCAAACUUGAUAUCAAGGGGAAGAAGUUCAAUCGCCCAUUUGGCCACUCGACCAGUUGCAUCUCUGUUGUGCAAAAUCUCUGAUAGUGGAGCGUCGCUGACGACUGUGAUGGAAUGGUCAGAGAAAUAAUGAGCAACCUUCUUUGUGGUCAUGUAUAUUCCAUACACAAGCUUCUGAUAAUGAGGAUAUCUCUGCUUGGAUGGAGUCAAGACUUCAGACAAAUAAUACACUGGGCGCUGAACUUUGAGAGCUUUUCCUUCUUCUUCCCGCUCGACCGUUAUCACAGUACUGACGACUUGUCCUGUGGCUGUGAUGUAGAGCAACAGAGGCUCUUUGCUGAUUGGAGCAGCAAGCACCGGCUGGGUGGAGAGCAGAGCUUUUAGCUCGGCAAACGCUGCAUCAGCUUCUGGAGUCCACUCGAACUUGUCAGCCUUCUUCAUCAGUCGGUAAAGAGGCAGUGCCUUUUCACCGAGUCGUGAGAUGAAUCGACUUAAUGCGGCCAAGCAUCCAGUAAGCUUCUGGACAUCGUGCACUCGCACAGGGCAUUUCAUUCGGAGAAUAGUGCCAAUCUUCUCUGGGUUAGCGUCGAUUCCCCGUUCGGAAACGAGAAAACCGAGUAACUUGCCACCAGGAACUCCAAAUGUGCACUUUGAUGGAUUGAGCUUGAUAUCAUACCUUCUGAGGUUGGCAAAUGUUUCGGCGAGGUCAGCGAGCAGGUCGGAACCUUUUCGCGACUUGACAACAAUAUCAUCCAUAUAAGCUUCCACAUUCCGACUGAUUUGGGUGAGUAGACACUUCUGAAUCAUUCGCAUAAAUGUGGCUCCGGCAUUCUUGAGGCCGAAUGGCAUGGUGAUAUAGCAGAAGCACCCGAAUGGAGUGAUGAAAGCUGUUUUUACCUCAUCGGGCCCGUACAGACGGAUCUGGUGGUACCCGGAGUAAGCAUCUAAAAAAGACAACCUCUCGCAUCCCGCGGUCGAGUCAACAAUUUGAUCUAUGCAAGGGAGAGGAAAGUGAUCUUUCGGGCAGGCCCGGUUGAUGUGCUUGAAAUCAAUGCACAUUCGGAGCGACUUGUCCUUCUUAGGAACCAUGACGACAUUAGCGAGCCACUCGGAGUGGUAUAUCUCUCGGAUAAAUCCUGCCGCCAACAGUCGAGCCACUUCUUCACCGAUGGCCUUUCUCUUCUGGACGGCGGACCGCCGAAGAUGCUCUUUGACUGGUUUUGCAGACGAGUCGACUCUUAGGCGAUGCUCAGCCAGUCCCCUGGGAACACCUGGCAUGUCAGCGGGCUUCCAUGCAAAAAUGUCCCAGUUCUCACGGAGGAACUGGAUGAGCGCUUCUUCCUAUUUUGGGUCGAGUGUUGUGGAAAUGCGGGUCGGAGCUGCUUCGGGGUCGGUCGGGUGAAUGUGAACAGGCUUCGUCUCACCGGACGACUGGAAUGCAGACUCUGUGGCGGGCUGCUUGGCUCGCAGCAAGUCACUCGGAUCUGCGUUUUGCUUGUAUUCUUCGAACUCGACCACUGUCACUUGGGAAUCGGCAAUCUUGGAGCCCUUCUGAAAGCACUCCUCUGCCUUCCUCCUAUCACCGGUGACAGUGAUCACACCUUUGGGACCGGGCAUCUUCAAUUUGAGGUACACGUAACAUGGUCGAGCCAUGAACCGUGCAUAGGCUGGUCUCCCCAAAAUGGCAUGAUAUGCACUUUGAAAAUCCACGACCUCAAACGUCAACUUUUCUAUGCGAAAAUGCUUCGAAUCACCAAACACUACGUCCAAAGUUAUCUGGCCGAGUGAUUCGGCCUUCUUCCCUGGUAUAACUCCAUGGAAGCUCAUGUUACUAGUGCUCAGUCGGGACAUCGGAAUGCCCAUACCUUUCAGUGUGUCUGCAUACAAUAAGUUCAGCCCGCUUCCACCGUCCAUCAGCACCUUUGUCAGUCGAGUGCCUUCGACAACUGGAUCGACCACCAAAGCUUGCCUCCCGGGGGUGGCAAUAUGAGUCGGGUGAUCAGAUUGGUCGAAUGUGAUGGGUGUUUGAGACCACUUCAGAUAAUUUGCCUUUGCUGGGGCAACCAUGUUCACCUCUCGGUUAAUCACUUUCAGUCGACUUCUGCUUUCCACAUAUGCAAAGAUCAUCAGAGUGGAGUUGAUAUGCGGAUAUCCUCCCUCACUGUCCUCUUUGUCUUCGGCCUUGUCCGACUCCUUCUCCUUGUCCUUAGACUGUUUUCCCUGAAACUGCUGGAUCAGGAGUCGACAUUGGCGAGUGGUGUGCUUUGGGUAAAUGAUAUUCCCCUCUUCAUCUUUCUUCGUGUGAAUGUGACACGGCAUAUCCAUCACGUCGUUCCCUUCUUUAUCCUUUACCUUCUUGGGGUUCCAGGAUCCUUUUGGUUUCCCCUUAAACUUUCCUUGAGUCACGGCCAGAGCCUCUCCAGGAGCUGCCGGUUCAGCCUUCCGCUUCUGUUUCCGACUGGUGUUUCCUUUUUCCGACUGACUCGGCUUGUGCUUGCCGCUUCGGAGUCGGUCUUCUUCUUCGCCGUUGGCGUACUUGGUAGCAAUCUCCAUCAUCCGACUCAAGGUCAUGUCACCGGUUCGACCAAAUUUCAAACUCAGUUCUCUGUUCUUGACGCCGUCUUUGAAGGCGCAUACUGCCUGAUGAUCAGAAACAUUUUCCACAGUGUGGUGCAAAGUGAUCCACCUCUGAAUAUACUCUCUGAGAGUCUCAUUAGUUUUCUGCACGCAGACUUGCAGCUCUGUCAAUCCCGCUGGUCGCUUGCAAGUCCCUUCAAACGUUCUGACGAACACUCGGGACAGAUCUUCCCAAGUGUAAAUGCUGCUAGGAGGUAAUUGAGUCAACCAUGCCCUGGCAGAACCUUCCAACAUGAGGGGCAAAUGCUUCAUGGCCACCUCGUCGUUCCCACCACCGAUCUGAACUGCCACUCGGUAGUCUUCAAGCCAAGUUUCAGGCUUAGACUCACCAGUGAACUUGCUGACCCCUGUUGCCAACCUGAAAUUGGGGGGGAUAACUGCGGCUCUGAUAGCUCUGCUGAAACAUUCAGGACCAGAAACAUGUACUCGACUGCUCGUGGGUACAUCUCUGUCGAGUGCGCCUCGAUGGGCUCUGUUCCGAUCGACCAGCCCUUGCACGAUAAUGGAUCGCGCGUCGAAGCCUGGCUCUCUGGGGUCAACUGGAACCCUACGCCCUGCACUGUACUGACGCCUAUCAUCUGGCUGCCGAGGAGCGUAAGACCCUCCCCUCAGAGGGGAAUAGGGCACUCGACGCCUAUCAUCUCGGUCGAGUCUGUCGCCAUAUUGAUCUCGCCGAUUCUCACGCCCUUCGCGCCGCGGAGGCGAUCUGGGGCUGUGAGCCGACUGAACCGUAUUCACAGUGACAGAUCGACUGUGAAUUCUGUUGCGCGACCGAGACACGGCUGAAUUCUGAUCUCCUGCUGCCCGGAGCAGAUCCCUGAUCUGCAGCAAACCUCUGCCAGCUUCCGACUGCGAAGGCUGAAUGGACUCUGCUAUACGGGUCGCAGCUGCUAAAUUCUGAAUUGGGGUUCGAUAUACCUGAGUCGGCGGGAAGAGUUAACGUCGACUGGUGUCGGGAACUCGUUGCCGCGCGCGCUCGUCGAGUGCUCGCUGAAGGUUCUCCAGUCGAGUGCGCUCGGCCAAAUUGGCCAGACACGCCUCCUCCAAGGCACGAGCCUCGGGGGUUUCUCCUGCGAUGGGAAUACGCAGGGGAUCCUCGUUCCUGCGGCGAAGCUCUUCUCUUUGCAGAGAGUCGAGUGGCUCGGGCUGGUACUCUUCGUAGCCUCGUGCAGGGUCGCCGCCGUCAUCUGCUCCACCACCACGGGCGAAGCCAGGAGGGCUGUGGGGCCCGUCGACCAUCAAGAUUUCCGCCGCUGGAUUACUGCUUCCGCACUCGGAUGCAGUCUCUACGGAGCCAGUCGACUGAUCGAGCAAGCCGUAGAGAGAUUCGUUGGGCUCGAUUGCCGCAACUUGGGUAGUGGCCGAUUGGCGAGCCACCGCGUGACUCACCCAUCGCUGAAGCCUCGACCGGCCUGAGCGCUUGCGCUGGCGGGAGACCGGGAGGGUGGACGAUGGAGGAGCCGACCGAUACUGGGUCGACGGUUGCCGCAGCAGAACGCCGCGGACACAUGCGCGAAAAUGCGUCGCACCGCGGACGGGGAGCGCAUCUACGUCGAGUGGAGCCUCCUGGAGCCAUGCGGAGUCGUCGGCGAUGAAGGUGAGAGCGCCGAGACGGAUCUCUUGACCCUCGACCAAAACUCCAGCAGACACCAUGAUGAAAGUACUCGGAAGAAUCGCAACUUCUCCACAAAAUCGCUAAAACACCUGCCCCACGGUGGGCGCCAACUGUCGUGGUUCUAAGCCUGACAGUAGAGUGGGGGGUAGGUAUGGAGAGGCAAGGUCCUAGCUAUGGAGAGGUUGUAAGCACAAAGGAUGUACGAGUUCAGGCCCUUCUCGGAAGAAGUAACAGCCCUACGUCUCGGAGCCCGGAGGCGGUCAAGUGGAUUAUGAUUGUAUGAAUUACAAGGUGCCGAACCCUUCUGCCUGUGGAGGGGGGUGGCUUAUAUAGAGUGCGCCAGGACCCCAGCCAGCCCACGUAGGAGAGGGUUUAAGGUGAGUUAAGUCUGGGGCGUUACUGGUAACGCCCCACAUAAAGUGCCUUUACUAUCAUAAAGUCUACUUGAUUACAGGCCGUUGCGGUGCAGAGUGCCUCUUGACCUCCUGGUGGUCGAGUGAGUCUUCGUGGUCGAGUCCUUCAGACCAGUCGAGUGAGUCCUCGUUGGUCGACUGGAAGGCGACCUCUUCUAAGGAUGUCCUAGGGUAAGUUACUUGGAUCAGGUCCAUGAUCCUACCCUAGGUACACAACCCCAUCAACUGCAUCAAGCAAAAGUACUAAUGCAGCGAAAGAUUAUUGGAUCCUUGGAUACGCCACCAACUCGGAAUCAAGCUUGUUGUUCAUGGUGGAAUGAUAAGACGAGGGAAUCGACGUAAGAUUUGCUCAUCGUCGAAGUUGUGCUCUGGGAGUAAGGAACAGGUAGCACAGUUAAAAUCAGCACGACAAUGAUAUAGCCGAGCAGGACAAGAAUGACAUGGUCGAGUAAAAAAUCGUGAGUAAAGGAGAUUACUUUAAUCAUGGUGCGGAUCUGAUUUAUUUAUUGGUGUCCUCGAGUGACUAACAACUCGGAACCCAGGAAAAAUUGGAAUCGGUGAGGAAUAAUACUUGAUGAAGGCUCAUAAUAAGCAACAUGGUUCGGUGCUAUUAUCGAGAUACCAGAGGGUAAUACUCGGAGUUAGAGAAAAAUAGAGGGUUGACAAGUGUAUUGAUAUGCAGAAGACAAGUACUUUAACUUGUCCGAGAAAAGGAAUCAAGGAAUAUCAAUAUGGCCGAAACCAUAGCUACAAGGGAUCCAAUUUAAUGACACCGAAAGAAUUAUCCAACUAAUUAAAUGUUUUGCAAGAAGCUUCCAUGAUAAGUUCCACAUCAGGUCCAUGGGCCUGAAAACUAAGUUCAAGGUCAACUCCCACUUCUCCAAAGCACAACCUUACAUUCACUUCUCGUUUCGAAAAUGGCAUUAGCGUUGAAAGUAUUACCUGGUGAAAUGCCAUAUGAGUAUGAACCGUGAAACCUCUCAGGUUCGCACAGAUUAGGGAAACCAUUGGUUCAACCCACCGGGGCAUCUUAGGGACAUAUACCACAAACUUCAGAGUAAAUAUCACCAGCUCGAAAGUAGAGUAUGGUUGGCCAAAUAAGAUAAUAGGAUUUACCAAUGGCAUUAUUAUCAAGGAAAGAACUCCAAGUUUUGAGAACAUGCAAGAACGGUCGGAUAAUAAUCCACCAAAGGAUCUAGCGGACCGCAAAGGAUCUAAGGUGAGUAACGGUACCCAACCAGAAGAAGAAAGAAUGCAAGGGAUCAUAUUAUAUAAACAACUGACUAAUUCAAAGCUCAAAUGUAAAGGAAAUAUGAUUUCCAAAUCAAGGGAUCAAAAGCAAACGCUCUGAUUAAGGAUGGAUAAGUUCAGUAAGCUUACACUACAAAAAAAUACACUUCCGUGAUGAUACGUGUUUGUCACAGUAGGUCGCGUUUUUUGUCAUGCAUGUACAUCCAUGUCGAUUUUAUGAUAGAAUCAAAAUAGUCAUACAUGUGCUGUCGUAGAAGUGUUCCAUGACAUUACCAAAAUUAUCAUCACGGAAGUGUCCACUUCCAUGAUGAUAAAUCGCGCGUCACAGAAGUGCUUUCGUCAAGGGUGAACGACACGUGGCAUCCACUAUAACGGAAUGCCGUUAAGCUAUCGGGUCGGGUUUUGGAUCCGAUAACCCGUUAACAGCCCCGACCAAUGGGGAUUUUCCACGUGUAGAAUCAUCAUUGGCUGGAGGAAACACAUGUCAGCUCAUCGUUGGGACAGAUGUUAUCCACUCAUUGGACAGAAGGCGCCUAUGAUACGUCGACACGUGGCACGGCCCAACAGAGGCCCAUUCCUGUGAAAAGGCCGGACUGUUUGACUUGGUCAAAAGGUGGCGGGCCGGCCCAUGGAAAGCCUGUUAACGGCAUGUUCGCAUAUAGCCCAUUUACAACCCGCUAACCCAAGGCCCGUUACGGCCUAUCCGAAUUAGGCCCAGUAGCGUCAUCUGGGCCAUCCAAUAUGAUUCCAGCCCGUUUUCACUUCUGGCCCAUGUAUGGCCUAUGACGUCUUUCCGCCCAUAUGAGGCCCUUUGUAACUCUUGGCCUAUUAACAGCCCGUGGUGAAACUGGCCCGUAAUGAACCGUUUAUCACUUUGCAGCUAUUAAUGACCCGUGGUGAAACUGGCUCGUUGUCGGUGUCAAAACCGGCGGAUCUCGAGUAUGGUGUCCCGAUCUGUGCGUCUUAGGUUGAUGGUAACAGGAAGCAAGGGACGCAAUGUUUACCCAGGUUCGGGCCCUCUCGAUGGAGGUAAAACCCUACUUCCUGCUUGAUUAAUAUUGAAGAUAUGUGGAAUACAAGAGUAGAUCUACCACGAGAUCGUAGAGGCUAAACCCUAGGAUCUAGCCUAUGAUGGUAUGAUUCUAAUUGUGAUUGGCCUUCUAAGGACCACACUCUCCGGUUUAUAUAGACACCGGAGAGCUAGGGUUUACAUGGAGUCGGUUACAAGGAAGGAAACAUAAUAUCCGGAUCGCCAAGCUUGUCUUCCACGUAAAGGAGAGUCCCAUCUGAACACGAGCCGAAGUCUUGGGUCUUGUAUCUUGACGCUUCUAUAGUCUGGACGAUGAAUACAGUCCGGCUAUCCGGAUACCCCCUUAUCCAGGACUCCCCCAGUAGCCCCUGAACCAGACUUCAACGACGAUGAGUCCGGCGCACAGUCUUGUCUUUGGCAUUGCAUGGAAGGUUCCUCCUUCCGAAUACUCCAAGGUGAUUAUAGAACACGUAGGUUGUGUCCGGAUCUGCAAGAUGAUCUUCACACACCCUUAGCAUAAAUCCAUUCUGCUGGCAAUCUUCGUAUGUCGUGCCCUUGCAUCGUGACCUGGUCCAACAUGAACCAGCAUUUCCUGCUCCACCUCGACUCGCGUUGCGAGGCGGUUUUAUCGGCACGUCCUGCGAAAGUAGAGAUUGUGUCCCUCUUAAUACGGGAUCUUUCAUCAAUAUGGGCAUAUGCGACCCCACGACGACUGUUGGUAUAAUUCCUUGUCUCUCUUUAGAUAAGUCUCAAGCGGCCACGCUGAGGACUCUUGGUAUUCAUCCCUUUUAUAAGGGGGUCAAGGCCUACACUUCGUUUCUACCUCUCCUGCUCCUUCUCGCACCUCGAGCUCCAUCGCUCAAAACCUAAGCUCCAACACGCCAGAUCCUCUAGUAUGUCCGGAUCCGACGCAGCAGGCCGGUGGGUGGCCUCCUUGAUCCAGGAGGAGGAUAUUGCAAAGCUGAGGGAGGUUGGAUACCUGACUGUUGAUAUGCAACACAGGCUUCCUGGUCCGGGGCAAGUCAUCCCCAUGCUGGAGCCCAAUGAGAGCGUCAUGUUUACUCCUCACUUCCUCCGAGGCCUAGGCCUCACCCUCGACCCCUUUGUGAGGGGGCUCAUGUUCUAUUAUGGCUUGGAUUUCCAUGAUCUGGCUCCAGACGCCAUCCUCCAUAUCUCGUCUUCCAUUAUUGUGUGCGAGGCUUUUCUCCAUGUCAACCCACACUUCGGCUUGUGGCUCAAGACCUUCAAUGUGAAGCCGAAGAUGAUCGAGGGGCCACAUGCGGAGUGCGGGGGCGCCAUAAUAAGCAGGAAUGCUGAUGCUCCAUGGCCAGAGGGUUCUUUUCCGGAAGUGUCUGAUGUAUGGCAACGAAGAUGGUUCUAUGUCACCGCUCCCAGAGGCACAAAGCGGGUAGCUGCCCCUGAGUUCCGCUCAGGCCCUCCAUCAAAGUUGGCGUCUUGGACCGACUUGGGACGGAAUUAUGGGCCUGCUGGUGAUGUACCAGAACUACAGAACCGCAUCCAGGAGCUUAUUAGGAGGGACAUAAAUCUUGUCAGCAUAAUUCAAGUAAUGCUAGUCCGGCAGAUAUUGCCAUGCAAACGACGGCCUCUCCGUAUGUGGGAGUUUAAUCCGGAAGGUCUGCGGACUAUUAAGCACUUCUUCGGCUUGCCGCUCGAAGGAAUGUGUAAAUUAUUCUUCGGACCACAAGCAAAGUGUCCAGACACCACCGAGGAUGCAUGCCUAAGCUACAAUCGCCUAGAUGCCCAAGUAAGUAACCUUAAAGCCAGACACUUCAUUUAUAUUUAUCAUGAUCAUUAUUCUAACACUCCCUCCGCAGCUAGGAAUGGCUUGACAAGGCGAAGAGAAUCAGGUGUCCGGCACCACUUCCUGAAGGCUCGCCUGGUCCCACCAUUGCAAAGAUGCUGGACUGGGCGCUCAGCAAAAUCCCUUCAGAGAAGGACAAAGGAAAGGGCAGUGAAGCCGAACUUCACGCGCUGCACAUCUAGACCGGGAAAAUUGCUAACCCUCCUAUGGAGGAUACUCGGGAAGGGAAGGUCAAAGCCUCCUCCCCACGCGGGAAGAAGAGGGCCGCCUCCGAAGAUUUGGAGGCGGAGACGCCCAAGCAAGGGAAGAAAACAUCACCAAGGGGCUCUACCGCGACGGGCACCCUCACCACGCCAUGCCCACCAACGGGCCAGCCCUCCAACAAGCCGUAAGUCAUUCAUUAAUUUGAAAGUCAGAUGCUACUCCGAGAUCCAUAAUCAGGACUUUGUUUUUUGUAGUCCGGCAAGCAGCUCUUCUCAACAGAGUUUGUCUUCGUGGGACCUUCAUCCGGAGAUGAUGGAGAGUGAAACCCCACCCAACUCUCCGCCUCAUGAGGCGGGCGACACGGAGGUGUUGUCACGGAGGAUCCCGGAUAUACCGAAGCCGGAGGCUAGUACAUCAGGCUCCCUGAGCCCGGAGCAUUUGGCUCCCACGAGGGGCGAUGAGAAGGGUCCGACAUAGUUUAGUGUCCGGCCGGACAUACUGACGGGCCAUCUGUAGCGAGUCGUGCUCUCGGAGGAGCACCGCUCUUUAAUGAGAAUGGUGCUUACGAAGAUUUCAUCCGCUACCAGCGGCUUGAAUGAGGCAUUUACAAGCCUACUCAAAGGUUUUGAGGUAUGUAGUGAAAAAAUGCACAACUUUUUGGUUAUGAAGCACGCGCUAGGUGUGCUCCCUAUAUAUAGUAGCCCCUGAGACUUUGGUUGCCCGCCAUAGGUGGCAAACGGGGGAUCAUAUACUAAUGGCUGCACCGUACAUGUGCGUAGGUAUACAAGGAUCCGGCAGCCAACCAGUCUGUUGAAGUUGCCGAGCUAAGGAGGCAAAUCGGAUCCAUCGAUGCCGAUAUCACGCUCGUGAAUAAACAGCUUGAGGAGUCCCAGGGUAUGUGCUUGGUUUUUAUUAUAAUGUAUAGGAAAAUGCCAAAGAGGCAUAAUAUUAAUGCAAUGUAUUGGCACUGCAGAUGGUGCUGCUGCCGUGGAGGCCCUGAGGGCGGAACUUGCUCAAGCCAAGGAACAAGCUCGGGCUAGCAAUGCGGCUUCGCUAAAGGAGGCCGAAGAGUUGAGAGCCGAACAGGCUGCUCGUCGACAAAGCGAGGAAAAGAUAGCCGGAAUGACUGAAGAGUUAAAAAAUGCCGCCGACCCGUACGCACUCCUUGAAAAGGAGAAUAAGGCUAGUUCGGCCGAGCUGGACAAGGCACGUAAUGCCGCCAAGGAGAUGCGGACCGAGAUCCGAAGUAUGCGGGAGGAGCUCCAUCAAGCUGACAAAAUCAUGGCUCGGGGUUCGUACUUACUACGGACGAAGUUCUUGGAUCCGAAAUAUGCUCCCCUGGCGGGUCGCAUGAGUCCUGCGGACACAUAUGCGGACUUCGCGAAUAGGACGGCUGAUGCUGUCAAGUUCUUCGAGGGUCAAGGCGAUGAAGAAGUGGAGAGGCUUUUUUGGUCGCAGUUUAAUGCUCCCACUCGCCCGCUGCCACUGAAUGAGAAGGUGGCUACUAUGGCGGAGCUCCACAGGCUGUUCGGACUUGGAAUGCGGUCUGUAAUAGACCAUCUUUGGCAGAAGGGGCCUAAGCCGGACAACUACUUUGGUUUGGUGCAACAAUUCCUUGGAUCCGUGUCCCGGAUUGACGCCCUGAGAAGGUCGGCAUGCAUAGAGGGUGCACGGAUGGCUCUAGCCCGCGUUAAAGCCUACUGGACGGAUAUGGAGGCCACUAUAAUAGCGAGCCAGGAUCCGGCGGGAGGCCAACAUCCUACUGAGCACUACUUGGUGCAAGUCAUAGAAGGUGCCCGCCUAAUAGGGGCGCAGUGCUCGAAAAGUGUUUUAUUCGAGUGAUAAGUCGAAUCAUUGUAGAAAACAAUGUUUAUUUUAAUUAUGAGGCUAUGUUUAUACUUUUGCCCGGAAGAAUGAUUGUCCUCCCUUUGCGGCUAUUCUUAUAUGUAUAAGUAGUCUGAAAGAUAGCAGUCGUUGGCUUCAUCCCCCUCGCGGACAAUGCGGGGGUGUUGGCGAAAAAAUAUGCAUAAUCACACUUGAUCCAACGUCUUGGUCCAUUAAGGAGGUGAUCGCACGCCGAACUAGGUAACCGGACUAUAUAGCUGUAACACUUUCGCUUAGCCAUGGGAGUCUAAUGGUGGGGCUACUAUGUAGCCCCUGGUACCUCCAGGUGCAUCCGAAUACGGGCGCGUGUGUACAUGGCCGGGAAACGACCCUUCGUUAAGGCGAAGGAAUCUUUAGGGAUUCCGGUGAGUCUUCAAGUGGUUGAACAGUCUCUCGCUGUAUCAUGACGGUCAGUUUUCGGCUUUCUCUACUGAGGUGCUCAUCCGGAAUAACCAGGGCACAAUCGCAAUAGUUCUCCUUUGGCCUGCCUUAGCCGGGUGAUAGUGGAACGUAAGGCAGCAAACCCAGGAGCCGGGCAAAACCAACAUUUUGACCAAAGACAUGAUUCGGAGCUGAUGCAUAUACGGCCAAACUCGUGAUGCCGAACACUCCCGAGGGUAUUUGGUCUUUUGUAAAAGAAGAUAGGUGACAAGAGCCUAUUUUAAGCCCUUUAUUUCUAGGUACGUGCAAUUUAGUAUGUCGUGGCCAAAUGCCAAAAACGGCAGUAUCCUGUGUGGGUAUAGAACCCAUGGGAUGGUCUAAACAACAAGAGGCAGUAGAAAAGGUUUACACAGGGGAUUAAUCUAAAAAGAAACCUAUUGCACGGGGCCCUGCUGCACGUCUGCGCCUUUGUCUCCAUUGUACCGUAUCCUGGAAGGGUAUCGCGCGAACAUUGUCUGUAAAAAAAGAAAAACUCGUAGGAGGGUGCAACGUAAGUAUGCGAUCAAUAAUAAGAGUGUAAGCUGUUGGCCUGCCGAUAAGGUCGAGCUAAGUGUGGGGCUGUAUUAAGUAUAGACAACCCCUUGAUUCCCUUAUGGGAUUACAUAUACAGUGCCAUGUUUGAAUUUAUCCGGGCUACCAGACUCGUCUAACCGUGUCUGUGGUCGUAAUGACCAAUCAUGUUUUCUAAAACUGGAGGCCGCUUAUAGUUCGGCCGCCAGGGCCAUCGCGUAUUCCUCUGCGCGUGAAGGGCGCUUUAUGAUUCCGUGAACGGUGAUGACGCCACGGGGACCGGGCAUCUUGAGUGUAAGGUGGCCAUAGUGCGGCAAUGCGUUGAAGCGGGCGAAGGCCGUUCUUCCUAGCAAUGCAUGAUAGCUGCUUUGGAAGGGUGCGAUAGUGAAGAGAAGCUCUUCGCUUCUUGAGUUUCCUGGGGAGCCGAAUGUUACUUCCAGCACGACGGAGCCCCUGGCGCAGGCUGCAAUGCCUGGUAUCACCCCUUCAAAGCUGGUGUUGCUUUGUUUAAUUCUGGAUGGGUCUAUCCCCAUUCUAUGGACAGUUUCCUUGUAUAUUAAAUUGAGACCACUGCCGCCGUCCAUGAGGACACGGGUGAGACGGUAUCUGUCGAUUAGUGGGUUAAGCACCAAGGCAUGUGAUCCUCCGCGCCGAAUACUAGUUCGGCCGUCCAUGUGAUCGAAAGUGAUCGGACGAGACAUGCAGUAGUGAGACGUGGGUAUCACGGGCUCUACAUCGUGCGCUUCUAUGUGCGCGUGUUUAUGCCCUCUCGUGGAUGUGCGAGUCGCGUGGAUCAUGUUUACUAUUUUAACCUUUGGCGGGAUUUUUUUUCUGUACCCCAGUGUUUGGCUGGUGAGGUUCAUCCUCGUAUUCGCUUGGUGUGCCCCUCCCCUUCUGUUCGGCAUUUAAUUUGUCGGCCUGCUUGAAGACCCAGCACUCUCUAUGGGUGUGGUUCGCAGGUUUUUCGAGGGUGCCAUGAAUUUGGCAUAGUCUGUCCAGGACUCUGUUCAGACCGGACAGUCCGUCUUUAGUGCCUUUGAAUGGCUUCUUAUUCUGAUCAGGUUGAGAGCCCUUGAAUCCAGCAUUAACCGUCGUGUUAUCCGUGCUCACUUCCUUGUUUGGCACUUGUUUUUAUUUCGCCGUGGCUUCCCGUUGCCAUCCCUUAGUUCGGAUGUGCUGGGGUUGCUGGUACCUUUACGGGCCAACCAACUAUCCUCACCCGUGCAAAAGCAGGUCAUAAGGCUUGUUAAGGCUGCCAUUGGCCUUGGCUUUUCUUGGCAAAGGUGUCGGGCGAGCCAUUCGGCACGGAUGCUGUGUUUGAAAGCCGCUAAGGCUUCAGCGUCCGGACAGUCGACAAUUUGAUUCUUAUUAGUGAGGAAUCUGUUCUAAAUCUUGCUGGCGGACUCUCCGGGCUGUUGGAUUAUGUGACUUAGAUCGUCUGCAUCCGGAGGCCGGACAUAAGUCCCUUGAAAAUUGGCCCUGAUAGCGUCUUCGAGUUCCUCCCAACUCUCAAUUGAGUUUUCGGGGAGGCUUUUCAACCAGUGUCGAGCUGGUCCCUUCAACUUGUGGGGAAGGUAUUUGAUGGCGUGGAGGUCAUCCCCACGAGCCAUGUGAAUAUGCAGGAUAAAAUCCUCGAUCCAGACCCCUGGGUCUAUCGUGCCGCCAUAUGCUUCUAUGUUCACAGGUUUAAAGCCUUGUGGGAAUUCAUGGUCCAGUACUUCUUCGGUGAAGCACAGGGGGUGAGCAACCCCUCUGUAUCUGGACGCAUUGUGGCAUGUAGUCAGCUGUUGUUGUGUCCGGGGUUGAUUCCGAACUGGUAUCUGGCUUUUAUCAGCGUUUGGGUGACCAUAGUCCUGCGCUGGGGUGUGUCUUCUAGAUCCAUAUAUGGACCUGGCUGCACCUGUCUUUUUAUCCAGAUGCUCACGUGGAUCAUGUGCAAUGUCCGCGGCCGCUCUGUUAUGGUUGUGAGGCAGUACGUCUGGUUUCUUGGUCGAAAUUUCUUUUGGUGGAACGGCCGCAUCAUCGAAUUCUAGCAGUAGCUUGUGCUUCGAAUAGGUUUUUGUAUGGUAGUCAUCGCCAUAUCUUUCUUCAGUGUCUAGCACCCUAUUCCAUCUGUGACUUAGCUUUUCCUGUGCGGCCUUGAGCCGUUGCUUUUGCUUUUCUAGACUUCUUGCGGUGGCCAUAAGCUUUCUGUGGAAGUUGUCUCGUUCCACUUGUUCGUCCAGGAUGAUGAAUGCAUCCUCAUCCGGACUGUCUUCCUGGGGCGGCAUCCUGAGCUCGUCCCUCCAGAUCAUCGUGAUCGGGUAUUUGCUCCGAACUUCAUUUGGCGUGACCUGGCUCGUCCUGCUCCAUCGAUGGGUCCGUGUGGUCAUUAUUGUUUUUGGAGUUUGCGGGUAUAUCAACCCUUCUUGCGCUCUUGUCGCUAUAUUUGCUAUUGUUGGACUUUGAGCGGCGUCUGCGCCGCCUCUUUGGCUUUUGCCCGGGUGUUUUAUCGUCCGGGUUGCCGUCCUUAUUGGGCGUAUCUACCAUGUAUAUAUUGUAUGACAAGGUAGUAGUCCCGCGCUCCAGGGAUUCUGGAGCCUGUCCUGCAUCGUCGUCCAUACCGUUGAUGUCUUCAGAGUCAAGCACGUUGGUUAAUUCUUUGGUCGUGGCAACGAAGUGGGUGGUGGGUGGGCGCCGAAUUCCUUCAUCGCCUGCUUCCCACUCGGGCCGGACAUAGUUCAACCCAGAGUCUCCUGACAAAGAGAGAGACUUCAAGGAGUUCAGCAUGUCGCCAAAGGGCGAGUGCUGAAAGAUGUCCGCAGAGGUAAACUCCAUUACCGGAGCCCAACCUGGCUCUGCUAGCUCGAGAGUGAUCGGAACAGGACCAACAGCCGGAUAUGAGUCCGGGGGUCCGGGGUUACACGCCUCCACAGAGGUGGGACCCGUGUUCGGCUCCACCGCCGGUAAGUGUGCGGCCUGCGGAGCGGGGUACAGCCCUCCGUCCAUAGGCAACGCAACCCGUCCUAGAUUUAGAUCCAAGGCCACUUCGAGGAUGAUGUCCCGGGCACUGUCAGACAACAUGUCUAGGCCGUGCUCGUCGUGGUUGUCCGGCGCUCCUGGCGCAGGCUCGAAUACGUUGAAGAUCAAGUCUCCGUGGACAUCUGCCGUGUAGUUCAAGUUUCCGAACCUGAUCUGGUGGCCAGGGGCGAAGCUGUCGAUCUGCUCCAACUGGCCAAUCGAAUUGGCCCGUAGUGCAAAGCCACCGAACACAAAGAUCUGUCUGGGGAGAAAAGUCUCGCCCUAGACCGUGUUGUUGACAACUGAAGACGCCAUCAAGCCUCGAAGCGACGACACAGAGGAACUCUCAAUGAAAGCACCAAUGUCGGUGUCAAAACCGGCGGAUCUCGGGUAGGGGGUCCCGAUCUGUGCGUCUUAGGCUGAUGGUAAUAGGAAGCAAGGGACACAAUGUUUACCCAGGUUCGGGCCCUCUCGAUGGAGGUAAAACCCUACUUCUUGCUUGAUUAAUAUUGAAGAUAUGUGGAAUACAAGAGUAGAUCUACCACGAGACCGUAGAGGCUAAACCCUAGGAGCUAGCCUAUGAUGGUAUGAUUGUAAUUGUGAUCGGCCUUCUAAGGACCACGCUCUCCGGUUUAUAUAGACACCAGAGAGCUAGGGUUUACAUGGAGUCGGUUACGAGGAAGGAAACAUAAUAUCCGGAUCGCCAAGCUUGUCUUCCACACAAAGGAGAGUCCCAUCUGGAUACGAGCCGAAGUCUUGAGUCUUGUAUCUUGACGCUUCUAUAGUCCGGACGAUGAAUACAGUCCGACUGUCCGGAUACCCCCUUAUCCAGGACUCCCUCACCCGUAAUGAACAUUGUAUCACCUUAUACCCAUUAACGGCCCGUUAUUCCGUUGGGCCGUUUCCAGCCCAUGUUAUCUUCCGGCCUUCUCAGAGCCCAUUUAUUCUUGGGCUCAUUUCUAGCAUUCGUUUACUUAUGGCCCGUUACUGUCAUUUUCUGCUUGUGGGCCAAAUUCAGCCCGUGGUUACAGUCGGCCCGUUUGUGGUCCGUUAAUACGUUUGGUCGUUUUCAUAGCGUCAUCAAAUACAGCCUAUUAAUGAUGGCCCGUUAUGGUCGGCCCAUGAACGGACGAUUCCAACUCUAGCCCGUUACGACCAUAAUGCGUUCUGUUUGGCCCAUGUUUGUCCAAUCGAUCAUACGGCCCGUAUAAGGCCCAUUGAUGAUACGGCCCGCAGAAGGCCCAUUGUUUCUACGGCCCGUAGAAGGCCCAUUGUUUCUACGACCCAUAGAAGGCCCACUAUUUCUAUGGCCCGUAUGAGGCCCAGUGUCACUACAGUAAAUAUUAGCCCAUGGUUAUUGUGGCCUAGUUUUAAAAAAUAGGUUAUUGCAGCCACGAGCAAACCGUGGAAAAAGAACUGCAAUGACUACAAGCAAACAAAUAAACAAGACAACAAGGAAAUAAAUAAGCAAGCAACUAAUGCUAGGCUAUCACGGCUAUUACACAUAUUACAUCCAUUGGGCAUCAAAGUUCGCCACCAGUGCAAAUAUAGGGAACAAAGCAGCAUAUCAUAUACACUGGUUGUCAAAGUUGGCGACAAGAGCAAAUAAACGCCGCAGCAAAACAAAUCUAUAACUGAAACCACUUCAGAAGAUAUCAAGAAACAAUAUCCUGGGUACCCAUAAUGCUGGCAAGAUGCUUAGCAAGCUUAUUAACUUUCUCUUGUUUGGUGCUUAAAUCCUCCAGCACUUGCUGUUGCACUAGAAAAUAUGCAUCUGAAUUAUGGAGGGACUUCCUCAGUCCUCCAGCUUCCUGUCGCAGAACAUCUGAUCGAUGUCUUUCAACUUGAAGUUGAGACUCAAGAAGACAAACUGAUUCAGGCAGCGAGUUCGAAGAGCUUGUGCCAGAAGUAGUGGCCAGUAACUCAAACACUACAUCAAGACAGGACUUUUGGGUUCUCUCAUUGUCGUCAAGAUAGUUUUUACCAGCUUUCUUGGAGACCAACAGGGAUGUCUCACUAUCUUGAACCUUAUCUGCAUUACUUCCUUUACCAUUUGGUAACGCGGUACUGUUCUCCAAUAUUUUGUCCGUAUUCUAAAAGAGAAACAAGCAGACACAUCACAUGUUUACCAUGUUGUAUAUGAAACUCAUUUUGGUAAAUGAGUUUAGUAGUAAAGUGGACAGGAUAACAGCAUGAAGCAAACAUAUAUCUAUGUACCAUGGUCACUUUAUGGUCUAUAUCAUUCUAGUUUUUGUUUCCAAAUCAAGAUAGAGACACAGUUCAAAUAAUAUUUGUUCAAGACAAAGCAGAAUAGACAGAAUAUAAGUGUAGGAAACUAUAGAGCAAUAACAACACUUGUAAUGUGCAUGACAUGAGAACAUAACUGUUUAUUCAAUUCAAACUGAAAUCAACAUACAACAGCAAACAAGUUAAAGAAACAUGUUUAAAACAUACCUGUUGCGCCAUUGGAGUUUCAAUUCCAUCCUUCAAAUUUGAAAAUAGUUGGUAUGAGUAAAUACAGUAAUGCAAGAGCAAAGUAGUAUGAACCAUAACUACAGAACCUGACCUAAGAACAAAUCUUCUUCUCCUUUAAGCGUUGAGUUGGGAUUCAGAGUGGUGGUUCUCAUGCUUUGGGCACUACAGUUCCCUUACUAACUGCUCGUGCUUGGGUGCUCUAUGGUGGAGACGGUGCUGUGUCAACUGGAACUGGGUUACUAUCUGCCGGGGUUGGGGUUAGAAGGGGUGUAGCUGGUUCUCUGUCCAACUGGGUAGGGGUACAAUCUGCGAGAGUCUGGGUUAUGUGUGGUGGAUCUGGUCCUUGGGCAAGUACAACCGUGGUACUAUCUGCAUCAACUGGUAGCACUAUCUUUUCUAAAGACCGUGUUGUUACUCCCUUAGAUACUGCCAUCACCCUCUCCAAUUCAAAUGGCUGAUAAACAAGAAAAUUAAUUGAAAGUAUUGACAUUGUAUGAUAGACAGGUGCAAUCGAUAGUGGGGAAUUAAAGAGGGCAUGAAAUAAUUCAUAUUUAUGUUGUCUAACCAAACAUGAUAGCAUGACACAAUUUCACAUAUAUGAUGGCUAACUAAACAGGAUAGCAUGACACAAUUUCACAUUAUGAUGGCUAACUAAAAAAGAUGGAAAUACAUAGUUGAAAAUAUGAGACUAUGUAAACAGGAUGGCAUGAUAUAACUAUAUAAUGUGUUUAUUAAAUAGGUUGGCAUGCCAUAAUUCACAUACAUUCACGGAUAGAAUGUCAUAAUUCAAAAUAUGAUGAAUGUAAACACUAAACAGGAUGAGAUGAUAUAACUAUAUGAUGUCUUUAUUAAAUGGGUUGCCAUGCCAUAAUUCAGAUAGAUGAUGUGUAUGUGCUAUGUAAACAUGAUGGCAUGAUAUAAUUCAAAUAUAUGAUUUAUAUAGUAAGCAAGUAAGUAGAUGGCAAUCCAUAUAUGACGUAAAAACUAAGCAAUGCAAGAGAACAUGCAUGACAUGGGUAAUAUAACCCUGCAAAGUUAGAGCAUAGACCUCAGGGGGAAAUAGGACUGGUCAUCAGUCUCUGAAUCCUCCUGUGAGGAGCUCUCUGUAACCAGCAAGAUGUCUGCUUCAGCAGGUAGCAUUGUCUGCUAUGAAUACCUUGUUUUCACUCCAGAUACUUCCAUCACCACUUCAAAUGGCUGAUGCCCAGGAAGAGUAGUUGAAUAUACAAAUGUUGUCGACAAAUGGAACACGUAAUACAAAAAAUGAUAGCAUGAUAUAAUUCACAUACAUGAUGAUUGGCUAAACAACAUGGCAUUGUAUGAUUCACAUAUAUAAUGCCUUUGCAACAAGAUAGCAUUGUAUAAUUCACAUAUAUAAUGUCUUGCAACAAGAUGGCAAUGCAUAAUUCACAUAUAUGGUAAUUAGACACUGAACAGGUCGCAUUCACACAAAGCAUGUCUAAACUAAUCAAAUGACAUCUCAAUGAGAGACACCAUACGCACGAUAUGAGCAACAUAACCCUGCCAAGUUAGAUCAUACACCUCGGGGUGGUGGGGUGGUGGGGGGGAUAGGACUGGUCAUCUGUCUCUGAAUCCUCGUCUGAGGAGCUAUCCAUAACCAGCGAGAUAUGCGCUUCGUCAGAUAGCAUAGUUUGCUCUGAAGACCUUGUUUUCACUAUAGAAUUUGCCAUCACCAUGUCAAAUGGCUGAUGCACACGAAGAGCAGUUGAAUGUACUAACAUUUUUGACAAAUGUAAUAUGUAAAGAAAAAAAGGAUGGUCUGAUAUAAUUUACAUAUACAAGAUGACUGGCUAAGUAGGAUGGCAUUGCAAAAUUCACAUAUAUGAUGCCUAGCUAAACAAGAUGGCGUUGCAUAAUUCACAUAAACGAUGAAUAAACUAAACAAAUGGCAUUCGCACAAAGGAUGUCUAAACUAAGUAGAUGACAUAUUUGAUGUAUAAAGUAAGCAAUGCAAGACACCAUAUGCAUGAUAUAACCAACAUCAGCAUGCCAAGUUAGAGCGAAGACCUCAGGGGGUAAAUAGGAGUUGUCUUCUCCUUCUGAAUACCCCUCAGAACAGAUAUCUUCCUCUCGAUUACAAUCUGAAAUGCGUGGAGGGGGGGGCUGCCUUUGCACCUACCAUGGAGCGCCGUCUGCAUGAAAUUUUAUUGACACACAAGGCUCGUCUCUUUUGCUCUACAUGUUCAGUUCCAUUGUUUACAAUAACUGUCAUGCAUAGUAAUAAAACAUGGUGAGAUUAUUUAAGGAGUGCAUGCAGAAAUCCAGAGUGAUGGUAGCAACCUGUGGAUAGACCCAAAACCAAUAUUAGCAGGCAGAUAAUGGCUUCAGUUAAAAAAUACAGAUAAUGGCUUCUUUACUGUUUGUUUCCCACCCAACAUGAAACUCAUAGUAGACACCAAAGAUUAACCAGAUAGUAGAUAGAUACUAUUGAUUGCGACCCCGAUAUGUACCCCACAACCAUUUAAAAACUCAAGUUUAACCAUUAGUUUGGAGCUGACUCAGAGUCUAAUCGGUGAACAUGACGAUAAAGUAGCAUGUAAUAUUAAGCGAUGCAUAACGUAAGCAGACACGAAAGGGUGCGACCUCUCUUGCAGACCUGUGUAGUCCUCGAGGUCAUCUGCUUGGUUGAUGAUGGUAAUGCAGUUUUCAUGGCUACCGGCGGCGGGGAAGAAGAUCUAAGGCGGCGAAAGACACUCUGGAGGACGGAUCCCUGCUGUGCUAGACCCUUCUGUCGUUGGAGCAGCUGAGCUGGGGUGGACGACGAUGCAGGAGGAGCGGGACAAACCAUGCAAGGUUUUCUUUGACAACUAUCUGUAAGAGAAGUAAUUCUGUAAAUGCUCGUUUGAAUUGGAGGAUUCCAACAAUGUAGGGAUAGGAAAUAGACAGGAAUAGGAUAGGAAUGCACGUACAAAACAGAGAAUUUAAAAACAUAUGAUUUCUGCCAAUCUGGGUGUUUGAUUCACAACAAUUGGAAGAUCAAAUGAUGCAAAGAAGCAUAGUGAGAUUAAGUCAAACCACAAGAAAAUGUACAGUUAUAAUGCUAUUAUGCUACUAUCUGUUAGUCUUGUGCUUCAUGAAUAGGAAUUUGAAAAGGAGGACAAGUGAAAUAUUAAAAUUCCUAUGUUUUUUUAUUUCAAGGAGACACUAAAGGAACAAAUCUAUGUGCUCAGUGGACAAUAAAUAUAACAUGUAGAGUGAAAAAGAGAUGCAACAAGUGUACAACCUCUUUAGUGAAGCCAUGACGAUCUCAGCGUGAUUGAGUUGGCCGGUGAGGAUGCUCCGACUGACUUGGCUGUCGUGGGUGGGGAAGAAGAUCUUAGGCAUCUGGAGAUGGAGCCCGAGGUACAACUCCACUGUGAUGGAGGGUUUCGUCAUUGGAGCAGCUCCGGUGAGUUGUACAUGAAGUAGGACAAGAGAGACAACGAACAACGUUAACCUGAGUGGAAUUCUAAUAGCAUCUCCAAUACAUGACGUAAAAUACAUAACCACAAAGUGCUAGAUGUAAAAUACAUCAGUGGCUCAUCUCUGAACUUAACUAUCAAAGUUUAAUUUAACUGUCGAAACUGAACUUAAACUGUUGAAACUGAAUUUUGCUGUCGAAACUGAAUUUUGCUGUCGAAACUGAAUUUUGCUGUCGAAACUGAAUUUUGCUGUCGAAAUUGAAUGCACUAGAAAGGUGAGGCUACACGUCGGUCGACUGACUUUUUCAUCUCUGGUCAGUCGAUUUUGCAGCAGUUGGAUACGAAAUCAAGGGCCUGCAGUUCAUCUUCAACCUCCACCCCGUGAGCCGCCAGCGACCACCGGCCAAACAGCAGCCCGCCGCCGCCCGCGGCCAGCGGUGCGCCGCCCCGCCCGCCCCAAAAACACUCCCCACCGUCGGUCCGCCGCCGCCCCGGCCAUCCCUUUAGGCCCCCCCAUGCCGAGCUUUUUCUCCGGCGAUCCCCACGCCAUCGCCCCGCGAACGCCUCGCCAUCGCCGGUGACCACCGCCCCUACCAUGAACCCUAAGAUAGAUAAUGGGGUACCUCUCCGAUGAGCCCCCAUCCCGGCUGCGGCUGGUUCUUCCAUCACCCCNNNNNNNNNNNNNNNNNNNNNNNNNNNNNNNNNNNNNNNNNNNNNNNNNNNNNNNNNNNNNNNNNNNNNNNNNNNNNNNNNNNNNNNNNNNNNNNNNNNNNNNNNNNNNNNNNNNNNNNNNNNNNNNNNNNNNNNNNNNNNNNNNNNNNNNNNNNNNNNNNNNNNNNNNNNNNNNNNNNNNNNNNNNNNNNNNNNNNNNNNNNNNNNNNNNNNNNNNNNNNNNNNNNNNNNNNNNNNNNNNNNNNNNNNNNNNNNNNNNNNNNNNNNNNNNNNNNNNNNNNNNNNNNNNNNNNNNNNNNNNNNNNNNNNNNNNNNNNNNNNNNNNNNNNNNNNNNNNNNNNNNNNNNNNNNNNNNNNNNNNNNNNNNNNNNNNNNNNNNNNNNNNNNNNNNNNNNNNNNNNNNNNNNNNNNNNUCCCAAAAGUCGAUUCAACCGACUAAAGUGUAGCUAAAUCGUAGCAGCAUCGCAAGCAAGAGCAAGAGCGAGAGCAGCAGCGUGAGCAAGAGCAAUAGCAAGAGCAGACCAGGCAAGAGGACCGAGAGGAAGAGCAGAGAAGCAGCGCAAGCGGGAGCUAAAGUAGCAGCAGCUCCUACUGAUGUGGACGCUACCGCCGAGGGAGCGACGCCGUGGAGGAAGUGGCCGGCGAUGCCGUCGUGGAUGGAGCCGCGCCGUGUAGGCUCGGGACCGAGCGCCGGCAGCACCGUGAGAUCGAAUCAAGAAGAAAAUGCGGCGAUUGGUGUACAACCUCUUUGGUGGCGCCGAUUAGGCUGCAGCUUCAUCCGAGGAAACGGUGAUGAUGAUGCUCUUCCGGUGGUGCAGGUGAAGACGGCGGUGUGGGAAUGGAGGUGUCAUGAAAGACGAGGGAACGUCGGGGCAGCUCCUUGGAGGUGGAGGAUGGGGUGGCUGAACCGGCGGGACGACGAGAUCAACGACGGAUCCUCAUCCGGUAUGGUGGAUGAGUGACGUCGAGGUGUUGCUGUGGACGACAUCGUCGGGGAAGAGGCUCUGGCUGGGUGGCAGACGGAGCAGGGUGUGGGGUUUCGUCGCUGGUUUUCGCGGCCUCGGUGUACGAAUGGAUGGGCUGAUGGGAUGGCAGUGGGGAACCAUGGCUUAGGGACGCGCUUGUCCGAAAUGUGGGGUAAGUUAAGAAAGUGCCCCCACCGAUUUGAGGCGAUUCUUUCGGUUCAGGGGUACCACAUGCAUUUCGCAUGUCGGGAUUUCACAGGAGGCGGGAGUUUUUGCACGCUUUGUAAUUUCGGAAUAGCAAGGCGCGGGUUGAGAUGGAGGGAGUUGUCGGAGUGCGACAAGACAAAGAUAUAUCUUAAAUAUUUCGGGCUAACAAGGCGCGGGUUGAAAUUUCCGGACAAGCCUAACGUGUACUGUACCAAAUCAAUCGCACUACAAAUGUCAUUCAAAACUUUGAAUUCCUGUUAUGUUCAAUUAAAAUAUUCCGCUAUGUAUAUAAUGCAUGCAACCUACUACUCAAAUGAACGUUUUAGUGCAUUCCGAACGUAUAUACUACCGCUUCAAUAUGAACUAAAUUUGAAUUUGUUUCUCUAUUAGAAUAAUAUCUACAGUAAUGAUUGUUCUGAAGUCAAAGCAUUUGAAUUCGUUUCUCUGUUUUAGUAAGAUCUACAAUCAUCAUUAUUGUCAAGUUAAACCAUCAUUUGUGUAUUAUCUUCAUAGCACACCACAUGAUUAGUCUCGAGUUACAUAUGAACUACGUGUACUAUAUGAACUCGAACUCAAUUUUUUGAAUCCACUUUAUGUUGAUUUCAAAUCACAUUACAUUUCUAGCUCUAGCUAGAUCUUCAUUAUCUAAACCAUGUCUCGUAUGUAUAAUGUGUUUAUCACAUUAUGUAUGGUGCCCCACCCCCUACGCCUACACGUAUUUAGAUGUGAGUUGCAAACACCACACAUUACCACAAAUUGAAAUAAAAUGUGAGAAUGUUCGAUAUAUAGUAUUGUUUAGAUUGUUUGAUAUUUAAAUGUAAGCUGCAAACACCACACAUUAUCACAAAUUCAAAUAAAAUGUUAGACUGUUUGAUGUAGAGUAUGGUUUGGAUUGUUCGGCAUUUAGCUGUGAGUUGCAAACGCCAUGCAUUAUCACAUUAUAGUAUAACAUGUGCACAGCACGUGUAUCACUUCUAUAUUCAUGCAUGCAAUGUUUAAAACACUAUGAUCUCCUACUCAAAUAUAUGAAUCCACUUUCAUAUCAAAUUAUGAUCUUUGUUAGUCUCUUACACCCACAAAAUCCUCUAACCUUUGUAGCUACCACUAACUUUCUCUCGUGCAUGCACACGCCCUCCUCGGCCUCCCCCUCCCUCGGCAUUCUAUCCACCGGGCACAUUCAUUUUUUUCUUUAGGUCGUUCUCCCAGAGUCUCCACAACUCCUUUCCGACACACACCGAUCGAUAAACCUCUCCAGCGAUGCCUGCCUACAACACACACACACACCUUCAAUCUCCUCCUUUAUGUGUCCUUGCCUCGUGUCUCUCAUACGGUCACACACACGUGUAAACUCCCGCCCCUCUUUUCAUCGAUCUCACAACCGCACACUCCUCCCCCUAUCUAGCUAGUACCUGGGCCUCUCGCACCACCUCCUCGCUCCAUUCUCUCUGUCUAUCCGUCUCGCUGGGCCUUAUUUGCGUCUAACAAAUGGACGUACACUGAGUGAUCUCUCGCUAUACAUAUACCUAUCUAGGUCCUUAAUUAUAACUCGUAUUUACCCACGCGUCGAUCGAUCUACCUCAUUAGUUGUGUCUCUCCCUUCCUCUGACAAACAACAAUUGAUCUACCAAUCUAGUUAGGUUUGCUUACCAAACACAUAGUUCCCCUUCAUCAUCCAUGGAUGCGUCCCGAUAGAUCUACCACGCAUAGGCACACACAGAAACACAUCCCCACUCUUAUUGAUAAUAUUGUAGUUCCACCGUCAGUUUGUCUAGUAGGCCUCUCCCACCAUCUUUGAGAAGCAACUCCAUCACCCAUACAACACUCAACCCCUCUCCCUCACUGUCUCUCUCCUCUCUCUCUCUCUCUCCCAUCAUAUUUCCCGUCCUUCAGUUAUGUAUGGAUGUCGACCGAUCUCCCUCAAGACAUACACUACAAAAAAAAGACACAUCCGUGACAUUUUGGGCCGAACGAAUUUUUUUUCUGUCAUACAUAUGACACUUCUAUGACGAUAAUUGUGACAAAACUCGGUAUCAUCAUAGAUGUGGUGGGCUCCUACUUCUAUGACAAAAAACCAUGACAGAAAAUGGGCUUUUCGUCUUGGGCGGGCCGGAGAUGCAGCUGCAUGACAUUCUUUGGGCCGUCCAUGACGAAAAAAAACGUGGUAGAACCGAGGGGGAGGAAAAUUUUGGGGAGUUGCCAGUUACGGUGGGAGGUCGGGGGACGAGCGAUGCGUGUUUCUCUCAUACACGUACGCGCGUGUGUGCGAGGCGUUGGCUCUAACUGAACCCGAGCGAGGCGUUGGGCUCUAACUGAACCCGAGCGACUGCACUGCAGGCUGCGCGUUACUGAACCCGAGAUCGAUGGCUGUUAACUGAACCCGAUCGAGCAAUUCCUUCNNNNNNNNNNNNNNNNNNNNNNNNNNNNNNNNNNNNNNNNNNNNNNNNNNNNNNNNNNNNNNNNNNNNNNNNNNNNNNNNNNNNNNNNNNNNNNNNNNNNNNNNNNNNNNNNNNNNNNNNNNNNNNNNNNNNNNNNNNNNNNNNNNNNNNNNNNNNNNNNNNNNNNNNNNNNNNNNNNNNNNNNNNNNNNNNNNNNNNNNNNNNNNNNNNNNNNNNNNNNNNNNNNNNNNNNNNNNNNNNNNNNNNNNNNNNNNNNNNNNNNNNNNNNNNNNNNNNNNNNNNNNNNNNNNNNNNNNNNNNNNNNNNNNNNNNNNNNNNNNNNNNNNNNNNNNNNNNNNNNNNNNNNNNNNNNNNNNNNNNNNNNNNNNNNNNNNNNNNNNNNNNNNNNNNNNNNNNNNNNNNNNNNNNNNNNNNNNNNNNNNNNNNNNNNNNNNNNNNNNNNNNNNNNNNNNNNNNNNNNNNNNNGGAGGGCUGGAUGAACAGUAGACGGUGGAGGGGUGGUUGAACAGUAGCCGGUGGAGUAGAGCAUAGUGGAGGCUGGAUGAAUAGGAGCCCGUGGAGGCUGAAGGAGGUCGACGGUAGCCCGUGGAGGCUGGAGGAGGUCGACGGUAGAGAUGAACAGUAUCCCGUGGAGUCCCAUUUUGCGGUACGCCACACCUCUCCCGAUGAACAGGACCCCCGUUUCGACCGUAGGAGGUCCGUUUCGUCUGUUUUGCGGUACGCCAGACACCUCCUGAUCAACUGGACCCCCGUUUCGACUAUAGGAGGUCCGUUUUAUCCGUUUUGCGGUAUGCCACACCCCUCCCGAUCAGCAGGACCCCCGUUUCGACCGUAGGAGGUCUGUUUCCUCUGUUUUGCGGUACGCCAGACCCCUCCCGAUGAACAGGAUCCCGUUUCGAACGUGGCCGGCCGAACACAAGGCAGUUUCCUCCGUUCUGCGGUACUCUAGGCCUCGUUUCUAUCGCCUGUUUCAUCCAAGCCCUCCCGGUGAACACGACCACGCAUUUCGUUCCGACCCAGCCCGUUGGAUCCCACGCGUUCCGUUUCCUCCCAAUGAACAAGACACAUUCCGUUGCCUCCCUAUGAACACGACGCAUUUUGUUGCCUCCCCAUGAACACGACGACGACACUGUUUCUCCGUUCCGACCCAGUCAUGUACAUGAGCCCUCGCCGUACGUAUGCGCGAGUAGGCGUUCGAGAUCCCUCCCGUAUGUACACAUACGUGGCCGUAUUUUCUUUCUUGCACCCUGGCCGUUGUAUGUACGUGUACAUGCUACGUGCGCGCCUCUACUACGACACGUACGAGCCUCUACUACGACACGUACGCGUCUCUACUACGACACGUGCGCGCCUCUACAUCGACCAGUAUAUAUGUACAUACACGUUCACAACCAGAAUGACAAUGCUACGUACACAUCGACUAGGUGGGUCCCGACUAUCAGGCACUUCCUUGCGUGCGAAGAUGUAGCUGGUGGGUCCCAGCUGUCAGGGGGGAAAAUUGGUUUUUUUGCCCAGACGCACUUCCUUGCGUGCGAAGAUGUAGCUGGUGGGUCCCAGCAGUCAGGGGGGCGAAUCGCUUUUUUUGGACGCACUUCCUUGCGUGCGAAGAUGUAGCUGGUGGGUCCCAGCAGACAGGGGGAAACGUUUUUUCGCGAAAUACGGUGGCCCGUCCAGUGGGUCCCGCUGUCAGGUGGAGGAAUAAUUAUUUUGCGCGUAAUAAGGAGGCACUUCCUUGUUGCGGCCAUGGACCCAGCUGUCAGCCUCUCCACGUAUAGUCCAUGUCCAAUGGAAGCCAUUCCUUGACCAUGUUGACCACGCCGCGUCGAGAGCACCAGGGCGGUGGACGACGGUGAGGCCUAGGAAGGGGACGACGCGGAGCCGGGGAAGACGCGACAGUGGAUGCCCAUGCAUAGAGGAGUAUGCGGAUUCACUCGUUCGGCUGCGGUGUGAGGCUGUCGUCGCCGCAGAAUAACAGGGGGUGUGGGUGCGUAGAGGGAUGGCCUGGCCAGCGGUGGGAGUAGUAGGGGGCGGUGAGGCUUCCGCAGCAUCACAGCCAGCCACGGGCGGCAGGAGCAGGUGGCACGACCGGCGCUGCUUUGGGCGGCUGGAGCAAGAAGACCAGAGGUUGAAGAAGCACUAUGGCCGUUGGAUGGACAUUGUAUGGACACGGGAGCUAGAAUCGUUCAUAUAUUGACUGAAGUUGACAAAGGCCUCUGUCCCAGUCAACUUAGUAGGCCCACAAGUCAGCCUCCCACCAAGGUGGGUCCCAGCUAGCAGGGGGUAUUCAUUUUUUUUGUGCGUAAUAAGGAGGCACUUCCAGUGGGUCCGAGCUGACAGCGGGGGGAACAUUUUUUUCGUGAAAUACGGUGGCCCGUCUUGUGGGUCCCAGCAGUCAGGGGGAAACAUUUUUUCGCGAAAUACUGGUGGCCCGUCCGGUGGGUCCCUGCUGUCAGGUGGAGGAAUAAUUAUUUUCCGCGUAAUAAGGAGGCACUUCCUUGAGGUUGCCGUGGACCCAGCUGUCAGCCUCUCCAUGUACAGUACUCUUCCGAUGGAAGUCGGUCGUUGACCACAUUGACCACGCCGUGCCGAGAGAACCACAGCGGUGGAGGACAGUGAGGCCUAGGAAGGGGCAAUGCGGAGCCGGGGAAGAUGCAGCAGUGGAAGCCCGGGCGGAGAGGAGUACGAGGGUUCACCGGUUCGGUUGCAGUUUGAUGCUGCCGUCGCCGCAGAAUAACAUGGGGUGUGGGUGAGUAGAGGGAUAUCCUGGCCAGCGGUGGGAGUAGUAGGGGGCGUUGAGGCCUGCGCGGCAGCACAGCCGCCCACGGGAGGUGGGAGCAGGCAGUCCCACUGGCGCUGCUUUGGCGGCUGGAGCAAGAAGUUCAGAGAUUGAAGAAACACGACGGCCGUUGGAUCGACAUCCAACGGUUAUGUAUGCUAGAAUCAUUUGUUGACGUAUAUAAUAACUAAAAAAAUCUUGCAUACGCGUCAACUAAACAGGCCCACAAGUCAGACCACUCCCUCUUUUUUUAAUAAUUUAUAUAUAGCUCAUGGCAACUUCUUAUGCAAUUUAUUGUAGUCGUUUUUUUUGGUUGACCAGGGCCAAUUUCGGAUAUUUCUGUGGGUUCCAAACUAUUUUUAAUACCAAAAUGUCGAGCCAGAUUUAAAGUACUUUGAAGAUAUAUUUAAAUUAGGUUAAUGCCCAGUGAAAUAGGAAUCUGAAAAUGUGAAAAAAUCAGAAAUUAUAAAGUAAUUGCCAAUUUGUCAUCUGUUUUUAUAUUUACAACCCAGUUCAUAUUACUUUCAAGGUUUGCAGGCGUCUUGAAAGAGUUGCAGCCCAUGAGGGCGUAGAAAAAUAAGUAGGCCUGGAUUGGGUAUUCUUCAGAAAAAUACACUGGACUCAUUUUCACAAAUAAAAAAUAGCUGGGCUGGUCACAUGGUGAACAUAAAAUAAAAGCCUGGGUUAGACGGGCCACAGCCCAGUUCAAACCCUGCUCCGUCUCAACAAUACCAAACAAAAAAAAUACUACUCGAGUAGCUACGUCAAAGGUGUCAGCCGAUCUUGUGCUGUUCUCUUGUCUAUUGACUAUAUACACUCACAAUAUCGUGGGUCCCAGAUGUCAGGAAAACACUAGGAGGAAGCAUUCUAUUUUUCCAUACGCUGAUGUGGUGGGCCCCUACUAUCAUCCUCUCCACGUACUUCUGCCGAUUCCUGUUGUUUGUUGACCAUGUUGACAAUGCGAGAGGGCGGCGCUGCGGCGAGCGCACCAAAGUGCGCGAAGGACGUCGGCGUUAAUGAUUUAGGAGACGAUGGGGCGGUGAUGCAUGCGCUGAGGCACAGCCAGCCGUGGGAGGCGGAAGCAGGCGGGCCUACCGGCGCUGGUUUGGUUUUGGUGGCUGGAGGAAGAUAGGACUGAAGAAACAUGACAGACUAUAAAAGCAGCAGGAGUACUUAACAACCUUAACUGAAACCAGCAGGGGCACUUAACAACCAAAGCUGAAAGCAGUAUGAGUACUUAUACAGGUUCAACCGUACAAAGCACGCCUCGAACAGUGCUACUUGGCCUAUAGUUAACCAAGGCUGAGGCCGCCAAGCCUCAGGACAAGGCCCAGGCGCCACCCCGCGCAUCCAUAACCUUCUGAAAGCGGCUUCAUCUUGCAACGUGGUCAAUAAACUUGAUAUUCGCUUUAGAGCCAUGGAAAAGCAUGAACAUAAUCUUCUGUCCUAUUCUCCAAGAUGGACGGGCCUUCAUUAUUUGAGACCACCCAUGAAUAAGUAUCUUUUCACCUCCAAGGGGAAUUGAGUAGGUCGACAUAAACAUCAUGUUAUGACCAAGCGCAAGUCUGACCCGACCAUGGUCAGGCAUCUGUAUAGGAACAAUAGAACUCGGCAGUUACUGUUUCAAGAAGAUCACAACUGUAAAACUGUGUAUAAGCAAUAGUUUAUGAACAACAUAUAUAACAGAAAACAGCUCGUACCAUAAGUUUCUCGACACAGUUACCUGUUCAACGAGUGCCGCAGUGGAACACAUAUCCCACGUGGCCUUCCACCAUUGAAACGCCCCACAAGGACCUCAAGACGAUCAAUAAAGUGUAGGGACUUGUGGAUGUCGAUCCAAUCAACUUCAGUGCCAUUAGUCACAACCAAGUUAUUACAGAGUAACAAACGAGCAGACUGCUAAACUCUGAAAAAACCUACACGUGCCACCAAUUAUAAGAAAAUAUUAGUUAGAAGUAGCAUCUUCAUGGGAGAUUCGUUGCUACUUCUAAAGUUAAAUUGUGAUUAGUUAGACAGAAUAGGUGGAUUAAGAAGUUAUCGAGGCAACAAGCAAGAACCAGAUACAAAACUAACAUGGAUGAACAAUUGGAACGACGUCGGGGUGGAAGAUCAAGUGAUGAUGAGACCAGGUUCUGUUAUUUCCAUCAACAUUCAUGCGCCAACUUUCAGUCCGUAACACUUGAGAAAGUUUAUCCAAGUUCGGCCAUAAAAAAAGCAACGAUCUUCUUGGUUCAUGAACCCAACUCGGAAGUAAUGUACAUGGCUUGUCUUCACUGUGACCAUUAAACUAGUGUAUUCAGUUAUGGCAAGGCCGAGCUUCUUGAGUACAUGUUUUCUGGCAGAGCAAAUAAGACACUUCAGGAAAAAUAAUAUGAGAACACAACAUGUUAAAAGAAACCACCCUCCCGGAUAGAAAAGAGGAUUCUAGGAACAUACUAUGCGCGUUUCAAAAUGCUGUGUUAGGAUGAGAAGGAACAAGUGUGGCGUCUUGCUGAAGGCGCAGAAAUCUAUAGGGUGCUCGCACUUUGGGCACUGCAACUGAAACACACUAGAUUCAGUACGAAGAAAAAUGCAUCAACGGCGGCGGUUGCCAUCCUAGGAUUACCUGCGACCAAGGGACUUGGAUUUAUCAGGGAUGGAUGAAAAAUUCGUACCUGGUUCUCCAUGAGAAAACCCUAUGCAAUCGUCAAGCGGGGGUUUUCUCUGAACAAGCAGAUGAGGGAGAAGGGGAUUCAGGCCCAGUGAAAUAUUGCCGCUUCGUUCGUCCAGCUUACUACUAAAGCUGGAAAGGGGGGUUGUGAUUUGACAGCUCAUUGGGCUUUACUGCGGCGCUACGACCGGGGUGUGUCUACCAUGAAGUUGUGCACUCUAAGUUGUGCACUCUAUUAUGGGGGUUCAGCUGAGAUAUAAUACUCAGAUAGGCUCACAGUUCUGGACUUUGGGCCGCAGGCUGACCCUACAUGUUUGGGGGCCCAUGUGUUCUACCUUAGCGCUUUUCAUAUUGCAAGCGAUCGGUACGGCGCUGGUUUUAGAUGCUGCCGCAAGGCGAAUACACAAAAUUGAAUAAAGCACGACAGAUGUUGGAAUGAAAUCGAACAAGAGUUCCUAACCAGCAAUCAGAGUUGCAAUUCUAUCAACGAUAUACCAUGUGAUAAAUAAUACUGUCAUACUACUUAUACAGAUAGGACACUUUUUUCACCAUGCCAGAUUAUUACAUCAAAAUCUAUUGGAGGAUAGAUCAGUUCGGCAGUUGCGUGCUGCUACUGAAGAAAUUCAAAGUUGAUUUGGACUAGCUCUCCUUGCCGAGAAAUUUGGAUUUUGACAUCAUCCCCUACCACAAGAUAUGAUUUAGAUUUGAACCUUGACCAUCCUUUAGCAUCAAUCAUCAUGCGACCAUCCUUUGUACUUACGGUAUAUUGAGCAGGUUCAUUCACACCAAGGCUGCGCAUGGUAAGAGAAACUUGGCCGCAGUCACCCGGAUUGUUGAACGACUCCCUCGUUGCUCUAGGAAUUCUCUGUUUGCAAACAAGAAGACAUACCCAAACAGUUAGAUCAACACAGUGAAUCAUGUGAAAGAACAUGGAACGAAAAAAGAACGAAGCACUUGGGCGGCCAAUGCUUACCAAGAAGGUGGACAUGUCGGUUUUUGUAAGGACUUUGGUAUAUAAAGUGUGAACUGCAACCCAGUCUAUUGCCGGUGCAACUGCACGGGAUGGAGCAGAUGCAUGUGCAAGUGUUGGUGCAGGUGCCGAAGCCGCUGCUUCUGCCAGAGAUGGUGCUCCUUGUAGAGCUGGUGCCGGUGUCGGAGCAGGUGCCGAUGUCGAUGCCCAAUCCUCCGGUAGAUCAGACUGAUCCGCUGACGCGGUCAGUUCCCAAUCCUCAACUGGAUUAGAUUGAGCUUCUUCCGCUGUCAGUGCUAGAGCAACUUUCGGUGCUCGAUCUGUGGGUGACUAUGGAAGGAUUCUGUGGUAGUCUCUGACUCCCUCCAACUCAAUCAAUAUCAAGAACAUGCAGUGAGCAUGAGAUUUGGUUAGGCUUGGUUGAGUUUGUAAGAAAAGAUAGUAGGUUGAGGGGCUUCAUUGAUUAGUAAACCUACGGUGCUGGUAAGGUCGGGACUGUGGUCGUCCGUCUCCGCUUUGCCGACCGAUAAGAUCACUGAGAUUGACCAGCCAGCUGGGUAGGUUUGGGACACCUCUAUUGGGAUGAAAGGAAGGUCAAUGGAUUAGAUCAUGAAUACUGUUUAUUUCCUUUCAUACCCAGGAGGUGAGGUAGAGAUGGAGGGCGGCCCUCGGCAGGAGGGCUUAUUACACUGUUUGGUUUCCAAACAUACCAAUUAGCAUGUCUCAUUGGCAAGAGACAUGCUCAGCGGCGAUCUUGUCUGGUCUGCUAUGAUCAUAUUUCUAACUUGACUAGGAUCCAUAACCGUGAUCCAGUUUUUUUCUUCAUUUCUUUUAAACGCGAGAAGGACUAAUUGUGGCGUUUUUGUUACACCAAACUGCAGUUCAUCAUAGAGAUUCAGCUUGUACUCAGACAACAGACUGAUCCAAUUUUUUCCAGUAAUAUAAGUGAUGGACAGUGCCUUCGUUACUGACACGACAUAAGAAGUGAAACCUGCAAAAAUAGUCAUCGUAGAGCAAACCAAACGGUUUAUUCCAUGAUGAAUGUCCCAUGGCAAAACCUGCAUCGUAAAAUUGCAGGAAAAGAAAGAAAACAUGACAUUAAAUCAAUAAGAUUUAGACAGUAAAUCAAUAAUAUUUACUUGAUGUGACACGAGUGAAUUCUUACCAGGAAAUCACUAUGUUGAAGUACUAAACAGAAGAUUGAUUGUCCAACUACGCGUGGCAUGUAGGGGCCUACUCCCACAAGCAGGACAGUCCAAAGGUCGUGACAAAUCGUAUGGACCGAACAUCCAUGGGACUGGAAAUCUUGGUGGGUGCCAUAAAUCCUGCAAUGCAUACAGAUAUUGGAGUGUAACCAUAAUUGAUAAACCGUCCUCACAAAAAUAUGAUCUGGCUACUUCAAAAUGUACAGACUGAAUUGAGUGGACAGACAUUAACAUAGACCGUUCUCAGGACUAACAACACACCAAAAGCGGCAGUACUAAUAAACAAUACAGGGUUCAGAAACACAAAUCAAGUACUGAACAAUAGUACUUACUACAGACAAGCAAAGUUGCACUAACUAAACUCUGCAGACUAUUUCUUACCACUUACCUACGGGAUGAACCCCGCAUAACUGACUAGGCCAUGGACUUCGUGUGAGAUGUCUACAUGCACCAUCACCAUCUUUUCAACCUUGGAGAACCUAACAGAGUGGUCUUUGCACUCAUAAACAUGAUGAUGAAGACAAGCCGCAUCAGAUUUGUUGGGAAGCUUUACAAGAACCACACCCUUUGUAAUCGAAGGCACAACUAGGAAAUUGUUGUGGUCAAGUACAGCCUCGAGAACACGCCUGACAACAAUGCUACAGGAAAACACUAGUUUAGGACACGUGGCGACAAGGACACAUCAGCUGGAUAGUUCAGCAGUAGAACUCAUCAUCAGGUCUUCCAGUUCACACGGCAUGACUUUGAGAACUUCAUCUCCACCGCGGACCCGGUUCUAAUUCAAAUAGAAACCAUAUUUCAUUACUACCUCCGUUCAGAAAUAUAAUAUGAUUUUCGAUAUUAUACUCCAUAUAUGACUACAUAUACGCAUAGAAAUGAGGGAACAAAGACACUAGAACAUGUCUUCAAAGGCAUGAGAGCAGAGGGAUUACAUGCAAUAUCCAUAACACAAGUUACUAAGGCAAAUAUACCCUCUUAAAAGGUAGCAUUGAUGUUCAUAAAGUACUCCCUCCGUCCCAAAAUUCUUGUCUUAGUUUGUCUAGAUACGGAUGUAUCAAGUCACAUUUUAGUAUUAGAUACAUCCGUAUCUAGACAAAUCUAAGACAAGAAAUUUGGGACAGAGGGAGUAGUUGAAAGUAAUCUAUAAGAAAUCAGUGUCAACCUCUCGCAUGUUUUGGUCAAAAGAGGAAUUUAGAACCGUCAUUUGGCACACUAAAAUAACAUGCAAGAUCACCCAGAAAGUUGUACUACCGGUACUAGUAAUGCGUGUUAGAUGAAAAAACACGAUCAAGAUCGAGAAAAAGAUCAUCAACAAGAGACAUUACCUGGACUUGCUUAAUGAGGGAUCCCGGAGAGGGGCGCUUGGAUAGGGCGAUGGCUUUGAGCUUGUCUGCAGUAGUCUCGGCGGGGUGCUUGCGCUUCUCCGUACCAUGAGCCUCGACGGUUUUGGCCAGAGCCAUAGACAUCACGUCGGCCGGUGCUUCGGCAUCCAUCCAAGAGAGGAAUCUGAGAGAGAAGAGUGAAAGAAGGAACAAGAUGAGGGAGAAGCGAAGCGAGUGGGGGUUUUCUUCAAGAGAGGAAGCUGAGAGAGAAGAGUGAAAUUAUGGUUGCUUCGUCCGUCCAACUUGCUGCUGGAAAGGAGGGUUUUUUUUGAUUUGACGGCUCAUUGGGCAUUAAUGCGGCGGUUCGAUCGGGGUAGUCUACUGUCACUCUACUACAGAGUGAUUUAGUGCAUGGCUGGUGGACCCAGGUGCUGGCUAUCCAACACGUCGGCGAAAGUGAGUAAUUUAGUGCAUGGCUGGAGCAGGAUCCGCACGGUAGAGCGUGUCCACUGUUUUUCAUUCUGAAAAAAAAUUGAUUACAACAAGUGUUUCCACUCUUACGACGGAGGAGUGCGAAACACGGCAGCCACUUGAACAAACAAAGUGCUCCUACUACUAGGCAUGUGCAGUGGUUCAUACGUCAGUACUACACAAUCUUGUUGCUAGUGUAGUAAGAUAUGACGAUAACAAAUGAUGUUGUGUGCAUGUCAACUACUCCUAUAUGUAACAUAGUACCACUUUUUCGACUGUCCGGUCGAGAAUGAACAGUGAGAUCAAUGUUAACAGAACUAGGUCCACAGCGCACAGAGAGUACGGUGCUACAGUACUCCACGAAACAUGAACCAUAUGAAGCACGAAUAGUGUUAGACAGGGUGUAUGAAGGGUGCAUGGGAUGGGAGCAAAAGUUCCCUUCUCGACCCACUUUUUGGUGUUUGGCAGAGUGCAUGAAGGGUGCAUGAGUCCACACUAGUAGGUUGACAAAAAUACACGAAGAGGAAACAACUAUAUUGAGAUGAGAAUGCAACCAAACACACCCACACGCUUUGUGCUACAAUGACUGAUCUGCACCGUCUGAGUUUGAUCCAACGGUCAUGUUGCACCGAGACAUGGACAUGCCCAUGCAGAGGGCGCCUAAACACCACCGAAGUCCCUCUGCUUCUCGAGCCGCAUGACGUUGGUGAUGCAGGGUGCAACCGCCCACAUAGCCCGCUCCCAGUCAACGGGAGCCAGCUCGUCAAAGACGGGUGUCCAAUGGCACGAAUUGAUUCCGGUGAGGAAGCCCUGAAAGGAUUUGCCCGGCAACGGCGACGGCAGCUUGCAACCCCUCCUUGUCCAGCUCAGCCCCUACCAUUGCACGGAGACGGCUCAGCUCCUCGGAGAUAUAGGUGAAGAAGGUGACCAGGUCCGGAAGCCCCAGCUCAUCAAAGUCAACUGGGUGGUCAAACGGGUUUAGCCCUACGGCCGACAUCGUCGCGCUGGCACGACAGUAGGCAUCGCGCAGCCGAAACACGUGCGUGGCAAUUUGGUUCACCAAGUGGCUGAGGCGAUCCUGGACCUCGUCACGAUCUGCCCGCUUGCGCUCCAGCCAGCUCCCCUGAUGGCCUAUCGUAUCUCCCGCUUUCUGCAGCAACACUGCUGAUGCCUCGAGUAUCUUUGUUGUGGACGCCUUCCGCUUUUGACGCUCCGUGAACUCCCGCACAUAACGGAGGAGCAUGGCACUCCUCUCCUCCUUGAACUCACGGAGCUCCACAUCCUUGGCACUGAGCUCCGCAUCCUUGGCAUGGAGCUCCUGUGUCAGGCGCCUCACCUCGGACUCCGUGAUCUGCUGCGCCGCCAUGGCAGCAGGUAGAAGCAAUGGGGAGAGGAAGCAAAGGGGGCGAAACGGCUGAAAGGAAAUGCAAUCUACGGGAAGGCGGAGGGAGCCAGCCAAGAAGCGGGAAUCUUAUGGUUUUCACCAUGGUAAAACACCAGUCGACGACUUCUCACAUCAGGGAGCAGUGAGUUUUUACAGGCAGAGUCGUCGUUACUAAUUGCUGCCGCGCCUGCUCCCGUCAAUCAAAAAAUUAAAAAUCCUGCCGCGCAUGCUCCUGUCAAUCAAAAAAUUAAAAAUCCAGCCGCACCCAAACACCAGAGCAACGCUAUGGUGGAUAUUUAAAUUUACCUACCGGCAAGUAGAUAAAAAAGGGGAGAAAAAACAAAUGUGGCGGCGGCCUAGCUAAUCGGUUGAACUAGCCCAACUAGCUAGCCACCGUGCUUCACUGAUGUACUCGGCAGGAAAGGUGGUCUUUCGUGAUUUGACGACUCAUUUACUUGCUUCGGCGCUACGACCGAGGAGGACCCCGAAAACACGCGGUAGGGCGUCCCACGUCAGGACCCUGAAACCGUGCGGUAGGGUGUGCCACGUCUCGGCACGGAGGAAAAAUGUGCGUGUAAAAAUAUACUGUAUCAGACGUAGUACCUAUGGUUUGACCUCGGGACCCAGCCAGCCGGCCGAAAACACCCAACUAGCCACACAGCUUCAUCAUGCAAACAUGGCACGGAGGAUAGAUGUGGUUAGCUCCGUCUCGACCAGCCACAACGUCUCUUGUUCUAGGCGAUUCUUCUAUUUUCCAAGCUUUUUUAGUUGUAAUAACACCACGGCAAGCUAGCGCCACUCUUCGUGUGUGCCCGUGCAAAGGUUAGACGAUGGAGAGAAGAGAGAUUGAGAUCGCAGACUUGGGACCCACCAGUAAGUGAGACAACGGCCAUGCACGUGUUGACGAGGCACUCCCUCUACUCUCCUCAACGCAAGUACUGUAUAAAAUCAAGUUAUGGGACAAAGCCAACAACCGUUCAUUUUUUCAGGCUAUCGACUUACGCUUUGUAGUCCAGGUUGCCAAUUCGAAUCUCGUCUUUCAGAUAUGUUAGUUUUAGGUCCAAAUUUGAUAAAUGACAAGUGGGACCCCCGUGUGUUGUUCCGAUAUUUCAGUGUAGGAUGGUUUUUUUGAACAAACACUUUGCGCGGUUAGACAAGUAACGGCACGAGUUACACGAAUUUUGCAAGUUUACGAACAAAAAUCACAGCGCCAUAGAAUAUCACAUCCACCCCGCAGCUUAGAUACUAUGGUGAUAUCAGUUUUUACACCGUUGGAAGUGAGAUCCAAAGGCUUGGGAGUAGUCUUUGUAAUUAUGUGCAAUUUCCAAACUCUCGAAAGGUUUUUUUGCAAAUAAAACAUUCAGGCCUCAUGUGUGCCGCUACAUCUUCGAUCCAACGGCUCCCCGGUGCUCAUAUUAGGUGCUCCCCGUAGCUUAAUUACCCGCUACGGUGAUAUGAGCAUCUAGGUCCUAUGAUCAGUGAUCAGAUGGCACAUGUGUAGUACUUGUACUUUCUGCGCAUUUCCCAAACUCUAUCAGUUGUAUAUUACAAAAACAUUCAAACCUCCUACUGUGGGCCGUUAGAUCUCAAUGAACUCGUAUCACCAUAGAAUCUACGGUGCGGGAGCACCUCAUACUCUCCCGUGCGAGAAAACAUAAGGUGCUAUCGCAGCUUGGAUGCUACGGUGAUACGAGCUUGGAGGUUAUUUGAUCUGAGAUCCAAUGGCAUCUGAGCAGUCUUUGUGCUUGUAAGCAGUGGCCGAACUCUUUUGGGGCUUUUCUGCAAAAAACCAUUCGAACCACCGAGGAGGUGUUGGGUCACAAAUCCAACGCCUCCGAAGAGCUUGUAUCACCAAAGCAUCUAAGGUGUGGUAGCACAUGAUAUUCUUACAUACAGGAGAAUAUGAUGUCCUCCUUCAUCUUAGAUGCUACGGUGAUACGAGCUUCGAGGUUCUUGGAUAUGGGAUCAAAGGGCAUCUAAGUAGUUUUUGAACAAAUUGUGUGCAAUUCUCAAACUCAUUAAGGUUUCCUGCAAAAAAAUUAAGACACAUCAUAUGAGCUGCUAUAUCUUAGAUCUACAAGCUCCAAGCAACUCGUAUGAGCAUAUAGCAUCUAAGGUAUGGGGGCACAUGAUAUUCUCCCGGGGAGGAGGGGUGGGGGGGGGGGUGCACAACCAAUCGGUGGUUGGGAGGAUGGGGACAAAUAAAAUCUAAACAACCCUAAACAGAGCUCCACGAUUUUAUCUAAGGUCGUGGGGUUGACCCCCGAGAAUCAUAGCUCUGCCUAAACACAACAUUUGCAUGUACUGUAGUACUAGACUUAAUAUUCAUGUUUCUGUUUCAUGUUCAUUUUAAAUAUUGAACUGAGGACCAUGGAUGUCUUACAUUUUACUCCCUUCGUUCCUAAAUAUUAGUCUUUUUAGAGGCUUCAAAUGGACUGGCACAUACAGAUGUAUAUAGACAUAUUUUAGAGUCUAGAUUCACUCAUUUUGCUCCGUAUGUAGUCACUUGUUGAACUCUCUAAAAGACUAAUAUUUAGGAAUAGAAGGAGUAUUUUUGAAUUCGUGUCAUACAUGCAUGGUUUGGAAAAAUAGAUGCACUAUACUUAUUGGAUUGUUGUUGUGUUCGUGCGUGUGUGUCUGUGUGUGUGUGUGUGUAGUCAUAUGCUGAUACAUACAAAGUUUUCUCACCUCCAUAUUGUUCAUCUUUUAAAUUCGAAUUUGCAUUGGAAACCUUACUAGGGAUACCAUGAAAUGUGAAAUCCACGUUGAGAUCACUAUAUCACAAACUCACUCUAAUUCAACAACUCGUCAUGAAUCAAUUACCACGUUGAGAUUAGUAUUUGCAAGGAAAAUACGGGUAUUGUAAUACACAUAGAUUCGUUCAGCAAUUUAAAAGGUUCCUUUCGUAUUCUCGAAUGGUAGGACCCAAGGGCGUACCAGCCAGACCUUGGCUCAUGUUGAUCCUAAAAAAACGGGCUCGUGUCCUUCGGUGGCGUGCAUGGUACGCACAUUAGGCAACCCCAACCAGUCGAGCCUCAGCGUUUCAAGUCGAAAUAUUUGGCGGCCAGAAUUCCAGCCCUAGGAAAUUCCCCUCAUGUCCCAGGUCCAUAAUGACUACCAAUGAACAACAGAGGGAUGCUUUAGUAACUAGACAACAUUACCUACCGUGCCGAGCACGGUUCAAUUCCCUCGGUCGCCGCUUGUCAAGGUCACCCGUCAACUGCAUUGCCUAGUACUACUACUACUACACUAGGAUGAGCAUAGAAUUGAGCCCGUUUGUUCGUGCCUAGUACUUGAGUUAAUAUAUCAGGCAACGCACUGGUAUGGAGGGAUUAUCCUUUUACUCUGCAUAUAUAAAUUGUCUGAAGUCUAACUAAGAAAAAUGUUUGAUCAAAUCCUUUCUUAAGAAAUACAACAAGACAGAUGUACGGCUUGAAAAUUUAUUGCAUGAUGCAGGUUAUGAUAUUGUUUCGAAUCCUGGAUCUUAAAUUUCAGAAAAUCUAAAAGUGAGCGUAAAUUCUUGAAACUGAGCAUGGUCACGUGAUAUGGCACAAAUAUUACUUCGUAAGUUUUUUCUUCAAUUCGAGACAAGCUGCUUAUGACAAGUUGCACAAAUGAAGAGCCAAGGUAUUUUGGAACAAAGACCUGUCACGUUAAGGAGAAUGCUUUCACUAUUGAAACCGUGGGCGUUUACGUGCCGCCAUGAGUCCCCGCUUCUCAUCGGCAGGUGCCGUCCCGACAAGCGUGUGAGUCGAUGGGAGGUGUGCGAGCAGACCAUUGCUCCCACUUUUAAUGUCGCCGGCGCCGCAGUUUAAAAUCAACCCCGCACUACACGGUAUCGCUACAAUCCUCUCUCUUCCUCUCUGAUUCUCCUGUCGUCUACCUCCAACUAGCCUGACCUAAACGUAUGCCAUGCCACAUCACAAUGGUCCGCCCUCAGUGUUCCAGUUUCAUGAGGAAGACACCCGGCCAGAGUCUGAAGAACAAAAGGCGCUUUGGGACGAGCUUGAACUGGCCUUGCGGGAAGUCGCCGCACCUGUCCCCGCUCCUGUUCCGGCUCCCGUCGCCCCGACUACGCCAGCGCCCAUCCUCGUGGCAUUGAUGGGCUGGGAGCUGCACAUUGUCGCCGAGCUUGAUGCCACGGGGUUCCACGAGGUCCCCGCCGACUUUCACGCGCCCGUGCACCUACCAGCGCAUGCGCCUACGUGUGCACUGACAUGCGCGCCCGUGCCGGUGCCCAUGCACACGAAUGUCUUCGUCGCACCAUUGACAGCGCAUGUCCCCGCGCGGGUGCCAGUGCCCCCGUCAGCGGCAUGGAUGGCCCCCGUCGACCGCUUCCUUGCACCAACGCCAGUCGCCUCCUCCCGCUAGUUGACUCGCUCCGAAGUCCAGAACAUUUUGGCCUUCCUUGAAGCUAGGCCAACGUCUAGGAGUACGCCAACAACGCGCAAGACGCCGCCGUCAUCGUCGGUCAGUGGCCCGACGACACACAGAGCAUGGCAGAGGAUCCGCUUCCCACCGCGAGACACCCUCGCCGCCGCCGCGUAAUCUAAAUUUGCCAUGAAAAACGUUCGGAUUGCCAUGCUUAAAAUCCGAAUGUUUAUCAUUUCCGUUUAUUUUAUAUCGAUCGUCGUAUAAUUUAAAGUCGGAGUCAGACUGAACGAAUUGUAUGGUUUGAUCGAUUGAAUGUUCUGCUAGAGCCGUAUCAAAUUAAAUAUAAAAUGUCAUCAAGCCACAUGUAUUCCUUGUCAUCCAAUGGCCUAGACUGCUUCAAUGUCGAGCGAUCAACACGUUUAGCGUGCAGUUAAUUUCAUGCCAAAGAUAGUGCUAAUCACAUGACAACACACAAAUAAUAUCCUAGUAGUUAAUAUCCGCAUGCACUUAAUAUACUUCCAAAUUAACGUGCAUUGCACGUACACACUGACUAGUGCUGCUAGUACGUGAAACUGGUGCCGUGACUUGUGAACAUGUCCAGAUAUGGUCAACGGCAACAUCGACCGCGAGUUCUUCCUAUUUUCUCGUGCGUCUAAACGUGGAAGGGGAGGAGUGAGAGAGAGCACACAUGGAACCCACCAGUAAGUUAAUGCAAAUAGUACUAAAAAUAAUAUUACAUGUUAUCCAUUAAUUAGGCUUGAAGGGGGUACAACAAACAUUGCUAUUCUAUGUAUGUUGCCUAUUGACGUGCGGCUUGAAGGCCCGGUCGCAUGUUCGAUCCUCGUCCUUUAUUUUUAAAUUUGUAUAUGGGUCCACAUUUGUUUCAUGACAUGUGGGCCCCUCGGUGUGUAGUUUGUAUCACUUUAAUUUGUGGGUCGAAAUUUGUUCCAUUCCAAGUGGACUAUCGGUGUGUAGUUUUGUAGCUUAUUUAUAAUAAUUAAAGAGAACAAAAUAGUUUUUUCAAUAAUAUCAUGGUGCGACGUUGAAGGAGAGAAAGGACAUGCGAGAGAGCGAUGACCAAGCCAGAGGGAAAUCAACUAGGGGAGUUGCAUGGGUUGCAACGGUGUUUGGAGUAGUUGUGGUCCGAAUGCUACGAAAAUAUAAUCUAAACCGGCCGGAAUAAAUGCCUACACAAAUUAGUCCAAGGUUGGGGUGCCCCUCGCAAUGUAAAUAGCUCCGGCUUUGCGAGGGAUGGAGAGGUAGUAGAUUCAAUGCGUGGAAGAUACGGUGUGAGAAAGUGAGGUCAAUCGAGAGACAUAUAGAUAGAGAGACAAAGUGAGUGUGGUCCGACAUUCAUUGAACAAAUAUAUAUGCUCCGGAGAGAUAUUGUCCGUUUGAGCUUUUGGCAAGGGUGAGGGCUGUAAGAUAGAGCUUGAGAGAUGAUCCAAUCAUAGACGUGUAGAUAUAUUUUGUGCGUGCGAGGAAGCAAGGUCAAUCGAUCACAUAGGGUCGCUGUGCGAUCGAAAGAGUGAGACGGGUUGGAGAGAGUGACCUAGAUAGAUGAUGUGCGUGAGAGAGUAUACAAUGUGAAUAGGUUGAAUUGGGCUCAAACAUGGUGAUAUAUCGUUUUUGUCCGAGAAAGAGCGAGGUCAAUCGAGACAUACGGAGAGAGAGAGAGAGAGAGAUAGAGAGAGAGAGAUUGAGUGAGAAUGGCCCACCAUGAGGUCGAAAGAGUGGUGGCGUCUUGGAUGGACUGACCUAGAUAGAGAAUCUGCAUGAGAGAGUAUAGAGUGUGUCGAUCGAGGCCUGAACAGGGAGAUAUAUCAUUUGUGUGUGAAAGAAAACGAGGUUAAAUGAGACUCAGAUAAAGAGAGCCAGAUUGAGCGAGUGUGGCCCGCCGUGCGGAAGAAAGACUGAGGCAGUCUCGAGGGAGUGACCUAGAUAUACAACGUGCGUGCGUGCGCAUGAGAGGUUGGGGGGGCUAGAUAGGCAAUGNNNNNNNNNNNNNNNNNNNNNNNNNNNNNNNNNNNNNNNNNNNNNNNNNNNNNNNNNNNNNNNNNNNNNNNNNNNNNNNNNNNNNNNNNNNNNNNNNNNNNNNNNNNNNNNNNNNNNNNNNNNNNNNNNNNNNNNNNNNNNNNNNNNNNNNNNNNNNNNNNNNNNNNNNNNNNNNNNNNNNNNNNNNNNNNNNNNNNNNNNNNNNNNNNNNNNNNNNNNNNNNNNNNNNNNNNNNNNNNNNNNNNNNNNNNNNNNNNNNNNNNNNNNNNNNNNNNNNNNNNNNNNNNNNNNNNNNNNNNNNNNNNNNNNNNNNNNNNNNNNNNNNNNNNNNNNNNNNNNNNNNNNNNNNNNNNNNNNNNNNNNNNNNNNNNNNNNNNNNNNNNNNNNNNNNNNNNNNNNNNNNNNNNNNNNNNNNNNNNNNNNNNNNNNNNNNNNNNNNNNNNNNNNNNNNNNNNNNNNNAAACAACAUUUGAAUGUACAUAGUAUGAGACUUAAUUCGGUGUACAUUGUAAGAUUUGAACCGAGGACCAGGCAUACGGGUAAUUAUUUCGAAUUCAUGCCAUACUAAGUUUCGAAAAGUUAACAUUGACUAAAUUUGUUGUGCUAUUUUGUAGGCCAUAUGUUUGAAUCCAUCCUAAAGUUUUCUCACUACCAUGGUGUUCAUCAUAUACAUAUGAAUUUGUAUUUAAAAAAGUAGCGUGGAUACAGUGAAAUGCGAAAUCCACGUUAGAAUUGGAGAUCGCUGCGUGACACACACUCUAAUUCAAAUAACUAACUACAUGACACACACUCUAAUUCAAAUAACUAAUUAUGUGACACACUCUAAUCCACGUUACCGUGGGUACCGUUUCGAUUUUUUUUUCAAAUAACUCCUCAUUAAUUAAUUUAUAGUACUCCCUCUGUUCACUUUUAUAAGACCUUGAAGACAUUUCAGACAAUGUGCAAAACAAUUCAUUUUAAGUUGUCUGAAACGAGUUACAAAAGUGAACGGAUGGAGUAUCUCGUUUCAAAUGACUAAUUAUUGCAAGGAAAACACGGACAUGGUAAUACAUACAGAUUCGUUUGCAAAUGAAAGAAUAUUCGUUUGCAUUCUCAAAUGUAGGCGCACCAGGCAGACCAGGGUCAUGUCGGCAUGGACGCUGCUUCGGUGCCUUAAAGGCAACUGCCCUUGGGUGACAUGUGGGCCAGCCACUUGUUGGGCCCACAUGUCAUGGACACAAAGGCAGGUGCCUUAAGGCACUGAAACAUAGUCCUGUCGGGGUGGUCGCGUGUGUCGGACGGACGCGUAGCACCCAGCCACCCACCCCCGUCCCCCCACAAAAAAAGGACGACGACAAUAUAAGUUCGCGCUUCCACGCUUCGGAUUUAAAUAUCUGGCGGCCCCAAUUCCAGCCCUGCAAAAUCUCUCUUCCCCACCGUCCCCUUUCGUGCCCAGAUUGCUCAAAUCCCUAAUUCGCUGCCAUCCCUCGAAUCGCCCCUCGUCUCUUCUCUUUCCCCACCAUUCCCCACCUCUUUGCCGGACGAUGAUGACGAAGACGACGGUCGCGCUUCACCACCGCACCGGAGCUACCUCAUCUACGCCCUCGUCCACCGCACCAGGUGGUCCACCGACAACGUCGGCCGCCGCAACUGACGUGCCUCACAGACACCGAGUUCCACCACAUCAGGUGCGCUUCACCGACGCCGUCUCCCAGCUCACCGGGGCUACUUCACCGAGCACAUCGUCGCACCUCCGCCCCCCGAGGCCAUUGGGGCUUCACCAACGGUCUCAUCCACCGCAUCGUAGCGCUCCGCUGCCACUCAAGAUCUGCAUCCGUGCGCGGCUAGCCAACGCCAGCACAUCACCCUCAAUGGCUCUGAAGUGACCCACACUGUAGCUAGGUGAGCAUGCCCAAACGCCGGCCCGAACUAGGUAUCCAGACAUCACUCCCUUGUGCACUGUUCCGAUGAUGUUUGGAUAUCCUUUCACUUCUCUCUUAGCUUACACACCUAUGCAACUCUGACUUUAACUCUUAUUUCUUCUGGAGAUAUCAUCUGAAACAAGCAAAUCCAUUUUUUAGCGAAGCAUGACGGUGCUACGGGAUCUGGGACACAUCUUGCACACCCGUAUAACCUUGUAAGUAUCUGUCCUCCGGUACAACAUCAAGGUAGAUUCCUCUUAUUUUAUCAACCAUUUGUCGUGUCAAAAAUGCAGAGGGGGAUGCAAGGAGCACAAGGCCUGCACAUCCAAGCAAGUGGUAACAUGGACAUGUACAUGGAACAUCCCAAGCGCAAGUAGAGCUGCAGUGAGCCUCUACAACGAGCUAGCGUAAGUCCCUGCAUUUCAUUUAAUUCGUACAAGCAUUCAUGUAUGAUUUGUGUGCAGUGGUUGAUCCACGAAUUCAAGUUACUAGGGGCGAACAUUUAACUUAAAAAAUACGAAGGAACUUGCACUCCGGAAAUCAGCAUAACCUGAGAAAUGUAAAGCUACAUGCAGUUUGAAAACCAUCUAAUGAUCCAAAGUAGUUCAGAUUAUAAACACUAAAUGAUGCAAGCACCAAAAAACAGAAAAUGCAACAUGGUGUACAAGGACUACAAACAUGGUCUGUACCUGCUUGAAUUAUUCGUUCUCUGGCUGAAAAUAUCGAAGUGUAAUUGCACGUAUAACCAGUGCGCAAACUGCAUAUCAAUAUAUCUAUCCUGCACAAGUAUGCCAAUAGUUUCAAACAAUAGAUUAGAAAAGUAUUUAUGCUAUGUUGUCAUGAUAUGGGGACUUUCUGGUAGAUGGCCUCGACGUUUCUCAAGCUAUGAAAAUGCACUAUAAUUUGCUUGUCAUCAAUGCCUGCAAAUCUCUGUCUCUCUCAACAUACUAGAUCAUCAUUAGACACUAAAUCAUUCAAUGAGCUUGCAAAAUGCUUGCACUAGAUCCUUCAAUAGACACUAUAUGUUCAUCACCAGGAGCAUUAAAAAUGUUUGCAUCAAAUCCUUCAUUAGCAAUCUGUUCAUUAGACACUUCAUGCUCAAUAACAACAUGAGCUUGUAUGUUUGUACCGGAAAGUUGAUUAGAUACUUCAGAUUCAGUUAGUUUAGUAAUGAUUGGGGGAGUUAUAAAAUAAGUAGAAAUUGGUUUCAUUUUCUCAUAGAUUCCCUACAUACAAGCAGUUUUACAACACCGUCAGGUUUAACUAUGGGCCAGAAAUUGAAGAGUUGAAUUACAUAUAAUCAGGGAUGUGAUGUACCGGCUCGUUGCGCAUGCUACUCUUGCAAGCUGAGACUGUCCGUUUGCGCAAGCUCGAUGCCAUGCCCGUGCUGCCGCCGCUGCCUCCCACGCAGGAUACACCCAGGGUUGGAUCUUCAUCUUCUUGUCCUUCCGUUCGCUUGCAGCCCGGCGACCGCCCUCCAACGAGGGCACGAGGAAGUGCUGUGUCGGUCUAUCCAGCAGCGGCUAGGUUAGGAGCGAACUAGACUGGAGGCUGGAGCGAAUGAAUUCGGAUUUUUCCUAUUGUCGAUCGAUAUGGGAGGCGCUCGUUUGCGCCGCGAGCCUGCUAUAGGGCCUGCCUUGCACUUAUGUUAUUGGCCCAUCCAAAUUGAAACAUUUUUCUUCAUUUUUUACAUUGCCUGCUCGUGCAUUGGGACGAACAAAACUAGCGUGGGUCAACCUGGACGACUCAAACUAGGUGCACACUUUUCAGCCACCUGAGGCGGCCGCCCAUACCAGCCCCUAUAGUGGUGUCGCCCAUUUUUGCGUGUAUGAUUGGAUAGUGAAAAAUAUUCCAGUGGCGCUUUUGAUUUACCCACAGAAUGGUUGAAUUGGUUGUUUCUAUGAACUGAGUUCGCCAAUAAUGUGAAGGAUGCCAAUCUUUUCAUCCUAUUGUAGAUUGCUUAGAUCUCGAUAUGCCAAAAGUAAUCGCAUGAAAUAUACAGGAAAAGCCAGUGUGAUUUGUUUGGCUACAACUAGUCUGACUACACGUCCUCAUAUAACAUAUCAAGGACGCACCAUCUUACCAGAUUAACCAUUCGACUGACCUAUGCAGUGUGGGAAGAAAGAAGUAUUGGGACUGCGUAUCCAAGCAAUUGAUGCCAUGGACUCCUUCUUACAACCUUGUAAGCAAAAAAGAAGUUGCAGUGUGCCUGUACAAAGAACUAGCAUAAGUUCAGUUACCUGCUUCUCGGAAUUUUAGUUUGCCACUUAUUGCAAAAUUGUUCAAUUACGUUGGUUGGCUUAAUUUAGUUUGCUACUGAUUACAUAAUGGCACAGCCUGUUAAUCAUAUUGUAGACUACGCCUAUCUAUGUGUUUGAUACUUACUGUUAAGAAUUAUUACUUGUUUGCCUUAACUUAAAUAUCUACUUGUUUGUUUAACUACUUUGCUGCUGCAACAGCUGGUUACAAUGAUGUUAAUAACUACUUUUCAGCAUUCAAUUGAAACUCUUUAAUUCCUUGUUUGUUUAAUUGGUUUGCUGUUAUAACUCCCAGUUCAGAUGUUUUGCUAAAUUCAACUUUUCUGAAUCCAAUCGGAACUUUAAUGGCAAAACAGGUUAGCCCAAGAUCAAAGAGCGAGGUCCCCAUGGACGUUGCAUCAUCCCAGAGCAGUGGCACCGGCCCAAUCGUGCAUUAUGAAUUGCCAACUAUUGAUGCUCUAGAGGCUAAACUAGUGGUAGAAAGAGAUUCUGCUUUUGCACUUAGAGAUGAAGUUGACAUGUUGAGGAAGCAAACAGCACAAUCACAAGCAGUACUCAAGACAACCAUUAAAUAUUUGGUGGGUUUCAAAACGAAGCAAGCUGAGACUGACCAGAUUGUUACGGUCCUGAAGGAAAAAAGGAAAUUAAAUUCCUAGUUGGUAGGUCAUAGGUGAAAUAUACUUUACAUAGUUGAAUAACCUUUGUGUUGUCUGUUCAUGUAAUCAAUCAAACCAUUUGUUUUAGAGAUCAUGUAAUCAUUGUUUUUUUUGUUUUUUGGUUUGUAAUUUUAUUUGAGCACAAGUCUGUAUUCAUUGAUAAGACUCGGAGACAUUUCGUUUGGAUUGCUGUGCCAGACCUACAAAUAUGCCAAUCGGGACGAAUGUGCAUUCAGCAAUAGUAGUAGUAUAGAUGGACCAUAAUUGGCACGCAUCGGAAAGGGCCAAGAUGCUGGGUAAAAAAAGGAUGUUGUUGUAGCCAAAAAAAAGUACAGCGGCCUGGCUUAUGUAUGUUAGUUGAUAUUAUUGAUCCAUACACUCUAUAAGUGUUUAUAUGUCUGUUAGUUCUAUACAUUCUUGGAUGACUAACUCGGUAUUUGAAUCUUGAUACAUCGCUUGUGUACAUAUCUAAAUGGGAGUACACAUUAUGCUACGUGUGACAUUUGAGUUGGACACGAAGUGUUCCAAAUAUUCAAAUUCACCGUAAACUGGAUUCUAGUUUCUGAAUUUGAGUAUCGGCAUUUGUAAACCAUAUUCAUAUAUGACAGUGGAAUACAUCUUUGUCGUCCUUUUGAAGAUAUAUAAAAACACAUAGAAUGAUUUAUAAAGAUUCAUAUAGGAAUACAAAAUGGAUUCGAAUUUAGUUGCCAGGGUAAACGUGGAUGCUUAUUGUCCCAAAAUUUGAAAGAAGCAGCAAAAUGUCCACUCCCACGUCGGCUGCUCGAAGCCAAGUGUUUGGGAGAUGGAAAUUACUAUCUACCCAUUACAUGGGCAAUCCAUCACCCCGAUUUCACUUUAAAUAGGGGUAGGUUAGUAACUUCAAUUAGACGUGACACGACCGCCUCUGAGCCCAUUCCGACACGGUGGGCAUCAAACAUGGGCGGAAAAACACAUUUGAUUCAAGCUCGUCCGAAAGACCUCUGUUUCUCCCUCCAUUCCCAAUUCAUACACGGUGGGCGGCAAAACAAAUUCGACUCGGCCGAAAUCGAUGUAGGCAAAUAUUUUCAAUAGGGGCAGGUUUGUAACUUCACUCAGACGUGACACAACCGCCCUACCUGUCAGCCCCGUUCAUAUACCGUGGGCGCCAACCAUGGGCGCCAACCACCCUCUCCUCACCCGAAAUCGCUCUGGGCAAAUAUUGGCGAGAUGCGAGAUUACCGUCCUAUCCCCAACCAACGAGACGUCCAAAUUUUAAACGGGGGCUAAGUUCGUAACUUUCCCAUAUUUCAGAUAGGCACAUCCCAAAAACAUGGUUCCCCGUACCUCUCCCUCCAUUUUCCCAUUCAUACACCGUCCCCGCUAGAACACCCCAUCCCCACACCAGCCUCCGUCUGCCACCCCAUCCAUCGCCGCCGUCCUCCACCACAUCCAUCGCCACCGUCCUCCACCAUGCCGAAGCGCCUACCAAGACCGUGUCGUCCACUGCUAGAGAUGGACGUUUCUCAUCCACGGCAAUGGACCAAUAGCCUUCCAUCACGUCCUCUCACUUCAUCGGCGCCGUCGUCCUCUUUGCCGGGGCCGCUCACACGACCUUCUCUUCCACCACAACGGGACUUAUCCCUCGAUGCACCCGUCUAGCUACCAUCACAGAUCUGCUUCAACGCCACCGACAGCCAUCGCACCCCCGAUGCCUACACGGCGCCGCAAGAGAGGUGGUACUUCAUAUCUCCUCAACUUUUUGAUCUCAACCAGAAAAUAGAUCUUAACUUGGUUACUCUACUUUCUUUUAAGCUCUUAGAAUUUAGUUCUUAGUUCAAAGCAAACAAUGGAUGCUAAAUAUCAUUUCUCUGGUUUGCAGCUUCAAAUCUGCCAUGGCACAACCAUAAUACGGUUUAAUUGAUCAUGCUUAGGGUUUAAUUGAUCAUGUUAGUUCCGUGGUAGUUUCUUUAAUACAAAUCGGAGGGGAAACCCUCUUUUGCUAAAAAAAUAUGCUUAGAGUUUCCCCCUUUUAUGAUCACUAUACGAUCAGAAUACGUGCUUCGUGUCAUAAUAACACUGCUCCACCCAUCAAGCUGAACAAGCAUAGACAUUCAAAUACGAAUCUGAUAUUAUUAAAACAGAGUUGUUUAAUUGGUCAGCUAAAUGUUCCUAAAUUAGUUUCGAAAAUGCAUGUUCGCCACUCGGGUGUGUAUCUCUACAGGGUGCCCACGCCGGCCCACCUUGGGAUUUUGGGUCGUCCCAGGCCCCGAUUCCCCUCUAUUCUGGAGCGCGCUUCCGGUCUCUACUCACCCCCAGCCGCCUGACUCACCGGAGACUUGCCGUCCCCGGACGACAUGACUUUAGGAGGAGAUGCCAGACUAACAGGAGGCCAGGAGCCGCUCGCCCAACAGCGUCACCGCUGCCCGGGCGCGCCGCCGUGCCUACCUUCCCAGUCCGUUCAGGGCUCAGGCGUGCAACACCCACCAAGGCAACCCAAUUUAUCCUGAGAUACGUCCUCAACACUCAGUAGCCAAUCCUCAUCACCCAUUUUCUAAUUGAUUCAUUACUCAUUAGGUAGGACUGUCAUUAGGGUUUGUUGUGUGCUCAAUGCUACCUACACUUAAUGGUUUAGAUGUAUUUCAGUAAUUUUUCGUACCUCUAAAGUUCACAGGGUUUUCAAAAUUCUGGCCCUCGGAACAGAAACUAGUCAUUUUGGAUUGUUGGUUGUAGUGACAUUGACCCAGAUUACUACUGCAAGCCAGGUUUGUUGACAAUUUUACUUUUCUUUCUUACUCAUUUGAUAUAAUAUCCAAUUAUUCACAUCGAUUAGUUGCAAAGAAUAAGUGCUAGACAAACUUCUUCAUUCAGAUUUUGGACGGUCUCUUACUACAGUUACAAUUCUGCAUACUUGUCCUAAUAAUCUCACAAGUAAAUGAUUGAUUCACUACAUCUAUGCUUGCCUUGUCAUAUUUAUUGUCAGUAUUCUUUUAGGGUGGACCACCCUGUUUCUAAAUACUGGAACCGUAGACAUGAGUGAAUAGUAUUUCUCUAUGUGAUCUCUUCCAUCAUGUGUGGGUAAUGAACACUGCAUUGUAUAGAAAGAAAGUGUCAUUUCCAGCUUUUACAUAGGUUUCGAUCUUUUACAUGGAAUACAAUCUGCCUACUUGCUUUGUGUCGCACUACCAACACUCCACCCUUGAAGCUAAACAUUACGCCACUCAUAAUUGCUUAGUUUACUUGUUCAAAUACGAAUUUCAUAUGAUUCUAAUGUUCCUACUUCAGUUUUGAAAUGUGUGCCUGCCUAUUAUAGAGACAUAAGGGGUUUGUAUUUCUGUGUGUGGUCGGGUCAGCACGGUUUGGGAGGAGAACUUUGCAUAUGCAGGGUUUUAUAGGGAGACACUCUCCGAGUUGAAUCCGCAAUGCAUUCCAUAGAUAAUCUGACUACUUUUUAUGUUUUCAUGAAUCUCAGGUUUUGAACAACAUCAUAAUGAUUAUGAGCUUGCGCGCAUGAAAAGAAUAAAGCAGAACAAUGCCAUGGCUGUCAAACUUGGCAUUAAGGGACUGAAAUCAAGUCUAGAUGCAAUGCAAUGCAAAUGCUCUCCACCUAAAGAUUCAUGCUCAAAAUAUGAUCCUAACAGUGAUUCUGAGCUAGAGGGAGACCUAAGUCAAUGUAGCUCCCUAGUGGAGGAGCCAGAGGAAGAUGUCCUAUCUUAUUCACCCAUCAAGGUACUUGCUCUAACUUUCUAAUGUUACAUUGCUCGCACAUAUCUUGCAUCUAAUGCUUUGCAUUGCUUCUACUUUCUUGAACUGCCAUUAGCUUAGUUUACACAUCAUGUAUGUGAAUACGCCCUGCCUAUCCACUUUCAGUACAUAUUCCAUCUGUCAUCAUAGCAUAUUUGUCCAUUCGAAUGUUGUUCUUGUGUAUCAGACUUUCAAAAGGAAGAGGGCGAUUGCUGAUCGUGGAGGAGCACAAGCAAAGUAUUUGGAAAAGGUAGUGGCACCUGAUAAAUCAAAUAGCCCAUUAGGUGUAGUUGCAAUAUCACCUGACCCACAAAAUACCCCAACUCUAGCAGACUCUAGCCCUACUACACUGGUCAUUUCUGAUGCUCCAACUCAGCAGACCCCAACUGCAGCAAACAGUAUGAUUAUGCCAGUUGACAUAGCACCAGCUGUAUGACGCAAAACCCCCAUUCCAGCAAAGAGUACACCAAAUCCAUUUGCCAAAUCCCUUUUCGAACCAGGGAGAGCCCCAAUUGCAGCAAAUAGGACCCCUGUUCCAUCUCUUCCCUUUUUAGAAGAUGAAGCUUAUGUUGUUUUCAGGAACUUUGUGCGCAUCUUUCCUUCAUGGAAAGAUUAUACCGCAGACACAGAACAAUUUCCAGUCUUCCUUCGCAACUUAUGCGUAAGUAAUGUACUAAUGUUAUUCAUGGUCAUUACUGCAUAUGUUUCUGCUGACAGAAGACACAAGAUUUCAUUCUUUUAAAUAGGCAAGGAGCUAACUAGAUUGUGAUACGAGCAAGGGUUGGUUGCGCUUUUUAAGCACUCGUUGAUGAAGUAUAGUUCCUACCUGAGGCAAGCGCACUUCGAUGGCAAGCCUCUGAACGAAAUUUCUGUAAAUUCUCCGGUGCUACAUUUAUCCGACGGUGACUAGAAUAAUCUUAUUACACAGUGGUCUCGGCUGCAGCGUAAGGUACUGUCUAUGAUAUCACAUCACAAUUUGAACUACAUUUCUGCAUUUGCCUUAAUGUCUCACUUGUAUGAAAACUGUUAGCAGAAGAACAUUCGUUCUCAAGGGACCACAGAAUCUUGCAACUAUACUGCACACUGCAUUGCUCUUGUGAGUACCUCUUGCCCUGUAUGACCAUACUUACUUUCAUAGCUGUUUGAUUAUGUAGCAUCACUGCACAUGUUAGCCUCGUAAUCGUCCAUUUGGUGGACAUUAUAAGAUCUGUAUGGACUCUUACACAAAUUUAGAAUCAACCCAAUGCUUUUGGAGAGGUUUAGCUCUGCAGUCCUCUUGUAAGGACUGAACGUGGUCUAUCACUGUACUUACAUUAACAGCUACUCCCUCUGUCCCAUAAUAUAAGAACGUUUUGUAUAGUACACCAGUGUUCAAAACACUCUUUUAUUAUGAGAAGAGGGAUCGGUUCAUUUUGUAGCAUUCUGCAUCUUAUCUCCCUCGCCCACCAUUUACUAAAAAAGAUCAGAUCUAUAUUUAAUCUUACCAACAAGUAGAAUACACAGACAAUGCUAGUGCAGAAGUGUAGCACAUUGCUCUUAUCAGUACAUUUUGUCCUGUAACGCUUGUACUUCCAGGGAUUGGUAGUCGAUUAUGUAGCAUCAAUCUGCAUCUUAUCUUCAUUAUCCUCUAUCCCUUCCAGUAUUAUCAUAUCUAUAAUUACUCUCUACAAAAUGUAGAGUACAGGCAAUGCUUAUGAAGAAGAUUUUGUGCUGAAAUUCUUGAGUUAUCCUUCCCUUGACAUGGAGAAGGGCAUUAUAAAGUCGGUGUUAACUGUUAAUGUAAGGCAGUCCUUCUAAAGCCUUUAUCCUCAACUGCUGUUUAAUUUGCUCAUACUCCCUAUCAUUUGCUGCUGUUUAGUUUGCUGUUUCUACAAAAAUGCAUGUUCGUAAGAACUGUAAGUUCUAAGUUUUACUUGUAAAACCAAAUUCAUUAUUCAUACCAUGCACAUUACUUAAUACUCCCUAUAUGUAUGCUUGGUUUUGUGGAUCUAUAAUCCAGUGUGUGGUGAAGCAGCCCACGUUUGCACCUUGUCAUCUCCUGUUUUAUCUUACUGAUGUGGCUGAUGAUAUGAACAACAUGCCAUGCACAUUAUCCAAAAUAGAUACAAUGAUUUUCUUUGCCCUUCAUCUAUGCUUGUUAUGUUGACAUGGUAAUCUAGUAGUGUGGUGAAGCUCCCCGCAUUAUGAACAAUGGCAAAUUAUGCUAUUGGUAUUUUGAACUUACUCUUUAUUUUCUAAUUUGAAAUUGGAUAGAAUUGACAGAACAAUUAUCAUCUUUGUUUAUACACGUGCAAAACCUAUCAUCUCGCUACUUUGUUUCAGGGUGACAUGCCUAAUGGCAAGCACAAGUCUGCUGAAGGCUGUGAGACAAACCCAACAUAUAUUGCUGCAAAGAAGGCAAAACAUCUUGAAGAUAGAGAGACAACUCCAAAGUCUUGUCUUGAUGCAGUGUUCAAGUUACUUGAGACUAACAGUCAGAAUUCGUUGUCUGAAUCAAUUCGACUUCUUCAGUCCCAAGUUAUAGCAGAAAGGCAUUCUGCAACUCAACUUUGACUUGAAGUCCUAUCUCUAAGAAAGAUUGCGGAGAACACCAAUGAGAACCUCAACGCUAAACAGCUACACCUGGAAGCUAUGACCGACAUGCUAGGCCGGUCUCACAGCCUUGCUGAGCAGCUUGCGCAGCAGUUCCCCCGCAAGGCUAACCUUUCUUGAACUGUCUUGGAAGUGGUCUCGGUUUAGUAUUAUUUUGUUACGCUGCAAUGGUGCCCAGUUUUUGUAAUCUGCUUCUUCGUUGCGCUUUAUGAUCACUGGUGGCGAACUUCGAUGCCCAGUGGAUGUAAUAUACCUUAAAUCCUUUAUUGUAUAGUGUAGGUUUAUUCUUAUUUACUAUGUCGUAAUUUCUUUAUUGUAUAGAGUAGGUUUGUUCAUAAUUCCUACUAGUUACUGCCAUCAUUCGCUAUCUGAAAAAAAAUCAGAUGUAGUCGACUGGGCCGAAACAUUCGACUCUAAGGCCACAAUUGGGCCGGCCUACGUAUUUCUAGGGUCCGAAUGAUUGGGGCCUUCACACAUUGCGCCAGGCCCAAACUUACACCGGCCUAUCUUUUAGUUGGGCCUUUUGUCGACCCAGCGCUUAGUUUGGCCUAGGUAGCGUUGGGCCAUUAACAGGCUGAAUAUUGUGCUGGCCUGUUACGGCCGAGAUGAAACCACGGGACUUUAGCAGGCCAAAAUGCAUGUUGGGCCUCAAUUUUCACUAGUCGUCGACGGGCCUUCAGCAGGACGAAAUGUAGACCAGGCCGUCUUGGGCCCAGUUAGCUCACGGGCCGUUACCAGGCUGAAACAUAUCUCGGGCCUUAGUUGGCCCACUGAUAUCAUGGGCCUUUAAGAGGCCGAAAGCUUAGUAUAGGCAUCAAUGGGCCGAAUUACACGACAUGCCUUUAACAGGCCCAAAGUCACGUUAGGCUUAACUGUUGCCACCUUUGGCAUGGGCCGUUAGUGGGCCUGAUGUCCCGUUGGACCAUAUAUGGCCCAUGGGCAGCACGGGCCAUUCCCAGGCCGAAAGUCACACCGGGCUGAAAUGGGCCCAUGUCUACAUCAGGCCUCUAACAGGCCGAAAGUCACUGGUCUAUAGUUGGGCCCAAAUAUUAUGCAAACAAUUAACGGGCUAGAUCUGGCUUCGGGCCGCAAAUGGGCCCAAAUAUUGGGCGAACAAUUAAUGGCUAGAUCUGGCUUCGGGCCAUAAAUGGCUCCAAAUAUUGGGCGAACAAUUAACGGGCCAGAUCUGGCUUCGGGCCGUAAAUGGGCCUUUAUUAAGUAGGCCGUUAUUGGGAUGGCCCACUAGUACCUGAUUAAGUUCUACGGGCCUUUGACUGGGCUGGCCUUUUUAACCUAUAUGGGCCUCUGUUGGACCCAACCACGUGUCGACGUAUCAUAGGCAUGUCUCCUCCAAUGGACGGGCGACAUCUAUCCCACUGACGAGCUGACAGGUGUUCCCUUCAGCCAAUCAGAAUUUUACACGUGGAAAUUUCCCAUUGCUCGGGGCUGUUAACGGGUUAUUGGAAUUUUACACGUGGAAAUUUUACACGUAGGUCGAUCUGUCGCUCUCUCUAUUACACACAUGUUGUUAAACACACACACGCGCGCGCGCGCAUGCACGCACGCACCUUGGUCCUGUUGCACCUUCUAACGUGACUUAUUACACCUAGACGGAGGGAGUAGUAAGUAUACGAGAUACGGUGGCACACUGACUUAAGUCGAAUACAAGUGCCCAAAAUUGUGUGCAUGUUAUAAUAAGGAUUCACUUAAAAUAGUACUCACUCCGUCCGGAAAUACUUGUCGGAAGAAUGGAUGUAUCUAGACGUAUUUUAGUUCUAGAUACAUCCAUUUUUAUGCAUUUCUCCGACAAGUAUUUCCGGACAGAGGGAGUACGUGAGCGAACAGAGGGAUCAAUUGGACAGUGUUCCUGAGCAGUAGCGAGAUGUGUGAGGUAAGAUACGCUGCUGGUGCUUUUAAUUUUUCUUAUUAAUUUGUUUGUUUCACCCUCUGACUGGUGGGACCCAACGUACUACGUGGAGAGAGGUAAGGUGACUAAGGCUGCAUUAUUUCUACACCACUGUGGAUAGUCUUACCACCAAAGCCACAUGACACGGUUAUGAUUGAAAUCCCAAUGACUCCCACACACACAAAAGAAAACACGGCAUGCUUGUCACACGAAUGCAGGAAUAUAUAAAAGGUUAUUUUCCUCUCGUUGAACAUAACGGGAGGGUUGUGUAGCUGGUUAGCAUGUUCGCUCAUCAAACUUGAGCUCUCGGGUUCGAUAACUACACUUGAGCAUAAUUUGUACCAGGAGGAUUCUUUAACUGGUCAAAAUGGAUGGAUACGGAGCUAUAUGAUCUUGUAGUGACUGUAUAAUCACCUCAUCACGUAUAAGCUGCAGCCUAGGCACUUGUUUUCUAGGGUUUGCAUGCUUCACACUCUCUCUCCAGCAUAUAUAUACACGCUGGAGCCUUAGCGCUUGUAGUUGCUCUCUUCACACUCUCUCGCCCUCUCCAGAUCUAAACAAGACUUCGUUGCCUCUCUCUCCCCUCACUGCUGCUCAAAGAGCCGGCAGGAUCCGUCCGCUGGGAAGGGAAGGAGGCUUAACACUGUCGCCGUCGGCGAGGGAGGGAAUCCACUACCGGCGCAGCUGUUCUUCACCCAACGACGGUGCGGGAGGGCCUCCGACCCCUUCUUUGCCGCAGUUCCGCCACCCACCGAACCACGCCCCAAGAACCUUAAGGUAUAAUUUACUUACUCCACAUGCAUUGCUCUAGCUGCAUGUAUACCAUGAAUCUAGGACAUGGUUCCAAGAGGAAAGGAGUGGGGGAAAGUAGUGGGAAAAGUUGUAUAUUGCAUGAAUCUAGGACGUGGUUCAAAGAGCAAAUGAAGGGGGAAAGUUGUAUAACAUGAAUCUAGGACGUGGUUCAAAGAGGAAAGGAAUGGGGGAAAGUAGUGGGGAAAUUUGUAUCGCAUAAAUCUAGGACGUGGUUCAAAGAGGAAAGGAAGGGGCGAAAGUACUAGUACAGACUGGCUAUCUAGCACCUACGUUGGUCGAAAAGGGAAAACAAUGACAAACGCAGUACGCACAUCUGUAACAAACUGAUCUUUUGUUUUGGGGGACAAGGCUGUAGAGUUUGAGCAGGACUAGAUUUGCUGGGCUCACAUAGGGAAAGGUGUCUAAAGAUAACAAAACUGGGACCAACACAAAUAUGCUACUUGGUUGUUUGUUCUUUGUUGCAACAGACUAUGCAUGACCACAGUACAUAGGUAGAUGCACAUGGUGCUGGUGCGUCCAUGCUACGUCUUGAGCUUUUGUUGGUUUUUCUUGAAGAGGAAAGGGUGAUGCAGCAGUAGUAGCGUAAGUAUUUCCCUUAGUUUUUGAGAACCAAGGUAUCAAUCCAGUAGGAGGCUCCUCAAAAGUCCCAUGCACCUACACAAACAAACAAAGAACUCGCAACCAACGCAAUAAAGGGGUUGUCAAUCCCUUCACGACCACUUGCCAAAGUGAGAUCUGAUAGAGAUAGUAUGAUAAGAUAAAUAUAUUUUUGGUAUUUUAUAAUAUAGAUACAAAAAGUAAAGAUGCAAAUAAAAGUAGAUUGGAAGCAAAUAUGAUAAAGGAUAGACCCGGGGGCCAUAGGUUUCACUAGAGGCUUCUCUCAAGAUAGCAUAAUUAUUACGGUGGGUGAACAAAUUACUGUCGAGCAAUUGAUAGAAAAGCGAAUAAUUAUGAGAUUAUCUAGGCAUGAUCAUGUAUAUAGGCAUCACGUCUGCAACAAGUAGACCGACUCCUCCCUGCAUCUACUACUAUUACUCCACACAUCGACCGACUCUUCCCUGCAUCUUGAGUAUUAAGUUCAUAUGAACAUAGUAACGAAUUAAGAAAGAUGACAUGAUGUAGAGGGAUAAACUCAUGCAAUAUGAUAUAAACCCCAUAUUUUUAUCCUCGAUGGCAACAAUACAAUACAUGCCUUGCAACCCCUCUUGUCACUAGGUAAGGACACUACAAGAUUGAACCCAAAGCUAAGCACUUCUCCCAUGGCAAGAAAGAUCAAUCUAGUAGGCCAAACCAAACUGAUAAUUUGAAGAUACUUGCAAAGAUAACUCAAUCAUACAUAAAAGAAUUCAGAGGAGAUUCAAAUAUUUCUCAUAGAUAAACUUGAUCAUAAACCCACAACUCAUCGGAUCUCGACAAACACACCGCAAAAAGAGUUUACAUCGAAUAGAUCUCCACAAGAGAGGGGGAGAACAUUGUAUUGAGAUCCAAAAAGAGAGAAGAAGCCAUCUAGCUAAUAACUAUGGACCCGAAGGUCUGUGGUAAACUACUCACAACUCAUCGGAGGGGCUAUAGUGUUGAUGUAGAAGCCCUCAAUGGUCGAUUGCCCCUCCGGCAGAGCGCCGGCGAAGGCUGCAAGAUGGGAUCUCGUGGAUACAGAAGGUUACGGUGGUGGAAAUUGUGUUUCGUUGGCUCACUAGAUGUUUUCGGGGUACGUAGGCUUAUAUAGGAGGAAGAAAUACGUCGGUGGCCGCCCGAGGGGCCCACGGGAUAGGGGGUCACGCCCUGUAGGGGAGGGGGGCGCCCUACCCUCUCGUGGACGCCUCGGCUGCUUCUUGACUUGCACUCCAAGUCCUCUGGAUCACGUUCGUUCCAAAAAUCAUGCUCCCGAAGGUUUCAUUCCGUUUGGACUCCGUUUGAUAUUCCUUUUCUUCGAAAUACUGAAAUAGUCAAAAAAACAACAAUAUGGGCUGGGCCUCCAGUUAGUAGGUUAGUCCCAAAAAUGAUAUAAAUGUGUAAAAUAAAGCCCAUAAACAGCCGAAAGGGGUAAUAUAAUAGCAUGGAACAAUCAAAAAUUAUAGAUACGUUUGAGAUGUAUCAGUCCACUGUCCCAUGCAACUCAUUAGCUGUUGUUAAUCUAAGGCCCUAUUUGGUUAAAAACUCCCUAGUCCCUACCUGCUUGGUUCCAGGGACUAAACAUGGACUAGAGGUUAUUAAAUGACAUGCUAAAAGACCAUGUUACCCCUAGUAAUGAACUAAUAGAGACAAGGUGCGAUGUGUGGCAUGGACAACCACUACUAGGGAAAACCCUAGUAGUAGCGCGGGUUUUGAGGCUAUCAGCAGCGCAUUUUCGGAACGCGCUACUAUUAGUUAGCUGUAGUGAUUUCCCGAGCCCGCGCUACUGUUAUGUCUUUCACCAUUUCCCCAUUCCAGCUUCAAUAAACUGCAAUUUCCAGAUACUAGGUACUACUAGAUAUCAAUUUCAUUAAGCAUUAUAGGUACUAGUCGUACUCCCUCGGUUCCAAAUUACUCGUCGUGGUUUUAGUUCAAAUUUGAAAUAAAACCACGAUGAGUAAUUUGGAACCGAGGGAGUACUAGAUAAAAAUUUCAUAUAUACUCAACAUGCAUCCUCAAGCAGUACAAGGUGACAUCGACGACGAUCAUCAUAUUUAGUUCUAGAUGAUAUUGACGACGAUCAUCAUAUUUAGUUCUACAUGAUAUCGACGACGAUCAUCAUAUGUAGUGCUAGAUGAUAUAGCCACACACACAUAUGUAGUUCUAGAUGAUAUCGACGACGAUCAUCAUCCUCAAGCCUGGGCGGUGGGUGUUCCUGAUAGUAAUUAGGAUGGCCUGUCCAACACGAAGAUUCUUGCCAACGAGGAAUCUCUUCCACCCAACCGAAUUUAAGUGUGUGCGACCGUCUGUGUCCAUGCGGUAAGUACAGGUGGUGACGGAGCCCCUUGCAGUAAGGUGUAUUCCAGCUGAUCCUUCUUCAUCAGGCUCGAUACCACAACUCACAGAUAGGUUCUUUGGCAAUUUCUAAAUAAGAAAAACAUAUCAAUUAAUAAAUAGCCUCACACAUACUCUUGCAAAUAUAUUUCUAUUAAGUCUAGAUUUCUACACUAUCAAAAGACACAGUACUACCCAUUUGUACUAAUUAAUCAUGAAUUCUACUAAUAACUAUAUAUGGAUUAUCUACACUAUUAAUAGUUCCUUGGAUUCCACACUAAUAAGCAUGUGAUCAGACUCUACACUAAAGCAUAUCAACGACUAGAUUCCACACAACAUAUCAUUGGACUCUACACUAAGCAUGUCAUCAGAUAAUUUGCAUUUGUAAGUAUAACAUACCAUAUCAUGUCGAUCGGCCAUGGUACUUGUCAGGCGGGUCACGAAUGGCACCCCGACAAAGCCAGCACGUGGUGGAAUUAUGUCCCAUAGGUUGCACACCUCCUCCUCGCUCAGCCUCAUUCUUUGAGCUACGAUGGCUUCAUGAAGUGGGUUCCCAUCAUCUUCAUCGAGUGGGUCCUCAUUAUCUUCAUCAUCUUCUUCAUCUGCAUCAUCUUCGUCAUCUUCAUCAUCUUCGUCAUCUUCAUCAUCUUCCACCAGGUUGAGAUAAAUGACAGCCAGCUUGGGUCUUUCUGCUCUGAAGGAGAAGCUGAUCAACUCACCACCAGUAAGACGCAUGCGGGCGAGGAAACGGGCCCAUCCAUCUCCUCCAAUCUGCAACAUAUUGCGUCCUUUCUAGACCUCCAUAGUGUACGCACCCCUAGGAGCCUCAAAUGUCCCCGUGUCUCCUGUCAGCUUGUUGAAUGUAAACCUCACAUUGCAUGGGACAGUCUGUGUAAGAAAAGAAAAAUGACACAAUGCAGUAAUGCCAACACUAAAAAUAAAAUAGUUGUUACAUUUCAUCUAAUUUCUUACCGCGCAUGACGAAAACUCGGCUGGAAGUAGAUGCCAAACAGCUUGCCAGUUGCAAGGCUGCUGGCGCACCUUGACUUGCACAGUCGACAUAGUGGUGGUGGUGGUGGCGCCAUUUUCCUAAAGCAAUAUGAGCAAAGGAUUAAUGAUUCACUUCACAGGAAAGAAAAACAGUAGCAUGUGAUAUUUUCCUAAAGCAAUAUGAGCAAAGGAUUAGUGGUGGUGGCGCCAUUUUAUGGACAAUUAUAAUCCUAAGAUCUAAUAACAUAUUAGAUGACAAGGUACCACGUACCAAAGAAUUUCGGUGGCACCUAUUGCCGAAAUAACAAUAAAAUGGUGCAUACUAAAUCACCUAAAUCAACUAGCAUACUAAAUCCACUAUCAUACUAAAUCAACUAAAUCAAAAUGUUCUAAAUCAACUAAAUCAACUAGCCUACUAAAUCAACUAAAUCAACUAGCCUACUAAAUCAACUAAAUCAACUAGCCUACUAGAUCAACUAAAUCAUAUCAACUAAAUCAGAAUGUUGCAUAUGAACUAGCCUACUAAAUCAAAAUGUAGCAGGGAGGAGGGAGAAGGAGGGGCGACUCGAGGAGAGAGAAGAGAGUAAGACGGAGGAGGAAGGCGGAGCGAGGAGGGGCUGGCCGGCGGUGAGUGGAGGGAGAAUGGAGGAGGAAGGCGGAGCGAGGAGGGGUCGGCCAGCGGCGAGUGGAGGGAGGACGGAGGAGGAGGCCAGUAUCGAGUCCAGCGAGGAGGAUGAGGUGACGGCGGCGCAGAUUGGAGGAUGGGCGACGGGGGAGGACUGGCGGCGCGGGGGUUGAGGGGGAGAUCGAGUGUGUGUGUGAGUGUGAUCUGUAUCGGAUAGGUGAAUGGGGGGAGAUGGAAUGACUUAGCAGUAGCGCGCUAGAGCAAAAUGGGCUACUGCUAAAUGACCUAUCAGUAGCGCCUUUCGCCGAGAACGCGCUACUGCUAUGUUAGACAUAGACAUAAAAAAUACAUUGAUCAUCAAUUGUAUUUUUGUGUACAAUAUGAUUUGUCAAUAGGAAUCCUCGACGGUUGGUUUAAGAACAGGCGAGGAUUCCUAUUGCGGCCACAGAUCCUACACAUAGAGUUCAAUGAAGAGCAAGUGCUUGUGAAAGUUGUAGAAGUAACAUAUUUAAGGUGGUACAAACUCUCUUCACGGAGCGAGGUGGGAUUAAAUUUUUGUAGUAACCAAAAAGUAGUAGCGAUUAUUGCGUAAAUGCGCUACUGCUAUGAUCCGUAGCAGUAGCGCUCUUUGUGCUAACGCGCUGCUGCUAUAACUGGCCUCGCGGCGGCGUCGUGGGAAUUUUAGCCGUAGCGCGUCUUAGAGUGUGCGCGCUACUGAUAAACUUGUUUCAGCAAUGAGUUUUGAAAGCGCGCGCUACUGCUACAUAGCAGUAGCGCCUAAUUUUAAAGCGCGCUGCUGGUAAGAUUCUGUGUAUAGGAUUUUCCCUAGUAGUGAACUGUUGGAAAAAGUCCCAAAAAGAGUCCCUCGGGGUCUUCUUUCUUUAGUCCCAAAUGCCCACUUUUAGUCCCUAAACGUCCCUCCUGCUUGGUUUAGAUGGGACUGACAUAGGUUUUUUUAGUCCCUACACCAAAAUGUCCCUGUAAACAAACACCCUCUAAUAAUGCCGCUGGAAAAUUGAUGCAAUACCACAGUUAAAAGCAAAUUACAUGUUUAACGAAUUUUCUUGUUAAUAUAAUCUCUAUGUUAAUAUUAAUCAAUGCCGCCGUUUGAGAAAUGCUACUGUCUUGCUUUCUUUCCCAUUUAGAUAAGGUAGAUGCUUCUUUUUGUUGGCUUCUGUGUCAUCCACCGUUAUUGACCAUUAAUUGUUUCCUUUGCACCUCUGUGUAAACAGGGUUAUCUAUUUCACCUCGUUGCCAUUGUGACCUUUUGUUGCACUACACAAAACUUUUUUGUUUUAAGAGUGUUUUGCGCAGUUCAACCAAAAUGUCACACCGACAAUGUUGCUUGAUUGCUUGAUCUUAGUGGAACUGCACAAGAGGAGAUCUUACUUCCUAUCCAUGUUGGCAAAUUUGGUUCAGAUCUUCGUCUUGUGAGUUGUUUGAAUUCCGCAUCAUGAGAGGUCAGUACUAGCCUUCUUUCACAUGAUUCUGCAGUGUGCUUUCAUAUGUUGUGCUACUUGUACGAUAAUGUUGCUUGAUUUUAGUGAACUGCAUAAAUGGAGACAAGACUUCCAAUCAGUAUGUGCACCGUAAUAUCCCAUUGAGGUAAGAUAAGGAUAUUUCACAACUGUUGGCCUGUAUUUUGCCACUUCCAUCAAAAAAUUAAGUUUAGUAUUAUACUUGUGCUCCCUAAUUGACAUACCAAAUCUUACAUUGAAGGUGAAGCUUGUCUAUUUUGAACCAAGUGAUGAAUGGGAAGAACAAGCAGAAGAAAAACAAAAAUCAACUCCCGGUGCUGUAAUGAAGCACUAGAACUGUGAUGACACAAGUAAUGAUAUAGUUUUGCAUCUUAAUUUAUUGUUGUGGCUGGAACGAGCAAUUGUUUUGCCACUGAUUUGAUGCCACUCUUAUUGUAAUACGUAAUUAUCUCUACUUGUGCAAACAGGGAUCUUAUUUGAAGAUACCAUAUAUUUUAGUGGAACUGCACAAGAAGAUGUUGGAAACAUUAAACUAAUCGAGGAGUAUAUAGUAAGCAUGGCCACCACCGUAGAUAGCAACAGAUGGUUCCGGAGAAGUGCUUCAUCUGUAUGCUCUACACAAUAAGCCUCCUGACAAAGGUUGGUACUCUCCCAUUGAUUUCAUCCAUAUGAUUGAGCUUUUUCAUCUCUAUUGGUGUUGUACUACUGUUUAGAUACUGUCAUGAAAAAGUGGUAUUGUCCUUCAGAAGUGCUUCAUCUGUGUUGUUUUAAAUAUUUCCUUUCCUUUUUUUCGAGAAAACAAGGAUGCUAGCAUUUAGUAGUCCUCUCGUCUUUGCACAAUAGGAUUACUUCCUCUGGAGAAGAAUAUGGAGUAUGUCAAGUGACUAGUUCCGAUUAUGCCAGGAUGAAGAAGCCCUGUCUAUCUUCUUAUCAGAAGGAGCACUUAAAGGAUGGUUACAUUACUCCCCACAAGACCAAACUAACUUCAUCUCAGAAGGACUGACAAAUCUCCAUUUUUUGCUGUGAUGCGCGAGUACAAUGUUUUUCUAGGAUUCUUUCUGGUGAGUUCCAUUUUUCUAAAAGUGUGCUCUACAUGGAACAUGUAGGUGCCUGUUUAAACUGUCAAUUCAUAGUACAGUUUGCUUUAUACUUAUCACUUUUUUGUAUUUGUGCAAACAGGGGUGCUCAGCUUGAUUUCAAUGGGAACUGCACAAAAUGUUCAUGAAUACAUCGAAUCAUUCAUUUCCACCACAAGAAACGAGGUGCCGAUAAGUUCAAGGCUUGCAACAUAUAAGGGCGAAAUCAUACAAGCUACGUGCGAAUUUGGUUGAUUUUGGUGGAACUGCACAAAAAGAACAGCUGGUUUAUUUAGCACGAGGUGCCAUGUCAAUGUCCAAACUGAUGGCAAACCCUGCCCAUUCCACAAUCAUAGGCAUUUGAUAUUUUGGAAUGGGACAACCUUGUCAAACUUUGCUCAUUGAUUUUAGCAAGACAUGCGUUCGAUAUUUUGGAAUAGGACGCCCUUUGUUGUCAGCAGCGUCGAUCAAUUUUUUCUUUAUUCUUUAGUUGUGAAGUAAAUAUUGCCUCUGACAUGUGAGUCGCUAAGAUGCAUAAUCAUCCAUUGUUUUGAAUGUUCUCUAUGAAUUGCCAGCCCUGUGUGUUUGAUUGCAAUGUACAGAAACGCUAAAAAGCUGCUCAAACUCUUUGUACUCCUUCUGUUCCUUUUGACUUCACACAUUGUGUAAGUGCAUACUUUUUUGUAUAAGAUUGGUCAAAGUAGAGAUACCUUUACUGUAGAAAAAACUUGUAUGCAGACUAGAAAGGACCGAAGGGAGUACAUGUGAAACUGCUGCAAACGAGGUUAUCACCCAGGGAAUAAUGCUAGUAUGUAUUGUUUUGCAUGUUCAUCCAAUGCGAGUGAUACAGGAAUUCGAACUAAUCGAAAUAAAUUCAUUCAUACACGGUCGGAUUUCAUAUAAACAUGCCGGAUUUCAUUACAUUUCAUACAUUCUUCAACUAAAAAGGGGUGCGCUGGAGGUAUAAUUAAUUAACCGAAGCUACCCACCUGUGUCCCGCUGAGCCAAAUAGAAGCUUCAGUGACUUAACUGCAGGUGCAGUUGCGUAACUAACAUGUGGACUAUUGGGCCCAUGUGUCAGUCAGCCAACUGCACCAGCAGUUAAGUAGAAGCAGCGUUCUUCUCCAGGGCAGCUCUCCGACUCCACGUCGCUGCCAAGAAGCUAACCGGCCGUCAAUGGUCAACCCGCCUAGCUUGGCUUCAACCGGAGGGUAGCAGUGGGGGCCUUACUUGGACCCGAGCGGCGGCGACCUACCGUGUUCUACUCUUCCUCGUUUUCUGUGUGGAGCGACCUCGUUGGCAGCGGGGCCUCGGCGGAGCCGGCGAUGUCCUCUGUGUCGUUGCCAGCAUGCGGCGGAGCGGUGGAAAUCCUCCCCCUCGUUGCUGGCAGGGUUGGGCCUCGGCUGAGCCGGCGAUGUCCUCUGCCACAUUGUUGGCGGGGCGGGGCAUCGGCAGAGCCGGCCGUGUCCUCUGCCUCGUUGUUGGCGCCGCGGGGCCUUGGCGGAGCAGGGCCUCAUUGAUGCCAAACAGCGCCUCACCCAUUUCAUCAUCCUCUUUGUAAGCGGCCACAGCCUCCGCCACCCGCAUGCGGUACCGCGAGCACUUGAGGCGGCCCUUGCGGGCAGAGUGGUACGAGUCGAGCAGCGCCUCCUGCACCGCCCGCUCAUCUACUCCUCUGCCUGCAGGUGCUCCUGCAGGAGAUGGUGGUUGUAGGCGGCGUCGGCAUGCGCCUCCCGGAACUGCUCCUCAUGCAUCUACCUCAUCGUGUCCAUAUAUUGGGCAUGGGCCUCGCCGAUGGUCAUGGUGCAAUGCACCGGCGAGGAUGGCGCAGAGGAGGGGGUUGGCGCCGGAUCGUCGACUACCAUGUUCUCCAUUGGGACGUUCUCGUCCUCCGGCUGCCUGUCGGCCAGCCGGUCGGCAGCAAUGGGUGCCAUCUCCUUGUGGUCCGUCGUCCGCCCGUCCCGAAGAGCGCUGGAGCGCGAGGAAGCCAUGGUGGGCAGUAGUGGUGUGUACAGGAGAAUGGGAACGGAUGUGGAUGACUGCGGCUAUGGCCGGCGCAGUAGUUUAUAUAGCAGUGGUGGGCGGUGGAGGGACGGACGUGUGGCGCCGGAGUAGCCACCGCGGCAACCGCAUAUCAUUAAUGUGGGCAGCAGAUGGACAGACAGACAACACUUGUGUCAUUUGAAGGCGGAGCAAUCACCUGCACUGGGAAGCAGGGCGGGCGGCGCUGACUGUUUCGGGCGGAAAGCGCGCGCGGGCGAGGAGAUAACUUUACUUGGAGAGGAUGACAAUGGGGACCCACCAGGGCCAUAGCCUCACGUAUGCAAGUGCCUCCUUAUUAUAUAUAUAUAUAUAUAUAUAUAUAUAUAUAAUUUAUUUUGCUUCCUCCUGGUUUCCUUACAUCACGGUCCCUCACCAUUGUCAACCUAUGUACUCCCUCCUUUCUGGUUUAUAGGGCUUAUCUCAAAAUUUUAUUUUUUCCAUUUUAUAAGGCUCAAUUUGGUUGUUUUCCAUCACAUGUUCAGAUUCUAAGGUGCAUUAAAUCAUUGCAUGCAAGUAUUAAGAGAAAAUUGACCAAUGCAUGUACUUUAUGCAUGCAUGCAUUGCAAUUAAUGCAUUAAAAAAAUUUAAUUUUUUGAGGACAACAAGAGCAUUAAUUAGGUGCUUUUGCAAAACUACAAAAAGUAUUCCACCACUCACCAUCUACCUUGAUUGGUGAGAUUUUUGAAUUGAGCACUAAAAACCAGAAAGGAGGGAGUAGUCAAUAAACGAGAGAAUUGCACAAGAAGUGGCCGACAGUUGGGACCAAGCAGCUCGAGCAGUAUUUGUGUUUUUGAGGUGUGAGCACUUCAGAGUUUUUCGAUGUUUAGCCCAGAUAUUAAAUUUUCUCCACUAAACAACAACGAAAACAUCACUGCAGGUAUUAACUGGGCGGGCUGUGGCCCGUCUAGCCCAGGCCAGAUAUUCAGCCCAGAUAUUAAUUUUUUUCUGGCUGAAAAUGGCUAGCCCAGCUAUAAUUUUUUUAAGAAUACCUAGGCAAGGUCAAGUUAUUAUUCUUCGCCCCGCUGGGCUGCAAAUCUUUCCUAGGAGGGAUGCACUAGGCUUAACAAGAAAAUGGGCUUUAAGAAAUAAUAAAUGGAAUGUAAUUAUAAAAACUGGGAAGUAACUAUAAAAAGAUGCACUAAAAACGUAAUUACUUUAUAAAAUAUUAUUUUUGGAUAUUGAAAAUUUUAAUUUCAUUAAUUGUUGCGAGCGCAAUGUUUCAUUGGAUUUUUACAUAAUAUAAAUUUAUAUUGAAAUUGUAUUUAAUCUCACUAGAAAUUUUGGGAUAAAAAUAUUUCGGAUCCCAUCAAAAUGUGGGAAAUUUUAUUGAAUUUUGUUUUGAACGGUUGGUUGAAAUGGGUUGUACUUUUAACAAACUGUAAAAUGGGCUGUAGUAAAUUCCAUUAGAAUUCAAAAAUGGGUUGCACAUUCUUACAAAUAUCAAAUGGGCUAUAAGUUCUCUGCCACACACUUAUGGCCUUACUAAGUUGACGUGUCCCCUAAAAAAUAGAGUUGACGCAUAUGCAAGGCUUUGUCAACUUAUAGUCAACACACGGUUCUAGCAGCAGUGGCCGUUGGAUGUCCAUCCAACGGAUGCCGUGCUUCUUCUUCAAUCUCGGAUAGUCUAGCUUCACCCGCCCAAAAAAUGAUUCCUCCCCCUGACAUCUGGGGCGCACCGUUUCGGAAGCUGACCUGUGGGCCUACUAAGUUGACGUACCAAGGGCUUUGUCAACUUAGUCAAUAUAAACGAUUCUAGCUGCAGUGACCGUAUGAUGUCCAUCCAACGGCCGUCGUGCUUCUUCAACCUCUAGUCUUCUUGCUCCAGCCGCCCAAAGUAGCAUCGGUCAUGCCACCUGCCUCCCGUGGCCAGCUGUGCUGUUGCGGAGACCUCAUCACCCACUACUACUCCCACCGCUGGCCAGGCCAUCCCUCCAGUCACCCACACCCCCUGUUAUUCUACGGCAACGGCAGCAUAGCCGAACCAGUGAACCCUCGUACUCCUCUCCGCGUGUGCAUCCACUGGCGCGUCUUCCCCGGCUCCACAUCGUCCCCUUCCUAGGCCUCACCGUCGUCCACCGCCAUGGUGCUCUCGGCGCGGCGUGGUCAACGUGGUCAAGGAACGACUUCCAUCGGACGUGGACUGUACGUGGAGAGGCUGACAGGUGGGUCCAUGGCAGCAGCAAGGAAGUGCCUCCUUAUUACGCGCAAAAUAAUUAUUCCUCCACCUGACAGCGGGGACCCACCGGAUGGGCCACCGUAUUUUGCGAAAAAAUGAUUCGCCCCCUGACUGCUGGGACCCACCAGCUACAUCUUCGCACGCAAGGAAGUUCGUCCGGGAAAAAAACGAUUCGCCCCCCUGACUGCUGGGACCCACCAGCUACAUCUUCGCACCCAAGGNNNNNNNNNNNNNNNNNNNNNNNNNNNNNNNNNNNNNNNNNNNNNNNNNNNNNNNNNNNNNNNNNNNNNNNNNNNNNNNNNNNNNNNNNNNNNNNNNNNNNNNNNNNCUGCUGGGACACACCAGCUACAUCUUCACACGCAAGUAAGUGCCUGACGGUCGGGACCCACCUGGUCGAAGCGUACGUAGCGUUGUCAUUAUGUUCACAAACGUGUACGUACAUACUGGUCGAUGUAGAGGCGCGCACGUGUCGUAGUAGAGGCCCGAACGUGUCGUAGUAGAAGCGCGCACAUAGCAUGUACACGUACAUACAACAGCCAGGGUGCAAGAAAGAAAAUACGGCCACGUACGUACAUACAGGCGGUGUCUCGAACGCCUACUCGCGCAUACGUACGGCCAGGGCUAAUGUACAUGGCUGGGUGGGAACGGAGAAACAACAUCCUCGUCAUGUUCAUGGGGAGCCAACCGGCUGGGUUGGAGCGAAAUGCGCCAUCGUGUUCAUCGGGAGGGCUUGGACGGAACAGGCGAUGUAAACGAGGCCUGGCGUACAGUAGAACGAAGGAAACGGCCUUGUGUUUGACCGGCCACGUUCAAAACGGGAUCCUGUUCAUCGGGAGGGGUCUGGCGUACCACAAAACGGAGGAAACGGACCUCCUACGAUCGAAACGGGGGUCCUAUUGAUCAGGAGGGGUGUGGCGUACCGCAAAACGGACGAUACGGACUUGUGUUGGAGAGCUACGGUCGAAACAGGGGUCAUGUUCAUCGGGAGGGGUGUGGCAUACCGCAUAAUGGACGAAACGGACUUGUGUUGGAGCGCUACGGUCGAAACGGGGGUCCUGUUCAUCGAGAGGGGUGUGGUGUACCGCAAAACGGGACUCCACGGGAUACUGUUCAUCUCCACCGUCGACCUCCUCCAGCCUCCACGGGCUACCGUCGACCUCCUACAGCCUCCACGGGCUCCUGUUCAUCCAGCCUCCACCCUGCGCUACUCCACCGGCUACUUUUCAACCACCCCUCCACGGGCACCCCUCCAUCGUCUACUGUUCAUCCAGCCCUCCACGGGGUCAUCCUAUUCAUCUACCCCUCCACACCACAGGGUCGAUCCUGUUCAUCCAGAGGCAACACCACCGCUCACUGUUCAUCCAACCCCCCUACCCCCGCAACGCUCACUUUUCAUCCAGAGAUGCAGCAUCGAUCGGCUUCAGUUAGAAGCAGUAGUGAAGGAAUCGCUCGAUCGGGUUCAGUUAACAGCCAUCGAUCGAUCGCUCGGGUUCAGCAAUGCAUAGCCUGCAGUGCAAUCGCUCGGGUUUAGUUAGAACCCAACGCCUCGCUCGGGUUCAGUUAGAGCCAACGCCUCGCACACAUGCGCGUACGUGUACGAGAGAAACGCGCAUCGCUCGGCCCCCGACCGCCCACCUUAACCGGGAACUCCCCGAAAUUUUCCUCGCCCUCGCUUCUACCAUGGUUUUUUCUGUCAUGGACGGCCCAAAGAAUGUCAUGCAGUUGUGUCUCCGGCCCGCCCAGGACGAAAAGCCCAUUUUCUGUCAUGAUUUUUUGUCAUAGAAGUAGGAGCCCACCACAUCUAUGAUGAUACUAGGUUUUGUCACAAUUAUCGUCAUAGAAGUGUCAUAAGUAUGACAGAAAAAAAAUUCGUUCGGCCCAAAAUGUUACGGAUGUGUCUUUUUUUUUUGUAGUGUUAGGGGUACAAUCGACGACAAUUUGAUUGGUCGAGAUCCAGCUCAUGUUUAAAAUGACGUCUGAGCCGGAAGGAUGAAUUCUAGGAUCAGAUUAAGGAUUGCGCGCAUUCACAACAUAUUGAACCAACGGAUUUAAAAUGAUAAUGACAAGGGAUACCAAUAAGAUUACGAGACUUAUGGGAUUAACCAUAAUGCAAGCAACCAAGAAUUUCAAGAGCAAUAGGCUGCUCAGGAUUUUCGGAAGACCGAAUGGUACUUCGAAGACUUUUGGGAAACACAUGAACAACUGGGAAUGAGCGGAUACUCGAUAAGUGCAAGGAAUUAUCCGUAGGGGUAUUCAGGUGGCAAAGAACUGCAAGUCAAUAGGCAAUAGUAUUCUCGGAACAAUAGAGAGAAUUUCGAGGUACCUUGUAAUAACAAGAUCAACUAGGAAUAAAAGUAAAAAUGACAAGUGUAUGCAUUUAUCCAUAGUGAUAUAUGGGUGGUAGGGAAUUGCAAAAGAGACAGGCACAAAGUCUCAAGAAAACAUGGGAGAGUAUCUUCGAAAUCUUCUGGCACACUAAGCAAUCAUCUGGAGUGAGGGGCUCUCCGGAAGGAAGUAGUUACGAGAACCUAGAGUUAGAGUCAGUAAAAAUCAUUUAACAUGAAUAGAAGAGAGAUCAGAGUCCCAGAGUAUAAACGAGGAAUAAAAUAUCUAAUACCACCCAAUGGCGAUAUGGGCCUGUAAGGCACACAGCCAUGUUAGGAAAAUUUUAGCAAUGUCUAGACUCGACUUCGACUAAGGAGUGUGGAAGGGGGAUUCCAAUAGAUAGUCAUCUCUGAGACCAACCUGUGACGCCCCCGAUUCAAUCAUACACUAAUCAUGCAUGCAAAUGUGUAUGACCAAGAUCAGGGACUCACAGGAAGAUAUCACUACACAACUCUAGACACAAAUUAAAGAUUAUACAAGCUUCAUAUUACAAGCCAGGGGCCUCGACGGCUCGAAUACAUAAGCUCGAUCAUAAAUGAGUCAGCGGAAGCAACAAUAUCUAAGUACAGGCAUAAGUUAAACAAGGUGCUAUAAGGUUGCUAGAAGAAACUGGGAUAUGGAUUGAAAGAGGCGCAUGCCUCCUGCCUGGGGUCCUCCUCCACUACUCCUGGUCGUCUGUGGCCUGCACGUAGUAGUAGGCACCCUCGGUGUAUUUGGGGUCGUCUUCCACGGUGGCGUAUGGCUCCGGGGGUCCAACAUCGGGUUGCGACGUCCGAGAAGAAUGGAAAGGGGGAAAAGAGGAUGCAAAGCAACCAUGAGUACUCAUCCAAAGUACUCGCAAGAAAGAAUCUACACUACAUAUGCAUUGGUAUCUGUGUAAAGGGGUAAUAUCAAUGGAUUGAACUGCAGAAUACUAGAAUAAUAGGGGGAUAGCUAGUCCUAUCGAAGACUACGCUUCUGGCAGCCUCCAUCUUUAAGCAUGUAGAAGAGAGUAGCUGGUAAGUUCACCAAGUAUCAUCGUAUAGCAUAAUCCUACCAGGCGAUCCUCUCCUUGUCGCCCUGUGAGAGAGCGAUCACCAGGUUGUAUCUAGCACUUAAAAGGGUUUGUUUUUUUAAGUAUCCCAUUCUAGUUAUCAUAAGGUCAAAGUACAACUCCGGGUCAUCCUGUUACCUUGGACACGACUAUUCAAAUAGAUCAAUCUUCCCUGCAGGGGUGCACCACAUUACCCAACACGCUCGAUCCCUCUUGCCAUGCACACUUUCUAGGUCAUGUCUGCCCUCCGGAGAUCAACAUGUCACAUCCCUACCUAGGCUCAACAGACAGGUCAGCACGCUUGUCUAAAUCCUAAGCGCGGGGGGGUCUGGGCCCAUUGCCCGUUGCACACCUGCAUGUUGUGAACGCGGCCAGAAGCAGAGCUGGCUUCCCUAAUACAAGAGCAGGCGUUCUAGUCCAAUCCGGCGCGUACCACUUUGUGGCUGAGGUCCAGAAGGCUCCGGUGUAUAAGGUCAAUGAUCCAACUCAGAUCAAAUACCAAGAUCUCGUUAAGCCUGUUAUUUUAAAGUAACCGUGGACGCCGACCAGGACCAAGCCCACCUGUCUCCUAUGUGGUCACAACUUGCCAUGUCGCUCCGUCACAAAGAUCCACUCAGAGGGCCGGCUGGACAAAUGUCCUUUCGACCCCCAAUCCAUGAAUCACUUGCGGGUACUUGAUACGUCUCCAAUGUAUCUACUUUUCCAAACACUUUUGCCCUUGUUUUGGACUCUAAGUUGCAUGAUUUGAAUGAAACUAACCCGGGCUGACGCUAUUUUCAAUAGGACUGCCAUGAUGUUGUUUUAUGUGUAGAAAAGAAAAGUUCUCGGAAUGUCCUGAAAAUCCACGGAGGCACUUUUCGGAAAAUUUUAAAAAUACUGGCGAAAGAAUCAAGACAGGGGGGCACACCCUGUCGACGAGGUUGGGGGCGGGCCCCCUGUCUCGUGGGCUCCCCAGACCUCCACCGACCUCAACUCCAACUCCAUAUAUUCACGUUUGGGGAGAAAAAAACUUAGAGAGAAAGUUUCAUCGCGUUUUAUGAUACAUAGCCAACGCCAAGCCCUAAUCUCUCUCAGGAGGGAUGAUCUGGAGUCCGUUCGGGGAUCCGGAGAGGGGGAUUCGUCGCCGUCGUCAUCAUCAACCAUCCUCCAUCACCAAUUUCAUGAUGCUCACCGCCGUGCUUGAGUAAUUCCAUCGUAGGCUUGCUGAACGGUGACGGGUUGAAUGAGAUUUACCAUGUAAUCAAGUUAGUUUUGUUAGGGUUUGAUCCCUAGUAUCCACUAUGUUCUGAGAUUGAUGUUGCUAUGACUUUGCUAUGUUUAAUGCUUGUCACUAGGGCCCGAGUGCCAUGAUUUCAGAUCUGAACCUAUUAUGUUUUCAUGAAUAUAAGUGUGUUCUUGAUCCUAUCUUGCAAGUCCAUAGUCACCUAUUAUGUGUUAUGAUCCGACAACCCCGAAGUGACAAUAAUCGGGAUACUUCUCGGCGAUGACCGUAGUUUGAGGAGUUCAUGUAUUCACUAUGUGCUAAUGCUUUGUUACGGUUCUCUAUUAAAAGGAAGCCUUAAUAUCCCUUAGUUUUCGCUAGGACCCCGCUGCCAUGGGAUGGUAGGACAAAAGGUGUCAUGCAAGUUCUUUUCCAUAAGCAUGUAUGACUAUUUACGGAAUACAUGCCUACAUUACAUUGAUGAACUGGAGCUAGUUCUGUGUCACCCUAUGUUAUGGCUAUUAGAUGAGGAAUCGCAUCCGACAUAAUUAUCCAUCACUCAUCCAUUGCCUACGAGCUUUUCACAUAUUGUUCUUCACUUAUUUACUUUUCCGUUGCUAUUGUUACAAUCACUACAAAACCCAAAAACAUUACUUUUGCUACCAUUACCUUUAUUAUCAUACUACUUUGCUACUAAAUACUUUGCUGCAGAUACUAAGUUAUCCAGGUGUGGUUGAAUUGACAACUCAACUGCUAAUACUCAAGAAUAUUCUUUGGCUCCCCUUGUGUCGAAUCAAUAAAUUUGGGUUGAAUACUUUACCCUCGAAAGCUAUUGCGAUCCCCUACACUUGUAGGUUAUCAAGACUAAUUUCUGGCGCCGUUGCCGGGGAGAAUAGCUCUAUUCACUGAGUCAUUUGGGAUUUAUAUCUGUUGAUCACUACGAAGAACUUGAAAGAUGACAGAACCAAGAUUUUGCCCUCAACUACGAGGGGAGGUAAGGAACUGCCAUCUAGCUAUGCACUUGAUUCUCCUUCUGUUAUUAGUAAACUUGUGACACCUAAACCUGCUACUGCUAUGAAUUCUGAUAUGUCGCAUGUUAUCGAUGAUGCCACUUCUGCUAUGCAUGAUACUUAUGAUGAAACUACUUCUGUGCGUGAUACUACUUUGCCAUUAGGUGAAUUUCUUGAUGAACAACUUGCUAUAGUUAGGGGGAAUGAAAUUAUUGAAGAUGCUAUUACUGAUGAUAGUGAUGAUGAAAAUUCUCCUGAUGAUUAUGAAUUGCCUGUUGUUCCUGAGGGUUAUGUUAUGAAUGAAGAAGCUGUUAGAGCUAUCUUUGCUUGCAAUGAUAGAUAUGAUCUUAAGAAGUUAUUAGCUAAAUGGAAGCAGUAGUCUCUUAAUGCUAGAAUGAAACCUGACCCCGCUUUUGCUACUUCACCUAUCUGUGUUACUAAUAAGGAUUAUGAAUUCUCUGUCGAUCCUGAGAUUAUUACUUUGGUUGAAUCUGAUCAUUUUUAUGGCCUUGAAUCUGAAACUGUUGUGGCACAUCUUACCAAGUUGAAUGAUAUAGCUACCCUGUUUACUCAUGAUGAUAAAUCUCGCUAUUAUUAUAUCCUUAAGAUAUUUCCGUUCUCGUUAAAGGGUGAUGCUAAGACUUGGUACAAUUCUCUUGCUCCUGGUUGUGUGCGUAGUCCCCAGGAUAUGAUUUGUUACUUCUCUGCUAAAUAUUUCCCUUCUCAUAAGAAACAAGCUGCCUUGCGGGAAAUAUAUAAUUUUGUGCAAAUCAAAGAAGAGAGUCUCCCACAAUCUUGGGGGAGGCUUUCCGGUUACUUAAUGCUUUUCCUGAUCAUCCUCUUAAGAAAAACGAAAUACUUGAUAUCUUUUAUAAUGGACUAACCAAUGCUUCCAAGGACUACUUGGAUAGUUGUGCUGGUUGUGUUUUCAGGGAAAGAACAAUCGACGAAGAUGAAUUACUAUUGAAUAAUAUGUUGACUAAUGAAAAUAAUUGGACUCUCCCUGAGCCAAUUCCUGAGGCAAUUCCUGAACCAAUUGAGCCAACUCCUGAGCCUAUUCCUAAACCCACUCCGAAGAAGAGAGGUGUUCUAUUUCUCAGUCCUGAAGAUAUGCAAGAGGCAAAGAAAUCAAUGAAAGAAAAAGGUAUUAAAGCUGAAGAUGUUAAGAAUUUACCACCUAUUGAAGAAAUACAUGGUUUUAAUAUACCGCCUGUUGAAGAACCACGUUGUCUUGAUGACCCGACAUAGGUAGUAAAAGUAAAUUAUCUCUAUAGAUAUGAUAAAGUUGAAAUCCCCUCUACUAAAUUUCAUAGCCCAUGCUUAGAUGAAUUUUAUGACUUUAUGGCUAGAUAAGAAAGUUUUAAUGCUUAUGUUGGUAGAGAGUUCAAGAAUAAUGCUUUCGAGAUAGGACGCGUGAGCGAUAAUAUGGCUAGAGUUAAAGGUGAACUCAAACUCAUUAGCAAAUAUGCUUCUAUGGUUGCUACUCAAGCUGAGCAAGUACUUAAAGCUCAAAAUGAUUUGCUUGAUGAAUUAAAUAAUAAAAAUGACUUUGCUGUUAGAGUGGCUACUAGAACUGGUAGAAUGACUCAGGAACCUUUGUAUCCUGAAGGCCACCCUAAGAGAAUCGAGCAAGAUUCUCAGAGAAACAAUUUAGAGGCACCUAGUUUUUCUAAAAAGAAGAAAAAGAAAACCGAUAGGACUUCGCAUGCUUCUAGUGAACCUACUAUAGACACACCUAAGAAUCCCAAUGAUAUUUCUAUUUUUGAUGUUGAAACACAAACAGGUGAUGGACAUGAACCUGGUGAUAAUGUUAAUGAUAAUGUUCAUGUUGAUGCUCAACCUAGCAAAAAUAAUGAUGUAGAGAUUGAACCUGUUGUUGAUCUUGAUAACCCACAAUCAAAGGAUCAACGUUAUGAUAAGAGAGAUUUUGUUGCUAGGAAGCACGGUAAAGAAAGAGAACCAUGGGUUCAUAAACCCAUGCCCUUUCCUCCUAAACCAUCCAAGACAAAGGAUGAUGACGAUUUUGAUCGCUUUGCUGAAAUGAUUAGACCUAUCUUCUUACAUAUACGCUUAAUUGAUAUGCUUAAAGUAAAUCCUUAUUAUGCUAAAUAUAUGAAGGAUAUCAUCACAAACAAAAGAAAGAUACCGGAAGCUGAAAUUUCCACCAUGCUUGCUAAUUACACUUUUAAAGGUGGAAUACCAAAGAAACUUGGAGAUCCAGGUGGACCAACCAUACCAUGCUCCAUUAAAAGAAAUUAUGUUAGAACUGCUUUAUGUGAUCUUGGAGCCGGCGUUAGUGUUAUGCCUCCCUCUUUAUAUCAUAGACUUGAAUUGAAUAAGUUGACACCUACUGAAAUAUCUUUGCAAAUGGCUGAUAAAUCAACCGCUAUACCUGUCGGUAUUUGUGAUGAUGUGCCUGUUGUGGUUGCAAAUGUCACUAUCUUAACGGACUUUGUCAUUCUUGAUAUUCCUGAGGACGAUAGUAUGUCUAUUAUCCUUGGUAGACCUUUUUUGAAUACUGCAGGGGCUGUUAUUGAUUGCAACAAAGGCAGUGUCACUUUUCAUGUUAAUGGUAAAGAGCAUACGGUACACUUUCCAUGGAAACAAUCUCAAGUUCAUAGCAUCAAUUCUAUUGGAAAAGUUCCAACUAUCAUUAUUGGAGGUUUUGAAUUUCCUCUCCCUACUGUCAAGAAAAAGUAUGAUAUUCUUAUUGUUGGGGAUUUUCAUAUCCCCGUUGAGAUAACUUAGUGUUAUUUGAAAUUUCUCCAGUUCCGUGUUAUUCGGAAUGAGUUUGUUAACAAGACUUGAUCAACCUUGUUAGUGGAUUCAUUUCGAUGAUCAUGAGAUGGAUGAAACUAGAAGGCACAACCUUCUGUACCCUCUUUUUACUUUCUGUUAUUUAGAAUAAAUAAAGCAAAAAUAGUAUUAUCCGUCUGUUUUCUGAAUUAUCUGUGCAAUAAAAAAUUAUUCCGAAAAUAAAAGUAUUCCAAAUGCCCUGCAAAUUUAGUAUGAUUUUUUAUGGAAUAUUUGAGGAUUUUAGGCACUGAAAUCACUGCAGGAGGGGCAAGCACCACACCACGAGAGUGGAGGGCACGCCCACCCCACCUGGGCACGCCCCCCUGUCUCGUGGGCCCCUGGUGGCCCCCCUCCACUUAUGCCAGCACCCACACACUUCAUCUUCUACCCAAAAAAAUUCCCAUCCAGCUCAAGCACGAGUUCUAGCUCAUUUUGCUGCGAUUUUCGAUCUCCUUGCUCAAAGCUCCAUUCACAAAACUGCUUUGGGAGAUUGUUGCUUGGUAUGUGACUCCUCUAUUGGUCCAAUUAGUUUUUGUUCUAGUGCUUUAUUCAUUGCAAACUUUUGCUGCAUAGGUGACCAUGUUCUUGAGCUUGCAUGUUGAAUUUAUGAGGGCCCAAGCAAUUCUAAUGCAUGAUAUAGGCUUUAGGCACUUGUAGGAGUAGUUGCUACCAAUCUUGUUUAGUUUUAUUCACUUUUAUUUUGAAGAUACUAAAAUUUCAGAAAUUUUUCAGAAAAAGAAUUAUGUCUAGGAGAAUGUACCAAGGUGGUUCCUCGGUUAAGAAACGACCCAGGAUUGCUAUACGUGAGCAAGAUGUGGAAUUACCGAGGGACGCGGAUGUACGAGCUUGUGAGUGGCCAUCCGAUGAUUUUAUUGUCGAAGGAGGCUUUAAGGAGGAAUUUUACGCAUAUGUGUGUAAUGCUGAGCUGGAGGAAUUCUUACAAGAUAAGUGUCCUUAGUACUAUCAAUUGACUGAUUCCUUCGUGCGGAGGUUUAAAUAUAACUAUACGCAUAAUUCUCCUAGUGUCAUAUUUGAUAUUUAUGAUACAUCUUAUACCAUGGACUUAGAGGAUUUUACUACUGCUUGCAAACUUCCGCAGUGGGGUAAUAUUAAUGAUCCUCACAAAUCUGAACUUAGAGAUUUCCUCGCUAGUAUUACUAUGGGAGAAUCCAGGGACAUAGCACAAGCUACCAUAGGGAGCAUUCAUUUUCCUGCUAUACAUUAUUUUGCUCUCUUCGUUGGUAGAUGCAUUAACGGUAAGAAUGAAGCAUGUCACAUGUGUGUCCCUGAUCUUUGUGUCCUCAAGAGUGUUGUGUUGGGUUAUAAAGGUUAUAACUUGGGGGCAAUAGUCGCACGUAGGUUGCAGAAUAAUAGUAGAACUGGAGAUUUAUUUGGAGGAAUUUAUGCAAACCGUGUGGCUAAUUAUCUUGGUAUAGCCCCACGAGAAGGGGAUAUGAUGAUACCUCCUGCUUAUUUAGAUUAUGACGCUAUGGUCAAUCAUCAAUUUCUUAGGAGGAAUGAACAAUUCCUCCAAUAUCAAAUAAUCUAUGACAAAUGCAACGUUGUCCAUGUUACUCUUCCUGCUCCUCUCCUUUUUGAUUAUCAGGCAAAAGGAAGAUAUGUUGUUACCAGGGAGGAAGCAGCUGAACACGAGGGAAGAGCGGAGGCAGCUCGCAACAUGCCGCAGCUCAGGAGGCGGUUGCCGCUGCGUCUCAGUACGACCCCAGCUACAACUAUGGAUAUCAGCCAGGCGGUCCUUGGUAUUAGACCAACUUAGGCCAAAAGCCUAAGCUUGGGGGAGUACGUAUUUCUCAUCGGCUUUACAUUUAUGUUCACACACUAGUCGUCGGUGCUCAUACUCUUUCAUUGUAUUAUCCAUGUUAGUUUAAUUUUCUUUUUUGCUUUCUUCUUGUGUGUUUGAUAAACCAUAAGAAAAAACAAAAAAAUUAGUUAGUUUAAUUUCCAUGCUUGUAGUAGAAUGAAAAUGAAAACCCCAAAAGAUUUCUAGUUCUUCUUCUUACUUGUUGGGAGCUUUCCCAUGUAAGUAGUUUUAUUUUCUUUUCUUUCUUUGGGGGUCGAGAAGACCAAAUUGAAAAUGUUUAGUGGCUCUCGUAUGCAUGAUUGUUUAUUUAAUUUAGAGCCCAUAUUACCCUAUCUUCUCUCUUGAGUUGAAUGCUUGCAGAUUCCAGCUUAGUCCAAUGCACGUGCACUAUUAUUAUUAUACACAUCGUUCGGUCGUGCAACUGAAAGGCAAUAAUGACGAUAUAUGAUGGACUUAUUGAGAUGAGAAAAGGUGCUAUGAACUCGACCUCUCUUGUUUUUGUAAAUAUGAUGGGUUCAUCGUUUCUGAUUCAGCUUAUUAUGAAGUAAACAUAUUUGCAAUGACAUUUAGAGAUUAUAGUGUGUUGUGCCAUGCUUGAUUAGCUAAGAGUUAUAAUGGUUUACCUUGCGUGCCAACAUGCUAUUAGAAUGAUUAUGAUGUGGUAUGAUGGGAUGGUAUCCUCCUUUGAAUGAAUUGAGUGACUCGACUUGGCACAUGUUCACGCAUGCAGUUGAAACAAAUCAACAUAGCCUUUAUGAUAUUUAUGUUCAUGGUGGAUUAUAUCCUACUCAUGCUUGUACUCGGUGUGAAUUAAUUUUAAUGCAUGUUUAUGACUAUUGUCGCUCUCUCAGUUGGUCGCUUCCCAGUCUUUUGCUAGCCUUCACCUGUACUAAGCGGGAAUACUGCUUGUGCGUCCAAACUCCAUAAACCCCAAAGUUAUUCCAUAUGAGUCCACCAUACUUUCCUAUAUGCGGUAUUUACCCGCCUUUCCAAGUAAAUUUGUAUGUGCCAAACUCCAAACCUUCAAAGGAAAUUCUAUUUUGUAUGCUCAAGCAGCUCAUGUUACAACUAGGGCUGCCUAUAUCUUCCAUGCUAGGUGGGUUAUUCUAAAGAGGAGUGGACUCCGCACCUCAUUCAUGAGAAAGGGCCAGUAACCCGGAUACCCGUUCCCAUGAUCCAAAAAGAUCAAAGAAAAUCAAUAUAAUUAAACAAAGCUACUCCAGGGCUGUUGUUAGUUGGAGGCACUCAUUGUUUCGAGCAAGCCAUGGAUUGAUGCGUGUUGGUGGUCGGGGGAGUAUAAACCUUUACCAUUCUGUUUGGGAACUGCCUAUAAUGCAUGUAGUAUGGAAGAUACAGCCAUCUCAUAGUUGUUGCGUUGACAGCAAAAGUAUGCCGCUCAAAAUUUUAUUCAAUCUCUAUUUUAAAAUCGAGCUCUGACACCUCUACAAAUCCCUGCUUCCCUCUGUGAAGGGCCAAUCUAUUUACUUUUAUGUUGAGUCAUCACCCUUCUUAUUAAAAAGCACCCGCUGGAGAGCACACUGUCAUUUGCAUUCAUUACUAUUGGUUUAUAUUGGGUAUGACUUGACUGGAUCUCUUUUACCAUGAAUUACAAUGUUUAGUCAGUCCUUGAUCUUUAAAGGUCUAGCAAGAUACCAUUUUGUUAUAUCAUGUUAUGAUUUUUUUGAUAAAGUGUUGUCAUCUGAGCUUUAUUAUUAUGGUUCGCUAGCUGAUUAUGCUAUUGACAUGAAUAAUUGUGAGACCUAAGUGUUAUUAUAAGUAUGGUUAGUUCGUAAUAUUUGCUGAAACCUAAAUGAUGGCUUUGCAUGUUUACAACAACAAGAGCAAAUAGAGUUUGUAAAAAAAAUUCUUUAUCACUUUCAGUUUAUGAACUGAAUUGCUUGAGGACAAGCAAAGGUUUAAGCUUGGGGGAGUUGAUACGUCUCCAACGUAUCUACUUUUCUAAACACUUUUGCCCUUGUUUUAGACUCUAACUUGCAUGAUUUGAAUGAAACUAACCCGGACUGACGCUGUUUUCAGCAGAACUGCCAUGAUGUUGUUUUAUGUGUAGAAUAGAAAAGUUCUCGGAAUGUCCUGAAAAUCCACGGAGGCACUUUUUGGAAAAUAUUAAAAAUACUGGCGAAAGAAUCAAGACAGGGGGCGACACCCUGUCCACGAGGGUGGGAGCGCCCCCUCCCUGUCUCGUGGGCCCCCUAGACCUCCACCGACCUCAACUCCAACUCCAUAUAUUCACGCUCGGGAAGAAAAAAAAUCAGAGAGAAAGUUUCAUCGCAUUUUACGAUACAGAGCCACUGCCAAGCCCUAAUCUCUCUCAGGAGGGAUGAUCUGGAGUCCGUUCGGGGAUUCAUCGCCGUCGUUAUCAUCAACCAUCCUCCAUCACCAAUUUCAUGAUGCUCACCGCUGUGCGUGAGUAAUUCCAUCCUAGGUUUGCUGGAUGGUGAUGGGUUGGAUGAGAUUUAGCAUGUAAUCAAGUUAGUUUUGUUAGGGUUUGAUCCCUAGUAUCCACUAUGUUCUGAGAUUGAUGUUGCUAUGACUUUGCUAUGCUUAAUGCCUGUCACUAGGGCCUGAGUGCCAUGAUUUCAUAUCUGAACCUAUUAUGUUUUCAUGAAUAUAUGUGUGUUCUUUAUCCUAUCUUGCAAGUCUAUAGUCACCUAUUAUGUGUUAUGAUCCGACAACCCCGAAGUGACAAUAAUCGGGAUACUUCUCGGUGAUGACCGUAGUUUGAGGAGUUCAUGUAUUCACUAUGUGCUAAUGCUUUGUUCCUGUUCUCUAUUAAAAUGAGGCCUUAAUAUCCCUUAGUUUCCGCUAGGACCCCGCUGCCACGGGAGGGUACGACAAAAGAUAUCAUGCAAGUUCUUUUCCAUAAGCACGUAUGACUAUUUAUGGAAUACAUGCCUACAUUACAUUGAUUAACUGGAGCUAGUUCUGAGUCACCCUAUGUUAUAACUAUUACAUGAGGAAUCGCAUCCGGCAUAAUUAUCCAUCACUGAUCCAUUGCCUACGAGCUUUUCACAUAUUGUUCUUCGCUUAUUUACUUUUCCGUUGCUGUCGUUACAAUCACUACAAAACCCAAAAACAUUACUUUUGCUACUGUUACCUCUAUUAUCAUACUACUUUGCUACUAAAUACUUUGCUGCAAAUACUAAGUUAUCCAUGUGUGGUUGAAUUGACAACUCAACUGCUAAUACUCAAGAAUAUUCUUUGGCUCCCCUUGUGUCGAAUCAAUAAAUUUGGGUUGAAUUCUUUACCCUCGAAAGCUGUUGCGAUCCCCAACACUUGUGGGUUAUCAGUACUCUAUGAGCCGACCCGACUUUAGUCACAUCAUAUAACCUGUAUUGUGUGUAUGUAUGUAUAAAUAUACCCAUGAUCACCUCCCGAGUGAUCACGACCCGAUAAUAUAGCAUGGCAGACGGACAACAAUGUUGGGCCACUGAUGAUAAACUAGCAACCUAGAUUAAGCAUGUAGGAUUGCAGGUAAAGGUAUCAACAAUCAUAGCAACAAUGACAGGCUAUGCAACAGAAUAGGAGCUAUUGAAUCAACAACAGUAGCAAAACUAAUGCAAGAAUAAGAGAGAAGAGAGUGGGCGAUAUCUGGUUGAUCAAAAGGGGUUUGCUUGCCUGGAAGCUCUGCAUAUAGAUACGGAUCCUCGAUGGUGAAGUAGUCGACCACCGGAUCAACCGUGGUCUCGGGGUCUACUGGAAAGAAGUAACGGAGGAGGGAACACAAUAAAUAACACAAAAUCAAUGCAUCACAAAGUAUGACAUAGCAAUACGCAAUGCUAGGGGUGAGCUAACGUUGUGCUAAGCGUUACAGACGGAGCAGAAAUAUCCGGUAAUAUUUUCUCGGCUCCAGGCAUUUAUCGGACAGACGAACCAGAGGGAAAUGUUCCAUGUUUGCACUGUUGUGAGCACAUGACAGGUAUGUGGGUGGCAUAUUUGGAUUCGUCUCAGUUUUUGAUUAUUUUUCAUAUAUAAAUUAUUUUUAUCGUAGUUACGGUUUAUUUUCUAUGAAUUUCAAAGUUUAAAUGAUUUUCUGAAUUUAUAGAAUUCUUUUAAUCAGAAAAUAAACAACAAAAUACUUUUGUCACCUAGUACUAUUCUAGCCAUAGUGUAUGACACUGGGCCAGUCGGGUUGGGUUGACCCAGUCAAAUGUUGACUACUCAACAUAUAAACUGUGUAGGGGGGCACAUGUCAUUGAAUUUGACUUUUGUCAAAAUUUGUUUUUCUUUAAACUAACAGUGGGUCUACAUGUCAUCUACUAUCUAAUUAGCUAGUACAACUAAUUAGACUAACUAACCGGCCGGCCACACGCGCAGCUAUGGCACUGCCCGCCAGACACACACCACACACACACACACGACGCACACACACCAGCUCAUGGCCAUGGCCAUAGAGCAGGAGCAGCGGCAGCUAACAAGGCGGCGUAGCAGCAGUGUAAGAGCAGCAGCGAGAAGUGAUAUGUCUCUGUCCUAUCUAUAAUUUUUUAUUGUUCCAUUUCAAUAUUCUACAACUUUCAUAUACUUUUGGCAACUAUUUAUACUAUUUUUGGGACUCACAUAUUGAUCCAAUGCCCAGUGCCAGUUCCUGUUUGUUGCAUGUUUUAUAUUUCGCAGAAAUCCCAUAUCAAACAGAGUCCAAACGGGAUAAAAAUGGACGGAGAAUUAUUUUGGAAUAUUUAUGAUUUUUGGGAAGUAAAAUCAACGCGAAGCGGUGCCCGAGUGGGCCAGGAGACAGGGGCGUGCCCCAGGGAGGCAGGCGUGCCCUAGACUCUCCUGGGCACCCCGUAAGGCGGUUGACGCUCUUCUUUUGCCGUAAGAAAGCUAAUUUUUAUGAAAAAAAUCUGGGCGAAAGAUUCACCCCAAUCGGAGUUACGGAUCUCCGGAUAUAAAAGAAACGGUGAAGGGGCAGAAUCAGGAAAUGCAGAAAUAGAGAGAGACAUAGAGAUAGAUCCAAUCUCGGAGGGGCUCCCGCCCCUCCCAUGCCAUGGGAGCCAAGGACCAGAGGGGAAACCCUUCUCCCAUCUAGGGAGAACGUCAAGGAAUAAGAAGAAGAAGAAGGGGGGCUCUCUCCCCCUUGCUUCCGGUGGCGCCGGAGCGCUGCCGGGGACCAUCAUCAUCACCGCGAUCUUCACCAACACCUCCGCCAUAUUCACCAACAUCUCCAUCACCUUCCCCCUUCUAUCUGCAGCGGUCCAAUCUCCCGCAAUCCGCUGUACCCUCUACUUGAACAUGGUGCUUUAUGCUUCAUAUUAUUAUUCAAUGAUGUGUUGCCAUCCUAUGAUUUCUGAGUAGAUUUUCAUUGUCCUAUCGGUGAUUGAUGAAUUGCUAUGAUUGGUUUGAGUUUCAUGUUUUAUUAUUGGUGCUAUCCUAUAGUGCUCUCUGUGUCGCGCAAGCGUGUGGGAUCCUCGUUGUAGGGUUUGCAAUAUGUUCAUGAUUUUUUUAUGGCGGGUGGCGUGAGUGACAGAAGCAGAGACCCGAGUAAGUAGGUUGUUUGCGUAUGGGAUAAAGGGGACUUGGUACUUUAAUGCUAUGGUAGGGUUUUACCUUAAUGAUCUUUACUAGUUGCGGAUGCUUGCUAGAGUUCCAAUCAUAAGUGCAUAUGAUCCAAGAAGAGAAAGUAUGUUAGCUUAUGCCUCUCCCUCAUAUAAAAUUGCAAUAGUGAUUAUCGGUCUAGUAACGUAGUCAAUUGCUUAGGGACAAUUUCACAACUCCUACCACCACUUUUCCACACUCGCUAUAUUUACUUUAUUGCUUAUUUAUCUAAACAGCCCCUACUUUUUAUUUACGUGUUCUUUAUUAUCUUGCAAACCUAUCCAACAACACCUACAAAGUACUUCUAGUUUCAUACUUGUUCUAGGUAAAGCGAACACUAAGCAUGCGUAGAGUCGUAUCAGUGGCAGAUAGGACUUGAGAGAAUAUUUGUUCUACCUUUACCUCCUUGUUGGGUUCGACACUCUUACUUAUCGAAAGAGGCUACAAUUAUCCCCUACACUUGUGGGUGAUCAAGACCUUUUUCUGGCGCCGUUGCCGGGGAGUCAUAGCGUGGGGUGAAUAUUCUCGUGUGUGCUUGUUUGCUUUAUCACUAAGUAAUUUUUAUUUGCUGUUCUUAGUUGUUUUCUAUCUUUAUUUAUGGGUAGGAAACGCAAAAUACCAAAAAAAAUAGUUGUACCUACUACACCAUUGGUUGAAGAACCACUCAAAAUCAAUCACACUCCUGAAGCUUUUUACUUGGAUCAUCUUCGAUCCCUUUGUGCUCAUGCUGAAACCCCCACUAGCUUAGUUGAGGGCAAAUCUUUAGAUGAGCAUGCUUGUUAUGUGCGACACCGUAUAUCUGAAAAAGGGAAAAUUUUACUGGAUCAUAUUCAUCAUUUGCAAUGCUAUGCUUGGACUUUAUGUGAAAUAUAUGAUGUUACUUGUUGUUCUGAAAACCCUAAGAAACACCUUCCCUACCAAUGUGAGGUUAUUGAUAAUGGAAUCGUAUCUUCGUAUGCUAAGGGUGUUUAUAAUUACUAUGAUGUUCAACAAAUUGAAGAAUUUGUUGCUUUUAAGGGUGCUUAUGAAAUUGCUUCUUUGAUUGAAAAGUAUGAUGCUACUCUCUACAAAUCUGAAAAUUUUGCCAUACUUGAAUAUUGUUAUGAUAAUUAUUCUUCUAAUGCCUAUGUUAUACCAUAUAUUGAGAAAGUCUCCGCUGUCCAAGAAGAGGCUAAUAUUUUGCAGGAAGCUAUGGAAGAAGAAAUUGAUGAAACUGUGAGCUCCUUGGAUGAAAAAGAUGAUGAGGAGAGCGAAGAAUAAAAGGAGGAAUAGCGGAUUAGCUACCCAUGCUCACCUUCUAAUGAGAGUAACUCUUCAACUCAGACAUUGUUUAAUUCCCCUUCGUGCUUACCGUAGGAUGAUUGCUAUGAUGAUUGUUAUGAUCCCGUUGAUUCACUUGAAAUAUCCCUUUCUGAUGAUGCUUGCUAUGCUUGUGGCCAAGAUGCCAAUAUGAAUUAUGCUUAUGGAGAUGAACUUGCUAUAGUUCCUUAUGUUAAACAUGAAAUUGUUGCUAUUGCACCCACGCAUGAUAGUCCUAUUAUCUUUUUGAAUUCUCCAAACUACACUAUAUCGGAGAAGUUUGUGCUUGUUAAGGAUUACAUUGAUGGGUUGCCUUUUACCAUUGCACAUGAUGCUUUUGAUAGAUGUAAUAUGCAUGUGCUUGCUGCUCCUACUUGCAAUUAUUAUGAGAGAGGAACUAUAUCACCACCUCUCUAUGUUUCCAACACGAUAGAAUUGCAAGAAACUGCUUAUACUAUGCAUUGGCCAUUACUUGGUGUGCAUGAAUUGUUCUCUUAUGACAUGCCGAUGCAUAGGAAGAGAGUUAGGAUUCGUUGUUGCAUGAUAUAUGUUACUUUGUGCUCACUACUAAAUUACAAAUCAUUGUUAAUUAAAAUUGGCUUUGAUAUACCUUGGGAUCCGGGUGGAUUCAUUACUUGAGCACUAUAUGCCUAGCUUAAUGGCUUUAAAGAAAGCGCUGCUAGGGAGACAUCCCGUAAGUUUUAGAGAGUCAUUUAUUGCUGUUGAGUUCUUUUAUAUAGUUUAAAAAAAUAGGGGAACCCAAAACUUUUCAAAAAGGAAAGUGAAAGUGAGAGAGACAAGCAUUGUUGAAGUGGGAGAGCUCCUUGAAAUUUGUUCAUGCUCACGGAAACUUUGUGAAUCUUGAUUAUAGAAACUUUUCAUCAAAAAUAAUUAUCCCCUUGUACAAUUCCAUUGUAUUAUAAAAAUAAUGUGCUAAGGUUUGCCUUUAGGAUGUUUAAAAUGCUUGUUGGUUUGUACGGUGUAGGACAGAAACAUUGGCUGUAGUGCGCAAUUUUACAUUUUUUACUGGAGGCCAAACGGUUCUGAUUCUUUUUGCACAGUCUUGCUGUACAAAUUGUUUAUUUUUCCUAAUUUUAGUAGAAUUUUUGGGGUACCAUAAGUAUGGUGAAUGUUCAGAUUGCUACAGACUGUUCAGUUUUUGACAGAUUCUGUUUUUGAUGCAUAGUUUGCUUGUUUUGAUGAAACUAUCAAUUUAUAUCAGUGGAUUAAGCCAUGGAAAACCUAUAUUACAGAAUACACAAUGCAAAAACAAAAUAUUAAUUAGUUUGCAACAGUACUUAGAGUAGUGAUUUGCUUUAUUACACUAAUGGAUCUUACCAAGUUUUCUGUUGAAGUUUUGUGUGGAUGAAGUGUUUUGAUCGAGAAGGUCUCGAUAUGAGGAAAAGGAGGAGAGGCAAGAGCUCAAUCUUGGGGAUGACCAAGGCACCCCAAGUAAAUAUUCAAGGAUACUUAAGUGUCUAAGCUUGGGUAUGCCCCGGAAGGCAUCCCCUCUUUCUUCAACAAGUAUCGGUAUGUUUUCGUAUUCGUUUCAUUCAUGCGAUAUGUACAAGUCUUGGAGCGUCUUUUGCAUUUAGUUUUCACUUUUCUUUUAUGAACCAUGCUGAUAUGAGAUAGUCCUUGGUUGAUUUAUAGAAUGCCCAUUGCACUUCACUUAAAUCUUCUGAGUAUGGCUUUAUAGAAUGCUUCAUGUGCUUCACUUAUAUCUUUUGAAGUUUGGAUUGCCUGUUUCUCCUCACAUAGAAAACCGCCAUUUGUAGAAUGCUCUUUUUCUUCACUUAUAUUUGUUAGAGCAUGGGCAUAUGUUUUGUAGAAAGAAUUAAACUCUGUUGCUUCACUUAUACCUAUUUAGAGAGAUGACAGGAAUUGGUCAUUCACAUGGUUAGUGAUACGUCUCCAACGUAUCUAUAAUUUAUGAAGCAUUCAUGCUAUAUUAUUAUCUGUUUUGAAUGAUUAUGGGCUUUAUUAUCCACUUUUAUAUUAUUUUUGGUACUAACCUAUUUCAGUGUUUCGAGGAAAAGGAAUAUCAGACGGAGUCAAAACGGAACGAAAUCAACUGGAGAAGUUAUUUUUGGAAGGAAAGCCACCCGAUGGACUUGGAGUGCACGUCAGGAAAGAAGGGAGGUGCUCACGAGGGUUGGGGUGCGCCCACCCCCCUGGGGCACGCCCCCCUGCCUCGUGCCCCCCCCCUUCGGUCCACCGACAUACCCCUUGCACCCAUAUAUACCUACAUACCCUAAAACUUCCAGAACAGAAGAUAGAUCAGGAGUUCCACCACCGCAAGCCUCUGUAGCCACCAAAAACCUCUAGGGAGCCCUUCCCGGCACCCUUCCGGAGGGGGAACCCAUCACCAGUGGCCAUCUUCAUCAUCCCGAUGCUAUCCAUGACGAGGAGGGAGUAGUUCACCCUCGAGGCUGAGGGUAUGUACGAGUAGCUAUGUGUUUGAUCUCUCUCUCUCGUGUUCCCUCUAUGGCACAAUCUUGAUGUAUCCCGAGCUUUGCUAUUGUAGUUGGAUCUUAUGAUGUUUAUCCCCCUCUACUCUCUUGUGAUGAAUUGAGUUUUCCCCUUUGAAGUUAUCUUAUCGGAUUGAGUCUUUUAUGAGAACACUUGAUGUAUGUCUUGCGUGGGAUAACCGUGGUGACAAUGGGUUAUUCUAUUGAUCCACUUGAUGUAUGUUUUGGUGAUCAACUUGCGGGUUUCGUGACAUUGGGAACCUAUGCAUAGGGGUUGGCACACGUUCUUGACUCUUCGGUAGUAGCUUUGGGCACUCUUUGAAGUACUUCUAUGUUGGUUGGAUGAAUCUGAUAUUGUGUGACACAUAUCAUAUAAUCAUGCCCAGGGAUACUUGAGGUGACAAUGGAGUAUCUAGGUGACAUUAGGGUUUUGGUUGAUUUGUGUCUUAAGGUGUUAUUCUAGUACGAACUCUUUUAUAGAUCGAUCCGAAAGAAUAACUUUGAGGUGGUUUCGUACCCUACCAUAAUCUCUACGUUUGCUCUACGCCAUUAGUGGCUUUGGAGUGACUCUUUGUUACAUGUUGAGGGCUUCUUAUAUGAUCUAUCUAUGUUAUUACUGUUGAGAGAACUUGCACUAGUGAAAGUAUGAACCCUAGGCCUUGUUUCCUAUCAUUGCAAUACCGUUUACGCUCACUUUUAUAGCUCGCUACCUUGCUGUUUUUAUUAUUUCAGAUUAAAAAACCUUUAUCUACCAUCCAUAUUCCACUUGUAUCACCAUCUCUUCGCCGAACUAGUGCACCUAUACAAUUUGCCAUUGUAUUGGGUGUGUUGGGGACACAAGAGACUCUUUGUUAUUUGGUUGAAGGGUUGCUUGAGAGAGACCAUCUUCAUCCUACACCUCCUACGGAUUGAUAAACCUUAGGUCAUCCACUUGAGGGAAAUUUCCUAUUGUCCUACAAACUUGUGCACUUGCAGGCCCAACAACGUCUACAAGAAGAAGGUUGUGUAGUAGACAUCAAGCUCUUUUCUGGCGCCGUUGCCGGGGAGGUUAGCGCUUGAAGGUAUAUCUUUAGAUCUUGCAAUCGAAUCUUUUUGUUUCUUGUUUUAUCACUAGUUUAUUUUAUAAAAGAAAACUACAAAAAAAUGGAAUUGAGUUGAUCUUAUACGCUUCAUCUUUUUAAUAUAUUUUGUGAGGAUGAUGGAAGGGAAAAUUGUGCCAAAGUGUUAGAGGAAGAAUGCAUUAAAAUGUUUAGCACUAAAUAUUUGAAUGAUGAGCAUGAUUGCAAUGUUGUUAGUAUGAACUCCUUGAAUAUCCAUAGUACUAAUGAUGAUUGCACUAGUUAUGAUGAAAAUGCCUCCUAUAAACAUGUCAGUUUCCGUGGAGUGCAUUGGGUUUGCAAGUACACACCAAAUAGGGAAGAUAGAUAUUGCAAGAGGCAUAAGUACUUAGAAACUAAAUUGUUCCAAGAAAGGCUAGAUGUUUGUGUUGAAGAUUUAAAUUAUCUUGGCCGUACUUGUGGACUUUGCAAUGAAAAUGGUCAUUUAAAGCUCCAAUGCUAUUUGUUUCAUGAUCAAGUCGUUUCCAAAUAUUUGUGAUAAUUUGAUCCUUUGAGCAUCAUAAAGAGCUUAGCCUUCUUUUGGGUUAUGAAGAAAUGAAACGUAUAACUGAGGGUAUUCCAAAAUUUAAUCUUGAUAGAUUUCUUGAUUUUGAUCUAGAGGAUAUUUAUAUGUUUUGUGUGGAGAAUUGCAUUGAAAAUCCUUAUAUUGCCAAUUACAUAAAUAAAAGAAAGCAAAUAGAAGAUGAUGAGAAUACUAGUGAAAGGGAAGAGACUUCCCAAUAUCCUCCUAUUAUUUCUCAUGAUGAAUCAGGUACGAGGGGGAGCUUUCUAUUCAACCAAUCUCAUCAAUAAGGAGCUCAAAGAGGAAUGUUAAACCCACACAUAAUGUGAAGAAGAAAAAGAAAAGAAGGAGCAACAAAGGUAGAAAGGUAUCCCUCCCAAAUGAUGUUGCUCCUACUACUCAUUGUGAUGAUGAUAAUUGCUAUACUAUUGGUGCUAUCAAUAUUUUUAAUGAUGAGAGUGAUUAUGCUUAUGAUAUGAAAGGGCCCAAGCUUGGGGAAGCUAUGUUUGAUGAGGAUGAAAUAUUUGAGAGUAUAUUUGCUGGAAUUAAUGUUUGUCCCAAGCUUGGGGAAGCUAUGUUUGAUGAAUAUGAUAUUUUUAGUCCCCCAAGUUUUGAUGAGAAUAUUUAUUCUGAUGAAAGCAUGCUUCCUAUUUAUGAUGAUUGUAUUGAUUAAAGUGGGUUUGGAAGAGUGUCAACUUUAGGAAUUAGUUAUCCCACUAUUUUGGAGGAUGUUGAAUGUUAUUGUGAUGAAUAUGAAAGUGGAUUUGGAAGAGUGUCAACUUUAUUUAGUGAUGAUUCCACUAUUUCGAAAGAGGUUCCAAUUGAUUAUGACAACAAAGUUGCUAGUUAUGAUGAUUAUUGUGAUUAAUUGUAUGCUAUUAAGGAUAAUAAUAACCAUGAAACUUGUCAUCAUGAUUUUAGUUUUCAAUUGGAUUAUGCCUCACAUGAUAAUUAUUUUGUUGAGUUUGCUCCCACUACUAUUGAUGAGAAGAAUUUUGCUUAUGUGGAGAGUAUUAAAAAUUCUAUGCUUGUAGAUCAUGAAAAGAAUGCUUUAGGUGCUGGUUAUAUUGUUGAAUUCAUUCAUGUUGCUACUGAAAAUUAUUAUGAGAGAGGAAUAUAUACUUGUAGGAAUUGCAAUAAUGUCAAGUUUCCUCUCUAUGUGCUUAAAGUUUUGAAGUUAUGCUUGUUUUGCCUUCCUAUGCUAGUUGAUUAUUGUUCCCAUAAGUUGUUUGCUCACAAAAUCCCUAUGCAUAGGAAGUGGGUUAGACUUAAAUGUGCUAGUCAUAUUCUUCAUGAUGCUCCCGUUAUGUUUCAAUUAUAAUAUUUUAUGUCAGCAUCAUUGUCAUCAUCAUGCCUAGCUAGAAAGGCAUUAAAGAAAAGCCCUUGUUGGGAGACAACCCAAUAUUUACCCUUACUUUUUUUGUGUGUCCACAUGAUUAUGAUACUGUAGUAAUCAUGUUUAAUAGCUUUUGUUUCAAUAAAGUGCCAAGUAGAAACUUUGGGAAGACUUGGGUGAAGUUUAUGUGAUCUUGCUGUGAAAAACAGAAACUUUAGCGCUCACGAGAUUAGCUGCCAUUUUUUACUGGAGAGUUCUUUUAGGUUGAUUAUUUUUGAAGAUGAUUAACAGACAAAUUACUCAGGUCCAGCAAUUUAUUUCAUAAUUUUUGGGGUUCCAUAGGUAUACGUUUGAUACAGAUUACUACCGACUGUUAUGUUUUUGACAGAUUCUGUUUUCAUUGUGUUGUUUGCUUAUUUUGAUGCAUCUAUGGCUAGUAUUAAGUGGUAUGAACCAUAGAGAAGUUGGAAUACAGUAGGCUUUACACCAAUAUGAAUUUAUAAUGAGUUCAUUACAGUACCUAAGUGGUGAUUUAUUUUCUUAUACUAACGGAGCUUACGAGUUUUGUUUUGAGUUUUGUGUGGUUGAAGUUUUCAAGUUUUGGGUAAAGAAUCGAUGGAUUAUGGAAUAAGGAGUGGAAAGAUCCUAAUCUUGGGGAUGCCCAAGGCACCUCAAGGUAAUAUUCAAGGACAACCAAGCAACUAAGCUUGGGGAUGCCCCGGAAGGCAUCCCCUCUUUCGUCUUCGUUCAUCGGUAACUUUACUUGGAGCUAUAUUUUUAUUCGCCACAUGAUAUGUGUUUUACUUGAGCAUCAUUGUAUCUUGAUAGUUUUUUAUUUAUUUUAGUUAGAAUAAUGUUUUGCAUCUUUAGUUUCAAUAAAAAAGUCAAGGAUAGCCUUUGCCAUGCUUAUUUUGCUAGUAUACAUGUUGCUGUUUGAAAACAGAAAGUUUACCGCUGUUGCAAAAAUUCCCUAGAAAAGUCAGAGAAUGCUAUAACGUUGAAUCUUUUGGCAUAUUAAGAUCUGAUAAAUUUAUUACAGUGGGAAUUUUAGUUCAUAAUUUUUGGAUUCAGGGAAGUAUUGAUACUCUUGCAUUCUUUACAGACUGUACUGUUUUGCCAGAUUGCUGUUAUGUUUGCAUUGUUUGCGUAUGUUUGCUUGUUUAAUGAUUCUUUUUGAGGAUAGGAGUAUUAAAUAUGCAGAUACAUUUAGUAUUCAAUGUUGAAUAAUAGUGUUAGUGAUUUAUUACAAUAGAAGAUGACAUGGUUUUGCAUUGGUUUAUACUAACCUAUCUCACGAGUUCUUGUUGAGUUUGUUGUGAAUGAAGCUUUUGAUAAAAAGAGAAACCAUGACAUGAAAGGAAUUAAGGAGACACAAAAUCUCAAGCUUGAGGAUGCCCAAGGCACCCCAAGAUAAUAUUUCAAGAAGUCUCAAGCAUCUAAGCUUGGGGAUGCCCCGGUAGGCAUCCCACCUUUCUUCUUCAACAACUAUCGGUUAGUAUCGGUUGAGCCUAAGUUUUUGCUUCUUCACAUGAGUUAUGCUAUCCUUGCAUUUUCAUUUUAUUUUGCUUUGCUUGCUGUUUGAAUAAGAUACCAAGAUCUGAAAUUCUUUAAUGAGAGAGAGUCUUUGCAUAGUUGCAUAAUUAUUUAGCUACUCUUUGAUCUUCACUUAUAUCUUUUUGGAGUAGUUUUUCAUUUACUCGUGUGCUUCACUUAUAUCCUAUGAGUAAAUUGUUGAAUUAAUUGAUUGUCAUAAAUCUGAAAUUAUAUAUGCCUCAUUUGCUUAUUCCAUGGGGAGUAAUUACUUCACAUCUAAGAAGUAGAGGUUGUAAAUUUAUUGAUGGUUAGCAAGCAUUGUAUUGGUCAUUUGAACAAUUCAUGAAAGAAUAUUGAAGGAAGAGAGAUUUCACAUAUAAAUAUAUUAUCAUAGACAUCUUUUAUAAUUGUGAGCACUCAUUAAGUAUGACAUGCUAAAGAGUUGAUGUUGGACAAGGAAGACAACGUAAUGGGUUAUGUUUUCUCGCAUCUCAGUUAAAGUAUAUUGUCAUGGAUCAUUCAAACGUGUUGAUCUUGCCUUUCUCCCCUUGCUAGCCUAAAUAUCUGUACUAAGCGGGAAUACUGCUUGUGCAUCCAAUAUCCUUAAAUCCAUUUUUUCCAUGAGUGUCCACCAUACCUACCUAUAUGCGGUAUUUACCUGCCGUUCCAAGUAAAUUUGCAUGUGGCAAACUCUAAACCUUCAAAUUAUAAUAUGUUUUGUAUGCCCGAAUUGCUCAUAUAGCAACUAGGGGCUGUCAGUGUCUUCCAUGCUAGGUGGGUUAUUCUCAAGAGGAGUGGACUCCGCUCCUCAUUCACGAGAAAGUGGCGGUAACCGGGAUGCCCAGUCCCAUGAUCCAAAAAGAUCAAAGCAAAUCAAAAUAAUUAAACAAAACUCCCCCAGGAUUGUUGUUAGUUGGAGGCACUCGUUGUUUCGAGCAAGCCAUGGAUUGAUGCUUGUUGGUGGUUGGGGAAGUAUAAACUUUUACCAUUCUGCGUGGGAACCACCUAUAAUGUAUGUAGUAUGGAAGAUAUUGGGAACUCUUGGUUGUUAUGUUGACAAUGAUAUCAUACCUCUCAAAAUUAUUUAUCUCUAUUUCAAAAAUGAGCUCUGGCACCUCUGCAAAUCCCUACUUCCCUCUGCGAAGGGUCUAUCUUUCACUUUAUGUCUUUUACUUUAUGCAAGAGUCAAGGUGGUCUUCACCUUUCCCUUUUUCAUUUUAUCCUCUGGCAAGCACUUUGUGGUGGGGUGAUCCUGAUAUAUAUAUAUCCAAUUGGAUGUACAUUAGCAUGAACUAUUAUUGUUGACAUCAUCCAAAGGUGAAUACGUUUGGAGGCAACAUUAUAGGCCCCAAUCUUUCUCCGUGUCUGAUUAAAACUUCAUAACCACAAGUAUUUCGUGAGUGUUAGCAAUUGUAGAAGACUAUAUGAUAGUUGAGUAUGUGGAGUUUGCUAUUCCUGAAAAUAAGAUGAAUUGCAAUUGUUUUGAUGACUAAGAAUGAAGUUUGCUAGUUUUCAAGAAUGUUUAUGGUCUAUGCUUUAACAUGUGAAUUGCUUGUUACUAGUUCGUGAAAAGUUUUAUGAGAUGAACUACUGUUAUGACAUAUAAUGAUGCUAGUAAAGGUGAUUGAAAUUAUCUUUGAUCAAACUUGUGCACCUCUAGCAUUCACACUUCAUAAAUUCUUUCUUCUAUCAUUUACCUACUCAAGGACGAGUAGGAAUUAAGCUUGGGGAUGCUGAUACGUCUCCAACGUAUCUAUAAUUUAUGAAGCAUUCAUGCUAUAAUAUUAUCUGUUUUGAAUUUUUAUGGGCUUUAUUAUCCACUUUUAUAUUAUUUUUGGGACUAACCUAUUAACCGGAGGCCCAGCACAGAUUUGUUGUUUUAUGCCUAUUUCAGUGUUUCGAGGAAAAGGAAGAUCAGACGGAGUCAAAACGGAACGAAAUCAACUGGAGAAGUUAUUUUUGGAAGGAAAGCCACCCAAUGGACUUGGAGUGCACGACAGGAAAGAAGGGAGGUGCUCACGAGGGUGGGGGGCAUGCCCACCCUCCUGGGGCGCGCCCCCUGCCUCGUGGCCCCCCUUCGGUCCACCGACGUACCCCUUGCACCCAUAUAUACCUACGUACCCUAAAACUUCCAGAACAGAAGAUAGAUCGGGAGUUCCACCACCGCAAGCCUCUAUAGCCACCAAAAACCUCUCAAGAGCCCUUCCGGGCACCCUGCCGGAGGGGGAACCCAUCACCGGUGGCCAUCUUCAUCAUCCCAGCGCUAUCCAUGACGAGGAGGGAGUAGUUCACCCUCGAGGCUGAGGGUAUGUACCAGUAGCUAUGCGUUUGAUCUCUCUCUCUCUUGUGUUCUCUCUCGUGUUCCCUCUAUGGCACGAUCUUGAUGUAUCCCGAGCUUUGCUAUUGUAGUUGGAUCUUAUGAUGUUUAUCCCCCUCUACUCUCUUGUGAUUAAUUGAGUUUUCCCCUUUGAUGUUAUCUUAUCGGAUUGAGUCUUUUAUGAGAACACUUGAUGUAUGUCUUGCGUGGGAUAACCGUGGUGAUAAUGGGUUAUUCUAUUGAUCCACUUUAUGUAUGUUUUGGUGAUCUACUUGCGGGUUUCAUGACAUUGGGAACCUAUGCAUAGGGGUUGGCACACAUUCUUGACUCUCCGGUAGUAGCUUUGGGGCACUUUGUGAAGUACUUCUAUGUUGGUUGGAUGAAUCUGAGAUUGUGUGACCCAUAUCGUAUAAUCAUGCCCACGGAUACUUUAGGUGACAAUGGAGUAUCUAGGUGACAUUAGGGUUUUGGUUGAUUUGUGUCUGAAGGUGUUAUUCUAGUACGAACUCUUUUAUAGAUCGAUCCGAAAGAAUAACUUUGAGGUGGUUUCGUACCCUACCAUAAUCUCUACGUUUGUUCUCCGCUAUUAGUGGCUUUGGAGUGACUCUUUGUUACAUGUUGAGGGCUUGUUAUAUGAUCUAUCUGUGUUAUUGCUGUUGAGAGAACUUGCACUAGUGAAAGUAUGAACCCUAGGCCUUGUUUCCUAUCAUUGCAAUACCGUUUGCGCUCACUUUUAUCGCUCGCUACCUUCCUGUUUUUAUUAUUUCAGACUACAAAAACCUUUAUCUACCAUCCAUAUUGCACUUGUAUCACCAUCUCUUCGCCAAACUAGUGCACCUAUACAAUUUGCCAUUGUAUUGGGUGUGUUGGGGACACAAGAGACUCUUUGUUAUUUGGUUGUAGGCUUGCUUGACAGAGACCAUCUUCAUCCUACGCCUCCUACGGAUUGAUAAACCUUAGGUCAUACACUUGAGGGAAAUUUGCUACUGUCCUACAAACCUGUGCACUUGCAGGCCCAACAACGUCUACAAGAAGAAGGUUGUGUAGUAGACAUCAGUUAGUCAUAAAAUCCUACAUAAGACUUGUAGAUUGCUGAAUAUGAUAUGUUUGAUUCCUUGCAAUAGUUUUGCGAUAUAGAGAUGAUAAUAUGUGGGAGGUACUAGUAGAUGGUUGUGUUCAGUAAGGAUGUUGGUGUUAAGUUUUGUGAUUCCCGAAGCAUGCACGUAUGGUCUACUAACUAUGUAACCAAAUUGGCGCGCAUUAUAUUUUGAAUAUUUAUCUUUGCAUGAAGGUCGGGGGCGAGCGAUGGUUAACUCCUAGCAACCUCCCCCCUAGGAGCAUAUGUGUAGUACUUUGUUUCAAGGGAUAAUAAAUUUUUGCAAUAAGUAUGUGAGUUCUUUAUGACUAAUGUUGAGUCCAUGCAUUAUACGCACUCUCACCCUUCCAUCAUUGCUAGCCUCUUCGGUACCGUGCAUUGCCCUUUCUCACCUCGAGAGUUGGUGCAAACUUCGUCGGUGCAUCCAAACCCCGUGAUAUGAUACGCUCUAUCACACAUAAGCCUCCUUAUAUCUUCCUCAAAACAGCCACCAUACCUACCUAUCAUGGCAUUUCCAUAGCCAUUACGAGAUAUAUUGCCAUGCAACUUCCAUCAUCAUCAUAUACAUGACUUGAGCAUUCAUUGUCAUAUUGCUUUGCAUGAUCGUAAGAUAGCUAGCAUGAUGUUUUCAUGGCUUUUCCGUUUUUUGAUGUCAUUGCUAUGCUAGAUCAUUGCACAUCCGGUACACCGCCGGAAGCAUUCAUAUAGAGUCAUAUAUUUGUUCUAGUAUCGAAUUGUAAUGUUCAGUUGUAAGUAAAUAAAAGUGUGAUGAUCAUCAUUAUAGAGCAUUGCCCCAUGAAAAAAAAGAAAAAAAAAGGAAAGGCCAAAGAAGCCUAAAUAAAAAAGGGGGCCAAAGAAGCCCACCCAAAAAAAAGAAAAAGAAAAAAAGAAAAAAGAAAAAGAAAAGGGGCAAUGUUACUAUCCUUUUACCACACUUGUGCUUCAAAAUAGCACCAUGUUCUUCAUAUAGAGAGUCUCCUAUGUUAUCACUUUCAUAUACUAGUGGGAAUUUUCAUUACAGAACUUGGCUUGUAUAUUCCAACGAUGGGCUUCCUCAAAUGCCCUAGGUCUUCAUGAGCAAGCAAGUUGGAUGCACACCCACUUAGUUUCAGUUUGAGCUUUCAUACACUUAUAGCUCUAGUGCAUCCAUUGCAUGGAAAUCACUACUCCUCGCAUUGACAUCAAUUGAUGGGCAUCUCAAUAGCCCGUUGAUUAGCCACGUCGAUGUGAGACUUUCUUCCUUUUUGUCUUCUCCACAUAACCUCCACCAUCAUAUUCUAUUCCACUCAUAGUGCUACAUCCAUGGCUCACGCUUAUGUAUUGCGUGAAAGUUGAAAAAGUUUGAGAAUACUAAAGUAUGAAACAAUUGCUUGGCUGACACCGGGACAGGCAUGAGGGGUACCUUGUGUUAAGAAAAGCGAGCAUACAAGACUAUAUGAUUUUGUAGGGAUAACAUUCUGAAGCAUUGAUAUUUUGAAAGACAUGAUUGUUUUUUGGGAUGCCCUAAGUAUUAUUGUUUUUAUGUCAAAUAAAGGACUAUUGCUUUGAAUCACUCGUGUCUUAAUAUUUAUGCCAUGAUUAGAUAUAUGAUCCAGAUUAUGCUAGGUAGCAUUCCACGUAAAAAAUUAUCUUUUUUGUCAUUUACCUACUCGAGGACGAGGAGGAAUUAAGCUUGGGGAUGCUAAUACAUCUCCGUCGUAUCUAUAAUCUAUGAUUGUUCCAUGCCAAUAUUCCACAACUUUCAUAUACUUUUGGCAGCUUCUUAUACUAUUUUUGGGACUAACAUAUUGAUCCAGUGCCCAGUGCCAGUUCCUGUUUGUUGCAUGUUUUAUGUUUCGUAGAAAACCCAUAUCAAACAGAGUCCAAACGGGAUAAACACAGACGGAGAAUUAUUUUGGAAUAUUUAUGAUGUUUGGGAGGUAAAAUCAACGCAAGACGGUGCCCGAGGGGGCCAGGAGACAGGGGCGCGCCCCAGGGAGGCAGGCGCGCCCUGGACUCUCCUGGGCACCCCGUAAGGCGGUUGACGCUCCUCUUUUGCUGCAAAAAAAGCUAAUUUUAUGAGAAAAAUCAGGACGAAAGAUUCACCCCAAUCGGAGUUACGGAUCUCCGGAUAUAAAAGAAAUGGUGAAGGGGCAGAAUCAGGGAACGCAGAAAUAAAGAGAGACAGAGAGAUAGAUCCAAUCUCGGAGGGGCUCUCCCCCCUCCAAUGCCAUGGGAGCGAAGGACCAGAGGGGGAACCCUUCUCCCAUCUAGGGAUAAGGUCAGGGAAGAAGAAGAAGAAGAAGGGGGGCUCUCUCCCCCUUGCUUCCAGUGGCGCCGGAGCGCUGCCGGGGGCCAUCAUCAUCACCGCGAUCUUCACCAACACCUCCGCCAUCUUCACCAACAUCUCCAUCACCUUCCCCCUUCUAUCUACAGCGGUCCACUCUCCCGCAACCCGUUGUACCCUCCACUUGAACAUGGUGCUUUAUGCUUCAUAUUAUUAUCCAAGGAUGUGUUGCCAUCCUAUGAUGUCUGAGUAGAUUUUCAUUGUCCUAUUGGUGAUUGAUGAAUUUCUAUGAUUGGUUUGAGUUGCAUGUUUAAUUAUUGGUGUUGUCAUAUGGUGCUCUACGUGUCGCGCAAGCGUGAGGGAUCCCCGCUGUAGGGUUUGCAAUACGUUCAUGAUUUGCUUAUGGUGGGUGGCGUGAGUGACAGAAGCACAGACCCGAGUAAGUAGGUUGUUUGCAUAUGGGAUAAAGGGGACUUGGUACUUUAAUGCUAUGGUUGGGUUUUACCUUAAUGAUCUUUAGUAGUUGCGGAUGCUUGCUAGAGUUCCAAUCAUAAGUGCAUGUGAUCCAAGAAGAGAAAGUAUGUUAGCUUAUGCCUCUCCCUCAAAUAAAAUUGCAAUAGUGAUUAUCGGUCUAGUAAUGUAGUCAAUUUCUUAGGAACAAUUUCACAACUCCUACGACCACUUUUCCGCACUCGCUAUAUUUACUUUAUUGCUUCUUUAUCUAAACAGCCCCUACUUUUUAUUUACGUGUUCUUUAUUAUCUUGCAAACCUAUCCAACAACACCUACAAAGUACUUCUAGUUUCAUACUUGUUCUAGGUAAAGCGAACACUAAGCGUGUGUAGAGUCCUAUCAGCGGCAGAUAUGACUUGAGGGAAUAUUUGUUCUACCUUUAGCUCCUCGUUGGGUUCGACACUCUUACUUAUCGAAAGAGGCUACAAUUAUCCCCUAUACUUGUGGGUUAUCAGGAAGCAGUAGCAAGGAGCAGCAGAAAUGCAGCAAAGCGUCAAGCAGAGAAGCGCAUUAGCAGGCAUGCAGAGCAGCGGCUAGCGGCAUGUAACAGCACCGGCAGCAGUGGGAGGCUUUAGCAAAGAGCAGUUGCAAGCAGAGCACCAGUGGCACAAGCAGGUAGUAGCUAGCAUCACACAACGGCAACAAUACAUAGCAGCAGCGGCAGAUAGCAGCGUAGCAGGCAACCGCAAGCAGUAUCAUGGGAAGUCUCGAGUGCGCAGGCAAUCGUUCGAUGCUUGAAAUUGGGCAUGAAACGGGUUCAAGGCAACAGGAAUAAGUAUUGUGUCUGAUAGCAGAAUUGAUGAUCUCUCGAAAGGUGGCUCGUGAAUUACAUAAGAGGUCACACGCGAGGAACAACCUUGGGAACAGGGGGUGUACAGGAGAGUCAGGUUUGAUCCUAUGGAACUGUGGGUUAUGGGCCCACCAUGUGGGUUAAAAGUAGGAAAGGCGGUGACGUCUUGCAUGAUCAUGUAAGCAAGGCAUGUUAGAGGAUAGCCUGUCAGUUAUGUCGGCAACAACAUCGGUACCAUUUUCUUGCUCGUUCAACGAGGCAGACCAAUAGGCAAAGUUCUCGUCCAUCGGUGCUACCGGAAUGUCAUCAACAUUACUAACAGGGUCUUAUUGACAGAUUGUUACAACGAGGUGCUUACCUAAGCAGGGAAUUAUCACUGCUCAAUUAAGUCAGGUUACAAGAAAGGUUAAACAAAACAAUGGAAAGGAAAUGCAAUUAUCAGAUUAAACAGAACAAUGGAAAGGAAAAUGUGUUUAAACACAUAUUUCAGGGGUAUAUCCUUCCCAAGGGUAAGCAGAGCACGAUAUCCAUGACAGGAUAUAAACUAGAAAGCCAUUUAGGUAAGGGGAGAGGAAUUUCAUGACAUUACCCAAACAAUGGUGUUUGGAUAAUUGACGGGGGGAAAUUAGCAUUGGGCUUCAAAUGUUCUUAUUGAAGAUCGGAGGACCAAAGACAUGCUUCAAGAGAGCAUUGACAUGGUCUUCAAGCAAGGUCAGACUUUGGAUACUCAAAGGAUUCAUCAGGAACAACUUAUAGAAUAAGUCUUACAAUUUCCUCAUGGAAGAAUGGUUAACCUUGCUAAAAAGGAAACUAUAACAAUAUGGCCCCGGCCAGGUGUGCUAGGAUGACAUCACCUUAUUGGGUCAUAUAAAUACCAAUGUUAUAACUCUUGGAAAUAUGUUCCAACUAUCAUAUUUGACCGAGAUUCAGAUCUGAUUGGUGUCAGGAUACCUCAGACUCAGGAUGCUUGAGAAGAAAAAGGUGUGACACAUAUUGAUGAGAUGACAUUGUAAGAUUCUCGGGAAAUGAACUAUGGGAGCGAGUUCUGAAACAAGAGUUCAUCAUUAAUCAAGGAGAUGGCGAGGAGGUGGCUGAUGGACUCAGCGACAAUUCAUUGAGAUUUCCAGAAAGAUGGAUUUGCACAAUUAUGUGAAGGACAUAACAUUUGUAAGAUCAAAUGAUAUAACGAUGUAUGCUCAAGGAGAACAUCCACGAGUAAACAUUGGUUGAAAGGUGCACCCGAAAUAUUGCCUUAGGUAGCAUGAUCAAUGUUAGAAUGGUGAUUCGAUAACCAAUACACAAAGAAUGAAACUAUCGUUCAUUAACUUACAUGCAAUAGGGUUGCUAGAAGUUUUGAAUUUUACACAUCAUGGUCUAGUUGUCAGUAUUCUGGUUAGGAACAACAUGGGGACCAAGAACUGAAUGUAGACUAUGAGAUAUAUCCCUUGUAUCAAGAAUUCUUAAGAGGUGGUGAAAUUCUCACAACUUUCUUGAUACAUAAAAUGGUAAUACUCCAAGGUAGGACAUAAGAUAAGUUGGAUUGCCAGGAACUCAAGGUACAGCCACAACACGAACAAGUGUGUGUUGGAAAAAAGGCAAUGAAGUAGUUGAUGAUAACAAAAAUUAUGAAGGAUAAGGAUGGUAAUCCCCAUCAGGAAUUUGAUUAACAUCCUGGAAGGAGUCAAAAUGUUGUUGAUGAUCCUGACAAAUUUGGUCGAGAGGCUCCACGAAGAAGCAAUUGAACAGCGACUGCGUCAAGCAAAAGUACUAAUGCAGCGAAAUAUUAUUGGAUCCAUGAAUAUGACACCAACUCGGGAUCAAGCUUGUUUUUCAUGGUGGAAUGAUAAGACAAGGGAAUCGUCAUAAGAUUAGCUCAUCCUCGAAGUUGUGCUCCGGGAGUAAGGAAUAGGUAGCACAGUUAAAAUCGCCACGAUAAUUAUAUAGCCGAACAGGCCAGGAAUGACAUGGUUGAGUACAAACUCAUGAGUAAAGGAGAUUACCAAGAGUUGUUUAAUCAUGGUGCGGACCCGAUUUAGUUAUCGGUGUCCUCGAGUGAAUAACAACUAGGAACGCAGGAAAAAUUGAAAUCGAUGAGGAAUAAUACUUGAUGAAGGCUCAUAAUAAGCAACAUGGUUAGGUGCUAUUAGCGGGAUACCAGAGUGUAAUACUCAGAGGUAGAGCAAAAUAGAGGGUUGACAAGUGUAUUGAUCUGCAUUAGACAAUUACUUUAACUUGUCUGAGAAAAGGAAUCAAGGAAUAUCAAUAUGGCCGAAACCAUAGCUACAAAGGAUCCAAUUUAAUGACACCGAAAGAAUUAUCCAACUGAUUAAAUGUUUUGCAACAAUCUUGCAUGAUAAGUUCCACAUCGGGUCCAUUGACAUGAACACUAAGUUCAAGGUCAACUCCCACUUCUCCAAAGCAGAACCUUACAUUCGCUUCUCGUUUCGAAAAUGGCAUUAGCGUUGAAAGUUUUACUUGGUGAAAUACCAGAUGCGUACGACCCGUGAAACAUCUCGGAUUUACACAGAUUAGGGAAAGCAAUGGUUCAACCCACCGUGGCAUCUUAGGAAUAUAUGCCACAAACUUCAGAGUAAAGAUCACCAACUUCAAAGUAGAGUAUGGUUGGCCAAAUCAGAGAAUAGGAUUUACCAAUGGCAUUAUUAUCAACAAAAGAACUCCAGGUUUUGAGAAUAUGAAAGAAUGGUCGGAAAAUAAUCCACCAAAGGAUCUAAGGUGAGUAACGGUACCCAACCAGAAGAAGAGAGAAUGCAAGGGAUCAGAUUAUAGAAACAACCGACUAAUUCAAAGCUCAAAUGUAAAGGAAAUAUGAUUUCCAAAUCAAGGGAUCAAAAGCAAAUGCUCUAAUUAAGGAUGGAUAAGCUGAGUAAGCUUAGGGGUACAAUCAACGACAAUUUGAUUGGUCGAGAUCUAGCUCAUGUUUAAAAUGACAUCUGAGCCGGAAGGAUGAAUUCUAGGAUUUGAUUAAGGAUUGCGAGCAUUCAUAACAUAUUGAAUCAACAGAUUCAAAAUGGUAAUGACAAGGGAUGCCAAUAAGAUUAUGAGACUUAUGGGAUUAAGCAUAAUGCAAGCAAGCAAGAAUUUCAAGAGCAAUAGGCUGCUCAGGAUUUUCGGAAGACGGAAUGGUAUUUCUAAGACUUUUGUGAAACACAUGAACAAUUGGGAAUGAUCGGAUGCUCGAUAAGUGCGAGGAAUUAUCCGUAGGGGUAUUUAGGUGGCAAAGAACUGCAAGGCAAUAGGCACAAGUAUUCUCAGAACAAUAGAGAGAAUUUCGAGGUACCUCGUAAUAACAAGAUCAACUAGGAAUAAAAGUAAGAACAACAAGUGUGUGUAUUUAUCCACAGGGAUAUAUGGGUGGUAGGGAAUUGCAAAAGAAACCUGCACAAAGUCUCGAGAAAAUAUGGGAGAGUAUCUUCGAAAUCUUCUGGUGCACCAAGCAAUCAUCUAGAGUGAGGGGCUCUCCGGAAGGAAGUAGUUGCGAGAACCUAGAGUUAGAGUCAGUAAAAAUCAUUUAAUCCAAAUAGAAGAUAGAUCAGAGUCCCAGAGUAUAGACAAGAAAUAAAAGAUCCUAAUACCAUCGAAUGGCGACGUGGGCCCGUAAGACACACAACCAUGUUAGUAAAAUUUUAGCAACGUCUAGACUCGACUUAAGCCAUGGAGUGUGGAAGGGGGAUUCCAACAGGCAAACGACUCUAAUACCAACUUGUGACGCCCCCAAUUCGAUCGUACACUAAUCAUGCAUGUAAAUGUGUGCGACCAAGAUCAGGGAUUCAUGGGAAGAUAUCACUACACAACUCUAGACAUAAAUUAAAGAUCAUACAAGCUUCAUAUUACAAGCCAGGGGCCUCGAGGGCUCGAAUACAUAAGCUCGAUCAUAAAUGAGUCAGCAGAAGCAAAAAUAUCUGAGUACAAACAUAAGUUAAACAAGUUGCCAUAAGAUGGCUAUCACAAACUAGGAUACAGAUCGAAAGAGGCGCAUGCCUCCUGCCUGGGAUCCUCCUAAACUACUCCUGAUCGUCGUCAGCCUGCACGUAGUAAUAGGCACCUUCGGUGUAGUAGGGGUCGUCGUCCAUGGUGGCGUCGGGCUCUUGGGGUCCAACAUCUGGUUGCGACGUCCGAGAAGAAUGGAAAGGGGGAAAAGAGGGAGCAAAGCAACCAUGAGUACUCAUCCAAAGUACUCACAAGCAAGGAUCUACACUACAUAUGCAUUGGUAUCUAUAUAAAGGGGUAAUAUUAGUGGACUAGACUACAGAAUGGCAGAAGAAGAGGGCGAUAGCUAGUCCUAUCAAAGACUACGCUUCUGGCAGCUUCCAUCUUGAAGCAUGUAGAAGAGAGUAGUUGGUAAAUUCACCAAGUAUCAUCGUAUAGCAUAAUCCUACCAGGCGAUCCUCUCCUCGUCGCCCUAUGAGAGAGCGAUCACCGGGAAGUAUCUAGCACUUGAAAGGGUGUGUUUUAUUAAGUAUCCGGUUCUAGUUAUCAUAAGGUCGAAGUACAACUCCGGGUUGUCCUAUUACCGUGGACACGGCUAUUCGAAUAGAUCAAUCUUCCCUGCAGGGGUGCACCACAUUACCCGACAUGCUCGAUACCUUUGGCCGGGUACACUUUCCUGGGUCAUGUCCGUCCUCGGGAGCUCAACACAUUACAGCCUACCUAGGCUCAACAGAGAGGUCAGCACGCCGGUCUAAAUCCUAAGCGCGCAGGGGUCUGGUCCCAUCGCCCGUUGCAUACCUGCAUGUUGCGAACGCGGCCGGAAGCAGACCUAGCCUCUCUAAUACAAAAGCAGGUGUUCUAGUCCAAUCUGGCGUGCACCGCUUUGUCGCUGAGGUCAAGAAGGCUUCGGCUAAUACCACGACACCGGUUGUCCAUAUCUUGUCCCACGUGGCAGUUAGUGCGUAUAAGAUCAACGACCCAACUCAGAUCGAAUACCAAGAUCUCGUUAAGCCUGUUAUUUUAAUGUAACCGCGGACGCCGUCCAGGACCAGACCCACAUGUCUCCCAGGUGGUCAUAACCUGCCCUGUCACUCCGUCACAAAGAUCCACUCAGAGGGCCGUCUGGACAAAUGUCCUUUCAGCCCCCAAUCCGUGAAUCACUCGCGGGUACUCUACAAGCUGACCCGACUUCAGUCACAUCAUGUAACUUGUAUAGUUUGUAUGUAUGUAUGUAUAAAUAUACCCAUGAUCACCUCUCGAGUGAUCACUGCCCGAUAAUAUAGCAUGGCAGACGGACAAUAAUAUAGGGCCACUGAUGAUAAACUAGCAACCUAUAAUAAGCAAGUAGGAUUGCAGGUAAAGGUAUCAACAAUCAUAGCAACAAUAACAAGUUAUGCAACAAAAUAGGAGCUAUAAAAUCAACAACAGUAGCAAACCUAAUGCAAGAAUAAGAGAGGAGAUAUCUGGUUGAUCAAAGGGGGUUUGCUUGCCUGGAAGCUCUGUAGAGAGAUACGGAUCCUCGACGGUGAAGUAGUCGACCACCGGUUCAAACCGCGGUCUCGGGGUCUAUCGAAAAGAAGUAACGGAGGGGGGAACACAAUAAAUAACAGAGCAAUCAAUGCAUCACAAAGUAUGACAUAGCAAUACACAGUGCUAGAGGUGACCUAACGCUGUGCUAAGCGUUACGGACGGAGCGGGAAAUAUCCCGUAAUAUUUUCUCGGCUCCAGGCAUUUAUCGGACAGAUGAACCGAAGGGAAAUGUUCCAUGUUUGCAGUGUUGGGGGCACAUGACAGGUAUGUGGGUGGCAUACCCGGAUUCGUCACAUUUUUCUGAUUAUUUUUCAUAUAUAAGUGAUUUUCAUCAGAGCUGCGGUUUAUUUUCUUUGAAUUUACAAAUUUUAAAUGAUUUUCUGAAUUUACAAAAUUCUUUUAAUCCGAAAAUAAAACAAAAUACUUUUGUCACUUAGUGCUAUUCCAGCCAUAGUGUAUGACAAUGGGGCCAGUGGGGUUGGGUUGACCCAGUCAAAUGUUGACUAGUCAACAUAUAAACUGUGUUAGGGGACCACAUGUCAUUGACAUAGACUUUUGUUGAAAUUUGUUUAUCUUUAAACUAACAGUGGGUCUACAUGUCAUCUACUAUCUAAUUAGCUAGUACUACUAAUUAGACUAACUAACCGGCCGGUCACACGCGCGGCUGUGGCACAGCCGGCCACAAACACACAUGGCGCACACACACCAGCUCAUGGCCAUGGCCAUAGAGCAGCAGCAGCGGCAGCUAACAAGGCGGCGUAGCAGCAGUGCAAGUAGUGUAAUAAGGCCAACCCAGCGCGCGACCCCAUCCCGUCCGCCCCGUCCUUUUGAGGUAAAAUAAACAAAUCAGACAGCCUAGCGCGCGACGGCCUGAACCCAUCUGGUCUGUCUUGUGUCCGGGCCGACCCAUUUCGGGCGCAAACAUGCGCGCGGUUUGGGUCAAGGCGGACGGCAAACGGACGCCUCGAUCGUUCGUGUCGGGGCCGCGUGGCAUGCGGCCACCUACCUCCCACCGCCCGACGUAAAUGCACACAGGUGGUCGACCCCACCUGUCAUCUGCCCAGGCGAACAGUCGCCGUCCUUCUUAAAUGGGGAAGCCGUGGACCGGCCGUCGUCCACACUCCCCAGUCCAACCCUUCCUGCCUCCUCGAAACCAACACCCCAAACCCUAGCCUCUCCCGAUCCUAGAUCUCAUCGGCCGGCCACCUCGCAGCCAUGGGCUUCUGGAACCACGGCCACAAGGGGAAGCACGACCGCGAGGCUAGCUCGUCCUCGGGCCGCCGCCGCGGCUCCGUGAAGGAGGAGCCCGCAUCACCAUCGUGUCGGGCCCCCGCGCCUGCCCCAUUCACCAUCGGCCCUACGGCCAGCGGCGAGCGCAACCGGCAGUACAUCGCCCCAGAUGUAUGACGGCGUUAUUGGGAGAUUAGGACGCCGCUCCCGUGGAGCGACGUGCACCUCCCCAAUAACUGGCACCUCUCAGUCAACCGGGUCCCGAUCCCACCGGUCCCGAUGAGCGGCCAUGCGCGCCGCGAGGAGAUCGAGCGUCGCCGCCGCCUCCUGCCUUACGACCUAUACUACGACGACAGGUACACCCCCAAUCCCAGCUCUGGGACACGUGGCUCCAGCACGAGCACGACGUGCGGCGCGUGUCAUUCUUUGCUGGCACCUCGUCUGGGCCGCGGCGGCCACGUCGAGAGCACGCAGCACGUGCUUGCUAGGUGCGCGGGCAUACACGGGUGCGCGGCCUCACGCCAACGCCGUCGCCUUCACCGUCUCCAUCUCCGUCUCCAGCACCACCACCUUGCAUGACAGCGGAGGAGGAGGCCUGGCUCAUGCAGCGUGUCAUGGAGGACUCCAUCCGCACGCACGAUGAGUGCCAAUGGAAGGGCCUCGAGGAGAUGAUGGCCCUCUCUGCGGCAGGCGAUGUCGACAUCCCCGAGCUGGAGAUGAUGAAGGCGGAGGAGGAGCCGGUGGCAGCGUUCCACUCGGGCCUGGUGGGCUAGAACUGGAGCUGGUCGUGCACGGCUCCGGAGAUGGCCGAUGCCGUGGGGGGCGUGAACUGGUGCCCUACGCCGCCGCGGUCACCGGAGCGGGAAGCCUCGCCAUGGGAGGAGGUAGUGCAGGAACCUCCGGCCUUCCAGCCCGCCCCAGUGUAUCACGCGCCGCCAUCCCACCUCUGGACGCCGCCGGACUACGUCGACCUCAUCAGCGACGACGACGAUAACAAUGGCCACUGAAGACGGCCAUGGCCACGGCAUCGAUGGGCACGGCACGAGCGCGCGGGCGGCUUUUUUUUGUUUUUUAUGUUAAUUAUGGCAAUGUGAACCGUGGAACUGGGCCGUUUUGUGGCCGUGAUGGUUAAUUUAUGUUUUAUGUUUUUAUAUUUGUGUUUAUUUAAUUUUUUCAGCAUUUUAUUUUAGUUUUUUGUUUAUUUAAUCACGUCCACCCCGGACAUGAUUUGGGGUGCGGCCGCGCGUUGGGCACACCGAAAACCCAACGGACAGAAGCGGGCACGGGCAAACCCAUUGCCACCCCAAAGGGACGAAAUCCGGCCAAACCGGACGUCCGUUUGGGGUCGUGACCUGGAGUUGGCUGAAGAGCAGCAGCGGGAAGCAGUAGCAAGGAACAGCAGCAACGCAAAGAGCACCAAGCAGAGCAGUGCAGUAACAGGCAGCAGAGCGGCGGCUAGCGGCAUGUAACAUCAGCGACAGUAGUGGGCGGCUUCAGCAAAGAGAAGUAGCAAGCAGAGCAGCAGCGGCACAAGCAGGCAGAAGCAUCACAUAGCGGGAACAACACAGAGCAGCAGCAGCACAUAAGAGUGCAGCAGGCAGCCGCAAGCAGCAUAAGGUAGAGCAAUCGUUCAAUGCUUGAAAUAGGGCAUGAAACGGGUUCAAGGCAACAUGAAUAAGUAUUGUGUCUGAUAGCAGAAUUGAUGAUCUCUCGAAAGGUGGCUCGUGAAUUACAUAAGAGGUCACACGCGAGGAACAACCUUGGGAACAGGGGGUGUACAGGAGAGUCAGGUUUGAUCCUAUGGAACUGUGGGUUAUGGGCCCACCAUGUGGGUUAAAAUUAGGAAAGGCGGUGACGUCUUGCAUGAUCAUGUAAGCAAGGCAUGUUAGAGGAUAGCCUGUCAGUUAUGUCGGCAACAACAUCGGUACCAUUUUCUUGCUCGUUGAACGAGCCAGACCAAUAGGCAAAGUUCUCGUCCAUCGGUGCUACCGGAAUGUCAUCAACAUUAGUAACAGGGUCUUACUGACAGAGUGUUACAAUGAGGUGCUUACCUAAGCAGGGAAUUAUCACUGCUCAAUUAAGUCAGGUUACAAGAAAGGUUAAACAAAACAAUGGAAAGGAAAAUGCGAUUAUCAGAUUAAACAGAACAAUGGAAAGGAAAAUGUGUUUAAACACAUAUUUCAGGGGUAUAUCAUUCCCAAGGGCAAGCAGAGCACGAUAUCCAUGACAGGAUAGAAACUAGAAAACCAUUUAGAUAAGGGGAGAGGAAUUUCAUGACAUCACCCAAACAAUGGUGUUUGGAUAAUUGACGGGAAAAAAUUAGCAUUGUGCUUCAAAUGUUUUUAUUGAAGAUCGGAGGACCAAAGACACGCUUCAAGAGAGCAUUGACAUGGUCUUCAAGCAAGGUCAGACUUUGGAUACUCAAAGGAUUCAUCAGGAACAACUUAUAGAAUAAGUCUUACAAUUUCCUCAUGGAAGAAUGGUUAACCUUGCUAAAAAGGAAGCUAUAACAAUAUGGCCCCGGCUAGGUGUGCUAUGCAUGACAUCACCUUACCGGGUCAUAUAAAUACCAAUGUUAUAACUCUUGGAAAUAUGUUCCAACUAUCAUAUUUGACCGAGAUUCAGAUCUGAUUGGUGUCAGGAUACCUCAGACUCAGGAUGCUUGAGAAGAAAUAGGUGCGACACAUAUUGACGAGAUGACAUUGUAAGAUUCUCGGGAAAUGAACUAUGGGAGCGAGUUCUGAAACAAGAGUUCAUCAUUAAUCAAGGAGAUGGCGAGGAGGUGGCUGAUGGACUCAGCGACAAUUCAUUGAGAUUUCCAGAAAGAUGGAUUUGCACAAUUAUGUGAAGGAGAUAACAUUUGUAAGAUCAAAUGAUAUAACGAUGUAUGCUCAAGGAGAACAUCCACGAGUAAACAUUGGUUGAAAGGUGCACCCGAAAUAUUGCCUUAGGUAGCAUGAUCAAUGUUAGAAUGGUGAUUCGAUAACCAAUACACAAAGAAUGAAACUAUCGUUCAUUAACUUACAGGCAAUAGGGUUGCUAGAAGUUUUGAAUUUUACACAUCACAGUCCAGUUGUCAGUAUUCUGGUUAGGAACAACAUGGGGACCAAGAACUGAAUGUAGACUGUGAGAUAUAUCCCUUGUAUCAAGAAUUCUUAAGAGGUGGUGAAAUUCUCACAACUUUCUUGAUAUAUAAAAUGGUAAUACUCCAAGGUAGGACAUAAGAUAAGUUGGAUUGCCAGGAACUCAAGGUACAGCCACAACACGAACAAGUGUGUGUUGGAAAGAAGGCAAUGAAGUAGUUCAUGAUAACACAAAAUACGAAGGAUAAGGAUGGUAAUGCCCAUCAGGAAUUUGAUUAAUAUCCUGGAAGGAGUCAAAAUGUUGUUGAUGAUCAUGACAAAUUUGGUCGAGAGGCUCCACGAAGAAGCAAUCGAAUAGCGACUGCAUCAAGCAAAAGUACUGAUGCAGCGAAACAUUAUUGGAUCCAUGAAUAUUACACCAACUUGGAAUCAAGCUUGUUAAUCGUGGUGGAAUGAUAAGACAAGGGAAUCGACAUAAGAUUAGCUCAUCCUCGAAGUUGUGCUCCAGGAGUAAGGAACAGGUAGCACAGUUAAAAUCGGCACGAUAAUGAUAUAGCCGAGCAGGCCAGGAAUGACAUGGUCGAGUACAAACUCGUGAGUAAAGGAGAUUACCAAGAGUUGUUUAAUCAUGGUGCGGACCCGAUUUAGUUAUCGGUGUCCUCAAGUGAAUAACAACUAGGAAUGCAGGAAAAAUUGAAAUCAAUGAGGAAUAAUACUUGAUAUAGCUCAUAAUAAGCAACAUGGUUUGGUGCUAUUAGCGGGAUACCAGAGGGUAAUACUCGGAGGUAGACAAAAUAGAGGGUUGACAAAUGUAUUGAUCUACAAAAGACAAGUACUUUAACUUGUCUGAGAAAAGGAAUCAAGGAAUAUCAAUAUGGCCGAAACCAUAGCUACAAAGGAUCCAAUGUAAUGACACCGAAAGAAUUAUCCAACUAAUUAAAUGUUUUGCAAGAAUCUUCCAUGAUAAGUUCCACAUCGGGUCCAUUGACAUGAACACUAAGUUCAAGGUCAACUCCCACUUCUCCAAAGUAGAACCUUACAUUCACUUCUCGUUUCGAAAAUGGCAUUAGCGUUGAAAGUUUUACCUGGUGAAAUACCAGAUGCGUACGACCCGUGAAACCUCUCGGAGUUACACAAAUUAGGGAAAGCAGUGGUUCAACCCACCGUGGCAUCUUAGGAAUAUAUGCCACAAACUUCAGAGUAAAUAUCACCAACUUGAAAGUAGAGUAUGGUUGGCCAAAUCAGAGAAUAGGAUUUACCAAUGGCAUUAUUAUCAACAAAAGAACUCCAGGUUUUGAGAAUAUGCAAGAACGUUCGGAAAAUAAUCCACGAAAGGAUCUAGCGGACCACAAAGGAUCUAAGGUGAGUAACGGUACCCAACCAGAAGAAGAAAGAAUGCAAGGGAUCAGAUUAUAGAAACAACUGACUAAUUCAAAAUUCAAAUGUAAAGGAAAUAUGAUUUCCAAAUCAAGGGCUCAAAAGCAAAUGCUCUGAUUAAGGAUGGAUAAGUUGAGUAAGCUUAGGGGUACAAUCGACGACAAUUUGAUUGGUCGAGAUCCAGCUCAUGUUUAAAAUGACAUCUGUGCCGGAAGGAUGAAUUCUAGGAUCUUAUUAAGGAUUGCGAGCAUUCACAACAUAUUGAAUCAACGGAUUCAAAAUGAUAAUGACAAGGGAUGCCAAUAAGAUUAUGAGACUUAUGGGAUUAAGCAUAAUGUAAGAAGCAAGAAUUUCAAGAGCAAUAGGCUGCUUAGGAUUUUCGGAAGAUGGAAUGGUAUUUCUAAGACUUUUGUGAAACACAUGAACAAUUGGGAACGAUCGGAUGCUCGAAAAGUGCGAGGAAUUAUCCGUAGGGGUAUUUAGGUGGCAAAGAACUGCAAGGCAAUAGGCACAAGUAUUCUCGGAACAAUAGAGAGAAUUUCGAGGUACCUUGUAAUAACAAGAUCAACUGGGAAUAGAAGUAAGAACAACAAGUGUAUGUAUUUAUCCACAGGGAUAUAUGGGUGGUAGGGAAUUGCAAAAGCAACGGGCACAAAGUCUCGAGAAAAUAUGGGAGAGUAUCUUCGAAAUCUUCUGGCGCACGAAGCAAUCAUCUAGAGUGAGGGGCUCUCCGGAAGGAAGUAGUUGCGGGAACCUAGAGUUAGAGUCAGUAAAAAUCAUUUAAUACAAAUAGAAGAUAGAUCACAGUCCCAGAGUAUAGACGAGGAAUAAAAGAUCCUAAUACCAUCGAAUGGUGACGUGGGCCCGUAAGACACACAGCCAUGUUAGUAAAAUUUUAGCAAUGUCUAGACUCGACUUAAGACAAGGAGUGUGGAACGGGGAUUCCAACAGGAAGAUAGCUCUAAUACCAACUUGUGACGCCCCCAAUUCGAUUGUACACUAAUCAUGCAUGCAAAUGUGUGCGACCAAGAUCAGGGACUCACGGGAAGAUAUCACUACACAACUCUAGACAUAAAUUAAAGAUCAUACAAGCUUCAUAUUACAAGCCAGGGGCCUCGAGGGCUCGAAUACAUCAGCUCGAUCAUAAAUGAGUCAGCAGAAGCAAAGAUAUCUGAGUACAAAGAUAAGUUAAACAAGGUGCCAUAAGAUGGCUAGCACAAACUGGGAUACAGAUCGAAAGAGGCGCAUGCCUCCUGCCUGGGAUCCUCCUAAACUACUCCUGGUCGUCGUCGGCCUACACGUAGUAAUAGGCACAUUCAGUGUAGUAGGGGUUGUCGUCCAUGGUGGCGUCGGGCUCCUGGGGUCCAACAUCUGGUUGCGACGUCCGAGAAGAAUGGAAAGGGGGAAAAAAGGGAGCAAAGCAACCAUGAGUACUCAUCCAAAGUACUCACAAGCAAGGAUCUACACUACAUAUGCAUUGAUAUCUAUAUAAAGGGUUAAUAUUAGUGGACUGGACUACAGAAUGCCAGAAGAAUAGGGCGAUAGCUAGUCCUAUCAAAGAUUACGCUUCUGGCAGCCUCCAUCUUGAAGCAUGUACAAGAGAGUAGUCGGUAAAUUCACCAAGUAUCAUCGUAUAGCAUAAUCCUACCAGGCGAUCCUCUCCUCGUCGCCCUGUGAGAGAGCGAUCACCGGGAAGUAUCUAGCACUUGAAAGGGUGUGUUUUAUUAAGUAUCCAGUUCUAGUUAUCAUAAGGUCAAAGUACAACUCCGGGUUGUCCUAUUACCGUGGACACGGCUAUUCGAAUAGAUUAAUCUUCCCUGCAGGGGUGCACCACAUUACCCGACAAGCUCGAUACCUUUGGCCGGGUACACUUUCCUGGGACAUGUCCGGCCUCGGGAGAUCAACACGUCACAGCCUACCUAGGCUCAACAGAGAGGUCAGCACGCCGGUCUAAAUCCUAAGCGCGCAGGGGUCUGGGCCCAUCGCCCGUUGCAUACCUUCAUGUUGCGAACGCGGCCGGAAGCAGACCUAGCCUCUCUAAUACAAGAGCAGGUGUUCUUGUCCAAUCCGGCGUGCACCGCUUUGUCGCUGAGGUCAAGAAGGCUUCGGCUAAUACCACGACACCGGUUGUCCAUAUCUUGUCCCACGUGGCAGUUAGUGUGUAUAAGAUCAACGACCCAACUCAGAUCGAAUACCAAGAUCUCGUUAAGCCUGUUAUUUUAAAGUAACCGCGGACGCCGUCCAGGACCAGGCCCACAUGUCUCCUAGGUGGUCAUAACCUGCCCUGUCACUCCGUCACAAAGAUCCACUCAGAGGGCCGUCUAGACAAAUGUCCUUUCAGCCCCCAAUCCGUGAAUCACUCGCGGGUACUCUACAAGCUGACCCGACUUUAGUCACAUCAUGUAACUUGUAUAGUUUGUAUGUAUGUAUGUAUAAAUAUACCCAUGAUCACCUCUCGAGUGAUCACUGCCCGAUAAUAUAGCAUGGCAGACGGACAAUAAUAUAGGGCCACUGAUGAUAAACUAGCAACCUAUAAUAAGCAUGUAGGAUUGCAGGUAAAGGUAUCAACAAUCAUAGCAACAAUAACAAGUUAUGCAACAGAAUAGGAGCUAUAAAAUCAACAACAGUAGCAAAACUAAUGCAAGAAUAAGAGAGAGAGACUGGGAGAUAUCUGGUUGAUCAAAGGGGGUUUGCUUGCCUGGAAGCUCUGCAGAGAGAUACGGAUCCUCGACGGUGAAGUAGUCGACCACCGGUUCAAACCGCGGUCUAGGGGUCUAUCGGAAAGAAGUAAUGGAGGGGGGAACACAAUAAAUAACAGAGAAAUCAAUGCAUCACAAAGUAUGACAUAGCAAUACACGGUGCUAGAGGUGACCUAACGAUGUGCUAAGCGUUACGGACAGAGCGGGAAAUAUCCCGUAAUAUUUUCUCGGCUCCAGGCAUUUAUCGGACAGAUGAACCGGAGGGAAAUGUUCCAUGUUUGCAGUGUUGGGGGCACAUGACAGGUAUGUGGGUGGCAUACCCGGAUUCAUCACAUUUUUUGAUUAUUAUUCAUAUAUAAGUUAUUUUCAUCAGAGUUACGGUUUAUUUUCUUUGAAUUUACAAAGUUUAAAUGAUUUUCUGAAUUUACAGAAUUUUUUAAUCCGAAAAUAAAACAGCAAAAUACUUUUGUCACUUAGUGCUAUUCCAGCCAUAGUGUAUGACAAUGGGGCCAGUGGGGUUGGGUUGACCCAGUCAAAUGUUGACUAGUCAACAUAUAAACUGUGUAGGGGACCACAUGUCAUUGACUUAGACUUUUGUUGAAAUUUGUUUAUCUUUAAACUAACAGUGGGUCUACAUGUCAUCUACUAUCUAAUUAGCUAGUACUACUAAUUAGACUAACUAACCGGCCGGUCACACGCGCGGCUGUGGCACAGCCCGCCACAGACACACAUGGCGCACACACACCAGCUCAUGGCCAUGGCCAUAGAGCAGCAGCAGCGGCAGCUAACAAGGCGGCGUAGCAGCAGUGCAAGUAGUGUAAUAAGGCCAACCCCAGUGCAAGACCCAUCCCGUCCGCCCCGUUCGUUUGAGGUAAAAUAAACAAAUUAGACAGCCUAGCGCGCGACGGCCUGGACCCAUCUGGUCCGUCUUGUGACUGGGCCGACCCAUUUCGGGCGCAAACAUGCGCGCGGUUUGGGUCACGGCGGACGGCAAACGGACGCCUUGCUCGUCCGCGUCGGGGCCGCAUGGCAUGCGGCCACCUACCUCCCACCGCCCGACAUAAAUGCACAUAGGUGGUCGACCCCACCUGUCAUCUGCACAGGCGAACGGUCGCCAUCCUUCUUAAAUGGGGAAGCCAUGGACCAGCCAUCGUCCACACUCCCCAGUCCAACCCUUCCUGCCUCCUCGAAACCAACACCCCAAACCCUAGCCUCUCCCCAUCCCCGAUCUCGGCGGCCGGCCACCUCGCAGCCAUGGGCUUCUGGAACCACGGCCGCAAGGGGAAGCACGGCCGCGAGGCUAGCUCGUCUUUGGGCUGCCGCCGCGGCUCCGUGAAGGAGGAGCAAGCAUCACCACCGCGUCGGGCCCCCGCGCCUGCGCCAUUCACCAUCGGCCCUACGGCCGGCGGCGAGCGCAACCGGCAUUACAUCGCCGCAGAUGUAUGACGGCGUUAUUGAGAGACUAGGACGCCGCUCCCGUGGAGCGACGUGCACCUCCCCAAUAACUGGCACCUCUCCGUCAACCGGGUCCCGAUCCCGCCGGUCCCGAUGAGCGGCCAUGCGCGCCGCGAGAAGAUCGAGCGUCGCCGCCGCCUCCUGCCGGACGACCUAUACUACGACGACAGGUACGCCCCCAACUCCCGGCUCUGGGACACGUGGCUCCAGCACGAGCACGACGUGCGGCGCAUGUCAUUCUUUGCCGGCACCUCAUUGGGGCCGCGGCGGCCACGUCGAGAGCAUGCAGCGCGUGCUUCCUAGGUGCGCGGGCAUACACGGGUGCGCGGCCUCACGCCAACGCCGUCGCCUUGACCGUCUCCAUCUCCGUCUCCAGCACCACCACCUCGCAUGACAGCGGAGAAGGAGGCAUGGCCUCCGGUGUCAUGGAGGACUCCAUGCGCAUGCACGAUGAGCGCCAAUGGGAGGGCCUCAAGGAGAUGAUGACCCUCUCUGCGGCAGGCGAUGUCGACAUCCCCGAGAUGGAGAUGGUGAAGGCGGAGGAGGAGCCGGUGGCAGCGUUCCACCUGGGCCUGCUGGACCAGAAGUGGAGCUGGUCGUGCACGGCUCCGGAGAUGGCCGACGCCGUGGGGGGCAUGAACUUGUGCCCUACGCAGCCGCAGUCACCGGAGCGGGAGGCCUCGCCAUGGGAGGAGGUGGUGCAGGAACCUCCGGCCUUCCAGCCCGCCCCAUUGUUUCACGCGCCACCGUCCCACCUCUGGACGCCGCCGGACUAUGUCGACCUCGUCAGCAACGACGACGACAACGGCGGCCACUGAAGACGGCCAAGGCCAUGGCAUCGACGGGCACGGCACGAGCGCGCGGGCGUUUUUUUUUUGUUUUUUAUGUUAAUUAUGGCAAUGUGAACCGUGAAACUGGGCCGUUUUGUGGCCGUGAUGGUUAAUUUAUGUUUUAUGUUUUUAUAUUUGUGUUUAUUUAAUUUUUUUGGCAUUUUAUUUUAGUUUUUUGUUUUUUUAAUCACGUCCACUUCGGACAUGAUUUGAAGUGCGACCGCGCGUUGGGCGCACCGAUAACCCAACGGACAGAAGCAGGCACGGGCGAACCCAUUGCCACCCCAAAGGGAUGAAAUCCGGUCAAACCGGACGUCCGUUUGGGGUUGUGCGCUGGAGUUGGCCGAAGAGCAGCAGCGGGAAGCAGUAGCAAGGAACAGCAGCAACGCAGCAGAGCACCAAGCAGAGCAGCGCAGUAGCAGGCAGCAGAGCAGCGGCUAGCGGCAUGUAACAUCAGCGACAGUAGUGGGCGGCUUCAGCAAAGAGAAGUAGCAAGCAGAGCAGCAGCGGCACAAGCAGGCAGUAGCAUCACACAGCGGCAACAAUACAGAGCAGCAGCGGCACAUAAUAGCGCAGCAGGCAGCCGCAAGCAGCAGAAGGUAGAGCAAUGCGCGACCGCGGCAUCGCAGGGUAGCAAGCGAGCGAGCCGGGCCGCACGGACGGGCGCCGGCAGGGGAGCCCAGGGUGCGCACGAGGCUGCCCGGGCUCCAGCGCGGCCACGGUUGCUACGUUCAGGGGUGGGGCUUAGGGGGAAAUCGACGCGGUGCUCAUCUGGGAGGACUGUUAGACUUAAUCUUGAUUCCAUGUAUCUGCAUAUUUAGUUUGCUUUCGUUGUGCAUGUAGGAUAGGUUAGAGAGUAGCUAGUCCGGUGAAGCUUCAGCGGAGGCACGCGAAGAAGAUGAGAUGUCAGGCUGCCGUGCGACGCGGCGAGCACGAGGAGAUGUCGAUAUUGCUAUGCGAUAAGGCAACGCCGUGUGAUGCGGCAAGAUGCGACCGUGGCUGGAGCGUGACGGGCUGCUCAUUCAGGUUGAGCCAAGUGAUUUGGCCAAGUCAGAAUUAGUUAGAGUAUGUGAGGCUGUAGCUGCAUGUGUGCGUGGUGCUAGCCGAGUCAAGAGUCAGUGCAUGCGUGAGUUUGUUAGUGAUUGACAUGGGCGUGCAUGUAGCUAGUCAGUUGGCGAAUGGGUUAGUGCGUGGAGGGUGCUGUUAGUGGCCGGUUAAGGUGGCUGGUAGUGCGUGCGUGAGUCCAGCACCUGAUGUAUAUAUACAUGUUGCAUACUGAGUAAUGAAGUGAGGCCGAGAGGGCUGAGCAGAGAAACCAUGUAGCCAUUGUGGUUCACCAAGGGAGUGUCUCUGGCAAAGCCGUUCCUCUUUCUUGGUAUAUGCGUGCGUGUGUGUGUGUGUUCAUGAGAGAGUUCUUGAGAGAAAACACAAGAGAAUUGUGUGAGAGGGAGAAGAGAGUUGUGAGAGGCAACUCGAGGUAGAAGAAGGAGCGGCGCUGCGAGGUGAGGCGGCGCCAACAAUUGGCAUCAGAGCCUAGUCGAUCUGGCGACGGCGGCGGCGCGGCGGACUCCAUGCGAGAUGGAGGCCGGCGGUGCAAGGAGGAGGCUGGUGGCGGUGCGAUCGGCGCCGCGAAGGCGUCGUCCACAUCAAUAGAUGGUCGUUGCAUGUGGCAGGAGGUCGUGGUACACGGCGCCGCGACGGCAUCGUCCACGGCAAGAAGGAGUGGUGAUUGGCGUUGCUAGGGCAUCAUCCGCGGCGACGAGAUGGUCCAUGGCAACUGGCGCCGUGAGGGCGUCGACAACAACAAGUGGCUGCGGCGCUGCGAUGGCGUCCGCAAGUGGUUGCGGGUGAUCCGCAUAGGAGAUUGGGGAAUCAAGAUUAAGGGGGGAAUGUUAGACUUAAUCUUGAUUCCAUGUAUCUGCAUAUUUAGUUUGCUUUCAUUGUGCAUGUAGGAUAGGUUAGAGAGUAGCUAGUCCGGUGAAGCUUCAGCGGAGGCACGCGGAGAAGAUGAGAUGUCAGGCUGCCGUGCGACGCGGCGAGCACGAGGAGAUGUCGAUAUUGCUAUGCGAUAAGGCAACGCCGUGUGAUGCGGCAAGAUGCGACCGUGGCUGGAGCGUGACAGGCUGCUCAUUCAGGUUGAGCCAAGUGAUUUGGCCAAGUCAGAAUUAGUUAGAGUAUGUGAGGCUGUAGCUGCAUGUGUGCGUGGUGCUAGCCGAGUCAAGAGUCAGUGCAUGCGUGAGUUUGUUAGUGAUUGACAUGGGCGUGCAUGUAGCUAGUCAGUUGGCGAAUGGGUUAGUGCGUGGAGGGUGCUGUUAGUGGCCGGUUAAGGUGGCUGGUAGUGCGUGCGUGAGUCCAGCACCUGAUGUAUAUAUACAUGUUGCAUACUGAGUAAUGAAGUGAGGCCGAGAGGGCUGAGCAGAGAAACCAUGUAGCCAUUGUGGUUCACCAAGGGAGUGUCUCUGGCAAAGCGGUUCCUCUUCCUUGGUAUAUGCGUGCGUGUGUGUGUGUGUUCAUGAGAGAGUUCUUGAGAGAAAACACAAGAGAAUUGUGUGAGAGGGAGAAGAGAGUUGUGAGAGGCAACUCGAGGUAGAAGAAGGAGCGGCGCUGCGAGGUGAGGCGGCACCAACAAGGACGCAGGCGAGCUCGAGAGGGGUUGGGGAUGGCCCAGAGCAGCAGAUCGACGGUGGCGUGCGGCGGCUGUGACAGAAGAAGUUGAACAUGCCAUCUCUUGGGGCCUCUAGGUGCGAACGGAGUAAUUGACGAUGACAAGCACGACGCGACGGAGCUCCUGGACACACCGGCGAGAUGAGAGGUGGUCGGUGGCCGCAGCAUCGACGCGGCGACAGCGACGACCACGUUGGGUGCCUCUCCAGAUCGGGGAGGAGAGCGAGGGGGAAGAGGGGGGGUAGUGGCUAGGGUUUGACCGGGGUCGCGGGGUUGAUCAUAACCUAGGGGGGCCAUGGGAUGGGUGCCACGGCGGCAUCGCCAGCCAGGGAGGCCAGGAUGGCUGCCACGCUCCCCUCUACCUCCUAUAGUGGGAGGUCGAGGAAGAUGGAGGUGGGCUGGGCCUCCCUCUCUCUUACUUUUCUCUCUUUCUUUCUUUCUUUCUUUCGUUCUUCUUUUUCUGUUUUCUUUCCAAUUUGUUUUGUUUUUUAUUUACUUUUAUUUUGGUUUUAUAAAAUAUGAGACUUGGUCCAUAAUUAGUUAUGCAAAAUUAGGCACUGCCACAAAAGUUUUGGGGUUAUUUAAAAUAGUUUAUCAUAAAUUAGGAAAGGCAAUUUAAAUAAUGAAUUUUCCCCUUGUUUCAUUUAUUUUAGGGAUCUCAACCAAUUUAUAAAAUGUUAGUUAAUGAAUGACAAUUAUUUAGGGGAUAUUUUCAACCUAACGAAGAUUUUCAAUUUACUAUUUGAAGCAAUAAUAAUUUAACUUGUUAUUUGAAUUUGAAUUUGACUUGAAUCUUAAUCAAGUGACAAUUGGCUUAGUAAAUGAUGAUGACAUGGCAUCAUUAGGGUGAGGUUACUGUAGCAUGAGUCUCGGGGUGUUACAAUCUACUAGAUAAUACCCCGCCCGUUGCCGCGGGAUGUAUGCAUGGAUACAAUUGAUGAACUCUUUGGAAGCUAAUAGGAAAUAUUGCCAAGCUGAAGCAAAUAUGUUAUGUUCUUUACAAAUAAUUAACUAAGAACAAUGAGUUGCACUUGGACAAAAAACAUGUUUAGUGGAAAUACCGGCACCCUGUAGUGCCAUAAAAUCGUAGAUGAUACAAUGCAUUCACGGUUGUAUCAUUUACAUGCAUAGAACACACUAAUGGAUUAAUUGUACUUCCGACUGAUCACAGUACUUCAGGGAAUGCUUCUGUGAAGAAAGAUCAAUAAAAAUACAUACAGUACUCCAAAUCUCUGAAGGUGAUAACUGUCAUGGACAAACUCAACACAGAUAUGGAGAACAAACCUAUCUGUAACAUUCCUGGGCAAACUUGUGCGCAAAAAUAUUAGGAAAUAGACUGUUCACGUCAAUGGAAUAUUCCAAAAGUGCUUUUAUCAAUUUAGAGAUACAUAUAGACUAAGGUAUAACGAACCAGAAGGUGAAGAGUUGUUGCUCAGCCAUGUACGUUCAGAAAACCACUUAUAUACUUCUUUAAUAUUUUUCCUCUAGAUUUCCAGAAGGAAACAGAUAAGUAAAUUAUUGUAGCUCAAUUUCUACUAAUACCGUGCAUUAUGUAAGUGUAUAGACAUUCAUGCAUAUAGCGAGGGAGUAAUGGACCAUACCAAUUCUAUGUCUGGUCAACCACGACAUAUGCAUCCGGUGAAUUUGACUUCUCUCAAAAAAAUCCGGUGAAUUUGACUGUUUAUUCUUCCUUUCAACAUCCAGCGAAUCCAAACUUUGUUGGACCUUAUUUUUUAAUAUAUCAAGGAAAUGAUAAGCAUAAUAAGGAGGCAGGAAGUGCUACAACCAACAACAUAUCCUAAAAGUAAAAUAUAUGCCUCCUCGAAAAUUAGGAAUGUAAAUUACAUAACUAAGAUAUAUAGGGGGUGGAAAAGGAGUAUGUAACUUGUGGAAGAGAUAGACCUGCCAUAAGACUGGAAGAAUGUAUUUCCCUGUGCACCUCUUCUGCAAAACUAAAAAGUAAGUGAUCAUCAUAUCACUUGUAGAAGUGCUAGAUCAUUAAAACAAUUGAAAAUUCUUUCAAACGAACAAUUGAAUAUGUUCAUAAUCAACAAAAUACAGAAGAAAUAGUGGAUGUUCUCCCAAAGGGCCAAAAGCACUUGAGUGCAUCAUAUUAUUCAAAAAUCAACAAACAUCUAAAACACAGAAGAAGGAAAGACAGAGAAUGGUUUAUAUAUUAUUACCAUUCUACCAAAGCGAAAGAGAUGAGAUUGCUUACCAGAACCUAGUUGCUCCAUAAAUGAUUCAUAAUGUUAAAGGGCUUCAUUGUCACUGCUGACAGUUCGUUGGAUCGUCAAAUUCAAGUGAAGCGAUGACAACACAAAGCAGUUCAAGAUCCAGUAGGAGAGAAAACCAAGCAGUGCGGAGACUUAAUACGAGGGUUGGUAUAGCUGCAGCCCACCGCGGAUGAGUUGCAACCAAGAAUAGACAGUCUGCAUGCAUGCUAGUAAAGAUCUACCAAAACACAAAAUAAUAAUGUGUCAACACUACUGUUCCUAUUAUCCAACAGGUAAACAUGAAUGUAUGUAAAACAAUCUGAUGCUAAUAUCUAUGUUGACAUGCCCAUGACAAAGAAAAAAAUGGCAGUACUUAAUUAUUAUUUUUUGCCCUUCACUAAUCUGCACGUAGCGUGAGUAUGCAAUGUCAUCAAAAAAGAAAAAUAGCAUAUGAAGAAGUCAUCUUCCCUGCACAUAGAUCAGCAUUUGGUGCAGAAGAAACAGAGCCAUGAAGCAACACUGCAAGAGAAACACUCGGACAACGGAACCAAUGAUGAUCCCAUAAUGCUACAAAAAUACAUAAGCCCUGCAGGGAAACAAAAACUGGUAAUGAUAGUGAGACAAAUAAAUCAUACUGAUAUUGUAAAUCGCUCGGACGUUUUUGAAAUGUCUGUGAACAUGUAUAACAAUAACUGACUGAUUUAGUUCAGAAAAAUACUUCCCUGGUAGCCAGUGUUGGAGGUGGGGAUAGGAGGAGUGUGCAACCUUGUUCCAUGGUGCUUUUUAAUGAUAUUGUAAAUCGCUCGAACGUUUUUGAAAUGUUUGUUAGCAUCUAUAACAAUAACUGAUUGAUUUGGUUCAGAAAAAUACUUCCCUGCUUGCCAGUGUUGGUGGUGGAGGAGUGUGCGACCUCGUUCCAUGGUUCUUUUAAUGGAAGCCAUGGCCCCUUCUCCAACCUCCCGCUGGUCCACGGUCAGCAUCGUUGUCGGCCUUCCCGCCUGCUGGCCUCGUCCUCCCGGAAUCGAGUGUCGGGGCAGCUCCGUCGUCCUGUGGAGCAGCGCCAGCUUCCUCAUGCGCCAUGUCUGCCCAUGAGAUCUGAUAGCUUUUUCUCUGCCUGGUGAUACCACUUCGAUCAAAGUUCCAACUGCUACACCCAACCGGCAGAUGCUGCCGGGCAGCCGGAUCUGAUUCCCAUCUGGAGGGCUCAAUUCCUCAUGGAAAAUAAGUAGGGUGGGGAUUUAAUUAGAGAAAAUGCCUGAGAUUGAGAAACACCAAAAGCCAUAGGGAGGUAAAGAAUAAGAAAGGAGCAGCCGUGGGAAGCGGAGGGGACUGAUGGAUUCGCCAAAGGGACUCCUCGGUCGCCUGCGCUGCGCCUUCUCUCUACUCGUCGGUUACUACUGAAAGAAGGGAGAGGAAACGAACAUAUAGAGGAUUUGAGUGAGUGGAACCAAGCGUGUCAUUAAACAUUUUUUUCUCUAUGCAGUGCUGAUGUGGCAGCUUGCGCUUGAUUGGUCGCUCUUGUAAGCUAGUAGUAGAACGAUGAUGUGGCUCACUUGCUGAUGUGGAUAGGCUGCAUGUCAAAAGAAAUAAGAUAGUGGGGAUGAACCAUUUAGAUAUUAUAGAUGAACAAGAAACAAUAACUAGACAGAAACAAAGAGGAAGGAAAAAACAAAAACAGGGCAAAAAAAACUUACUCCAAUGACGUCUCUCUCCCUUCUCGUUCUCUAGAACCCCUGGAGGACCUCCUGCUGAAGAGGAAUGGGAAAUGGGCGAAAUGAACGCGAGGUAGAAAAACUACUCUGAGAGAGACAAACGGCCUGCCAGCCCAACUAUCGUGACAAACACCCCGGCCCGCUACUAGCAUCAACCUGAAAACGGGCGGCGCGACACACAACAGCCGUGAGCGAAUGCACCAGUGGGACAAAAAUAGGUUUGCGCGAAUCUUAAAGACAGACGAGAUCCAAUGGCUGUGGACAUAGAUGUGAAGUAGUUAUUUCACAUCUAGAUGUGAAAUAGCAAAUCUGAUAUAAUGACUGUAAUGUUGUAGUUUGUAGAUGUCUAAUUAAUGCACAACUCAUUUUUUUUAUGCAGUACCAUACCUUCAAGAUAUAUAUAAUUAAUGUAAUGUUGUAGCAUGUAGAUGUGUAAUUAAUGCACACGUUCAUUUUUUGGUGCAGUGCCAUAUCUUCCUAUCUUCAAGAUAUAUAUAAUUAUUGUAAUAUUGUAGCAUGUAGAUGUGCAACUAAUGGGUACAUUCAUUUUUUAUGCAGUACCAUAUCUCCAAGAUAUAUCAUAUAUAGUACAACUAAUGUAUGUAUAACGUGUCGAUGAGGAGUUCAUGUACACACUCAUCGUUCGAUGUUAUUUCGUAUCUUCAAGGUAUAGCCUAUAAAUAUAGAGUUAAUGUGAACAUUCAUUGUUUGAUACAAUAUCGUAUCUUCAAGAUAUAGAACUAAUGUAUGGUGUAUCCUCUAGAGUGUAAUUAAUGUACAUAUUAAUUGUUUGAUAUGGUGCUGUAUCUUCAAGAUAUACAAUUGAUGCAUGUGCCCAUAUCAUCAUCUCAAACAAGGCUAUAUAAACCAAGCCAUAGAUAACGAAGUCAUGUAUCCCACACAUUCACAGAGAAGCCACACAAACAAUUAUAAGAUCAAAGGGAUAGAGAAGGCUCUAGUGUAGCAGAUACAAAAGCCAUAGCAAUGACGAAACUCAUGUGCUUAUGUUUCAUCAUCCUCACUAUUGGGGUAGCCGUGUCGGCUGACGAAUGUGAGGGUGACCGACAGGCCAUGAUCAAGGAGUGUGCUAAGUAUCAACAAUGGCCAGCAAAUCCGAAGAUAGAUCCAUCGAACGCAUGUUGUGUCGUGUGGCAAAAGGCAAACAUCCCAUGCCUUUGCGCUGGUGUCACCAAGGAGAAAGAGAAGAUAUAUUGUAUGGAGAAGGUUGGCUACGUUGCCAAUUUCUGCAAGAAGCCGUUUUCACAUGGAUACAAGUGCGGAAGUAAGUGACAUAUAUUAAGGGAAUUAUGAUGAUUGGUAUUGCAUACAUGCAGUUUUGAUAUUUGUUAUUCUUUGGAUUCAAACAAUUUUGAUUUUAGUGAUGCAUUUUAUAUGUUUCUUGUGCUAUUCUGAUCAUAUGUUGGGUCAAAUUGAAUGGUCUUGCAGGUUACACAUUCCCUCCUCUGGCGUAGUGACUCUAGUUUAGUUGUGGGAGGAGAAGCUUGGCUUUUACAUUCCAUGUGCCUGGCCUCACAAUAGCUUUCCUUUCAGAUCUGUAAGUUGUGAGGUUGUGCUCAGAAAAGUUUAUGUUAAGCAUUUUGCAUGAGAACGUUUCUGAAACUAAUAAAGCCUUCUCCUCAAAUAGUCUAAAUUAUGUUUGUUCAUAUAUUAUUUUUGGUUCUACUAGAAAAUAUGACCGUACGUUGCAACGGGAGAAAAACAAUCAGAUUAUGCAUAUGUGGUAGAGAUAAAAAAAAGUUUGAAACAUAUGCCAGGAGGAGAUCGGGACCUUUAAAACGUGAUUUCAUAAACUACGUUUGAAUCAUGUCAUGAUGAGAUAAGGAACUUCUAAAAGGUCAUUUCAAAAGCUAAAAAUGUGAUGGUCUCAUCACGACUUGAUUUCCUAAGGCACCACAACAAAAUAUUUUAUGGCUGAGAAACUGUAUUGAUGGACCCUACCUGAGCUAGACUAAUGAAUGGAGUGUGUCGCCUCUGUUGGAAAUAUGCCCUAGAGGCAAUAAUAAAAUGGUUAUUAUUAUAUUUCUUUGUUCAUGAUAUUUGUCUGUUAUUCAUGCUAUAAUUUUAUUAUUCGGAAAUCGUAAUACACGUGUGAAUACAUAGACCACAACUUGUCCCUAGUGAGCCUCUAGUUGAGUAGCUCGUUGAUCAACAGAUAGUCAUGGUUUCCUGACUAUGGACAUUGGAUGUCAUUGAUAACGGGAUCACAUCAUUAGGAGAAUGAUGUGAUGGACAAGACCCAAUCCUAAGCAUAGCUCAAAGAUCGUGUAGUUCGCUUAGCUAGAGCUUUUCCAAAUGUCAAGUAUCAUUUCCUUAGACCAUGAGAUUGUGCAACUCCCGGAUACCGUAGGAGUGCUUUGGGUAUACCAAACGUCACAAUGUAACUGGGUGACUAUAAAGGUGCACUACGGGUAUCUCCGAAAGUGUCUGUUGGGUUGGCACGAAUCGAGACUGGGAUUUGUCACUCCGUAUGACAGAGAGGUAUCUCUGGGCCCACUCGGUAAUGCAUCAUCGUAAUGAGCUCAAUGUGACCAAGUGUCUGGUCACGGGAUCAUGCAUUACGGUACGAGUAAAGUGACUUGCCGGUAAUGAGAUUAAACUAGGUAUUGGGAUACCGACGAUCGAGUCUUGGGCAAGUAACGUACCGAUUGACAAAGGGAAUUGUAUACGGGGUUGUUUGAAUCCUCGGCAUCGUGGUUCAUCCGAUGAGAUCAUCGAGGAGCAUGUGGGAGCCAACAUGGGUAUCCAGAUCCCGCUGUUGGUUAUUGACCAGAGAGGCGUCUCAGUCAUGUCUGCAUGUCUCCCGAAACCGUAGGGUCUACACACAUAAGGUUCGGUAAUGCUAGGGUUGUAGAGAUAUGAGUAUGCAGUAAACCAAAAGUUGUUCGGAGUCCCGGAUGAGAUCCCGGAUGUCACAAGGAGUUCCGUAAUGGUCCGGAGGUAAAGAAUUAUAUAUGGGAAGUCGAGUUUCGGCCAUCGGGAAAGUUUCGGGGGUCACCCGUAUUGUACCGGGAACACCGGAAGGGUCCCGGGGGUCCACCGGGUGGGGCCACCUAUCCCGGAGGGCCCCAUGGGCUGAAGUGGGAGGGGAACCAGCCCCAGGUGGGCUGGUGCGCCCCCCCUUGGGCCCCCCUGCGACUAGGGUUGGAAACCUUAGGGGUGGGGGGCGCCUCCACUUGCCUUGGGGGGCAAUCCACCCCCUUGGCCGCCGCCCCCCCUCGGGGAUUCAAUCUCCUAGGGCCGGCGCCCCCCUGGGGACCCUAUAUAAAGAGGGGGGAGGGAGGGCAGCCGCACCCUUGCACUUGGCGCCUCCCUUCCCCCUUGCUACACCUCUCCCUCCCGCAGACUCUUGGCGAAGCCCUGCCGGGAUCCCUGCUGCAUCCACCACCAUGCCGUCGUGCUGCUGGAUCUUCAUCAACCUCUCCUCCCCCCUUGCUGGAUCAAAAAGGAGGACACGUCUCCCUGACCGUACGUGUGUUGAACGCGGAGGUGCCGUUCAGUCGGCGCUAGGAUCUCCGGUGAUUUGGAUCACGACGAGUAUGACUCCCUCAACCCCGUUCCCUUGAACGCUUCCGCUCGAUCUACAAGGUUAUGGAGAUGCACUCCUUUCUCUCGUUGCUAGAUGAACUCAUAAAUUGAUCUUGGUGAAACCGUAGGAAAUUUUUUAUUUUCUGCAACAUUCCCCAACAGUGGCAUCAUGAGCUAGGUCUAUGCGUAGUUCUCUUUGCACGAGUAGAACACAAUUUUGUUGUGGGCGUAGAUGUUGUCAAUUUUCUUGCCACUACUAGUCUUCUUUUGCUUCAGCGGUAUUGUGGGAUGAAGCGGCCCGGACCGACCUUACACGUACGCUUACGUGAGACAGGUUCCACCGACUGACAUGCACUAGUUGCAUAAGGUGGCUAGCGGGUGUCUGUCUCUCCCACUUCAGUUGGAGCGGAUUCGAUGAAAAGGGUCCUUAUGAAGGGUAAAUAGAAGUUGACAAAUCACGUUGUGGCUUUUACGUAGGUAAGAAAAUGUUCUUGCUAGAACCCUAUUGCAGCCACGUAAAGCAUGCAACAACAAUUAGAGGACGUCUAACUUGUUUUUGCAGCAUAUGAUUUGUUAUGUGAUAUGGCCAAAAGUUGUGAUGAAUAAUGAAUGAUAUAUUGUGAUGUAUGAGAUCAUGUUCUUGUAAUAGGAAUCACGACUUGCAUGUCGAUGAGUAUGACAACCAGCAGGAGCCAUAGGAGUUGUCUUAAUUAUUGUAUGACCUGCGUGUCAAUGAUUUAACGCCAUGUAAUUACUUUACUUUAUUGCUAAACCGUUAGCCAUAGUAGUAGAAGUUAUAGUUGGUGAGCAACUUCAUGGAGACACGAUGAUGGAGAUCAUGAUGAUGGAGAUCAUGGUGUCAUGCCGGUGACGAAGAUAAUCAUGCAGCCCCGAAGAUGGAGAUCAAAGGAGCUAUAUGAUGUUGGCCAUAUCAUGUCACUGUUUAAUUGCAUGUGAUGUUUAUUAUGUUUAUGCAUCUUUUUUACUUAUAACGACGGUAGUAAAUAAGAUGAUCCCUCAUAAUAAUUUCAAGAAAGUGUUCCCCCUAACUGUGCACCGUUGCGAAAGUUCGUCGUUUCGAAGCACCACCUGAUGAUCAGGUGUGAUAGAUUCUAACGUUCACAUACAACGGGUGUAAGACAGAUUUACACAUGCAAAACACUUAGGUUAACUUGACGAGCCUAGCAUGUACAGACAUGGCCUCGGAACACAAGAGACCGAAAGGUCGAACAUGAGUCGUAUGGAAGAUACGAUCAACAUGGAGAUGUUCACCGAUGAUGACUAGUCCAUCUCACAUGAUGAUCGGACACGGCCUAGUCGACUCGGAUCAUGUAUCACUUAGAUGACUAGAGGGAUGUCUAAUCUGAGUGGGAGUUCAUUAAAUAAUUUGAUUAGAUGAACUUAAAUUAUCAUGAACUUAGUCUAAAAACCUUUGCAAAUAUGUCUUGUAGAUCAAAUGGCCAAUGCUCAUGUCCACCUGAACUUCAACGCGCUCCUAGAGAAAACCAAGCUGAAAGAUGGUGGCAGCAACUAUACGGACUUGGUCCGGAACCUGAGGAUCAUCCUCAUAGCUGCAAAGAAAGAUUAUGUCUUAGAAGCACUGCUAGGUGAAGCUCCCAUCCUAGAGAACCAAGACGUCAUGAACGCUUGGCAGUCUCGUGCUGAUGAUUACUCCCUCGUUCAGUGCGGCAUGCUUUACAGCUUAGAACCGGGGCUCCAAAAGCGUUUUAAGCAACACGGAGCAUAUGAGAUGUUCGAAGAGCUGAAAAUGGUUUUCCAAGCUCAUGCCUAGGUCGAGAGAUAUGAAGUAUCCAACAAGUUCUUUAGCUGUAAGAUGGAGGAAAAUAGUUCUGUCAGUGAGCACAUACUCAAAAUGUCUGGGUUGCACAACCGCUUGACUCAGCUGGGAGUUAAUCUCCCGGAUGACGCGGUUAUUGACAGAAUCCUUCAGUCGCUUCCACCGAGCUACAAGAGCUUUGUGAUGAACUUCAAUAUGAAGGGGAUGGAAAAGACCAUUCGUGAAGUAUAUUCAAUGCUGAAAUCAGCAGAGGUUGAGAUCAAAAAGGAACAUCAAGUGUUGAUGGUAAAUAAAACCACUAAGUUAAAGAAAGGCAAGGGUAAGAAGAACUUCAAGAAGGACGGCAAGGAAGUUGCCGCGCCCGGUAAGUCAGCUGCCGGGAAGAAGUCAAAGAAUGGACCCAAGCCUGAGACUGAGUGCUUUUUAUUGCAAAGGGAAGGGUCACUUGAAGCAGAACUGCCCCAAAUACUUAGCGGACAAGAAGGUCGGCAACACUAAAGGUAUAUGUGAUAUAAAUGUAAUUGAUGUGUACCUUACCAGUGCUCGUAGUAGCUCCUGGGUAUUUGAUACCGGUGUCGUUGCUCAUAUUUGUAACUCAAAGCAGGAGCUGCGGAAUAAGCGGAGACUGGUGAAGGACGAGAUGACGAUGCGCAUCAGGAAUGGUUCCAGAGUCGAUGUGAUCGCCGUCGGCACGCUACCUCUACAUUUACCUACGGGAUUAGUUUUAAACCUCAAUAAUUGUUAUUUAGUACCAGCUUUGAGCAUGAACAUUGUGUAUGGAUCUCGUUUAAUACGAGAUGGCUACUCAUUUAAAUCCGAGAAUAAUGGUUGUUCUAUUUAUAUGAGAGAUAUGUUUUAUGGUCAUGCCCCGAUGGUCAAUGGUUUAUUCUUAAUGAAUCUCGAACAUGGUGUUACACAUAUUCAUAGCGUGAAUAUCAAAAGAUGUAAAGUUGAUAACGAUAGUUCCACAUACUUGUGGCACUGCCGCCUUGGUCACAUUGGUGUCAAGCGCAUGAAGAAGCUCCAUGCUGAUGGACUUUUAGAGUCUCUCGAUUAUGAAUCAUUUGACACAUGCGAGCCAUGCCUCAUGGGCAAACUGACCAAGACUCCGUUCUCCGGAACAAUGGAGCGAGCAACCAACUUAUUGAAAAUCAUACAUACAGAUGUGUGCGGUCCAAUGAGUGUUGAGGCUCGCGGGGGAUAUCGUUAUGUUCUCACUCUCACUGAUGACUUGAGUAGAUAUGGGUAUGUCUACUUGAUGAAACACAAGUCUUCGACCUUUGAAAAGUUCAAGGAAUUUCAGAAUGAGGUAGAGAAUCAACGUGACCAAAAAAUAAAGUUCUUACGAUCAGAUCGUGGAGGAGAAUAUUUAAGUCACGAAUUUGGUAUGUACUUAAGGAAAUGUGGAAUCAUUUCACAACUCACGCUGCCUGGAACACCUCACCGUAACGGUGUGUCCGAACGCCGUAAUCGCACUUUAUUAGAUAUGGUGUGAUCUAUGAUGUCUCUUACCGAUUUACCGCUAUCUUUUUGGGGAUAUGCUCUAGAGACAGCUACACUCACUUUAAAUAGGGCACCGUCUAAAUCCAUUGAGACGACACCGUAUGAAUUAUGGUUUGGGAAGAAACCUAAGCUAUCGUUUCUAACAGUUUGGGGAUGCGAUGCUUAUGUCAAGAAACUUCAACCUGAAAAGCUCGAACCCAAGUCAGAAAAAUGCGUCUUCAUAGGAUACCCUAAGGAAACCAUUGGGUAUACCUUCUACCUUAGAUCCGAAGGCAAGAUCUUUGUUUCCAAGAACGGGUCCUUCAUGGAGAAAGAGUUUCUCUCGAGAGAAGUAAGUGGGAGGAAAGUGGAACUUGAUGAAGUACUACCUCUCGAACCGGUAAGUAGCAUAGCUCAGGAAGAUGUUCCUGUGGUGCCUACACCGACUGGAGAGGAAAUUAAUGAUGAUGAUCAAGGUACAUCGGAUCAAGUUGCUACCGAACUUCGUAGGUCCACAAGGACACGUUCCACACCAGAGUGGUAUGGCAACCCUGUCCUGGAAAUCAUGUUGUUAGACAACGGUGAACCUUCGAACUAUGAAGAAGCGAUGGCGGGCCCAGAUUCCAACAAAAGGCUUGAAGCCAUGCAAUCCGAGAUAGAAUCCAUGUAUGAAAACAAAAUAUGGACUUUGACAGACUUGCCCGAUGAUCGGCGAGCGAUAGAAACAAAUGGAUCUUUAAGAAGAAGACGGACGUAGAUGGACUAUGCUAAGGGUUAUCGGCAAGUUCAAGGGGUUGACUACGAUGAGACUUUCUCUCCCGUAGUGAAGCUGAAGUCCGUCCGAAUCAUGUUAGCAAUUGCCGCAUACUAUGAUUAUGAGGUAUGGCAGAUGGACGUCAAAACAGCAUUCGUUAACGGUUAUCUUAAGGAAGAACUGUAUAUGAUGCAGCCGGAAGGUUUUGUCGAUGCUAAGAAUGCUAACAAGGUAUGCAAGCUCCAGUGAUCCAUUUAUGGGCUGGUGCAAGCAUCUCGGAGUUGGAACAGUCGCUUUGAUGAGAUGAUCAAAGCGUUUGGGUUUAUGCAGACUUAUGGAGAAGCCUGCGUUUACAAGAAAGUGAGUGGGAGCUCUGUAGCAUUUCUCAUAUUAUAUGUAGAUGACAUACUUCUGAUGGGAAAUGAUAUAGAACUUUUGGACAGCAUUAAUGCCUACUUGAAUAAGUGUUUUUCAAUGAAGGACCUUGGAGAAGCUGCUUACAUAUUAGGCAUCAAGAUCUAUAGGGAUAGAUCGAGACACCUCAUAGGUCUUUCACAAAGCACAUACCUUGAUAAGAUAUUGAAGAAGUUCAAUAUGGAUCAGUCCAAGAAAGGGUUCUUGCCUGUAUUGCAAGGUGUGAGAUUGAGCUCGGCUCAAUGCCCGACCACGACAGAAGAUAAAGAAGAGAUGAGUGUCAUCCCCUAUGCCUCAGCCAUAGGAUCUAUUAUGUAUGCCAUGCUGUGUACCAGACCUGAUGUAAACCUUGUCGUAAGUUUGGUAGGAAGGUACCAAAGUAAUCCUGGCAAGGAACACUGGAUAGCGGUCAAGAAUAUCCUGAAGUACCUGAAAAGGACAAAGGACAUGUUUCUCAUCUAUGGAGGUGACGAAGAGCUCGUCGUAAAGGGUUACGUCGACGCUAGCUUCGACACAGAUCUGGAUGACUCGAAGUCACAAACCGGACACAUGUAUAUUCUGAACGGUGGGGCAGUAAGCUGGUGCAGUUGCAAGCAAAGCGUCGUGGUGGGAUCUACAUGUGAAGCGGAGUACCUGGUAGCCUCGGAGGCAGCGCAUGAAGCAAUCUGGGUGAAGGAGUUCAUCACCGACCUAGGAGUCAUAACCAAUGCGUCGGGGCCGAUCAAACUCUUCUGUGACAACACUGGAGCUAUUGAACUUGCCAAGGAGCCCAGGUUUCACAAGAAGACCAGGCACAUCAAGCGUCGCUUCAACACCAUACGUGAAAAUGUUCAAGAUGGAGACAUAGAUAUUUGUAAAGUACAUACGGACCUGAAUGUAGCAGAUCCGUUGACUAAACCUCUUCCUAGGGCAAAAUAUGAUCAACACCAGAAUACCAUGGGUGUCCGAUUCAUCACAAUGUAAGUAGAUUAUUGAACUCUAGUGCAAGUGGGAGACUGUUGGAAAUAUGCCCUAGAGGCAAUAAUAAAAUGGUUAUUCUUAUAUUUCUUUGUUCCUGAUAUUUGUCUGUUAUUCAUGCUAUAAUUGUAUUAUCCAGAAAUCAUAAUACACGUGUGAGUACAUAGACCACAACUUGUCCCUAGUGAGCCUCUAGUUGACUAGGUCGUUGAUCAAUAGAUAGUCAUGGUUUCCUGACUAUGGACAUUGGAUGUCAUUGAUAACGGGAUCACAUCAUUAGGAGAAUGAUGUGAUGGACAAGACCCAAUCCUAAGCAUAGCUCAAAGAUCGUGUAGUUCGUUUAGCUAGAGCUUUUCCAAAUGUCAAGUAUCAUUUCCUUAGACCAUGAGAUUGUGCAACUCUCGGAUACCGUAGGAGUGCUUUGGGUGUACCAAACGUGACAAUGUAACUGGGUGACUAUAAAGGUGCACUACGGGUAUCUCCGAAAGUGUCUGUUGGGUUGGCACGAAUCGAGACUGGGAUUUGUCACUCCGUAUGACGGAGAGGUGUCUCUGGGCCCACUCGGUAAUGAUCAUCAUAAUGAGAUCAAUGUGACCAAGUGUCUGGUCACGGGAUCAUGCAUUACGGUACGAGUAAAGUGACUUGCCGGUAACGAGAUUAAACGAGGUAUUGGGAUACCGACGAUCGAGUCUCGGGCAAGUAACAUACCGAUUCACAAAGGGAAUUGUAUACAGGGUUGUUUGAAUCCUCGACAUCGUGGUUCAUCCGAUGAGAUCAUCGAGGAGCAUGUGGGAGCCAACAUGGGUAUCCAGAUACCGCUUGUGGUUAUUGACCGGAGAGGCAUCUCGGUCAUGUGUGCAUGUCUCCUGAACCCGUAGGGUCUACACACUUAAGGUUCGGUGAUGCUAGGGUUGUAGAGAUAUGAGUAUGCAGUAAACCGAAAGUUGUUCGGAGUCCCGUAUGAGAUCCCGGACGUCACGAGGAGUUCCGGAAUGGUCUGGAGGUAAAGAAUUAUAUAUAGGAAGUCGAGUUUCGGCCACCGGGAAAGUUUCGGGGGUCACCGGUAUUGUACCGGGACCAUCAGAAGGGUCCCGGCGGUCCACCGGGUGGGGCCACCUAUCCCGGAGGGCCCCAUGGGCUGAAUUGGGAGGGGAACCAGCCCCAGGUGGGCUGGUGCGCCCCCCUUGGGCCCCCCCUGCGCCUAGGGUUGGAAACCAUAGGGGUGGGGGCGCCUCCACUUGCCUUGGGGAGCAAGCCACCCCCUUGGCCGCCACCCCCCACCUUGGAGAUUCAAUCUCCUAGGGCCGCCCCCCCUGGGGACCCUAUAUAAAGAGGGGGGGAGGGAGGGCAGCCGCACCCUUGCACGUGGCGCCUCACUUCCCCCUUGCUACACCUCUCCCUCCCGCAGACGCUUGGCGAAGCCCUGCCGGGAUCCCUGCUGCAUCCACCACCACGCCGUCGUGCUGCUGGAUCUUCAUCAACCUCUCCUCCCCCUUGCUGGAUCAAGAAGGAGGAGACGUCUCCCUGACCAUACAUGCGUUGAACGCGGAGGUGCCGUCCGUUCAGCGCUAGGAUCUCCGGUGAUUUGGAUCACGACGAGUACGACUCCCUCAACCCCGUUCCCUUGAACGCUUCCGCUCGAUCUACAAGGGUAUGUAGAUGCACUCCUUUCUCUCAUUGCUAGAUGAACUUAUAGAUUGAUAUUGGUGAAACCGUAGGAAUUUUUUUAUUUUCUGCAACAUUCGCCAACAGCCUUCACCUAGGGUCAAGACGUUUACCCUGACUAAUAAAACUAUAGUACCAAAAUAACAUAGAGGUGUAUGGAGGCAAAUUAGAUAUUUAAUCAUUUUCAUAUACAACUUACAAAAACUAAUUGUAGGAAGUUUUGUCAUUUUUUUUGGGCUCAACGUUGUGCAGAUUAUGGAAACCUUUUUUUACGCGACUCGCAUGUACUAAAUAAAACCAUGAACCAACAUCUACAAAUAAAAAACUCUAUAUAAGCAGGUUAGUUUUGUUCGUUAUGUACAGAUCUGCUUAAUUUUUGUGAACAUUUUCUAAAAUUGACAUUUUUUCAAAUUCCCGAGUAUGUUUUGAAUACAUGAUCAUUUUUUUUCUAAAAUCAUGAGUAUUUUGUGAACAUUUUUUUGAAAUCGUGAUUUUUUUAUAAAUGCAAACAUCUUUUCAAAAUACUGGACAUUUUAUAAUCUUUCUAAAAAAAAUUGAAUUAAUAAAUUUUUUAUGAUUUCGCAAAAACAAUGUGAAUAGUUUUUAAAAAUACUGGACAUUUUAUGAUUUCCUAAACACUUUAUGAAUUCACGAACAUUUUAUGGUUUCCCAAUAAAAUCCAAAACUGACAACUUUUGGAUUAGGCUGAGGUUACUGUAGCAUGAGUCUCGGGGUGUUACAAAGUUCCUCCACUACAAGAAAUCGCGUCCCGAGAUUUAAGAGGCGGAGUAAGGUGGAAAGUUCUGGUUAUGAAAUUCUAAUGAAUCUUCUCGUUCUUGGUUGCUCUUCUCAAAGGAGUUGACCCAUUAUAUUACGUUGAUGUCUUAUUUUCUCUACUUCGGGUCAUAAUGACGAAGUCGUCAUCCUUUCUUCGAGAACUCCAUCGUACAUAUGAAGGAAUAAAGGAUGGAUAUUCCGGGAGAACGGGUCUCUGCAAAGUUGAAUAUCUGGUCGAUAACAUCAGGGAAGGUGGCAGAGAGUAACUCUCAAAUUGAAACUUAAGAAAAUAUCUAGAGCAAAGUAAGGAGGUAUCAUGGGAAGUCUCGAGUGGGUAGGCAAUCGUUCGAUGCCUAAAAUAGGGCAUGAAAGGGGUUCAGGGCAAUGGGAAUAAGUAUUGUGUCUGAUAGGAGAAUUGAUGAUCUCUCGAAAGGUGGCUCAUGAAUUACGUAAGAGGCCACACGCGAGGAACAAACUUGGGAACAUGGUGUGUACAGGAGAGUCAGGUUUUGAUCCUGUGGAACUGUGGGUUAUGGGCCCACCAUGUGGGUUAAAAGUAGGAAAGGCGGUGACAUCUUGCACGAUCAUGUAAGCAAGGCAUGUUAGAGGAUAGCCUGGCAGUUAUGUCGGCAACAGCACCGGUACCAUUUUAUUGCUCGUUAAACGAGGCAGACCAAUAGGCAAAGUUCUCGUCCAUCGGUGGUUACCGAAAAGUCAUCAACAUUAGUAACAGGGUCUUACUGACAGAGUGUUACAACGAGGUGCUUACCUAAGCAGGGAAUUAUCACUGCUCAAUUAAGUCAGGUUACAAGAAAGGUUAAACAAAACAAUAGAAAGGAAAAUGCGAUUAUCAGAUUAAACAGAACAAUGGAAAGGAAAAUGUGUUUAAACACAUAUUUCAGGAGUAUAUCCUUCCCAAGGGCAAACAGAGCACGAUAUCCAUGACAGGAUAGAAACUAGAAAGCCAUUUAGGUAAGGGGAGAGGAAUCUCAUGACAUUACCCAAACAACAGUGUUUGGAUAAUUGAUGGGAAAAAAUUUAGCAUUGUGUUUCAAAUGUUCUUAUUGAAGAUCGGAGGACCGCGGACAUGCUUCAAGAUAGCAUUGACAUGGUCUUGAAGCAAGGUCAGACUAUUGAUACUCAAAGGAUUCAUCAGGAACAACUGAUAGAAUAAUCUUAGAAUUUCCUCAUGGAAGAAUGGUUAACCUUGCCAAAAAGGAAACUAUAACAAUAGGGCCCCAGCCAGGUGUGCUAGGCAUGGCAUCACCUUACUGGGUCAUAUAAAUACCAAUGUUAUAACUCUUGGAAAUAUGUUCCAACCAUUAUAUUUGACCAAUAUUCGGAUAUGAUUGGUGUUAGGGUAGCUUAGACUCUAGAUGCUUAAGAAAAAAAAAGGUGUGACACGGAUUGACGAGAUGACAUUGUAACAUUCUCAGGAAAUGAACUAUGGGAGUGAGUACCGAAACAAGAGUUCAUCAUUAAAUCAAGGAGAGGGCGAGGAGGUGGCUGAUGGACUCAGCGACAAUUCAUUGAGAUUUCCAAAAAGAUGUAUUUGCACAAUUAUGUGAAGGAGAUAAAAUUUAUAAGACCAGAUGAUAUAACGAUGUAUGCUGAAGCAGAACAUCCAUGAGUAAACAUUGGUUGAAAGGUGCACCCGAAAUAUGGGCUUAGGUAGCAUGAUCAAUGUUAGAAUGGUGAUUCGAUAACCAAUACACAAAGAAUGAACCUAUCAUUCAUUAACUUACAGGCAAUAGGGUUGCUAGAACUUUUGAAUUUUACACAUCACAGUCCAGUUGUCAGUAUUCUGGUUAGGAACAACAUGGGGACCAAGAACUGAAUGUAGACGGCGAGAUAUAUCACUUGUAUCAAGAAAUCUUAAGAGGUGGUGAAAUUCUCACAACUUUCUUGAUAUAUAAAAUGGUAAUACUCCAAGGUAGGACAUAAGAUAAGUUGGAUUGCCAGGAACUCAAGGUACAACCACAACACUAACAAGUUUGUGUUGGAAAGAAGGCAAGGAAGUAGUUGAUGACAACACAAAUUACGAAGGAUAAGGAUGGUAAUCCCCAUCAGGAAUUCAAUUGAUAUCCUGGAAGGAGUCAAAAUGUCGUUGAUGAUUGAUACGUCUCCGUCGUAUCUAUAAUUUUUGAUUGUUCCAUGCCAAUAUUCUACAACUUUCAUAUACUUUUUGCAACUUUUAUACUAUUUUUUGGGACUAACAUGUUGAUCCAGUGCCCAGUGCGAGUUCCUAUUUGUUGCAUAUUUUAUGUUUCGCAGAAACCCCAUAUCAGACGGAGUCCAAACGGGAUAAAAAUGGAUGGAGAAUUAUUUUGGAAUAUUUGUGAUUUUUGGGAGGAAGAAUCAAUGCGAGACGGUGCCCGAGGGGGCCACGAGACAGGGGAGCAUGCCCUAGGGGGCAGGUGCGCCCUGGACUCUCAUGGGCACACCGUAAGGCGGUUGAUGCUCUUGUUUUGCCGCAAGAAAGCUAAUUUUAUGAGAAAAAUCUGGGCGAAAGAUUGACCCCAAUCAGAGUUACGGAUCUUCGGAUAUAAAAGAAACGGUGGAAGGGCAGCAUUUGGGAACGCAGAAACAGAGGGAGACAGAGAGAUAGAUCCAAUCUCAGAGGGGCUCUCGCCCCUCCCACGCCAUGGGAGCCAAGGACCAGAGGGGAAACCCUUCUCCCAUCUAGGGAGGAGGUCAAGGAAUGCCGCCAGGGCCAUGGCCAUCAUCAUCACCGUGAUCUUCACCAACACCUCCGCCAUCUUCACCAACAUCUCCAUCACCUUCCCCCAUCUAUAUUCAGUGGUCCAUUCUCCCGCAACCUGAUGUACCCUCUACUUGAACGUGGUCCUUUAUGAUUCAUAUUAUUAUCCAAUGAUGUGUUGCCAUCCUAUGAUGUCUGAGUAGAUUUUUGUUGUUCUAUCGGCGAUUGAUGAAUUUCUAUGAUUGGUUUGAGUUGCAUGUUUUAUUUUUGGUGCUGUCCAAUGGUGCUCUCCGUGUCGCACAAGCGUGAGGGAUCCCCGCUACAGGGUUCGCAAUAUGUUCAUGAUUUUCUUAUGGUGGGUGACGUGAGUGACAGAAGCACAGACCCGAGUAAGUAGGUUGUUUGCUUAUGGCAUAAAGGGAAGUUGAUACUUUAAUGCUAUGAUUGGGUUUUACCUUAAUGAUCUUUAGUAGUUGCGGAUGCUUGCUAGAGUUCCAAUCAUGAGUGCAUAUGAUCCAAAAAGAGAAAGUAUGUUAUCUUAUGCCUCUCCCUCAAAUAAAAUUGCAAUAGUGAUUACCGGUCUAGUAACAUAGUCAAUUGCUUAGGGACAAUUUCACAACUCCUACCACCACUAUUCCACACUCGCUAUAUCUACUUUAUUGCUUCUUUAUCUAAACAGCCCCUACUUUUUAUUUACGUGUUCUUUAUUAUCUUGCAAACCUAUCCAAUAACACCUACAAAGUACUUCUAGUUUCAUACUUGUUCUAGGUAAAGCGAACGUCAAGCGUGCGUAGAGUUGUAUCGGUGGUCGAUAGAACUUGAGGGAAUAUUUAUUCUACCUUUAGCUCCUCGUUGGGUUCGACACUCUUACUUAUCGAAAACUAUUGUGAUCCCCUAUACUUGUGGGUUUUCAAUGAUCAUGAAAAAUUUGGUCGAGAGGCUCCACGAAGAAGCAAUUGAACAGUGACUGCAUCAAGCAAAAGUACUGAUGCAGCGAAAGAUUAUUGGAUCCAUGGAUACGACACCAACACGGAAUCAAGCUUGUUGUUAAUGGUGGAAUGAUAAGACGAGGGAGUCAACAUAAGAUUAGCUCAUCCUCGAAGUUGUGCUCCGGGAGUAAGGAACAGGUAGCAUAGUUAAAAUCGGCACGAUAAUGAUAUAGCCGAGCAGGCCAGGAAUGACAUGGUCGAGAACAAACUCGUGAGUAAAGGAGAUUACCAAGAGUUGUUUAAUCAUGGUGCAGACCCAAUUUAGUUAUCGGUGUCCUCGAGUGACUAACAACUUGCACCCAGGAAAAAUUGGAAUCGAUGAGGAAUAAUAGUUGAUGAAGGCUCAUAAUAGGCAACAUGGUUCGGUGCUAUUAUCGAGAUACCAGAGGGUAAUACUUGGAGGUAGAGAAAAAUAGAGGGUUGACAAGUGUAUUGAUCUGCAGAAGGCAAGUACUUAACAUGUCCGAGAAAAGGAAUCAAGGAAUAUCAAUAUGGCUGAAACCAUAGCUGCAAGGGAUCUAAUUUAAUGACACCGAAAGAAUUAUCCAACUGAUUAAAUGUUUUGCAAGAAGCUUCCAUGAUAAGUUCCUCAUCGGGUCCAUGGGCAUGAACACUAAGUUCAAGGUCAACUCCCACUUCUCGAAAGCAGAACCUUACAUUCACUUCUCGUUUCGAAAAUGGCAUUAGCGUUCAAAGUUUUACCUGGUAAAAUACCAGAUGAGUACGACCCGUGAAACCUCUCGGGUUUACACAGAUUAUGGAAAGCAUUGGUUCAACCCACCGGGGCAUCUUAGGAACAUAUACCACGAACUUUAGAGUAAGUAUCGCCAGCUCGAAAGAAGAGUAUGGUUGGCCAAAUCAUAGAAUAGGAUUUACCAAUGGCAUUAUUAUCAAGGAAAGAAUUCCAGGUUUUGAGAAUACGCAAGAAUGGUUGGAUAAUAAUCCACCAAAGGAUCUAGCGGACCGCAAAUUAUCUAAGGUUAGUAACGAUACCCAACCAAAAGAAGAAAGAAUGCAAGGGUUCGGAUUAUAGAAACAACUGACUAAUUCAAAGCUCAAAUGUAAAGUAAAUAUGAUUUCCAAAUCAAGGGAUCAAAAGCAAACACUUUGAUUAAGGAUGGAUAAGUUGAGUAAGCUUAGGGGUACAAUCAAUGACAAUUUGAUUGGUCGAGAUCCAGCUCAUGUUUAAAAUGAUGUCUGAGCCGGAAGGAUGAAUUCUAGGAUCUGAUUAAGGAUUGUGAGCAUUCACAACAUAUUGAAUCAAUGGAUUCAAAAUGAUAAUGACAAGGGAUGCCAAUAAGAUUAUGAGACUUAUGGGAUUAACCAUAAUGCAAGCAAGCAAGAAUUUAAAGAGCAAUAGGCUGCUCAAGAUUUUUGGAAGACCGAAUGGUAUUUCGAAGACUUUUGGGAAACACAUGAACAACUUGGAAUGAGCGGAUAUUCGAUAACUAUGAGGAAUUAUACGUAGGGGUAUUCGGGUGGAAAAGAACUGCAAGGCAAUAGGCACAAGUAUUCUCGGAACAAUAGAGAGAAUUUCGUGGUACCUUGUAAUAACAAGAUCAACUGGUAAAUAAAGUAAGAACGACAAGUGUAUGUAUUUAUCCAUAGGGAUAUAUGGGUGGUAGGGAAUUGCAAAAGCGACGGGCAAAAAGUCUCGAGAAAACAUGGGAGAGUAUCCUCGAAAUCUUCUGGCCCGCAAAGGAUUCAUCAGGAAAAACUUAUAGAAGAAGUCUUACAAUUUCCUCACGGAAGAAUGGUUAACCUUGCUAAAAAGGAAACUAUAACAAUAGGGCCCCGACCAGGUGUGCUAGGCAUGACAUCACAUUACCGGGUCAUAUAAAGACCAAUGUUAUAACUCUUGGAAAUAUGUUCCAACCAUCAUAUUUGACCGAGAUUCAGAUCUGAUUGGUGUCAGGAUACCUCGGACUCAGGAUGCUUGAGAAGAAAAAGGUGCAACACAUAUUGACGAGAUGGCAUUUUAAGAUUCUUGGGAAAUGAACUAUGGGAGUGAGUUCCGAAACAAAUGUUCAUCAUUAAAUCAAGGAGAGGGCGAGGAGGUGGCUGAUGGACUCAGCGACAAUUCAUUGAGAUUUCCAAAAAUAUGGAUUUGCACAAUUAUGUGAAGGGGAUAACAUUUGUAAGAUCAAAUAAUGUAACGAUGUAUGCUCAAGGAGAACAUCCACGAGUAAACAUUGGUUGAAAGGUGCACCCAAAAUAUGGGCUUAGGUAGCAUGAUCAAUGUUAGAAUGGUGAUUCGAUAACCAAUACACAAAGAAUGAAACUAUCGUUCAUUAACUUACAUGCAAUAGGGUUGCUAGAAGUUUUGAAUUUUACACAUCACAGUCCAGUUGUCAGUACUCUGGUUAGGAACAACAUGGGGACCAAGAACUGAAUGUAGAUGGCGAGAUAUAUCACCUGUAUCAAGAAGUCUUAAGAGGUGGUGAAAUUCUCAUAAAUUUCUUGAUAUAUAAAAUGGUAAUACUCCAAGGUAGGACAUAAGAUAAGUUGGAUUGCCUGUAACUCAUGGUACACCACAACACGAACAAGUUUGUGUUGGAACGAAUGCGAGGAAGUAGUUGAUGACAACACAAAUUACGAAGGAUAAGGAUGGUAAUUCCCAUUAGGAAUUUGAUUGAUAUCCUGGAAGGAGUCAAAGUGUUGUUGAUGGUCAUGAGAAAUUUGGUCGAGAGGCUCCACGAAGAAGCAAUCAAACAGCGACUGCAUCAAGAAAAAGUACUAAUGAAGCGAAGAUUAUUGGAUCCUUGGAUACGGCACCAACUCGGAAUCAAGCUUGUUGUUCGUGGUGGAAUGAUAAGACAAGGGAAUCAACGUAAGAUUAGCUCAUCGUCAAAGUUGUCCUCCGGGAGUAAGGAACAGGUAGCACAGUUAGAAUCAGCACGAUAAUAAUAUAGCCGAGGAGGCCAAGAAUGACAUUGUCGAGUACAAACUCAUGAGUAAAGGAGAUUACUUUAAUCAUGGUGCGGACCCAGUUUAGUUACUGGUGUCCUCGAGUGGCUAACAACUCGGAACCCAGGAAAAAUUAGAAUCGGUGAGGAAUAAUACUUGAUGAAGGCUCAUAAUAAGCAACAUGGUUCGGUGCUAUUAUCGAGAUACCAGAGGGUAAUAAUCGAAGGUAGAGAAAAAUAGAGGGUUGACAAGUGUAUUGAUUUGCAGAAGACAAGUACUUUAACUUGUCCGAGAAAAGGAAUCAAGGAAUAUCAAUAUGGCCGAAACCAUAGCUACAAGGGAUCCAAUUUAAUGACACCGAAAGAAUUAUCCAACUAAUUAAAUGUUUUGCAAGAAGCUUCCAUGAUAAGUUCCACAUCGAGUCCAUGGGAAUGAAAACUAAGUUCAAGGUCAACUCCCACUUCUCCAAAGCAAAACCUUACAUUCACUUCUCAUUUCGAAAAUGGCAUUAGCGUUGAAAGUAUUACUUGGUGAAAUGCCAGAUGAGUAUGACCUGUGAAACCUCUCGGGUUCACACAGAUUAGGGAAAGCAUUGGUUCAACCCACCGGGGCAUCUUAGGAACAUAUACCUCAAACUUUAGAGUAAAUAUUACUAGCUCGAAAGUAGAGUAUGGUUGGCCAAAUAAGAUAAUAGGAUUUACAAAUGGCAUUAUUAUCAAGGAAAGAACUCCAGGUUUUGAGAACAUGCAAGAACGGUCGGAUAAUAAUUCACCAAAGGAUCUAGCGGACCGCAAAGGAUCUAAGGUGAGUAACGAUACCCAACUAGAAGAAGAAAGAAUGCAAGGGAUCAGAUUAUAUAAACAACUGACUAAUUCAAAUCUCAAAUGUAAAGGAAAUAUGAUUUCCAAAUCAAGGGAUCAAAAGCAAACACUAUGAUUAAGGAUGGAUAAGUUCAGUAAGCUUACACUACAAAAAAAUACACUUCCGUGAUGAUACGUGUUUGUCACAGUAGGUCGCGUUUUUUGUCAUGCAUGUACAUCCAUGAUGAUUUUAUGACAGAAUCAAGAUAGUUAUACAUGUGAUGUCGUAGAAGUGUUCCAUGACAUUACCAAAAUUAUCAUCACAGAAGUGUCCACUUCCAUGACGAUAAAUCGCGCGUCACAGAAGUGCUUUUGUCAAGGGUGACCGACAUGUGGCAUCCACCAUAACGGAACGCCGUUAAGCUAUCGGGUCGGGUUUUGGAUCCGAUAACCCGUUAACAGCCCCAACCAAUGGGGAUUUUCCACGUGUAAAAUCAUCAUUGGCUGGAGGAAACACGUGUUGGCUCAUCAUUGGGACAGAUGUCAUCCACUCAUUGGACAGAAGGCGCCUAUGAUACGUUGACACGUGGCACGGCCCAACAGAGGCCCAUUCCUGUGAAAAGGCUGGCCCGUUUGACUUGGUCAAAAGGUGGCGGGCCGGCCCAUGGAAAGCCUAUUAACGGCCUGUUCGCAUAUAGCCCAUUUACAGCCCGCUAACCAAAGGACCGUUACACCCUAUCCGAAUUAGGCCCAGUAGCGUCAUCUGGGCCAUCCAAUAUGAUUCCAGCCCGUUUUCACUUUUGGCCCAAGUAUGGCCCAUGACGUCUUUUGGCCCAUAUGAGGCCCUUUGUAACUCUUGGCCUAUUAACAGCCCAUGGUGAAAUUAGCCCUUAAUGAACAAUGUAUCACUUUACACCCAUUAACGGCCUGUGGUGAAACUGGCCCAUAAUGAACAGUGUAUCACCUUAUACCCAUUAACGGCCCGUUAUUCCGUUGGGCCUUUUCCAGCCCAUGUUAUCUUUCGGCCUUCUCAGAGCCCAUUUAUUCUUGGGCUCAUUUCCAGCAUUCGUUUACUUACAUCCCGUUACUGUCAUUUUCUGCUUGUGGGCCAAAUUCAGCCUGUGGUUAUAGUCGGCCCGUUUGUGGUCUGUUAAUACGUUGGGCCGUUUUCAUAGCGUCAUCAAAUACGGCCUACUAACGAUGGCCCGUUAUGGCCGGCCCAUGAACGGACGAUUCCAACUCUAGCCCGUUUACAGCCAUAAUGCUGUCUGUUUGGCCCAUGUUUGGCCAAUCGAUCAUACGACCCGUAUAAGGCCCAUUGAUGAUACGGCCCACAAAAGGCCCAUUGUUUCCACGACCCGUAGAAGGCCCACUGUUUCUAUGGCCCGUAGGAGGCCCAAUGUCACUACAGUAAAUAUUAGCCCAUGGUUAUUGUGGCCUAGUUUUAAAGAAUAGGUUAUUGCAGCCACUAGCAAACCGUGGAAAAAGAACUGCAAUGACUACAAGCAAACAAAUAAUCAAGACAACAAGGAAAUAAAUAAGCAAGCAACUAAUGCUAGGCUAUCACGACUAUUACACAUAUUACAUCCACUGGGCAUCAAAGUUCGCCACCAGUGCAAAUAUAGGGAACAAAGCAGCAUAUCAUAUACACUGGUUGUCAAAGUUGGCGACUAGCGCAAAUAAGCGCCGUAGCAAAACAAAUCCAGAACUGAAACCACUUCAGAAGACAUCAAGAAACAAUAUCCUGUGUACCCAUAAUGCUGGCAAGAUGCUUAGCAAGCUUAUUAACUUUCUUUUGUUUGGCGCUUAAAUCCUCCAGCGCUUGCUGUUGCACCAGGAAAUAUGCAUCUGAAUUCUGCAGGGACUUCCUCAGUCCUUCAGCUUCCUGUCGCAACACAUCUGAUCGAUGUCUUUCAACUUGAAGUUGAGACUCAAGAAGACGAACUGAUUCAGGCAGCGAGUUCGAAGAGCUUGUGCCAGCAGUAGUGGCCAGUAACUCGAACACUACAUCAAGACAGGACUUUUGGGUUAUCUCACUGUCGUCAAGAUAGUUUUUAUCAGCUUUCUUGGAGACCAACAGGGAUGUCUCACUAUCUUGAACCUUAUCUGCAUUACUUCCUUUAUCAUUGGAUAACGUGAUACUGUUCUCCAAUAUUUUGUCCGCAUUCUAAAAGAGAAACAAGCAGACAGAUCACAUGUUUACCAUGUUGUAUAUGAAACUCAUUUUGGUAAAUGAGUUCAGUAGUAAAGUGGACAGGAUAACAACAUGAAACAAACAUAUAUCUAUGUACCAUGGUCACUUUAUGGUCUAUAUCAUUCUAGUUUUUGUUGCCAAAUCAAGAUAGAGACACAGUUCAAAUAAUAUUUGUUCAAGACAAAGCAGAAUAGACAAAAUAUAAGUGUAGGAAACUAUAGAGCAAUAACAACACUUGUAAUGUGCAUGACAUGAGAACAUAACUGUUUAUUCAAUUGAAACUGAAAUCAACAUAGAGCAGGUUACAAUAGCAAACCAGUUAAAGAAACAGGUUUAAAACAUACCUGUUGUGCCAUUGGAGUUUCAAUUCCAUCCUUCAAAUUUGAAAAUAGUUGGUAUGAGGAAAUACAAUAAUGCAAGAGCAAAGGAGUAUGAACCAUAGCUACAGAACCUGCCUGAGAACAAAUCUUCUUCUCCUUUAAGCGUUGAGUUGGGAUUCGGAGUGGUGGUCCUCGUGCUUUGGGCACUGCAGUUCCCUUACUAACUGCUCGUGUUUGGGUGCUGUGUGGUGGAGAUGGUGCUGUGUCAACUGGAACUGGGUUACUAUCUGCCGGGGUUGGGGCUAGAAGGGGUGUGGCUGGUUCUCUGUCCAACUGGGUAGGGGUACAAUCUGCGAGAGUCUGGGUUAUGUGUGGUGGAUCUGGUCCUUGGGCAAGUACAACCGUGGUUCUAUCUGCAUCAACUGGUAGCACUAUCUUUUCUGAAGACAGUGUUGUUACUCCCUUAGAUACUGCCAUCACCCUCUCCAAUUCAAAUGGCUGAUAAACAAGAAAAUUAAUUGAAAGUAUAGACAUUGUAUGAUAGAAAGGUGCAAUCGAUAGUGGGGAAUAAAAUAGGGCAUGAAAUAAUUCAUAUUUAUGUUGUCUAACCAAACAGGAUAGCAUGACACAAUUUCACAUAUAUGAUGGCUAACUAAACAUGAUAGCAUGACAUAAUUUCACAUUAUGAUGGCUAACUAAAAAAGAUGGAAAGACAUAGUUCAAAAUAUGAGACUAUGUAAACAGGAUGGCAUGAUAUAACUAUAUAAUGUGUUUAUUAAAUAGGUUGGCAUGCCAUAAUUCACAUACAUUCACUGAUAGAAUGCCAUAAUUCAAAAUAUGAUGACUGUAAACACUAAAAAGGAUGAGAUGAUAUAACUAUAUGAUGUCUUUAUUAAAUGGGUUGCCAUGCCAUAAUUCAGAUAGAUGAUGUGUAUGUACUAUGUAAACAUGAUGGCAUGAUAUAAUUCAAAUAUAUGAUUUAUAUAGUAAGCAAGUAAGCAGAUGGCAAUCCAUAUAUGGUGUAAAAACUAAGCAAUGCAAGACAACAUGCAUGGCAUGGGUAAUAUAACCCUGCCAAGUUUGAGCAUAGACCUCAGGGGGAAAUAGGACUGGUCAUCAGUCUCUGAAUCCUCCUCUGAGGAGCUCUCUGUAACCAGCAAGAUGUCUGCUUCAGCAGGUAGCAUUGUCUGCUGAAUACCUUGUUUUCACUCCAGAUACUUCCAUCACCGCUUCAAAUGGCUGAUGCACAGGAAGAGUAGUCGAAUAUACAAAUGUUGUCGAUAAAUGGAACACGUAAUACAAAAAAUGAUAGCAUGAUAUAAUUAACAUACAUGAUGAUUGGCUAAACAGCAUGGCAUUGCAUAAUUCACAUAUAUAAUGCUUUUGCAACAAGAUAGCAUUGUAUAAUUCACAUAUAUAAUGUCUUGCAACAAGAUGGCAAUGCAUAAUUCACAUAUAUGCUAAUUAGACACUGAGUAGGUGGCAUUCACACAAAGCAUGUCUAAACUAAUCAAAUGACAUAGUAAUGCAAGACACCAUACGCACGAUAUGAGCAACAUAACCNNNNNNNNNNNNNNNNNNNNNNNNNNNNNNNNNNNNNNNNNNNNNNNNNNNNNNNNNNNNNNNNNNNNNNNNNNNNNNNNNNNNNNNNNNNNNNNNNNNNNNNNNNNNNNNNNNNNNNNNNNNNNNNNNNNNNNNNNNNNNNNNNNNNNNNNNNNNNNNNNNNNNNNNNNNNNNNNNNNNNNNNNNNNNNNNNNNNNNNNNNNNNNNNNNNNNNNNNNNNNNNNNNNNNNNNNNNNNNNNNNNNNNNNNNNNNNNNNNNNNUCCUCAGAUGAUCUAUCCGUAACCAGCAAGAUAUGCGCUUCGUCAGAUAGCAUAGUCUACUCUGAAGACCUUGUUUUCACUCCAGAAUUUGCCAUCACCGUGUCAAAUGGACGAAGAGUAGUUGAAUGUACUAACAUUGUUGACAAAUGCAAUAUGUAACGAAAAAAGGACGGUCUAAUAUAAUUUUCAUAUAAGAUGACUGGCUAAGCAGGAUGGCAUUGCAAAGUUCACAUAUAUGAUGCCUGGCUAAACAGGAUGGCGUUGCAUAAUUCACAUAAACGAUAAAUAAACUAAACCGAUGGCAUUCUCACAAAGGAUGUCUAAACUAAGCAGAUGACAUAUUUGAUGUAUAAAGUAAGCAAUGCAAGACACCUAAUGCAUGACAUAACCAACAUCAGCAUGCCAAGUUAGAGCGAAGACCUCAGGGGGUAAAUAGGAGUUGUCUUCUCCUUCUGAAUCCCCCUCAAAACAGAUAUCUUCCUCUUGAUUACAAUCCGAAAUGCAUGGAGGGGGGGGGGCUGCCUUUGCGCCUACCAUGGAGCGACGUCUGCAUGAAAUUUUAUUGCCACGCAAGGCUCGUCUCUUUUGCCCCACAUGUUCAGUUCCAUUCUUUACAAUAACUGUCAUGCAUCAGAAUAAAACUUAGUUAGAUUAUGUAAGGAGUGCAUGCAGAAAUCCAGAGUGAUGGUAGCAACCUGUGGAUAGACCCAAAACCAAUAAUAGCAGGCAGAUAAUGGAUUGAGUUAAAAACAGAUAAUGGCUUCUUUAUUGUUUGUUUCCCACCCAACAUGAAACUCAUAGUAGACACCAGAGAUUAACUAGAUAGUAGAUAGAUACUAUUGAUUGCGACCCCGAUAUGUACCCCACAACCAUUUAAAAACUCAAGUUUGACCAUUAGUUUGGAGCUGACUUAGAGUCUAAUCGGUGAACAGGACGAUAAAGUAGCAUGUAAUAUUAAGCGAUGCAUAACGUAAGCAGACCCGAAAGAGUGGACCUCUCUUGCGGACCUGUAUAGUCCUCGAGGUCAUCUGCUCGGUUGAUGAUGGUAAUGCAGUUUUCAUGGCUACUGGCGGCGGGGAAGAGGAUCUGAGGCGGCGAAAGACAGUCUGGAGGCCGGAUCCCUGCUGUGCUGGACCCUUCUAUCGUUGGAGCAGCUGAGCUAGAGUGGACGACGACGCAGCAGGAGCGGGACAAACCACGCAAGGUUUUCUUUGACAACUAUCUGUAAGAGAAGCAAUUCUGUAAGGGCUUGUUUGAAUUGGAGGAUUCAACAAUGAAGGGAUAGGAAAUAGACAUGAAUAGGAUAGGAAUGCACGCGCAAAACAGAGAAUUUAAAAACACAGGAUUUCUGCCAAUUUGGGUGUUUGAUUCACAACAAUUGCAAGAUCACAUGAUGCAAAGAAGCACGGUGAGAUUAAGUCAAACCACAGGAAAAUGUAAGGUUAUAAUGCUACUAUGCUACUACCUCUUAGUCUUGUGCUUCUUGAAUAGGAAUUUGAAAAGGAGGACAAGUGAAAAUUAAAAUUCCUACAAUUUUUUUAUUUCAAGGAGACACUAAAGGAACAAAUCCGUGUGCUCAGUGGACAAUAUAUAUAACAUGUAGAGUCAAAAAGAGAUGCAACAAGUGUACAAACUCUUUUGAGAAGCCAUGUCGAUCUCAGCGCGAUUGGGUUGGCCGGUGAGGAUGCUUCGGCUGACUUGGCUGUCGGAGGAGGGGAAGAAGAUCUUAGGCAUCUGGAGAUGGAGCCCGAGAUACUGCUUGCUACGUCUUGAGCUUGCGUUGGUUUUCCUUGAAGAGGAAAGGGUGAUGCAGCAAUAGUAGCAUAAGUAUUUCCCUCAGUUUUUGAGAACCAAGGUAUCAAUCUAGUAGGAGGCUCCUCAAAAGUCCCACGCACCUACACGAACAAAGAAAGAACUCGCAACCAACACAAUAAAGGGGUUGUCAAUCCCUUCACGGCCACUUGCGAAAGUGAGAUCUAAUAAAGAUAGUAAGAUAAGAUAAAUAUAUUUUUGGUAUUUUAUAAUAUAGAUGCAAAAAGUAAAGAUGCAAAUAAAAGUAGAUUGGAAGCAAAUAUGAUAAGAGAUAGACCCGGGGGCCAUAGGUUUCACUAGUGGCUUCUCUCAAGAUAGCAUAAGUAUUACGGUGGACGAAUGAAUUACUGUCGAGCAAUUGAUAGAAAAGUGAAUAAUUAUGAGUUUAUCUAGGCAUGAUCAUGUAUAUAGGCAUCAUGUCCGCAACAAGUAGACCGACUCCGGCCUGCAUCUACUACUAUUACUCCACACAUCGACCGACUCUUGCCUGCAUCUAGAGUAUUAAGUUCAUAAGAACAGAGUAACACAUUAACCAAGAUGACAUGAUGUAGAGGGAUAAACUGAAGCAAUAUGAUAUAAACCCCAUCUUGUUAUCCUCGAUGGCAAUAAUACAAUAUGUGCCUUGCAACCCUUUCUGUCACUGGGUAAGGACACCGCAAGAUUGAACCCAAAGCUAAGCACUUCUCCCAUGGCAAGAAAGAUCAAUCUAGUAGGCCAAACCAAACUGAUAAUUUGAAGAGACUUGCAAAGAUAACUCAAUCAUACAUAAAAGAAUUCAGAGAAGAUUCAAAUAUUAUUCAUAGAUACACUUGAUCAUAAACCCACAAUUCAUCGGAUCUCGACAAACACACCGCAAAAAGAGUUUACAUCGAAUAGAUAUCCACAAGAGAGGGGGAGAACAUUGUAUUGAGAUCCAAAAAGAGAGAAGAAGCCAUCUAGCUAAUAACUAUGGACCCGUAGGUCUGUGGUAAACUACUCACAACUCAUCGGAGGGGCAAGGAUGUUGAUGUAGAAGCCCUCCGUGGUCGAUUCCCCCUCCGGCAGAGUGUCGGCGAAGGCUCCAAGAUGAGAUCUCGCGGAUACAGAAGGUUAUGGUGGUGGAAAUUGUGUUUCAUCCGCUUCCUGGAAGUUUUCGGGGUACGUAGGCUUAUAUAGGAGGAAGAAGUACGUCGGUUGACGCCCGACGGGCCCACGAGAUAGGGGGGCGCCCUAUAGGGGGGGGGGCGCCCUCCUAUCUCGUGGAAGCUUCGGCUGCUUCUUGACUUGCACUCCAAGUCCUUUGGAUCACGUUCGUUCCAAAAAUCACGCUCCCAUAGGUUUCAUUCCAUUUGGACUCUAUUUGAUAUUCAUUUUCUUCGAAAUACUGAAAUAGGCAAAAAAACAGCAAUAUGGGUUGGGCCUCCGGUUAGUAGGUUAGUCCCAAAAAUGAUAUAAAUGUCUAAAAUAAAGCCCAUAAACAUCCAAAAGGGGUAAUAUAAUACCAUGGAACAAUCAAAAAUUAUAGAUACGUUGGAGACGUAUCAAGCAUCCCCAAGCUUAAUUCUUGCUCGUCCUCGUGUAGGUAAAUGAUAAAAAGAGAAUUUUUGAUGUGGAAUGCUACCUAGCAUAAUUCUCAAUGUAAUUUUCUUUAUUGUGGCAUGAAUGUUCAGAUCCAAAUGAUUCAAAAUAAAAGUUCAUAUUGAUAAAAGAAAUAGUAACACUUCAAGCAUACAAAUCAAAGUAAUCAUGUUUUCUCAAAAUAACAUGGCAAAAGAAAGUUCAUCCCUACAAAAUCAUAUAGUUAGGCUAUGCUUCAUUUUCGUCACACAAAGAUGUUCCCAACUUCUAUGCCCCCGAUGACAAGCCAAGCAAUUGUUUCAUACUUAAAUAAUCUCGAACUUUUUCAACCUUCACGCAAUACAUGAGCGUGAGCCAUGGAUAUAGCACUAUGGGUGGAAUAGAAUAUGAUGAUGGGAUUGUGUGGAGAAGACAAAAAAAGAGAAAGUCUCACAUUGACGAGGAUAAUCAACGGGCUAUGGAGAUGCCCAUCAAUUGAUGUCAACAUGAGGAGUAGGGAUUGCCAUGCAACGGAUGCACUAGAGCUACAAAUGAAUGCUCAACAAAAGAAAACUAGUGGGUGUGCAUCCAACUUGCUUGCUCACGAAGACCUAGGGCAUUUGAGGAAGCCCAUCGUAGGAAUAUACAACCCAAGUUCUAUAAUGAAAAAUUCCCACUAGUAUGAAAAAUACAACUUAUGAGACUCACUAUAUGAAAAACAUGGUGCUACUUUGAAUCACAAUAUACGAGACUCACUACAUGAAGAACAAGGUGCUACUUUGAAGCACAAGUGCGGAAAAAGAGAUAGUAACAUUGCCCUUUUUAUUUAUUUUCUUUUAUUUUCUUUUUUUCUUUGGGCCUUUUUUUGUCCUUUCUUUUUUUUUCUUUUUUUCUUUUUGGGCAAUGUUCUAAUAAUGAAGAUCAUCACACUUCUAUUGAUUACAACAGAUGAAUUACAACUCGAAACUAGAACAAGAUAUGACUCUAUAUGAAUGCCUCCGACGGUGUACCGGGAUGGUGCAAUGAAUCAAGAGUGACAUGUAUGAAAAAUAAUGCAUGGUGGCUUUGCCACAAAUACGAUGUCAACUACAUGAUCAUGCAAUGGCAAUAUGACAAAAGCAAAGUAUGUCAUGAUGAUGAUGAACGGAACGGUGGAAAGUUGCAUGGCAAUAUAUCUCGGAAUGGCUAUGGAAAUGCCAUAAUAGGUAGGUAUGGUGGUUGUUUUGAGGAAGAUAUAAGGAGGUUUAUGUGUGAUAGAGCGUAUUGUAUCACGAGGUUUGGAUGCACCGGCGAAGUUUGCACCAACUCUCAAGGUGAGAAAGGGAAAUGCAUGGUACCGAAGAGGCUAGCAAAGGCGGAGAGGUAAAAAGCGCGUAUAAUCCAUGGACUCAAAAUUAGUCAAAAGAACUCAUAUACUUAUUGCAAAAAUUUAGAAGUCAUCAAAAAUCAAGUACUACGCGCAUGCUCCUAGGGGGAUAGAUUGGUAGGAAAAGUCCAUCACUCGUCCCCGACAGCCACUCAUAAGGAUGCACAAGCCAGGUACACUUCAUGUUUCAAAUUUGUUACACAACUUUAACCAUACGUGCAUGCUACGGGACUUGGUAACUUCAACAAAAGAAUUCUUUGAAUUCAUAAUCACCCAAAUAGCAUGACUUUAAUAUCACUACCUCCCUAUCUCAAAACAAUUAUCAAGUAUCAAAUUGAUCAUAGCAUCCAAUUCAUUUCCUAUGCUAGUUUUUAUUAUACCCAACUUGGAUGCCUACCAUCCUAGGACCAAUUUUAUAACCAAAGCAAAUACCAUGCUAUUCUAAAAGACUCUAAAAAAGAUAUAAGUGAAGCAUGAGAGACUAGCAAUUUCUACAAAAAUAAGUCACCACCGUGCUCUAAAAGAUAUAAGUGAAGCACUAGAGCAAAAGGGAGAUCUAAUAAAGAUAGUAAGAUAAGAUAAUUUUUUUUGGUAUUUUAUAAUAUAGAUGCAAAAAGUAAAGAUGCAAAUAAAAGUAGAUUGGAAGCAAAUAUGAUAAGAGAUAGACCCGGGGGCCAUAGGUUUCACUAGUGGCUUCUCUCAAGAUAGCAUAAGUAUUACAGUGGGCGAAUGAAUUACUGUCGAGCAAUUGAUAGAAAAGUGAAUAAUUAUGAGAUUAUCUAGGCAUGAUCAUGUAUAUAGGCAUGACGUCCGAGACAAGUAGACUGACUCCUGCCUGCAUCUACUACUAUUACUCCACACAUCGACCAACUCCUGCCUUCAUCUAGAGUAUUAAGUUCAUAAGAACAGAGUAACGCAUUAAGCAAGAUGACAUGAUGUAGAGGGAUAAACUCAAGCAAUAUGAUAUAAACCCCAUCUUGUUAUCCUUGAUGGAAAUAAUACAAUACAUGCCUUGCAACCCUUUUUGUCACUGGGUAAGAACACCGCAAGAUUGAACCCAAAGCUAAGCACUUCUCCCAUGGCAAGAAAGAUCAAUCUAGUAGGCCAAACCAAAAUGAUAAUUCGAAGAGACUUCCAAGUUAACUGAAUCAUACAUAAAAGAAUUCAGAGAAGAUUCAAAUAUUAUUCAUAGAUAAACUAGAUCAUAAACCCACAAUUCAUCGGAUCUCGACAAACACACCGCAGAAAGAGUUUACAUCGAAUAGAUAUCCAGAAGAGAGGGGGAGAACAUUGUAUUGAGAUCCAAAAAGAGAGAUGGAGCCAUCUAGCUAAUAACUAUUGACCCAUAGGUCUGUGGUAAACUACUCACAAAUCAUCGGAGGGGCAAAGAUGUUGAUGUAGAAGCCCUCCGUGGUCGAUUCCCCCUCCGGCACAGUGUCGGCGAAGGCUCCAAGAUGAGAUCUCGCGGAUAGAGAAGGUUACGAUGGUGGAAAUUGUGUUUCAUCCGCUUCCUGGAUGUUUUUGGGGUACGUAGGCUUAUAUAGGAGGAAGAAGUACGUCGGUGGACGCCCGAGGGGCCCACGAGACAGGGGCCGCGCCCUAUAGGGGGGGCGCCCUCCUAUCUCAUGGAAGGUUCUGCUGCUUCUUGACUUGCACUCCAAGUCCUCUGGAUCAUGUUCGUUCCAAAAAUCACGCUCCCGAAGGUUUCAUUCCGUUUGGACUCCAUUUGGUAUUCCUUUUAUUCGAAAUACUGAAAUAGGCAAAAAAAAUAGCAAUACGGGCUGGUCUCCGGUUAGUAGGUUAGUCCCAAAAAUGAUAUAAAUGUGUAAAAUAAAGCCCAUAAACAUCGAAAAGGGGUAAUAUAAUAGCAUGCAACAAUCAAAAAUUAUAGAUACGUUGGAGACGUAUCACUACUCCGUUGUGAUGGAGGGUUUCGUUGUUGGAGCAGCUCCGGUGAGUUGUUCGACGCCGAGGCUGAAGCAGGAUGAGAGAGACAACGAACAAUGUUAACCUGAGUGAAAUUCUAAUAGCAUGUCCAAUACAUGACGUAAAACACAUAACCACAAAGUGCUAGAUGUAAAAUACAUCAGCCGCUCAUCCCUGAACUUAACUGUCGAAACUGAAUUUAACUGUCAAAACUGAACUUAACUGUCGAAACUGAACUUAACUGUCGAAACUGAAUUUUGCUGUUGAAACUGAAUUUUGCUGUCGAAAUUGAAUGCACUAGCAAGGUGAGGCUACACGUCGGUUGACUGACUUUUUCAUCUCUGGUCAGUCAAUUUUGCAGCCGUUGGAUACGAAAUCAAGGGCCUGCGGUUCAUCUUCAACCUCCACCCCCUGAGCCGCCAGCCAUCGCCAGCCAAACAGCAGCCCCCCGCCGCCCGCGGCCGGCGGUGCGCUGCCCCGCCUGCCCCGAAAACACUCCCCACCAUUGUUCCACCGCCGCCCCGACCAUCCCUCUAGGCGCCCCCGUGCCGAGCUUUUUUUUCCGAUGAUCCCCACGCCACAGUCCCGCCAACGCCCCGCCACCGCCGGCGACCACCACCCCCACCCUGNNNNNNNNNNNNNNNNNNNNNNNNNNNNNNNNNNNNNNNNNNNNNNNNNNNNNNNNNNNNNNNNNNNNNNNNNNNNNNNNNNNNNNNNNNNNNNNNNNNNNNNNNNNNNNNNNNNNNNNNNNNNNNNNNNNNNNNNNNNNNNNNNNNNNNNNNNNNNNNNNNNNNNNNNNNNNNNNNNNNNNNNNNNNNNNNNNNNNNNNNNNNNNNNNNNNNNNNNNNNNNNNNNNNNNNNNNNNNNNNNNNNNNNNNNNNNNNNNNNNNNNNNNNNNNNNNNNNNNNNNNNNNNNNNNNNNNNNNNNNNNNNNNNNNNNNNNNNNNNNNNNNNNNNNNNNNNNNNNNNNNNNNNNNNNNNNNNNNNNNNNNNNNNNNNNNNNNNNNNNNNNNNNNNNNNNNNNNNNNNNNNNNNNNNNNNNNNNNNNNNNNNNNNNNNNNNNNNNNGACCCAAAAGUCGAUUCAGUCGACUGAAGUGUAGCUAAAUCGGAGCAGCAUCGCAAGAAAGAGCAAGAGCGAGAGUAGCAGCGCGAGCAAGAGGAAUAGCAAGAGCAGACCAGGCUGGCGGACCGAGAGCAAGAGCAGAGCAGCAGCACGAGCGAGAGCUAGAGAAGCAGCAGCUCCUACUGAUGUGGAUGUCGCUGCCGAGGGAGCGACGCCGUGGUAGAAGUGGCCGGCGACGCCACCAUGGAUGGAGACGCGCCGUGUCGGCUCGGGGCCGAGCGCCGGCAGCACCGUGAGAUCGAAUCAAGAAGAAAAUGCGGCGAUUAGUGUACAACCUCUUUGGUGUCGCCGAUUGGGCUACAGCUUCAUCCGAGGAAAGAAUGAUGAUGAUGCUCUUCCGGUGGUGCAGGUGAAGACGGCGGUGUGGGAAUGGGGGUGGCACGAAAGACGAGGGGAACAUCGGGGCAGCUCCUUUGAGGUGGAGGAUGGGGUCGUUGAACCGGAGGGAUGACGAGAUCGAUGAUGGUUCCUCAUUCAGUACGGUGGAUGAGGGACAUCGAGGUGUUGCUGUGGACGACGUCGUCGGGGAAGAGGCUCCGGCUGGGUGGCGGACGGAGCAGGGUGUGGGGUUUCGUCGCGGGUUUUCACGGCCUUGGUGUACGAAUGGGUGGGCGGAUGGGAUGGCAGUGGGGAACCAUGGCUUAGGGACGCGCUUGUCCGAAAUGUGGGGUAAGUUACGAAAGUACCCCCACCGAUUUGAGGCGGUUCUUUUGGUUCAGGGGUACCACAAACAUUUCGCAUGUCGGGAUUUCAGAGGAGGUGGGAGUUUUCGCACGCGUUGUAAUUUCGGAAUAGCAAGGCGCGGGUUGAGAUGGAGGGAGUUGUCGGAGCACGACGAGACAAAGAUAUAUCUUAAAUAUUUCGGGCUAACAAGGCGCGGGUUGAAAUUUCCGGACAAGCCUAAUGUGUACUAUACCAAAUCAAUCGCACUACAAAUGUCAUUCAAAACUUUGAAUUCAUGUUAUGUUCAAUUAAAAUAUUUCACUACGUGUAUAAUGCAUGCAACCUACUACUCAAAUGAACGUUUUAGUGCAUUCCAAACGUAUAUAGUACUGCUUCAAUAUGAACUAAAUUUGAAUUCGUUUCUCUAUUUGAAUAAGAUCUACAAUAAUUAUUGUUGUGAAGUCAAAGCAUUUGAAUUCGUUUCUCUGUUUUAGUAAGAUCUACAAUCAUCAUUAUUGUCAAGUUAAACCAUCGUUUGUGUAUUAUCUUCACAGCACACCACAUGAUUAGUCUCGAGUUACAUAUGAACUAUGUGUACUAUAUGAACUCAAACUCGAUUUUUUGAAUCCACUUUAUUUUGAUUUCAAAUCACAUUACAUUUAUAGCUCUAGCUAAAUCUUCAUAAUUUAAACCAUGUCUCAUAUGUAUAAUGUGUUUAUCACAUUAUGUAUGGUGCCCCGCCACCUACGCCUACAAGUAUUUAGAUGUGAGUUGCAAACACCACACAUUACCACAAAUUCAAAUAAAAUGUGAGAAUGUUCGAUAUAUAGUAUUGUUUAGAUUGUUUGAUAUUUAGUUGUAAGCUACAAACGCCACACAUUAUCACAAAUUCAAACAAAAUGUGAGAUUGUUUGAUGUAUAGUAUGGUUUAGAUUGUUCGGCAUUUAGCUGUGAGUUGCAAACGCCAUGCAUUAUCACAUUAUGGUAUAACAUGUGCACAACACGUGUAUCACCGCUAUAUUCAUGCAUGCAAUGUUUAAAAUACUAUGAUCUCCUAUUCAAAUAUAUGAAUCCACUUUCAUAUCAAAUUAUGAUCUUUGUUAGUCUCUUACACCCACACAAUCUUCUAACCUUUGUACCUACCACUAACUUUCUCUCGUGCAUGCACACGCCCUCCUCGCCCUCCCCCUCCCUCGGCAUUCUAUCCACCGGGCACAUUCAUUUUUUUUUCUUUAGGUCGUUCUCUUAGAUUCUCCACAACUCCUUUCCGACACACACCGAUCGAUAAAUCUCUCCAGCGAUGACUGCCUACAACAUACACACACACCUUCAAUCUCCUCCUUUAUGUGUCCUUGCCUCAUGUCUCUCAUACGGUCACACACAUGUGUAAACUCUCGCCCCUCUUUUCAUCGAUCUCACAACUGCACACUCCUCCCCCUAUCUAGCUAGUAGCUGGGCCUCUCGCACCACCUCCUAGCUCCAUUCUCUCUGUCUAUCCGUCUCGCUGGGCCUUAUUUGCCUCUAACAAAUGGACAUACCACCUUUGUUUUUUUUGUGAACCAAAAUAUGUUUUAGUUAACUUUUCUUUUAUCCCAUGUGAAACCUGUAUUUCCAUUUGAACUAAUUUUUAUUGCUCCCAUGUGAAAUCAGUAAACCAUGUGAACUGGACUAAAGUAGUGAGAAAUUGGAAAUAUCUGAAUGUUGUGCUUAGGUAGUUAGCAUAUAAAGUUGAUGCACUUAGAUUGAUUUGCUAAGUUGCAACAAUUUGUUAUCUUUGGCAGAUGGGCAGAAGCUGGAUUAGAAAAGGAGUUAGAAAGUUUUUGAAAGAACAUAUGAAAGGAGUUGAUGAUUUCAUGGCCUUUGUUAGGGCAAAUUUUGCCAAAGAUGCUCACAUUCUUUGCCGAUGCUGCAAAUGCCUCAACCAUCCAAGAAUGGCUCAAGGAAGAGUGGAAGAUCAUCUGCUUCUUAAUGGGAUGUCCAGCACAUAUGAUAGAUGGAUAUAUCAUGGAGAACCUUUGGAUAGUCAACCUCAACAUUUUGAAGCUGAUACAGAGGCCCCUCAUAUGAUGGGUGGUGGUGAUGCUGGCAUUGAUUUCAUGGAAAAGGUUUUGCGAGAUAAUGCUAUUUUGGAGGAAGAGGAUGGGCAUGAAGAUGAUAGGAUUCCUGACCUAUUGAAGGAUUUGUAUGAUGCUGAAGAUCGUGCUGAUGGACAGAAGUCAUUGUUUGCUGAGGUGUUAGAGGAGGCGAAGCGCGCAACUCAUGAAGGGGGUAAAUUUUGAAGAUUUACCUUCACCGUGAAGUUACUCCACAUCAAGUCUUUCUACCGGAUUAGCAAUGCCGCAUUCAAUGCAAUACUCCAUCUUUUGAGCUUGCAAUUCCCUGAUAGUUGUGUUCCCAGAUGUUAUGAUGAAGCAUUGAGCAUAAUCCGUAGGCUGGGGUUAGGUUAUGUGUCAAUACAUGUGUGCCCAAAUAACUGUGUCUUGUUUCGGAAGGAUUUAGCAAAGCAUGACAACUGUCCAAAAUGCAAUGCAUCAAGGUGGAAAGAUGCUGAUGGAAAGAAGUAAAUACCGGAGAAGGUACUGAGGCACUUUCCCUUGAUACCAAGGCUGCAGCGGAUGUUCAUCUCGAAGAAAUCAUCGCGUGAGGUAUAGUGGCACAAGCUGAAGCGGCAACCUAUGGACAAUGAGCUGAGCCAUCCAGCAGAUGAAGAGGCAUGGAAAGAGUUUGACCGUAUACAUAUAGAUUUUGCUGAAGAUCCAAGGAACAUAAAACUUGGCAUUGCCACAGAUGGGUUUAAUCCGUUUGGGAACAUGAGCACGUCUUAUAGCAUGUGGCCAGUUUUUGUGGUGCCGUACAACCUGCCACCAUGGGCAUGCAUGGAUCAGUCCAACUUCAUGAUGUCAUUGCUUAUCCCGGGUCCAGAGUCUCCAGGAAAGGAUUUUGAUCUCUUUAUGGAGCCCCUCAUAGAAGAACUGCUCCAACUCUGGACUGGUGUACCUACAUACGAUGCUUUGAGUCCAGAAGAAAAGUUCAAUCUACAUGCUGCAAUCAUAUGGUCCAUCCAUGAUUUCCCGGCUCUGCACACUCUGUCUGGGAGGAUCACAGCGGGUUAUCAGGCUUGUGUCCAUUGUGACAAAGACCCUUGCUCAAAGAGAAUAAGGAGCAAGAUCUGCUAUAUUGGGAACCGCCACUUUCUUCCCCGAAACCAUCGCUGGCGAAGAAGCAAAGAUUUUAAUGGUGAGAAUGAAACCCGUGACAAGCCAGCUGAAUUCACUAAAGAAGAGCUGGAGCAGCAACUUGAAAAGGUGAAAGAUGUGAGAACAGGAAAGCUGGCGAAGAAAAGAAAGCAUGAGGAAGGUCAAUGUUGGGACCGGAGGUCUUGUUUGUGGGACCUGCCAUACUGGGCUGAUCUGAAAUUAAGGCAUAAUCUCGAUUUAAUGCACAUUGAGAAAAACAUAUGCGAGAAUCUGCUAGGGACGUUUCUGAACAUUGAAGGGAAGACAAAGGACACAGUUAGUUCUAGGCUUGAUUUGGAGGACAUGGGCAUAAGAGAAGAUUUGCAUCUACAGCACAAUGAAGAUGAAGAUUCAUUUGAAAUGCCACGAGCAUGGUAUACAAUGAGUAAAGAACAAAAGCUUGCAUUCUGUGAAUUCCUAAGAGUGGUGAAAUUUCCAUAUGGUUAUGCUGCUAACCUAGCAAAGUGUGUUACUUCUGAUGGAUUCAAGCUUUCAGUACUGAAAACUCAUGAUUGUCACAUCCUCCUCCAAAGGAUUUUACCGACGGGCCUUCGAGGAAUCAUGGACAAGGAUAUAUAUGAAGCGGUUGCUGAGCUGGGAAAUUUCUUUAGAGAACUGUGCUGCAAAACACUCAAGUUAACUGUCCUGGAAAGACUUGAAAAAUAAAUCCCAAUUAUUCUUUGCAAGCUCGAGAAGAUUUUUCCCUCCAGCUUUCUUCACCGUGAUGGUCCAUUUGGCGGUGCACUUACCAAAAGAGGCAAUACUUAGAGGCCCUGUGCAAUACAGUUGGAUGUACCCAAUCGAAAGAAGGCUGCUUACUUGCAAGCGUUAUGUGCGAAACACGACAAGACCUGAAGGUUCUAUUGCUAAAGCAUAUGUCGUUGACGAGUGCUUGACUUUUUGCUCUAGAUACUUUGGCGAUGUGGAAACAAGAUGGAACCAGCCGGGCAAAAAUAGAGAGCGGUCUGAUUCGCAAAGUGGUGAUGUCUUUGUUUUCAACCAUGGUGUGAACUUUCUUGGAGCCUCACAAUACUUGGAGGCUGGUGAUGAGUAUGACAAGAUGGUUUGGUUUGUGCUCAGCAAUUGCGCCAAGGUUCUACCAUAUAUUGAGUAUGUUAUAUCCUAUGCACUCAUUAUAUAUUUUUUUGCUUGGGCUGGCACCAGCCUAAUGUUUUAAUUCACAUGUUUUGUUGGCAUUGCAGGAAAUGCAAGGAAGAGUUAUAUCAGGAACAAAGCAAUAUCCAUGUUGAUAAAAGGGUUGCCAAGGGGUUUGCUAAGUGGUUUAAGAAUCAUGUGAGAUCUUUAGCCACAUGUUUUAUGUUUUCUGUGUUAUUCACCAAUUGUUAAAUACCAUGGUUUUCUAAAUGGUUUAUUUGUGCAGAUUGGAAAGUUGCAUGAGGAGAAGAAGGUCAGUGAUGAUAUAUUUGCUUCGGCAUGCUUACCGGAUAAGCGAGUGAGAGUGUAUUCAGCAUGCAUUGCUGACGGUGUCCGGUACCACACAGUUGACCGCGAGGAAAAAAGGAAGACACAGAAUAGUGGAAUCGUCACUGAGGGGUCACAUGAUCGUGAGAUCAUUGACUUCUAUGGUCAGUUGAGAAGCAUCGUAGAGUUGCAGUACAACUCUAGUGGUGGCAUCCAUCGCUCAGUUGUCUUAUUUCGCUGUGACUGGUUUGAGCUUGGCAGCAAGAAGAAGAGAGACUCUUUUGUCAAAUAUGAUGGCCACUUCAAAAGCAUCAACACUGCAAGGUGCUGGUAUAAGAGUGAUCCCUUUAUUCUAACAACACAAGCAACAAUGGUGUUUUAUCUGCCAGACACUCUUUUCCACGGAAAAUGGAGAGUUGUGCAAAACUUUGAGCACAGACACUUGUGGAGUGUGACUGAAACAGAAGUGGAAAAGGGCCCUAGUGAUGGUGGACUAACAUACCAAGAUGAUCACUCUACGGACGUUGCGUUGCAAGCUGAUGAUGACUCUAUGGAAGUUUCGGUGCAAAGCAGAGUGCGAAGGGACCGGGAACGUGUGAUUGUUGGUGCUGCAACAGUUGAAGGCAUCAAGAAAAGAAGAAAGGUGGUAGCGGAUGAACAUGAGAGCGAGGAUGAGGAAAACCGGACUGAUCAUACUAUGCUGCAAUAUUGUAGUGAUGAUGAGGAAAACAGGAGUGGGCAUAGAGUUCCUUGUUUUUGUAUCGACGACGAUGAGUAGUGAAUGGACUGGCAAAGGUAAAUACUAUUACUUCAUGUUCUUUGUUUUGGUAUCUAUGUGACCUGAUGUGAUCAAUCUUCUCUCCAGGUAGAAAAAUGCUUGAAGAUUCUAGGAGCAAAAUGAUGUGAUCCUGAUGGUUGUAGAAAAAUGAUGAUCCUGAUGACUGUAGCAAUGUGGAGCAAAAUGAAGUUUUAAGAUUCCAGCAGCAAAAUGUAGUUUUUGUAAUAUGGAGCAAAAUGUAGUUUUUGUAGCUGUUAUGCUUGCUAUUUUGAACUGAAUUGAGAUGUUAUGUUUCAUGAAGUUUUUUUGAACUGAAUUGAGAUGUUGUGUAUUGAUGGCAUGGAGGUGAAGAUUCUAUUUUUUGAACUGAAGAUGCUAUUUUAACUGAAUUUUGGUCAGAACUGAAUGUUUAACUGAAUUUUGCUUCAACUGAAUGUUUAACUGAAUUUUGGUGACAACUGAAGUAUUUCCUGCUAUAAUUUUCUUGCAUGAAGUAUUUCCUGCUAUGUAGCUGUACACUAUUGGUCCAUUUAUAAUAGAUAUGGUUCUGGUCAAUUUAUAUUGCUAUGUUUUGGUCAAUUUAUAGUAGAUUUUAGUGUUGUUGAUGUUGGUGGUCACCUGAUGAUGUUGCUGUUGCUGUGUUAGUUUACUAUGCUAUUGAUGUUGCUUUUCAGAGAAGUGAGAUGGCUGGCUUGGAAGGUUUCGAGUUCUUCGAGAUUGUAAUUGAGAAAUCUUGCAGUAGGCAGGUAUGUUUAUCAUCACUCUUUUCUUUAUCAUCACUCUGCUGUCUAGUGCUUGAUUGCCACAAUUAACCACUGCUUGACCCUCGCUGCAGAGGCUGCCUGACAAGUUUGCGAAGAUGCUCGCCGGCCGUGAGCCCCACAAAGUGAAGCUGCAGGAGGCCGGCAGCGGGCUUCACAGGCUGUGGGACGUGUCGGUGGUGUUCGAUGGUGAAGGCCACAUGUACCUAGGGCCCGGCUGAGAGCAUUUCGCCCGCGCCCAUGAGCUACAGCUCGGGUACUUCCUUGUCUUCCGCUACAACAGCAACGCCAUGUUCACCGUGAAGAUGUUCGACAACACCAUGUGCCGCAUGUACUACCAGCACGACGAUGAUGCCAGUAAGAUCUCUGCCUCUCUUCUUCCUGUCCUUUUGGCUUCCUCUACCAGCACGAUGAUGACACCAUGUUCACACUUUGUUGCAUUUGGCCAGGCAGUGGGAGCAGCAGCGGGGAUGAUGAGGAGCAGAGUGGGCAAGAAGAGGAGCAGAGCAGGGAUGGCGACCUUGCUAUGGUGGUGGCUGACGACGACCUUGCUAUGGUGGUGGCUGACGACGACCUUGCUAUGGUGGUGGCUGACGACGACCUUGCUAUGGUGGUGGCUGACGACGACCCUGCUAUGGUGGUGGCUGACGACGACCACGCGAUUGUGGUGCCUGACGCUGACCUCGUGAUGGUGGUGCCUGACGAUGACCUCACGAUGGUAGUGGCACCGGCGAUUCCACAGCUGGGCGACAGGACCAUGCCAAUUGUGGUAGAGGAGUACAUCCGCGUUGGGAUUCGCCACUCUGAGCGCAUCAGGUUGAUGAAGGAGAAGAAGGAGGAGUGAAGAUGUUAAGAAAAUGAAGUGGCAAUGUUAAGCAUGUUGGGUUUAAGCUUGUUAGUGUAAUCUGAACAUGUCAAUGUUAAGUAUGUCAGGUUUAAUUUUGUGCAUGCUCAUGGAUGCUAUAUGACAGUGUCAUCUAAACAUGUCAAUUUCUUAAAAAUGAAUAUUUAGUUUGGUAAUUGAUGGGAAUUGGAAUUUUUUAUGCAUGCUCAUGGAUGAAAGAUAAAAUUAUGGGGUUUUGUGCAUGCUCAUGUAUGAAACAAUAUAAGUUUCAUUUUUUGAAUGCUAAAAACAUGACUCAAACCCUAGCCACGGACGACCGCCACCGCCGUGACGAAAUCCGAUGGUUUUUGAAAACAUCGUAAAAAAUUCAAAAACUGUUUUUCAUUUUUUUAUUGCUAUAGACAUGUGUUUUUCCGUGAAGCGGCUACAAGGUAGGCAUUUCAUCACAGAAUCGACAACAGAUUGGCACGCCUCAAACCCUAGCCACGGACGGCCGCCGCGACGAAAUCGGCCGGUUUUUGAAAACACCGUAAAAAAUUCAAAAAAAAUCAAAAAAAUGGGAGACCUCCGCAUCACAUCAUCAAAUGUGUCCUACCAACUAGCAAAAAUACUAAAAUUGCAAUACGGAUGUUUUCUUGAAAAAGUGUUAUCAAAAACGACCUACCAUGAACGAAGAUUCAUGGCUUUCAAGACAACCUAGCAAUGAUAUGGCCGCAUCCGAUGAAUAGUUUCUGAUAAUAUGCCCAAAUUUGGCGCAUGCCUCCAUCUUGUGAUGGCAAACAAUGUUGCCAAAGCGAGGUUCCAACUUGUUUACCAAGAAAAACCGUUUUUCAUUUUUUGACUGCUAAAGGCAUGCGUUUUUCGUGAAGCGGCUACAAGGAGGGUCACCCCAAACGGCGCCAUUCCAUGUCUAUCUCAAAGUAGGCCCUGUUUUACGGACGGUCGCCAAAAAUCAUGCAUUUCCGACCCUCGUAGCUACUCCCGGCAAUUCAGACCACCUUCGGCCGAUUCAGCUGGAACCGGCUGGAAUUUGAACUGUGGGACCUCCAUAGCUUGCCCGUUAUUUUUUACCAAGAAUGCUUUUUAGCUUCACAGGUAGGCAUUUCAUCACAGAAUCGACAACAGAUUGGCACACCUCAAACCCUAGCCAUGGACGGCACCGCGACGAAAUCGGCCGGUUUUUGAAAACACCGUAAAAAAUUCAAAGAAAUUUUAAAAAGUGGGAGACCUCCGCUUCACAUCAUCAAAUGUGGCCUACAAACUAGCAAAAAUACUAAACUUCCAAUACGGAUGUUUUCUUGAAAACGUGUUCUCAAAAACGACCUACCAUGAACAAAGAUUCAUGGCUUUCAAGCCAAACUAGCAAUGAUAUGGCCGCAUCCGAUGAAUAGUUUCUGAUAAUAUGCCCAAAUUUGGCGCAUGCCUCCGUCUUGUGAUGGCAAAUAAUGUUGCCAAAGCGACGUUCCAAAUUGUUUACCAAGAAAAACCGUUUUUCAUUUUUUGAAUGCUAAAGGCAUGCGUUUUUCGUGAAGCGGCUACAAGGAGGGUCACCCCAAACGGCGCCAUUCCAUGUCUAUCUCAAAGUAGACCCUGUUUUACGGAUGGUCGCCAAAAAGAAUGCAUUUCUGACCCUCGUAGCUACUCCCGGCAAUUCAGACCACCUUCGGCCGAUUCAGCUGGAACCGGCUGGAAUUUGAACUGUGGGUCCUCCAUAGCUUGCCUGUUAUUUUUGCCAAAAAUGCCUUUUAGCUUCACAGGUAGGCAUUUCAUCACAGAAUCGACAACAGAUUGGCACGCCUCAAACCCUAGCCAUGGAUGGCCACCGCGACGAAAUUGGCCGGUUUUUGAAAACACCGUAAAAAAUUCAAAAAAAAUCAAAAAAAUGGGAGACCUCCGCAUCACAUCAUCAAAUGUGGCCUACCAAGUAGCAAAAAUACUAAUCUUGCAAUACGGAUGUUUUCUUGAAAACGUGUUCUAAAAAACGACCUACCAUGAACGGAGAUUCAUGGCUUUCAAGCCAAACUAGCAAUGAUAUGGCCGCAUCCGAUGAAUAGUUUCUGAUAAUAUGCCCAAAUUUGGCGCAUGCCUCCGUCUUGUGAUGGCAAACAAUGUUGCCAAAGCGAGGUUCCAAAUUGUUUACCAAGAAAAACCGUUUUUCAUUUUCUGAAUGCUAAAGGCAUGCAUUUUUCGUGAAGCGGCUACAAGGAGGGUCACCCCAAAUGGCACCAUUCCAUGUCUAUCUCAAAGUAGACCCUGUUUUAUGGACGGUCGCCAAAAAGCAUGCAUUUUCGACCCUCGUAGCUACUCCCGGCAAUUCAGACCACCUUCGGCCGAUUCAACUGGAACCGGCUGGAAUUUGAACUGCGGGUCCUCCAUAGCUUGCCGUUAUUUUUUACAAAGAAUGCUUUUUAGCUUCACAGGUAGGCAUUUCAUCACAGAAUCGACAACAGAUUGGCACACCUCAAACCCUAGCCACGGACGGCCACCGCGACGAAAUCGGCCGGUUUUUGAAAACACCGUAAAAAAUUCAAAGAAAUUUAAAAAAGUGGGAGACCUCCGCGUCACAUCAUCAAAUGUGGCCUACAAACUAGCAAAAAUACUAAACUUCCAAUACGGAUGUUUUCUUGAAAACGUGUUCUCAAAAACGACCUACCAUGAACAAAGAUUCAUGGCUUUCAAGCCAAACUAGCAAUGAUAUGGCCGCAUCCGAUGAAUAGUUUCUAAUAAUAUGCCCAAAUUUGGCGCAUGCCUCCGUCUUGUGAUGGCAAACAAUGUUGCCAAAGCGAGGUUCCAAAUUGUUUACCAAGAAAAACCAUUUUUCCUUUUUUGAAUGCUAAAGGCAUGCGUUUUUCGUGAAGCGGCUACAAGGAGGGUCACCCCAAACGGCGCCAUUCCAUGUCUAUCUCAAAGUAGACCCUGUUUUACGGACGGUCGCCAAAAAGAAUGCAUUUCUGACCCUCGUAGCUACUCCCGGCAAUUCAGACCACCUUCGGCCGAUUCAGCUGGAACCGGCUGGAAUUUGAACUGUGGGUCCUCCAUAGCUUGCCUGUUAUUUUUGCCAAAAAUGCCUUUUAGCUUCACAGGUAGGCAUUUCAUCACAGAAUCGACAAUAGAUUGGCACGCCUCAAACCCUAGCCAUGGACGGCCGCUGCGACGAAAUUGGCCGGUUUUUGAAAACACCGUAAAAAAUUCAAAAAAAAUCAAAAAAAUGGGAGACCUCCGCAUCACAUCAUCAAAUGUGGCCUACCAAGUAGCAAAAAUACUAAUCUUGCAAUACAGAUGUUUUCUUGAAAACGUGUUCUAAAAAACGACCUACCAUGAACGGAGAUUCAUGGCUUUCAAGCCAAACUAGCAAUGAUAUGGCCGCAUCCGAUGAAUAGUUUCUGAUAAUAUGCCCAAAUUUGGCGCAUGCCUCCGUCUUGUGAUGGCAAACAAUGUUGCCAAAGCGAGGUUCCAAAUUGUUUACCAAGAAAAACCAUUUUUCAUUUUCUGAAUGCUAAAGGCAUGCGUUUUUCGUGAAGCGGCUACAAGGAGGGUCACCCCAAAUGGCGCCAUUCCAUGUCUAUCUCAAAGUAGACCCUGUUUUAUGGACGGUCGCCAAAAAGCAUGCAUUUUCGACCCUCGUAGCUACUCCCGGCAAUUCAGACCACCUUCGGCCGAUUCAACUGGAACCGGCUGGAAUUUGAACUGCGGGUCCUCCAUAGCUUGCCCGUUAUUUUUGCCAAAAAUGCCUUUUAGCUUCACAGGUAGGAAUUUCAUCACAGAAUCGAUAACAGAUUGGCACGCCUCAAACCCUAGCCAUGGACGGCCGCCGCGACGAAAUCGGCGGGUUUUUGAAAACACCGUAAAAAAUUCAAAAAAAAACAAAAAAAUGGGAGACCUCCGCGUCACAUCAUCAAAUGUGGCCUACCAACUAGCAAAAAUACUAAAAUUGCAAUACGGAUGUUUUCUUUAAAAGGUGUUCUCAAAAACAACCUACCAUGAACGAAGAUUCAUGGCUUUCAAGCCAAACUAGCAUUGAUAUGGCCGCAUCCGAUGAAUAGUUUCUGAUAAUAUGCCCAAAUUUGGCGCAUGCCUCCGUCUUGUGAUGGAAAACAAUGUUGCCAAAGCGAGGUUCCAACUUGUUUACCAAGAAAAACCGUUUUUCAUUUUUUGAAUGCUAAAGGCAUGCUUUUUUCAUGAAGCGGCUACAAGGAGGGUCACCCCAAAUGGCGCCAUUCCAUGUCUAUCUCAAAGUAGACCCUGUUUUAUGGACGGUCGCCAAAAAGCAUGCAUUUCUGACCCUUGUAGCUACUCUCGUCAAUUCAGACCACCUUCGGCCGAUUCAACUGGAACCGGCUGGAAUUUGAACUGCGGGUCCUCCAUAGCUUGCCCGUUAUUUUUGCCAAAAAUGCCUUUUAGCUUCAUAGGUAGGCAUUUCAUCACAGAAUCGACAAUAGAGUGGCACGCCUCAAACCCUAGCCAUGGACGGCCGCCGCGACGAAAUUGGCCGAUUUUGAAAACACCAUAAAAAAUUCAAAAAAAAUCAAAAAAAUGGGAGACCUCCGCAUCACAUCAUCAAAUGUGGCCUACCAAGUAGCAAAAAUACUAAUCUUGCAAUACGGAUGUUUUCUUGAAAACGUGUUCUAAAAAACGACCUACCAUGAACGGAGAUUCAUGGCUUUCAAGCCAAACUAGCAAUGAUAUGGCCGCAUCCGAUGAAUAGUUUCUGAUAAUAUGCCCAAAUUUGGCGCAUGCCUCCGUCUUGUGAUGGCAAACAAUGUUGCCAAAGCGAGGUUCCAAAUUGUUUACCAAGAAAAACCAUUUUUCAUUUUCUGAAUGCUAAAGGCAUGCGUUUUUUCGUGAAGCGGCUACAAGGAGGGUCACCCCAAAUGGCGCCAUUCCAUGUCUAUCUCAAAGUAGACCCUGUUUUCUGGACGGUCGCCAAAAAGCAUGCAUUUUCGACCCUCGUAGCUACUCCCGGCAAUUCAGACCACCUUCGGCCGAUUCAACUGGAACCGGCUGGAAUUUGAACUGCGGGUCCUCCAUAGCUUGCCCGUUAUUUUUGCCAAAAAUGCCUUUUAGCUUCACAGGUAGGAAUUUCAUCACAGAAUCGAUAACAGAUUGGCACGCCUCAAACCCUAGCCACGGACGGCCGCCGCGACGAAAUCGGCCGGUUUUUGAAAACACCGUAAAAACUUCAAAAAAAAACAAAAAAAUGGGAGACCUCCGCGUCACAUCAUCAAAUGUGGCCUACCAACUAGCAAAAAUACUAAACUUGCAAUACGGAUGUUUUCUUGAAAAGGUGUUCUCAAAAACAACCUACCAUGAACGAAGAUUUAUGGCUUUCAAGCCAAACUAGCAAUGGUAUGGCCGCAUCCGAUGAAUAGUUUCUGAUAAUAUGCCCAAAUUUGGCGCAUGCCUCCGUCUUGUGAUGGAAAACAAUGUUGCCAAAGCGAGGUUCCAACUUGUUUACCAAGAAAAACCGUUUUUCAUUUUUUGAAUGCUAAAGGCAUGCUUUUUUCAUGAAGCGGCUACAAGGAGGGUCACCCCAAAUGGCGCCAUUCCAUGUCUAUCUCAAAGUAGACCCUAUUUUACGGACGGUCGCCAAAAAGCAUGCAUUUCUGACCCUUGUAGCUACUCUCGUCAAUUCAGACCACCUUCGGCCGAUUCAGCUGGAACCGGUUGGAAUUUGAACUGCGGGUCCUCCAUAGCUUGCCAGUUAUUUUUGCCAAAAACGCUUUUUAGCUUCACAGGUAGGCAUUUCAUCACAGAAUCGACAAUAGAUUGGCACGCCUCAAAACCUAUCCACGGACGGCCGCCCCGACGAAAUCGGCCGGUUUCUGAAAACACCGUAAAAAAAUUCAAAAAAAAUCAAAAAAAUGGGAGACCUCCGCGUCACAUCAUCAAAUGUGGCCUGCCAACUAGCAAAAAUACUAAACUUGCAAUACAGAUGUUUUCUUGAGCUACUCCGUAUGAUUUUAGCCAUGAUUUCUACAAAGUGUACAAAAAAACCUAUUUUUUCUGCCUCAAAACCUAUAAAAACUGGUGAAAAUUUCCCUCCCACCCCACCAAAAAUUCCCUCCCACCGCACCAAAAUUUCCCUCCCAGCCCACCAAAAUUUCCCACCACUUCUCUCCCACUACCAUGCGGGACCCAGCACCCCUCUCCCACUAAACAAGCGGGAUCCCCUCCCCUCCCUUCCCAAAAUUUCCCCUCCCUCUCUCAUUCACCACCCUAGCGCCGCCCCGCUCCCACUCCCUCACCUCCGCGCCGCCCCGCUCCCAAUCUGUGCCACCCCGGCACGCCGCUGCGCCGCCCCGCCGUGCUGCGGUCCGCCGCCCACGUCGACAACAAAUCCACCGAUCUCUCUCCCCUCGACGAUGAUUGCUACAUCGACAGCUACAUCGACCGCCCGGGCUAUGACAGGGAGUACAUCGGCGACGGUGGAUACAUCAUCCACAUCAUCAACGAUCGACGACGGCGACAGGUACCCCUCUCCUCUCCCCUCUCCCCUCGAUCUUCUACGGUUCGGUAGAUCCCCCUCCUGGUCGACCUAGGGUUAGGAUUCGGUUGAUCUAGGGUUAGGAUCUGUCGAUCUAGGGUUAGGAUUCGGUUGAUCUACGAGCUCCUGGUGGUUCUUGUUCAUGUUCAUCGAGCUCCUGGUUCUUGUUCUUGUUCAUGUCGAUCUAGGGUUAGGAUUCGUUUUCUUGUUGAUCUAGGGUUAGGAUUCGCGCGUCGGCUCCUCCCUCCCUGCUCGAACCCUUCUGAUCCAGAACAUGCUCGCCAGAUUCACUCAUGGUGCUUGGCUUGGGUCACAGUUGGUUAUGUUGCAUGCGUGUCCUUGUGCACUUGUAGUACUGGUGGUUUAAGGCACCGUUUAUCAGAUAUAUUGUUUAUUUGUUUGGAUCUUUCAUGUCAUAAUCUUAAAAAAAUGCUUGUUUGAUACUCGUGGAGCUCUUGGUGGUUUGUUUGAUCCUCCUCAUGGUUUAGGGUUCAUGUAGAGGAUGGAGAGGAAGUGCAUGAUUUUAGGGGAUGGGGAUGGAUGAGGAAGUGGAUGAGGUUUUAGGAAGACCUCCCUCUGGUUCAUGUAGCUUGUGUAUGAUUUAGUUACUUAGCUUGUAUCAGUAGCACUUGGAGAAGGUGCCCCUCAGGGCCUCUCAUGCUGCCCAUUCCUGUUGUUUUGAGGUUAUGGGUGUGUUUGCUGUGCGUUUGGUUAUAUUGUGCUUGUGCGUUGGUCUGGUUCAUGGCGUGUUUACCGGUCUUGUGAGCGGGGCGCUGUGUCACUGAUGUUUCUGAACCUGAUGUUCAUGCCGUAUCUCUCUGAUGAGAUGUAUGGCAAAGUGAAUGAUGUCAUGAUGUAAGCCGGAUAUAGUAAGUAGACGGUGCUGUGUUCAGUCACCAAGCUAUAGUGGAAUUACAUGAUUUAGAUGAGCAUUUCUUUAUCAGCAUAGAGGCCAUCCCGUGUGGCCCUCUCACCUUUUUUUGUUGUUGUUGCAAAGACCGGGAACUUUAUUGAGCAGUUGAGAAUAAUUUUUUCAUCUGCUUUUGUACUUCUGCAAGUACUGUUGUUUCAUGCUUUACUAGUGGAAACAUCUAGUUGUUUUGAAGGUCCUCAUGAUAUACUCGUCUAGCUUGCUGUCAGACUGUCUAAGCAUGUGUACAUGACACAAAUUCACUAGUUCAUGUUGCUUGCUUGCUAACAUACAUGUUGCUUGCAAGAAUACAUGCUUAAUUAGGGUUUCCAUCAGCAGUACUUGCUUGUAUCAGUAGCACAUGGAGAAGAAGCUACUUGCUUGCUUAUUAAUUAGGGUUUAUAUCAAUAGUAUUUGCUUGCUUCUUUUCAAUUUCCUUCAUUGCUUGCUUGUUUCUAUCAGUAGCACUUUGCUUGCUUGCUUGUUUAGUGUACAUAUAUUUCCACUGUACAUGCAUGCUUGUUUAGUGCACUCACAUGUUUUCUUAAUUAAUAACAGUACAUCAGUGUAUGUGCAUGUUGGUCCAAAUGCUUUCCUUUAUUGAUACAAGUGCAUCAUUUUACUUUAUCCCUGUUGUAUUUGAUUGUUGUUUAUUCUAUUUUGCAGGCACCACCUCAAGAUCAUCCAUGGCAAGGAUGACAAGGUCAAACGUGAGGCCAACCGUUGGUAUGCAACUUGCUCCUUGUGGUUAUACUGUCAGUUUCAUAAAAUCUGUGUCUUAAUAUGCUAAGUGAAAUGUAUUGCUACAAUCUGAAUAAGCUGGCUUAAUUGUGCCUGUGUGCUGUUAGUCUUCCUGAAUAACUAGGAUUAAAUGAUAAUAAAAUUCAUAAGAUAUGUUUGGCUGUCUAUCCAUGCAUUCCAAACAUUCACCUAAUAUUUAAGUUUCCUUUAUCAUGCAAAGAAGAGCCUCUGAUCGAGUACGAGAAGGUUAGGGCUAGAAAUAUCAUGAGGAACAAUUAGUUGUUCCGGUCCCGUGGCAUCGGUGCAAUAAUGUCGAUGAUUAGGAAAACAAAUGAUGUACGAGAAGGUAGAAGUGAUGAGGUUCGAGAAGGUGGUGGAGUUAUCAAUGAUGACCCAGAGUACAAUCCUAAGGAGGAUGAAGUUAUUGAUGGAGGGGAAGUGGAUGAUGUUGUAGUGAGCAAGACUGUUAAGGUGCAAACUCUGUCUUGCUUGGAGGGCUGGGGUUCUUUUAUGCUAUGUUAUUCCUUGUGCUCACAUAUUUCUCUUGUGAUCUAAUGCUUUUUUUCGUGCUGUUUAUACGAGGCACUGAAGGAAUCUAGGACGAAGAGGCCUGGUGUUAAGAAGACAGUCAGCAAGAAGAAGAAGAGCUCAGAAACAUCUGCUGAAGUGCCUCCAGGAAGGGUGAUGGCCCCAGCUCCAGGACAAAAAAAAGAGGAUCCUGGAACCUGAUGAACCUGCCCUUGAUAGAGUCACAAGGCAGAAAGCAUAGAUGGCGACUGCGACGGACCAUGAGGAAAGUCUGCUGCGCAUGGACUCUGAGACCUCGGUGCAAAUGGGUGAUGAGUUGCUGCCCAUGGAUGAAGGAACCACUCUCAGCAUGGAUGGAAGUGGCACCGUCUGCCUAGAUGAAGGAGGAACCAUCUGCAUUGAUGAAGCAGGCACUGUCCACACAGACCUCAUCCCUGUUGCACCUUCUAUUGACAGGAAUGUUGUCAUCAAUGAAGAAGAACAACAGCUUGUGCUUCAAUCAGGCAAGUUGACCUUUGCAAUCCUAUCUUUUACUAGUGCAUUUUCCAAAUGGAAUGAUCAUGUAUGCUUUUGUCGAUUCCUGCAUUUGUCGAUUUCUAUUCUAGUUUAUGAGUUCAAUUUCAUUUUCAGAUGCAAUGACUACCAAGACUAGACCUAGAAAGGGCAAAGGGCUAGAGAGAAUCACCAAGUCGCUUGGUAGCAAGGUGCCUAUCCAAAUUGCCGAAGGGAUGAAGCGUCCAGAGAAGCCUCUGUAGUCAGCAAAGCUUGCUUCUGAGUGUGGACUCAUUGCAAGAAACCAUCUUCCGGUUCUUCCUAACUUCAAGCUAUACAAAAAAAUGCUAGUCUAUUGGAGAACUACAUUGGGAAAGUUGAUGUAAGCUACUUGUUUCAUAGUUAAUGUGCUAUCUAUUUUCUGUUACACCUAUGCAUGAUCUAAUAUUGUUCCUACCUUGUUUGUUGUCUUGGUAGGCAAAUUUUGAGAUGAACACAGACUCGGAGACCAUCAAGACCGCAUGCAAAGAUAUUCUGCAGAAAAAUUCAAAGAACAGACGCCAUCAGAUCAAGAAGAAGUAUUUUGAUACCGUAGCCGCAAAUAAAGUCAGCAUCAAGUCUCCGGUACCUGAUCUGACGGAUGGUGAAUGGCAAGAUCUGGUGGACAUGUGGUCUACCCCAAGACACAAGGUUUGUCUCUGCUUUGUUUGAUGCUUUAUGUUCUACACAUGAUAUGCUAGUGCUAGAUCAUGCUGACAGUAUGCUUUUUUGUAGGAAACCUGUGUGUCGAACAAGAUGAAUCGAGAAAAAGUCAUGUACAAUCAGAGAACUGGUUCCAGGCUCUACACAGCACACAUUUUUGCCACUGUGAGAACUUUUCUCUAGAGACCUUACCGUUUGAUCCUCGUUGGAUAACAUUUCUGAUUCUUGCUGAAUAACAUUUUGAUUUUUGUUGAAAAACAUUUCAGAAAGAAGAGCGUAAGGGUGAGCAGCUGUCUGCGAUUGACUUGUUUAAGGCCACCGACAACAGCAAGAAGCACGGGUUUUCGGAGCCAGUCAAGACUGCUAUAGUAAGUCACUCCAUGCUUUGUCCAUGCCCUAUUUGAUUCAUGCCAGCUUUGUCCAUGCCAGCUUUGUCCAUGCCAACUUUGAUGCUUUGAUGAUUUGAUGUUGUUUGAUUCGGAGCCAGUUCCAUGCUUUGAUGUUGUUUGAUAGUUCCAUGCUUAUAGUUCCAUGCUAGGCUUAAUGUAGAUAUUAGAACAGCUUAAUGAAGAUAGUUCCAUGAUGUGUUCCAUGCUUUGAUGCUAUUUGUUGCAUUUUUUAUGACAUGAUGAAAUUUGAUCUGAAUGUUAGUCAGGAAGCCAUCUUAUAUAGAACCACCAUUCUAGGCUUAAUGAAGCGAUCAUAUUGUUCCAAUUGCAUGUCUCCAGGUCACUAGUCAUCAUCUUCUUGUAUAGAUUUUGUUUGCUGGUUUGGUUACUUCAAAUAAUCCAUUUGUGUGCUGGUUUGGUUUCUCCACUAAUGCCUAUCAUUUUCCUCCAUAUUCUAGCUUGAGAUGGAAGAAAUGAAGGACGCGCCGGUACCAGAAGGUGAAGAGCCAAAGUCUACUGUUCAAAUUGUCGAAGAAGUGCUGUUGAAAUCUGUCAAGCAAAGCACAUUCCUCACGAAUGUUGGGCUCCAGUCAUCUAGGAACAACUCCCGCAAAGCAACUGCUGAAGUAUUUGCUCAUGUUCGUGACCUUGAGCAGAAGCUGCAGAGGUCCGAGCUUCAAGCUGACCUGGUGCAAGAAGAAUUGGCGGCAAUCAAGAUGAAGGCGGAAGAAUCUGAAGCUGCGCGCGACAAGGAACUUGAGCUGCUGCGCAAGAAGUCUCAAGAACAGGAAGAGAAGUUAGCCCACUUGAUGGCUCUCUUUGGAGCUAAGGCAGUUUGAUGGCUAUGCUGCUAAGGUAGUUUGAGCAUUUUGAACUUGAGCAUUGCUGUCUAGUUUGAUGGCUGUGAACCUAGUUUGAACCUGUGAAGUUUGUCUUUGAGCAUUUUGUUGCAUUGCUACCUAGUUUGAACCUGUGAAGUUAUGUGAUCUUGUGAACCUAUGAAGUUAUGGAUCACUUGUGAAGUUGUGGAGUUAUUGUUUAUUUUCUGUGAAGUUAUGUGGAUCACUUGUGCACCUGGGCUUGUGGAUCACUUGUGCACCUGGGCCUUUCUGUUUAUUGUUUAUUUUAUGUGAAGUUAUGCAAAAUGAGAACUUGGGCUCUAAAAAGGCCAAGGCCCAAACAAGAAUUAGACAAAAAAGGCUUGGGCCUAAAAAGGCAAAUGAAUGUAAGAAAAAAAUUAUAAAAAGCUGCAUAGUAGAAAAUAAAAAGGCCAAGGCCCAAAUUCGAACUAGACCAAAAAGGCUGUGGCCCAAAAAAAAUUUGGACUAUAAAAAAAUUCAUUAGAAAAAGGCUCCAUUCCCAGAAAAUAAAAGGCCAAAUUAUUGGGCCAGGCCCAUACACAUAAGCAAAAUAAAGAGAGAAAAAAAUUAAACGGGCAGAAUUAUUGGGCUUGGCCCAUGUAGACGGCUGAAAUGACCCGGGUUGAUUCUAUUUUACGACCUUUUUAUUUGGUCGUAAUUAUGCCAGUCAGCUUGCCAUGGUGGAUCUGACGUGGUGUGGUCGGAUUGCUAGUGACCAAAAUAAUUGGUCGUAAAAUCUAUGACCUUUUUUUGGUCAUAAACGUCUAUGACCAUUCCAGAAGAAAGGUCGGUAUAGUCAGUUUACGACCCUCAGCUUUUGACCUUUUGUUUUUGGUCACAAAAAGGUCACAAAUUGAAAACAGUGACCUUUCGGUGACCAAUAGUGGAGGUCACAAGAUAGCAUAUUUCUUGUAGUGUUCACAUUCACCCAGCGGUGGCGCGGGACGGCCUUUGACCCCUUCUUCACUGCUGUCCCGUUGCCCACUGAACCACGCCCCAAGAACCUUAAGGUAUAAUUUACUUACUCCACAUGCAUUGCUCUAGCUGCAUGUAUACCAUGAAUCUAGGACGUGGUUCAAAGAGGAAAGGAAUGGGGGAAAGUAGUGGGAAAAGUUGUAUAUGGCAUGAAUCUAGGACGUGGUUCAAAGAGGAAAUGAAGGGGAAAGUUGUAUAGCAUGAAUCUAGGACAUGGUUCAAAGAGGAAAGUAAUGGGGGAAAGUAGUGGGGAAAGUUGUAUCGCAUAAAUCUAGGACGUGGUUCAAAGAGGAAAGGAAGGGGCGAAAGUACUAGUACAGAGUGGUUAUCCAGCACCUAUGUUGGUCGAAAAGGGAAAACAAUGACAAACGUAGUACGCACAUCUGUAACGAAUUGAUCUUUUGUUUUUGGGGACAAGGCUAUAGAGUUUGAGCAGGACUAGAUUUGCUGCGCUCACAUAGGGAAAGGUGUCUAAAGAUAACAAAACUGGCACCAACACAAAUAUGCUCCUUGGUUAUUUGUUCUCUAUUGCAAUAGACUAUGCAUGACCAUAGUACAUCGGUAGAUGCACAUGGUGCUGGUGCGUUCAUUAUCUCGUGCAACUCAUUAGCUGUUGUUAAUCUAAGGCCCUGUUUGGUUAAAAACUCCCUAGUCCCACCUGCUUGGUUCCAGGGACUAAACAUGGACUAGAGGUUAUUAAAUGACAUGCUAAAAGACCAUGUUACCCCUAGUAAUGAACUAAUAGAGACAAGGUGCGAUGCGUGGCAGGGGCAACUAUUGGAAAAAGUCCCAAAAAGACUCCCUCGAUGUCUUCUUUCUUUAGUUCCAAAUGCCCACUUUUAGUCCCUAAAAGUCCCUCCUGUUUGGUUUAGAUGUGACUGACACGGAGUUUUUUUAGUCCCUACACCAAAAUGUCCCUGCAAACAAACACCCUCUAAUAAUGCCGCUAGAAAAUUGAUGCAAUGCCACAGUUAAAAGCAAAUUACAUGUUUAACGAAUUUUAUUGUUAAUAUAAUCUCUAUGUUAAUAUUAACCAAUGCCACCAUUUGAGAAAUGCUACUAUCUUGCUUUCUUUCCCAUUUAGAUAAGGUAGAUGCUUCUUUUUGUUGGCUUCUGUGUCAUCCACCAUUAUUGACCACUAAUUGUUUCCUUUGCACAUCUGUGUAAACAGGGUUAUCUACUUCACCUCGUUGCCAUUGUGACCUUUCAUUGCACUGCACAAAACACUUUUGUUUUAAGAGUGUUUUGUGCAGUUCAACCAAAAUGUCACACCGACAACGUUGCUUGAUUGCUUGAUCUUAGUGGAACUGCACAAGAGGAGAUCUUACUUCCUAUCCAUGUUGGCAAAUUUGGUUCAGAUCUUCUUCUUGUGAGUUGUUUGACUUCCGCAUCAUGAGAGGUCAGUACUAGCCUUCUUUCACAUGAUUAUGCAGUGUGCUUUCAUAUCUUGUGCUACUUGUACGAUAAUGUUGCUUGAUUUUAGUGAACUGCACAAAUGGAGACAAGACUUCCAAUCUGUAUGUGCACCGUAAUGUCCCAUUGACGUAAGAUAAGGAUAUUUCACAAGUGUUGGCCUGUAUUUUGCCACUUUCAUCAGAAAAUUAAGUUUAGUACUAUACUUGUGCUCCCUAAUUGACAUGCCAAAUCAUACAUUGAAGGCGAAGCUUGUCUGUUAUUGAACCAAGUGAUGAAGGGGGAGAACAAGCGGAAGAAAAACAAAAAUCAACUCUCGGUGCUGUAAUGAAGCACUGGAACUGUGGUGACACAAGUAAUGAUAUAGUUUUAUAUCUUAAUUUAUUGCUAUGGCUGGAACGAGAAAUUGUUUUGCCACUGAUUUGAUGCCACUCUUAAUGUAAUACGUAAUUAUCUCUACUUGUGCAAACAGGGAUCUUAUUUGAAGAUACCAUAUAUUUUAGUGGAACUGCACAAGAAGAUGUUGGAAACAUUAAACUAAUCGAGGAGUAUAUAGUAAGCAUGGACACCACCGUAGAUAGCAAUAGAUGGUUCCGGAGAAUUGCUUCAUCUGUAUGCUCUACACAAUAAGCCUCCUAAAAAAGGUUGGUACUCGCCCAUUGAUUUCAUCCAUAUGAUUGAGCUUUGUCAUCUCUAUUGGUGUUGUGCUACUGUUUAGAUACUGUCAUGAAAAAGUGGUAUUGUCCUUGCACUACAAAAAAAAAGACACAUCCGUGACAUUUUGGGCCGAACCAAUUUUUUUUCUGCCAUACAUAUGACACUUCUAUGACGAUAAUUGUGACAAAACCCGGUAUCAUCAUAGAUGUGGUGGGCUCCUACUUGUAUGACAAAAAAUCAUGACAGAAAAUGGGCUUUUCGUCCUGGGCGGGCUAGAGACGCGGCUGCAUGACAUUCUUUGGGCCGUCCAUGACAGAAAAAACCGUGGUAGAAGUGAGGGGGAGCAAAAUUUUGGGGAGUUGCCAGUUACGGUGGGAGGUCGGGGGUCGAGUGAUGCGCGUUUCUCUCGUACACGUACGCGCAUGUGUGCGAGGCAUUGGCUCUAACUGAACCCGAGCGAGGCGUUGGGCUCUAACUGAACCCGAGCGAUUGCACUAUAGGCUACGCGUUACUGAACCUGAGCGAUCGAUUCCUUCGCUACUGCUGCUAACUGAAGCCGAUGGAUGCUGCCUCUCUGGAUGAACAGUGAGUGUUUGNNNNNNNNNNNNNNNNNNNNNNNNNNNNNNNNNNNNNNNNNNNNNNNNNNNNNNNNNNNNNNNNNNNNNNNNNNNNNNNNNNNNNNNNNNNNNNNNNNNNNNNNNNNNNNNNNNNNNNNNNNNNNNNNNNNNNNNNNNNNNNNNNNNNNNNNNNNNNNNNNNNNNNNNNNNNNNNNNNNNNNNNNNNNNNNNNNNNNNNNNNNNNNNNNNNNNNNNNNNNNNNNNNNNNNNNNNNNNNNNNNNNNNNNNNNNNNNNNNNNNNNNNNNNNNNNNNNNNNNNNNNNNNNNNNNNNNNNNNNNNNNNNNNNNNNNNNNNNNNNNNNNNNNNNNNNNNNNNNNNNNNNNNNNNNNNNNNNNNNNNNNNNNNNNNNNNNNNNNNNNNNNNNNNNNNNNNNNNNNNNNNNNNNNNNNNNNNNNNNNNNNNNNNNNNNCGUGGCGUGGCCUUUGGAUGAACAGGACCCCGAUCGAUCGAGCCGGUUGGGGCUGGAUGAACAGGACCCCGUGGAGGGCAGGAUGAAUAGGACGACCCCGUGGAGGGCUGGAUGAACAGUAGACGGUGGAGGGGUGGAUUAACAGUAGCCCAUGGAGGGGUGGUUGAACAGGAGCCCGUGGAUAGGGGUGGUUGAAUAGUAGCCGGUGGAGUAGCGCGCGGUGGAGGUUGGAUGAACAGGAGCCCGUGGAUGACCAGUCACAGGUGGAGGCUGGAGGAGGUCGACGGUGGAUGAACAGUAGCCCGUGGAGGCUAGAGGAGGUUGACGGUGGAGAUGUAAAGUAUCCCGUGGAGUCCCGUUUUGCAGUACACCACACCCCUCCUGAUGAACACGACCCCCGUUUCGACCGUAGCGCUCCACCACAAGUCCGUUUUGUCCGUUUUGCGGUACGCCACACCCGUCCCGAUCAACAGGACCCCCGUUUCGACCGUAGGAGGUCCGUUUCCUCCGUUUUGUGGUACGCCACACCCCUCCCGAUCAACAGGACUCCCGUUUGGACCGUAGGAGGUCCGCUUCCUCCGUUUUGCGGGACGCCACACCCCUCCCAAUGAACAGGAUCCCGUUUCGAACGUGGCCGGUCGAACACAAGGCCGUUUCCUCCGUUCUGCGGUACGCCAGGCCUCGUUUCCAUCACCUGUUCCGUCCAAGCCCUCCCGAUGAACACAACCAUGCAUUCCGUUCCGACCCAGCUGGUUGGCUCCUCAUGAACACGACGACGACGCUGUUUCUCCGUUCCGACCCAGCCAAUGUACACGAGCCCUGGCCAUACGUAUAUAUGCGCGAGUAGGCGUUCGAGACCCCGCCCGUAUGUACACAUACGUGGCCGUAUUUUCUUUCUUGCACCCUGCACUACUAGGAAAAGGCAUGCUAGUGGCGCACCAGUUUUGCCUUCUAAUGGCGCACUACUGGUGUGCCACUAGCAUCACGCCAUUAGAAUUAAAUUAUAAUGGCACACCACUAGUGCGCCAUUAGUAUCUGGUGUUCUAAUGGCGCACCAUGUAGUGCACCAUUAGUAUAGGCCACGGUGCGCCAUUAGUAUUUUUGAAUUUUGAAGGCGGGAAAAUAGUAGUGGCGCACCGUCUAAACCCCACCGUGCGCCAUUGCUAUUUUUGAAUUUUGAAUUUGGAUCUGGAUCGCGAUUUUUUUGCCCAUUUUUUGCUUGUUUUUUUCCUUGUUUUUUUGCACUAUAUUAUUUCAAAUUUUGUUCCUGUUUUUGGAUCUUGUACGUUCUUUUGCCGUGUUCUUUUGCCGGAGAGGAGUUCGCCGAAGAGGAGUUCGCCGGAGAGGAGGAGGAGGAGGUGACCGCAGCAUCGCCAGAGAGGAGGACGAGGUCGCCGGAGAGGAGUUCACCGGAGCAUCGGAGAGGAGGAAGGAGAAACCGUGAGGGGAUGGGAGGAGAGGAGGGAGGAGGAGCUCACCGGAGAGGAGGGAGGAGAAACCGUGAGGGGAGGGGAGGGGAGGAGAGAAGCAAAGGGAGGAGGAGGUUGCCGGAGAGGAGGAGGAGGUCGCCGGAGAGGAGAGGAGGAGGUCGCAGGAGAGGAGAAGGGUAGUAUGGUGGAGGAGAGAAGGGAAGAUGGAUUGGAGGAGUGGAGGAGAGGUGGAGUGGAGGAGGGGUGGAGUGGAGGAGAAGAAUGAAGAGGUAAGGAGGAGAGGACACACCCAGCCAUAUAUACGGCAUACUAAUGGCCCACCGCGGGCAGGUGCGCCAUUAGUAACUUUAUUUUAUUUUUUUGAUUUAUUUUGAAUUUUGAAGGCGGGAAAAUACUAAUGGCGCACCACGGGCAGGUGCGCCAUUAGUAACUUUUUUUUUUAUUUUUUUGAUUUAUUUUGAAGUUUGAAGGCGGGAAAAUACUAAUGGCACACCACGGGCAGGUGCACCAUUAGUAACUUUUUUUUAUUUGAUUUAUUUUGAAUUUUGAAGGCGGGAAGAUACUAAUGGCGCACCAUGGGCAUGUGCGCCAUUAGUAAGUUUGAAUUUUUUUGAAUUUUUUUGCCUCUCCAGAUCUUAAAAGGCCCGUAACUUUUUUUCUGUUUGGUUUUUGAGGAUUUUGAAAAUGUUUAGCGGGGUAUGCAAAUGUUUAACGGAGUAGAUGAUUUUUCAUAUAAAAAACUUUUUCAUUCGAGUUAGUAUGCAAAAGUUAUGCCCAUGUUUACAAAUUCUAGAGAGAUUUUUCAAAUAAAGUCGAAAUUCACAUUUGCAAAUUUUCCCAACAACUAGACCACAUAUCACAUGGGAAACUUAUUUUCUUUUAUUUUUUUGACAGUUCCAUCAUUUUCUUUUAUUUUUUUUAAACUGAAAAGGCGAUCCAUGGGGGGGGUGCAUUCGGGGGAAUUUUUGGGCCAAAAUACUAAUGGCGCACCGUAGAAGUGGUGCGCCAUUAGUAGUUGACAUUAGUAAUGGCGCACCACUCCCACGGUGCGCCAUUAGUAGUUUUGAAAAAAUUAUAAAUUUUUUUUACUAAUGGCGCACCGUGGGAUGUGGUGCGCCAUUAGUAUUUGCACACUAAUGGUGCACCAACACAUGGUGCGCCAUUAGUAUUUAGUAAUGGCGCACCACAUGUACAGUGCGCCAUUAGUGUCCAUCCCAUCUAUAGCCCUUUUCCUAGUAGUGCUGGCCGCUGUACGUACGUGUACAUGCUACGUGCGCGCCUCUACUACGACACGUGCGCGCCUCUACUAUGACACAUGCGCGCCUCUACAUCCACCAGUAUGUACGUACACGUUCGCGACCAGAAUGACAACGCUACGUACGCUUCGACCAGGUGGGUCCCGACUGUCAGGCAAUUCCUUGCGUGCGAAGAUGUAGCUGGUGGGUCCCAACAGUCAGGGGGCGAAUCAUUUUUUUGCCCGGACACACUUCCUUGCGUGCGAAGGUGUAGCUGGUGGGUCCCAGCAGUCAGCCGACAAAUCGUUUUGUUUUCUUUGCUCGGACACACUUCCUUGCAUGUGAAGGUGUAGAUGGUAGGUUCCAGCAGUCAGGGGGAAACGCUUUUUUCACGAAAUAUGGUGGCCUGUCCGGCAGGUCCCUGCUGUCAGGUGAAGGAAUAAGUAUUUUGCGCAUAAUAACGAGGAACUUCCUUGCGGCCGCCGUGGACCCAGCUGUUGGCCUCUCCAUGUAUAGUACUCUUCCGACGGAAGUCGGUCAUUGACCACAUAGACCACGCCGCACCGAGAGCACCAGGGCGGUGGACGACAGCGAGGCCUAGGAUGGGGACGAUGCGGAGCCGGGGAAGACACGGCAGUGGAUGCCCACGCGGAGAGGAGUACGAUUGUACGAGGGUUUACUGGUUUGUUUGCCGUCGCCAGAGAGUAACAACAGGUGUGGGUCAGUAGAGGGAUGGCUAGGCCAGCGAUGGGAGUACGAUGGGGCGGUGAUGCCUGCGCGGCAGUACAACCGGCCGUGGGGAGGAGGGAGCAGGCAGUCCCGCUGGCGCUUGUUUGAGUGGCUGGAGCAUGAAGAGCAAAGAUUGAAGAAGCACGACAGCCGUUGGAUGGACAUCCAACAGUCACUGCUCUCGUGUAUUGACUAAGUUGACAGGGCGUUGCGUGUGCAUCAACCUUUUUUUUAUGAAAGCAUAUGCGUCAACCUGAAGUAGGCGCACAAGUCAGCCUCAAAUAUGUGGAAAACAACAGAAAGCCUAUCUGCCAUUACUUCUAAUAAUGUACAACCCAUUUGCUAAUUCUUAAGAAUUUUUUUGGAGCCCAUCUUCUUUUUGUUAGCAUUACACCCCAUAUUGUGGCCACGGUUAAAACGUAUACAAAAUUUUGCAUAUUUCGGUGCGGUCAACUGUUUUUAAUCCAGAAAUAUCGAUUCACAUUCAAACUAUUUGGAAAAAUAAUUUAUAUAAAUAUAAAAUCGAAAUAAUUGUCCACGCAUAAAUAUCAAUGGAAUUUAAAAUCUUGUAAUGAAAAAAAUUGAAACUAAUUCCCGGUUUGAUGUGUUUUAAAAAUGUAUAGCCCAUUUCUAGGCAAACCGAAUGAAACUCUCCUCGUCUUGAAAGAUUUGCAGCCCAGCAGGGCCGAGAAAGCAUGUAGGCCUUGUUUGGGUAUUUCUAGAAAAAAAAUAGAACUGGGCUAGCCAUUUUCAGCAAGAAAAAACACAACUGGGCUCAUGAUGUGCUAAACAUAAAUAAAACCCUGGCUAGACGGGCCACGGCCCCCGCACGGCCCCGUUGUUACCCUGAUCCAUCGCUAAUACUAGUAUAAAUAACAACUGCUUGUUCCUCACAAAAAUAACUGCGCGACCUGUUGGGUCCCUGGUGUCAGCCGCUCGUAGUGUAAUUCUCUCGUUUAUUGACUACGUUGACAAUGGCGUGAGCCCCAGAUGUCCAACCAUUAGGAGGAACCAUAUUUUUGGGCUUGUAAUACAGAGGCACUUGCUUGCAUACUGCCAUGACGUUGGUGGGUCCCUGCUGUCAUCCUCUCCACGUACAGUCAUCUCCUUGUUCCUCUCAGUUGUUGACGAUGUUUACAAUGCAAGAGGGCGGCGCACCGCACACGGCAAGCGAACCAAGGCCGCAAGGCGGAGGACGACGGCGAGGCCUCGGAUGGAACGAACAGGAGUCGUGGAAGAUGCGUCGGUGCAGUCGCAGGCAGAGGGGAGUACGAGGGUUGACUGGUUCGGGUGCGGGUGCGUGUUGGGGCUGACGUCGCCGGAGAAUAACAGGACGUGUGGGGGAAUAGAGGGAGGGACUGGCCAACGUUGGAGGGUACGUACGGUAGGGCGGCGGAGCGCAGCCAGCCAUGGGAUGCGGGAGCGGGCGGAACCGAUGGGGUGGUUCGGUUUGGGCGGCUGGAGGAAUAAGACAAGAGAUAGAAGAUACACAACAGAUGUUGGAUGUCAAUCCAACAGCUGGUAGGCAGAAUCGUUUGUUGACUGGCUAGGCUAUUUCCUCGCGGUUCCCAAAUGUCAGAAUGCAAAUCUGUCACGGUCAUGCAGCCUUUCCUAUGAAAAUUUACAGCCCAUUUGAUGUGCUAGUUCGAAAUAAGUUUGUGGGUGCUGGUGGGGGCUAAUCACUUGGCUUCUGUAAUGCACAGUGAGCUCAAGCAGCCGGCGAGAGUGAUGUUAUGUCCCUUGGUUGGGAUUUGUUACAAUAUUUCACUCUAAAUUAAACGAAUGGCAAGCCAUGCCUUGUUUCAAAGAAAAUAUGACCGUCACAGCCGAGAUGAAAAGGGUAGGAACAUCUAACUCCAGCUUACAAACCGUACAAAAGCACGAGGGUUAAUUGUUCAUCAGGUUUACAAAAAAACCCAGGUUGAAAAGGGCAACAACAUCUAUCUCCAGCACUGUUUUCGGCAGUCACAGUCAAAUGGAUCGGUCAGGUCCAUAGAAUGAACAUCCUGGGUCGUAAAAUUUACUGGACUAUGACCACAAUAUGUUGUAAAUAGAAGCCCGGUAUGUUCAGAUGCUCUUUUGCCCACCUGAAACUCCUUUUUUUGCUCUUCGACAUACCCAUCCAUCAAAACCAUGCUGCUGAUAAACUUAAGCCUGAUGGACAAUAGUAACCUUGCAUUCAACAGGAAGAAUGUGACAAAUCUAGUGUUUGCACGGUUGGCUACAUAUCAUUCUAGCGUUAUUAUCUUCAAUUGAAUCUCAUGAGAAGUGAGAAAAUCUUGAUGCUUACUAAUCCACCGAUUGGUUAUAACUUUCUUACCCCGUCCUGUUGCCUAAAUAGACAUGAAGAUUGAAAACAAUUAAGGUCUAAAAAAAGAGUGUCGAAAGAGCAACAGCUGAACGGUUAAUUCUAGUACACUAUAUGCGGGCUUCCAAUGUGCGUGUGAAAUUAUCACCUUUAUAUACAACUUCUCCAGACAUGGAAAGCAUUACAGCAAGCUAAUAAUCUUGUUCAGAUCAAAACUAAUCAUUUGGAUAUAUAAGAUCUUGAUAGAAUCCAGCACCAUUGAUAGGCCAUCCAUGGAGAAACUCUUCAUUGAGCAUAGAACAUAAUAUUAGUACAAAAUGUGUACUCCAAGAUGAUAUAUAACUUAUGGGCAGAAAUUUAAAAUGCAGCUUUUGGUUACAAGAGUAGAUGAUAAUGUAAAGUACCUGAAGAACUGUGAAGCCAAACACCAUAUUGAAAUGAGCAUAGAGAUCAUGUAUUACACCCAAGGUCUCCAGUUUAGGCGCAGAGAGGACUGUUAUUUGCAGUGAUGAAUAACUAGAAUCAAGGAUCAACCUAUGAAGUGAAGGGGCAUCUUGGAUGAUGAGCUGUCUUCCAUCAAAAGAAAUUCCAAUUCUUACAAGGUUAGGCGACUUUAUUUGGAGACAACCGAUUCUAACUGUGAAAACAAGCACCAAGCACUCCAGGGUAGGGCAACUGGAGUGGAUGAUGCUGUGCAAUGAGGCCUCUGAUAUACGAACCCGCACAAGUGAAAGUUUCUUGAGAAAUGGGAGUCGAAGGUUUAGUACUAAAUUGUCUGGUAGGUAGCACAUCGCAAAGGUGGCGGUGUGGAGAGAGGAGGAAAACCGCGAGAUGGACAUCGGUGCUAAGGGCACAAGUUCAUGGCAUUCGGUAUGUGGUAUGUGAUUUAUAGGGGAAUAGUAGUACUCAAGCAGUUGUAGUUCUGUGAAUUCAGGGGAUUUUAGCCAUGUGUCCACCAUGCAGGGCAUGGUAUGCUUGCUCAGGUAGCAUGAAGAGAUGCAGAGGCUUUGAACGGAGCCCUGGUGGGAGGAGAUGAUGGCUCUAGGGAUUUCAAAAUCAUUGAAGAGAGAUAGAUGUUGAUAGUCGAGAUUAAGGGGCACGUCGUGCCAUAGAGGGCGCCACCGAAUUGAGAGGAGUUGGGUAAGGAAGCAAUCCUUGGUGGGGAGAAGCGAGAUGAUCUCCCCAAGGACGGCGUCUGGGAGAUCGCUGAUGCGGUCCACCCGAGAUUCUACGGGUUCCUGGGAUCCGGUGGGGGCGAUGUCUCUGCUUCUCCCCGCGCUGCCGGAUGCGGGAUCUACAACAGGCGUCGCCGCUGGCGGGAGCCUCAUCUUCUUGGCGCUGGGGUCAGCCGACUCCAUUUUCCUUGAGGGCGUCGCGUCGCACUCACGGAUUUGAGCAGAGUAACGAAUAACGAGCCUAGUUGUAGUGCGAGUGAAGAAGAAGGGGAGAUGAGGUUUUUUCUGUAGUAGUGAGGAAGAAGGGGAGCUGGGGUUUUCUGUAGGAGUGAGGUGAGGAAUUUGGGGGUAUGAGUGGAGCGAGCUAACGUGAGGUGGGUGGGAGUUAGGAGGAAGAAGAGAACCCAGGUAUUUUUGGGGGGCGGUGUGCUGGGUGUGGGUAGCGCCUCUCAUUUAGUAAAUAUAGGUCUUUUGAAUUGAUUUUACUAUUUACUAGUGUGGAUGGGCCGUUUUGUCUUGGGCCCAGAGAAACAAUUACUACUAGUACAGUGGAGACACUCUACAGCUACCCAGAAAAACAAUUACUACUAGUACAAUGGAGACACUCUACCGCUUAUGGCUCCUCCUAGGUCAUUGAAACGUCUCCCUCUACUGAAUGUCGUUAUACUUUUGUUCACCGACAUGCGGGCCAUGCAACGUGCGGGCCCAAAUGCCAUCCACCAAAUUAGAAGGCAGUAUGCAGGCGGAGAGUCACCCCGGUCGUAGCGCGGCAGUAANNNNNNNNNNNNNNNNNNNNNNNNNNNNNNNNNNNNNNNNNNNNNNNNNNNNNNNNNNNNNNNNNNNNNNNNNNNNNNNNNNNNNNNNNNNNNNNNNNNNNNNNNNNNNNNNNNNNNNNNNNNNNNNNNNNNNNNNNNNNNNNNNNNNNNNNNNNNNNNNNNNNNNNNNNNNNNNNNNNNNNNNNNNNNNNNNNNNNNNNNNNNNNNNNNNNNNNNNNNNNNNNNNNNNNNNNNNNNNNNNNNNNNNNNNNNNNNNNNNNNNNNNNNNNNNNNNNNNNNNNNNNNNNNNNNNNNNNNNNNNNNNNNNNNNNNNNNNNNNNNNNNNNNNNNNNNNNNNNNNNNNNNNNNNNNNNNNNNNNNNNNNNNNNNNNNNNNNNNNNNNNNNNNNNNNNNNNNNNNNNNNNNNNNNNNNNNNNNNNNNNNNNNNNNNNNNNNNNNNNNNNNNNNNNNNNNNNNNNNNNNNNNNNNNNNNNNNNNNNNNNNNNNNNNNNNNNNNNNNNNNNNNNNNNNNNNNNNNNNNNNNNNCAAGGUGAUUUUCUUCUUGGUCGAUCUCGAUUGUGGUUUUUCAUCUAAGUAUGUGGUGAUUAAUAAUGCAAAAUGUUAUUAGCUUCGAUGCCAUGCUAUACAUAGUGGUUUAAAUAACUUGUGUGUCUUAUAUUGAAAAGUAAUUCAAAAUUUGUUUAUGUUUCAAUUAGAACCCUGAUGCAGACAAGGAUUGUGUGGUUGUACAUGUCACUCGCUAUGAGGCGGAUGACCUGAAUAUACGCACUAGAAAAACAGAGUUCUUAGGCUGUUGGAUCCUGAAAGCCAUUUGCGGUUAUACCAAUGAAGAGUUGUAUUCCAGCCUCACUGUUGUCAGGCGUGUUGUCCAGGGUGUACUGAAGCACAAGAAGUUCAAAGCUACUCCUUCAUUUGUGAGGAAUACUGUUCUUGUCAAGCUUACGCAGGAAGAUGACAUGGCAUGCCUCCACAAACAAGUUUAUCAGUGGCAAGGCCACAAGGUUGUCUUCAUGAAGGUUCACAGGAUUGAGUUGAUGUGGGACGUCCUCGAUGAUGUUCAUGGCAAGGUCCGUCUUGUGUCUAGCCCAAAUUAGAUCGAGGCAUGAAAUAGUUGCCCCAGUUAGUGUUUAAUAGUAGUUUGGAUUGUGUCUAAUUAUCCGAACCUUGCCUGUUAUCGACCCCUCUGGGGCUAGUACUCUCUUUGAAUCCUUCUAUAGGAACUGCUGCUACUUUUGUGUGCCCGUGAAUCAUGUGAGAACCAUCGUAAUUUUUGCCGAAAAAGAUGCGUCCUCACUAGUUUUUUCAUGAAUAUGGCAUGGUAAGACAUAAGUUGUCAUGGUUUAUCAUACGAGCAGUGUGUGUUUUGAUGAAAUAGAGCACUUGUUCGAGAACUGUGCGCCGACGUAUACACAAGUACUUGUAAACACUGUUGGUGCUACCCCACUUGUAAGAAGUUGUGCAAAACACGGCACAUUGGCUCAGCUCGCUUCAACACUAGGCUAUCGACCAGAUAACAAUCAACAAUCUGCUGUCUGACAUAUAAGCAACUAUGUAUCUUGUUAUAGUGGUUCAUGCAGUUAAUUGAGGCCACAAUGUAAUAAAUUCCAAACGUUCACACGCUAGUCCAGCGCUCAUGUGGAACACUCACAUUAAACUCGUCUUCAUAAAAAACUUGAAAAUCAUAAGUUAAGCAAUUUUAUACAUCUCAAUGAUUCAUAGAACAUAACAAACAUAUACUAGUUCACAGCAAAAGAAAAAGUUGUGAGAAGGUUUACAAAUUAGGAAAAAACAAGCAAGGCUUCUCUGAGCAAAGGGCCUCCCGGUAGGCUUAAAUUUCCUGGAGUUCACUCUAGUUUUUCCUUGUUGCCACCAUCCAGGGUUAGGUUCUCUCAUUCCAGAAUAACCAAUUAUAAUUGUGGUCUCAGCUGGAAUGCUGAACUCAACCAUGUAGUGUACUAACCAGUUGAAAUGCUUGUGCGUUCCACUAAAUUUAAGCACCGUUAUUUGCAGAAAUAAGCAGACCACAAUGCCUCUUGUCCGCCCACCUGUCCAAAAAACUGCCGUGCAGCCGUGCCAGCUAGUCCUCGGUCCAUGGAAGAACUGGCAGAAAGUGCAUUCCGGACUAGGGUGCAGUUGUUUUUGCUCAUCCCUACACUGCAAUCAGGAAGUAAAACGUACGAAUCAUCUUCUUUUAGAUUGUGUUGGUCAUUCUACCUUAGUUACUACCAAUGUAGGAAUACCUUGAAGACUGGAGGUUAGACGACGACAACGAGGGAUAGCCAUCUCAUUUUGCGCGGUUGUACUAAAACUGAGGUCUGUUCUUUUGAUUGCACGGAUAGAAAUGAUACGGAGAUAGACAUCCGGAAAUGAUAUGGAGACAGACAUCCCUGUUUGGGAAAAUACGAAAUACGGUUAUUUAAAUAGUGACAGAUAUUUGCAGUGGCGUAUGAUUAACAACAUCAUCUAUUGUGUUAUAAUUGGCACUAGAUUGACAGUAUGAAGAGUCCUUAAGUAAGUGCAUCACAUCACAUCCACAAUGCCACUAGAUUAACAUGCAGAACAAUAGCAUUAGUAUUAUUGUCAUGAGAGUAGCACAUGGUCAGUAAAUGUACAAUCAAAUUUGUGUAGUUCAACUGGGAUGAAGCAAUGAUAGCGGUGUGAGAGUUAAGUGUAACAGCAAAAACACAAUUCAAGGGAAAUAAAGCAAGAUGGAAGCACUUCAUAAAAUGGUGGUGGCAUUGCUUCAAUUUAUCGACGGCAUUAGACAAUUACUUAUAGUGACAUUAGGUGGAAUUGCUUAAUGCUUCAUGUGAUUUUACAUUAACGGUACCGAUAUGGGCGUAGGGACAGCAGGGGCAUAAAGUGGUGAGGCAGAUGUGGCUGCCGAGAGUGGCAAACACUUAGGCAGCAUGUCUGCAGUUGUCCCAUUUUUUAUCUCCUCGGCGACAUUUUCCUAUGUGAGCACAGGAAAUCUAGACCUGCUCAUUCUCAUUUCCGUUGUCCCCCAACACCAGUCAUUUUGUUUCCUUUUUCAACCAAGAGAUAGGUCGACUUCCCCCCACCCUUCGCCAUCCACCAUGCUUUCUUCGUCUUUUCAACAAAGAGACUGGAUGGGUACCCAAUAUCUACUACUUUCCCCCGUUUCCUCUUAGAACCAAGUCCUAGAUUCAUGCUACAACUUUCCCACUUUCUUCCCUGUUUGAACCAACUCUUAGAGUCGACUGUAUGAACUAGCUUUACCUCUAAUAAUAGUAAAAGUCUAGGUGGCUUUGGAACAGCGGACGGAAGUAGAAAGAGAUCCACACGAAGGGAGCUGGGGCACUAGAGCAAAGAAGGUUUCGAAGGAAUAUAUACUUGAGGGUCGUCGGCAUGUGGCAAAGACGGCAUCGGGAGGCUGCGUCUUGGCCAAAAUACUGCAGGGAGGAAGAAGGGGUCGGAGGCACUCCCGAGCCGGCGCUCUCUCGGAGAGAACGGCAUGGCCGCCGAUCGGGACGCGCAGGCAGCCGUUGGUCUCCUCCCUCGCCGCCGACGACAGUGUGAAUGAUGCACCUACACCCCUGCCCCAGUCGAGGUUGUCCGGCCGGAUUUGUGACCAGCCGUGAGCUGCGAGAGAGUGUGGCCACCUAUGUCUUGCUUAGAUCUGGAGAUCAUGAGACAGUGAACGAGAGGAACCCUAGUAAAGCAAGCGCUAAGGCUCCUUCUUAUAUAUAUAGUGGAGUGAUUUUGUUGUACCAGCUUCAAAAAAAUGCGCUCCUACGUGUACUAGUGAGUGGGUGUGAGAGAACUAGUGUGUGCGUGCACCUCUUCUCUUCGUGAUAAUACAAUAUUCUAUGCCCAAAGAACGUUCGCUGCAAGAGUAAUAGUAUAAGUGUGUGAUGUGUGAGCUAAAAUAAAAUGUGUGUGACGUCUUUUGUUUUUUAGAAGUUCUGAGGGUAGUGUGUGACGUCUAUCUGCAGAUAGACGGUGGGUGCGACGUGCGACUCCGCGAGAGUACUCGGGAGAGUCGUGACUCGUGACGGUGCGUGUGCGUGACAGGGAGGGGGGCACGUAUCAAUGCAAUGCAUGUGUCCGUAAAUCAUUAUCCGACAAACAUUCGCCACAAACCUUUUCCUGACGAAUGCCGUAAGAACCGUUAGAUCGGCAUCCGAGAAAGUCAGUUUUGCCAUGUCAUUUAACAUAACAGACACUCCUCCUACACACAAAUCUUCCACGUGAGUGUUAGCAACUGUCGUAUGCUCCCUCCAUUCCGAAAUGCAAUGCAUAUAACUUUAUUGAAAAUUCAAACCUAGCAAACUUUUACCGAGUUUUCGUGUAGCAAAUUGCACAUGUAGAAUACCCUGUAUAUAUCAUUUCAUUCAUCUUCGAGAGGUAACUAUAAAGAUGGGGGAUGAGUCUACAGAAUAAGACCAUCGUAUCACCCGCAUCAAUUUCAACCAUCCUUUGGUGUCGAGGAAUAUCUGUCACGCCCAAUAUGCGACCCUAUCCAAAAGGAACUCGAAGGUCCCACCAAGGAUAGACCCGCAUAUUGAAACGCUUUUGCAAGGUGGAUAUCAUUACAUCAACAUUACAUAAUAGAUGGGGAUACAUACAAGAGGCAUACAAUGCCACACGAAUACAACAAUACAUCAUACAUAAGAGCAUCAUCCGACUAUGGAUGAAACACAAACAGAAACUAAAACGACAUCCACCCCGCUAGCCCAGGCUGCCGACCUGGAACCUAUCCCCUGAUCGAAGAAGCAGAAGAAGAACUCAACGCAAGCAAGCAUCGCUCUCGCAUCAUGAUCAUCGCACAACCUGUACCUGCAACUAUUGUUGUAGUAAUCUGUGAGCCACGAGGACUCAGCAAUCCCAUUACCAUGGGUAUCAAGACUAGCAAAGCUUAAUGGGAAAGGAAGGGGUAAAGUGGUGAGGCUGCAGCAGCGACUAAGCAUAUAUGGUGGCUAACAUACGCAAAUAAGAGCGAGAAGAGAACAAGCGGAACGGUCGUGAAGCUAGCAAUGAUCAAGAAGUGAUCCUGAACUCCUACCUACGUCAAGCAUAACCCAGAAACCAUGUUCACUUCCCGGACUCCGCCGAAAAGAGACCAUCACGGCUACACACAUGGUUGAUGCGUUUUAAUUCAGAUCUGGUGUCAAGUUAUCUACAACCAGACAUUAACAAAUUCUCAUCUGCCUAUAACCGCAGGCACGACUUUCGAAAGAUUAUACCCUGCAGGAGUGUCCCAACUUAGCCCAUGAUAAGCUCUCGCGAUCAACGAAGGAUAUUCCUUCUCCCAGGAAGACCCGAUCAGACUCGGAAUCCCGGUUUACAAGACAUUUCGACAAUGGUAAAACAAGACCAGCAAAGCCGCUCAAUGCGCCGACAAUCCCGAUAGGAGCUGCACAUAUCUCGUUCUCAGGGCAACACCGGAUAGGUCAGCCUACGAGUAAAACCAGCCCUCGAGUUGCCCCCGCAGUCUGCCCGGUUCGGACCAACACUUAGACAAGCACUGGCCUGGGGGGGCUAAAAUAAAGAUGACCCUCGAGAGAGCGACUCCCAAGGGAAAAGUAUAGGUGGUGGUGAGGCAAAUGGUAAAACCAAUGUUGGGCCUUGCUGGAGGAGUUUUAUUCAAAGCGAAUUGUCAAGGGGGUCCCAUAAAUCACCCAACCGCGUAAGGAACGCAAAAUCCGGGAACAUAACACCGGUAUGACGGAAACUAGGGCGGCAAGAGUGGAACAAAACACCAGGCAAAAGGCCGAGCCUUCCACCCUUUACCAAGUACAUAGAUGCAUUAAUAAUAAUAUAAGGGAUAUUGUGAUAUCCCAACCAAAAUCCUAUCCACCAUGGAGCAAUCUUCAACUUCACCUGCAACUAGCAACGCUAUAAGAGGGGCUGAGCAAAGCGGUAACAUAGCCAAACAACAGUUUGCAUAGGAAAGGUGUCAAAGGUUAGAGGUUCAUGGCAAAAUGGGAGGCUUGAUGAGCAAAAGAUAGGUAACGCAGCAUAUCGAUAGAAUGAAGCAACUAGCAUAGCAAUGAUAGUAGUGAGAUCCAGGGUAGCGGUCAUCUUGCCUGAAAUCCCGCAAGGAAGAAGAACGAGUCCAUGAAGAAGAUGAAGCCACAAAGACGAACCAAGCGUAGACGAACGAAUCCUCACGAUCACAACGAUACGGGAACUAUCGAGAAGAAGCACACAAUAUGGUAAACACACCACACAUAGACAAGACAUGAUGCACAACAAGCAUGAUGCAUGACAAAGCUACAUGAAGCUACUCAUGUCAAGAGAUGAUGCAAACAAGAGCAACACAUCAAGGCAAGUCCUCAUAUGCAUAUUUUGUAAUUGGUCCAGAUCUGAAUAAACCUUAUGUUCAAGUUGUUAAACAGCAAGUUAAGAUGCACAAAGAUGAUCUACAUGAGAUUCUAGUCAAGUUACAUAUAAAGUUCAUUUAGUUCGGAGCUACGGCCUAGAAGAUAUGAGCAAAACAAGUUAAACAUGGCAUUGAUGCAAAAUGCACCCAAACAUCAAGUAAACACCUCAAAACAAGGAGGCAACAGGAUAAUAUGAAGCUGCAUGCAAAUCUAAGCAAGUUUCAUAUAAAGCACACUCAAAACGGAGCAACGGUGCAACACAUACACUCUAUACAAGUUUAAAGGACAAGCUGUCCAAAACAGCAACUAGACAUAUUGCAAGCAUCGAAACAAUAUGCUACAGCAGCUCAACAUGAUAACAAAAGGCAUGGGAAUGAUGUACAAGUAAAGCAUUACAAAACAUGAAAACUGAGCUAUCUCUAGAAAUCACUAGAACAUGCUCAAACACACAUGGCAAGAUUGCAAGUAAUAACAAUUUUAGACUUUGCAGAAAAUAACAUCAGGUUGCAAUGUUUAGAGCUAUCAAACAACAUGUUACAGGAACUUAUCAUGUCAAACAAAGGCAUGGCAUGAAUCUACUAAAAGCAUAGAACAGAAGUCCCUUACUGACCAUGAGCCAAAAAGGAUCAGAAAAUAUAAUGGCACCCAUGUAAACAUGGCAAGUUAUAUUACAGAUUCAAACAUGGCAGGAAUAGAAUUAUAAAGGCAUGUAGAUGAGCUUGUACCACUCACUACAGAGCAAUACAUGGCAUGGCAAGGCACCCAACAGUAAGAAGACAUGUUUGCGAAGCUAAGCAUGGCAAUAGCAAGUUCAUAGGGUGCAUGGAUCACUAGCAAUAGUCAUGGAAACAACUGAACUUAAUGUUAAGAGGCUGACAGCAACAUUAUCAAGCAACUUUGGAGCAAGAUAUGAACAAUCUACAGCAGGAUAUAAAUGCAACUAGGGGCAUGUAUGGUUAGAGGAUGACAUGUAGAACAAAACAUAUUUAGUGAUCAUCUCCAGAUUAUGCAUAGAAUGAUUAGUAGCAGCAGGUUUACAUGGCAUCACGAAAUAACAGAUUCAGCCUAGCAAAACAGCAACAGCAAGUACCCUACCUAACAAGCUCGAUUCACUCACCACAAGUCAUUGCAUGACAAGAUAAGCGUAGCAUCAGCAAGAAGACAUGCUUAUGAAACAAACCAAGGCAAGAACAAGUCCAUAGUAUGUAAGGAUCAACUACUACAACCUUGGCAAAAUUGAAUAACAUGUAAACAAUCUGCCAGGAAACAUUUUGGAGCAAAAGUAGAGCACGAAAAUGACAUGCUAGACUACUCCAUAAUUGCAACCAGGGGCAUGAAUGGAUAGACAACAACCAUAUGUUCAAAACAUCCUUACUGAAGUAUCUCAAAAUAUGCAUGGAUCUCUCUGUAGCAUCAUGUUUACAUGGCAUCAAAAUAACAGCAGAACAGGGACUAAAAUCAGCAACAUCACGAAGCCUAGUUUACAUGCUUGUGCUAGUCACCACAUUGAUCACAAAAAUACAUGGUAAGCACCUCUGUAAAGAAGACAUAGCAUAGAUCAAAACACAUGUAGACAUCAACCUCAUAGGAUGCACACAUCAAACAUGGCAAAAAUGACAAAUGAGCAUAUUCUGUUAACAGACAGCAGACAACAUCAUGAAGCACUCUUGCAACAAUGAUUCAGGCAUCAAGAUGAACUCAAAUGAACAUGAUGCAAUGGAAUGAAAUGUAUUACUCAUUGAGGCGAACAAUUUGACAUAUUACACACACGAAACGGAGCUACGAAUGCAGAGAUAUGAUGCGAUGAACAUGGCAUGAUUAUGCAAAAUAUUCAGGACCGUCAUUUUUCUAGAACAAAAAAAAACAGCGAGCGCUAUAUAUCUAUUCAGCGCACGGGGCGGCGUUUAGGUAUUGCUCACCAUGGGCUUCGGCCCAGGAUGGAGGAGGAGGCAGGCCUGGCAGGCCGGGCCAUGUAGCUGGGCCUUGGGGAGGCCAGCAGGGAUCUGGGCCGCGUGGAGGCCCACGUGGCCGGACACGGUCAGCAGGCGCUCGGGCGAGCUCCCGACGAACCGGUGGACGGCGGCGGCGCAGGAUGGAACUCCGGCGAGGCUCGCGGAGCCGGGACGAGGUCGGAGAAGGGCGAGGGAGGCCGGAACGGGUUGGCAGCGAGCGGAUCCGGCCGUCCCCUAGCCGGAUCUGACCGGAGACGGGGUCGACGGAGAGUUCGGGCGCAGGGGCAUGGAGAUCCAGCGACGGCGGCCAUGACGGCGGCAACCUGCGGGGGAGAGAGGCCAUGAGGGAGGAGGAGAGAAGGAGAAGAAGGACGGGAGGCAGGCGGCGCUGNNNNNNNNNNNNNNNNNNNNNNNNNNNNNNNNNNNNNNNNNNNNNNNNNNNNNNNNNNNNNNNNNNNNNNNNNNNNNNNNNNNNNNNNNNNNNNNNNNNNNNNNNNNNNNNNNNNNNNNNNNNNNNNNNNNNNNNNNNNNNNNNNNNNNNNNNNNNNNNNNNNNNNNNNNNNNNNNNNNNNNNNNNNNNNNNNNNNNNNNNNNNNNNNNNNNNACACUUGGCGGUGGAGGGCUGGCUUGGCGCUGAAAUUGAGGAGGGAGGAGGCUGGCGGCUGCGGGGCUCCCGAGGGGGAGGCUAGAGGUAGGUGGAGGGGCUAGGGAUGUAAAAUUUGGAAGGGGGGAUGUCCAUAUAUAGGCAGGGAUGGCUAGGGUUUGGGUUUAGGGGGGUUUUGAGGCCGUUUCGGAGCCUCCGAUUGCGAUCUGACGAACAGGCACAAAGGGGGGUUUAGGUGGGCUGAGAAAAGGGGUUGGGCUGAGUGGAGAGAAGAGAGAGAGCGGCACAGCAGCAGUUUCGAAGACCGAAACAUCCGACGAAGGUACCGACAACGGUACCGCUAUAUUUAACGGUUGGGCUAUCAAAUGGACUCCGAAUGCGAUGAAACUUGGCAGGCGCUCUGUCUACACUAUAAUAAGACCGCACGACAAGUUGCAUCCCAUUCCGAGAACAUUUUUAUUCCACUUAAAAAUAAUAUUUCGGAGGUGCCACAGGCGCGUGCGAGAGUGUCUGGCUCAGAACGGAAAACGGAGAGAACCAGCGGAACCCGAACAGAUGCAAGUUUUGAAAAACAUGCAGAAGAAAUGCAGAUGAUGACAUGGCAAAAUGCAACACGCAAGCAAAUGACAUGGCAACGACGGCGAAUAACUGGAAGACACCUGGCGCAUCGAAUCCGGGGCGUUACAAUAUCAUAGGAACUCUAUAUGAUAUGUUUUUAUAGGAUUUUUUCCUUUAGAGCCAAUUGGUCCAUAGGAAUAGAUUCAUAUACUCCACAUUUCAAAGGAAAUAAACAUGAUAUCAUUUCCAUAGCUUUAGAGCCACAUGGUUAAAACGAAUGGAUUCCUAUACUCCCUUAAUUUCAAAGGAAAAUAAACAUUAGCGUAUAUUCAAUAGAAAAGUUACUAUGAUCUGAACCAAAUUACACAUCUUUUUUAAUGCCUCCUCAUAGGAAUGGAGAUACAUGUCAUCUCUAGAUUCCAUAGAAAAGUUGCUAUGAUGUGAACCAAAUGACAUCUCUUUUCCAAUCCCUACUCAUAGGAAUUGAGAUGCUCCAUGUCAUCUCUUACCCUACAACUUCCAUGUAUACAUCUUCUAUUCCUAAAUAGAUAGUACAACCCACUAGUAGCUUUUUUCCAAAACAUGCAACUAUGGCACAAGAACUAUAUAGUGUGCCAAUAACUUUGAAAGAUGUUCGCUGGAUGAAGCUAGUCCGGCAGUGCAGAUAUGGUGAAUCCGAGCACUACUGGUCAUUGGAUAUCAUCAACAUUCCACCAGAUCUGCCACAUGUACAAUUUAGAAGACUCCAUGAUUGAACUUAAGCAUAAUGCACAAAUCUCAAAACACAAGCACUUCUCCUUUGUUGUAGAAUCUUCUGUAUCAUAAUUGUUUUUUUUCUAAAUGAAUUGCCAUUAUUUGUUUUUUACGUUGUGGUUUACAAUGCACAACCCCACGAAUCUUAACAUUUUUAUAAAACUAAUUGAUUUUGAAUGAGAUGAACUAUAAGAACUAAACGAACAUCUACAUCAUGCAUAUAUGACUCAAAGCUUUACAUGCUAUAGUGUGUAUUUAUUAAUAAUUUGGUUUCAAAAUUUCAUGCGUUAAAUGCAUAAUUGACUGUCGGUCGAACCUAUGUCCACAAUUUUUUGUACCUACUAUAUCUCCACUGGUCCCGGGCCAAAAUGUUGCCCCUUUCCCGUAAAACAAAGCGGUCCACACAUAUUUAAGGCGUCGACUCGAACCCGUUUACUACGACGUGGCCCCGCACGCCAUAGUACUCCUACAAACCCUACCGCCGUACUCAUCAUCGGUUUUCUUCAAGAGGACGAGGGAGAAGCUGAUUUGUAGUGGAGGCGCUUUAAAAAAAAGGAUCUGUAGUGGAGACCCCUACCCUAGGGUGCCCUAGGUAGCUAUCACACGCAUCAUUGUUUUCUCUUUUAUUUAUGCUCUUGCUCCCUAGAGUGAAAUGAUGGUUGCUUCGUCCAUCCAGCUUAAUGCGGGAAAAGGUGGGGCUUUGUGAUUUGACCCCUCAUCACUCAUUUUCUACUACUAUGACGCUACGACCGGGGUGCAUCACACGUGGAACAAGACGGUGGAUGAGCCACAUGUCUGCCAAAGGGGUCCUGUUAAGUGUGUUGCCAUUUCGUGUGUGGACUGACCCUGCUUGAGUUGCUACACCAACACAACAGGAGUGGCCUACCACUUGGUUUUGCUCCUUGGUGAAUCUCGACUAUAUUGAUCUAAAAAGAUACGUGCUGAACUACCCUCUCCGUCUCGGUUUUUUAUUUUUAGGCGUCUCGGUUUAUAGGGCCUGCACGUAGUUAUAGGUCAUCCAUUUGACUAACUAAAUAUGAGUUACUAUGUCACAAAAAGUAUAUCAUUGGAUUCUUAUUGGUUGAUAUGUGAAGAAACAAGAAAACGAGGUAGAAGUUAAUGCGCCGCGCCUUAGUAUUUUGGGACUAUUUGGUUUUCGUAAGAUGACUUAGUCACCUAGACGGAGGGAGUAGUUGUAUUUAAAAGUCGAGGGCGGGGCUUUUCCUGCACGGUAGGUGGGGUAGUUCCGCCUGGUCGGUUCAACAGAGACGCGAGAAGACGAGGGAGUAGGCUGCUGCAAACGUAGGGCUGUGUGAUUUGACAGUGAGUUACUGCUGGACAGGUGGGGCCCCGUGAUUUGACUUGCCAUUAUCAUUUUAACUGCGGCGCUACGACCGGCAUGAGUCUCCCGAUUCCUGACCACCUCCAUAUAGGUGCCUCUCCCAAUGCUCCACCAUGUAGUAGAGGAUGGCUCUUGCAUGAUAUCCCACUUCUCCACUUUUUCCUUGCCUCUCUUUCCUCCACAUAUGCAAAAAUGCCAUGUAAAGCGCACUAUUCUGCAUACUUUUACUUGCUCCUACAGGUGCUAAGCUUGCCACAUAGGCAUAAAGUCGGAUGUGGAAAGUUAAUGAAGAAGAGAGAGACUAGUUUGGUGACCCAAAGAAGAAAUGGUGCUAAGCGUGUGUACCUAGGUGAAAAGACAAUUUUGAGUCUAUAGCUAAUUAGAUGAAGCAAACUUAGCAACACCAUUUCAUUGGAAGAGGUCACUCCUUGGCAAAUGCAAUAAAUACUAGUACUCCCUGUGUCCUAGUGUCAAAAACGUUCUUAUAUUAUGGGACGGAGGGAGUACGAAGAAAGAGAUAGAGAGGAGUAAAAAUAUAAAUACACUUAUAGCCAACCUUAUCGCUAACCUUGUUGUAGUAUGAGUGACUAAGUGAUGACUAUGCACUACUAGGGAAAACCCUAUACACAGAAUCUUAGCAGCAGCGCGGCUCAAAAAGGAGCGUUGUUGCUAAUUAGCAGUAGCGCAGGUGUGGAAAACCCGCUACUGACAAGUGUUUAGCAGUAGCGUGCUUUGUGUAACACGCGCUGCUACAAAUAUCGACUGACAGUGCCCCCUCAACUCCAUUUAGUAGCAGCGCGGUACCGCUAGCCGCGCUACUGCUAAAGCUAUAGUAGUAGAGCGGUUUUUCUGAGGUCGCUGCUGCUAAUUUUCAAAUUGGACACACUUUUUGUCUCGGUUAGCAGUAGCGCUUCUGACGAAAGCGCGCUGCUGCUACUUUCUAAUCAGCAACGCGUUUUACGUCCCGUGCUACUGCUAAUCCGCACCAACCCACCACCUUUUCCCCCCUCCCCCCUCCCCCUCAUCUCUUCCUUUUCCCGUACCUCCCACAUGCUCCCACUCUCACUCUUCUUCUUCCUCAAUACUUCUCCCCCAUUACUCUCUCUCUUCUAUCUACCUUUCUCUCUCUUCUUUACUCCUACCUAACUACACCACCUCCAUUAAUGCAUCUCCUUUCUCUUUUUCCUUCCCCUCCACUAGUUGAAGUUGUCUCCUCCCAAAUUAGGUAGCUAGGUAGAUGUUGGAUUUAGUUAAGUGACCUAUUUGCCCCCUAACUAGAUCUAUCUUUGUCAAGAAGAGCUUUGUGCACUUUUGAUCUCCCUACAACAUCAUCUCCACCUUGUGCUCGAUCUCGAGAUAGGUGACGAAAAUUUCAUGCUUUUGCAAAAUGGAAAUAUGUUUAUGUGUGUGUGAUAUGUUUGUGGAAAUUGUCUGUGUGGCAUGAGUUGACGCCAAAUUGUGCUUUUGAGUUGCCUAUGUUUUGCCGAAAUGUCGAUUUAUUUCCGUUUCGGCGAAUUUCGGGCAAACUCUAGAUCCAUAUAUGUCCUAUUUUUAGGGAAGGUCAUGCCGAAUAUUUGUAUGACUUUGAUGCAUGCACGCAUUUUUAUAAUCAAUUUGUUUAUUAUUACCGUGCAGAGUUGACGAUGGUUAGUGGAACGAUGGUGGACAGGUGGUUGCGGUCGGCGGUGCAGGACAUGAAAGAAAAUAACCAGACAGAGGUUUUAUGUCCGUGUCGAAAAUGCAGAGGAAUAGUUUGGCUCGACCCCUAUGACGAUGGUCGUGUCGAAGUGCACCUGCUCAUGACUGGUUUCAUGGAUGGCUAUACUCAGUGGUAACUGAAGAUGAGGAUGACGAUGUUGAGGAUGCCGACGGGGCACGCAAUGAUGACAUGGGGCAAGAUGAAGAGAUGAUCGAUAAUGGAGGCGAGGAAGAGGCCGGACAUGGCGGCGGAGAAGGGGUCGGACAUGGCGGCGGAGAGAACAACAUUGACUCCACGCAGCAGAGUUCGUCGGUACUAAGUUCAAUUGUGCGGGACCCUCAUGUUCAAGCAUUGCUUCGCAAGGAGACGAGUACUGAGAGAGCUGCUUCUAGAGAGGAGGCUAAGCUGGAGCAACUGGUGGUAGACUCGAACACUCCACUGUAUGAUGGUUGCACUCCUGAGGUGACCCGCUUGAGUUUCACGCUCCAACUCCUGAAGACGAAGGCUAAAAACAAAUGGACCGACACUAGCCUCGAUGAGCAUCUCAAGUACCUAAAGGAUGUUCUUUCCGCGGGUAAUCUAUGUCCUACUAGUGUUGAUGAGGCCAAGAAGACCGUGUGCCCUCUUGAUCUGCCAAACGUGAGAUACCAUGCAUGCAUCAACGAUUGCAUAAUUUAUCGGAAGGAGCAUGCGGAAAAAACAAGCUGUCCGGUGUGCAAUGCUUCUCGAUACAAGAAGGCCGGGAAGAAAUGUCCCCAGAAAGUUGUAUGGUACUUACCGAUCACUCCCCGUCUCCAGAGGUAUUUUGUAGAUCCCAAGGAAGCAAAGCUAAUGCGCUGGCACGCGGAGAAGAAGAAGCCCGACGAUGGAGAUGAUCCGAAGCUGAGACACGUAAAGGAUGGAAGCCAGUGGAGAGUGUUGAACAGCUUCUAUCGGUAUUUUCAAUGUGAUGCAAGGAACAUCAUGCUCGGCGCGUGUACCGAUGGCAUGAAUCCGUUUGGCAACCAGAACACCAACCAUAUCACAUGGCCCGUGUUUGUAUGGAUGUACAACCUCCCCCUGGUUGUGCAUGAAAUCGAAGUACAUUCAAAUGAGCAUGCUUAUUCAAGGGCCAAAACAACCAGGAAAUAAUAUUAAUUUGUAUCUAGGGCUACUUCAAGAGGAGUUAGACACGUUAUGGAAAACAGCGGCCAAGACAUGGGACGCCAGCAAAGGCGAGUAUUUCAACAUGAGAGCCACGCUGAUCACGACAGUGCAGGACUAUCUCGGUUACGGAUAUGUGGCAGGCCAGGUGUGCCAUGGUAUUGCGGAUGCACGCAGUGCAUGGAUGAUACUACGUCUCAACAGCUAACGUCAAGGAAAGAUGGCGGGUCUGGGAAAAUCGUAUACAUGGGGCAUCGAAGAUGGCUUGAACAGCACAACCCGUGGAGAAACCAUGGAGAUCUAUUCAAUGGUCACGCUGAGCAUCGAGGACCUCCACGUAAGCGGAGCGGUGCCGAAAUCAAUGAGCUGUUGAAAAACUGGAAGGAGUGCCUCGCGCCGGGAAAGACGAUGAGAAAGGCGCCGGACAAGCUACUGAAGGUAUGGAAGACGAGGUCUGUGUUCUAGGACUUGGAGUACUGGCACAAACUCGAUACACCUCAUUGCCUUGAUCAAAUGCAUAUAUGUAAGAAUGUCCUUGAGAGGUUGCUUGCAACACUGAUGAACAUGCCAGAUAAGACCAAUGAUGGGCCGAAGGCAAGAAAAGACUUGCAAGAUUUGAAAAUCAGGGAAGAUCUGCACAUGUCGCCCCGUAAAAUGUCAGACGAGACAGAGACGGAGACAGAGGCACGGGAGAAGAAGGGCAAGAAAAUAAAGAAAGAGGAUUAUUGCCCCCCUUCUUGCUUCACCUUAAGUCAGGCUGAGAUCAAUGCCUUCUUUAUGUGCCUUACCGGAGUCAAAGAUAGUUCCGGUUAUUGUGGCAAGAUAAGCAGAUAUCUAGACACGGACAAGAAAAGGUUUAGCGGGAUGAAGUCUCAUGGCUGUCAUGUGAUGAUGACGCAGAUACUACCUGUUGCCCUUAGAGGGAUAAUGGACAAGCACGUCUGUGACACGCUUAUUGGUCUGUGCAACUUUUUUGACGUCAUCUCUCAAAAGUCAAUCAGUGUGAAGUAGCUCCGAAGGCUACAGGAAGUGAUCGUUGUGAUACUAAAUGAGCUUGAGAUGUACUUACCGCCCGCGUUAUUUGACGUGAUGGUGCAUCUGUGUGUCCAUAUUGUGGAUGACAUAAUAGACCUGGGGCCGUCAUUCCUGCACAACAUGAUGCCGUUUGAGAGGAUGAAUGGGAUCAUCAAAGGAUUCAUUCGUAACAUGUCCCGUCCGGAUGGAAGCAUCAUCCAGGGCUAUUUGACAAAAGAGUGCAUCUCUUUCUGUGAGAAUUUUCUAUAUGGCGCAGACCAGCCGCGUGGUGUUAGUAUUGGUUUGCCUGUUAACAAGCACGAUGGGAGGCUCGAAGGAGAUGGUCACUGCAACGGUCACAGGGAACUGCACGCGGCAUACUCAGAUCAACGCAACGACUUUGACAGAGCAAACUUGGUAGUGCUACAACACCUAAAUGAGGUAGAUCCUUUCGUGGCACUGCACAAAGAAAUUAUCGCAAAGAAGUAUCUUGACCGGGGGGUAUGCAGGACGAACGCCGAAGUUACUAGAGAGCACAACUCUACUUUCCUGCAUUGGUUCAAAGAGCAUAUUAUUGCUAAUCCCCCGGAGGAGGGCUCUAAGGACGGAUUGCUCAUAUACGCCUUAGCACAUGGCUCCUAGCCCAACCUCGUAACCUAUCAGGCAUAUGAUAUCAAUGGAUACACGUUCUACACGGAGGCCAAAGAUAUGGACAGUGAUGAUCAGAACUCAGGGGUGACGAUGGAAUGCAUGACCGGCAGCGACAACGAAGCAACUGCAUGAUUUUAUGGAAGAAUCAAUACUACAUUACCUAAGAAAAAUCAUACUCCAUGGAAAAGGCAAAGUCACAAUGAGGGGCUCAAUUAUUCUUCGACGAACAAGAAGGGAAAGAAGCUGACUCAAAAACGAAAAUGUCAAUGCUGAGGAACCGUAUGUUAUCGGUCAAAUGAUGUAAUAUACAUAUAUAUAUAUAUAUAUAUAUAUGUUCCUAUUUUGUAUACACACUUAGCCAUUAUUAUGCAUGGGUCCAAUGAUGUAAUAUAUAUGUUCCUAUUUUGCAUACAUAUUUAACCGUCAAAUGAUGCAAUAUAUAUCGCCCUCCCUUCGUUCACUGCUCUCGGGAAAUAAAAGUGGGAGAAAAUAAAGGAAAAGAAAAAGGAAAACUGGCAGUAGUAGCAACUACUGAAGGCAGUAGCAACUACUGAAGGUAGUAGUAGCGUGUUUCGUAUAAACUGCUACAGCUACUGAAGGUAGUAGCAGCGCUUUUCGUAUAAACCGCUGCAGCUACUGAAGGUAGUAGUAGCGCGUUUCGUACAAAUCGCUACAGCUACUGAAGGUAGUAGCAGCGCGUUUUGGCCAAACGUGCUGCUGCUACAUCCACUUAACCCAAAAUUCUCACUAUCUCUGCUUCAUCCCGCCUUUUUCCCCCAAAUCCCCACUCUCUCUUCCCCUGUCGCUCUCCCCCGACCUCGGCGCCGGCGCUCGACCCCGACCCCGCCCCCGUCCCCGACCCCGACCACGGCGCUCGCCCCGACCUGGCCCUCGCCCCUGACCCCGGCGCGCUCGCCCCCGACCCGUCGGCCCUCGCCUCCCUCCUCUGCUUCCUCCCCUCCCAACCUCGGUCGUCGUCGGGCCUGCCUCCUCGCCCCUGCACCCUCUGUAAACCCUCCCUCCCACUCUCUCUCUCCUAGGGUUCUUCGGUUAAUUUACUUAGGUUUUAGUUAGGGCAGUAUGUUAAUUAGGUUAUCUAUUUAGUUAUGAAUUUAGCUAGGUUUCAAAAUUAGCUGAAUUUAUAUGCAAAUUUGAACUGGACAUGUGAUAUGUGGAUAUGUCAUGUUUGGAAAAUGAUCCGAGUGGCCUAUGUUACGCCGGAAUGUUGAUUCAUUUCCGUUCCAGUGAAUUUCAGGCGCUCGAUAUGUCCAUUUUUUAGCAAAGGUCAUGCCGAAAUUUCCCGUGAAUAAAGGCAUGAUUUGUGCUACAUAGUUGGCAUAUCGAGUGCUGGCACAUAGUUUUCUUUUUAUGUCAUUUCUCAUUUAUUCAUACUCUUAGAAAUAAAUGAGGACACUUAAUCAUAGGAAACAUGUCGAACAACAAAGAAACUGGGCCUUCUAACCAAGAUGCAGACAAGAUGGAUUAUGAGGGUGAACAAGAGUACCUCGACUAUUUGACUGCUAAGCAAGGUUUGUAGGUCGGCCUCGAUGAUGGUACUGAAGCCGACAUCGACACUUACAGUGCCGGCACAGAGACCGGUGGGGAAGGUACCGGUGGGGAAGGUACCGGCGGGGAAGAUACCGGCCCCGAUGCUGCUACCGAAAAGAGGAAGCAUAAGAGGAAGAGGAUACGAAAACCUAACAAACUAGGGAUUGGACGACUUGUGAUCACAAAUAUGGCACUUGGCAAGUUUGAGCCGUUAGAGCCAGAAGAACCUCGCAAGAGCUAUGGGAACCAAUAAGGAUGGAUCCUAUAGGAAUGCACGAGCAUCAACGAUGAUGACUUAAGGAGUAAAGAACAUUUGAUGCAGUUGCUCCUAACGAAGUUGCACAAGAGAUUCAAGUUCCCCGACCAGGAUGAUAACAUAGAACAACCGUGGGAUGACCCGAAGAUGAAAAAGAUUAACAAUCACGCCAUGGGCAUGUUCAGCAAUGAUUUGGCCUCCUGGAAAGGGAGGGUGAAAUGAGCUAUUGAGGCUGAUGAACCCUUGUCCAAGAUUCUGGAGGAAAAUCCGAUAGUUACGGAAGAGGAGUUCGAAAAGUUCAAGGACACUUGUGCUACCGAGGCAGCCAAGGCUAAGGCUGCGAAAUUCAAGAGCCUUCAGCAAAGGAACACCGGGAAGCAUCGCCUCGGAAGCCGUGGCUACCUCGGUAAAAGGCCCAUAUGGGAUAAGGAGGACGCAGAACGUGAAGCCGCGGGUCUCCCAGACCCCUUCGCAAAGUUCACCAACCCCUUGGAGCGUGACUUCAUCAGGGCCCGCUACAAGUGGGACAAGGAGAAAAAGGUUUUUUACAUGGACAAGAUCACGAGGAAAUUGAUUAGACUACUUGAUAAGCAACACCGGCUUGCAGCCGAAAGCCCUACUUCUCCGAUGAGGCCCAAGUGGGACACCCCUCUCAACCGGGCCUUGAACGAACUUAAGGGACUCCCUUUGGGCCAGUGGCCGCAAUAUGGUCGUGUGCACGGCGCUGGAGAUGGCGCCACGUGGAAGGUGUUUUACGAUGAGGGCCCGGAGUCCAAGAAGCAGAAAAAGAAGUUUAGUCAGGCGGACAUCAACGCGAAGGUGAAGCUUGCGGUCGAGAAAAAAGCAGCUGAGGACGCGAAAAAAGCAGCCGAGGACAAAUGUGAGUUGCUACAGUAGGCAGACAAUGCUGCUGUAAUUGCCUGCAGAAAUGAUUUCGCUACUAACUUGGUUCCAGUUAUCAUCAACUGGACGAAGGAAAAUCCAGACAAGACGGUACAUGAUUUCCCGUUGCCCAGUUUCAUCGGGAGCAACUACAUGAACAACAACACCAUCGCACCAUCACUUGCUCACGCAACCGGCCCUCCUCUCACAGCCGCUCCCGCUCAUAGCAGCCUGUCCUCAGUCUCAGGCGUGCUAGGUGGGCCUUCAUCUUUGGCUGAGCUCGACGCCGUCACGGUAAUUACAUGUCGCACCAACAUAUAUAUAUAUAUAUAUAUAUAUAUAUAUAUAUAUAUAUAUAUAUAAUAUUCCAUUUUUGUUGCCUUUCGGUUGUUUUACGCCACAGACAUAUGUGUUUGCAGGAGAAAGAAACCCCGUGCACCAUACUCUACUUGAUCAAAGGCGAGAAGGUGGACAUGGGAAAGGGAAUGAUAAUGGACCCCUCGCAACCCAUGUUCCACAACCAGCCGAUCCCCGCUGUGCACUUCAGGGUUAGCUUGACCAGUGUGAAAUCGGGGCACGAGGAUUUGCCUCCUCCAGUACAGCAUGUGGGAGCGGACGACGAGACCCCGCUGCGGAUUGUAAGCUACAAGGGUUGGGUGCUGCUAUGGCCGAAGAAUCUUAUUCGUCUGGAGCGGCCGAGAGCACACCAAUAACCACACAUCAACAAGCAUGUGCAGAGACGACCACCCCGCCUAUGCAAUUACCAGCUCCUGUAGUGCCGGGUGAGAGCGGCGGACGACAUGAUGAAGGGGGUGCAAUAGUACUGGCUGAUGUAAUUUCUCCUGUAGAACAGAGAAUGGAUGAUGAGAAGGAGGUCGACCCUAUGGAUUACCUCAAUACAAACGCGUAUGAAUGUGACAUAGAUAUGAUGAGUCAAUCAUAUGACGAAUCGGGCUAUCAGCUUGCUAAUGAGGAUAUUGAUGAUAUGCCCGGGCAGGGUCGUAGCAGGGAUUGCAAAAAGUCUAUCUUCAUGAAAUCCUCACAGGACACGCCUCAAGAUGCCGCCUCAACACAGGCUCAACUAGCCGGGCACGAGGGUCAUACAGUACUUAGCCCGGGAACACUGGGGCAGGGGUUAAGGAAGGGUCUGGAAGGUGUGCCCAAGAAAAAGGAGAGGAAGAGAUCGGGGAAGAUAACUGACUCCAAACAAUCCAGAGCACAUAGCAACCACACAAUGCAUUCUGAAGAGUGUGUACCCAUGAAAGGUGCGGUCAUGUUCCAUCUCACAGGCGAGCCGAUGCUACCGCUGAAACUGCUGGAGGCACUAUCAGGGGAUCUCAAGAGACUGCACUGUAACGCCCUCGAUGCGGCUAUAGCUCCCACGUGUCGAGGCACGGCUUAGAGGCAUAACCGCAUUGAAAGCAAUGUCGCAAGUCAGGCAAUCAUUACAACAUCCCAUGUAAUACAUAAUAAAAAGGGGGAGAUAACAUAGUUGGCUUACACUCGCCACGUCACAUCAGAGUACAUAAAUAACAUCCAUCAAACAAGCACUCAUGGCCCGACUACGGCGCCAAAAUAGAAAAGACCCCCAACAUGCGACAAGGUCCUGAAUCGAUAACCCCAACUAGGCACCACUACUGAUCAUCCGGAAAAGAAACAUAGUAUCGCUGAGAGUCCUCGUCGAACUCCCACUUGAGCUCGUACUCGUCACCUGGAGCGGACUCACCUGGACCUGCAUCUGGAGUUGUAGUAUCUGUGAGCCACAGGGACUCAGCAAUCUCACACCCACGCGAUCAAGACUAUUUAAGCUCAUAGGAAUGGAUAAGGCCAAUAUGUGUGGAGCUGCAGCAAGCGACUAGCAUAUGUGGUGGCUAACUUAUACGCAAAAGAGAGCGAGAAGAGAAGGCGAAGCACGAGCGAGAAGCUAAAGGAACAUCCUGCGCAAGCAUAACUCCAACACCGUGUCCACUUCCCGAACUCCGCCGAGAAGGGGCCAUCACGGUAACACACACGGUUGAUUCAUUUUAAUUAAGUUUAAUUAAAGUUAUCUACAACCGGACAUUAACAAAUUCCCAUCUGCCCAUAACCGCGGGCACGGCUUUCGAAAGAUCAAUCCCUGCAGGGGGGUCCCAACUUAGCCCAUAACAAGCUCUCACGGUCAACGAAGGAAUAGACCUCCACCCAAGACACACCGAUCAGACUCGGUAUCUCGGUACAACAAGAUGAUUCGGCAGGUUAAAACAAGUCCAGCAACACCGCCCGAAUGUGCCGACAAAUCCCGAUAGGAGCUGCACAUAUCUCUUUCUCAGGGCACGCUCGGAUAGGUCAAGCUACGAGUAAAACCAAACCUCAAGUUUCCCCGAGGUGGCCCCGCAGGCUGCCUGGUUCGGACCAACACUUAGAGGAGCACUGGCCCGGGGGGGGUUAAAAUAAGAUGACCCUCGGGCUCCGGAAACCCAAGGGAAAAAGAGGCUAGGUGACAAAUGGUAAAACCAAUGUUGGGCAUUGCUGGAAAAGCUUUAAUCAAGACGAACUAUCAAGGGGUUCCCAUUAUAGCCCAACCGUGUAAGGGACGCAACAUUCCGGGAACAUAACACCGAUAUGACGGAAACUAGGGCGGCAAGAGUGGAACAAAACACUAGGCGAGAGGCCGAGCCUUCCACCCUUUACCAAGUAUAUAGAUGCGUUAAGAUAACAUAGCAAUAUAAUGAUAUCCCAACAAGCAAUAUAAAUGUUCCAACAAGGAACGGCUCCAAUCUUCACCUGCAACUAACAACGCUAUAAGAAGGGCUGAGCAAGCGGUAACAUAGCCAAUCAACGGUUUGCUAGGACAAAGGUGGGUUAGAGGUUCAACAUGGCAAUUGGGAGGCUGACAAGCAAAAGGUAGGCAUCGAAGCAGUGGCAAGCAAAAGAGCGAGCAAACUAGCAUAGCAAAGAUAGUAGUGAUUUCGAGGGUGUGAUCAUCUUGCCUGCACAGUUGUCAGAGUUGACUGGAUCCUCACAAGCAAACUCAACGGGCUCCUCGGUAGCGAACUCGUCUCCCGGCUCUACCCAAAGACAAACAAGCAACAAGGACACAAUCAACCACGGGCAAGACCAAGCAACAUGAUGAAAUGACGAUAUGCUAUGCGGGAUGCGAUGCGGGAUGCAAAAUGCAAGAUAUGACAGGAAAUGCAUGAACCUGGCAUCAACUUGGAAAACCAAGUGUGCCACUGGAUAGAGGGGAUGAAAUCGCUUGAAAACGAUAUAAAGAUCAUAGGAAUCGGAGCUACGGUUUGGAAAUGGCAAGCGUUUUAAGAUAUGACACCGGUCUGCGAUUUAUAGCAAGUAGGCAUCUAAAUGCAACGAAAAGAACAUGCUACAGCCACCAAACAUGAAAACAAAAUAUAUGGCAGUGAUGUACACAAGAUGGUUGACAAAACACUAGCACUGAGCCAUAGGCAAUUCAUCCAUUAAGAGGUUCAAACAAGCAUGGCUAAAACGCAAAUGCAAAACAGAUUUCAGACUUAGUGAAAUUAAUACUAGUCUGAAAUUUCAGAUCACGAAGCCCUCUUCGGAGCAGCAAAACAACAUGAUAGAAAACCUGAACAUGACAAGUAAGAACAUGGCAUGGAGCUACUCAACAAGCUUAACAAAACACCCAAAGUGACCUGGGGCCAAAAGGGUUCACAAAAUACUCUACCGAGCUCACGAACAUCGCUCGAACACAAUCAGUUUUCAGACUUAGUGAAAACUGAGACAUGCUGAAAUUUAACUCACGAAGGCAUGUAAACGAGCUCGAUGCACUCACUACGGUGCAAGUCAUGGCAAGGAAAGCAUAUCACCAGCAAGAAGGCACAAAGUGCUAGCUACACAUGGCAAGAACGAAGGCAUAGCAUGCAUGGAACGCUAACGGUAGCAUCGGCGAAAUCGCAAACAAGUUGACGAUCUGCCCAGAUUAACAAUGAAGCAAAAGUUGAGCUCGAUUGAGUCAACCUAGAGCACUNNNNNNNNNNNNNNNNNNNNNNNNNNNNNNNNNNNNNNNNNNNNNNNNNNNNNNNNNNNNNNNNNNNNNNNNNNNNNNNNNNNNNNNNNNNNNNNNNNNNNNNNNNNNNNNNNNNNNNNNNNNNNNNNNNNNNNNNNNNNNNNNNNNNNNNNNNNNNNNNNNNNNNNNNNNNNNNNNNNNNNNNNNNNNNNNNNNNNNNNNNNNNNNNNNNNNNNNNNNNNNNNNNNNNNNNNNNNNNNNNNNNNNNNNNNNNNNNNNNNNNNNNNNNNNNNNNNNNNNNNNNNNNNNNNNNNNNNNNNNNNNNNNNNNNNNNNNNNNNNNNNNNNNNNNNNNNNNNNNNNNNNNNNNNNNNNNNNNNNNNNNNNNNNNNNNNNNNNNNNNNNNNNNNNNNNNNNNNNNNNNNNNNNNNNNNNNNNNNNNNNNNNNNNNNNNNNNNNNNNNNNNNNNNNNNNNNNNNNNNNNNNNNNNNNNNNNNNNNNNNNNNNNNNNNNNNNNNNNNNNNNNNNNNNNNNNNNNNNNNNNNNNNNNNNNNNNNNNNNNNNNNNNNNNNNNNNNNNNNNNNNNNNNNNNNNNNNNNNNNNNNNNNNNNNNNNNNNNNNNNNNNNNNNNNNNNNNNNNNNNNNNNNNNNNNNNNNNNNNNNNNNNNNNNNNNNNNNNNNNNNNNNNNNNNNNNNNNNNNNNNNNNNNNNNNNNNNNNNNNNNNNNNNNNNNNNNNNNNNNNNNNNNNNNNNNNNNNNNNNNNNNNNNNNNNNNNNNNNNNNNNNNNNNNNNNNNNNNNNNNNNNNNNNNNNNNNNNNNNNNNNNNNNNNNNNNNNNNNNNNNNNNNNNNNNNNNNNNNNNNNNNNNNNNNNNNNNNNNNNNNNNNNNNNNNNNNNNNNNNNNNNNNNNNNNNNNNNNNNNNNNNNNNNNNNNNNNNNNNNNNNNNNNNNNNNNNNNNNNNNNNNNNNNNNNNNNNNNNNNNNNNNNNNNNNNNNNNNNNNNNNNNNNNNNNNNNNNNNNNNNNNNNNNNNNNNNNNNNNNNNNNNNNNNNNNNNNNNNNNNNNNNNNNNNNNNNNNNNNNNNNNNNNNNNNNNNNNNNNNNNNNNNNNNNNNNNNNNNNNNNNNNGCGGCGGCGGCCGGCCGGGGAGAAGACGGCGGCGGGGCGCGGGACAGGGCGCGGCGGCGGUUCGGGCCAUGAGUGCUUUCGCGUUACAUGCACGACCAUGUGCUUUCGACUGAGAAAAGCCUACUAGCCUCAAAGGAUCUAGGAUAUCCGACAUACGCGGCUCGUGUGCCUGAGGGAAAGUGCUAUGUCGAGACACGGCCCGCGGAGGUGUUCUUCCGGCGGUUUGACCAUAUCUUUGAGAUGUUUCUAACAAGGCGGCUCGAUUUUACAACCGUCCACCUUUUUGCGCUACAUAUGAGCUCCAUCAUGAAGAGUGAAGAAGUCUCGCAAAUCUGUGUGGCGGAUCCACACUACAUGCACGAGUCUUUCUUGAGUCUCGGCGACUUUGAGCGUGAAACUGCUAGGGAGUACCUACAAAACUUCAUGGUACAGAAUAAGGACCGGGAAAUUUUCCUCGUGCCUUAUCAUCCAAAGUAAGUCAGUUCCGGACAACCCUUUCGUACAUUUCAAUCAUUCCUUCUCUCUCAUAUGGGGAAUAAUUUGAGGUGUCUUUUCCCCGCAGCAAUGGGCGCACCGUCCUUAUCGUUCUUUACCCGCAAGUCUCCCACACCAUGUAUUUUGAUCCUUCCAGAGACUAAGAGAUAAAAGACUACACCCACAUAAUGAAUAUUCUAGAUGAUGCUCUCCAAGGCUUCAGCUUUAGAGGUGGCCACGUGCAGAUCGGGAAACAAAGGAACAAGAAGAUGGGUUUCGCGCAGAAAACUAACUUCUCCUGCAUCCAUGUCCCAAAACAAAGCAAGAAGGAUGGAUUCUACAUCGUCCAUCUCAUGAUUCAGUUUAACACGGAUCACCAAAAGCUUCGCAUGAGAAGCAGAAAUGAUGAUCAUAUCCACAAGUGGCUAGAAUCUCAUGGAGAAGCGGAUUAUAAACUUAGAGAUGACUUCUUUCGAAUCCAAAGCGACAUUGCGACGAUCAUCAUGAAAGAAGUCAUCAAUGAGAAGGCGAUGUUCCACCACGGCCCUAUAUCACGAGCUGAUAUGGAAGGAUGGAACUUCUAGUGAUUUAGACCUCACGUCGUUCAAGAAGCUAGGGUUCAUCCUCGAUGAUAUGGAAGGAUGGAACUUCUAGUGAUUUAUGAUGCCGAUGAUGAUGAUAUGUGUCGGUUGAACUUGUAUACUUUUUGUAGCGAUGAAACUUUGUGAUGUCCAUGGUCCCUGCCAAACUUGCGUAACACUACUUUUUUAGUUUGCGUACGAUGACCCGCGUACCUCUAGUUAAUUAAUUUGCGUACUGUAUGUUGCAUCUAGUUGCUAACCCUUUCUUUUUUGGUGUUGCUCUAGUAUAUUUUGUUGCAUAUAUAUGAUUAUACAUCCUCUUCAUGAACAUGCAUCUCUAACAGGUACCUAGUUUCUUGAUGACGAGAUGGACUUGCUAUGUCGUGUACAAAGGGAAGGUUCCGAGGGUGUACAACGAGUGGCAUGAGUGUCAGGCGCAAGUGAAUGGGUUCACGGGCGCCAGCCAUAAAGGCUUCAAAAGUAAACAAGAAGGAGAAGCUAGUUACUUGAGAUUCACGCUAGCGCGAGAGAUGACUCGUAACCGCCACCUCAUGUACUGCAUAGUUCCGCUCUCACUCAUAGUGAUAGCUCUUCUUGCGUAUACCUUUGUUAGAUGGAUGACGUUGUUGUAGUUGCAAGUAUUUGAGACUUGCAUGUAUCGCUAUUUUCGAGAUGAUGACAAGAUACCACUUUGUGUUGGAUGAUGAUUAUGAUGAGACUAUUUGUAUGUAUAUGCUAUGAUUACAUUUGUGGUCUCGCAGGCAUUUGUAUGUGUAUCAUGAUGACAUUUCUAUGUGCUAAAGAUUCUUCUAUAAAGCUUGUUCAAAUACAAAACAAAUAUGCGGGAAAAAAAACUACUUAAAUUAGCAGUAGCGAGUGUAGUUAGCAGCAGCGCCGCGAUAGCAGCAGCACGUCAUGGCAAAGCGCGCUAGAGCUACUAGCAGUAGCGAGCUUCCACUUACCGCGCUGCUGCUACACUUGUGUAGCAGUAGCAUCUGUGACCACGCGCUACUGCUAUGUGUUAGCUGUAGCGCCUUAUUAGUAGCGCCAUGCCCCGCGCUACUGAUACACCUAAAACCCGCACUGCUGCUAGCCUUUUCCCUAGUAGUGAUGUAUGACAUGCCAACAUCAGAUAGCCUAACACACCAUGUUAAAUCUCCAAGGGCGCGACCGCACGAGCGACGCAACGGUCGUGGUAGGCGCGACCAUGAUACAGGUUGCUGGCAGCCCUUGAGAUCAAACGGUCGCAUGCUAAGUUGCUGAAAAAUUGCAGAAUAACCCUCCAAGAUAGGAUAUUCACCCAUAGGUCUAGAAUCACGCCAUGCAAGCGUUCAAUCAUAGAUCCAAGGGCUCUCGGAAGCCCAUAUCAUGGGAGAAUGGAAAGCCACUACCCUGCCGUUCGCACGCUGGCAGUUCGCUCCAAGUCGUCCCCGCAUGUCCUUCAAUACUACGGCGGUUCGCCCCUAGUCGUCUCGUCCAUUCACAUUACGGCGGUUCCACUAAUCCUAACCCUCCUCCCAAAUCCAUGGCGUCCCAAAUCUCCAUGAUCGGCGGUGAGUACAAGGUUAGAACCAUCACCGGCAAUGAGUUCGACGUCAUCUACACCUGUUCUUCCGCGACGGUGAAAGGAUGCCUUUCUCGCUUCAGAUGCAUGUUCGAAGACUCAGAUGAUGAGUGGGUCGCUUGGCUAGAUGUUGAGAACACCACAUUCCUGGGAUGAGAGAAGGAUCUAAAGGACAAAGAGAGGAAGAAGCCCUCCUUGAUCCAGGUUUGCGUGCAUGAUUUAUGCUUGGUCUACCACAUAUGCCAUGCUGACGUUGAAUGCCUGGAUUUUUAGAACUUCCUCAAGAGCAACCUAGACAAAUUCGUUGCUAUAGACUUCGGUAACGACAAAGAAGUCCUGCAUCAGAUAGGCCUUGUUGUAGGUAACCCCUUCGACCACCAGAAGAAUCGGUUGCUGCCCUUCGGUGGCCAGCCUUCAAUGCUGACCCUGGCAGGAGCCAUGGUUCAUCCUUCGUACCGUAAACUGGAGAAACCUCAUUACAUGUUUCAUCAUCAUGCAUGGCAGCGGAAUGUACUAGAUAUAGACCACAUCCACUAUGCUACAAUGGAUGGCUACCUUUGUUUCAAUAUCUACAAGGGUUAGAUGAAGAGCAAGAGUCAAGUGUGCGGUUCAAGCAAAGAAGUAGUAUCGGCCAAGAGGAAGAGGGACAAGGACGAAGUCGAGGACGUGGACGAGGACUCCUCUGAGUGAGUAAGGUGUCAGUAUCGUUGCUCAUGGUGGUUCUAAUGCAGUGUCUAUCGGAUUAGUUGCAUAGUUUAAUUUCAGGUGUGCUUAGUUAAAUUUGAGGGGUGUGUUGUGCUGAGCCCCAGCCGAACUAUGUUAUGUUUCUUCUUGUUACUUUAACUCCCCAGUAUGAUACAUACUACUAGUAUUUCUUUAAUAGAAUUUAGCACCCCAAUUAAGCACGUACUAGCUUUUUUAAUAGUACUAUAUGCAUAAUUUGGCGACGAGCGCUCUCUAUAUGUACCACCUUUUUUUUAAUUUUAAUUUUCGCUCCACGGCGUAAUCCAUGGAUAGUACUACUGUACAAAAGUAUACAUUUUUUAAAAGGCUGGAGUACUGUUCAUCACAUAUAUAGCCAGUUAAAUUCUCAACCUAGAACGAUGUGCAUGCCAUGUAGUAAACCGAUACGGAGGAAGUAUAGAAAAAUGAGGUGAUUUUACCGAGCGAUCGGCGUGGGAGCAUGGCCUGUCAUGCGGUCCCACGUGUCAUGAUGUACCAAGGCGAUGCGCAUGUCCCUCUUGAGGCAGAAGCAAUACUACGUGGUUUGAGAUGAUGGCGAACCGAAGUGUGAAAUAAUGGUUGCUUCGUCCGUCUGGGAAGGUGCGGCAUUGCGAUUUGACGUCUCAUUGCUCAUUACUACUACUGGCCCGGUACGAGUGAAGUGCGUCCCCCUGCUGUUCUACACUGUUAUUUAGUGCUUGACACGUCGACCCGGUUGCUAUAUGUCCCACAUGUAGGCGACAGGAAGUACAGAAUUCAUGAAAGGGAGCCUCGACGGAGGAGUAUACUACAAAAUUCAUGAAAGGGAGCGACUUAGUUUUGGAAAAAUUUGUUUUUACGGAGUAGUACGUACCCACUAGGGUUUAUAGGGCUCAUCUAAAAAACAUUCAUUUUCUCGUUUGAUAAGUCUCAAUUCUACUAUACUAGUAGUAGUACCAUUACAUGUUGGAUUGAAGGUGCGUUAGAUCACCCGACGCAAGCAGUGUCAAGAGGAAACUAACCAAUGCAUGUGCAAGUUCAUGGAAAUUUAGUGGGAGUAAAAUUGUCUCCUCGUGUUGCGAGCCACCGAGCGCGUGAGCGAGGGAGAGGGCGUAAGGUGUACAGUAGUAGGAGUACUACAAUUACUACUCGUAAGCAAGCUUAACCUCAUCCUGCGAGCCACCGCGCCUGUGGGCGGGGGAGAUGGCGUACUAAGCAAGCUUCUCCUCGUUCUGCGAGUUGACGGGACACAUCAAAAUGACUCCAGUGUAUAGAGCCUUGCCUCUAAGGUAGGCCCCACAUGGUUUGCCUCUUUUUUUAACAUAACACAUCAAGUCGCAAUUUGUUUGUUCACCCGUGGUAGACGAUCCUCCCUCCACCAAGUGGACAACCCGUACACGUGCCAAAUUACCAUGUGGGCUGCCUUUUUCCUAUAGAAAUGAGGUCCACCGUGUACCCGCGCAGGUGUGGUUGGGAAAGAGACGGGAGUACAUGCACCGUGCGUGCACCUCUUCUCUUCGUGCACGUCCCCCACCUACGUAGUGUGUGUGAGAGAGAUACAAACCUAGACAUAAUGCACUGUCCAUCCCCAUGCCUCCGCCUAGUCCGACCACCAGUCACCACCAUGCCCCACUCCUCCUCACCUUAUCUCUCAUCUUUCUCCCUCCAUUUUUUUAUACAUUGGGCCACUAUCAAAAUUGCUCUACAAUCUGCAGAUAUACAAGGCCACUAACACUAAUAUAUGCAAUAUUAAUGGUGUUUGCCUCAUGGUACUAGCAAAGGAGGACAUUAAUUAUCCCUUGCAUGCAUGCGGGAGUUUGUAAAAAAAAUGCAUCUUAAUGUUCCGUGCAAUGCACAGGCAUCUUGCUAGUCCAUGAAAACAACACAUGGCAAAAUUCCAUGGCGAACGAGGGAUUUGAAUCUGUUGGGAGGGGCUGUUUGGAUCUUGCCCGGGGUAGCCAAAAUAUUGGCGACCCUUUUGUCCACCGGUGCCUUUGCCACCGAUGAACGAGGAAUGGCUCAGGUGCUCAUGCUAUCAUGCAUCCUCCAGCGCGCAUGUUGGAGACGAGCUCGCACGAGCUAUGUUUUUUGUCCCACAACGCCGCCCGAGCCGCCCACAGACCGACCGGCGACCCACAAAUUACACCAUCCAACCGGACGGAAUUCACGCAAACACAUAGACAAACUGAUAUUUCGUAUAAACAACGACAGAAAUCAUAUAAAAUACCGGAUUUUCAUACAAACAUGAUGAAUUUCAUUACAUUCAAAUGAACUACGUGGUGCUAGUUCUGGACAGCAUAGGUAUAUAAUACCUGGCCUAAUGGUCGCCCGCCGAUCGAUUUGUGUUCCUCAUGUCCGGCAGCACGAUCGCCGGACUGCCGGGAGCCCCAGAGGUAUAUGCUUCAGCACAAAGGACGGCUCGCUUCCCCACUGCCCAACUGAUAUCAUUGGCUGGUGCCGAAGAUGAUGGUGGCCGGCACCGGUUCGAGUUCAUCACCGGUCACUACUUCGCCAUGGCCGGCACCGGCUCGAGUUCAUCCUAACAUUCCCCUCUUCCAUGGAACCCACGCGGUGUCGACGGAGGUCCUCGCAACAAAAGGAUCUGGCAAGACACCCGUUGUGUAUGCUGGCGUCGCCUCCGUGGUGGCCUUCAUGGGACCCAAGCGGCGGCGGCCUCCCGUGUUCUACUUCUCAUUGAUGAUGGCGGCGGACGCGGAGGCGCUAGCCACCGACUCGUCGCUCUCCGCGCACCCGGCUUCUGUCGCUGCUUGCAUGGCACGGCCACCGGCAUGGAGUCUCAUCCACAGAAACGGGAGACGCGGUACAAGGCGGCGGCGUGGACGGCAACAACGACGCUCGUGCGCCGCUCCUCGUCGAGCUGGCCUGGAGUAGCGAGUUGCUGAAGCACGCACCGGCUUGGGGCGGCAUCUGGCUCCAUCGGGCGAGGGUAGGGAGGUGAAUCAGUGAGCUGCAUAGCUCGUAUCCGGCGGGCUACCCAGCCGGCUUGGAUGCGGAAUAACUACUCUUCGUAAGCCAUUGUAAGAGUGGACAAAAUGGUGGAGGAGAUAGGGGAGUGGCGGAGGUGUGCGAUUCUUGGCCGGCAUUUGGCCUCGUUUAAAUAGGAGAUCAAAUAGACGGCGGAUGGGAGGAGCUCAGCCGGUGUUGUGUUUAACGCCGGCCUGGUCAUGAACGGACGUGUGUCCAGAGUGGGUUUCUCGGCUUCCACACGGGCGGGUUUCAUGGAGGCAUUUGAAUGCGGCACGAAGGCAUGUUCAGCCGGACGUGCAGCGAGUGGCGCCCUCGACUCUGACCUAGGACAUCACGCCAUUCUUCCAUAGACGUGUGGGCUCUAUGGGUGCAUGGCCUUCAUGUCAGUGACCCAACGCAGGUAGCGCACAGCAGAGGAACCUUCGGUGGGCUAGGGCGGUCAGAAGCGGGCAUUUCAUAAACUGAUGAUUGUUCAUUGAGUGUGACGUCAUCUUUUUCAUGUAGAUAAGCCUACUAUGUUGAUAGCCCGUUCGAUACGUUGUGAUUCAUAAAGACCGCUGCAAACAUCAAUGUUCUGCUUAUCACAGAUAAGAUUGAUUAAUACCCAUAACAAUCCAUGUCCUUAAGAAAGGGUGCGUGCACGUAUAGGUUGAGUGUGUGUCUUGCGUCGUGUGCUGUGUGCAUGCAGGCGUGCGAGUGUUGCAUGCGUGCAAGGGUACGUUUCAGUGUUGCCUGCAUGGGUGCGUACGUGCGUCUGUUCGUGAGUGCAUGUGUACGUGUCAGUGUUGCACGCCAGCAUGCGUGCGUGUGUAUGUGUUAGUGUUGCACGCCUGCAUGCGUGCGUGUCUUGUGUGCGUGCAUGUGUAUGUUAUGUGUACGUGUCAAUGUUGCACGGCUGCAUGCGUGUGUGUCUUGCGUGCGUGCAUGUGUACGUGCGGGGUGAGGCUACACGUCAGCCGACUGACUUUUUCAUCUCUGGUCAUUAGAUUUUCCAGCCGUUGGAUAUGAAAUCAAGGGCCUCCAGUUUAUCAUCAAACUCCACCCCCCUGAGCCGCCAGCCCCCGCCNNNNNNNNNNNNNNNNNNNNNNNNNNNNNNNNNNNNNNNNNNNNNNNNNNNNNNNNNNNNNNNNNNNNNNNNNNNNNNNNNNNNNNNNNNNNNNNNNNNNNNNNNNNNNNNNNNNNNNNNNNNNNNNNNNNNNNNNNNNNNNNNNNNNNNNNNNNNNNNNNNNNNNNNNNNNNNNNNNNNNNNNNNNNNNNNNNNNNNNNNNNNNNNNNNNNNNNNNNNNNNNNNNNNNNNNNNNNNNNNNNNNNNNNNNNNNNNNNNNNNNNNNNNNNNNNNNNNNNNNNNNNNNNNNNNNNNNNNNNNNNNNNNNNNNNNNNNNNNNNNNNNNNNNNNNNNNNNNNNNNNNNNNNNNNNNNNNNNNNNNNNNNNNNNCCGGCGAUCCCCACCCCACCGCCCAAUGAACGCCCCCCUCCAACCGCCGGUGACUGCCAACCAGAGGUCUCACGACUUCGAAUACCCACACCACUAAUUUAUUACCAUUUUUGUCCUUCAUAUACGCGCUGACGGGUGGGCCCAAUGGUGAUGUGUGCUGCUGAAUGUGGACCAUUUGGCUGGUCAAUUGAUCGUGUUAUCAACAAAUUACGGAGCUGUAUGGUGAGCCAGUGACCGUAUGCAUGAUCACCCUAAAAUGUACUCCUAUUUUAUUAACAGUACAAACUCAAACUACCAUUUCUUUCUUUCAUAUAUGGGCUGACAGGUGGGCCCCACGGUUACGCGCCCCGAUGGUGCAACACUAGUUGCGCUGCGUGGAACGUUUGACUGGUCAAUUGAUUGUGUCAUCAACAAAAUACAGAGUUGUACGGGUAAGCCAGUGACAGUAUAAUCAUGACAUGUAUUUGUUUAACAUGGUACAGACGCAAGGGCUCAUAUAUACGCGCAAGAACUCACCGCUAUAAGCGCACACACGCGAACCCUACCCCUAUGAGCACCUUUGAGAGAGUGGGCCAGCAUAUAUGAUCUUGAGAUUUUAGGAAGUCACCAUAGGUACCUCGUAGUCGAGUGGAACGUCUCCUCCCACUGAACGUGCAUCGCCGGAAAAUACUGAAAUUAACACAAGAUAAAUGCGAGCACCGGGACUUUAAACUUGGUGGGCUCGAGAAACGACUGUCCUCCUAACCAUCCAACCACAUGUUGGUUAGCACGACAAAAUGUAUGUGGUGACCGUGAUGAGCUUAUUCUGAAGUCCAGUGACCAUAUCGUGCUUUCGUUUCAAAUACAAUGAUCGUAAAUGUCGUCAACAAAAUACGGAGCACGCAUCAAAUGCAAAGUCCGUCAGUGUCAUCAACAAAAUAUGGAGACGUAUCGUGAGCUAGAUACCGUUGUACUACUGUAUAUGCUUAUUUUCUUAGUGGCCGAUUGCGUGUGUGGUGUGGUGGGCACAUCAUUUCUAGUUGUGGUGGGUCAACAUGAAGACUCAUGGGUUGGUUCCAUCCUGCGCCACAAAUAGGUUGGACCGAGACGUGUUAUACGAAGACCCAUGUGGAGGACUCGGCGUACAUCACGAAGCUACCAGAGUCGCGGAGGACUUUAUCCCCACUGGUGACAAGCUGACUAUAUAUGAUUUGUAACCCUAGGCCCUUAGUAUGUUAUACAAGCUUGGGGGCUAGUUCGUUGAUAGUAUACACACACGCACAAUGCCUGGUAUUCAUGUGUACUUUGUACACACCCCUAUCACUAAUAUACAAUACCAGGAGUAGGCUCUUUCUUCAACUGCAAGGGUCCGAUCCAAACUAGGGUAAAACUUUGCCUCGUAUUACCAUCCAGCCUAACAGCCAGGGAUAUCCUACCGAAUAAUAUGAUGAAUUCAUAUCUGCCAACUACUAAGAGAGAGGUUUGUCGGGGGGGGGGGGCAAUGUGUGCGAGAGAGGCCUAAAGAUAAUGUGCGUGUGGGAGAUACGUAGGCACAUAUAUGUGCGUAUAGAGGGCUAGUAGAGACCGUGCGUGUGUAUAUACGCAUGUGAGAGAAAUAGUAUUUUCCAACUGAGAUUAGUGAAAAGAGUGGUACAUCACUACUACGGAAAACCCUAGUAGUAGCGCGGGUUUUGAGGCUAUCAACAGCGCGGGCACCGGCGCUACCAAUAAGGUGCUACAGCUAACUGUUAGUAGUAGCGCUGUCUGCGCCCGUGCUACUACUAUUGACUAUAUCAGCAGCGCGUUUUCUGAACCGCUGCUAUUAGUUAGCUGUAGCGAUUUCCUGAGCCCGCGCUACUGUUAUAUCUUUCACCAUUUCCCCACUCUAGCUUCAAUUAACUGCAAGUUCCAUAUACUAGGUACUACUAGAUAUCAACUUCGUAAAGCAUUAUAGGUACUAGGUAGUACUCCCUCGGUUCAAAAUUACUCAUCGUGGUUUUAGUUCAAAUUGGAACUAAAACCACGACGAGUAAUUUGGAACCGAGGGAGUACUAGAUAACAAUUUCACAUAUACUCAACAUGCAUCCUCAAGCAGUACAAGGUGACAUCGACGACGAUCAUCAUAUUUAGUUCUAGAUGAUAUCGACGAUGAUCAUCAUAUGUAGUUCUACAUGAUAUCGACGAUGAUCAUCAUAUGUAGUUCUAGAUGAUAUAGCCACACACACAUAUGUAGUUCUAGAUGAUAUCGACGACGAUCAUCAUCCUCAAGACUGGGCGGUGGGUGUUCUUGAUAGUAAUUAGGAUGGCCUGUCCAACACGAAGAUUCUUGCGAACGAGGAAUCUCUUCCACCCAACCGAGUUUAAGUGUGUGCGACCGGCUGUGUCCAUGCGGUAAGUACAGGUGGUGACGGAGCCCCUUGCGCUAAGGCGUAGUCCAGCUGAGCCUUCUUCAUCAGGCUCGAUACCACAACUCACAGAUAGGUUCUUUGGCAAUUUCUGAAUAAGAAAAACAUAUCAAUUAAUAAAUAGCCUCACACAUACUCUUUCAAAUAUAUUUCUAUUAAGUCUAGAUUUCUACAUUAUCAAAAGACACAGUACUAUGCAUUUGUACUAAUUAAUCAUGAAUUCUACUAAUAAGUAUAUAUGGAUUAUCUACACUAUUAAUAGUUCCUUGGAUUCUACACUAAUAAGCAUGUGAUUAGACUCUACACUAAAGCAUAUCAACCACUAGAUUUCACACAACAUAUCAUUGGACUCUACACUAAGCAUAUCAUCGGAUAAUUUGCAUUUGUAAGUAUAACAUACCAUAUCAUGUCGAUCGACCUUGGUACUUGUCAGGCGGGUCACGAAUGGCACCCCGACAAAGUCAGCACGUGGUGGAAUUAUGUCCCAUAGGUUGCAUACCUCCUCCUCGCUCAGCCUCAUUCUUUGAGCUACGAUGGCUUCAUGAAGUGGGUUCUCAUCAUCUUCAUCGAGUGGGUCCUCAUUAUCUUCAUCAUCUUCUUCAUCUGCAUCAUCUUCGUCAUCUUCAUCAUCUUCGUCAUCUUCACCAUCUUCCACCAGGUUGAGAUAAAUGACAGCCAGCUUGGGUCUUUCUGCUCUGGAGGAGAAGCUGAUCAACUCACCACCAGUAAGACGCAUGCGGGCGAGGAAACGGGCCCAUCCAUCUCCUCCAAUCUGCGACAUAUUGCGUCCUUUCUCGACCUCCAUAGUGUACGGCCCCCCAGGAGCCUCAAAUGUCACAGUGUCUCCUAUCAGCUUGUUGAAUGUCAACCUCACAUUACAUGGGACGGUUUGUGUAAGAAAAGAAAAAUGACACAAUGCAGUAAUGCCAACACUAAAACUAAAAAAGUUGUUACAUUUCAUCUAAUUUCUUACCGCCGCAUGACGAAAACUCAGCUGGAAGUAGAUGCCAAACAGCUUGCCAGUUGCAAGGCUGCUGGCGCACCUUGACUUGCACAGUCGACAUAGUGGUGCUGGUGGUGGCGCCAUUUUCCUAAAGCAAUAUGAGCAAAGGAUUAAUGAUUCACUUCACAGGAAAGAAAAACAGUAGCAUGUGAUAUUUUCCUAAAGCAAUAUGAGCAAAGCAUCCUAAAUCAACUAAAUCAACUAGCAUACUAAAUCCAGUAGCAUACUAAAUCAACUAAAUCAAAAUGUUCUAAAUCAACUAAAUCAACUAGCCUACUAAAUCAACUAAAUCAACUAGCCUACUAAAUCAACUAAAUUAACUAGCCUACUGAAUCAAUUAAAUCAACUAUCCUACUAAAUCAACUAAAUCAACCAGCCUACUAAAUCAACUAAAUCAAAAUGUUCUAAAUCAACUAAAUCAACUAGCUUACUAAAUCAAUUGAAUCAUAUCAACUAAAUCAGAAUGUUGCAUAUGAACUAGCCUAAUAAAUCAAAAUGUAGCAGGGAGGAGGGAGAAGGAGGGGCGACUCGAGGAGGGAGAAGAGUGUAGGACGGAGGAGGAAGGCGGAGCGAGGAGGGGCUGGCCGGCGGCGAGUGGAGGCAUAAUGGAGGAGGAAGGCGGAGCGAGGAGGGGCUGGCCGGCGGCGAGUGGAGGGAGAAUGGAGGAGGAAGGCAGAGCAAGGAGGGGCCGGCCAGCGGCGAGUGGAGGGAGGACGGAGGAGGAGGCCGGUACCUAGUCCAGCGAGGAGGAUGAGGUGACGGCAGUGCAGAUCGGAGGAGGGGCGACGAGAGGGAGAUCGAGUGUGUGUGUGAGUGUGAUCUGGAUUGGAUAGGUGAGGAGGGGGGCGAGAUGGAAUGGAUUAGCACUAGCGCGCUAUAGCAAAAUGCGCUACUGCUAAGCGACCUAUCAGUAGCGCCUUUGGACGAGAACGCGCUACUGCUAUGUUAGACAUAGACAUAAAAAAUACAUUGAUCAUCAAUUGUCUUUUUGUGUACAAUCUGAUUUGUCAAUAGGAAUCCUUGUUGGUUGGUUUAGGAACAGGCGAGGAUUCCUAUUACGGCCAUGGAUCCUACUCAUAGAGUUCGAUGAAGACCAAGUGCUUGUGAAAGUUGUAGAAGUAACAUAUUUAAGGUGGUACAAACUCUCUUCACGGAGCGAGGUGGGACUAAAUUUUUGUAGUAACCUUAGUAGUAGCGAUUAUUGCGUAAAUGCGCUGCUACUACGAUCCGUAGUAGUAGCGCCCUUUGCAUUAACGCGUUGCUGCUAUAAUUGGCCUCGCGGCGGCGUCAUGGGAAUUUUCGCAGUAGCGCGUCCUAGGGUGUGUGCACUACUGAUAAACUUGUACCAGCAGUGAGUUUUGAAAGCGAACGCUACUGCUAAGUAGCAGCAGCGCCUGAUUUUAAAGCGCGUUGCUGGUAAGAUUUUGUGUAUAGGAUUUUCCCUAGUAGUGCAUAGUAGUCAGAAAGAGAGAGAGAGAGACAGAGAUAGCACGUGCGUGAGACACCUCGACACCCUGAGAGAGAUUGUGAGAAUGUGUGAAAGAGAAAUGCCGAUGCAUAUAAAGUGUGUGCACUUAUGCGUUAUUUAGAGAGAGAUAUAACACGUUUGUGAGAACGGGGCGAGGCAUAGUGCAUCUACGUGUAAAAGGCGGUUCUAUGCAUUAAAUUAAAAUAUAAAUGGCAUUAUUAUUUUUGGAUGAGAUCAUGAAUUUUGCAAAUUGCGUAUGGACAAAAAUCGGUCUAUCAGACGCCCAUACUCUAUUGAAUUCUAGCAUGUGCAUGUGUUUAUUUCAUAUAAUCGAUCCAUAGAGUGAGAGCGGUUUGAAAUACAGGAAAUGGAUGCGUUUGAAAUUCAUAUAUAAACAUUAAUUAGUGCACUCCACGCUGUUAGUUUUAAGCUCUUUAUACAUUUCUCACUUGCAUGGAUACAUUCCAAAUUGCUAGCUAUGAAAUAGAAUACAUGUCGAAUUCAACAUAAAGGGGGUUUCGAACAUUCGAAUUCAUAGGAAGUGCAUUCAUCUAUUUGAACCCGAGAUAAUGGUAUUUGUAAAUCAGAUGUAAAAGGGGGCAGCAAUCUUUGUUGUGAGUUUGAACAUGCUAUAUAUAUUCAUACGCAUAUCUAACUUUUUAUUUUCUGCAAGGAAGGAGAUUAUAUCUGGAACCAUGCAUGAACUAAGGUAAGUUGCAUAUUUUUUAAUAUAUACUCAUGUACAAUGUAUAUUCAAAUGUACCCCCUCCAUUCCAAAAUAAUCGUAGCUUUAGGAUUUUCAAGAGUAAAGAUUUGUGAAGUUUGACAAAUCCUGAAAGUUCAUUUCAAGAGAACCGAAAACGUUAAUGCUUCUACUCCCAAAUAUUGAAUGAAGCACCAAAUAGGCCUAUGGUCACCCGAAACCGCGCGAGACUAAUGUUUGGUGGUAGGAAAUUACUGUCAUGACUCUGGCCCAUGUAGCCUAUCGUCUCGAUGUACAAAGGUCUAAACCGGGGUAGGUUUGUAACUUCACCAAGACGCCAGUCUCAACCGCCUUCGAGAAGCAUUCAUACGCCGUGGGCGCCUAAACACCCAUGCGCUCGGCCGAAAUCUAUCCCGCCCACAUUUGGGACACCUGACAUGACUGUCCUACCCCAAACCCGCAAUAUGUCUGAAAUUUUAGAUGGGGGAAAAGUUUUUAACUUUCCCCAAAUUUCAAUCAAGCACGUCUCAAACCGAAACAUUGUUCCCCCUUAGUUCCCCGCCUCCCUCUGUUUCCCCAUUCAUACUCCGUGGGCGCGAAAACGACCGCUCCACCAGCCGCGAAACCCCAGCCUCCUCCGUCCCCCACCCCAUAGCGGCCAAUCCACCGCCGCCCUCCUCCAUCACGCCGGAGCCGGUACCCCGACGUCGUCUUCCAACGGAACCGCAACCGCAACACCCUCAAGGACUUCGCAGCUGAAGCCAAGGCAGAGCUGCCUCCACGAUGCCGACGCCGACGUGCGCCGUACCAGAACCACUCCGACCACGCCGUCCUACACCUCACUGCUGCGGCUCCACUGUCGCAACCGUCCACCACACCGGAGCUGUUCCUGCUACGCCGUCGUUCACCGCCUCGGAUCUGCUUCCCCGCCGCCGACAGACGGCCACCGCACCACACUCAACAACUUGGCCAUGGGUUCAUCCAAGGCUGCACCGUCCUCCACAACUUCUGGUUUCCGGCGAACGACAAUAAGAUCGUCGGAAAAACAGAACGAGGACAUAGCACUGCCAGCAGAAAGAGGUACUCCUCUUCCCUUAUUCAUGCAAAUCUUAUGUCACUGCUCAAACCGUAUUCAUCCCAUGAAAGAAACUAGUUGAGCGCUUCUUACUGCAUCUUCUUCGUGACACUAAAUGCACAAGGUUUCCUCCCUUUUACUAUUUCACCUUUGCUAGAGGUCAGUAGGCCGCCUAGAUUUCAAUUCAGGGUCAGUCGAACCGCAAUUAAAAGAAGCAGCACCCACUUAGGCGAGCGGAGCACCUACUCCGCCUAUUCCCUGGGGAAGUGGCGCAUCGGUGUCUAUCAGAGGGGUGUGGAGUGCAGGAGCUGCUUGCUCCUGAUCUGGAGGUCGGCGGGGCUUGGAUGGAUGUCCGGGGGGCGGUGCCAAGCACGGCGGUGCGGUGAGGUCGAGGGGAGGGCGCAGGCAGGGGAGGAAUACUGGGCCGGUGGUCGCCGGCGUUUCGAGGAAGAUCGUCAACACUGACUAGCUGGAGGUAGAUGAAGGUGAUCUGCCCAUUCUUUGUACAUCAGACGGUGCAGAAAAAAUGGACUGACCUAUUUGCUGUCAGUCGACUGUUAUUUUCAUAGAAUCAUGUAGUAAUUUAGUGUGCCAUGCAUGUUGUAGAGCUAUCAUAUGUCUCCCGUCAUUUAUUUCUCACCGACCUUCUAUCUGCUACCUUUAUACUAUACUAAUUGUGCACACACUUCACCCAUAGUCACACUAUUGUUUUUUUAUGCAUGGGUAUUUCAGACUCUGACGCAGUGUUGAUGAAUGCAGAAAAGAGAAGACAGAAGUCGCUCCAAUGUAAUUCCAAUAUAAGCACUAUGCGUUUCAGCGCUCUAAUGGGUGCAGUGUCAGCAGUUGGAGACAGUAAAUGUAGCUCUGCAGUUGAUGAUCUCAAUUGCCACACACAACCAUCCUAGGUGCUUGCUUUAACUUCACGCUGUCAAAUGUGGUUGCAUGUUGCAUAUGGUGUCUAGCUUGUAUUGCUUCCAAUUUGGUUAAAUUGCAUCUGCUUACUUUACACAUUAUACAUUUCAUAAUGACAUGCCUUCCUGUUUUUGAUACAUACUACAUAUGUCUAUUAACCAUGUUCGUACAUCAAACUAAUGCUCUUUUGUAUCCCUCGUCAAUCACUUAUGAUGAGACAGUCACCCAGGUGGGUUACUGUGAGACGCCCUACUCGUUUAAAGAGUGAAGUGUGAUCCUCCCCACAUGAUUCUCAAGAAACAGCAAGGCUAAAUGAAGAUAGUCAACGUAGCUCUCUAGUUCAUCACUUCAAUUCCCCCACACCACCAUCGCAGGUGCUUGCUCUUACUUGGCAGUGUGAUAUGUGGUUGCAUGUUGCAUACGGUGUCUAGCUUGUAAUGCUUCUAAUUAGGGUAAAUUGCAUCUGCUUAGUUUACACACUAUACCUACGAAUAUGACAUGCCUUCCUAUUUUUGGUACACACUGCAUCUAUAUGUUAACCUUGUUCUUACAUGAAACUACCUCUCUUCUGUAUCCUGCAUCAAUCACUUACUAUGAGUCACCUUUAUUUGUUGCAUAUUGCAUAUUAUUUCUAGCCUGUUGCCAUGUAUGGCUUCUAAUUUGGUCAAAUACAUUUGUUAGGGCACCCUUUUAAUUUGGCAGAGUGAUAUUGGUUUCAUCUUUCAUAUGGUUUCUAGCUUGCAUCGAUUCUAACAAGUUCAAGCACCUUGUGCUUAGUUUACACUUUAUACAUCAUACAUGUCAAUAUGUCAUGUCGUCCUAUUUUUCAUACAUAAUCCAAUCGUCCUAUCAUGCGGCUGCCUUACAUGAAAGUAGUGUUCGUCAGUAUCAUGCAUCAAUGAGUUCUGAAGAGCAAAUUUUAUUCCUUUUUCUUGUGGGUUUGACUUGACAAGGCAAAAUCAAGAAAGAGGAAGGAAAAGAGUAAGGAAGGCGAUGGUGGUGGUCCUCUGCAGAAACGUAAACAGAGCAUCUAUACCGAUUCUCCUUGUACUGAUAGUGCAUUACAAGGUCCAAGUCUCCUCUCCCCUACUCCACCAUCCAAGGUGCUUGCUCUAACUUGGCAGUGUGAUAUCUGGUUGCAUGUUGCGUAUGGUGUCUAACUCGUAUUGCUCCUAAUUAGUGUAAACUGCAUCUGCUUAGCUUACACAUGAUACAUGUGAAUAUGACACCCUUUCCUGUUUUUGGUACAUACUAUAUCUCUAUAUAACACCAUGUUCUUACAUGAAGCUACUCUUCUUGUGUAUCAUGCAUCAGUCACUUAUGAUGUGACACCUUUAAGUUGGCAGUGUGAUAUUGGUUUGCGUCUUGAAUAUGAUUUCUAGCAUGACUCUAUGACUUUUUGUACGUGAAACUGUUGUGUUGGAUGCUUGGUGGUAUGCUUUAUAAUAUAAAGUGGAGGGGGAAACCCUUUUUCGUGAUAUGAUUUCUACCAUGUAUUUCUUCUAGUUUGAUGAACGCCACCUAUGACGAGACAGUUUUAACUUGGCAGAGUGAUAUUGAUUGCACCUUCCAUAUGGUGUCUUGCAGUGUUUCUAAUUUGUUGAAGUGCCUUCUGCUUAGUUACCAAAUCAUAGGUGUGAAUAUGUCAAGCCGUCCAUUUUUUCGUACAUAUUCCAUCCUUGUAUCAUGACUUUGCCUUUCAUCAGAGUAGUGUUCAUCUGUAUCAUGCAUGAAUGAGUUCUAAGGAGCGAAUGAUAUUCCUUUUUCUUGUUGGUAUGACCUCAUAAUGAAAAAUCAAUAAAGCUAAAGGAAAUUGGCAAGGCAUUGGAUGAUGGUGGUGCUUCCGAGCAACUGAAAUGGAGGUUCUCUACAUAUUCUACUCCACCAUCCUCCCAACAAGAUUCGCAAGACAACGCAAGGCUAGAUAAUCAACGUAGCUGUGUAGAUGAUGAGCACAUCUCCCCUACUCCACCAUCACAGGUGCUUGCUCUAACUUGGCACUAUUAUAUGUGGUUGCAUGUUGCGUAUGAUGUCUAGCUUGUAUUGCUUCUAACUUGAAUUGCAUCUACUUACUUUACACAUAAUGCCUGUGAAUAUGACACGUGUUCCUAUUUCUAGAACAUACGUGUACAUGAUGAGCACAUAUCCCCUACUCCACCAUCGCAGGUGCUUGCUCUUACUUGGAACUAUUAUAUGUGGUUGCUUUUUCCGUACGAUGUCUAGUUUUUAUUGCUUUUGAUUAUGUUGAAUUGCAUCUACGUAGCUUACAACUUAUACCUGCAACGAUCACUUACCCAUAAGACACAUUUAACUUGGGACUGUGAUGUAGGUUGCAUCUUGCAUUGUCUUCUAGCUUGUACUGCUUCUAAUUUCUUGAAAUGGCACUUACGAUGAGACACUUUUUACCUGAUAGAGUGAUAUUGGUUGCGUGUUCAUAUGGUGCCUAGCUUUCAUUUAUUCUAAUUUUGUUGAAAUGCCUUCCGCUUAUAGUUUUUUCAUACAUAUUCCAUCCUCCUAUCAUACGUGUGAAUAUGAAACACUGUCUUUUUUGUAUAUAUUCCAUCCUCCUAUCCUGCGCUUGCCUUACAUCAAAGUAGUGUUCGUCUGUAACAUGCAUCAACCAGUUAUGCAUAGCUAAUUUUACUCAUCUUCUUGUGGUUUUGACUUCAUAAGGCAACAUAAGAAAAUAGGAAGGAAAAGAGUAAGUUAGGGGAUGUUGGUGGUCCUCCGCACCGACGCAAACAGAGACUCUCUAGAUUUGCCACUGCUACUGCUAAUGAAGUUGAAGUCCCAAGUCUACAUGAUGAGUUCGUCUCCCGUACUCCACCAUCGCAGGUGCUUGCUCUAAGUUGACAGUGUGAUAAUUGGUUUCAUGUUGCAUAUGCUGUCUAGCUUGUAUUUCUUCUAUUUUGAUUAAAUUGCACCUGCUGAGUUUAUACGUUAUACAUGUGCAUAUGACAUGGCUUUCUGUGUCUAGAAUACACGGCAUCUAUCUAUCAUAUCUUACAUCAAAGUACUGUUGUUGUGUAUCCCGCAUCAGUCACUCAUGAUUAGAUGCUUUUAACAUGGCAGUUUGAUAGUGGUUGCAUCUUGCAUUGAUUUCUAUGUUGUACUGCUUCUAAUUUUUCGAAUUGCCACUUAUGACAAGACACUUUUAACUUGGCAGAGUAAUAUUGCUUGCAUCUUUCAUAUGGUGUCUAGCUUGCAUUACUUCUAUUUUCUUGAAAAUCCUUCUGCUUAGUUUGCACAUCGUAGCUGUGAAUAUGUCAUGCCGUCAUGUUUUUCUUACAUAUUCCAUCCUCAUAUGGUUGUCUUACAUCAAAGUAUUGCUUGUCUGUAUCAUGCAUCAAUCAGUUCUGAAGAGUGAUUUUAUUCUUUUGUGUUGUGGGUACAGCUUGACAUGGCAAAGUCAAAAAAGAGCAAGGAAAAUAAUAUAGUAGGGAGUGUUGUUACUCGUCGGGUGAAACGGUAAAGGAUCUGCUGUCGAGAUUCUAUUGGUACUUAUAGUGUGGUAGAAGGUCCAAGUCCACCGGCUAAGUCUACAAACACAGUAUCACCUGCUCCACCAGCUGCAGCAUGCGCUUCAACUGUACCAGGAUCUCAACCAGUUACUCAUUUGUUUGCUCCGGAACUGGCCAGUUCCCAAGCUGCCUUCACACCUAACACUACUUCUGAAGCACUGCUGACACAACAGGACUUGGCAAGAUCAGAUGAAACUCAUGAGCAUCAACACCAAGACGGUACCUGACCGAGUCAAGUUGCAGUUGCAUGCUCCUUUAUAUGUACUCUCACAGUUUGAUGUACACUAACACUUUCCAUAUUCGUUGUUGAACUAGCACCACGGCGCAAGCGGAAACAAACAUAAGGGAUAAUGCUUGACAGAUUAACAAAAUCUAAAGGAGGAAGAAUAGAGAUCCAUUCUGAGGCAGGUUUAAAAAGGCCACGUGAUGCUACAGAGUCAGCCAUCAGAGGCAGCCAUUGCCGUUAGGUGUCAUGCACGUAUCCUCCCAACGUGGAUCUAGUACAGGAAUGAGAAAGACAAUACCCAGUUUAACACCUUCCUUGACCAUUUAUCCGUAAGUAAUGUUAUUCAUCGCAAUUAGUAAUAUUGUCUUGCUCUGUCCCAUACUUUCUAGCUUCCUCCUAAUAAGACUCACAUUCUUUUUUCAACAGAUGAGGUUCAAGUUGGAUCCGAAAGAUGAUGCAACUAAAAAAGCAUGCACUCAUGUUUUUCAGUCUGCUCUGCGACAGUAUCAGUACCACCUUAGAAAAUCUCACUUUUAAGGCAUGGCUAACAAUGAAAUCGCCCAAACAUCUCCAGUGGAAUAUAUUACAGAUGAAGACUGGACAGCCCUUGUUAAAAUACUGGUCUGAUCCAAAGUAUCAGGUAGGCUAUAUGUAUUUGAUCAAACCACAUAUUGAACUUGUAUUUAUGUAUGUGCCUUACAAGUGUAUCUUGUUCUAGGUUAACUAUUUGAAGAACAAAACCAACCGUUCUAAAGUGAAAUUCCAAUAGACAACAUGAUCUCGUAGCUAUAUUGCACACUGGGAGGCACUUGUAAAUAGCUUCUACUUCCUUCUUUUUUGUGUUCCAUAUUAUCGUAUCUAUAUUGACUUGUUCCAAAUACACAGGAAAGCCCGUGUGGACCAAAAAGAACCUGAACCGAAUGCAGUGCAAAUCUUCAAGGAUUGCCACAUCAGCAAGAUGAAGCGCAUGAGCACACUAGUUCAAGCCGCUGUUGGAAGUCCUUACUCCUCCUGCCUUCAACUGAUUGGUACUGCGAUGUGUUUGUUGGGGAAUGUUGCAGAAAAUAAAAAAAUUCCUACGGUUUCACCAAGAUCAAUCUAUGAGUUCAUCUAGCAAUGAGACAGAGGAUUGCAUCUACAUACCCUUGUAGAUCAAGAGCGAAAGCAUUCAAGAGAGCGGGGUUGAGGGAGUCGUACUCGUCGUGAUCCAAAUCACCGGAGAUCCUAGCGCCGAACGGAUGGCACCUCCGCGUUCAACACACGUACGGUCAGGGAGACGUCUCCUCCUUCUUGAUCCAGCAAGGGGGAAGGAAAGGUUGAUGAAGAUCCAGCAGCACGACGGCAUGGUGGUGGAUGCAGCAGCGAUCUCGGCAGGGCUUCGCCAAGCGUCUGCGAGUGGGAGAGGUGUAGCAGAGGGAGAGGGAGGCGCCAAGAGCAUGGGUGCGGCUGCCCUCCCUCCCCCUCUUUAUAUAGGGCCCCUAGGGGGGUGCCGGCCCUAGGAGAUGCAAUCUCCUAGGGGGCGGCGGCCAAGGGGGUGGCUUGCCCCCCAAGGCAAGUGGAGGCGCCCCCACCCCUAUGGUUUCCAACCCUAGGCGCAGGGGGGCCAAGGGGGGCACACCAGCCCACCAGGGGCUGGUUCCCCUCCCACUUCAGCCCAUGGGGCCCUCCGGGAUAGGUGGCCCCACCCGGUGGACCCCCAGGAUCCUUUUGGUGGUCCCGGUACAAUACCGGUGACCCCCGAAACUUUCCCGAUGGCUGAAACCUGACUUCCUAUAUAUAAUUCUUUACCUAUGGACCAUUCCGAAACUCCUUGUGACAUCCGGGAUCUCAUCCGGGACUCCGAAAAACUUUCAGUUUACUGCGUACUCAUAUAUCUACAACCCUAGUGUCCCCGAACCUUAAGUGUGUAGACCCUACGGGUUCAGGAGACAUGCAGACAUGACCGAGACGCCUCUUCGGUCAAUAACCAACAGCGGGAUCUGGAUAUCCAUGUUGGCUCCCACAUGCUCGUCGAUGAUCUCAUCGGAUGAACCAUGAUGUCGAGGAUUUAAGCAACCCUGUAUACAAUUCCCUUUGUCAAUCGGUACGUUACUUGCCCGAGACUCAAUCGUCGGUAUCCCAAUACCUCGUUUAAUCUCGUUACCGGCAAGUCACUUUACUCGUACCGUAAUGCAUGAUCCCGUGACCAGACACUUGGUCACAUUGAGCUCAUUAUGAUGAUGCAUUACCGAGUGGGCCCAGAGAUACCUCUCCGUCAUACGGAGUGACAAAUCCCAGUCUCGAUUCGUGCCAACCCAACAGACACUUUUGGAGAUUCCCGUAGUGCACCUUUAUAGUCACCCAGUUACGUUGUGACGUUUGGCACACCCAAAGCACUCCUACGGUAUCCGGGAGUUGCACAAUCUCAUGGUCUAAGGAAAUGAUACUUGACAUUUGGAAAAGCUCUAGCUAAACGAACUACACGAUCUUUGAGCUAUGCUUAGGAUUGGGUCUUGUCCAUCACAUCAUUCUCCUAAUGAUGUGAUCCCGUCAUCAAUGACAUCCAAUGUCCAUAGUCAUGAAACCAUGACUAUCUGUUGAUCAACGAGCUAGUCAACUAGAGGCUCACUAAGGACAUGUUGUGGUUUAUGUAUUCACACAUGUAUUACGAUUUCCGGAUAAUACAAUUAUAGCAUGAAUAAAAGACAAUUAUCAUGAACAAAGAAAUAUAAUAAUAAAAUUUUAUUAUUGCCUAUAGGGCAUAUUUCCAACAGUCUCCCACUUGCACUAGAGUUCAAUAAUCUAGUUACAUUGUGAUGAAUAGAACACCUGUGGAAUUCUGGUGUUGAUCAUGCUUUGCCCUAGGGAGAGGUUUAGUCAACGGAUCUGCCACAUUCAGGUCCGUAUGUACUUUACAAAUAUCUAUGUCUCCAUCUUGAACAUUUUCACGAAUGGAUUUGAAGCAACGCUUGAUGUGCCUGGUCUUCUUGUGAAACCUGGGCUCCUUGGCAAGUGCAAUAGCUCCAGUGUUGUCACGGAAGAGUAUGAUUGGCCCCGACGCAUUGGUUAUGACUCCUUGGUCGGUGAUGAAGUCCUUCACCCAAAUUGCUUCAUGCGUUGCCUCCGAGGCUGCCAUGUACUCCGCUUCACAUGUAGAUCCCGCCACGACGCUUUUCUUGCAACUGCACCAGCUUACUGCCCCACCAUUUAAAAUAUACACGUAUCCGGUUUGUGACUUAUAGUCAUCCAGAUCUGUGUCGAAGCUAGCGUCGACGUAACCCUUUACAACGAGCUCUUCGUCACCUCCAAAAACGAGAAACAUAUCCUUAGUCCUCUUCAGGUACUUCAGGAUAUUCUUGACCGCUGUCCAGUGUUCCUUUCUGGGAUUACUUUGUUACUUUCCUACCAAACUUACGGCAAGGCUUACAUCACGUCUGGUACACAGCAUGGCAUACAUAAUAGACCCUAUGGCUGAGGAAUAGGGGAUGACGCUCAUCUCUUCUAUAUCUUCUGCCAUGGUCGGGCAUUGAGCCGAGCUCAAUCUCACACCUUGCAAUACAGGCAAGAACCCUUUCUUGGACUGAUCCAUAUUGAACUUCUUCAAUAUCUUAUCAAGGUAUGUGCUUUGUGAAAGACCUAUGAGGCGUCUUGAUCUAUCCCUAUAGAUCUUGAUGCCUAGUAUGUAAGCAGCUUCUCCAAGGUCCUUCAUUGAAAAACACUUAUUCAAGUAGGCCUUAAUGCUGUCCAAAAGUUCUAUAUCAUUUCCCAUCAAAAGUAUGUCAUCCACAUAUAAUAUGAGAAAUGCUAUAGAGCUCCCACUCACUUUCUUGUAAACGCAGGCUUGUCCAUAAGUCUGCAUAAACCCAAACGCUUUGAUCAUCUCAUCAAAGUGAAUGUUCCAACUCCGAGAUGCUUCCACCAGCCCAUAAAUGGAUCGCUGGAGAUUGCAUACCUUGUUAGCAUUCUUAGGAUCGACAAAACCUUCUGGCUGCAUCAUAUACAGUUCUUCCUUAAGAUAGCCAUUAAGGAAUGUCGUUUUGACGUCCUUCUGCCAUAUCUCAUCGUAGUUAACCCCUUGAACUUGUCGAUAACCCUUAGCAACAAGUCGAGCUUUAUAGAUGGUUACAUUACCAUCCACGUACGUCUUCUUCUUAAAGAUCCAUUUGUUUUCUAUCGCUCGCCGAUCAUCGGGCAAGUCUGUCAAAGUCCAUACUUUGUUUUCAUACAUGGAUUCUAUCUCGGCUUGCAUGGCUUCAAGACAUUUGUUGGAAUCUGGGCCCUCCAUCGCUUCUUCAUAGUUCGAAGGUUCACUGUUGUCUAACAACAUGAUUUCCAGGACAGGGUUGUCAUACCACUGUGGUGUGGAACGUGUCCUUGUAGACCUAUGAAGUUCAGUGGUAACUUGAUCCGAAGUACCUUUAUCAUCAUCAUUAACUUCCUCUUCAGUUGGUGCUGGCACCACAGGAACAACUUCCUAAGCUGUGCUACUUACCGGUUCAAGAGGUAGUACUUCAUCAAGUUCCACUUUCCUCCUACUUACUUCUCUCGAGAGAAACUCUUUCUCCAGAAAGGACCCGUUCUUGGCAACAAAGAUCUUGCCUUCGGAUCUUAGGUAGAAGGUAUACCCAAUGGUUUCCUUAGGGUAUCCUAUGAAGACGCAUUUUUCUGACUUGGGUUUGAGCUUUUCAGGUUGAAGUUUCUUGACAUAAGCAUCGCAUCCCCAAAUUUUUAGAAACAACAGCUUAGGUUUCUUCCAAAACCAUAAUUCAUACGGUGUCGUAUCAACGGAUUUAGACGGUGCCCCAUUUAAAGUGAAUGUAGCUGUCUCCAGAGCGUAUCCCCAAAAAGAUAGCGGUAAAUCGGUAAGAGACAUCAUAGAUCGCACCAUAUCCAAUAAAGUGCGAUUACGACAUUCAGACACACCGUUACGUUGAGGUGUUCCAGGCGGCGUGAGUUGUGAAACGAUUCCACACUCCCUUAAGUGCGUACCAAAUUCGUGACUUAAAUAUUCUCCUGCAUGAUCUGAUCGUAAGAACUUUAUUUUACAGUCACGUUGAUUCUCUACCUCAUUCUGAAAUUCCUUGAACUUUUCAAAGGUCUCAGACUUGUGUUUCAUCAAGUAGACAUACCCAUAUCUACUCAAGUCAUCAGUGAGAGUGAGAACAUAACGAUAUCCUCCGCGAGCCUCAACGCUCAUUGGACCGCACAGAUCAGUAUGUAUGACUUCCAACAAGUUGUUUGCUCGCUCCAUUGUUCCGGAGAAUGGAGUCUUGGUCAUUUUCCCCAUGAGGCAUGGUUCGCAUGUGUCAAAUGAUUCAUAACCGAGAGACUCUAAAAGUCCAUUAGCAUGGAGCUUCUUCAUGCGCUUGACACCAAUGUGACCAAGGCGGCAGUGCCACAAGUAUGUGGGACUAUCGUUAUCAACUUUACAUCUUUUGGUAUUCACACUAUGAAUAUGUGUAACAUCACGUUCGAGAUUCAUUAAGAAUAAACCAGUGACCAUCGGGGAAUGACCAUAAAACAUAUCUCUCAUAUAAAUAGAACAACCAUUAUUCUCGGAUUUAAAUGAGUAGCCAUCUCGUAUUAAAUGAGAUCCAGAUACAAUGUUCAUGCUGAAAGCUGGCACUAAAUAACAAUUAUUGAGGUUUAAAACUAAUCCCGUAGGUAAAUGUAGAGGUAGCGUGCUGACGGCGAUCACAUCGACUCUGGAACCAUUCCCGACGCGCAUCAUCACCUCGCCCUUUGCCAGUCUCCGCUUAUUCCGCAGCUCCUGCUUUGAGUUACAAAUAUGAGCAACGGCAGCGGUAUCAAAUACCCAGGAGCUACUACGAGCACUAGUAAGGUACACAUCAAUUACAUGUAUAUCACAUAUAGCUUUAGUGUUGCCGGCCUUCUUGUCCGCUAAGUAUUUAGGGCAGUUCCGCUUCCAGUGACCCUUCCCUUUGCAAUAAAAGCACUCAGUCUCAGGUUUGGGUCCAUUCUUUGACAUAUUCCCGGCAGCUGGCUUACCGGGCGUGGAAACUUCCUUGCCGUCCUUCUUGAAGUUCUUCUUACCCUUGCCUUUCUUGAACUUAGUGGUUUUAUUCACCAUCAACACUUGAUGUUCCUUUUUGAUUUCUACCUCUGCUGAUUUCAGCAUUGAAUAUACUUCAGGAAUGGUCUUUUCCAUCCCCUGCAUAUUGAAGUUCAUCACAAAGCUCUUGUAGCUCGGUGGAAGCGACUGAAGGAUUCUGUCAAUAACCGCGUCAUCCGGGAGAUUAACUCCUAGCUGAGUCAAGCGGUUGUGCAACCCAGACAUUUUGAGUAUGUGCUCACUGAUAGAACUAUUUUCCUCCAUCUUACAGCUAAAGAUCUUGUCGGAGACAUCAUAUCUCUCGACCCGGGCAUGAGCUUGGAAAACCAUUUUCAGCUCUUCAAACAUCUCAUAUGCUCCGUGUUGCUCAAAACGCUUUUGGAGCCCCGGUUCUAAGUUGUAAAGCAUGCCACACUGAACAAGGGAGUAAUCAUCAACACGAGACUGCCAAGCGUUCAUGACAUCUUGGUUCUCUGGGAUGGGAGCUUCACCUAGUGCUGCUUCUAAGACAUAAUCUUUCUUUGCAGCUAUGAGGAUGAUCCUCAGGUUUCGGACCCAAUCCGUAUAGUUGCUGCCAUCAUCUUUCAGCUUGGUUUUCUCUAGGAACGCGUUGAAGUUGAGGUGGACAUGAGCGUUGGCCAUUUGAUCUACAAAACAUAUUUGCAAAGGUUUUUAGACUAUGUUCAUGAUAAUUAAGUUCAUCUAAUCAAAUUAAUUAAUGAACUCCCACUUAGAUUAGACAUCCCUCUAGUCAUCUAAGUGAUACAUAAUCCGAGUCGACUAGCCCAUGCCCGAUCAUCACGUGAGACGGACUAGUCAUCAUCGGUGAACAUCUCCAUGUUGAUCGUAUCUUCCAUACGACUCAUGCUCGACCUUUCGGUCUCUUGUGUUCCGAGGCCAUGUCUGUACAUGCUAGGCUCAUCAAGUUAACCUAAGUGUUUUGCAUGUGUAAAUAUGUCUUACACCCGUUGUAUGUGAACGUUAGAAUCUAUGACACCCGAUCAUCACGUGGUGCUUCGAAACGACGAACUUUCGCAAUGGUGCACAGUUAGGGGGAACACUUUCUUGAAAUUAUUAUGAGGGAUCAUCUUAUUUACUACUGUCGUUCUAAGUAAACAAGAUGCAAAAACAUAAUAAACAUCACGUGCAAUUAAACAGUGACAUGAUAUGGCCAAUAUCAUAUAGCUCCUUUGAUCUCCAUCUUUGAGGCUCCAUGAUCAUCUUCGCCACCGGCAUGACACCAUGAUCUCCAUCAUCAUGAUAUCCAUCAUCGUGUCUCCAUGAAGUUGCUGGCCAACUAUUACUUCUACUACUAUGGCUAACGGUUUAGCAAUAAAGUAAAGAAAUUACAUGGCGUUAAAUCAUUGACACGCAGGUCAUACAAUAAUUAAGACAACUCCUAUGGCUCCUGCCGGUUGUCAUACUCAUCGACAUGCAAGUCGUGAUUCCUAUUACAAGAACAUGAUCUCAUACAUCACAUAUAUAUCAUUCAUCAUUCAUCACAACUUUUGGCCAUAUCACAUCACAAAGCAAUUGCUGCAAAAACAAGUUAGACGUCCUCUAAUUGUUGUUGCAUCUUUUACGUGGCUGCAAUAGGGUUCUAGCAAGAACGUUUUCUUACCUACGAAUAACCACAACAUGAUUUGUCAACUUCUAUUUACCCUUCAUAAGGACCCUUUUCAUCGAAUCUGCUCCAACUAAAGUGGGAGAGACAGACACCCGCUAGCCACCUUAUGCAACUAGUGCAUGUCAGUCGGUGGAACCUGUCUCACGUAAGCGUACGUGUAAGGUCGGUCCGGGACGCUUCAUCCCACAAUACCGCUGAAGCAAAAUAAGACUAGUAGUGGCAAGAAAGUUGACAACAUCUACGCCCACAACAAAUUUAUGUUCUACUCGUGCAAAGAGAACUACGCAUAGACCUAGCUCUGAUACCACUGUUGGGGGACGUUGCAGAAAAUAAAAAAUUUCCUACGGUUUCACCAAGAUCAAUUUAUGAGUUCAUCUAGCAACGGGAGAGAGGAGUGCAUCUACAUACCCUUGUAGAUCAAGAGCGGAAGUGUUCAAGAGAACGGGGUUGAGGGAGUCGUACUUGUCGUGAUCCAAAUCACCGGAGAUCCUAGCGCCGAACGGAUGGCACCUCCGCAUUCAACUCACGUACGGUCAGGGAGACGUCUCCUCCUUCUUUAUCCAGCAAGGGGGAAGGAGAGGUUGAUGAAGAUCCAGCAGCACGACGGCGUGGUGGUGGAUGCAGCAGCGAUCUCGGGAGGGCUUCGCCAAGCGUCUGCGAGAGGGAGAGGUGUAGCAGAGGGAGAGGGAGGCGCCAAGAGCAUGGGUGCGGCUGCCCUCCCUCCCCCCUCUUUAUAUAGGGCCCCUAGGGGGGCGCCGGCCCCAGGAGAUGCAAUCUCCUAGGGGGCGGCGGCCAAGGGGGUGGCUUGCCCCCAAAGGCAAGUGGAGGCACCCCCACCCCUAGGGUUUCCAACCCUAGGCGCAGGGGGGGCCAAGGUGGGGGCGCACCAGCCCACCAGGGGCUCGUUCCCCUCCCACUUCAGCCCAUGGGGCCCUCCGAGAUAGGUGGCCCCACCCGGUGGACCCCCAGGACCCUUCCGGUGGUCCCGGUACAAUACCAGUGACCCCCAAAACUUUCCCCAUGGCCGAAACCUGACUUCCUAUAUAUAAUUAUUUACCUCCGGACCAUUCCGAAACUCCUCGUGACGUCCGGGAUCUCAUCCGGGACUCCAAACAGCUUUCAGUUUACUGCAUACUCAUAUCUCUACAACCCUAGCAUCACCGAACCUUAAGUGUGUAGACCCUACGGGUUCGGGAGACAUGCAGACAUGACCGAGACGCCUCUCCGGUCAAUAACCAACAGCAGUAUCUGGAUACCCAUGUUGGCCCCCACAUGCUCCUCGAUGAUCUAAUCGGAUGAACCAUGAUGUCGAGGAUUUAUGCAACCCCGUAUACAAUUCCCUUUGUCAAUCGGUAUGUUACUUGCCUGAGACUCGAUCGUCGGUAUCCCAAUACCUCGUUUAAUCUCGUUACCGACAAAUCACUUUACUCGUACCGUAAUGCAUGAUCCCGUGACCAGACACUUGGUCACAUUGAGCUCAUUAUGAUGAUGCAUUACCGAGUGGACCCAGAGAUACCUCUCCAUCAUACGGAGUGAUAAAUCCCAGUCUCGAUUCGUGCCAACCCAACAAACACUUUCAGAGAUACCCGUAGUGCACCUUUAUAGUCACCCAGUUACGUUGUGACGUUUGGCACACCCAAAGCACUCCUACGGUAUCCGGGAGUUGCACAAUCUCAUGGUCUAAGGAAAUGAUACUUGACAUUUGGAAAAGCUCUAGCUAAAGGAACUACAUGAUCUUUGAGCUAUGCUUAGGAUUGGGUCCUGUCCAUCACAUCAUUCUCCUAAUGAUGUGAUCCCGUUAUCAAUGACAUCCAAUGUCCAUAGUCAGGAAACCAUGGCUAUCUGUUGAUCAACGAGCUAGUCAACUAGAGGAUCACUAGGGACAUGUUGUGGUCUAUGUAUUCACACGUGUAUUACGAUUUCCGGAUAAUACAAUUAUAGCAUGAAUAAAAGACAAUUAUCAUGAACAAAGAAAUAUAAUAAUAACCAUUUUAUUAUUGCCUCUAGGGCAUGUUUCCAACAGUGUUCAUUUAAGUACUUGGUUUGCAGCCAAUGUCAGUUACUCUGUUCACUUUUAUACCCAGUUGUCUUAACGUAUCAUUUCACCUUACAUGGUUUAAAAGAGAUGAAGGAUAUUCUUUUGGUCUUGAUCUGUAAUCUAGUUGUUAUGUUCACAUGCGCACACAAUGAUAAAAAAGCCUGUUUGUUUUAUAUCUGUUUGCCCAUGAUAUGAAUGAUGUCAUACUAUGUUCAUCCUACUUUAAACCAUGUCUCUUUAUCCUUAGGUGUCAACGAAUGUGAGGAAAUAGACAAUACAGUAGGCAUGCUACAUGGGCAUAUGUUCUGAAAGUGAUUUUAUUAUGUAGUUGGCACGACAAUACAUGCUAAUGUAUUACAAUAGUUCACCAAAAUAAGUUAUGUAUAAACGUUUAACCUACUUUGUUUCUUUUUGUCUCAUUAGUAAAUUAUCUGGUACACUAAUCUACAAGUUCAAACUUUCAGGAAGCUAUGGAACAAAUGAUUGAACAACCACAACCACCUGAAGGUGACGAGGCUACUAUAGGCACAAUGUCACCUCUUGCUGGAGUGUGUCAGUAUCUCUCCACUAACAGUGCAAAAAGCACCUUCCUGCGUAAUUCUGGGUUGGUUGUCAAGGUAACCUCGUCCAAAUCGCCUUCUAAACAAAAUCUUCCUGCUAGACAGAGUGAUAUAUCUGUGCUCCAGACACAAGUCCAAUUCGGAAACAAGAAUAGUGGUUGAGAAAUGUCGUCAAGAUAUGAAUGGUUUUUAAACCAGACUAUCAGACAUUCGCUUCGUUGUUCAGGAGCAAUGGCGGAAAAAGGUGGAGAUCGUGCUGCUCCAUCAGAUUCUAUAUCCUGAAAUAUUAGCACUCAGGUCAAAUGAUCUGUGCUUCUAUACAUCUGAUGGUGCUUUUAUCUGGAAGGACUGUAAACUUUAUGCCAACAGACCUUUUGUUGUAUGGUUGGAAUUUAUUUUGUUGUGAUACAACAUUUAUGAUGGUGCCAUAGGCUUUAGUAAUUACGACGCUAUUUUUGUAUAGUGUAGGUUUAUCUUAGUAAUGUAUUCGGCCGAAAGCUUCGUAGCAGCCCAACAUGCCAACAUUCGUCGGGCCCAUUCCAAUUGGGCUAAAAACGAUUACGGGCCGAAAUUGGCAUGUAGCCCACUAAAAAUAUCUGGGCCUAAAUCAGCAUAAGCUUUCAUAUUUUUCUGGUAGGACUGUGCCCAUAGUGGGCCUUUAACAGGCCUAAACAUAAGUUGGGCCCUCAGUAAAAUUAGGCCGUUUACAGGUGUAAAUAUCUCGAGCCCAUAAAAACAUGGGCCUUUAAUAGACCGAAAGUGAGAUUGGGCCCUGAUUGUGCCAAAUAACCCACUGGACUUAGCAGGCCAAAAUGGUGGCCCAUUUACGAUGCGGAUCUUUGACAGGCCAAAAUUCGUACGGGCCGUAAAUGCGCCGACCUAAUACACGGGCCUUUAACGGGUCGGACCUUCGGUCGGGCAAGAUUAUCGUCAUUUUUAUAUGGGCCGUUAAUGGGACCGAUAUGACGUUGGGCCACAUAUGGCCCAUGGUUUUAUGUCCAGCAUUAACAAGCCGGAAAUAACAACAGGCCGAAAGUGGCCCAAAUCUGUAGUUGGCCUCUAACAGGUCGAAUAUCACACAUGGCCGAAUAUGACCCAAAUCCUUCACGGUCAUUUAUGGGUUGAAAGUUUUGAUGGCCUGUAAAUGGGCCCAAAUGAAGCCUGACCUUUAACAGGUCGGAAAUACACCGGCUGUAAUUUGACCCAAUUACUUAGCCGACAGUUAACGGGCCAGAAGUGACCAUGGGCCGCGUUGAUGACAAGUUUAGGACAGGCCGUUGACGGGCCGAUUUGACAGAGAAUGUUGGGCCUUGAGCUGGGUCAGCCCAUUAUGGUCUGCAGAAUCUUGUGGGCCUUUAGCUGGGCCGGCCCAUUGUGGUCCGCAAAAUCUUGUGGGCCUUUAGCUGGGCCGGCCCAUUAUGGUCGGCAAAUUCGUGUGGGCGUUUAGCUGGGCCGGCCCAUUAUGGUCUGCUAAAUUUUGUGGGCCUUUAGCUGGGCCAGCCCAUUAUGGUCCGCUAAAUUUUGUGGGCCUUUAGCUGGGCCGGCCCAUGAUGAUCUGCUAAAUUUUGUGGGCCUUUAGCUGGGCCGGCCCAUUAUGGCCCGCUAAAUUUUAUGGGCCUUCGAUUGGGCCGGCCCAUUUAAACUUUGUGGGCCACUUUUGGGCAUCCACGUGUCAACAUAUCAUAGGCCCAUCUUGACCGUUGGAUGAGUGACACCUGUCCCAACAUGGAGCUGACGCGUGGAUCCGUCAGCCAAUGAGAAUUUUACAUGUGGAAAAUCGGCAUUCGUCGUGGCUGUUAAUGGGUUAUCAGAUCCAAAAUCCGACCCGAUAGCUUAACGCGUUCCGUUACGGUGGAUGCCAUGUGUCGGUCACCCAUGACGAAAGCACUUUUGUGACGCGCGCUUUAUCGUCAUGGAACUGGACACUUCCGUGAUGAUAAUUUUGGUAAUGUCAUGGAACACUUCUACGACAGAACAGCUAUGACUAUCUUGAUUCUGUCAUUAAUUUGUCAUGGAUGUACAAGCAUGGCAGAAAACGUGACCUACUGUGACAAAGACGUAUCAUCACGGAAGGGUAUUUUUUUGUACUGUUGAGAAGUGCUUCAUCUGUGCUAUUUUAAAUAUUUCCUUUCCUUUUUUUCGAGCAAACAGGGAUGCUAGCAUUUAGUAGUCCUCUCGUCUUUGCACAACAAGAUCAUCUUCAUCUGAAAAAUAAUAUGGAGUACGUGAAGUGACUAGUUCCAAUUAUGCCAGGAUGAAGAAGCACUGUCUAUCUUCUCAUCAGAAGGAGCAGUUGAAGGAUGGUUACAUUACUCCCCACAAGACCAAACUAACUUCAGCUCAGAAGGACUGACAAAUCUCCAUUUUUUUGCUGUGAUGCGCGAGUACAAUGUUGUUCUAGGAUUCUUUCUGGUGAGUUCCAUUUUUCUAAAAGUGUGCUCUACAUGGACCAUGUAGGUGCCUGUUUAAACUGUCAAUUCAUAGUACAGUUUGCUUUGUACUAAUCACUUUUUUGUAUUUGUGCAAACAGGGGUGCUCAGCUUGAUUUCCAUGGGAACUGCACAAAAUGUUGAUGAAUACAUCAAAUCAUUCAUUUCCAUUACAAGAAAGGAGGUGCCGAUAAGUUCAAGGCGUUGCAACAUAUAAGGGCGAAAUCAUACAAGCUAUGCGCGAAUUUGGUUGAUUUUGGUGGAACUGCACAACAAGAACAGCUGGUUUAUUUAGCACGAGGUGCCAUGUCAAUGUCCAAACUGAUGGCAAACUCUGCCCAUUCCACAAUCUUAGGAAUUUGAUAUUUUGGAAUGGGACAACCUUGUCAAAUUUUGCUCAUUGAUUUUAGCAAGACAUGUGUUUGAAAUUUUCGAAUGGGACACCCCUUGCUGUCAGCAGUGUUGAUCAAGUUUUUCUUUAUUCUUUAGUUGUGAAGUAAAUAUUGCCUCUGACAUGUGAGUGCUGAGAUGGAAAAUCAUCGAUUGUUUUGAAUGUUCUCUAUGAAUUGCCAGCCCUGUGUGUUUGAUUGCAAUGGACAGAAACGCUAAAAAGCUGCUCAAACUCUUUGCACUCCUUCAGUUUCUUUUUAGUUCGCACAUUGUGAAAGUGCAUACUUUGUUGUAUAAGAUUGGUCAAAGUAGAGAUACUUUGACUGUAGACAGAACUUGUAUGCAGACUAGAAAGGACCGGAGGGAGUACAUGUGAAACUGCUACAAAUGAGGUGAUCACCCAGGGAAUAAUGCUAGUAUGUAUUGUUUUACAUGUUCAUCCAAUGCCAGUGAUACAGGAAUUCGAACUAAUCGAAAUAAAUUCAUUCAUACACGGUCGGAUUUCAUAUAAACAUGUUGGAUUUCAUUACAUUUCAUACAUUCUUCAACUAAAAAGGGGUGCACUAGAGGUAUAAUUAAUUAACCGAAGCUACCACCUGUGUCCCGCUGAGCCAAACAGAAGCUUCAGUGACUUAACUACAGGUGCAGUUGCGUAACUGACAUGUGGCAUGUUGGGCCCAUGUGUCAGUCAGCCAACUGCACCAGCAGUUAAGUAGAAGUAGCGUUCUUCUCCAGCGCAGCUCUCCGACUCCACGUCGCCGCCAAGAAGCUAACCGGCCGUCAAUGGUCAACCCGCCUAGCUUGGCUUCAACCGGAGGGUAGCAGCGGUGGCCUUACAUGGACCCGAGCGGCGGCAACCUACCAUGUUCUACUCUUCCUCGUUUUUUGUGGCGCGGCGUCGUUGGCAGUGGGGCGGGGCCUUGGCGGAGCCGGCGAUGUCCUCUAUCUCGUUGCCGGCGGGCGGCGCCUCAGCGAAGCGGUUGAAAUCCACCCCCUCGUUGCCAGCAGUGUGGGGCCUCGGCUGAGCCGGCGAUGUCCUCUGCCUUGUUGUUGGCGGGGCGAGGCCUCGCCGAAGCCGGCAGUGUCCUCUGCCUCAUUGUUGGUGCCGCGGGGCCUUGGCUGAGCAGGGCCUCAUCGACGCCAGCGGAGCGGGGACUCGUCGGAGCCGGCAUUGCCCUCUGCCUCAUCCUCGGUCUCGCCAAACAGUGCCUCGCCUGGUUCAUCACCCUCUUUGCAGGCAGCCACAGCCUCCGGCACCCGCAUGCGGUACCGCCAGCGCUCGAGGCGGCCCAUGCAGGCAGAGCGGUACAAGUCGAGCAGCGCCUCCUGCUCCGCCCGCCCCGCGGCGAUCUGCUCCUCCGCCUGCAGAUGCUCCUAGAGGAGAUGGUGAUUGUAGGCGGCGUCGUCCUGCAUCUCCCGGAACUACUCCUCACGCAUCUGCCUCAUUGUGUCCAUAUAUUGGGCACGGGCCUUGCCGAUGGUCAUGGUGCAAUGCACCAACGAGGAUGGCGCGGAGGAGGGGGUUGGCGCCGGAUCAUCGACUACCAUGUUCUCCAUUGGGACGUCGUCGUCCUUCAGCUACCUGCCGGCCAAUCGGUCGGUAGCAAUGGCUGCCAUCUCCUUGUGGUCCGUCGUCCGCCCACCCCAAAGAGCACUGUAGCACGAGGAAGCCAUGGUGGGCAGUAGUGGUGUGGACAGGAGAAAGGGAACGGAUGCGGAUGACUGCGGCUAUGGCCAGCGCAGCAGUUUAUAUAGAAAUGGUGGGCGGCGGAGGGACGGACGUGUGGCGCCGGAGUAGCCGCCUUGGCAACCGCGUAUCAUUAAUGUGGGCGGCAGAUGGAUGGACGGACGACACUUGUGUCAUUUGAAGGCGGAGUAAUUGCCUGCACAGGAAGGGGGCGGGGCGGCGCUGACUGUUUCGGGCGGAAAGCGAGCGGGGGCGUGGAGAUAACUCUACUUGGAGAGGAUUACAAUGGGGACCCACCAGGGCCAUAGCCUCACGUACGCAAGUGCCUCCUUAUUAUAUAUAACUAUAAUUUAUUUUGCUUCCUCGUGGUUUCCUGACAUCACGGUUCCUCACCAUUGUCAACCUAUGUACUCCCUCCUUUCCGGUUUAUAGGGCUUAUCUCAAAAUUUUAGUUUUUCCAUUUUAUAAGGCUCAAUUUGGUUGUUUUCCAUCACAUGUUCAGAUUCCAAGGUGCAUUAAAUCAUUGCAUGCAAGUAUUAAGAGAAAAUUGACCAAUGCAUGUACUUUAUGCAUGCAUGCAUUGCAAUUAAUGCAUUGAUAAACAUAAUUUUUUGAGGAUAACAAGAGCAUUAAUUAGGUGCUUUUGCAAAACUACAAAAAGUAUUCCACCACUCGCCAUCUACCUUGAUUGGUGACAUUUUUGAAUUGAGCACUAAAAACCGGAAAGGAGGGAGUAGUUAAUGAACGAGAGAAUUGCACAAGAAGCGGCCGACAGCUGGGACCAAGCAGCUCGAGCAAUAUUUGUGUUUUUGAGGUAUGAGCACUUCAGAGUUUUUCGAUGUUUAGCCCAGAUAUUAUUUUUUCUCCUCCAAACAACAACGAAAACAUGGCUGCAGGUAUUAACUGGGCGGGUUGUGGCCCAUCUAGCCCAGGCCAGAUAUCCAGCCCAGAUAUUAUUUUUUUUUUCAAGCUGAAAAUGGCUAGCCCAGUUGUACUUUUUUUAGGAAUACCCAGGAAAGGUCAAGUUGUUAUUCUCCUCCCCACUGGGCUGCAAAUCUUUCGUAGGAGGGAUGCAUUAGGCUUAACAAGAAAAUGGGCUUUAAGAAAUAAUAAAUGAGAUGUAAUUAUAAAAAUUGGGCAGUAACUAUAAAAAAAUGCACCAAACACGUAAUUACUUUAUAACAUAUUAUUUUUGGAUAUAUAAAAUUUUAAUUUCAUUAAUUGUUGCGAGUGCAAUGUUUCGUUGGAUUUUUAUGUAAUAUAAAUUUAUAUUGAAAUUGUCUUUAAUCGGACUAGAAAUUUCGGGAUAAAAAUAUUUCGGAUCCCAUCAAAAUGUGGGAAUUUUUAUUGAAUUCUGUUUAAAACGGUUGGUUGAAAUGGGCUGUAGUAAAUUCCAUUAGAAUUCAAAAAUGGGCUGCACAUUCUUACAAAUCUUAAAUGGGCUAUAAGUUAUCUGCCACACACUUCUAUCCUUACUAAGUUGACGCGUCCCCUAAAAAGUAAAGUUGAUGCGUAUGCAAGGCUUUGUCAACUUAUAGUCAACACACGGUUCUAGCAGCAGUGGCCAUUGGAUGUCCAUCCAAUGGAUGUCGUGCUUCUUCUUCAAUCUCGGAUAUUCUAGCUUCACCCGCCCAAAAAACAAUUCCUCCCCCUGACAUCUGGGGCGCACCAUUUCGGAAGCUGACCUGUGGGCCUACUAAGUUGACGUACCAAGGGCUUUGUCAACUUAGUAAAUAUAAACGAUUCUAGCUGUAGUAACCAUACUAUGUCCAUCCAAUGGCCAUCAUGCCUCUUCAACCUCUGGUCUUCUUGCUCCAGCCGCCCAAAGUAGCGCCGGUCGUGCCGCCUGCUCCUGCCUCCCGUGGCAGGCUGUGCUGCUGCGGAGGCCUCACUGCCCCCUACUACUCCCACUGCUGGCCAGGCCAUCCCUCCACUCACCCACACCCCCUGUUAUUCUGCGGCGACGGCAGCGCAGCCGAACUAUAGCUGGCCAAACAGGCCGGCCCGGCCCGGCACGGCACGGCCCAUCCUAAUCGUGCCUGGCACGGCCCGGCCCGCCUAGGCACGAUUAUUAUACGGGCCGUGCCGUGCCAGCCCGCGUGCUAUAGCCUGCAGCCCAGGCACGGCCCGUAUGCUAAUCGGGCCGGCCCACCGGCACGCCAGGCCCACUAAUCUACCUCCUAUUUUGCGCAUUGAGCGUUUUUUAGCCUAUUUUUACCUGUUGGCCCAUAUUAGAAUACAUAAAAAAUAUAAAAAAGUUAGUCGGGCCGUGCCGUGCCGGCCCAUGGCGUGCCACGUGCCGGGACCGGCCCGUUUAGCACGUGUCGUGCCGUGCCAGGCCCGUGCCGUGCCGGCCGUGCUACCGGGCCGGCCCAACUAUCCCGGCCCAUUUGGCCAGCUAUAAGCCGAACCAAUGAACCCUCGUACUCCUCUUCGUGUGUGCAUCCACUGUCGCGUCUUCCCCGGCUCUGCGCCGUCCCGUUCCUAGGCCUCGCCGUCGUCCACCGCCAUGGUGCUCUCGGUGUGGCGUGGUCAACGUGGUCAAGGAAUGACUUCCAUCGGACGUGGAUUGUACGCGGAGAGGCUGGCAGUUGGGUCCAUGGCAGCCACAAGAAAGUGCCUCCUUCUUACGCGCAAAAUAAUUAUUCCUCCACCUGACAACGGGGACCCCCUGACCGCUACAUCUUCGCACGCAAGGAAGUGCGUCCGGAAAAAAACGAUUCGCCCCCUGACCGCUGGGACCCACCAGCUACAUCUUCGCACGCAAGGAAGUGCGUCUGAAAAAAAACGAUUCGCCCCCUGACUGCUGGGACCCACCAGCUACACCUUUGCACGCAAGGAAGUGCAUCCGGGCAAAAAAAAUGAUUCGCCCCCCUAACUGCUGGGACCCACCAGCUACAUCUUUGCAUGCCUGGUCGAAGCGUACAUAGCAUUGUCAUUCUGGUCACAAACGUGUACAUACAUACUGGUCGAUGUAGAGGCGCGCACGUGUCGUAGUAGAGGCACGCACAUAGCAUGUACACGUACGUACAACGGCCAGAGUGCAAGGACGAAAAUACAGCCACAUACGUACAUACGUGCGGGGUCUCGAAUGCCUACUCGCGCAUACGUACGGCCAGGGCUCGUGUACAUGGCUGGGUCGGAACGGAGAAACAUCGUCAUCGUCGUGUUCAUGGGGAGCCAACCGGCUGGGUCAAAACGGAAUGCAUCGUCGUGUUCAUCAGGAGGGCUUGGACGGAACAGGCGAUGGAAACGAGGCCUGGCGUACCGCAAAACAGAGGAAACGGCCCUGUGUUUGACCGGCCACGUUCGAAACGGGAUCCUGUUCAUCGAGAGGGGUCUGGCGUACCGCAAAACGAAGGAAAUGGACCUCCUAUGGUCGAAACAGGGGUCCUGUUGAUCGGGAGGGGUGUGGCAUACCGCAAAAUGGACGAAAUGGACUUGUGUUGGAGUGCUACGGUCGAAACGGGGGUCCUGUUCAUCAGGAGGGGUGUGGCGUACCACAAAACGGACGAAACGGACUUGUGUUGGAGUGCUACAAUCGAAACGGGGGUCCUGUUCAUCGGGAGGGGUGUGGCGUACCGCAAAACGGGACUCCACGGGAUACUGUUCAUCUCCAACAUCGACCUCCUCCAGCCUCCAUGGGCUACUGUCGACCUCCUCCAGCCUCCACGGGCUCCUGUUCAUCCAGCCUCCACCGCGCGCUACUCCACCGGCUACUGUUCAACCACCCCUCCACGGGCACCCCUCCACCGUCUACUAUUCAUCCAGCCUCCACGGGGUCCUGUUCAUCCAGAGGCAACGCCACCGCUCACUGUUCAUCCACCCCCCACCCCCCGCCCCGCAACGCUCACUGUUCAUCCAGAGAGGCAGCAUCGAUUGGCAUCAGUUAGCAGCAGUAGCGGCGGAAUCGCUCGAUCGUGUUCAGUUAACAGCCAUCGAUCGAUCGCUCGGGUUCAGUAACACGUAGCCUACAGUGCAAUCGCUCAGGUUCAGUUAAAGCCCAAUGCCUCGCUCAGGUUCAGUUAGAGCCAACGCCUCGCACACACACGCGUACGUGUACGAGAGAAAUGUGCAUCGCUCGGCCCCCGGCCGCCCACCGUAACCGGGAACUCCCCGAAAUUUUCCUCGCCCUCGCUUCUACCACGGUUUUUUCCGUCAUGGAUGGCCCAAAGAAUGUAAUGCAACUGUGUGCCCGCCCAGGACGAAAAGCCCAUUUUCUGUCAAUUUUUUUUGUCAUAGAAGUAAGAGCCCGUCACAUCUAUGAUGAUACCGGGUUUUGUCACAAUUAUCGUCAUAGAAGUAUCAUAAGUAUGAUAGAAAAAAAAUUUGUUCGGCACAAAAUGUCACGGAUGUCUCUUUUUUUGUAGUGUUAGGGGUACAAUCGAUGACAAUUUGAUUGGUCGAGAUCCAGCUCAUGUUUAAAAUGACGUUUGAGCCGGAAGGAUGAAUUCUAGGAUCGGAUUAAGGAUUGCAAGCAUUCACAACAUAUUGAAUCAACAGAUUUAAAAUGAUAAUGACAAGGGAUGCCAAUAAGAUUACGAGAGUUAUGGGAUUAACCAUAAUGCAAGAAACCAAGAAUUUCAAGAGCAAUAGGCUGCUCAGGAUUUUCGGAAGACCGAAUGGUACUUCGAAGACUUUUGGGAAACACAUGAACAACUGGGAAUGAGCGGAUACUCGAUAAGUGCGAGGAAUUAUCCGUAGGGGUAUUCAGGUGGCAAAGAACUACAAGGCAAUAGGCAAAAGUAUUCUUGGAACAAUAGAGAGAAUUUUGAGGUACCUUGUAGUAACAAGAUCAACUGGGAAUAAAAGUAAAAAUGACAAGUGUAUGCAUCUAUCCAUAGGGAUAUAUGGGUGGUAGGGAAUUGCAAAAGUGACGGGAACAAAGUCUCGAGAAAACAUGGGAGAGUAUCUUCGAAAUCUUCUGGCGCACUAAGCAAUCAUCUAGAGUGAGGGGAUCUCCGGAAGGAAGUAGUUACGAGAACCUAGAGUUAGAGUCAGUAAAAAUCAUUUAACCUGAAUAGAAGAGAGAUCAGAGUCCCAGAGUAUAAACAAGGAAUAAAAGAUCUAAUACCACCCAAUGGCGACGUGGGCCUAUAAGGCAGACAGCCAUGUUAGGAAAAUUUUAGCAAUGUCUAGACUCGACUUCGACCAAGGAGUGUGGAAGGGGGAUUCCAACAGGCAGUCGGCUCUGAUACCAACCUGUGACACCCCCGAUUCAAUCAUACACUAAUCAUGCACGAAAAUGUGUUCGACCAAGAUUAGGGACUCACGGGAAGAUAUCACUACACAACUCUAGACACAAAUUGAAGAUUAUACAAGAUUCAUAUUACAAGCCAGGAGCCUCGACGGCUCGAAUACAUAAGUUCGAUCAUAAAUGAGUCAACGGAAGCAACAAUACCUACGUACAUGCAUAAGUUAAACAAGGUGCUAUAAGAUUGCUAGUAGAAACUGGGAUACAGAUUAAAAGAGGCGCAUGCCUCCUGCCUGGGAUCCUCCUCCACUACUCCUGGUCGUCUGCGGCCUGCACGUAGUAGUAGGCACCCUCGAUAUGUUAGGGGUCGUCGUCCACGGUGGCGUAUGGCUCCUAGGGUCCAACAUCUGGUUGCAACAUCCGAGAAGAAUGGAAAGGGGAAAAGAGGGAGCAAAGCAACCGUGAGUACUCAUCCAAAGUACUCGCAAGCAAGGAUCUACACUACAUAUGCAUUGGUAUCUGUAUAAAGCGGUAAUAUCAAUGGAUUGAACUGUAGAAUGCUAGAAUAAGAGGGGGAUAGCUAGUCCUACCGAAGACUACGCUUCUGGCAGCUUCCAUCUUUAAGCAUGUAGAAGAGAGUAGCUGGUAAGUUCACCAAGUAUCAUCGUAUAGCAUAAUCCUACUAGGCGAUCCUCUCCUCGUCGCCCUGUGAGAGAGCGAUCACCGGGUUGUAUCUAGCACUUAAAAGGGUGUGUUUUUUAAGUAUCCGGUUCUAGUUAUCAUAAGGUCGAUGUACAACUCCGGGUUGUCCUGUUACCUUGGACACGACUAUUCAAAUAGAUCAAUCUUCCCUGCAGGGGUGCACCAAAUUACCCGACAUGCUCGAUCCCUCUUGCCAGGCACACUUUCUGGGUCAUGUCUGGCCUCCGGAGAUCAACGUGUCACAUCCCUACCUAGGCUCAAUAGACAGGUCAACACGCCGGUCUAAAUCCUAAGCGUGAGGGGUCUGGGCCCAUCGCCCGUUGCACACCUGCAUGUUGCGAACGCGGCCAGAAGCAAACCUGGCCUCCCUAAUACAAGAGCAGGCGUUCUAGUCCAAUCCGGCGCGUAGAACUUUAAGGCUGAGGUCCAGAAGGCUCCGGCUGAUACCACGAUGUCGGUUGCCCAUAUCUUGUCCCACGUGGCAGUUAGUGUGUAUAAGGUCAACGAUCCAACUCAGAUCAAAUACCAAGAUCUCGUUAAGCGUGUUAUUUUGAAAUAACCGCAGACGCCGACCAGGAUCAGGCCCACCUGUCUCCUAGGUGGUCACAACCUGCCAUGUCGCUCCGUCACAAAGAUCCACUCAGAGGGUCGGCUGGACAAAUGUCCUUUCAACCCCAAAUCCGUGAAUCACUCGCGGGUACUCUUUGAGACGACCCGACUUUAGUCAAAUCAUGUAACCUGUAUAGUGUGUAUGUAUGUAUAAAUAUACCCAUGAUCACUUCCCGAGUGAUCACGACCCGAUAAUAUAGCAUGGCAGAUGGACAACAAUGUUGGGCCACUGAUGAUAAACUAGCAACCUAGAUUAAGCAUGUAGGAUUGCAGGUAAAGGCAUCAACAAUCGUAGCAACAAUGACAGGCUAUGCAACAGAAUAGGAGCUAUCGAAUCAACAAUAGUAGCAAAACUAAUGCAAGAAUAAGAGAGAAGAGAGUGGGCGAUAUCUGGUUGAUCAAAGGGGGUUUGCUUGCCUGGAAGCUCUGCAUACAGAUACGGAUCCUCGACGGUGAAGUAGUCGACCACCGGAUCAACUGCGGUCUCGAGGUCUACCGGAAAGAAGUAACGGAUGAGGGAACACAAUAAAUAACACAACAAUCAAUGCAUCACAAAGUAUGACAUAGCAAUAUGCAGUGCUAGGGGUGACCUAACGCUGUGCUAAGCAUUACGGACGGAGCGGGAAAUAUCCGGUAAUAUUUUCUCGGCUCCCAGCAUUUAUCGGACAGACGAACCAGAGGGAAAUGUUCCAUGUUUGCACUGUUGUGAGCACAUCACAGGUAUGUGGGUGGCAUAUUCGGAUUCGUCUCAUUUUUCUGAUUAUUUUUCAUAUAUAAAUUAUUUUCAUCGUAGUUACGGUUUAUUUUCUAUGAAUUUCAAAGUUUAAAUGAUUUUCUGAAUUUAUAGAAUUCUUUUAAUCAAAAAAUAAACAGCAAAAUACUUUUGUCACCUAGUGCUAUUCUAGCCAUAGUGUAUGACAUUAGGCCAGUGGGGUUGGGUUGACCCAGUCAAAUGUUGACUAGUCAACAUAUAAACUGUGUAGGGGGCCACAUGUCAUUGACUUUGUCUUUUGUUAAAAUUUGUUUUUCUUUAACCUAAGAGUGGGUCUACAUGCCAUCUACUAUCUAAUUAGCUAGUACUACUAAUUAGACUAACUAACCGGCCGGCCACAUGCGCGGCUAUGGCACAGCCCGCCAGACACACAACCCACACACACACAAGACGCAUACACACCAGCUCAUGGCCAUGGCUAUAGAGCACCAGCAGCGGCAGCUAACAAGGCGGCGUAGCAGCGGUGUAAGAGCAGCAACGGGAAGUGAUACGUCUUCGUCGUAUUUAUAAUUUUUGAUUGUUCCAUGCCAAUAUUUCACAACUUUCAUAUACUUUUGGCAACUUUUUAUACUAUUUUUGGGACUAACAUAUUGAUCCAGUGCCCAGUGCCAGUUUCUGUUUGUUGCUUGUUUUAUAUUUCACAUAAAUCCCAUAUCAAACGAAGUCCAAACGGGAUAAAAACGGCCGGAGAAUUAUUUUGGAAUAUUUGUGAUUUUUGGAAAGUAAAAUCAACGCAAGACGGUGCCCGAGGGGGCCAGGAGACAGGGGGCGCCCAUGGGAGGCAGGCACACCCUGGACUCUCCUGGGCACCACGUAAGGCGGUUGACGCUCUUCUUUUGCCGCAAGAAAGCUAAUUUUAUGAGAAAAAUCUGGGCGAAAGAUUCACCCCAAUCGGAGUUACGGAUCUCCGAAUAUAAAAGAAAUGAUGAAGGGGCAGAAUCAUGGAAUGCAAAAAUAGAGAGAGACAGAGAGAUAGAUCCNNNNNNNNNNNNNNNNNNNNNNNNNNNNNNNNNNNNNNNNNNNNNNNNNNNNNNNNNNNNNNNNNNNNNNNNNNNNNNNNNNNNNNNNNNNNNNNNNNNNNNNNNNNNNNNNNNNNNNNNNNNNNNNNNNNNNNNNNNNNNNNNNNNNNNNNNNNNNNNNNNNNNNNNNNNNNNNNNNNNNNNNNNNNNNNNNNNNNNCCAUCUAUGGAGAAGGUCAAGGAAGAAGAAGAAGAAGGGGGGCUCUCUCCCCCUUGCUUCCGGUGGUGCUGGAGCGCUGCCUGGGACAAUCAUCAUCACCGCGAUCUACACCAACACCUCCGCCAUCUUCACCAACAUCUCCAUCACCUUCCCAUUCUAUCUAUAGCGGUCCACUCUCCCGCAACCCGCUGUACCCUCUACUUGAACAUGGUGCUUUAUGCUACAUAUUAUUAUCCAAUGAUGUGUUGCCAUCCUAUGAUGUCUGAGUAGAUUUUCAUUGUCCUAUCGGUGAUUGAUGAAUUGCUAUGAUUGGUUUGAGUUGCAUGUUUUAUUAUUGGUGCUGUCCUAUGGUUCUCUUCGUGUCACGCAAGUGUGAGGGAUCCCUGCUAUAGGGUUUGCAAUAUGUUCAUGAUUUUAUUAUGGUGGGUGGCUUGAGUGACAGAAGCAUAGACCUGAGUAAGUAGGUUGUUUGCGCAUGGGAUAAAGGGGACUUGGUACUUUAAUGCUAUGGUUGGGUUUUACCUUAAUGAUCUUUAGUAGUUGCAGAUGCUUGCUAGAGUUCCAAUCAUAAGUGCAUAUGAUCCAAGAAUAUAAAGUAUGUUAGCUUAUGCCUCUCCCUCAAAUAAAAUUGCAAUAGUGAUUAUCGGUCUAGUAACAUAGUCAAUUGCUUUGGGACAAUUUCACAACUCCUACCACCACUUUUCCACACUCGCUAUAUUUAAUUUAUUGCUUCUUUCUCUAAAUAGCCCCUACUUUUUAUUUAUGUGUUCUUUAUUAUCUUGCAAACCUAUCCAAUAACACCUACAAAGUACUUCUAGUUUCAUACCUUUUCUAGGUAAAGCGUACACUAAGCCUGCCUAGAGUCGUAUCAGUGGCAGAUAGGACUUGAGAUAAUAUUUGUUCUAACUUUAGCUCCGCGUUGGGUUCGACACUCUUACUUAUUGGAAGAGGCUACAAUUAUCCCCUACACUUGUGGGUGAUCAAGACCUUUUUCUGGCGCCGUUGCCGGGGAGUCAUAGCGUGGGGCGAAUAUUGUCGUGUGUGCUUGUUUGCUUUAUCACUAAGUAAUUUUUAUUUGCUGUUCUAAGUUGUUCUCUGUCUUCAGUUAUGGGUAGGAAACGCAAAAUACCAAAAAAUUAGUUGUACCUACUACACCAAUGGUUGAAGAACCACUCAAAAUCUAUCACACUCCUGAAGCUUUUUAUUUGGAUCAUCUUCGAUCCCUUUGUGCUCGUGCAGAAACCCCCACUAGCUUAGUUGAGGGAAAAUCUUUAGAUGAGCAUGCUUGUUAUGUGCGACACCGUAUAUCUGAAAAAAGGAAACUUUUACUGGAUCAAAUUCAUCGUUUGCAAUGCUAUGCUUGGACUUUAUGUGAAAUAUAUGAUGUUACUUGUUGUUCUGAAAACCCUAAGGAACACUUUCCCUACCAAUGGGAGGUUAUUGAUAAUGGAAUCGUAUCUUCAUAUGCUAAGGGUGUUUAUAAUUACUAUGAUGUUCAACAAAUUGAAGAAUUUGUUGCUUUUAAGGGUGCUUAUGAAAUUGCUUCUUUGAUUGAAAAGUAUGAUGCUACUCUCUACAAAUCUGAAAAUUUUGCCAUACUUGAAUAUUGUUAUGAUAAUUAUGCUUCUAAUGCCUAUGUUAUACCAUAUAUUGAGAAAGUCUCCGCUGUCCAAGAAGAGACUAAUAUUUUGCAGGAAGCUAUGGAAGAAGAAAUUGAUGAAACUGUGAGCUCAUUGGAUGAAAAAGAUGUUGAGGAGAGCGAAUAACAAAAGGAGGAAGAGCGGAUUAGCUACCCGUGCUCACCUUCCAAUGAGAGUAACUCUUCAACUCAUACAUUGUUUAAUUCCCCUUCAUGCUUACCGUAGGAUGAUUGCUAUGAUGAUUGUUAUGAUCCCGUUGAUUCACUUGAAAUAUCCCUUUCAAGAUGCCAAUAUGAAUUAUGCUUAUGGAGAUGAACUUGCUAUAGUUCCUUAUGUUAAACAUGAAGUUGUUGCUAUUGCACCCACACAUGAUAGUCCUAUUAUCUUUUUGAAUUCUCCAAACUACACUAUAUCAGAGAAGUUUGUGCUUAUUAAGGAUUACAUUGAUGGAUUGCCUUUUACCAUUGCACAUGAUGAUUUUGAUAGAUUGUAAUAUGCAUGUGCUUGCUGCUCCUACUUGCAAUUAUUAUGAGAGAGGAAUUAUAUCACCACCUCUCUAUGUUUCCAACACGAUAGAAUUGCAAGAAACUACUUAUACUAUGCAUUGGCCUUUACUUGAUGUGCAUGAAUUGUUAUUUUAUGACAUGCCGUUGCAUAGGAAGAGAGUUAGACUUCGUUGUUGCAUGAUAUAUGCUACUUUGUGCUCACUACUAAAUUACAAAUCAUUGUUAAUUAAAAUUGGCUUUGAUAUACCUUGGGAUCCGGGUGGAUUCAGUACUUGAACACUAUAUGCCUAGCUUAAUGCCUUUAAAGAAAGCGCUGCCAGGGAGACAACCCGGAAGUUGUAGAGAGUCAUUUAUUGUUGUUGAGUGCUUUUAUAUAGUUUAAAAAAAUAGGGGAACCCAUAACUUUUCAAAAAGGAAAGUGAAAGUGAGAGAGACAAGCAUUGUUGAAGUGGGAGAGCUCCUUGAACUUUAUUCAUGCUCACGGAAACUUUGAUUACAGAAACUUUUCAUAAAAAAUAAUUAUCCCCCUGUACAAUUCCAUUGUAUUAUAAAAAUAAUGUGCUAAGGUUUGCUUUUAGGAGGUUUACAAUGCAUGUUGGUUUGUACGGUGCAGGACAGAAACUUUGGCUGUAGUGCGAGAUUUUACAUUUUUUACUGGAACGCCAAAAGGUUAUGAUUCUUUUUGCGCUGUAUUUCUGUACAAAUUGUUUAUUUUUACUGAUUUUGGUAGAAUUGUUGGGGUACCAGAAGUAUGGUGAAUGUUCAGAUUUCUACAGACUGUUCUGUUUUUGACAGAUUCUGUUUUUGAUGCAUAGUUUGCUUGUUUUGAUAAACUAUCAAUUUAUAUCAGUGGAUUAAGCCAUGGAAAAGCUAUAUUACAGUAUACACAAUGCAAAAACAAAAUAUUAAUUAGUUUGCAACAGUACUUAGAGUGGUGAUUUGCUUAAUUAUACUAACGGAUCUUACCGAGUUUUCUGUUGAAGUUUUGUUUGGAUGAAGUGUUUUGAUCGAGAAGGUCUCGAUAUGAGGAAAAGGAGGAGAGGCAAGAGAUCAAGCUUGGGGAUGCCCAAGGCACCCCAAGUAAAUAUUCAAGGAGACUCAAGCUUCUAAGCUUAGGUAUGCCCCGAAAGGCAUCCCCUCUUUAUUCAACAAGUAUCAGUAUGUUUUCGUAUUCAUUUCGUUCAUGCGAUAUGUGCAAGUCUUGGAGCAUCUUUUGCAUUUAGUUUUCACUUUUCUUUUAUGCACCAUGCUGGUAUGAGAUAGUCCUUGGUUGAUUUAUAGAAUGCUCAUUGCACUUCACUUAAAUAUUCUGAGUAUGGCUUUAUAGAAUGCUUCAUGUGCUUCACUUAUAUCUUUUGAAGUUUGGAUUGCCUAUUUCUCCUCACAUAGAAAACCGCCAUUUCUAGAAUGCUCUUUUGCUUCACUUAUAUUUGUUAGAGCAUGGGCAUAUCUUUUGUAGAAAGAAUUAAACUCUCUUGCUUCACUUAUACCUAUUUAGAGAGAUGACGGGAAUUGGUCAUUCACAUGGUUAGUCAUAAAAUCCUACAUAAAACUUGUAGAUCGCUGAAUAUGAUAUGUUUGAUUCCUUGCAAUAGUUUUGCGAUAUAGAGAUGGUAAUAUGUGGGAGGUACUAGUAGAUGGUUGUGUUCAGUAAGGAUGUUGGUGUUAAGUUUUGUGAUUCCCGAAGCAUGCACAUAUGGUCUACUAACUAUGUAACCAAAUUGGCACACAUUGUAUUUUGAUUGUUUAUCUUUGCGUGAAGGUCGGGGGCGCGUGAUGGUUAAUUCCUACCAACCUCCCCCCUAGGAGCAUGCGUGUAGUACUUUGUUUCAAGGGCUAGUAAAUUUUUGCAAUAAGUAUGUGAGUUCUUUAUGACUAAUGUUGAGUCCAUGGAUUAUACGCACUCUCACCCUUCCAUCAUUGCUAGCCUCUUCGGUACGGUGCAUUGCCCUUUCUCACCUCGAGAGUUGGUGCAAACUUUGCCGGUGCAUCCAAACCCCGUGAUAUGAUACGCUCUAUCACACAUUAGCCUCCUUAUAUCUUCCUCAAAACAGCCACCAUACCUACCUAUCAUGGCAUUUUCAUAGCCAUUACGAGAUAUAUUGCCAUGCAACUUCCAUCAUCAUCAUAUACAUGACUUGAGCAUUCAUUGUCAGAUUGCUUUGCAUGAUCGUAAGAUAGCUAGCAUGAUGUUUUCAUGGCUUGUCCGUUUUUUGAUGUCAUUGUUAUGCUAGAUAAUUGCACAUCCCGGUACACCGCCGGAAGCAUUCAUAUAGAGUCAUCUUUGUUCUAGUAUUGAGUUGUAAUAUUGAGUUGUAAGUAAAUAAAAGUGUGAUGAUCAUCAUUAUAGAGCAUUGCCCCAUGAAAAAAAAGAAAAAAGAAAAAAAAGGAAAGGCCAAAGAAGCCUAAAUAAAAAAGGGGGCCAAAGAAGCCCACCCAAAAAAAAAGAAAAAGAACAAAAAGAAAAAAGAAAAAGAAAAGGGGUAAUGUUACUAUCCUUUUACCACACUUGUGCUUCAAAAUAGCACCAUGUUCUUCAUAUAGAGAGUCUCCUAUGUUAUAACUUUCAUAUACUAGUGGGAAUUUUCAUUAUAGAACUUGGCUUGUAUAUUCCAAUGAUAGGCUUCCUCAAAUGCCCUAGGUCUUCAUGAGAAAGCAAGUUGGAUGCACACCCACUUAGUUUCAGUUUGAGCUUUCAUACACUUAUAGCUCUAGUGCAUCCAUUGCAUGGAAAUCCCUACUCCUCGCAUUGACAUCAAUUGAUGGGCAUCUCCAUAGCCCGUUGAUUAGCCACGUCGAUGUGAGACUUUCUUCCUUUUUGUCUUCUCCACAUAACCUCCACCAUCAUAUUCUAUUCCACCCAUAGUGCUACAUCCAUGGCUCACGCUCACGUAUUGCGUGAAAGUUGAAAAAGUUUGAGAAUACUGAAGUAUGAAACAAUUGCUUGGAUGACACAGGGAUAGGCAUGAGGGGUACCUUGUGUUAAGAAAAGGGAGCAUACAAGACUAUAUGAUUUUGUAGGGAUAACAUUCUGAAGCAUUGAUAUUUUGAAAGACAUGAUUGUUUGUUGGGAUAAUAAGUAUUAUUAUUUUUAUGUCAAAUGAUAGACUACUGCUUUGAAUCUCUCGUGUCUUAAUAUUCAUGCCAUGAUUAGAUAUAUGAUCAAGAUUAUGCUAGGUAGCAUUCCACAUCAAAAAUUAUAUUUUUUACCAUUUACCUACUUGAGGACGAGCAGGAAUUAAGCUUGGGGAUGCUGAUACGUCUCCGUCGUAUCUAUAAUUUUUAAACACAUAUUUCAGGGGUAUAUGCUUCCCAAGGGAAAGCAGAGCACGAUAUCCAUGACAGGAUAUAAACUAGAAAACCAUUUAGGUAAGGGGAGAGGAAUUUCAUGACAUUACCCAAACAAUGGUGUUUGGAUAAUUGACGGGAAAAAAAUUAGCAUUGUGCUUCAAAUGUUCUUAUUGAAGAUCGGAGGACCGAAGACAUGCUUCAAGAGAGCAUUGGCAUGGUCUUCAAGCAAGGUUAGACUUUGGGUACUCAAAGGAUUCAUCAGGAACAACUUAUAGAAUAAGUCUUACAAUUUCCUCAUGGAAGAAUGGUUAACCUUGCUAAAAAGGAAACUAUAACAAUAUGGCCUCGGCCAGGUGUGCUAGGCAUGACAUCACCUUACUGGGUCAUAUAAAGACCAAUGUUAUAACUCUUGGAAAUAUGUUCCAACCAUCAUAUUUGACCGAGAUUCAGAUCUGAUUGGUGUCAGGAUACCUCAGACUCAGGAUGCUUGAGAAGAAAAAGGUGCGACACAUAUUGACGAGAUGACAUUGUAAGAUUCUCGGGAAAUGAACUAUGGGAGCGAGUUCUGAAACAAGAGUUCAUCAUUAAUCAAGGAGAUGGCGGAGGUGGCUGAUGGACUCAGCGACAAUUAAUUUAGAUUUCCAAAAAGAUGGAUUUGCACAAUUAUGUGAAGGAGAUAACAUUUGUAAGAUCAAAUGAUAUAACGAUGUAUGCUCAAGGAGAACAUCCACGAGUAAACAUUGGUUGAAAGGUGCACCCGAAAUAUGGGCUUAGGUAGCAUGAUCAAUGUUAGAAUGGUGACUCGAUAACCAAUACACAAAGAAUGAAACUAUUGUUCAUUAACUUACAGGCAAUAUGGUUGCUAGAAGUUUUGAAUUUUACACAUCACGGUCCAGUUGUCAGUAUUCUGGUUAGGAACAACAUGGGGACCAAGAACUGAAUGUAGACUAUGAGAUAUAUCCCUUGUAUCAAGAAUUCUUAAGAGGUGGUGAAAUUCUCACAACUUUCUUGAUACAUAAAAUGGUAAUACUCCAAGGUAGGACAUAAGAUAAGUUGGAUUUCCAGGAACUCAAGGUACAGCCACAACACGAACAAGUUUGUGUUGGAAAGAAGGCAAUGAAGUAGUUGAUGAUAACAAAAAUUACGAAGGAUAAGGAUGGUAAUCCCCAUCAGGAAUUCGAUAAAUAUCCUGGAAGGAGUCAAAAUGUUGUUGAUGAUCAUGACAAAUUUGGUCGAGAGGCUCCAUGAAGAAGCAAUCGAACAGUGACUGCGUCAAGCAAAAGUACUGAUGCAACGAAACAUUAUUGGAUCCAUGAAUAUGACACCAACUCGGAAUCAAGCUUGUUAUUCGUGGUGGAAUGAUAAGACAAGGGAAUCGACAUAAGAUUAGGUCAUCCUCGAAGUUGUGCUCCGAGAGUAAGGAACAGGUAGCACAGUUAAAAUCGGCAUGAUAAUGAUAUAGCCGAGCAGGCCAGGAAUGACAUGGUCGAGUACAAACUCGUGAGUAAAGGAGAUUACCAAGAGUUGUGUAAUCAUGGUGCGGACCUGAUUUAGUUAUCGGUGUCCUCGAGUGAAUAACAACAAGGAAACCAGGAAAAAUUGAAAUUAAUGAGGAAUAAUACUUGAUGAAGGCUCAUAAUAAGCAACAUGGUUCGGUGCUAUUAGCGGGAUACCAGAGGGUAAUACUCGGAGGUAGAGCAAAAUAGAGGGUUGACAAGUGUAUUGAUCUGCAGAAGACAAGUACUUUAACUUGUCUGAGAAAAGGAAUCAAGGAAUAUCAAUAUGGCUGAAACCAUUGCUACAACGGAUCCAAUUUAAUGACACCGAAAGAAUUAUCCAACUGAUUAAAUGUUUUGCAAGAAUCUUCCAUGAUAAGUUCCACAUCGGGUCCAUGGACAUGAACACUAAUUUCAAGGUCAACUCCCACUUCUCCAAAGCAGAACCUUACAUUCACUUCUCGUUUCGAAAAUGGCAUUAGCGUUGAAAGUUUUACCUGGUGAAAUACCAGAUGCGUAUGACCCGUGAAACCUCUCGGAUUUACAAAGAUUAGGGAAAGCAAUGGUUCAACCCAUCGGGGCAUCUUAGGAACAUAUGCCACAAACUUUAGAGUAAAUAUCACCAACUUGAAAGUAGAGUAUGGUUGGACAAAUCAAAGAAUAGGAUUUACCAAUGGCAUUAUUAUCAACAAAAGAACUCCAGGUUUUGAGAAUAUGCAAGAACGGUCGAAUAAUAAUCCACCAAAGGAUCUAGCGGACUGCAAAGGAUCUAAGGUGAGUAACAGUACCCAACCAGAAGAAGAAAGAAUGCAAGGGAUCAGAUUAUAGAAACAACUGACUAAUUCCAAGCUCAAAUGUAAAGGAAAUAUGAUUUCCAAAUCAAGGGAUCAAAAGCAAACGCUCUGAUUAAGGAUGGAUAAGUUGAGUAAGCUUAGGGGUACAAUCGACGACAAUUUGAUUGGUCGAGAUCCAGCUCAUGUUUAAAAUGACGUCUGAGCUGGAAGAAUGAAUUCUAGGAUCUGAUUAACGAUUGCGAGCAUUCACAACAUAUUGAAUCAACGGAUUCAAAAUGAUAAUGACAAGGGAUUCCAAUAAGAUUAUGAGACUUAUGGGAUUAAGCAUAAUGCAAGCAAGCAAGAAUUUCAAGGCAAUAGGCUGCUCAGGAUUUUCGGAAGACGGAAUGGUAUUUCUAAGACUUUUGUGAAACACAUGAACAAUUGGGAAUGAUCGGAUGCUCGAUAAGUGCGAGGAAUCAUCCGUAGGGGUAUUUAGGUGGCAAAGAACUACAAGGCAAUAGGCACAAGUAUUCUCGGAACAAUAGAGAGAAUUUCGAGGUACCUUGUAAUAACAAGAUCAACUCGGAAUAAAAGUAAGAACGACAAGUGUAUGUAUUUAUCCAUAGGGAUAUAUGGGUGGUAGGGAAUUGCAAAAGCAACGGACACAAAGUCUCGAGAUAACAUGGGAGAGUAUCUUCGAAAUCUUCUGGUGCACCAAGCAAUCAUCUAGAGUGAGGGGCUCUCCGGAAGGAAGUAGUUACGAGAACCUAGAGUUAGAGUUAGUAAAAAUCAUUUAACCUGAAUAGAAGAGAGAUCAGAGUUCCAAAGUAUAGACGAGGAAUAAAAGAUCCUAAUACCACCCAAUAGCAACGUGGGCCCGUAAGACACACAACCAUGUUAGUAAAAUUUUAGCAAUGUCUAGACUCGACUUAAGCCAAGGAGUGUGGAAGGGGGAUUCCAACAGGCAGACGUCUCUAAUACCAACUUGUGACACCCCAAUUCGAUCAUACACUAAUCAUGCACGCAAAUGUGUGCGACCAAGAUCAGGGACUCAUGGGAUGAUAUCACUACACAACUCUAGACAUAAAUUAAAGAUCAUACAAGCUUCAUAUUACAAGCCAGUGGCCUCGAGGGCUCGAAUACAUAAGCUCAAUCAUAAAUGAGUCAGCGGAAGCAAUAAUAUCUGAGUACAAACAUAAGUUAAACAAGGUGCCAUAAGAUGGCUAGCACAAACUGGGAUACAGAUCGAAAGAGGCGCAUGCCUCCUGCCUGGGAUCCUCCUAAACUACUCCUGGUCGUCGUCGGCCUGCACGUAGUAAUAGGCACCUUCGGUGUAGUAGGGGUCGUCGUCCAUGGUGGCGUCGGGCUCCUGGGGUCCAACAUUUGGUUGCGACGUCCGAGAAGAAUGGAAAGGGGGAAAAGAGGGAGCAAAGCAACCACGAGUACUCAUCCAAAGUACUCACAAGCAAGGAUCUACACUACAUAUGCAUUGGUAUCUAUAUAAAGGGGUAAUAUUAGUGGACUGGACUACAGAAUGCCAUAAGAAGAGGGUGAUAGCUAGUCCUAUCAAAGACUACACUUCUGGCAGCCUCCAUCUUGAAGCAUGUAGAAGAGAGUAGCUGGUAAAUCACCAAGUAUCGUCGUAUAGCAUAAUCCUACCAGUCGAUCCUUUCCUCGUCGCCCUGUGAGAGAGUGAUCACCGGGAUGUAUCUAGAACUUUAAAGGGUGUGUUUUAUUAAGUAUCCGGUUCUAGUUAUCAUAAGGUUGAAGUACAACUCCGAGUAGUCCUAUUACUGUCGACACAGCUAUUCGAAUAGAUCAAUCUUCCCUGCAGGGGUGCACCACAUUACCCAUCAUGCUCGAACCCUUUGGCUGGGUACACUUUCCUGGGUCAUGUCCGGCCUCGGGAGAUCAACACGUCACAGCCUACCUAGGCUCAACAGAGAGGUCAGCACGCCGGUCUAAAUCCUAAGCGCGCAGGGGUCUGGGCCCAUCGCCCGUUGCACACCUGCAUGUUGCGAACGCGGCCGGAAGCAGACCUAGCCUCCCUAAUACAAGAGCAGGUGUUCCAGUCGAAUCCGGCGCGCACCGCUUUGUCGCUGAGGUCAAGAAGGCUUCGGCUAAUACCAUGACACCGGUUGCCCAUAUCUUGUCCCAGGUGGCAGUUAGUGCGUAUAAGAUCAACGACCCAACUCAGAUCCAAUACCAAGAUCUUGUUAAGCCUGUUAUUUUGAAGUAACCGUGGACGCCGUCCAGGACCAGGCUCACAUGUCUCCUAGGUGGUCAAAACCUGCCCUAUCACUCCGCCACAAAGAUCCACUCAGAGGGCCGUCUAGACAAAUGUCCUUUCAACCCCCAAUCCGUGAAUCACUCGCGGGUACUCUACAAGCCGACCCGACUUUAGUCACAUCAUGUAACUUGUAUAGUAUGUAUGUAUAAAUAUACCCGUGAUCACCUCUUGAGUGAUCAUUGCCCGAUAAUAUAGCAUGGCAGAUGGACAAUAAUAUAGGACCACUAAUGAUAAGCUAGCAACCGAUAAUAAGCAUGUAGGAUUGCAGGUAAAGGUAUCAACAAUCAUAGCAACAAUAACAAGUUAUGCAACAGAAUAGGAGCUAUGAAAUCAACAACACUAGCAAAACUAAUGCAAGUAUAAGAGAAAGAGAGUGGGAGAUAUCUGGUUGAUCAAAGGGGGUUUGCUUGCCUGGAAGCUCUGCAGAGAGAUACGGAUCCUCGACGGUGAAGUAGUCGACCACCGGUUCAACCGCGGUCUCGGGGUCUACCGGAAAGAAGUAAUGGAGGGGGGAACACAAUAAAUAACAGAGCAAUCAAUGCAUCACAAAGUAUGACAUAGCAUUACACAGUGCUAGAGGUGACCUAAUGUUGUGCUAAGCGUUAUGGACGGAGCGGGAAAUAUCGGGUAAUAUUUUCUCGGCUCCAGGCAUUUAUCAGAGAGAUGAACCGGAGGGAAAUGUUCCAUGUUUGCAGUGUUGGGGGCACAUGACAGGUAUGUGGGUGGCAUAUUCGGAUUCGUCACAUUUUUCUGAUUAUUUUUCGUAUAUAAAUUAUUUUCAUCAGAGUUACGGUUUAUUUUCUUUGAAUUUACAAAGUUUAAAUGAUUUUCUGAAUUUACAGAAUUCUUCUAAUCCGAAAAUAAAACAGCAAAAUACUUUUGUCACUUAGUGCUAUUCUAGCCAUAGUGUAUGACAAUGGGGCCUGUGGGGUUGGGUUGACCCAGUCAAAUGUUGACGAGUCAACAUAUAAACUGUGUAGGGGACCACCUGUCAUUGACUUAGACUUUUGUUGAAAUUUGUUUAUCUUUAAACUAACAGUGGGUCUACAUGUCAUCUACUAUCUAAUUAGCUAGUACUACUAAUUAGACUAACUAACCGGCCGGUCACACGCGCGGCUGUGGCACAGCCCGCCACAGACACACACAGCGCACACACGCCAGCUCAUGGCCAUGGCCAUAGAGCAGCAGCAACGGCAGCUAACAAGGCGGCGUAGGAGCAGUGUAAGUAGUGUAAUAAGGCUAACUCCAACGCGCGACCCCAUCCGAUACAGCCCCGUCCGUUUGAGGUAAAAUAAACAAAUCAGACAGCCUAGCGCGCGACGGCCUGAACCCAUCUGGUCCGUCUUGUGUUCGGGCCGACCCAUUUCGGACGCAAACAUGCGCGCGGUUUGGGUCACGGCGACGGCAAACGGACGCUUCGCUCAUCCGCAUCGGGGCCGCGUGGCAGGCGGCCACCUACCUCCCACCGCCUGACAUAAAUGCACACAGGUGGUCGACCCCACCUGUCAUCUGCCCAGGCGAACGGUCGCCGUCCUUCUUAAAAGGGGAAGCCGUGGACCAUUCGUCGUCCACACUCCCAAGUCCAGCCCUUCCUGCCUCCUCGAAACAAACACCCUAAACCCUAGCCUCUCCCCAUCCCCGAUCUCAUCAGCCGACCACCUCGUAGCCAUGGGCUUCUGGACCCACGGCCGCAAGGGGAAGCACGACCGCGAGGCUAGCUCAUCCUCGGGCCGCCGCCGCGGCUCCGUGAAGUACAUUGCCGCGUCCGGCCCCCACGCCUGCCCCAUUCACCAUCGGCCCUACGGCCGGCGGCGAGCGCGACUGGCAGUACAUUGCCGCGGAUGUAUGACGGCGUUAUUGGGAGACGAGGACGCCGCUCCCGUGGAGCGACAUGCACCUCCCAAUAACUGGCACCUCCCCGUCGACCGGGUCCCGAUCCCGCCGGUCCCGAUGAGCGGCCAUGCGCGCUGCGAGGAGAUCGAGCAUCGCCGCUGCCUCCUGCCGGGCGACAUAUACUAUGACAAUAGGUACGACCCCAACUCCCGGCUCUGGGACACGUGGCUCCAGCACGAGCACGACGUGCGGUGCGUGUCAUUCUUCGCUGGCACCUCGUCGGGGCCACGGCGGCCACUUCGAGAGCAUGCAGCGCAUGCUUCCCAGGUGCGCGGGCGUACAAGGGUGUGCGGACUCACGCCAACGUCGUCGCCUUCACCGUCUCCAUCUCUGUCUCCAUCACCACCACCUCGCAUGACAGCGGAGGAGGAGACCUGGCUCAUGCAGCCUGUCAUGGAGGACUCCAUGCGCAGGCACGAUGAGCGCCAAUGGGAGGGCCUCGAGGAGAUGAUGGCCCUCUCUGCGGCCGGUGAUGUCGACAUCCCCGAGCUGGAGAUGGUGAAGGCGGAGAAGGUGAUAGAGGAGGAGCCGGUGGCCACGUUCCACCCGGGCCUGGUGGGCCAGAAGUGGAGCUGGUCAUGCACGGCUCCGGAGAUGGCCGACGCCGUGGGGGGCAUGAACUGGUACCCUACGCCGCCGUGGUCACGCCAUGGGAGGAGGUGGUGCAGGAACCUCCGGCCUUCCAGCCCGCCCCCGUGUAUCACGCGCCGCCGUCCCACCUCUGGACGCCGCCGGACUACGUCGACCUCAUCAGCGACGAUGACGAUAAUGGCGGCCACUGAAGACGGCCACGGCCACGUCAUCGACCGGCACGGCACGAGCACGCGGGCUGAUUUGUUUUGUUUUUAUGUUAAUUAUGGCAAUGUGAAGCGUGGAACUGGGCCGUUUUGUGGGCGUGAUGGUUAAUUUAUGUUUUAUGUUUUUAUAUUCGUGUUUAUUUAAUUUUUUCGGCAAUUUAUUUUAGUUUUUUUGUUUUUUUAAUCACGUCCACCCCGGACAUGAUUUGGGGUGAGGCCGCGGGUUGGGCGCACCCAAAACCCAACGAACAGAAGUGAGCACAGGCGAACCCAUUGCCACCCAAAAGGAUAAAAUCCUGCCAAACCGGACGUCUGUUUGGGGUCGUGCGCUGAAGUUGGCCUAAGAGCAGCAGCGGGAAGCAGUAGCAAGGAACAGCUGCGACGCAACGGAGCACCAAGCAGAGCAGCGCAGUAGCAGGCAGCAGAGCAACGACUAGCGGCAUGUAACAUCAGCGACAGUAGUGGGCGGCUUCAGCAAAGAGAAGUAGCAAGCAGAGCAGCAGCGGCACAAGCAGGCAGUAGCAUCACACAGCGGCAACAAUACAGAGCAGCAGCGGCACAUAACAGCGCAGCAGGCAGCCGCAAGCAGCAGAAGGUAGAGCAAUGCGCGACCGCGGCAGUGCAGGGCAGCAGGCGAGCGAGCCGGACCGCACGGACGGGCGCCGGCAGGGGAGCCCAGGGCGCGCACGAGGCUACCAGGGCUCUAGCGCGGCCACGAUGGCUACGUUCGGGGGUGGGGCAUCAACCGCGAUGGACUCGAAGGGGAUCAGUGGGAAAUCGACGCGGUGCUCAUCGGGGAGGACGCAGGCGAGCUCGAGAGGGGUUGGGGAUGGCCCAGAGCAGCAGAUCGACGGGGACGUGCGGCGGCUGUGAUAGAAGAAGUUGAUCGUGCCAUCGUCUUGGGGCCUCUAGGUUCGAACGGAGUAGUUGACGAUGACGAGCGCGACGCGACGGAGCUCCUGGACACACCGGCGAGACGAGAGGCGGUCGGUGGCCGCGGCAUCGACGCGGCGACGGUGACGACCGCGUUGGGUGCCUCUCCAGAUCGAGGAGGAGAGCGAUGAGGAAGAGGAGGGGAUAGUGGCUAGGGUUUGACCUGGGUCACGGGGUUGAUCAUAACCUAGGGGGGCCAUGGGAUGGGUGCCACGGCGGCAUCGCCAGCCAGGGAGGCCGGGAUGGCUGCCACGCUCCCCUCUACCUAGCGGGAGGUCGAGGAAGAUGGAGGUGGGCUGGGCCUCCCUCUCUCUUACUUUUCUCUCUUUCUUUCUUUCUUUCUUUCUUUCUUUCGUUAUUCUUUUUCUGUUUUCUUUCUAAUUUGUUUUGUUUUCUAUUUACUUUCAAUAUUAUUUUGGUUUUAUAAAAUAUGAUACUUGGUCCAUAAUUAGUUAUGCAAUAUUAGGCACUGCCACAAAAGUUUUGGGGGUUAUUUAAAAUAGUUUUUAUCAUAAAUUAGGAAAGGCAAUUUAAAUAAUGAAUUGUCCCCUUGUUUCAUUUAUUUUAGGGAUCUCAACCAAUUUAUAAAAUGUUGGUUAAUGAAUGACAAUUAUUUAGUGGAUAUUUUCAACCUAACGAAGAUUUUCAAUUUACUGUUUGAAGGAAUAAUAAUUUAACUUGUUAUUUCAAUUUCAAUUUGACUCGAAUCUUAAUCAAGUGACAAUUGGCUUAGUAAAUGAUGAUGACAUGGCAUCAUUAGGGUGAGGUUACUGUAGCAUGAGUCUUGGGGUGUUACAAUCUACUAGAUAAUACCCCACCCGUUGCUGCGGGAUGUAUGCAUGGAUACAAUUGAUGAACUAUUUGGAAGCUAAUAGGAAAUAUUGCCACGCUGAAGCAAAUAUGUUAUGUUCUUUACAAAUAAUUAAGUAAGAACAAUGAGUUGCACUUGGACAGAAAACAUGUUUAGUGGAAAUACCGGCACCCUAUAGUACCAUAAAAUCGUAGAUGAUACAAUGCAUUCACGGAUGUAUCAUUUACAUGCAUAGAAGACACUAAUGGAUUAAUUGUACUUCCGACUGAUCACAAUACUUCAGGGUAUGCUUCUGUGAAGAAAGAUCAAUAAAAAUACAAACAGUACUCCAAAUCUCUGAAGGUGAUAACUGUCGUGGACAAACUCAACACAGAUAUGGAGAACAAACCUAUCUGUAACAUUCCUGGGAAAACUUGUGCACAAACAUAUUAGGAAAUAGACUGUUCACGUCAAUGGAAUAUUCCAAAAGUGCUUUUAUCAAUUUAGAGAUACAUAUAGACUAAGGUAUAACGAACCAGAAGGUGAAGAGUUGUUGCUCAGUCAUGUACGUUCAGAAAACCACUUAUAUACUUCUUUAAUAUUUUUCCUCUAGAUUUCUAGAAGGAAACAGAUAAGUAAAUUAUUGUAGCUCAAUUUCUACCAAUACCGUGCAUUAUGUAAGUGUAUAGACACUCAUGCAUAUAGCGAGGGAGUAGUGGACCAUACCAAUUCUAUGUCUGGUCAACCACGACAUAUGCAUCCGGUGAAUUUGACUUCUCUCAAAAAAAUCCGGUGAAUUUGACUGUUUAUUCUUCCUUUCAACAUCCAGCGAAUCCAAACUUUGUUGGAUCUUAAUUUUUAAUAUAUCAUGGAAAUGAUAAGCAUAAUAAGUAGGCAGGAAAUGCUACAACCAACAACAUAUCCUAAAAGUAAAAUAUAUGCCUCCUCGAAAAUUAGGAAUGUAAAAUACAUAACUGAGAUAUAUAGGGGGGUGGAAAAGGAGUAUGUAACUUGUGGAAGAGAUAGACCUGUCAUAAGACUGCAAGAAUGUAUUUCCCUGUGCACCUCUUCUCCAAAACUAAAAAGUAAGUGAUCAUCAUAUCACUUGUAGAAGUGCUAGAUCAUUAAAACAAUUGAAAAUUCUUUCAAACGAACAAUAGAAUAUGUUCAUAAUCAACAAAAUACAGAAGAAAUAGUGGAUGUUCUCCCAAAGGGCCAAAAGCACUUGAGUGCAUCAUCAAAAAUCAACAAACAUCUAAAACACAGAAGAAGGAAAGACAGAGAAUGGCUUAUAUAUUAUUACCAUUCUACCAAACCGGAAGAGAUGAGAUUGCUUACCAGAACCUAGUUGCUCCAUAAAUGAUUCAUAAUGUUAAAGGGCUUCAUUGUCACUGUUGACAGUUCGUUGGAUCGUCAAAUUCAAGUGAAGCGAUGACAACACAAAGCAGUUCGUGAUCCAGUAGGAGAGAAAACCAAGCAGUGCGGAGACUUCAUACAAGGGUUGGUAUAGCUGCAGCCCACCACGGAUGAGUUGCAACCAAGAAUAGACAGUCUGCAUGCUAGUAAAGAUCUACCAAAACACAAAAUAAUAAUGUGUCAGCACUACUGUUCCUAUUAUCCAACAGGUAAACAUGAAUGUAUGUAAAACAAUCUGAUGCUAAUAUCUAUGUUGACAUGUGCAUGACAAAGAAAAAAACUGCAGUACUUAAUUAUUAUUUUUUGCCCUUGACUAAUCUACACGUAGCGUGAGUAUGCAAUGUCAUCAAAAAAGAAAAAUAGCAUAUGAAGAAGUCAUCUUCCCUGCACAUAGAUCAGCAUUUGGUGCAGAAGAAACAGAGCCAUGAAGCAACACUGCAAGAGAAACACUCGGACAACGGAACCAAUGAUGAUCCCAUAAUGCUACAAAAAUACAGAAGACCCGCAGGGAAACAAAAACUAGUAAUGAUAGUGAGACAAAUAAAUCAUACUGAUAUUGUAAAUCGCUCGGACAUUUUUGAAAUGUCUGUGAACAUCUAUAACAAUAACUGACUGAUUUAGUCCAGAAAAAUACUUCCAUGGUAGCCAGUGUUGGAGGUGGGGAUAGGAGGAGUGUGCAACCUUGUUCCAUGGUGCUUUUUAAUGAUAUUGUACAUCGCUCGAACGUUUUUGAAAUGUCUGUUAGCAUCUAUAACAAUAACUGAUUGAUUUGGUUCAGAAAAAUACUUCCCUUCUAGCCAGUGUUGGUGGUGGAGGAGUGUGCGACCUCGUUCCAUGGUUCUUUUAAUGGAAGCCAUGGCCCCUUCUCCAACCUCCCGCUGGUCCACGGUCAGCGUCGCUGUGGGCCUUCCCGCCUGCUGGCCUCGUCCUCCCGGAAUCGAGUGUCGGGGCAGCUCCGUCGUCCUCUGGAGCAGCGCCAGCUUCCUCGUGUGCCCUGUCUGCCCAUGAGAUCUGUCAGCUUUUUCUCUGCCUGGUGAUGCCACUUCGAUCAAAGUUCCAACUGCUACACCCGACCGGCAGAUGCUGCCGGGCAGCCGGAUCUGAUUCCCAUCUGGAGGGCUCAAUUCCUCAUGGAAAAGAAGUAGGGUGGGGAUUUAAUUAGAGAAAAUGCCUGAGAUUGAGAAACGCCAAAAGCCAAAGGGAGGUAAAGAACAAGAAAGGAGCAGCCGUGGGAAGCGGAGGGGACUGAUGGAUUCGCCAAAGGGACUCCUCGGUCGCCUGCGCUGCGCCUUCUCUCUACUCGUCGGUUACUACUGAAAGAAGGGAGAGGAAACAAACAUAUAGAGGAUUUAUGCGAGUGGAACAAAGUGUGGCAUUAAACAUUUUUUUCUCUAUGCAGUGCUGAUGUGGCAGCUUGCGCUUGAUUGGUCCCUCUUGUAAGCCAGUAGUAGAACGAUGAUGUAGCUCACUUGCUGAUGUGUAUAGGUUGCAUGUCAAGAGAAAUAAGAUAGUGGGGAUGAACUAUUUAGAUAUUCUAGAUGAACAAGAAACAAUAACUGGACAGAAACAAAGAGAAAGGAAAAUAAACAAAAACAGGGCAAAAAAACUUACUCCAAUGACAUCUCUCUCCCUUCUCGUUCUCCAGAACCCCUGGAGGAGCUCCUGCCGAAGAGGAAUGGGAAAUGGGCGAAAUGGAUGCGAGGUAGAAAAACUACUAUGAGACAGACAAACGGCCUGCCAGCCCAACUAUCGUGACAAACACCCCGGCCCGCUACUAGCAUCAACCUGAAAACGGGCCGCGCGACACAUAACAGCCGUGAGCGAAUGCACCGGUGGGACAAAAAUAGGUUUGAGCGAAUCUUAAAGACAGACGAGAUUCAAUGGCUCUAGACUUAGAUGUGAAGUAGUUAUUUCACAUCUGGAGGUGAAAUAGCAAAUUUGAUAUAAUGUCUGUAAUGUUGUAGUCUGUAGAUGUCUAAUUAAUGCACAAUUCAUUUUUUAUACCUUCAAGAUAUAUAUAAUUAAUGUAAUGUUGUAGCAUGUAGAUGUGUAAUUAAUGCACACGUUCAUUUUUUGGUGCAGUGCCAUAUCUUCCUAUCUUUAAGAUAUAUAUAAUUAUUGUAAUAUUGUAGCAUGUGGAUGUGCAACUAAUGGGUAAAUUCAUUUUUUAUGCAGUACCAUAUCUUCAAGAUAUAUCAUAUAUAGUACAACUAAUGUAUUUAUAACGUGUCGAUGAGAAGUUCAUGUACACACUCAUUGUUCGAUGUUAUUUCGUAUCUUCAAGGUAUAGCCUAUAAAUAUAGAGUUAAUGUGAAUAUUCAUUGUUUGAUACAAUAUCGUAUCGUCAAGAUAUAGAACUAAUGUAUGGUGUAUCCUCUAUAGUGCAAUUAAUGUACAUAUUAAUCGUUUGACAUGGUGCCAUAUCUUCAAGAUAUACAAUUGAUGCAUGUGCCCAUAUCAUCAUCUCAAACAAGGCUAUAUAAACCAAGCCAUAGCUAACGAAAUCAUGUAUCCCACACAUUCACAGAGAAGCCACACAAACAAUUAUAAGAUCAAAGGGAUAGAGAAGGCUCUAGUGUAGCAGAUACAAAAGCCAUAGCCAUGACGAAACCCAUGUGCUUGUGUUUCAUCAUCCUCACUAUUGGGGUAGCCGUGUCGGCUGACGAAUGUGAGGGUGACCGAUAGGCCAUGAUCAAGGAGUGUGCUAAGUAUCAACAAUGGCCAGCAAAUCCAAAAAUAGAUCCAUCGGACGCAUGUUAUGCCGUGUGGCAAAAGGCAAACAUCCCAUGCCUUUGCGCUGGUGUCACCAAGGAGAAAGAGAAGAUAUAUUGUAUGGAGAAGGUUGGCUACGUUGCCAAUUUCUGCAAGAAGCCGUUCCCACAUGGCUACAAGUGCGGAAGUAAGUGACAUAUAUUAAGGGAAAUAUGAUGAUCGCCAUUGCAUACAUGCAGUUUUGAUAUUUGUUAUUCUUCGGAUACACACGAUUUUGAUUUUAGUGAUGCAUUUUAUAUGCUUCUUGUGCUAUUCUGAUCAUAUGUUGGGUCAAAUUGAAUGGUCUUGCAGGUUACACAUUCCCUCCUAUGGCGUAGUGACUCUAGUUUAGUUGUGGGAGGAGAAGCUUGGCUUUUACAUUCCAUGUGCCUGGCCUCACAAUAGCUUUCCUUUCAGAUCUGUAAGUCGUGAGGUUGUGCUCAGAAAAGUUUAUGUUAAGCAUUUUGUAUGAGAACGUUUCUGAAACUAAUAAAGCCUUCUCCUCAAAUAGUCUAAAUUAUUUUUGCAUAUAUUAUUUUUGGUUCUACUAGAAAAUAUGACCGUACGUUGCAACGGGGGAAAAACAAUCAGAUUAUGCAUAUGUGGUAGAGAUAAAAAAAGUUUGAAACAUAUGCCAGGAUGAGAUCGGGACCUUUAAAAUGUGAUUUCAUAAACUACGUUUGAAUCAUGUCAUGAUGAGAUAAGGAACUUCUAAAAGGUCAUUUCAAAAUCUAAAAAUGUGAUGGUCUCAUCACGACUUGAUUUCCUAAGGCACCACAACAAAAUAUUUUCUGGCUGAGAAACUGUAUUGAUGGACCCUACCUGAGCUGCACCAAUGAAUGGUGUGUGUCGCCUUCACCUAGGGUCACGGUGUUUACCCUGACUAAUAAAACUAUAGUACCAGAAUAACAUAGAGGUGUAUGGAGGCAAAUUAGAUAUUUAAUCAUUUUCAUAUACAACUUACAAAAACUAAUUGUAGGAAGUUUUGUCAAUUUUUUUGGGCUCAACGUUGUGUAGAUUAUGGAAACCUUUUUUUUACGCGACUCGCAUGUACUAAAUAACACCAUGAACCAACAUCUACAAAUAAAAAAACUCUAUAUAAGCAGGUUAGUUUUGUUCGUUAUGUACAGAUCUGCUUAAUUUUUUUGAACAUUUUCUAAAAUUUACAUUUUUUCAAAUUCCCGAGUAUGUUUUGAAUACAUGAUCAUUUUUUUUCUAAAAUCAUGAGUAUUUUGUGAAUAUUUUUUUGAAAUCAUGAUUUUUUUAUAAAUACAAACAUCUUUUCAAAAUACUGGACAUUUUAUAAUUUUCCAAACAUUUUUUGAAUUAAUGAAAAUUUUAUGAUUUGGCAAAAAUAGGGCAUGAAAGGGGUUCAAGGCAAUGAGAAUAAGUAUUGUGUCUGAUAGCAGAAUUGAUGAUCUCUCGAAUGGUGGCUCGUGAAUUACAUAAGAGGCCACACGCGAGGAACAACCUUGGGAACAGGGGGUGUACAGGAGAGUCAGGUUUUGAUCCUGUGGAACUGUGGGUUAUGGGCCCACCAUGUGGGUUAAACGUAGGAAAGGCGGUGACGUCUUGCACGAUCAUGUAAGCAAGGCAUGUCAGAGGAUAGCCUGGCAGUUAUGUCGGCAACAGCAUUGGUACCAUUUUCUUGCUCGUUGAAUGAGGCAGACCAAUAGGCAAAGUUCUCGUCCAUCGGUGGUUACCGGAAUGUAAUCAACAUUAGUAACAGGGUCUUACUGACAGAGUGUUACAACGAGGUGCUUACCUAAGCAGGGAAUUAUCACUGCUCAAUUAAGUCAGGUUGCAAGAAAGGUUAAACAAAACAAUGGAAAGGAAAAUGCGAUUAUCAGAUUAAACAGAACAAUGGAAAGGAAAAUGUGUUUAAACACAUAUUUAAGGGGUAUAUCCUUCCCAAGGGCAAACAGAGCACGAUAUCCAUGACAUGAUAGAAACUAGAAAACCAUUUAGGUAAGGGGAGAGGAAUUUCAUGACAUAACCCAAACAACGGUGUUUGGAUAAUUGAUGGGAAAAAAAUUAGCAUUCUGCUUCAAAUAUUCUUAUUGAAGAUCGAGGACAGACAUGCUUCAAGAUAGCAUUGACAUGGUCUUGAAGCAAGGUCAGACAAUGGAUACUCAAAGGAUUCAUCAGGAACAACUUAUAGAAUAAGUCUUAGAAUUUCCUCAUGGAAGAAUGGUUAACCUUGCCAAAAAGGAAACUAUAACAAUAGGGCCCCAGCUAGGUGUGCUGGGCAUGACAUCACCUUACCGGAUCAUAUAAAGACCAAUGUUAUAACUCUUGGAAAUAUGUUCCAACCAUUAUAUUUGACCAAGAUUCGGAUCUGAUUGGUGUCAGGAUACCUUAGACUCAGAAUGCUUGAGAAGAAAAAGGUGUGACACGGAUUGAUGAGAUGACAUUGUAAUAUUCUCAGGAAAUGAACUAUGGGAGUGAGUACCGAAACAAGAGUACAUCAUUAAAUCAAGGAGAGGGCGAGGAGGUGGCUGAUGGACUCAGCGACAAUUCAUUGAGAUUUCCAAAAAGAUGGAUUUGCACAAUUAUGUGAAGCAGAUAACAUUUAUAAGAUCAAAUGUUAUAACGAUGUAUGCUCAAGCAGAACAUCCACGAGUAAACAUUGGUUGAAAGGUGCACCCGAAAUAUGGGCUUAGGUAGCAUGAUCAAUGUUAGAAUGGUGAUUCGAUAACCAAUACACAAAGAAUGAACAUAUCAUUCAUUAAAUUACAGGUAAUAGGGUUGCUAGAAGUUUUGAAUUUUACAAAUCACAGUCCAGUUGUCAGUAUUCUGGUUAGGAACAACAUGGGGACCAAGAACUGAAUGUAGACGGCGAGAUAUAUCACUUGUAUCAAGAAAUCUUAAGAGGUGGUGAAAUUCUCACAACUUUCUUUAUAUAUAAAAUGGUAAUACUCCAAGGUAGGACAUAAGAUAAGUUGGAUUGCCAGGAACUCAAGGUACAACCACAACACGAACAUGUUUGUGUUGGAAAGAAGGCAAGGAAGUAGUUGAUGACAACACAAAUUACGAAGGAUAAGGAUGGUAAUCCCCAUCAGGAAUUCGAUUGGUAUACUGGAAGGAGUCAAAAUGUUGUUGAUGAUUGAUACGUCUCCGUCGUAUCUAUAAUUUUUUAUUGUUCCAUGCCAAUAUUCUACAACUUUCAUAUACUUUUCGCAACUUUUAUACUAUUUUUUGGGACUAACAUAUUGAUCCAGUGCCCAGUGCGAGUUCCUAUUUGUUGCAUGUUUUAUGUUUCACAGAAACCCCAUAUCAGACGGAGUCCAAACGGGAUAAAAACGGACAAAUAAUUAUUCUGGAAUAUUUGUGAUUUUUGGGAGGAAGAAUCAACGCGAGACGGUGCCCGAGGGGGCCACAAGAUAGGGGAGCGCGCCCUAGGGGACAGGCGCGCCCUGGACUCUCGUGGGCAUGCCGUAAGGUGGUUGACACUCUUCUUUUGCCGCAAGAAAGCUAAUUUUAUGAGAAAAAUCUGGGCCAAAGAUUCACCCCAAUCGGAGUUACGGAUCUCCGGAUAUAAAAGAAACAAUGGAAGGGAAGAAUUUGGGAACGCAGAAACAGAGAGAGACAGAGAGAUAGAUCCAAUCUCGGAGGGGCUCUCGCCCCUCCCACGCCAUGGGAGCCAAGGACCAGAGGGGAAACCCUUCUCCCAUCUAGGUAGGAGGUCAAGGAAUGCCGCCAGGGCCAUCAUCAUCACCGCGAUCUUCACCAACACCUCCGCCAUCUUCACCAACAUCUCCAUCACCUUCCCCCAUCUAUAUUUAGUGGUCCACUCCCCCGCAUCCCGAUGUACCCUAUACAUGAACAUGGUCCUUUAUGCUUCAUAUUAUUAUCCAAUGAUGUGUGGCCAUCCUAUGAUGUCUGAGUAGAUUUUCGUUGUCCUAUCGGUGAUUGAUGAAUUGCUAUGAUUGGUUUGAGUUGCAUGUUUUAUUAUUGGUGUUGUCCUAUGGUGCUCUCCAUGUCGUGCAAGCGUGAGGGAUCCCCGCUGUAGGCUUUGCAAUAUGUUCAUGAAUUGCUUAUGGUGGGUGGCAUGAGUGACAGAAGCACAGACCCGAGUAAGUAGGUUGUUUGCGUAUGGGAUAAAGGGGACUUGAUACUUUAAUGCUAUGGUUGGGUUUUACCUUAGUGAUCUUUAGUAGUUGCAGAUGCUUGUAGAGUUCCAAUCAUAAGUGCAUAUGAUCCAAGAAAAGAAAGUAUGUUAGCUUAUGCCUCUCCCUCAAAUAAAAUUGCAAUAGUGAUUACCGGUCUAGUAACGUAGUCAAUUGCUUAGGGACAAUUUGACAACUCCUACCACCACUUUUCCACACUCGCUAUAUCUACUUUAUUGCUUCUUUAUCUAAACAGCCCCUACUUUUUAUGAGAACUUUUUAUUUACGUGUUCUUUAUUAUCUUGCAAACCUAUCCAAUAACACCUACAAAGUACUUCUAGUUUCAUACUUGUUCUAGGUAAAGCGAACGUCAAGCGUGCGUAGAGUUGUAUCGGUGGUCGAUAGAACUUGAGGGAAUAUUUAUUCUACCUUUAGAUCCUCAUUGGGUUCGACACUCUUACUUAUCGAAAACUAUUGCGAUCCUCUAUACUUGUGGGUUAUCAAUGAUCAUGACAAAUUUGGUCGAGAGGCUCCACGAAGAAGCAAUUGAAUAGUGACUACAUCAAGCAAAAGUACUGAUGCUGCAAAAGAUUAUUGGAUCCAUGGAUACAACACCAACUCGGAAUCAAGCUUGUUGUUCGUGCUGGAAUGAUAAGACGAGGGAAUCGACGUAAGAUUAGCUCAUCGUCGAAGUUGUGCUCCGAGAGUAAGGAACAGGUAGCAUAGUUAAAAUCGGCACGAUAAUGAUAUAGCCGAGCAGGCCAGGAAUGACAUGGUCGAGUACAAACUCCUGAGUAAAGGAGAUUACCAAGAGUUGUUUAAUCAUGGCGCGGACCCGAUUUAGUUAUCGGUGUCCUCGAGUGACUAACAACUCGGAACCCAGGAAAAAUUGGAAUCGAUGAGGAAUAAUACUUGAUGAAGGCUCAUAAUAAGCAACAUGGUUCGGUGCUAUUAUCGAGAUACUAGAGGGUAAUACUUGGAGGUAGAGCAAAAUAGAGGGUUGACAAGUGUAUUGAUCUGCAGAAGACAAGUACUUUAACAUGUCCGAGAAAAGGAAUCAAGGAAUGCAAUUUCAUGACACCGAAAGAAUUAUCCAACUGAUUUAAUGUUUUGCAAGAAGCUUCCAUGAUAAGUUCCACAUCGGGUCCAUGGGCAUGAACACUAAGUUCAAGGUCAACUCCCACUUCUCCAAAGCAGAAUCUUACAUUCACUUCUCAUUUCGAAAAUGGCAUAAGCAUUGAAAGUUUUACCUGGUAAAAUACCAGAUGAGUACGACCCGUGAAAUCUCUCGGGUUUACACAGAUUAGGGAAAGCAUUGGUUCAACCCACCGGGGCAUCCUAGGAACAUAUACCACGAACUUUAGAGUAAAUAUCACCAGCUCGAAAGUAGAGUAUGGUUGGCCAAAUCGGAGAAUAGGAUUUACCAAUGGCAUUAUUAUCAAGUAAAGAAUUCCAGGUUUUGAGAAUACGCAAUAAUGGUCGGAUAAUAAUCCACCAAAGGAUCUAGCGGACCGCAAAUGAUCUAAGGUUAGUAACGGUACCCAACCAAAAGAAGAAAGAAUGCAAGGGAUUGGAUUAUAGAAACAACUGACUAAUUCAAAGCUCAAAUGUAAAGGAAAUAUGAUUUCCAAAUCAAGGGAUCAAAAGCAAACACUCUGAUUAAGGAUGGAUAAGUUGAGUAAGCUUAGGGGUACAAUCGAUGACAAUUUGAUUGGUCGAGAUCCAGCUCAUGUUUAAAAUGAUGUCUGAGCCGGAAGGAUGAAUUCUAGGAUCUGUUUAAGGAUUGCGAGCAUUCACAACAUAUUGAAUCAACGGAUUCAAAAUGAUAAUGACAAGGGAUGCCAAUAAGAUUACGAGACUUAUGGGAUUAACCAUAACGCAAGCAAGCAAGAAUUUCAAGAGCAAUAGGCUGCUCAAGAUUUUUGGAAGACCGAAUGGUAUUUCGAAGACUUUUGGGAAACACAUGAACUACUGGGAAUGAGCGGAUACUCUAUAACUGUGAGGAAUUAUCCGUAGGGGUAUUCGGGUGGAAAAGAACUGCAAGGCAAUAGGCACAAGUAUUCUUGAAACAAUAGAGAGAAUUUUGCGGUACCUUGUAAUAACAAGAUCAACUGGGAAAUAAAGUAAGAACGACAAGUGUAUGUAUUUAUCCAUAGGGAUAUAUGGGUGGUAGGGAAUUGCAAAAGGGACGGGCACAAAGUCUCGAGAAAACAUGGGAGAGUAUCUUCGAAAUCUUCUGGCACACCAAGAAAUCAUCUUGAGUGAGGGGUUCUCUGAAAGGAAGUAGUUCCAAGAACCUAGAGUUAGAGUCAGUAAAAAUCAUUUAACUUGAAUAGAAGAGGGAUCAGAGUCCCAGAGUAUAGACGAGGAAUAAAAGAUCCUAAUACCACCCAAUGCCGACGUGGGCCCGUAAGGUACACAACCAUGUUAGUAAAAUUUUAGCAUUGUAUAGACUCGACUUCGGCCAAGGAGUGUGGAAGGGGGAUUCCAACAGGCAGACAGCUCCGAUACCAACUUGUGACACCCCCGAUUCAAUCUACACUUGUCGGUGGGAAACAACACCUAUGGGAUCACUGGAAUCCCUACUACGAUUGCGGGGCGCUGGAUCGUGAGAAGAGCAGGACUAGUAGACAGCACAAAGGGGAUUUACCCAGGUUCGGGCCGCAAAGAUGCGUAAGACCCUACAAUCCUGCUUUGGUGGAUGUAUUUAGUGUUCUUGAGCUCUUGAACUAGCUCUGGGUGCUGCUAGGUUCGAAAGAGCCGAAUCCUUUUCCAGUGUGCCAUGGGCCUCCUUUUAUAGACGAAAGGGGCUGCCACAGUGGCACGCUGGAGGUGGAAAGUGCUACAGCGCUGGGAGCUUAUCGCUGGUAUCACAGGACAAAGCGCAUUUAAUGCGAGGCUUAGGUGUCCCUUCACUUUAUCGGGGACGGGAGCGAGGCCCGUCCCAUCUGUCGCUGCUCCACCUUGCUUCGACACGCGCCCUGGCCAGCGAUGCAUGCGGUGCCAUGUAGGCAGGCAAGCAGCUGAGGUGGCGCGGUGGUGGAGCUUCCACGAAGGGCUGCAUGUUGCCACGCAGGUGCCUGCCCAGCUGGUUGGGCUGGCAGCUCCAUGCGAACGGCGGCUGGGAGUUGAUCGGUGCGGGCCUGGCAGUGGCCCCGCGGUUGCCUCUGGAGAGGGUCUUGUCGGGUGGCCCGACAAGGGUCUUGCCGGGUGGCCCGACAAGGGUCUUGCCAUGGCGCGCUGGUGUCCCCGGCAAGGAUCUUGCUGAAGGAAGUAUGCCCUAGAGGCAAUAAUAAAGUUAUUAUUUAUUUCAUUAUUUCAUGAUAAAUGUUUAUUUUUCAUGCUAGAAUUGUAUUAACCGGAAACAUAAUACAUGUGUGAAUACAUAGACAAACAUGGUGUCACUAGUAUGCCUCUACUUGACUAGCUCGUUGAUCAAAGAUGGUUGAGUUUCCUAACCAUGGAUAUGAGAUAUCAUUUGAAUAGUGGGAUCACAUCGUUAGAAGAAUGAUGUGAUUGACUUGACCCAUUCCCUUAGCUUAGCACUUGAUCGUUCUGUAUGUUGCUAUUGCUUUCUUCAUGACUUAUACAUGUUCCUAUGACUAUGAGAUUAUGUAACUCCCACUUACCGGAGGAACACUUUGUGUGCUACCAAAUGUCACAACGUAACUGGGUGCUUAUAAAGGUGCUCUACAAGUGUCUCCGAAGGUACUUGUUGAGUUGACGUAUUUCGAGAUUAGGAUUUGUCACUCUGAUUGUCGGAGAGGUAUCUCUGGGCCCUCUCCGUAAUGCACAUCACUAUAAGCCUUGCAAGCAAUGUAGCUAAUGAGUUAGUUACGAGAUGAUGCAUUAUGUAACAAGUAAAGAGACUUGCCGGUAAUGAGAUUGAACUAGGUAUUGAGAUACCAACGAUCGAAUCUCGGGCAAGUAACAUACCGAUGACAAAGGGAACAAUGUAUGUUGUUAUGCGGUUUGACCGAUAAAGAUCUUUGUAGAAUAUGUGGGAGCCAAUAUGAGCAUCCAGGUUCCGCUAUUGGUUAUUGACCGGAGAUGUGUCUUGGUCAUGUCUACAUAGUUCUCGAACCCGUAGGGUCUGCAUGCUUAAAGUUCGAUGACGGUUAUAUUAUGAGUUAUGUGUUUUGUUGUACCGAAGGUAGUUCAGAGCCCCGGAUGAGAUCGGGGACAUGACGAGGAGUCUCGAAAUGUUCGAGACGUAAAUAUCGAUAUAUGGGACGACUAUAUUCGGACAUCGGAAAGGUUCUGAGUUGUUCGGGUAUUUAUCGGAGUAACGGAGAGUUACGGGAAUUUGCCGGGGAGUAUAUGGGCCUUAUUGGGCCAUACGGGAAUAGAGGAGAGAGGCCAAAAGGAAGGAGACGCGCGCCCCCAUGCUACGUCUUGAGAUAGCGUUGGUUUUCCCCGAAGAGGAGAGGGUGAUGCAGCAAAGUGUAGCGUAAGUAUUUACCUCAGUUUUUGAGAACCAAGGUAUCAAGCCAGUAGGAGGCUCCUCAAAAGUCCCACACACCUACACAAACAAACUAAGAACUCGCAACCAACACAAAAGGGGUUGUCAAUCCCUUCACGGCCACUUGCUAAAGUGAGAUCUAAUAGAGAUAGUAUGAUAAGAUAAAUAUAUUUUUGGUAUUUUAUGAUAUAGAUGCAAGAGAAGUAAAGAUGCAAAUAAAAGUAGAUUAAAAGCAAAUAUGAUAAGAGAUAGACCCAGGGGCCAUAGGUUUCACUAGAGGCUUCAUCUCGAGAGCAUAAGUAUUACAGUGGGUGAACAAAUUAUUGUCAAGCAAUUGAUAGAAAAGCGAAUAAUUAUGACGUUAUCUAGGCAUGAUCAUGUAUAUAGGCAUCACAUCCAAAAGAAGUAGACCGACUCCUGCCUGCAUCUACUAAUAUUUCUCCACACAUCGACCGCUGUCCAACAUGCAUCUAGAGUAUUAAGUUCAUAAGAACGGAGUAACGCAUUCAGCAAGAUGAUAUGAUGUAGAGGGAUAAACUCAUGCAAUAUGAUAUAAACCCCAUCUUGUUAUCCUCGAUGGCAACAAUACAAUACGUGUCUUGCAACCCUUUCUGUCACUGGGUAAGAACACCGCAAGAUUGAACCCAAAGCUAAGCACUUCUCCCAUGGCAAGAAAGAUCAAUCUAGGAGGCCAAACCAAACCGAUAAUUCGAAGAGACAUGAAAAGAUAACUCAAUCAUACAUAAAAGAAUUCAAAGAAGAUUCAAUUAAUAACCACAAAUAAAUCUGAACAUAAACUCACAAUUCAUCGGAUCUUGACAAACACACCGCAAAAAGAGAUUACAUCGAAUAGAUCUCCACAAGAGAGGGGGAGAUCAUUGUAUUGAGAUCCAAAAAGAGAGAAUAAGCCAACUAGCUAAUAACUAUAGACCCGUAGGUUUGUGGUAAACGACUCACAACUCAUAGGAGGGGCAAGGAUGUUGAUGUAGAGGCCCUCCAUGGUCGAUUCCCCCUCCGACAGAGUGCCGGCGAAGGCUCCAAGAUGGGAUCUCGCGGAUACAGAAGGUUACAGUGGUGGAAAUUGUGUUUCGUGGUGCCCCAGAUGUUUUCAGGGUCCGUAGGUGUAUAUAGGAGGAAGAAGUACGUCGGUGGACGCCCGAGGGGCCCACGAGACAGGGGGCGCGCCCUCCUAUCUCGUGGGGCCCUCGGAGCUUUCUUGACUUGCACUCCAGGCUCUCCGGAUCAGAUUUGUUCCAAAAAUAACGCUCCCAAAGGUUUCAUUCCGUUUGGACUCCGUUUGAUAUUCCUUUUCUUCGAAAUACUGAAAUAGGCAAAAAAACAGCAAUAUGGGCUGGGCCUCCGGUUAGUAGGUUAGUCCCGAAAAUGAUAUAAAUAUGUAAAAUAAAGCCCAUAAGCAUCCAAAACAGGUAAUAUAAUAGCAUGGAACAAUCAAAAAAUUAUAGAUACGUUGGAGACGUAUCAAGCAUCCCCAAGCUUAAUUCCUGCUCGUCCUCGAGUAGGUAAAUGAUAAAAUGAGAAUUUUUGAUGUGGAAUGCUACCUAGCAUAAUUCAUAAUGUAAUUUUCUUUCAUUGUGGCAUGAAUGUUCAGAUCCAAGUAAUACAAAAUAAAAGUUCAUAUUGAUAUAAGAAACAUUAAUACUUCAAGCAUACUAAGCAAGUAAUCAUGUCUUCUUAAAAUAGCAUGGCCAAAAGAAAGUUAUCCCUACAAAAUCAUAUAGUCUGGCUAAGCUCUAUCUUCAUCACACAAAGUAUUUAAUCAUGUACAACCCCGAUGACGAGCCAAGCAAUUGUUUCAUACUUUAAUAAUCUCAAACUUUUUCAACUUUCACGCAAUACAUGAGCGUGAGCCAUGGACAUAGCACUAUAUGUGGAAUAGAACGGUGGUUGCGGAGAAGACAAAAAAGGAGAAGAUAGUCUCACAUCAACUAGGCAUAUCAACGGGCUAUGGAGAUGCCCAUUAAUAGAUAUGAAUGUGAGUGAGUAGGGAUUGCCAUGCAACGGAUGCACUAGAGCUAUAAAUAUAUGAAAGCUCAACAAAGGAAAACUAGUGGGGUGCAUCCAACUUGCUUGCUCACGAAGACCUAGGGCAUUUUGAGGAAGCCCAUCAUUGGAAUAUACAAGCCAAGUUCUAUAAUGAAAAAAUCCCAUUAGUAAAUGGAAGUGACAACAUAAGAGACUCUCUAUUAUGAAUAUCAUGGUGCUACUUUGAAGCACAAGUGUGGUAAAAGGAUAGUAGCAUUGUCCCUUCUCUCUUUUUCUCCCAUUUUUUUAUUUGGGCCUUUUCUCUUUUUUGUAUGGCCUCUUUUUUUUUGUCCGAAGUCUCAUCCCGACUUAUGGGGGAAUCAUAGUCUCCAUCAUCCUUUCCUCACUGGGACGAUGCUCUAAUAAUGAUGAUCAUCAGACUUUUAGUUUUUUACAACUCAACAAUUACAACUCGAUACUUAGAAAAAAAAUAUGACUCUAUAUGAAUGCCUCCGACGAUAUACCAGGAUAUGCAAUGAAUCAAGAGUGAGAUGUAUGAAAGAAUUAUGAAUGGUGCCUUUUCCACAAAUACAAUGUCAACUACAUGUUCAUGCAAAAAGCAAUAUGACAAAAGUAAUGUGUGUCAUAUGAACGGAACGGUGGAAAGUUGCAUGGCAAUAUAUCUCGGAAUGGCUAUGGAAAUGCCAUAAUAGGUAGGUAUGGUGGCUGUUUUGAGGAAGGAGUAUGGUGGGUGUAUGGUACCGGCGAAAGUUGCACGAUACAAGAGAGGCUAGCAAUAAUGGAGGGGUGAAAGGAGUGCGUAUAAUCCAUGGACUCAAAUUAAUCAAAAGAACUCGUAUACUUGUUGUAAAAAUUUAGAAGCCAUCAAAAACCAAAGCACUACACGCAUGCUCCUAGGGGGAUAGAUUGGUAGGAAAAGACCAUCGCUCAUCCCCGACAGUUACUCAUAAAGAAGACAAUCAAUAAAUAAAAUUGUGCUCCAACUUCAUCACAAAGCGGUUCACCAUACGUCGAUGCUACGGGAAUCACAAACUUCAAAACAAGCAUUCUUUAAAUCCAUAAUCACCCAACUAGCAUGACUUUAAUAUUACUACCUCCACAUCUCAAAACAAUUAUCAAGCAUCAAAUUGAUCAUAGCAUCCAAUUCACUUUCUUUGAUAGUUUUUAUUAUACCCAACUUGGAUGCUCAUCAUUCUAGGACCAAAUUAAAACCAUAGCAAAUACAAUGCUGUUCUAAGAGACUCUCAAAACAAUAUAAGUGAAGCAUGAGAGACUAGCAAUUUCUAUAAAAUUAAUCCACCACCAUGCUCUAAAAGAUAUAAGUGAAGCACUAGAGCAAAAACUAUCAAGCUCAAAAGAUAUAAGUGAAGCACAUAGAGUAUUCUAGCAAAUUCUAAUCAAAUAGGCUUCUUCUAAAAGGUGUGUUACAGCAAGGAUGAUUUUGGUAAACUAACAAGCAAAGACCAAUAUAAUACACGAUGCUCCAAGCAAAACACAUAUCAUGUAGCGAAUAAAAAUAUAGCUCUAAGUAAAGUUACCAAUGAACGAAGACGAAAGAGUGGAUGCCUUCCCGGGGCAUCCCAAGCUUAGGCUUUUGGCUAUUCUGGAAUAUCUUGGGGUGCCAUAAGCAUCCCCAAGCUUAGGCUCUUGCCACUCUUUAUUCCAUAGUCCAUAAAAGCUUUACCCAAAACUUGAAAACUUCACAACACAAAACUCAACAGGAAAUCUUAUAAGCUCCGUUAGUGAAAGAAAACAAAACCACCACAUAAGGUACUGAAAUGAACUCAUUAUUUAUUUAUUUUGGUGUUAAACCUACUGUAUUCCAACUUCCUUAUGGUUUAUAAACUAAUGUAUUAGCCAUAGAUGCAUUGAAAUAAGCAAACAACACACGAAAAACAGAAUCUGUCAAAAACAGAACAGUCUGUAGCAAUCUGUAACUAACGCAAACUUCUGGAACUCUAGAAAUCCUACCAAAAUAGGACGUAAUGGAAAAUUUGUUUAUUGAUCAGCAGCAAAAAGAAUCAAUGUAAAAUAUAUUUUUUGUUAUUUAUUGAUUUUUUUCUCAUGAGUGCAAAGUUUCUGUUUUUCAGCAGAAUCAAAUCAACCAUCAUCAUAGUUUAUCCUAUAGGUUCUACUUGGCACAAACAGUAAACAAAAGAUAAAAACACAUCUAAACAAGAAGUAGAAACAAAAUUUAACACUAAACAGGAACAAAAACAAAGAACGUAAAAUUAAGGAUAGAUCUAACGAGUGCCUUCUUUGGCACUUGAUUCAUAAGUAGCAACAGAGGAUCUCCUUUCUAUGGCAUUCAUCCUUCUAUUUAGGUUAAGAACAUUGCCAUUAAUGGAUGAAGUAAGAUUAAUCACGUUACGGAAAUUUGCAUCUAAGCUAGACUUCAUUUCUUUGAUAAUUUCAUUUUGAUAAAAGCACAAGAGGGUAGUUGAUUCAACUUUAUCAUUUAAAGGGUGCCCAAAUAUGGUUUUAAUUUUUUUAUAGGUAUCUAUAGCAUCCCCUUCAAGAAAACCUUCUUCAAAAAUAGAAUCUAGAACUUGUUUGAAAGAAGCGGGCAAGCCAACAUAGAAACUUUUUAAGUAAACCUCAAUUUUAUAUUGUGGCACAUAACUAGCCCGAAUCCUUAAUAACCUAUCCCAAGCAUCUUUUAAAGAUUCAUCAAGUAAAUAACGAAAGAUUCCGGAGUCAUCAUCAUCAAAAUCAUCUAAAUUCUCAUUGGUGAUCCCAGUGGGUCUUUCGAUAGCAUCAUUGUUUAUGAGCUUAGAAAGAAUAGAGGGGUUAUCCAAGGAAAUAGAACUCGGGAGAAAUCCCUUAGUUCUUUUUGAUUCGGCCAUGGCAACAGGAAGCCAAACAAAAAGGCAGGCGAAAAGAGAGAAGGAGAUUGGGAAAGAGAGGGUGAAUAAAACAGCAAAGGUGAAGUGUGGGAGAGGAAAACGAGAGGCAAAUGGCAAAUAAUGUAAAUGCGCGGGUGUCGGUGUCAAAACCGGCGGAUCCCGGGUAGGGGGUCCCGAACUGUGCGUCUAGGCGGAUGGUAACAGGAGACAAGGGACACAAUGUUUUUACCUAGGUUCGGGCCCUCUCGAUGGAGGUAAAACCCUACUCCUGCUUGAUUAAUAUUGAUGAUAUGGGUAGUACAAGAGUUGAUCUACCACGAGAUCAGAGAGGCUAAACCCUAGAAGCUAGCCUAUGGUAUGAUUGUUGUUCGUCCUAUGGACUAAAAUUCUCCGAUUUAUAUAGACACCGGAGAGGGCUAGGGUUACACAGAGUCGGUUACAAUGGGAGGAGAUAUACAUAUCGUAUCGCCAAGCUUGCCUUCCACGCCAAGGAAAGUCCUAUCCGGACACGGGACGAAGUCUUCAAUCUUGUAUCUUCAUAGUCUGGGAGUCCGGCCAAAGGUCAUUCCGGCCAUCCGGACACCCCCUAAUCCAGGACUCCCUCGGUAGCGCCCGAACCAGGCUUCAAUGACGAUGAGUCCGGCGCGCAAAUUUGUCUUCGUCAUUGCAAGGCGGGUUCUUCUCCAAAUUCCAUGUACCUGUCGAAUAGUGUCCGACUUCUAGUGCAUGCUGCGAUCCUUGGCUUCUGUGCCCAAUAAUGACCAUCUUCCACGUGUCAAACGAAUGCGAAAAGCCAGGGAGUUUUUUCAUUUACCCCCCUAGCUGCGUAAAUGAGCCGCCCAUAAAAGAGACGGGGAUUUAGAUCCAAAUCACACCAUCUUCCCUCCGCGAGCUUUCAUCGGAGCGCAUUCGACAGAGAUCCAUUCCAUCAUGACCAGUCGACGCAGCUCCUCCUCUCGCCCUUCCAGCCCUCAGCCCGGAGAUGGGGAGAGGUGUUCCGUCCCGCACAGCGAGCUAGUAGCGCUCCAAUCCAAGGGGUCCUUCCCCCAGCAUAUAUGGUCCCAGUUCGAGCCGGGCUUGCUACCUAUAGUGGCGGAGAGAAGGCGGAGAGCGUCCCCAAUCCCUCUAAAGGAGAGCGGGUAUGCCUUGUCCCUUAUUUAAUAAGAGGGCUCGGAUUUCCAAUUCAUCCCUUUCUCCGGGGGCUACUAGAGUUUUAUGGCCUCCAGCUACACAACCCUACGCCUGCCUCCACACUGCAUAUUGUGGGCUUCGUGGCCCUUUGCGAGCUGUUUUUGGGCAUCGAGGCCCAUUUCGCACUAUGGAAGAAGUUGUUCUGCCUCGUGCCCCGCUCUCAGGAGGGGUCGAUUUAUCAAGUGGGCGGAGCCAAACUAUGGCGCAUCGCUGGGACCGGAUAUCUAUCCGGAACCCCAAAGAAGGCGUCCGAGGACUGGCCUUCGGAAUGGUUUUAUAUAGAUGACGUCCCCCUGCCGGACCCUGUACGGAUCGGUCUCCCUGAGCUCAAUAAUGCUCCCUUGAAGAAACGCCUGAGCUGGCGUCCACGGAGCCCUAAGAGGGAAACUGAUAGGGACGUCCUUUACCUGAUGAGCCGGAUAAGGUUGUUAGCUCAUUCCGGACUGAUCAUGAUCGAGGUCAUGGCCACAUGCAUUAUGCGGGGGGUGCAGCCGGUUCAGUACAGAGGCCACCCCAUGUGGGAUUUCAAUGGGGAGGAUGAUGCCACCCGGUGCGGUCGCAAGGGGCCGGAUUCGGCUGCCACUCUAACGAAGAUCUUAUCUGCUUUGUACAAGGGAGAAGAGGAGGAAUUCCUCCGUGUCAACCCAUGGGGCGGAUUCUCUAUGUACAAUCCUCCAAGAUGGGUGAGCGAACACUUUCACUUACCAAUCCGUUUUCAAAUUCCCAUAGUUGAGUACUUAGUCUAGCAAUUUUAACGCAGGAGCUACACCAGACUGUAAAGGAGAUAAACAGCCCUCCUCCACAACCCGAGGACCCGGAACGGUCCCUCAACCCGGACUCCCAAGAGGACCCGGACUUGUGUGUGGAGCUAAUUGAUGGGGUGUUUCAUCAAUUGAGUAAGGACAACACCUUAGUGGCCAUUACGGUCGAUUAUCCCGGACUACUCCCAGCCUCAAAGGUAACCGCGACCGAAGUCCCAGUACUCUCAAGAGGAUCCAUCCGUGCUUAUUUUUUCUCGCCGUAUACCAAUGGCGUUUUUUGCAGGGGAAGUCCUUGAGGCGGAGGGCCGAGCCCGCGGUGGCGGGCCAACAAGGGCCAUCGAGGCCCAGCGGGCUAAAAAGAAGUGCGGACCGAAUCGAGACGCCAGCGCAACGGUACAAUGUGCAACUUUAAUGCCCAGGGUUUAUGCCCUCAAGGCAUACUGAUGCUCAUGCUUUCUUUAGGAAGAAGAGCGCCCGCCGGACUAUAUCCACUGGCCAGGCUUCAAGGCCGGCUCCGGAAGCGGAGGCGAACACGGGGCACGCACCGGACGUUCCUCCGACAGACGACGCGGACGGGCUAUCUGCCACCAAUUCAGAGGUGGAGAGUGCCAUGAACCACAGGCGUCGCCAGACUGUUCUUCGUGACGCAUGUUUUUUCCAAGAGGCGUUGGACGCCUUUAAUAGAGGAGAUGCGUACCUCCGUGCCGCUCAAAAUGGUCUAGCUAGAGCCACAGAGCAGUAUGUAAAAGACAUACGGGUGAGUAAAUCUGAUGGUUAUAUAUGCCAGUAGCCCCCGAGACUUGAAACAGUUAAGAUAACUGAUUUAAGGAUAAUUUGUUAGGCAGGAUCUUACAAAAAAGAAUACGCAACUGUCCCAGGAGCUGGAAGAGUGCAAGGCCCAACUUGAGGAUGCACUAGCCGCUACAGAGAAUGCCAAGGGGACCCCCUCAGGUAAUAUAUGCUUCGAAAGAUAAGUAUGUUGUGAAGUGCGGCAUGUGUGCAAUUCUGACAAUAACAGUGCAGAUGGGGCCGGAGUGGAUCCGGACAAACAACAACUCUUGCGCCAGUUAAAGGCCGGCGAGAGCGUAUUAACGAGGGUGAGGCAAGAUAAGAACAAGCUUCAAGAUGCCAAUACCCAGCUGGGCGAGGAACUAAAGGAUGUUCGUGCUCAGCUAUUGGAUUCCGUAAAGGAGAAUCGGCGACUUCGACGCGGCAUUUUUAGUAAGUGCUUCAUCGAAUCUUCAAAAAAGAGUUCGGCGAGGAAGUCGAUUGACAGAGUUAUGUCUGUAGAUAUGCUGAUAGGUCGGCCUGCGGAGGAAAUGCCCGGUUCAACGGGUGACCUUCUUCCCGAGCUAUCGCAACUGCACGAACGAGUUCGGCAGGCGAUGCAAGGCGUCGUCCAGGCUUUGUGGCCAUCCCUCUCCAUGCCCGAAGGCCUUGGAGAGCUUGCAGAGAAGCUGAAGGGAGCGCGGCAGCGCUUCCGAUUAUGGAAGAUAUUGGCCUGCCGUCAAGGUGCCAGGGAGGCCUGGGCCAUGGUGAAGACACGGUACACGAAGGCUGACCCAAACCAUAUGGCCGAAGUUGGACCUGUGGGGCCCGACGGGAAGGAGAUCCCUAUCAGUUUAGUGUACGACCAGGUAGAGCUGGCCGCCAAGUAUUCCCAACAGGACUGUAAAUUAGACAGCCUGUUGGAUGGUAUUGAAGAAGAAUAUACCCAGUCAAAUUGACUAUGUAAUUUAAAAUUACAUGUAAAAUGCCUUCUAGCCGGAUUGUAGAUCAUUUGUCAUUGCGGACCAUUUAGCUUCAAUCUCUGGACCCGAUAGUCCAGAGUGUGUCCGAAUACCCUCUCGGUUAUGUAAGAACCGGGGCAUGCGUGGAGACCAGGCGUAGGGGUCAUAAGUUCUUUAGCAGACAAGUGCCCAACUAGUUAUGUUAUAUUACAUGGUUAGUAAGAAACAUCUUCGAGUGACAAUAGUUCCGUUAGGGGUUCCUUUCCCUGGGAGGCACGCCCUAAAGUGCAUGUCUGGACUGCGAAAAAAGCAGAAAAGCAUCUGGGGGUAGAUAAAUAAACAAGUGAAAAAUCAUCUUUUAGUUCACCGACCGAAUAUUCCCUUAAGAACACUAGCUUUUGGCUUCACCCAGUCUGAGGUACACAUCCGGCUGACCCGGUAGUAACAAUCGCAGAGGUGCUCCCUUUACCACCUAGCCGAACAAUCGGGAAUGUAGGCGUAAGCACAGGAGCCAGGCAACCCAGCUUGGCCAAAACUUAUGUCAUAUCGAUGCAUAUAAUGGUGAAUAAAAGGUUCAUGCAGAAGUGUCACACAUGUAUUGGGCAUGAGGCCCGUGUAUAUAAGCUUCUGAUAAAGAAGCCCCCAGGUAUAGUGAGCGCGGGUGGCGCGUCAAUUAUGUGUGAACAAUGCGCAAGCGAGCCCUUAAAGGCUUGUAAGAAAAAGGGAGGGAGAAGGAGAGAAAUAUAAGGCAGCUAAUUUGUAAAAAAAAGAAGGGACAGGGGAAGGAGACAAACACAGAGUCCGGCGCUAGGCGUAGAAUCUUCGUAGGCGUGCUGCGUUCCAUGGGUUCGGCUCGAGUCGGUUAUCCGAUGCGUUUUGCAGACGGUACGCUCCACCAGUCAGGACUUGGUCAAUUAUGAAGGGACCCUCCCAUUUGGGCUUGAAUUUGUCCUUUUUCUUGUCCGGCAGGUGUAGAACUAGUUCGCCAACAUUGUAUGUUUUUGCGCGUACUUCUCUGCUUUGAUAUCUUCGAGCCUGCUAUUGAUAGAAUGCGGAACGGGAUUUUGCCACGUCGCGCUCCUCCUCCAAUGCGUCCAAGCUGUCCUGCCGAUCGAGCUCGGCUUCUCUUUCUUUGUACAUGCGCACGCGAGGUGAGUCAUGAAUUAUGUCGCAGGGUAGGACUGCCUCUGCGCCGUAUACCAUAAAAAUGGUGUGAAUCUGGUAGUGCGAUUCGGCGUGGUCCGCAGCCCCCAGAGUACGGAGUCGAGUUCCUCUACCCAGUGCGUGUUAGAUUCCCUAAGGGAUCGCACUAAUCUGGGUUUGAUGCCGCUCAUGAUUAGACCAUUGGCUCGUUCGACUUGACCGUUAGUUUGUGGUGAUAGACUAAAGCGUAGUCGAGCUUGAUGCCCAUGUUUUUGCACCAGAGUUUAACCUCGUCGGCCGUAAAGUUUGUGCCGUUGUCCGUGAUGAUGCUGUGGGGGACGCCGUAAUGGUGUACAACCCCUGAUAUGAAGUCUAUCACCGGUCCGGAUUCGACCGUCUUAACAGGCUUGGCCUCUAUCCAUUUGGUGAAUUUGUCCACCAUGACCAGUAGAUAUUUUUUCUUGUGGGUUCCUCCUUUAAGGGGUCCAACCAUGUCAAGCCCCCAGACCACAAAAGGACAGGUAAUGGGUAUAGUUUGGAGGGCGGUAGGUGGCAUGUGGCUUUGAUUAGCAAAUAAUUGGCAACCAACGCAUCGCUGGACUAAGUCCUGAGCAUCUUCCCGGGCCGUCGGCCAAUAAAAUCCAGUACGGAAGGCCUUGCUUACAAGGGCCCGGGCUGCGGCGUCGUGCCCGCCGAGUCCGGCAUGAAUUUCAGCCACAAGGUUCCGCCCUUCCUCUUCGGAGAUACACCUUUGAAGGACUCCGGUGGUGCGUUUCUUGUAAAGCUCUCCUUCGUGGACUUUAUAGGCUUUAGAUCGCCGUACUAUGCAGCGUGCCUCAAUUUGGUCCUCGGGAAGUUCCUGCCUAGUUAAGUAGGCUAAGAAUGGUUCUAUUCAUGGGGCAAUUACUGCCAUUAUUACGUGGGCUGAGGGUGUUACCUCGUUGGCGGAGUCUUCCGCUGCAUCAGAAUGUUCGAUGUCAGGUGGUGCGGCUAGGUCCGGAUUGUAAUUUCCGGAUUCCCCUUCCACUGUACGGAUGGAUUGAAUAGCCUUUCCAGGAAAAUGUUGGGGGGGACUGCAUCGCGCUUUGCGCCGAUGCAUGCCAAGACGUCUGCUGCCUGAUUGUUUUCCCGGACUAUAUGGUGAAAUUUGAGCCCUUCGAACCGAGCUGACAUAUUUAGGACGGCGUUGCGAUAAGCUGCCAUUUUCGGAUCUUUGGCAUCAAAGUCUCUGUUUAUUUGGGAUAUCGCGAGGUUCAAAUCCCCACGCACCUCUAGGCGUUGAAUGCCCUUGGAGACUGCCAUCCGGAGGCCAUGUAGAAGGGCCUCGUAUUCGGCUACAUUGUUGGAGUCCGUAUACAUUAUCUGGAGUACAUAUUGGACUGUAUCUCCUGUUGGGGACGUCAGAACGACGCUAGCCCCCAGACCUGCCAGCAUUUUGGAGCCGUCAAAGUGCAUGGUCCAGUUGGAAUAUGUGUCGUACUCUUUAGGGAGUUCGGCUUCAGUCCAUUCAACGACAAAGUAGGCCAAGGCUUGCGACUUGAUGGCUCGCCGUGGCUUAUAGGUUAUGUCGAAUAGGAGGAGCUCAAUGGCCCAUUUGGCAAUCCGGCCCGUUGCGUCAUGGUUGUUUAUGAUAUAAUUAAGAGGUACUUCGGAGGCUACUGUUAUUGAACACUCUUGAAAGUAGUGUCGUAGCUUCCGGGAUGCCAUGAACACUGCGUAUGCUAUCUUUUGGUAAUGCGGGUACCGGGACUUGCAUGGAGUGAGGACAGUGGACACGUAGUAGACUGGUUUCUGGACAGGGAAUUUGUGUUCGUCCGUUUCUCGUUCGACGACGAGGACUGCGCUUACAACUCGGUGAGUUGCCGCGAUGUAUAACAACAUUGGUUCGCCGAUGUUAGGGGUGGCUAGGACUGGGUUUGUUGCCAGUAUGGCUUUUAUUUCUUCGAGUCCGGUCGUGGCGGCAUCCGUCCACUCGAAGUGUUCGGUGCACCGGAGGAGGCGGUAAAGGGGUAAUGCCUUUUCCCCUAAGCGGGAGAUGAAGCGGCUUAGAGCCGCCACGCAUCCAGUCAAUUUUUGUAUUUGCUUGAGAUCUUUUGGAAUAUCCAAUUGUGACAGAGCUCGGAUCUUGGUUGGGUUUGCUUCAAUUCCUCUACCAGAUACGAUGAAGCCCAAGAGCUUUCCGGCUGGUAUGCCAAAAACGCAUUUUCCGGGUUGAGCCUAAUGUCAUAUGUUCAGAGGUUAUCGAACGUGAGCCUCAAGACGUCUAUUAGAGUUUCGACAUGCUUUGUUUUGAUGACCACGUCAUCCACGUAUGCUUCAACUGUUUUGCCGAUCUGGUAGGCCAGACAUGUCUGAAUCAUGCGCUGAUAUGUUGCGCCAGCGUUUUUGAGCCCGAAGGGCAUUGUGUUGAAGCAGAAUGGGCCGUAUGGGGUGAUGAAUGCUGUUGCGGCUUGGUCUGACUCUGCCAUCUUGAUUUGGUGGUAGCCAGAGUAUGCAUCGAGGAAACACAAUGAAUCUUGUCCUGCGGUGGCGUCGAUGAUUUGAUCAAUGCGGGGGAGGGGAAGGGAUCCUUUGGGCAGGCCUUAUUUAGGUCUUUGAAAUCGACGCAUAGGCGCCAGGAUUUGUCCUUCUUUGUUACCAUCACCAAGUUUGCUAGCCAGUCUGGAUGUUUUAUAUCUCUGAUGAAUCCGGCUUCCAGUAGUUUGGCUAGCUCCUCUCCCAUGGCUUGUCUCUUAGGUUCGGAGAAACGCCGAAGAGCCUGCUUAACAGGCUUGAAUUCUUUUAGGAUGUUCAGGCUGUGCUCGGCCAGCCUGCGUGGGAUUCCUGGCAUGUCUGAAGGGUGCCAGGCAAAAAUGUCCCAAUUUUCGUGUAGGAAUUCUCUUAGUGCGGCGUCUACAUCAGGGUUUAGUUGUGCCCCAAUGGAGGCUGUUUUUGUAGUGUCCGUUGGAUGGACUUGGAACUUGACUAUUUCGUUUGCCGGCUUGAAGGAGGCGGACUUGGAUCUUUUGUCAAGUAUCACGUCGUCCCUGUCCACCGUGGAGCGCAACGCGGUUAGUUCCUCAGCCGCUAGGGCUUCGGAUAAUGCCUCGACGGCCAGUGCGGCUGUCUUGUUUUCGGCUCGGAGCGCUAUGUCCGGAUCGCUAGCAAGAGUGAUGAUUCCAUUGGGUCCGGGCAUUUUGAGCUUCAUGUACCCAUAAUGGGGUAUAGCUUGAAAAAUUGUGAAUGCCUCUCUCCCUAACAGAGCGUGGUAUCAACUACUGAACGGGGUCACUUGAAAUGUGACCUCCUCGGAUCUGUAAUUAUCCAGUGUGCCGAACACCACAUCCAGUGUGAUUUUUCCUGUAUAGCACGCUUCCUGACUGGGGAUUAUUCCUCAAAAGGUUGUGUUGCUUCGCUCAAUGCGGCUCCAGUAUAUUUCCAUUUUUUGUAGGGUUUCCUCAUAGAUGAGGUUCAAUCCGCUGCCACCGUCCAUGAGUACCUUGGUAAGCUGAAAACCGUCCACUAUCGGACUGAGGACCAGUGCGGCUGGUGCUCGGGCUGUCCGGAAUUUAGGUUCGUCACUGGCAUUAAAGGUAAUAGCCGUGUCACUCCAUGGGUUUAUUGUCGCUACCUGGUAGACUUCAGUAAGGCUGCGGAGCGUUCGUUUCCUCACAUUGUUUGAUGCGGAGGUCUCAAAGACUGUUGAUACCGUACUGGUGUUCCUGGGGUGGUGCUCUACGGAUUCUGGAGUUAGAAGCUCCUCGCCACUUCUGGCCACCUGCCGGAGUAUCCAACACGCUCUAAGGCUAUGAGUUGUUGUGGUGCCCUCUGUACUAUGAAUUUUACAGGGUCCACUGAGCCAUCCCUCCAGUACGGUCCCAUACCCUAUAGAGGGUUUUUGUUUUUUGUUGUUUGGCCCAGGUGCCUGGCGAUAAUGCGCCCUUUUGUUUCAGACUGGGAUUGUAUUCAGGGUUGGAUGGUCCCAGAAUUUUCUUUCGGUUUUACGAACGCUUUCUAUCACACAGUACUUUCGUACUAUGGAUGCAAAGUUGGCGAAGCGUGUAAUUUCACGGUGACUUAUGGCGUUGAGGAUUCUGAUGUCCGUGCAGUUGUUGCAGAAGAAUGAAAUUGCAUCCCCCUCACGGCAGACCUUUAUCAUGUUCAUAAUCAGGAGGAAUCUGGCCCAGUAAUGGUGUACUGUUUCUCUGGGCUCUUGCCGAAUUUGGGAUAGAUCCCUUAUAUUUGGGUGGGCGGGUGGAUUUAAAUCCGGAAGCUUGCCCGAUCUAAGACUCAGGGGCCAAGAAAUUUCCGAACUCGGAAGCUUGGGUUCUUGGACGUUAUCCAAUGAAUCAGGCACGCUGCCUGACUUUAGCUUCAGGGCUUGAGUGACGUCCUCCCCUUCGCGGAUGUCCGGCUUGGAGGGAUCAGGAAUCUGGACACAUCUGGUCCUUAGGAUGGGUGAAGAUUCGCCGCAUUGUUCCUCCACCACUUCGACAUGGUGGGUGACCAUGGGAGAGUUAAUCUCUCUCGGAUCGGGUUUAAGCCCAAUCUGAUCAUAGUCUGUAGCGACUCCCAGGGCAGCGAUGCGAUCCGAGAGCUCGUUUAAGGAAGAGAGCUCCAUCGGAUCUAACUGCUCGGCAAGUUCCGAGUUGACGUGGAGAUUGCUUUCGAUGACCUGAGAAGUCAUCGUCGGCGCGGUGGCCGAACAGGCCGUCAUUAAAAAACUGCCUAGCCGGAGAGUUUGGCCAACAGCCAAAGCUCCUUUAGCAAUAGCGCCGUCUUUAAAGACGGGGUGCGGCAUCCUUCCUGACGGUGGCGACACAGAGGAACUCUCAAUGAAAGCACCAAUGUCGGUGUCAAAACCGGCGGAUCUCGGGUAGGGGGUCCCGUACUGUGCGUCUAGGCGGAUGGUAACAGGAGACAAGGGACACGAUGUUUUUACCCAGGUUCGGGCCCUCUCAAUGGAGGUAAAACCCUACUCCUUCUUGAUUAAUAUUGAUGAUAUGGGUAGUAAAAGAGUUGAUCUACCACGAGAUCAGAGAGACUAAACCCUAUAAUCUAGCCUAUGGUAUGAUUGUUGUUCGUCCUAUGGACUAAAACUCUCCUGUUUAUAUAGACACCGGAGAGGGCUAGGGUUACACAGAGUCGGUUACAAUGGGAGGAGAUCUACAUAUCGUAUCGCCAAGCUUGCCUUCCACGCCAAGGAAAGUCCUAUCCGGACACGGGACGAAGUCUUCAAUCCUGUAUCUUCAUAGUCCGGGAGUCCGGCCAAAGGUCAUAGUCCAGCCAUCCGGACACCCCCUAAUCUAGGACUCCCUCAGAGGGAGAUGAGUUUGUGAUGGGUACUUGGUAUGUCUUGACUUGAGCGAAGACCUCCCCGGCAACGGUGCCAGAAAUCCUUCUUGCUACGUCUUGAGCUAGCGUUGGUUUUCCUCGAAGAGGAGAGGGUGAUGCUGCAAAGUGUAGCGUAAGUAUUUCCCCUCAGUUUUUGAGAACCAAGGUAUCAAUCCAGUAGGAGGCUCCUCAAAAGUCCCACGCACCUACACAAACAAACUGAGAACUCGCAACCAACGCAAAAGGGGUUGUCAAUCCCUUCACGGUCACUUGCGAAAGUGAGAUCUAAUAGAGAUAGUAUGAUAAGAUAAAUAUAUUUUUGGUAUUUUAUGAUAUAGAUGCAAGAAAAGUAAAGAUGCAAAUAAAAGUAGAUUGAAAGCAAAUAUGAUAAGAGAUAGACCCAGGGGCCAUAGGUUUCACUAGAGGCUUCUCUCAAGAGCAUAAGUAUUAUAGUGGGUGAACAAAUUACUGUCAAGCAAUUGAUAGAAAAGCGAAUAAUUAUGACGUUAUCUAGGCAUGAUCAUGUAUAUAGGCAUCACAUCCAAAAGAAGUAGACCGACUCCUGCCUGCAUCUACUACUAUUACUCCACACAUCGAUCGCUGUCCAGCAUGCAUCUAGAGUAUUAAGUUCAUAAGAACGGAGUAACGCAUUAAGCAAGACGAUAUGAUGUAGAGGGAUAAACUCAUGCAAUAUGAUAUAAACCCCAUCUUGUUAUCCUUGAUGGCAACAAUACAACACGUGUCUUGCAACCCUUUCUGUCACUGGGUAAGAACACCGCAAGAUUGAACCCAAAGCUAAGCACUUCUCCCAUGGCAAGAAAGAUCAAUCUAGUAGGCCAAACCAAACCGAUAAUUCGAAGAGACUUGCAAAGAUAACUCAAUCAUACAUAAUAGAAUUCAGAGAAGAUUCAAUUAAUAACCAUAGAUAAAUUUGAACAUAAACUCACAAUUCAUCGGAUCUUGACAAACACACCGCAAAAAGAGAUUACAUCGAAUAGAUCUCCACAAGAGAGGGGAAGAUCAUUGUAUUGAGAUCCAAAAAGAAAGAAGAAGCCAUCUAGCUAACAACUAUGGACCCGUAGGUCUGUGGUAAACUACUCACAACUCAUAGGAGGGUCAAGGAUGUUGAUGUAGAGGCCCUCCAUGGUCGAUUCCCCCUCCGGCAGAGUGCCGGCGAAGGCUCCAAGAUGGGAUCUCGCGGAUACAGAAGGUUACGAUGGUGGAAAUUGUGUUUUCGGGGUCCGUAGGUAUAUAUAGGAGUAAGAAGUACGUCGGUGGAUGCCCGAGGGGCCCACGAGAUAGGGGGCGCGCCCUACAGGGGGGGGCUCCUAUCUCGUGGGGCCCUUGGAGCUUUCUUGACUUGCACUCCAGGCUCUCCGGAUCAGAUUUGUUCCAAAAAUAACGCUCCCGAAGGUUUCAUUCCGUUUGGACUCUGUUUGAUAUUCCUUUUCUUCGAAAUACUGAAAUAGGCAAAAAAACAGCAAUAUGGGCUGGGCCUCCGGUUAGUAGGUUAGUCCCAAAAAUGAUAUAAAUAUGUAAAAUAAAGCCCAUAAGCAUCCAAAACAGGUAAUAUAAUAGCAUGGAACAAUCAAAAAUUAUAGAUAUGUUGGAGACGUUUCACCCCCCUCUGGUCUGAAUUGGACAAGGGGUGCAGCCCCCUUUUCCUUCUUCCUCUCCCCCUCUUUCCUUCUCUCCUACUACAACAAGGAAAGGAGGAGUCCUACUCCCAGUGGGAGUAGGACUCCCCCCUUGGCACGCCCUCCUCCUAGGACGGCCGCCUCCCCCCUUGCUCCUUUAUAUACGGGGGCAGGGGGGCACCUCUAGACACAACAAUUGAUCCCUUGGAUCUCUUAGCCAUGUGCGGUGCACCCCUCCACCAUAGUCCACCUCGAUAAUAUCGUAUCGAUGCUUAGGCGAAGCCCUGCAUCAGUAGAACAUCAUCAUCGUCACCACGCCGUCGUGCUGACGGAACUCUCCCUCAAAGCUCGGCUGGAUCGGAGUUCGAGGGACGUCAUCGAGAUGAACGUGUGCUGAACUCGGAGGUGUUGUUCGUUCGGUACUUGGAUCGGUCGGAUCGUGAAGACGUAUGGCUACAUCAACCGCGUUGUGCUAACGCUUCCACUUUCGGUCUACGAGGGUACGUGGACAACACUCUCCCCUCUCGUUGCUAUGCAUCAGCAUGAUCUUGCGUGUGCAUAGGAAUUUUUUUGAAAUUACUACGUUCCCCAACAGUGGCAUCCGAGCCAGGUUUUAUGCGUAGAUGUUAUAUGCACGUAUAGAACACAAGUGAGUUGUGGGCGAUACAAGUCAUACUGCUUACCAGCAUGUCAUACUUUGGUUCGGCGGUAUUGUUGGAUGAAGCCGCCCGGACCGAUAUUACGCGUACGCUUACGCAAGACUGGUUCUACCAACGUGCUUUGCACAUAGGUGGCUCGCGGGUGUCAGUUUCUCCAACUUUAGUUGAAUCGAGUGUGGCUACGCCCGGUCCUUGCGAAGAUUAAAAUAGCACUAACUUGAUGAAAUAUCGUUGUGGUUUUUAUGCGUAGGUAAGAACGGUUCUUGCUAAGCCCAUAGCAGCCAUGUAAAACUUGCAACAACAAAGUAGAGGACGUCUAACUUGUUUUUGCAGGUCAUGUUGUGAUGUGAUAUGGUCAAGACGUGAUAAGAUAUAAGUUGUUGUAUGAGAUGAUCAUGUUUUGUUGAAGUUAUUGGCAACUGGCAGAAGCCUUAUGGUUGUCUCUUUAUUGCAUAAGAUGCAACGCCAAAAAUUGCUUUACUUUAUCGCUAUGCGAUAGCAAUAGUUGCAAGAGCAAUAGUUGGCGAGACGACCAUGUGACGACACAUUGAUAUAGAUCAAGAUGAUGGAGAUCAUGGUGUCGUGCUGGUGACAAUAGAGAUCAUGACAGUACUUUGGAGAUGGAGAUCAGAGGCGCAAGAUGACCAUGGCCAUAUCAUGUCACAUAUUUUGAUUUCAAUUGAUGUUUAUCUUUUACACAUCUUAUUUUUGCUUAGUGCGACGGUAGCUUUAUAAGAUGAUCCCUUACUAAAAUUUCAAGGUAUAAGUGUUCUCCCUGAGUAUGCACCGUUGCGACAGUUGUUCGUGCUGACAUACCACGUGAUGAUCGGGUGUUAUAGGCUCUACAUUCAAAUACAACGGGUGCAAAACAGUUGCACACUCGGAAUACUCAAGUUAAACUUGACGAGCCUAGCAUAUACAGAUAUGGCCUCGGAACACUGAGACCGAAAGGUCGAGCGUGAAUCAUAUAGUUGAUAUGAUCAACAUAGUGAUGUUCACCAUUGAAAACUACUCCAUCUCACGUGAUGAUCGGACAUGGUUUAGUUGAUUUGGAUCACGUGAUCACUUAGAUGAUUAGAGGGAUGUCUAUCUAAGUGGGAGUUCUUAAGUAAUAUGAUUAAUUGAACUUUAAUUUAUCAUGAACUUAGUCCUGAUAGUAUUUUGCAAAUUAUAUUGUAGAUCAAUAGCUCGUGUUGUUGCUUCCCUAUGUUUAUUUUUGAUAUGUUCCUAGAGAAAAACAAUGUUGAAAAAUGUUAGUAGCAAUGAUACGGAUUGGAUCCGUGAUCUGAGGUUUAUCCUCAUUGCUGCACAGAAGAAUUAUGUCCUUGAUGCACCGCUAGGUGACAGACCUAUUGCAGGAGCAGAUGCAGACGUUAUGAAUGUUUGGCUAGCUCAAUAUGAUGACUAAUUGAUAGUUUAGUGCACCAUGCUUAACUGCUUAGAAUCAGGACUUCAAAGAUGUUUUUGAACGUCAUGGACCAUAUGAGAUGUUCCAGGAGUUGAAGUUAAUAUUUCAAGCAAAUACCCGAGUUGAGAGAUAUGAAGUCUCCAACAAGUUCUAUAGCUAAAAGAUGGAGGAUAAUUGCUCAACUAGUGAGCAUGUGCUCAGAUUGUCUGGGUACUACAAUCGCUUGAAUCAAGUGGGAGUUAAUCUUCCAGAUAAUAUAGUGAUUGACAGAGUUCUCUAGUCACCAUCACCAAGUUACUGGAACUUCGUGAUGAACUAUAGUAUGCAAGGCAUGACAAAAACGAUUCCCAAGCUCUUUGUGAUGCUGAAAUCAAUGAAGGUAGAAAUCAAGAAAGAGCAUCAAAGUGUUGAUGAUUGACAAGACCACUAGUUUCAAGAAAAGGGCAAAGGGAAAGAAAGGGAACUUCAAGUAGAAUGGCAAGCAAGUUUUCACUCCCGUGAAGAAGCCCAAAGUUGGACCAAAGCCUGAAACUGAGUGCUUCUACUGCAAAGGAAAUGGUCACUGGAAGCGGAAAUGCCCUGAAUAUUUGGUGGAUAAGAACGAUGGAAAAGUGAACAAGGGUAUAUUUGAUAUACAGGUUAUUGAUGUGUGCCUUACUAGUGUUUAUAGUAGCCCCUGAGUAUUUGAUACUUGUUCGGUUGCUAAGAUUAGUAACUCGAAACAGGAGUUACAUAAUAAACAGAGACUAGUUGAGGGGAAGUGACGAUGAGUGUUGGAAGUAGUUCCAAGAUUGAUAUGAUCAUCAUCACACACUCCCUAUACUUUCGGGAUUAGUGUUGAACCUAAAUAAAUGUUAUUUGGCGUUUGCAUUUGAGCAUGAAUAUGAUUUGAUCAUGUUUAUUGUAAUACGGUUAUUCAUUUAAAGUCAGAGAAUAAUUGUUGUUCUAUUUACAUGAAUAAAACCUUCAAUGGUCAUACACCCAAUGAAAAUAGUUUGUUGGAUCUCGAUCGUAGUGAUACACAUAUUCAUAAGAUUGAUGCCAAAAGAUGCAAAGUUAAUAAUGAUAGUGCAACUUAUUUGUGGCACUGCCGUUUGGGUCAUAUCGGUGUAAAGCACAUGAAGAAACUCCAUAAAGGUGGAUUUCGGAAUCACUUGGUUAUGAAUCAUUUGAUGCUUGUGAACCGUGCCUUUUUGGCAAGAUGACUAAAACUCUGUUCUCCGGAACAAUGGAACAAGCUACUGACUUGUUGGAAAUAAUACAUACCAAUGUAUGCGGUCCAAUGAGUGUUGAUGCUCGUGGCGGGUAUCGUUAUUUUCUGACCUUCACAGAUGAUUUGAGCAGAUAUGAGUAUAUCUACUUAAUGAAGCACAAGUCUGAAACAUUUGAAAAGUUCAAAGAAUUUCAGAGUGAAGUGGAGAAUCAUCAUAACAAGAAAAUAAAAUUGCUACAAUCUGAUCGUGGAGGAGGAUAUUUGAGUUACGAGUUUGGCCUUCAUUUAAAACAAUGUGGAAUAGUUUUACAGCUGACACCACCUGGAACACCACAGCCUAAUGGUGUGCCCGAACAUCGUAAUUAACCGCUCUUUAUUGGAUAUGGUGAGAUCUAUGAUGUAUCUAAUCGAUUUACCACUAUCGUUUGGGGUUAUGCAUUAGAGACAGCUUCAUUCACUUUGAAUAGGGCACCAUCAAAAUCUGUUGAGAUGACACCUUAUGAACUGUGGUUUGGCAAGAAAGCAAAGUUGUCAUUUCUUAAAGUUUGGGGCUGCGAUGCUUAUGUGAAAAACUUUGAACCUAAUAAGAUCGAACCCAAAUCGGAGAAGUGUGUCUUCAUAGAAUACCCAAAGGAAACUAUUGGGUACACCUUCUAUCACAGAUCCGAAGGCAAGAUAUUCGUUGCUAAGAAUGGAUCCUUUCUAGAGAAGAAGUUUCUCUCGAAAGAAGUGAGUGGGAGGAAAGUAGAGCUUGAUAAGGUAAUUGUACGUUCUCCCGAAUUGGAAAGUAGUUCAUCACAGAAAUUAGUUCCAGUGAUGCCUACACCGAUUAGUGAGGAAGUUAAUGAUGAUGAUCAUGAAACUUCGGAUCAAGUUACUACAAAACCUCGUAGGUCUUCCAGAGUACAGUUCGCACCAGAGUGGUACGAUAAUCUUGUUCUGAAAGUCAUGUUACUAGACCAUGAUAAACCUAGGAACUAUGAGGAAGCGAUGAUGAGCUCAGAUUCCGCGAAAUGGCUGGAGGCCAUGAAAUCCGAGAUAGGAUCCUUGUAUGAGAACAAAGUGUGGACUUUGGUGGACUUGCCCGAUGAUCGGCAAGCCAUAGAAAAUAAAUGGAUCUUCAUGAGGAAGACAGACGUUGAUAGUAGUGUUACUAUCUACAAAGCUCGACUUGUCGCAAAAAGGUUUUUUGACAAGUUCAAGGUGUUGACUACAAUGAGAUUUCUCAACUGUGGUGAUGCUUAAGUCUAUCCGAAUCAUGUUAGCAAUUGCCACAUUUUAUGAAAUCUGGCAAAUGGAUGUCAAAACUGCAUUCCUUAAUGGUUUUCUUAAAGAAGAGUUGUAUAUGAUGCAACCAGAAGGUUUUGUCAAUCCUAAAGGUGAUAACAAAAUGUGCAAGCUCCAGUAAUCAAUCUAUGGACUGGUGCAAGAAUCUCAGAGUUGGAAUAUACGCUUUGAUGAGUUGAUCAAAGCAUAUAGUUUUAUACAGACUUGUGGUAAAGCCUAUAUUUACAAGAAAGUGAGUGGGAGCACUACAACAUGUUUGAUAAAGUAUAUGUGAAUGACAUAUUCUUGAUCGAAAAUAAUGUAGAAUUUUCUGGAAAGCAUAAAGGAGUAUUUUGAAAGGAGUUUUUCAAAGAAGGACCUUGGUGAAGCUGCUUACAUAUUGAGCAUGAAGAUCUAUAGAGAUAGAUCAAGACGCUUGAUAUGUUUUUUCAAUGAGUAUACCUUGAUAAAAUUUUGAAUAAGUUCAAAAUGGAUCAGUCAAAGAAAGGGUUCUUGCCUGUAUUACAAGGUCUAAAGUUGAGUAAGACUCAAAGCCCGACCACAGCAGAAAAUAGAAAGAGAAUGAAAGUCAUUCCCUAUGCCAGCCAUAGGUUCUAUAAAUUAUGCUAUGUUGUGUACUAGACCUAUUGUAUACCUUGCUUUGAGUUUGGCAAGGGAAUACAAUUUUCAUCUAAGAGUAGAUCACUGGACAACGGUCAAGAAUAUCCUUAGUAAGGACUAAGAAAAUGUUUCUCGAUUAUGGAGGUGAUAAAAGAGUUCGUUGUAAAGAGUUACAUCGGUGCAAGCUUUUACACCAAUCCAAAUGACACUAUGUCUCAAUCUGGAUACAUAUUGAAAGUGGGAGCAAUUAGCUAGAGUAGCUCCAUGCAGAGCAUUGUAGACAUAAAAUAUUUUUGCAAAAUACAUACAGCUCUGAAUGUGACAGACCCAUUGACUAAACUUCUCUCACGAGCAAAACAUGAUCACACCUUAGUACUCUUUGGGUGUUAAUCACAUAUCGAUGUGAACUAGAUUAUUGACUCUAGUAAACCCUUUGGGUGUUGGUCACAUGACGAUGUGAACUACGGGUGUUAAUCACAUGCAGAUGUGAAUAUUAGUGUUGAAUCACAUGGUGAUGUGAACUAGAUUAUUGAGUCUAGUGCAAGUGGGAGACUGAAGGAAAUAUGCCCUUGAGGCAAUGAUAAAGUUAUUAUUUAUUUCCUUAUUUCAUGAUAAAUGUUUAUUAUUCAUGCUAUAAUUGUAUUAACCGGAAAAUUAAUACAUGUGUGAAUACAUAAACAAACAUGGUGUCACUAGUAUGCCUCUACUUGACUAGCUCGUUGAUCAAAGAUGGUUGAGUUUCCUAACCAUGGAUAUGAGAUAUCAUUUGAUCAGUGGGAUCACAUCAUUAGAAGAAUGAUGUGAUUGACUUGACGCAUUCCGUUAGCUUAGCACUUGAUCAUUUUGUAUGUUGCUAUUGCUUUCUUCAUGACUUAUACAUGUUCCUAUGACUAUGAGAUUAUGUAACUCCCGCUUACCGGAGGAACAAUUUGUGUGCUACCAAAUGUCACAACGUAACUGGGUGAUUAUAAAGGUGCUCUACAGGUGUCUCCGAAGGUACUUGUUGAGUUGACGUAUUUCGAGAUUAGGAUUUGUCACUCCGAUUGUCGGAGAGGUAUCUCUGGGCCCUAUCGGUAAUGCACAUCACUAUAUGCCUUGCAAGCAAUGUAGAUAAUUAGUUAGUUACGGGAUGAUGCAUUGCGUACCAAGUAAAGAGACUUGCCAGUUUUGAGAUUGAACUAGGUAUUGAGAUACCGACGAUCGAAUCUCUGGCAAGUAACAUUCCGAUGACAAAGGGAACAACGUAUGUUGUUAUGCGGUUUGACCGAUAAACAUCUUCGUAGAAUAUGUGGGAGCCAAUAUGAGCAUCCAGGUUCCGCUAUUGGUUAUUGAUCGGAGACAUGUCUCGGUCAUGUCUACAUAGUUCUCGAACCCGUAGGGUCCGCACGCUUAAAGUUCGAUGACGGUUAUAAAAUGAGUUAUGUGUUUUGAUGUACCGAAGGUAGUUCGGAGUCCCGAAUGAGAUCGGGGAUAUGACUAUUAGUCUCAAAAUGGUCAAGACGUAAAGAUUGAUAUAUUGGAUGACUAUAUUCGGACAUCGGAAAGGUUCCGAGUGAUUCGGGUAUUUAUAGGAGUACCAGAGAGUUACGGGAACUCGCCGGGGAGUAUAUGGGCCUUAUUGGGCCAUACGGGAAUAGAGGAGAGAGUCCAAAAGGAAGGAGGGGCGCGCCCCCCUCUGGUCCGAAUUGGACAAGGGGUGCAGACCCCUUUUCCUUCUUCCUCUCCCCCUCUUUCCUUCUCUCCUACUCCAACAAGGAAAGGAGGAGUCCUACUCCUGGUGGGAGUAGGACUCCCCCCUUGGCGCGCCCUCCUUCUAGGCUGGCCGCCUCCCCCUUGCUCCUUUAUAUACGGGGGUAGGGGGCACCUCUAGACACAACAAUUGAUCCCUUGGAUCUCUUAGCCGUGUGCGGUGCCCCCCUCCACCAUAAUCCACCUCGAUAAUAUUGUAGCGGUGCUUAGGCGAAGCCCUGCGUCAGUAGAACAUCAUCAUCGUCACCAUGCCAUCGUGCUGGCGGAACACUCCCUCAAAGCUCGGCUGGAUCGGAGUUCGAGGGAUGUCAUCGAGCUGAACGUGUGCUGAACUCAGAGGUGUCGUACGUUCGGUACUUGGAUCGGUCGGAUCGUGAAGACGUACGACUACAUCAACCGUGUUGUGCUAACGCUUCCACUUUCGGUCUAUGAGGGUACGUGGACAACACUCUCCCCUCUUGUUGCUAUGCAUCACCAUGAUCUUGGGUGUGCGUAGGAAUUUUUUUGAAAUUACUACGUUCCCCAACACUUGCCAGGGGUCUUGUGGGUUUCUUCGGUGAGGAUCUUGGUGAGGAUUGUUACCCUCCAAUCAUCAUCUGACCUUGAGCAUUUUAUGUCUUCACAAAGAUCGGCAUGCCACCACGGAGGUGCCUCCCGAGCCCUGUCCCAAUGCGUUUGUCUAGCGUUGGUGGGCUCAAAGGUGGCUCGCUCAACUGGUGUGUGGGCGAGCUACACCGGCAAGGGUCUUGCCGGGGCCGCUGAGGCUGCCCCGGCAAGGGUCCUUGCCGGGGAGACCUACUUCGUCCAUCCGACCGUUGUGGCCUUGGCCCUUGUCAUUGCUUGGUUUGUCUCAUGCCUUCGGCUUCUCUCCGGCUUCCCUUUCCUGCCAUGUUAUGCGUAGCCGUGGCGGGUGGCUCUGACUGUCCGUGCACCAGUAAAGGGUUCAAAAGCAGAGCCCCUACUUUUGUACACCGACAGGAGCCCCCAGGCCUGGGCCAUACAUAAGCACAACACGUUGUUGGGCCAGGCCCAGAAUGGUGCGCGGGCAGUUGGCGCGGAUUUUUACGGCGGUAACUGUUCCGUCCGCUGCGCUUCCCCAUGACCCGUGCUGAACGCGCGACAUGGGGGUCGUGCACGCGCAUGACGGAAGCAUACUGGCGUCAUCCCGUGGUGGACAGUAAAGAGGCGGCUUGCGUGUCUCUUUGAGACCGCAUAGCCGCUACUCAUUUACUGCCCUCGCUUGGGAACCGUCGCUCCAUGCGUCCCACUGCGCCUAUCCCUCGCGUCACGUUUGCUGCAUGCACGACGUAGGGCGAAUGACAGGCGCGCGGGUCGUGAGAAGUUGUGCGCAUGCGUGGGUCGAUUCUCAUGCACCUUCAAUGGAGCGGGGAGGGCGGUCGACGGCCCCGCCUGCUGUCACUUCAACGGGCUGGAUUGGCCGUGAGGGGGCGGCUGGGCCUCGCCCCUGCCCCUUUAUAAAGAGGGGAGCGGGAGGAACGGUGCCUCUCAACCCUUCGCCAUCUGCCUCUCCCCAUUCCUGCUUCCUCCUUUCUUCUACCAUGGCGAGGGGGCGUGGCGACGCUUCAUCGAUGGCGGCGAGCGUUUCGGCCAGACAACGCAUUGCUCCUCCCCAAGAGCUCAUAGCGGCGGAGCCGGCCACUAGAGGAAGGGGGAGUGGGCAAGAUCGAGGCCGUCGUGGUGCUCGAGGGAGAGGAGGACGGGGCGGCAGAUCAGCCUCGCCUCCGCCAGCAGCCGCUCCUCCGAUGGAGGGGCACUCCAGGGACAACCCUUGCGAAUUCAUCGUCAAGCUGCACCAGCCACCGCACCGUCGCCUUCACCUCCCGACUCCAUUUGCGCAGGAGAUGGAGCUGGAUUCGCCGCAGGCGUUGCGGCUGCAUAUGAGGGGUUGUGGGAACAGUGGCACAUGGGCCGAUGUUGAGUUCCCCGCCCCUCACGUCAUGUAUCUCCACCAAGGGUGGAAGACCUUCGGUCGCCUCCACAGCUUGACGGAGGUGCUCACUAUCCAUUUCAAACUAAUGGAGAGUGGCCUCCUCUCCGUCAAGAUCUUCAGGCACUUCGGGACUCCCAUAACAUGCUGCAUGGAGAACUCUUCUGAUCAUGAAGAUUCCUCCUUGAGGGAGAGUGGCAAGGAAGACAACGAAAGCGACGACGAGGCUAGCGGGUGGCUGGAUGACUGGUCCGACUAGGCGUCGGGCGCCGCUCCGAGCGGCACCGGCGACCCCAUCAUCCGUCUGCCGGCUCCUUGAACUUCUCGGGGUCGUCUCCUUGGGCGGCUGGCAUUGGGAGGCUGUGGAAGAGGAAGAGGGCGGGCGGCAAGGCCGUCAAGUCAGAGUAUGCGGGCACCGACAAGCGUAUUGACAUCCUGCCGCCUCGUCUUCGAGCUCUUCCUCCGGCGCCGCCAUCACCAUCCAGCCCUUGGACGGCCACCGAGAUGUUCUCUUGUUGUCUUCCGCCUCUCAUAGCUCGCCUAGGUGCCCGUUUGCCCUUCUGCUUUCUUGUUCCAUUUCUUGAGGAGAGGGACAAGAAAGGGAUUACGGGCACCUUAUCUCUUUUUAGUCUUGUAAGUCUUCGGGCCUUUGUUAACUUUAUAACUUGUAAUCCCCUUGCUCAUGUUUUUCAUUUCGUACGAACUAUACCUGUACAGGAUGUUUUUUAAUGAAAAAGGGAUGUUUGCCGGGUUUUCCGUUCGCAGGUGAAACCCACGACAAGGAGUGAAUCCUCUUUACCUUUAAGAUAAACGUUUUUUCUCCCGGCAAUAGGCCUUGCCAUCCCCCCACUUCUGACCUUUCUCACGCCCUUGGCGGAGGUAGGGAUGAGGUGGGCUUAGGCUCCUCGUUUCAUUUCCUUGCUGCCGCGACUACGACCAAUCUUGGCCCCAGGAGAUGAGUCCUAGGGUCCGGAAUGAGGGAAGCAUGGUAGCCUAAGGAUAAAACGAGGUUUCACAUACCUCAGUCCAUAACGAGACACAUGAUAGAGGAUAGAAGACUUAUCUGGAUCUGCAGCCCCCGGCAAGUGCAGUGUAUGGAUCCUUGCUCUUGUAGCCCCGACAACUUUGGCUUGCCAGGGCCCGGACACCGGUCCGUCCCCUUUCUUCCAAAGCAGUUCGACAAGAAUACUCAUGUGUCCUGCGAAUCAAAGAAGACAGAGAAGAAUAGAGAGACGCGCACUCGACCUCUAAGCUAGGGGUUAGCCGCUACCAAGCACUAUCAACCCUAACCGAGGAAGAGACUCGACCUAGCAAGCAUGCUAUGACUUAGGGCGCCAGCGCUUCAUUUUAUUAGUGCUCAGGGUCUGCCCCUGGCUUUGUACAAAGGGUUACAUGCCUUGCCGGCAAGUCUUGUACAAAAGGGUGGCUUGCCGGGAGGCCCGGCAGCCGCGCCUUAUGGGUAAAACUUACGAAGAUGCUCGAUGUUCCAGGAGUUACUCACUGGAAUGGCAUCUUCGGUCUCCAGGCGGACUGCGCCGGGCCUGGUGACUCGUGUUACCCGAUAAGGGCCUUCCCACUUCGGCGUCAACUUGUUGGAAUUCUUGGCUGACUGAACGUGCCGAAGAACAAGGUCGCCUUCCUCAAGGCUCCGGGCAUGGACCUUGCUGCUAUGGUAGUGGUGCAAGGCUUGCUCGUAGCAUGCUGCUCUCACAGCCGCCCGGAGACGAUCUUCCUCAAGGAGCGUUGCGUCAUCUUGCCGCAAUCUCUCUUGGUCAAGCUCAUGAUAAGUGAGCACUCGAGGUGACCCGUAUAUGAGUUUCGUGGGGAGAACGGCUUCUUCCCCGUAGACCAGGGCAAAGGGCGUCUGGCCGGUGACUCGAUUUGAUGUCGUCCUGAUCGACCAAAGAACCGCCGACAACUCAUCAAUCCAGCAUCUUCCACUUCUACGCAGCCUGUCAAAAGUCUUCGUUCUUAAGCCUCGCAGGACUUCAGCUUUUGCUCUCUCCGCUUGGCCGUUGCUCCGCGGAUGUGCCACAGAGGCAAAACAGACCCUGCUGCCAAGAUCCUCAAUGUAUUGCAUGAAGGCGUGGCUUGUGAACUGUGUGCCAUUGUCGGUGAUGAUCCUGUUGGGUAUCCCGAAACGGCACACCAGUCCCUUGAAGAACUUGAUGGCUGACUACGACGUCACCUUCCUCACUGCUUCCACCUCUGGCCACUUUGUGAACUUGUCGAUUGCAACGUACAAGUACUCAAAGCCCCCAACAGCGCGGGGGAAAGGGCCCAAUAUGUCGAGCCCCCAGACCGAGAAGGGCCGGGAGAGAGGGAUAGUUGAAGGGCUUGAGCUGGUUGAUGAAGCUUCUUCGAAUGGAACUGGCAUGCUUCACACUUGGUUAUUAGUGUCGUCGCAUCCUAGAGGGCGGUGGGCCAGAAGAAACCUUGCCGGAAAGCUUUGCCGGCAAGGGCCCUCGACCCUAUGUGGGAGCCACAUAUGCCUCCAUGUAUCUCUGCCAACAACUUUAGUCCUUCCUCCCGGGAGAUGCACUUCAAUUUCACCCCAUUCGGUCUUCUUCUGUACAAUAUGUUAUGAACGAAUUGGUACAUAGCAGACCGGCGGGAUACUCUUUCUGCCUCUUCCUGCUCCUCAGGAAGCUCUCCCUUUUGGAGGAAUCAGACGGUGUGCUGCGCCCAUGUCGGAGCCUGUGGCUCAACGACAAGGACCAAAGGCAUCUCUUCUGCCAUGGGAGCGGCCGUCUCCACGGCCAUGACCCGAGGUCCUGGCGAAGUCGGUUGUCCCACGGCAGGAUCGACAUCUAUGGCAACAUCUUCGUCGGCGGCUCCAGGGAGCUUGGUGGGGAAGUACUUGCUGGAGCCUAGCUUCCUCCGCUUGUUCUGCCCGGUCGAUGGCUCAACGGAUGGUUGAGUUAACUAAAGCACAAAAAUACCUGGUUCCACAGGUAGCUUGAGGGCAGCGCGCUUUGACAGGUAGUCGACAAUGUCGUUCUCCGUCCGAGGGACAUGCUCCGCUUUUAUACCGUCAAAGCGCUCCUCCAGUUUCCUCACCUCAUCUACGUAAUCUUCCAUCAACGGGCUUUGAUAGUCUUUGUUGACCUGCCUGAUGACGAGUUGCGAGUCGCCCCUAACGAUGAGCUUUUUAAAUUUGAGGUCCGCCGCGAUCCUGAGACCGGCAAGCAAACCCUCGUACUUAGCGGUGUUAUUGGUUCACAUCUCCUGGGGAAAGUGCAUUUGGAUGACGUACUUGAUGUGAUCUCCGGUGGGUGUGACAAGCAGCACACCAGCACCAGCGCCUUGCAGCGAAAAAGCCCCAUCAAAGUACAUGAUCUAGUUGCCGCUUGUUUCUCGUCGGGGAGAGUAGUCUCUUGUACCUCUUCGUCAGGCGUUGAGGUCCAUUCUGCAACAAAUUCCGCCAAGACUCUGCUCUGGAUCAUUGAGGUACUUUCAAACUUUAAACCAAAACUUGACAGCUCUAGGGCCCAUUCCACGAUCCUUCCUGUUGCAUCUGGGUUAUGCAGUAUCCGUUGCAACCGAAGGCGGGUAACCACGGUGAUCUUGUGCGCUUGGAAGUAGUGGCGGAGCUUCCUCGAGGCCAUAAGGAGGCCGAAGAGAAAUUUUUGCACAUCGGAAUACCUCGACCUAGCUCCCUGCAAGAGGGAGCUGACGAAGUAAACUAGGUGCUGCACCAUCUUCUUCCUUUGCGCCACUUCAACUGGCGUGCGGGUCCUGUCGUACCAGCGGCAGUCUUGCCGGGACCAAGCCCUGCCGGGGACUCAGUCUUGCCGGGACCGAGCCCUGCCGGGGAGGGUUCUGGCCCGCCAACCGUUGACUCUACCGCUACUGCUGUCUCCUUGUCGACCUCUCUCUAUACCACCAAUGCGGCGCUAACCACUUGGUUUGUUGCUUCUAGAUAUAGCAGCAAUGGUUCUUGUGGUUUGGGCGCAACCAGCACCGGGGCAGAGGAGAGGUACUUCUUCAAGUCUUGCAAUGCCGCCUCGGCCUCUGGGGUCCACUCCACUGGGCCCGUCUUCUUUAAGAUCUUGAAAAAGGGGAGGGCACGCUCCGCGGAUUUGGAGAUGAAUCUGCUCAUGGCGGCAACGCAGCUAGUGAGCCGAUGCACGUCCUUGAUCCGUUUGGGUGCCUUAAUCUGCUCGAUGGCCCUAAUCUUGUCUUGGUUUGCCUCGAUCCCGCGCUGCGACACAAAGAACCCGAGAAGCUUGCCGAACGGGACACCGAAGACACACUUCUCAGGGUUCAACUUGAGGUUGAUCUUGCGUAGGUUUCCGAAUGUUUCCUCGAGAUCUUGCAUAAGUUUUGCUUUGUCCUUGGUUUUGACCACUAUGUCAUCCAUAUAAGCUUCCACGUUUCUAUGUAACUGGGGUUCAAAACCAAUUUGGACUGCUCUUGCAAAGGUUGAGCCAGCACUCUUAACCCCGAAAGGCAUCCGUAAAAAGCAAUAUGUACCUCUUUUCCUCAUCUUCUUUUGUCAUGAAGAUCUGGUGGUAUCCUGAGUAGGCGUCAAGGAAUGAUAACAGGUCACACCCAGCCGUGGAGUCAACAAUCUGGUCGAUGCACGGUAACGGGAAGGGAUCCUUGUGACAAGCCUUAUUGAUGUCUGUGUAAUCAAUACACAGCCUCCACUUCCCAGUUGCCUUGCGCACUACUACCGGAUUGGCCAACAACAUCGGAUGGAGUUCUCCUCUCACCAUGCCUGCCACCUCUAGCUUUCUGAUUUCCUCCAUGAUGAACUCCUGCCUCUCCAGAGCUUGCUUCCUGACCUCCUGCUUGACGGGCCGCGCAUGAGGACAGACAACAAGGUGGUGCUCAAUCAGUUCCCUGGGAACGUCGGGGAUGUCGGAGGCUUGCCAUGCAAACACAUCGACAUUCGCCCGCAGGAAGGCGACGAGCUCUCUUUCCUAUUUGCCGUCGAGGGUGGAGCUUAAGGUAAAAUCUCCCCCCGUGCCGUCCUCCUUGACGGGCACCUUCUUGGUCUCUAGUGGUGUGGCUCUGACUUAUUGCUCUUGCCGACGGAGCUCCCUGGCACAUUCUCAAUGGGAGCGCAACACCCUAAAAAGGUGCGCUUGCCAGAGUGGGAGCGAGAGGUCUCGCCGGUCCUCCCCCUCAGGGCUCCGUCGGUAGGAGCAGGUGCCUUAGCGGCAGCUGCUGCGACUGCUUCCCAGUAGAGUUGCUCGGUGCAGAUCAGCGCAUCUUUCUUGUCGGAGGGAACAGUGAUGAUGUUCAUCGGCUCGGGCAUCUUUAGCAUGUUGUAGGCAUAGUGUGAAGCCACCAUGAACUUGGCUAGCGACGAGCGGCCGAGGAUCCCAUUGUAAGGCAAGGGGAUCUCGGCUACAUCAAAAACAAUCCUUUCCGUCCUGUGGUUCAGCUCACCUCCGAAUGUCACGGGCAGCGUGACCUUUCCCUUUGGCUGGCUCCUCCCCUGGUUAACCCCUUGGAACGUGUCUGUCUCCUCGAGUUCUCCAUCAAUGAUUUGCAGCCUUUUGACCACAACAGGCGAGAUCAAGUUCAGGCCAUCCCUGCCGUCAACCAACAUCUUUGUCACAUUGAGGUUGCGGAUUAUUGGUGAAACCAACAACGGCAAGCACCCGACUGCGGUAGUGCGGUCUGGGUGGUCCUCGGUGUCGAAGAUGAUGGGCGUGCUGGACCAUUUCAGCGGCUUCCAUGUGUCGAACAAUGGCUCCACUGCCGUGAUCUCACGCGCCCACUGCUUGAGUUGGCGGUGGGACGUAUGCAAUGAGGCGCCACCAUCGACACACAUGGCCUCUGUGGCUUUCUGAAACUCGUGGUCGCCUGACUCGUCAUCCUCGUCAUGAUCAUCGUCUUCCUGCUUCUUGUCGCGGCCCCAGGCGGGCCUCUCCUACUGAUUAUCCUUACUGCAGCGGCCUCCUUGGCUGCCACGCUUCUUGCCGGAUCCCUCGGCACCAUCUGGGCCUUUCUCCUUGUCCCACCACUCAUACUCGGCUUUCUGCUUCUCGGCGAGCAGCUCUACCUGCCGACAGUUUUGGAGGUCAUGGCCCUUGGUGCGGUGGAUCUUGCAGUACAGCUUGUUGGAGCCUCCCGGCUAGUCGGCGGCCGCCAAGGCCUGGCAAGCGACACACCCGGCAACCUCCUUGCCGGGGUCGCUCGCCUUGGUCUUCUUGGUGGCGCAGGUGUCAUCGGAUCCCUCAACGGCAAGCACGGCUCUGCCCUUGCGCUUCCUGUUACAGUGCCGACCCUUCUUCGCUGGGGUGGCACUGUCACCGAUGGAGUCGGUUUCCGCGCCGGCAUCUUCGCCGGGGUACUUCCUUCCCUCUUCAGCACAAGCACAUCAAUCGGCCAGGACAUAAAGCUUUGACACAUCCUUGACAUUGUUCAUCGCCAGCUCUUCACGCAUCUUGUGGUUGUGCACAUUCUGAUGAAACGCACUGAUCAUGGCGGCGGAAUGAACAUCGGGGAUGUUGUACUGCACCCGGCUGAACCUUUGGAUGUACUUGCGCAAGUUUUCUCCUUCCUUCUAGGGAUGAUGUGUAAAUCACUCGCCUGGCCAUGAGCUUGGUGACCUCCGGUAAAGGCGCCAACGAACUCAUGGCACAGAUCCGCCCAAGUAGAGAUGGAAUCCACCAGCAAGUGCAUCAACCAUGACAUCAUAUUAGGCUUGAGUGCCAACGGGAAGUAAUUGGCAAGCACCUUAUUGUCGCAGACCCUAGCAGCUUGCAUCACGAUGGUGUAGAUGUUGAGGAACUCUGACGGGUGAGUCUUGCCGUUGUACUUCUCGCCAACGUCGGGCUUGAACGUACGGUGGGAGGGCCACUGGAACUGCCGCAGCUCACGGGUGAAGGCCGGACGACCCACCUCGUAGGGUAGGCCACCAUAGCCUCCUGGUGCUGGGUGGUACAUAGCGGGCCCUGCCCGCAUGUCCGACUGGUGGCGCGCGUCAUGUCGGUGCUCGAUAGUAGUUCGAGCGUCCUCAUGAGCCCGCUCCCGAAGGACUUGAUGCUGAUCGCGGUUGGUUCGCGGGUCGGACGACGCGAUGGAGACUCCAUCACGAGCAUCGUCGCGACGGACCGACGCCCGUGGUGGCCAGGAUGGAGGUGGGGAGUACACCGUGGUCGCAUCGCCCCCGACACGGCCUUCGCUGGCAUGCGGUGGCCCGGCGGAGCGACGGCCUACGGGACCCGCCGGCCGCAACUCAUCGUUGUUGUUGAUGCCGACGAGGCUCCGAACGGUGUCCCUCCAUUUGUCGAGCUUCUCCGUCGUAGGAGGAAAAUCGAGGAGCAGCUGCGCGCGCUAGGGCCUCCGUUGGCGUGGGUGGCGGCGAGAGCUGGAUGGACCGCGAUGCACCUCGACUUAUAACCACGUUAGAAGGAACUGCGUCACGGCCCCGCAGCCGUUCACCACCUACGUCAGCACCUCGGCGUGCAUGCUGGCCCUCCUCAUCAUGUGAUGGGUGCACGGGACUCUUCCUAGGGCGACGUGCAGGGUCACCGGCAGGGUGAUGCUGCUCAUCACGCACAACAUGAGAAGAGCGCACCAUGGGCGACGUGCCACCAUCUGGCGGGAUGGCGGCGCCCCUGGAGGGCCCCAUGCUGCCUGCGGGGGGGGGGGAGACUCCGUCUCUGGAGCCCACGAAUGGUGGCUCGUCGCCUGGCGCGCGAACAGCGCCACUCGCCAGGCCCGGACCGCCAGGGUGAUGUGAAUGUUCGCGGGCCGCACCACGGGUUCUCUCCGCGACUAGCCCACUACUGGUCCACGCAAGUACUGGCAACCCGGUCCCGGACGAACCGAUCGUCGUGGUCGUCUUAUUCUUGGGAGCCAUGGCGAUGAAGAACAUCUAGGUCAACUGCUAGACCAGAUUCUCACAAUUGCGCCCCCUACCUGGCGCGCCAAAGAUGUCGGUGGGAAACGACACCUAUGGGAUCACUGGAAUCCCUACUACAGUUGCGGGGCGCUAGAUCGUGAGAAGAGCAGGACUAGUAGACAGCACAAAGGGGAUUUACCCAGGUUCGGGCCGCAAAGAUGCGUAAAACCUUACGAUCCUGCUUUGGUGGAUGUAUUUAGUGUUCUUGAGAUCUUGAACUAGCUCUGGGUGUUGCUAGGUUCGAAAGAGCCGAAUCCUUUUCCAGUGCGCCAUGAGCCUCCUUUUAUAGGCAAAAGGGGCUGCCACAGUGGCACACAGGAGGUGGAAAGUGCUACAGCGCUGUGAGCUUAUCGCUAGUAUUACAGGACAAAGCGCAUUUAAUGCAAGGCUUAGGUGUCCCUUCACUUUAUCGGGGACGGGAGCGAGGCCCGUCCCGUCCGUCGCCGCUCCUCCUUGCUUCGACACACGCCCUGGCCAGCGAUGCAUGCGGUGCCAUGUAGGCAGGCAAGCAGCUGAGGUGGCACGGUGGUGGAGCUUCCACGAAGGGCUGCAUAUUUCCACGCAUGUGCCUGCCCAGCUGGUUGGGCUGGCAGCUGCAUGCGAACGGCGCCGGGGAGUUGAUCGGUGCGCGCCUGGCAGUGGCCCCGCGGUUGCCUCUGAUGAGGGUCUUGUCGGGUGGCCCGGCAAGUGUCUUGCUGUGGUGCGCUGGCUUCCCUAGCAAGGAUCUUGCCGGGGGUCUUGUGGGUUUCUUCGGUGAGGAUCUUGGUGAGGAUUGUUACCCUCCAAUCAUCAUCCAACCUUGAGCAUUCUAUGUCUUCACAAAGAUCUGCAUGCCACCACGGUGGUGCCUCUCGAGCCCUGUCCCAAUGCGUUUGUCUAGUGUUGGUGGGCUCAAAGGUGGCUCGCUCAGCUGGUGUGGGCGAGCUGCCUCGGCAAGGGUCUUGCCGGGGCCGCUGAGGCUGCCCCGGCAAGGGUCCUUGACGGGGAAACCUGCUUCGUCCGUCCGACCUUUGUGGCAUUGGCCCUUGUCGUUGCUUGGUUUGUCUCGUCCCUUCGUCUUCUCUCCAGCUUCCCUUUCCUACCUUGUUAUGCGUGGCCGUGGCGGGUGGUUCUGACUGCCCAUGCACAAUUAAAGGGGUCAAAAGUAGAGACCCUACUUUUGUACACUGACAACACUAAUCAUGCACGCAAAUGUGUAUGACCAAGAUCAUUGACUCACGGGAAGAUAUCACUACACAACUCUAGUCACAAAUUAAAGAUCAUACAAACUUCAUAUUAUAAGCCAGGGGCCUCGAGGGCUCGAAUACAUAAGCUCGAUCAUAAAUGAGUCAGCAGAAGCAACAAUAUCUAAGUACAGACAUAAGUUAAAUAAGGUGCAAUAAGAUGGCUAGCACAAACUGGGAUAUAAAUCGAAAGAGAUGCAGGCCUCCUGCCUGGGAUCCUCCUAAACUACCCCUAGUCAUCGGCGGCCAGCACGUAGUAGUAGGCACCCUCGAUGUAGUAGGGGUUGUCGUCCACGGUGGCCUCGGGGUCCUGGGGUCCAACAUCUGGUCGCGACAUCCGAGAAGAAUGGAAAGGAGGAGAAGAGGGAGCAAAGCAACCGUGAGUACUCAUCCAAAUUACUCGCAAGCAAGGAUCUACACUACAUAUGCAUUGGUAUCUGUAUAAAGGGGAAAUAUCAGUGGACAGUGCAGAAUGCCGAAAUAAGAGGCGGAUAGCUAGUCCUAUCAAAGACUACGCUUCUGGUAGCCUCCAUCUUGAAGCAUGUAGAAGAGAGUAGCUGGUAAGUUCAUCAAGUAUCAUCGUACAUCAUAAUCCUACCAGGCGAUCCUCUCCUCGUCGCCCUGUGAGAGAGAGAUCACCGGGUUGUAUCUAACACUUGAAAGGGUGUGUUUUAUUAAGUAUCGGUUCUAGUUAUCAUAAGGUUGAAGUACAACUCCGGGUCGUCAUGUUACUGUGACACGGCUAUUCGAAUAGAUCAAUCUUCCCUACAGGGGUGCACCACAUUACCCGACAUGCUCGAUCCCUCUGGUCUGGCACAAUUUCUUGGGUCAUCUCCAGCCUCAGGAGAUCAACACGUCACAGCCUACCUAGGCUCAACAGACAGGUCAGCACGCCGGUCUAAAUCCUAAGCGCACAGGCGUCUGGGUCCAUCACCCGUUGCACACCUGCAUGUUGCGAAAGCAGCCAGAAGCAGACCUAGCCUCCCUAAUACAAGAGCAGGCAUUCUAGUCCAAUCCGGCGCGCACCGCUUUGUCGCUGAUGUCAAGAAGGCUUCGGUUGAUACCACGACACCGGUUGCCCAUAUCUUGUCCCACAUGGCAGUUAUUGCAUAUAAGGUCAAUGACCCAACUCAGAUCAAAUACCAAGAUCUCGUUAAGCGUGUUAUUUUGUAGUAACCGCCGACGCCAUCUAGGACUAGGCCCACCUGUCUCCUCGGUGGUCACAACCUGCCCUAUCACUCCGCCACAGAGAUCCGCUCAGAGGGCCGUCUGGACUAAUGUCCUUUCAGCCCCCAAUCCAUGAAUCACUCGCAGGUACUAUACGAGCCGACCCGACUUUAGUCACAUCAUGUAAUCUGUAUAGUAUGUAUGUAUGUAUAAAUAUAACCAUGAUCACCUCUCGAGUGAUCAUGGCCCGAUAAUAUAGCAUAGUAGAUGGACAAUAAUGUAGGUCUACUGAUGAUAAACUAGCAACCUAUACUAAGCAUGUAUGAUUGUAGGUAAAGGUACCAACAAUCGUAGCAACAAUGACAGGCUAUGCAAUAGAAUAUGAGAUAGCGAAUCAACAAUCGUAGCAAAACUAAUGCAGGAGUAAGAGAGAAGAGAGUGGGUGAUAUCUGGUUGAUCAAAGGGGGUUUGCUUGCCUGGAAGCUCUACAGAGAGAUACGGAUCCUCGACAGUGAAGUAGACAACCACCGGAUCAACCACGGUCUCGGGGUCUAUCAGAAAGAAGUAACGGAGGGGGGAACACAAUAAAUAACAGAACAAUCAAUGCAUCACAAAGUAUGACAUAGCAAUACGCAGUGCUAGGGAUGACCUAACGUUGUGCUAAGCAUUAUGGACGGAGCGGGAAAUAUCCGGUAAUAUUUUCUUGGCUCCAGGCAUUAUCGGAUAGACGAACUGGAGGGAAAUGUUCCAUAUUUGCAGUGUUGGGGGCACAUGACAGGUAUGAGGGUAGCAUAUUUGGAUUCGUCUCAUUUUUCAUCGGAGUUACGGUUUAUUUUCUAUGAAUUUACAAAGUUUAAAUGAUUUUCAGAAUUUACAGAUUCUUUUAAUCCAAAAAUAAAAUAGCAAAGUACUUUUGCCACCUAGUGCUAUUCUAGCCAUAGUGUAUGACAAUGGGGCCCGUGGGGUUGCGUUGACCUAGUCAAAUGUUGACUAGUCAACAUAUUGUGUAGGGGGGCACAUGUCAUUGACUUAGACUUUUGUUAAAAUUUGUUUUUCUUUAAACUAACAGUGGUCUACAUGUUAUCUACUAUCUAAUUAGCUAGUACUACUAAUUAGACUAAGGGAAGUGUUUACGCGCGGUGCGCCGGCGGAACGCUCGGGCCGGUCGCUUUCGCCUCGCUGGCGCUAGCCACCAGGAAAGCAACACAUGUACCUUAUCCUCUCCCCAACGCCCCAUCCACUCUUUCUUCCUCGCAAUCGCUCAGGCAAGAAACUCCAUGGAUCCAGGCCGGCCAUCAGCUCUUGCCUCCUGUGUUGUUUGCGCGCCCCUCGGGGACAAUGCUGCCGUGCUGUUUCCAUGGCCGCAGAGGAAUCGCGGGGAGGAUACGAGGAGGCGCAGGCCAUGGCGGCGCACACGAGUGAGGAUGGGCAUCGCGUAGGGAUCUCGGCCAUUGCAUCGUCAGGCACCUCUCGGAACGGCGCCACGGCGGUGAUGGCCAUGGGCGGGCGUGGGAGCUCAGCGGAGCAGUAGCACCGGCUGUGAAAUGUAUGUAGCAAAUUCCAUCACCGGUUGUAGCAAACAUCGACUAUGGUUGCAGCAAAACUGCAUCAUCAUCGUCGCAGAGGUCGCAGCUAGACAAGAAGUUCAAAGCUUUUUUCAAUGCCGGUUGUAGCUUUCGUAACCGCCGGUUGAAGCUUUUCAUUUGUCAUCCAUGGAGGGCGAGCAAGGUGACCGUCAGCUUCGAGGAUGGCGACGCUGUCCUGAAAGAACAUUGUAAAUGUCAUUUUUUUGUUGCAUGCUACAACCGGCGUCACAUUUUGCUUCCACUGGCACACCACUCAGCUACAACCGUCUUCAUCGUGUGCUUCAUGCUACGCUGGUGGUCAUUGUGCGAGCGACGUUCUUGCUCCAACCGUACCUGUUUUUUUGCUACAACCUGCAAGAAUUUUUGCUAUAUCCGUUUAGAUGGCGUUCAUUGGCAGCCGUCGUCGUUCGUUCAACCCGUGCACGAAAGCCCACGGGUGGAAAAAAGCUUCCGUUGGCGUGAAAAAAGCUUCAAUUAGCAUGGAAAAAAGCUUCAACCGGGUGCGAGGAUGGCAGCGGCCAUGGAGUUUUUUUGCUACAAUCGUGACCACGUUUUGCUACGACCAACAUUGAAAAUUGUUCCCAUGACGGCAGCCGUGUUUGGGGACCUGCACGGUGAGCUACAGCCGGCAGCUAUCGGCCACAUUGUUUUUUGCUACAAGCAUGUCUCCGUUUUGCGGAGGCGGAGGCGGCAUGGUGGGGCUCGAUCCACGAUGACCACGACUUGCGCGGAGGGCGUUGACAAGCACGACGGUGGGUGGAAGGGGGGAGGGGGAGGGAGGGGAGGAGGUGGGGGAGGGGGGGGGGCGCAACGCUUGGAGCGGUGGGCACGGCGCGAGGAAGAAGAAGGUAAGGGGGAACCAUUUUCUUCGACAGGAUCUAACGGCCCACACGCGCGCGAUCCAACGGCUGCGGUGUGACCGGCCCAACAGUUGGGCCGGCGCACCGGUGCAGAUCGUUGCCCUUAGACUAACUAGCCGGCUGGUCACACGCGCGGCUAUGGCCACAGACACACACCACACAUACACACCCGGCGCACACACCAGCUCAUGGCCAUGGCCAUAGAUCAGUAGCGGCAGCUACCAAGGCGGCGUAGCAGUGUUAGAGCAGCAGCGAGAAGCAGUAGCAAGGAACAGCAGCGACGCAGGAGAGCAUCAAGCAGCGCAGUGGAGUAGCAGACACGCAGAGCAGCGGCUAGCGGCAUGUAACAUCAGCGACAGUAGUGGGCGGCUUCAGCAAAGAGCAGUAGCAAGCAGAGCAGCAGCGGCACAAGCAGGCAGUAGCAUCACAUAGCGGCAACAAUACAGAGCAGUAGCGGCACAUAGCAGCGCAGCAGGCAGCCACAAGCAGCAGCAGGUAGAGCAACGCUCGACCGCGGAAGCGCAGGGCAGCAGGCGAGCGAGCCGGGCCACACGGACGGGCGCCGGCAGGGGAGCCCAGGGCGCGCACGGGGCUGCCGGGGCUCGAGCGCGGCCACGGUGGCUAAGUUCGGGGGUGGGGCGUCUACCGCGAUGGACUCGAAGGGGAUCAGGGGGAAUCGACGCGGUGCUCACCGGGGAGGACGCAGGCAAGCUCGAGAGGUGUUAAGGACGGCCCAGAGGAGCGGAUCGAUGGCGAGGUGCGGCGGCUGUGACGGAAGAAUCGACCGUGGCAUCUUCUUGGGGCCUCCAGGUGCGAACGGAGUAGUUGACGAGGACGAGUGCGACGCGACGUAGCUCCUGGAAACACCAGCAAGACGAGAGGCGGUCGGUGGCUGCAGGAUCGACGUGGCGACGGCAACGAGCGCGUCGGGUGCCUCUCCAGAUCGGGGAGGAGAGCGAGGCGGAAGAGGGGGGAGAGUGGCUAGGGUUUGACCGGGGUCGCGGGGUUGAUCUUAACCUCAGGGGGGCCGUGGGAUGGAUGCCACGGCGGCAUCACCAGCCAGGGAGGCCAGGAUGGCCGCCAUGCUCCCCUCUGCCUCCUGUAACGGGAGGUGGAGGGAGAUGGAGGUGAGUUGGGCCUCCCAGCCCCACUCGGGCCUCCCUCUCUCUUACUUUUCUCUCUUCCUUUCUUUCUUUCUUUCUUUCUUUCUUCUUUUUCUGUUUUCUUUCUAAUUUGUUUUGUUUUCUAUUUACUUUCAAUAUUAUUUCGGUUUUAUAAAAUAAGAGACUUGAUCCAUAAUUAGUUAUGCAAUAUUAGGCACUGCCACACAAGUUUUGGGGGUUAUUUAAAAUAGUUUGUAUUUUCAUAAAUUAGAAAAGGCAAUUUAAAUAAUGAAUUGUCCCUUGUUUCAUUUAUUUUUGGGCACUCAACCAAUUUAUAGAAUGUUGGUUAAUGGAUGACAAUUAGUUAGUGAAUAUGUACUGCUUGAAGGAAUAACAAUUUAACUUGUUAUUUGAAUUUGAAUUUGACUUGAAUUUUAAUCAAGUGACAAUUAGCUUAGUAAAUGAUGAUGACAUGGCAUCAUUAGGGUGAGGUUACUGUAGCAUGAGUCUCGGUGUGUUACAAUCUAUGAGCAAGAAACAAUAUCUCAACAGAAACAAAUAGGAAGGAAAAAACAAAAACAGGGCAAAAAAAACUUAGUCCAAUGACGUCUCUCUCCCUUCUCGUUCUCCAGAGCCCCUGGACGAGCUCCUGCCGAAGAGGAAUGGGAAACGGGUGAAAUGAAUGCGAGGGAGAAAAACUACUCUGAGAGAGACAAAUGGCCCGCCGGCCCAACUAUCGUGACAAACACCCCGGCCCGCUACUAGUAUCAACCUGAAAACGGGCCGCGCGACACACAAUAGAUGCGAGCGAAUGCACCAGCGGGACAAAAAUAGGUUUGCGAGAAUCUUAAAGACAGACGAGAUCCAAUGGCUCUGGACUUAGACGUGAAGUAGUUGUUUCACAUCUAGAUGUGAAAUAGCAAAUUUGAUAUAAUGAUUGUAAUGUUGUAGUCUGUAGAUGUGUAAUUAAUGCAUAAUUCAUUUUUUUGAUGCAGUACCAUUCCUUCAAGAUAUAUAUAAUUAAUGUAAUGUUGUAGCAUGUAGAUGUGUAAUUAAUGCACACGUUCAUUUUUUGGUGAAGUACCAUAUCUUCCUAUCUUCAAGAUAUAUAUAAUUAAUGUAAUAUUGUAGCAUGUAGAUGUGCAACUAAUGGAUACAUUCAUUUUUUUAUGCAGUACCAUAUCUUCAAGAUAUAUCAUAUAUAGUACAACUAAUGUAUGUAUAACGUGUCGAUGUGGAGUUAAUUGACACACUCGUUGUUCGACGCGAUUUCAUAUCUUCAAGGUAUAGCCUAUAAAUAUAGAGUUAAUGUGAACAUUCAUUGUUUGAUACAAUAUCGUAUCUUCAAGAUAUAGAACUAAUGUAUGAUGUAGCCUCUAGAGUGCAAUUAAUGUACAUAUUAAUUGUUUGACAUGGAGCCAUAUCUUCAAGAUAUACAACUGAUGCAUGUGCCCAUAUCAUCAUCUCAAACAAAGCUAUAUAAACCAAGCCAUAGCUAACAAAGUCAUGUAUCCCACACAUUCGGAGAGAAGCCACACAAACAAUUAUAACAUCAAAGGGAUAGAGAAGGCUCAAGUGUAGCAGAUACAAAAGCCAUAGCCAUGGCGAAACUCAUGUGCUUAUGUUUCAUCAUCCUCACUAUCGGGGUAGCCGUGUCGGCUGAUGAAUGUGAGGGUGACCGACAGGCCAUGAUCAAGGAGUGUGCUAUGUAUCAAAAGUGGCCAGCAAAUCCGAAGAUAGAUCCGUCAGACGCAUGCUGUGCAGUGUGGCAAAAGGCAAACAUCCCAUGCCUUUGCGCUGGUGUCACGAAGGAGAAAGAGAAGAUAUAUUGUAUGGAGAAGGUUGGCUACGUCGCCAAUUUCUGCAAGAAGCCGUUCCCACAUGGCUACAAGUGUGGAAGUAAGUGAAAUAUAUUAAGGGAAUUGUGAUGAUCGACAUUGCAUACAUGCAGUUUUUAUAUUUGUUAUUCUUCGGAUUCACACGAUUUCGAUUUUAGUUAUGCAUUUCGUAUGCUUCUUGUGCUAUUCUGAUCAUAUGUUGGGUCAAAUUGAAUGGUCUUGUAGGUUACACAUUCCCUCCUCUGGCGUAGUGACUCUAGUUUAGCUGUGGAAGGAGAAACUUGGCUUUUACAUUCGAUGUGCCUAGCCUCACAAUAGCUUUCCUUUCAGAUCUAUAAUUCGUGAGGCUGUGCUCAGAAAAGUUUAUUUUAAGCAUUUUGUAUGAGAACGUUUCUGAAACUAAUAAAGCCUUCUCCUCAAAUUUUCUAAAUUAUGUUUGUUCAUAUAUCAUUUUUUGGUUCUACUAGUAAAUAUGCCCAUGUGUUGCAACGGGAGUAAAACAAUCAGAUUGUGCAUAUGUGGUAGAAAUAAAAAAAGUCUGAAACAUAUUCCAGGAUGAGAUCGGGACCUUUAAAAUGUGAUUUCAUAAACUACGUCUGAAUCAUGUCAUGAUGAGAUAAGGAACUUCUAAAAGGUCAUUUCAAAAGCUAAAAAUGUGAUGGUCUCAUCACGACUUGAUUUUCUAAGGCACCAUAACAAAAUAUUUUCUAGCUGAGAAACUGUAUUGAUGGACUCUACCUGAGCUACACUAAUUAAUGGUGUGUCCCUAGGGUCACGGUGUUUACCCUGACUAGUAAAACUAUAGUACCAGAAUAAACAUAGAGGUGUAUGGAGGCAAAUUAGAUAUUUAAUCAUUUUCAUAUACAACUUACUAAAACUAAUUGUAGGAAGUUUUGUCAAUUUUUUUGGGCUCAACGUUGUGCAGAUUAUGGAAACCUUUUUUUACGCAACUCGCAUGUACUAAACAAAAUCAUGAAACAACCUCUACAAAUAAAAAAACUCUAUAUAAGCAUGUUAGUUUUGUUCGUUAUUUACAGAUCUACUUAAUUUUUUUUGAACAUUUUCUAAAAUUUACAUUCUUUCAAAUUCCUGAAUAUAUUUUGAAUACUUGAUAAUUUUUCUAAAAUCUUGAGUAUUUUGUGAAUAUUUUUUCGAAUUCGUGAUUUUUCAUGAAUGCAAACAUUUUUUCAAAAUACUGGACAUUUUAUAGUUUUCCAAACAUUUUAUGAAUUAAUGAAAAAUUUAUGAUUUCGCAAAAACAAUGUGAAUACUUUUUAAAAAUACUGGACAUUUUAUGAUUUCCUAAACACUUUAUGAAUUUAUGAACAUUUUAUGAUUUCCCAAUAAAAUCCAAAACUGUCAACUUUUGGAAAUCCCAAAUUAAUUUGAAGGAAAAAAAGAACUAGGAUUAGGGUGAGGUUACUGUAGCAUGAGUCUCGAGGUGUUACAAAUCUCCUCCACUACAAGAAAAAUCUCGUCCCGAGAUGUAAGAGGCGGAGUAAGGUGGAAAGUUUUGGUUACGAAAUUCUAAUGAAUCUUCUCGUUCUUGGUUGCUCUUCUCGAAGGAGUUGACCCAUUACGUUGAUGUCUUAUUUUCUCUACUUCAGUUCAUAAUGACGAAGUCGUCAUCCUUUCUUUGAGAGCUCCAUCGUACUUACGAAGGAAUAAAGGGUGGGUAUUCCGGGAGAACGGGCCUCUGCAAGGUUGAUUAUUUGGUUGAUAACAUCUGGGAAGGUGGCAGAGAGUAACUCGCGAAUUGAAACUUAAGAAAAUAUCUAGAGCAAAGUAAGGAGGUAUCAUGGGAAGUCUCGAGUGGGCAGGCAAUCGUUUGAUGCCUAAAAUAGGGCAUGAAAGGGGUUCAAGGCAACGGGAAUAAGUAUUGUGUCUGAUAGCAGAAUUGAUGAUCUCUCGAAAGGUGGCUCGUGAAUUACAUAAGAGGGCACACACGAAGAACAACCUUGGGAACAGGGGGUGUAUAGGAGAGUUAGGUUUCGAUCCUGUGGAACUGUGGGUUAUGGGCCCACCAUCUGGGUUAAAAUUUGUAAAGGCGGUGUCGUCCUGCACGAUCAUGUAAGCAAGGCAUGUCAGAAGAUAGCUUGUCAGUUAUGUCGGCAACAACAUCGGUACCAUUUUCCUGCUCGUUGAACGAGGCGGACCAAUAGGCAAAGUUCUCGUCUAUCGGUGGUUACCGGAAUGUCAUCAACAUUAGUAACAUGGUCUUACUGACAGAGUGUUGCAACGAGGUGCUUACCUAAGCAGGGAAUUAUCACUGCUCAGUUAACUCAGAUUACAAGAAAGGUUAAACAAAACAAUGGAAAGGAAAAUGUGAUUAUCAUAUUAAAUAGAAUAAUGGAAAGGAAAAUGUGUUCAAACACAUAUUUCAGGGGUAUAUCCUUCCCAAGGGCAAGCAGAGCACGAUAUCCAUGACAGGAUAGAAACUAGAAAACCAUUUAGGUAAGGGGAGAGGAAUUUCAUGACAUUACCCAAACAACGGUGUUUGGAUAAUUGACGGAAAAAAUUAGCAUUGUGCUUCAAAUGUUCUUGUUGAAGAUCGGAGGACCACAGACAUGCUUUAAGAUUGCAUUGACAUGGUCUUGAAGCAAGGUCAGACUUUGGGUACUCAAAGGAUUCAUCAGGAACAACUAAUAGAAUAAGUCUUACAAUUUCCACAUGGAAGAAUGGUUAGCCUUGCUAAAAAGAAAACUAUAACAAUAGCGCCCCGACCAGGUGUUCUAGGCAUGACAUCACAUUACCGGGUCAUAUAAAGACCAAUGUUAUAACUCUUGGAAAUAUGUUCCAACCAUCAUAUUUGACCGAGAUUCGGAUCUGAUUGGUGUCAGGAUACCUCGGACUCAGGAUGCUUGAGAAGAAAAAGGUGCGACACAUAUUGAUGAAAUGGCAUUUUAAGAUUCUUGGGAAAUGAACUAUGGGAGCGAGUUCCGAAACAAAAUUUCAUCAUUAAAUCAAGGAGAGGGCAAGGAGGUGGCUGAUGGACUCAGCGACAAUUCAUUGAGAUUUCCAAAAAGAUGGAUUUGCACAAUUAUGUGAAGGAGAUAACAUUUGUAAGAUCAAAUGAUAUAACGAUUUAUGCUCAAGGAGAACAUCCACGAGUAAACAUUGGUUGAAAGGUGCACCCAAAAUAUGGGCUUAGGUAGCAUGAUCAAUGUUAGAAUGGUGAUUCAAUAACCAAUACACAAAGAAUGAAACUAUCGUUCAUUAACUUACAAGCAAAAUAGGGUUGCUAGAACUUUUGAAUUUUACACAUCACAGUCCAGUUGUCAAUACUCUGGUUAGGAACAACAUGGGACCAAGAACAGAAUGUAGACGGCGAGAUAUAUCACUUGUAUCAAGAAUUCUUAAGAGGUGGUGAAAUUCUCACAACUUUCUUGAUAUAUAAAAUGUUAAUACUCCAAGGUAGGACAUAAGAUAAGUUUGAUUGCUAGGAACUCAAGGUACACCACAACACGAACAAGUUUGUGUUGGAAAGAAGGUGAGGAAGUAGUUGAUGACAACACAAAUUAUGAAGGAUAAGGAUGGUAGUCCCCAUCAGAAAUUUGAUUGAUAUCCUGGAAGUAGUCAAAAUGUUGUUGAUUAUCAUGACAAAUUUGGUCGAGAGGCUCCACAAAGAAGCAAUCGAACAGAGACUGCAUCAAGCAAAAGUACUGAUGAAGCGGAAGAUUAUUGGAUCCUUGGAUACGACACCAACUCGGAAUCAAGCUUGUUGUUCGUGGUGGAAUGAUAAGAUGAAGGAAUCGAUGUAAGAUUAGCUCAUCGUCGAAGUUGUGCUCCGGGAGUAAGGAACAUGUAGCACAGUUAAAAUCGGCACGAUAAUAAUAUAGCCGAGCAGGCCAAGAAUGACAUGGUCGAGUACCAACUCAUGAGCAAAGGAGAUUACUUUAAUCAUGGUGUGGACCCGAUUUAGUUAUUGGUGUCCUCGAGUGACUAACAACUCGGAACCCAGGAAAAAUUGGAAUCGGUGAGGAAUAAUACUUGAUGAAGGCUCAUAAUAAGCAACAUGGUUCGGUGCUAUUAUCAAGAUACCAGAGGGUAAUACUCGGAGGUAGAGAAAAAUAGAGGGUUGACAAAUGUAUUGAUCUGCAGAAGACAAGUACUUUAACUUGUCCGAGAAAAGGAAUCAAGGAAUAUCAAUAUGGCCCAAACCAUAGCUACAAGGGAUCCAAUUUAAUGACAUCUAAAGAAUUAUCCAACUAAUUAAAUGUUUUGCAAGAAGCUUCCAUGAUAAGUUCCACAUCGGGUCCAUGGGCAUGAAAACUAAGUUCAAGGUUAACACCCACUUCUCCAAAGCACAACCUUGCAUUCACUUCUUGUUUCGAAAAUGUCAUUAGCGUUGAAAGUAUUACCUGGUGAAAUACCUGAUGAGUAUGACCCGUGAAACCUCUCGGGUUCACACAGAUUAGGGAAAGCAUUGGUACAACCCACCGGGGCAUCUUAGGAACAUAUACCACAAACUUCAGAGUAAAUAUCACCAACUCAAAAGUAGAGUAUGGUUGGCCAAAAAAGAUAAUAGGAUUUACCAAUGGCUUUAUUAUCAAGGAAAGAACCCCAGGUUUUGAGAACAUGCAAGAACAGUUGGAUAAUAAUCCACCAAAGGAUCUAGCGGACCGCAAAGGAUCUAAGGUUAGUAACGGUACCCAACCAGAAGAAGAAAGAAUGCAAGGGAUCAGAUUAUAUAAACAACUGACUAAUUCAAAGCUCAAAUGUAAAGGAAAUAUGAUUUCCAAAUCAAGGGAUCAAAAGCAAACGCUCUGAUUAAGGAUGGAUAAGUUCAGUAAGCUUAGGGGUACAAUCGACGACAAUUUGAUUGGUCGAGAUCCAGCUCAUGUUUAAAAUAACGUCUGAGUCGGAAGGAUGAAUUCUAGGAUCGGAUUAAGGAUUGCGAGCAUUCACAACAUAUUGAAUCAACAGAUUUAAAAUGAUAAUGACAAGGGAUGCCAAUAAGAUUACGAGACUUGUGAGAUUAACCAUAAUGCAAGCAACCAAGAAUUUCAAGAGCAAUAGGCUGCUCAAGAUUUUUGGAAGACCAAAUGGUAUUUCGAACACUUUUGGGAAACACACGAACAACUGGGAAUGAGCGGAUACUCGAUAAGUGUGAGGAAUUAUCCGUAGGGGUAUUCAGGUGGCAAAGAACUGCAAGCAAUAGGCAAAAGUAUGCUCAAAACAAUAGAGAGAAUUUCGAGGUACCUUGUAAUAACAAGAUCAACUGGGAAUAAAAGUAAAAACGACAAGUGUAUGCAUUUAUCCAUAGGGAUAUAUGGGUGGUAGGGAAUUGCAAAAGCGAUGGGCACAAAGUCUCGAGAAAACAUGGCAGAGUAUCUUCGAAAUCUUCUGGCGCACUAAGCAAUCAUCUGGAGUGAGGGGCUCUCCGGAAGGAAGUAGUUACAAGAACCUAGAGUUAGAGUCAGUAAAAAUCAUUUAACCCGAAUAGGAGAGAGAUCAGAGUCCCGGAGUAUAAACAAGGAAUAAAAGAUCUAAUACCACCCAAUGGCGACGUGGGCCCGUAAGGCACACAACCAUGUUAGGAAAAUUUUAGCAAUGUCUAGACUCGACUUCGACCAAGGAGUGUGGAAGGGGGAUUCCAACAGGCAGUCGGCUCUGAUACCAACCUGUGACACCCCCGAUUCAAUCAUACACUAAUCAUGCAAGCAAAUGUGUAUGACCAAGAUUAAGGACUCACGGGAAGAUAUCACUACACAACUCUAGACACAAAUUAAAGAUUAUACAAGCUUCAUAUUACAAGCCAGGGGCCUCGAGGGCUCGAAUACAUAAGCUCGAUCAUAAAUGAGUCAGUAAAAGCAACAAUAUCUAAAUAUAGGCAUAAGUUAAACAAGGUGCCAUAAGAUGGCUAGCACAAACUGGGAUAGAGAUUGAAAGAGGCGCAUGCCUCCUGCCUGGGAUCCUCCUCCACUACUCCUGGUCGUCUGCGGCCUGCACAUAGUAGUAGGCACCCUUGAUGUAUUAGGGGUUGUCGUCCACGGUGGCAUCUGGCUCCUGGGGUCCAACAUCUAGUUGCCACGUCCGAGAAGAAUGGAAACGGGGAAAAGAGGGAGCAAAGCAACCGUGAGUACUCAUCCAAAGUACUCGCAAGCAAGGAUCUACACUACAUAUGCAUUGGUAUCUUUAUAAAGGGGUAAUAUCAAUGGACUGAACUGUAGAAUGCCAGAAUAAGAGGGGGAUAGCUAGUCCUAUCGAAGACUACGCUUCUGGCAGCCUCCAUCUUUCAGCAUGUAGAAGAGAGUAGCUGGUAAGUUCACCAAGUAUCAUCGUAUAUCAUAAUCCUACCAGGCGAUCCUCCCCUCGUCGCCCUAUGGGAGAGCGAUGUGACGCCCUCGAUUCAAUCGUACACUAAUCAAGAUCAAGGACUCAGGGGAAGAUAUCACAACACAACUCUAGACACAAAUUAAAAUAAUACAAGCUUUAUAUUACAAGCCAGGGGUCUCGAGGGCUCGAAUACAUAAGCUCGAAUACACAAGAGUCAGCGGAAGCAACAAUAUCUGAGUACAGACAUGAGUUAGACAAGUUUGCCUUAAGAAGGCUAGCACAAAAGCAACAACGAUCGAAAAGGCAAGGCCUCCUGCCUGGGAGCCUCCUAACUACUCCUGGUCGUCGGCGGCCUCUACAUAGUAGUAGGCACCCUUAGUGUAGUAGCAGUCGUCAAAUGUGGCAUAUGGCUCCUGGACUCCACCAUCUAGUUGCAACAACCAGAAAGAAGAAAGAAGGGGGAAAAGGGGUAGCAAAGCAACCGUGAGUACUCAUCCAAAGUACUCGCAAGCAAGGAUCAAAGCUACUUAUGCAACAUUAUCAAAGGAAGGCUGUAUAUGUGGAAUGGGCUACAGAAAUGCCAGAAUAGAGAGAAGUCCUAGUCCUAUCGAAGACUAGCAUCUUGCAGCAAACAGGAGGGAGUAGAGUAGCAUAAAGUAAAGUAGUAGUAGUGUUAUAAACUUCGGCCAGAGAUCCUUUCUCGACUCCCUGCAAGAAAGCAAUCCCAGAGCCAUACUAUCCAUUUCUCAUAUCCAUGUCUCAUCUCGAGUAUCCAGUUCUAGUUGUAUCGAUCGGGAUACAACUCCAAGUGUCCGUUACCAUAGGAUAGGCUAUCGAUAGAUGUUUUCUUCCCUACAGGGGUGCACCAACUUACCCACCAUGCUCGAUUAACUCUAGCCGGACACACUUUCCUGGGUCAUGACCGGCCUUAGCCAAACAAUACGCCGCAACCCGACCUAGGCCUAAUAGAGAGGUCAGCACGCCGGACUAAACCUAUGCCCCCAGGGGUCAUGGGCCAUCGCCCCGGGAACUCCUGCACAUUGCGAGGGCGGCCGGUGAGCAGACCUAGCUACCUCCCUAAAAAGGCAGGUGCUUACCAGUCGAACCCGGCGGGCGUCGCUCAGUCGUUGACGUUUAUUAAGCUUCGGUUGAUGCAUACGACGCAUAACGCCCAUACUAUGCCCACGUGAUAGUUAGUGCUAUCAGGCCAGAGACCCCUCAGAUCAAAUAUCGAAAUUGUAGUGGAUUAGGAACGCACGGUAACAAGCAGAGACUCACAAAAUAUGUGACCCCGUUGCCCCAUCUCGACGACUUGUGGCAAGGGCUAAGAAUGCCCGGCCACGCCUCAUAAUUAUCUCGCGGGCACCUUCUAGGUCAACCUGACUCCACAUCACUUGGAAUUAUGCUCGCGCGGGUACCCCUCAGGGUCGACCCGUCUUUAGUAACAUGGUUCAGUGUAAAGUCAUAGUAAUCAUAGUAACUAUGUGUCUAAACAUCAAGGGGAAAACCCGAGGAAUCACCCCCGAUGAAUUCCACUCGAUGUACAAGGUGAACGUAAGAGGAAUCACCCCCGAGGUUCACACUUGAGGGGUUGCAUGACAGAGUUGUAUCGGAAGUGGUUAAGGCGGAAUCACCCUCGAUGACUACGACCGAAUAGCUACACUACAGGGUUAACAUCAGAAGUGUUGUAGAGGUAUCACCCUCGACACUCGAUAGUAACCCAGCAGUGUCGAGCAACUAACACUACUAGGAAAAGGGCUAUACAUGGAAUGGUCACUAAUGGCGCCCCAGACAUGUGGUGUGCCACUACUAUAUAGCACUGGCGCACCAUGUGCUGGUGCGCCAUUAGUGUGAAAGACACUAAUGGCGCACCAGACACAUGGUGCGCCACUAGUAACAAUUGUUUUUCCAAACAUACUAAUAGCGCACCAGCCUCAUAGUGCGCCACUACUAUAUAUUUUUUUAUUCUAUUUUUUGGCAAAACUACUAAGGGCGCACCGGGGAAUAGUGCGCCAUUACUAGUUUAAACUAGUAAUGGCGCACUAUGCCCCGNNNNNNNNNNNNNNNNNNNNNNNNNNNNNNNNNNNNNNNNNNNNNNNNNNNNNNNNNNNNNNNNNNNNNNNNNNNNNNNNNNNNNNNNNNNNNNNNNNNNNNNNNNNNNNNNNNNNNNNNNNNNNNNNNNNNNNNNNNNNNNNNNNNNNNNNNNNNNNNNNNNNNNNNNNNNNNNNNNNNNNNNNNNNNNNNNNNNNNNNNNNNNNNNNNNNNNNNNNNNNNNNNNNNNNNNNNNAAACUACUAAUGGCGCACCACCAGCAGGUGCGCCAUUAGUAACCAGGGUUACUAAUGGCACAUUUGUAGGUGGUGCGCCAUUAGUAACCUGGGACCAGCUAGAUAUUUUGGACAGCCACACCUACCCACUCACUUUCCCCACUUCAUUCUCUCCACCUCCUCCUCCAAGCUUGUCUCGGCUGCCUCCUCCUCCUCACCUCAUUUGCGCCAUAGAUUCAUCCAAAUUAAGUGGUUAAAUUACCCUUUUUGAUAGGUAAGUAAGGGGGAAGCUAUCUUUAUGUUGUUCUCCCUCCAACAACGUGCACAUGCACUUUUUAUGGACUAGCUAGAUCUAUGUAUGUUCAUGGUGUUGCAUAUGUUUGUGGUGUUGCAUAUAUGUUUGUGUUUGCAGGUACCGGUAUUUGAAAUGCGAUAGUUGCCAAUAUUUUGCCGGAAUGUUGAUUCAUUUCCGUUUCGGCGAGAAUUUUGGCACUAUGCAUUCUUUUUGGUCCUAUUUUCAGGCAAAGUCAUGCAAAAAAAUUCUUGGUUCUAAAAUAUUGUUUUGCUCUACCCCACAGGAAACCAUGGUCCGCACGAUGACCGAAGGCAUCGUGAAUAGGUUUUUGAGCUCCGCCGAGGCUGAGAUGCUUCAAAGAACGAGCCGGAGAUAAGAUGUCCAUGUCGAAGAUGCAAGCUGAAGAGCCUUAUUGCGGACCCGGAUUCUGGGCAGGUGCGGGACCACCUGCUCUUGCAUGGUUUCAUGGAUGGCUAUCGGUGGCAAGGUGAUGAAGAUGACUACGAAGUCGUCCAUGGGGGCCGGGCAAGAAAUGAGGAAGGGCAGCAAGACAACCAUGGCGGCUCGGGCGGGCGAGAAGACGAAGAAUCUCCAGGACAUGAUCACGAUGGUGAUGCUGUACACAGUCAUCAUGUAGAAGAUGCAGGACAUGAUGAUGAGGAAGAUGUCGGAGCAGACGAUGAUGGACCAUCGAUUGGCUGGAUGCAGGACCCUCAUAUUCAACAACUGCUUCUCAAGCAGACGGAUAACGCAAGAGAUGCCGCCCGAGAGAAAGACAAGCUGGAUCAACUGGAGAUAGACGCGGUUACUCCAUUGUAUGAAGGAUGCAGGCCUGAGGAUACCCGCCUGAAAGUAAUGCUCAUGGCUCUGGAGAUGAAGGUAAAACACAAAAUGACUGACGCAUGCUUCAACGAGAACAUGACAUUCUGGCACGAACGUCUUCCCAAGGGGAACAAGUGCCCGACCAGUUUCGAGGAGGCAAAGAAAAUCGUGUGUCCUCUAGAUUUACCGCACGUGAAAUACCAUGUGUGUAUGAACAAUUGCAUCAUUUAUCAGGACGAGCACGUGGAGUCUACCAUAUGUCCGGUGUGCAGCGUCACUCGAUACAAGAAGAGGAAGAAAGCUCCUCGACAAGUGGUGUGCUACUUUUCGAUCACUCCUCGUCUGUAGUGGUAUUUUGCUGACCCUAAGGUAGCAAAGCUCCUGCGUUGGCACGCGGAUAGGGAGGAGAAGAACCUAGAAGAUGACGCAAAUGAUCCGGAGAUAAAUAAAAAAGACAAGAUGCUGAGUCACCCUAGGGAUGGGAGCCAGUGGCAAGCGUUGAACUUCAAACACCCAAAAUUUGGGAAGGGUCCAAGGAACAUCGUGCUCGGCACGAGCACCGAUGGAGUCAAUCUGUUUGGCAGCCAGAGAAGCACACAUAGCACCUGGCAUGUGUUUGUGUGGAUGUACAACCUUCCCACCUGGUUGUGCAUGAAGAGGAAGUACAUUCACAUGAGUAUGCUAUUUGAAGGGCCGAAACAACUAGGGAACGACAUCAAUCUGUAUCAGGGGCUGCUGAAAGAGGAGCUAGACACGCUCUGGAAAACGCCAGCCAAUACAUGGGAUGCCGCACAGAAAGAAUAUUUCCCUAUGAGAGCAGCACUGCUCACGACUGUGCACGACUAUCUCGGUUAUGAAUAUGUCGCGGGGCAGGUGGUCCACGGAUUUUCUGGAUGCGUUAGGUGCAUGGAUGACACACCGUAGCGCCAUCUAGAUAGAGAUCCCGGGUCUUCGAAAACCGUGUUCAUGGGACAUCAAAGGUGGCUUCGCGACGAUGACCCAUGGAGGAAACGCAAGGAUCUAUUCGAUGGUGAAACCGAACCCCGAAGACGCCCGCGUACGAGGCGGGGCGAGGAAAUAGACGAGCUGUUGAAAAAUUGGAAAGAUUGCCCACUGCCGGGAAAGAAGCAAAAGGCGCCAGAGCCGGGAAAGAAGCGAAAGGCGCCAGAGCCGCUGCUGAAGGUAUGGAAAACGAGGUAUGUUUUCUGGGACUUGCCGUACUGGAAGAUCCACCAUGUGCCUCACAGCCUUGAUGUCAUGCAUAUCACGAAGAAUGUGUGCGAGAGUCUCCUUGGUACCCUGCUCAACAUGCUAGAGAGGACCAAAGAUGGGCUGAAAGCAAGGGCAGAAGUGAAAUCAAUGGGCAUCAGGGAGGAGCUUCACGCUAAUGAUGAUGAUGAUGAGGCGAAGCAGGACACUGAAAGUCGUCGCAAAGGCAAAAAGGACAAGAAUACCAGAAAUGACUACCCUCCCGCGUGCUUCACUCUAAGUCUGGAGGAGAUCGAUCAGUUUUUCAGCUGCCUCAUAGGAGUAAAACUUCCUUACGGUUAUGCGGGGAAGAUAAGCAGAUACCUAGACCCAGCGAAGCAGAAGUUCAGCGGGAUGAAGUCUCAUGACUGUCAUGUGCUGAUGACGCAGAUACUUCCAGUUGCAACUCAGAAGGCUACAGGAAGAGAUCGUGGUGAUACUAUGCGAUCUUGAGAUGUACUUCCCGUCCGCAUUCUUCGAUGUUAUGGUGCAUUUGCUGGUCCAUAUCGUGGAGGAUAUCAUCCUACUCGGGCCGACGUUCCUUCACAGCAUGAUGCUGUUCGAAAGGAUGAAUGGUGUUAUCAAAGGAUACGUUCGCAACAUGUCACGUCCAGAGGGAAGCAUAGCCAGGGGCUUUCUGACCGAAGAGUGUAUCUCCUACUGCACGAAUUAUCUAGGCAUCGAGAACCCCAUUGGUCUGCCCGUCAACAGGCACCUCGGUAGGCUUGCUGGAUGGGGUCACCGUGAGGGUCGCCGCGAAAUGCAUGUCGACUUCGAGGGUCGACUCGCCGACUUUGAAAGAGCAAACCUAGUCACGCUACAACACAUAGACGUGGUCGAUCCUUGGGUGGUAGAGCACAAAACCUUUAUUGAGAAGACGUACAAUGACCGAGGCCAACAGAAGACGGACGGAGAUAUAAUCAAAGAGCACAACUCAUGUUUGACGCGUUGGUUCAAGCAGAAGCUUCUGUCGUACCCUUUACAUGAGGAUUCUUCCGCGGAAGAACAACUCAUAUUCGCCUUGUCACAGGGUGCCGAGCACAACCUGAUGACGUACGAGGCGUACGAUAUCAACGGCUACACAUUCUACACCGAGGGAAAGGACAUGAAAAGCGAUGGUUAUUAGAACUCCGCGGUAACGAUGGAAUCCUACACCAGUAACGACAAGGAUAGAUACUACGGAAGGAUCGAGGAGAUCUGGGAGCUGAGCUACGCUGGAGAGAAGGUCCCGAUGUUCCGUGUCAGAUGGGCCAAGAACGUCAUAAAAGAAGACCGGUAUUUCACCACCAUGGUUAUACCCGAAGCCAAAUCCAAGACCGCGGGCGCAAACGUCACCGCGAAAAAUGAGCCAUGGGUACUGGCUUCCCAAGUGAACCAAUGCUUCUUCAUUACCGAAUCGCCAAAGCCCAGUCGUGUUGUCGUGAGGAGAGGCAAAAGGAAGAUCAUCGGAAUGGAUGGAGUCGCCAAUGAGCAAGACUUUGACAAGUACGGCGACCCGAAGAUGGAACAUGAUGACGACAAUGAAGUAUCAGCAUACACCACAAGAAGAAGCAGGACCACCCUACCUAAAGGACGUCCGUUCAAGAGAAGAAGUCCAUUUACGAAAAAUAAGGGCAAGAAGAUUGUGAACAGAUAGCUAGCUAAGAUCGAUUGUAUUUAAAUUGUAGCCUUCAUUUCUCGAUUAUUGUAUUUCAUGGGCACUUUUUGAACUCAUGAAUGUUUUUAAAUUUCAUGGGCACUUUUUGAAUUCAUGAAUAGUUUUCCAAAUUUGAUGAUAUUUUUCCAUAUUCAAUAUGAAAAUAUAUUGAAUAUUCAUGAGGACACUCGAUCUUGAUCCCCCUCCAUCUCGAUCUCUAUCCCCCUCCAUCUCGAUCGCUAUCCCCCUCCAUCUCGAUCUCGAUGCCCCCCGCACCCUCCCCCGCUCCACCGCCGCCGCCGACCCCCAGCACCCUCCUCGGCCUGCUCCACCAUCGCCGAGCACCCCCCGCACCCUUCCCCGCUCCACCGCCGCCGCCGACCCCCCGCACCCUCCCCCGCUCCACAACCGNNNNNNNNNNNNNNNNNNNNNNNNNNNNNNNNNNNNNNNNNNNNNNNNNNNNNNNNNNNNNNNNNNNNNNNNNNNNNNNNNNNNNNNNNNNNNNNNNNNNNNNNNNNNNNNNNNNNNNNNNNNNNNNNNNNNNNNNNNNNNNNNNNNNNNNNNNNNNNNNNNNNNNNNNNNNNNNNNNNNNNNNNNNNNNNNNNNNNNNNNNNNNNNNNNNNNNNNNNNNNNNNNNNNNNNNNNNNNNNNNNNNNNNNNNNNNNNNNNNNNNNNNNNNNNNNNNNNNNNNNNNNNNNNNNNNNNNNNNNNNNNNNNNNNNNNNNNNNNNNNNNNNNNNNNNNNNNNNNNNNNNNNNNNNNNNNNNNNNNNNNNNNNNNNNNNNNNGACCACCCGCAACCUCCCCGGCCCGCUCCACCGCCGCCGAGCACCCCCAUUUGUUGAUAUUUUUUCAUAUUCAUAAAAAAAUUAUUACUGUUUUUAUAAAAAAAUUAUUACUAUUUUUAUAAAAAAUAUUAAAAAAUAGCAACAAAAAAUAAUUAAAAAAACAUAUUAAUGGCGCACCGCUUGGGUGGUGCGCCAUUGCGAUCUAAAAAAAGAUUUCUAAUGGCGCACCGCCAGGGGGUGCGCCAUUGCUAUCUAAAAAAUUACUAAUGGCGCACCGCUCGAGGGUGCGUCAUUAGUAAUUUUCCCCCUAGCUCUAACUUGGCUGACUCCUUCUCCCUCUCGUGAUACCCACUUUACCCACCCGCGCGCUGCCCCGACGACCCACGACGCUGCAGCCCCUACGUGCGGCGUCGCCCCCGCGCCCCCGCGUCGGCCCCUGCCCUGCGCCACCUUCCCGCGUCGGCCCCUACCCUGCGUCGCCUCCCCGCGUCGGNNNNNNNNNNNNNNNNNNNNNNNNNNNNNNNNNNNNNNNNNNNNNNNNNNNNNNNNNNNNNNNNNNNNNNNNNNNNNNNNNNNNNNNNNNNNNNNNNNNNNNNNNNNNNNNNNNNNNNNNNNNNNNNNNNNNNNNNNNNNNNNNNNNNNNNNNNNNNNNNNNNNNNNNNNNNNNNNNNNNNNNNNNNNNNNNNNNNNNNNNNNNNNNNNNNNNNNNNNNNNNNNNNNNNNNNNNNNNNNNNNNNNNNNNNNNNNNNNNNNNNNNNNNNNNNNNNNNNNNNNNNNNNNNNNNNNNNNNNNNNNNNNNNNNNNNNNNNNNNNNNNNNNNNNNNNNNNNNNNNNNNNNNNNNNNNNNNNNNNNNNNNNNNNNNNNNNNNNNNNNNNNNNNNNNNNNNNNNNNNNNNNNNNNNNNNNNNNNNNNNNNNNNNNNNNNNNNNNNNNNNNNNNNNNNNNNNNNNNNNNNNNNNNNNNNNNNNNNNNNNNNNNNNNNNNNNNNNNNNNNNNNNNNNNNNNNNNNNNNNNNNNNNNNNNNNNNNNNNNNNNNNNNNNNNNNNNNNNNNNNNNNNNNNNNNNNNNNNNNNNNNNNNNNNNNNNNNNNNNNNNNNNNNNNNNNNNNNNNNNNNNNNNNNNNNNNNNNNNNNNNNNNNNNNNNNNNNNNNNNNNNNNNNNNNNNNNNNNNNNNNNNNNNNNGUGCCUUCCACGCCGCCCCCCACCACCAGCCCUAAUCGCUGACACUCCCCUCUUCCAUAAUUCUCUGUUUGCUAGAUCACAGUUUUGCGAAAUUAAUUAUCAUGUACACUGAACUCUGCAAAUAUCUGCGUCUGCCCUCUUUGUUCAUCAUGUAUAACUCUGCAAAUAUGUACAACUCUGCAAAUAUGGUGCAUCAUGAUCUUUCCCUCUUUGUUCUGCAUAGGAGUAGAUUUUUUGAGACAGUGUAUGGGGUUCAGAAGAAAUUUAGUUUGCAGUCAGGGUUGUACAUUCAUUUGUAGGAUAAUUGCAGGUUGUUUAAUGCUUGCCUAGUAUCUGUUCAUGUAGGAACUGAAGCUGAAUAUAGGAUUUAGAAGCUGGAUGUAGUUUGUCUGAAUGUUCUUAUUUUUUUGUUUGUAGUGGUUUGUCUGAAUGUUGAGAAUACAGAUCCAUAAUUUCCAGUUCUUGGUUCUUACUGUAUUUUGGAAUGAUGGUGGUACCUAUUACAUUUCUAUGGAUGGCAAACUCAGAAUAAAACAAUCGAGAGAUUUGACCAUGCCCAUAAUUUCAGGACACAGAUUUUUUUACCAGUGUUAUCCAUCAUAAAAUGUGCUUAUUCUGCAUCCGCAAAUGGUCCAACACGCAAACCACCCCCAAUCAAAAGAAGUUAUAGAAAGUACGGUUAGACAAUGCUACCCCAAAUAAGUUAUUGUUAACAGUAUCAUGAUUCCUGGACUAUAUUGAGACUUUGAUACCAAGGCAAAUAACUACAGGGCUUCAGGCCCACAAACACCAUGUGUAUAAGUGCGGUGAAACGGAAAAUGUUUGAGAUAUGUGUAUACAAAGCAAUAUCAUAGGCGGGUCCUAGGACAACAUCAAAGAUGUUUGUAGGAUUUAUUCUAUUGUCCUGUAUUACAACUGUUUCCCUUUCGAAUUUAACAUUGAAAGAUCUUAGUUUUGACUACAAUUUUUCCCUAUGCAUUCCUUUCCAGAUGACCAAUCUUUCCCUGUUUGUGUUUCUGCGUAACAUGUUCGAUCGCGAUUGGAGAAAAAUUGAGGCAUUUGUUGGCUCCAAGAUAGUGAUACAGGUAUAUACAUGUGCUCUGCUUUCAUGUUGAUGCACUUGCUCCUUUCUUACAUAUUUGUGCCUGACGAACACGGUCAUCAAGUCUACUUCCAUGUUGCUGCUAGUAGUAACCUGACAGCACAUCCAUACUUAGACCUUCAGAAGGUCAAUCUUCAGUUUAGUUGACUUUUGAGCCUGCUAGUAGUUUACUUCCAUGAGUUGCAAUGGAGUUUUAUAUAUCUUUAGCCACUAUUCAUUAACAGCAAGUCAACAACAACAUCAGUAAAAUUCAGUUAACAAUAACAUCAGUAAAAUUCAGUUAAUUAACUGAAGAAGAGAAGAGAGAAAGUAGAGAGCAAGAGGAGUACAUGCAUUAACUGAAACGUUUUACUUUAAACUUGCAAAAUUGUAGUAUUCCCUAAAACUACUGCAAGCAAGAACUACUGUUGGAGGGCACUAUUGUAGGGAUAUUCUCUGGUCUACUGAAACUUGCUGGAUAUUUGUUCAGAAAUGUGUUAACAGGUGUAUUAUUUACAGUAGUAGUUGCAGAUGGUUUCUCUUGUCUUAACUGGAUAAUCAUGUAUUACAUAGUGUUCUUGUUUUUCUUCAUAGUUUGCAGCAUUUUCAGAUGUACACUGUUUUCCUAUGUCUCAAAAUGUUCCUAAUUUGAUAUUUGAAAGUAAGUGUGUGGUUUGAAAUUUUGAUCUGAUUAUGGCAUCUAGAAUUAUGUCAGUUUUGUUUUGUAACUAGAAGACCAAAGUGUGUUACUCACCUGGGAUCUUAACUAUUAAUUUUGUAAUAUUCCUUAUAUUGAAAUCGAACAUGAUGGUGCUACUUGAUAUUUUUGAGAGAUGGCAUCUCCCAUGACUGAAUCAGCAACAAGGGGAGUUGAUUCCAUUUCUUGGUUUCUGUAAGAAUUUAAUGGACCUGGGACUAGUUAAGUAUAGGCUUGGGCUUGUGGUUGAAUGCUACCGUUGUCCUAGCCAUGUAUUUUCAGAAUUGAGCUAAAGAUUUUGGGAGUAGUAUUUCUGAUUUUAGAGCACCUUUGCUGGAUGUAUUUUACAGCAGCUGUUGGAAUCAAAACAAUGCUUGUGGGUUGUCCUGUUAAGUUGAGUGAGUCAUUAGAGGGCAGAUAGAGUCACCCACACCAAUUAAUGUUUAUGAAGAAGAAGAAUAAACCUGUUGCUGCUGCUGUUAUGCCUGUAUUCACUGUUGCUGCUACUGUACUUGUGAUGAUGUUGUACUUGUGAUGAUGCUACUUGUGAUCUUCUGAAAUGACCCAUUGGCGACUUCAUUACGCGGGGAUAAUGAUAUUGCAGGUACCCCGAGAGGCCCUUGAGUUUGCCGGAAUGUCGAUUAACUUCCGUUCCGGCAAAUUCGGGUACUCCAUAUGCCCUAUUUUCAGCAAAGGUCAUGCUGAAAUUUUCCGUGAAUUUUAGCAUGACUUUGCUAAAAAUCGGACAUAUGGGGUACUUGCUACUAAUGCAUGGGCCGGGGUAUCUUAGUACUUAAUUAAGUAAGAUCAACUGCCCCUUUAUUCUUGCUGCAUUAAACCAUAGGUGGCAAUAGAGCCAAGUGAUUAGGCUGAACUUAGAGUCGACAAACCCUAAAUGAUAAAACCAUGGCUUUUAAGGUGCCUCGGUGUCGAUGAGAACCUAAAUGAUGUACGCUUAGGCUUUUAGGGUGCCUCGGCGUCGACAAACCCUAAAUGAUAAAAGCUUAGCUUUUAGGAUGCCUCGGUGUCGACAAACCCUAAAUGAUGAGACCAUGAUCUUGUUCCUUGACAAUAACUAACUUUUUGACCAAACUUUUUUCCUAUUUAGAGCGAAACAUGGCCCACAACGAUGAGGCCGGCGGUUCGGGCGACAAGCAAUUCUGGGAGCUGUCCCAGGAGAUGGAGGAAGAACCUCACCGCUAUGAGGAUGCCGCGGAAGACACCGAUCCUGACUACACAAACCCUAGUGGCAUCGGGGAUGACACCUCUAAUGGUGCCGCCAAGGAUGCCACCACUGAUGAUGGCGGCGCACACACAGAUGGCAGCCAACCGAAGAGGCAAUGGAAGGACCGGCGCCCAAGCGUGCUCGGCACCAUCAAGGAGGAAUUUACUGAAGUGAACUCCGACGGGCAUCCAACGGUGCCCAAAGAAUUAGUCAAGGGGUACUCAUUUCAGCUCGGGUGCAUUCUCCGGAGCACCGUCUCGAUCAACACCGAGAACCUAAGGCAUAAGGACCGAGGGAAUUUGCGCAGCCUCCUCUUCAUGAAGCUGCACGAAAGAUACAAGUUCCCCGCUGACUUUGCAAACAUAUGCCUCUCAGGGAAUAAAGUGAACAGUGGCACCCUCACGAAGAUGAGCACGGCCCUGUCUACUUGGAGAAGCACGGUGAAGGCAAUGAUUGAAAAAGGUGAUAGUUAUGAGAAGAUCAAGGCAAAAUAUCCUUUGAUCAGCGAAGAUGACUACAAGGAGUUCAAGAUCAAGUGCGAGAGCAGGACAACCUCCGAAUCAAGUCAGUGGGGGAAAGAAAUGCGGGAGUUGAACUUAGGGGUCCACCAACUCGGUCCCGGCGGUUACAGAGUGGUGGAGCCUAUAUGGGCCAAGGAGGACGCGGAGCAUGCCGAGCAAGGCCUACCGCCCCGCUUUGAGAAAUACCGUGACAAGCAGACCAGGAACUAUGUCAGGGCCCGGUACAAGGAGGACCCGGUAACAAAGGAGCUUACCACGGAUCAGAAGACCAUGGCGCUUGAGCUUGUUCUGGUAAGGAAUACACCCCCGCGUAAUUAGUGCCAUAUGGUUGCAUUCUAAUUAAUCCCCAAUAUUUCUAAAUGGUUCACGUUCCUUCCACAGGACACUGAAAGCAGUAGCGCGGGCUCAUCUUAGAGCUCCCCUUUCGACACCCCUUUAAAUAGGGCGUUGAACGUAAUGAAAAACAAGGAUAAGCUCAGUAAGCUGUUGUCAGCUGGUCGUGUGGCCGGCAAAGGCUUGUCCACAAAAUGGACAUCAUACUAUACUGCUGGUAGGCGAAAGGAGAAAAAGAACAGCUUGGAAAGCCAGUCGCGCGAGGUGGAAGCACUCAAGGCACAAGUGGCGCGUAUUCCGGAGAUUAUCCAAGAACAAGUGCAACAACAACUAGGAACGACGCUCACCGCCAUGGUGCCUAUGUUGAUUCAGGGGCUAACGAUGUGGAUUGCGGGCGUCCAACACGGGCCUCCCCCGGUUCCAGCUUCACGGCCAGCAACUCGCACAACACACAGGAGGUGCCAUUGGUGUCUCAGGCGGCGCCAUUGGUGUCUCCAGCGGAGGCGGUAUUCGUGUCUCCGGCAUCGGCACGGGCAUUGGAGCUUAAUGCACCCGGGUGUAAGCCGACCGGCACCUCGCCAGCAAGCAGCCCCUCCGUCAGUUGCACGCCCGCCGUUGGCGGUGCCUCCACAUUAGCCGAGCUUGAUGGCAUCAUGGUAACUAAGCCUCUCGGCAGAUGACUUCAUCUCCUUGCCUUUGACUGGGCCUCCCUGAUGCCCUACAUGUAUUCGCAGGGCGCUACCGACGUUCCUUGCACUCUCCUGCACUUCGUGGGCGGCGAGUUGGUCGAUAUCGCCAAGGGUAGAAUCGUUCAACUGGGCAACCCCGUGUUCCACGGUAAUCCGAUGCCACCCAUAGUGUAUAGGGUUGAACUAGUUUGGGUGCUGCCAGACUGUGACGAGCUGUUACCUCCGAUUCGACCCGCUGGGGCCGACGAAGAAGAUGAGAUGACCCUCAGCGCCUGCGUAAACUGGCCCGUGCUUUGGCCAAAGAGCCAGAUUCGUUUGGGUGUGGGGGACACCACCCCACAGACAAGACCGCCAGUCGUGCCGGCGCCAAGCCAUGGCAAGAAUGCCGCAACGCUGCCGGACAUGCCGGACAUCCGUAUGGCACAGGAUCCGGACAUGCAUAUGGCACAGGAUCCGGACGACGACGACAACAAUGACAGUACAUUUACCAACGUCGAUAAGUACUUUUCCGAAAAUGGGUACGGUGACGAGUUCUGCGGGCCUCCUUCUCAAGAACCCAACCAAGACGACCGUGAUCUAGCUGGGAUGGCGGAGAAAUCCAAUUGCAAUAGGCGUUGUCUGGCGUUCAGUUCUCAGGAGAUGCCUCUAGCUCCCGCCUUCACCGAGCCUCAGAUAGCUGAGGUGUGAAAUAUUAUCAGCCCCAACACGCUCAAGAAGGCGGUCUGUGAGCAGAACUCGAUCCCAUUACAGCAGAUAAAGAAGAAGGGACGGAAAUUAAAGACUAACAAGGGCGCCGGUGCGAGCCAGCCAGCACCGAGUACGAUCCGUGCUCAGGAUGGGCCACCUUCACCUAAGGAUAUCUCGAGGAGGGUGCAUGUGGCGGGUAGGGCGAUGCUACCAACAAAUAUGCUCAAUGCUGCAACCGGUGCUAUGUGGAGUCUGCAUGACAGUGUUCUUUCUUUGGAGAAGCGGCGUCUCUCCCAGAAUGAUGUGGCAUACCCGGUUUUUGUGGCCAAGGUGCCAGAGGUCAAGGGCUUCGUGGAUGGCGCCAUCGGGGGUAUGAUCGUCCUGCGGUUUGAUGACAUCUUUGCUAUGUUUAACCUUCAUCCGCUGCACUACACCUUCGUUCGGCUGUUUUCGCUGAGUAUGGAGAUGCGGAUCAUUCGAUACAAGACCCCGGACAUCGUGAUAAUCGACCCCUUCUACAUGCGUGCCAAGAUCUUGGGCAGCGCUGGGGACCAGCAAGUCGCGAGUUCACACCUCGAAGGCGUCAUUCUGGCAAACCCAGAUAAGGAUAACUUCCUUGUGCCUUACUUUCCCGAGUAAGUCAUCCCCUCACCGCCCCGUAACAUAUGAUUUCUGAGAUUUCGAUCGUUCUUCUUUUUUUCUAACAUUCUGUGUUCUGUGCAGUGACACACAUUGCACACUUAUCCUCUUAAGCCCGAAAUAUUCCACGGCCACGUAUUUCGACCCGGACCGUGACUCCAAGAUAGACUACACAAAUAUCAAGAAAGUUCUUGAUGAUGCUCUCCCCGGCUACGCCACAUCUAGAGGGACCUUUAAGAGGCCAGUUCGUAGGUAUGGCAGGCACGUGUUCACCCACAAUACGACGUUCCCCUGCGUCAAGCAGUCGCCUGGUGUUCAGAAGGAUGCCUACUAUGCCCUCCAUCACAUGCGGUCGAUCUUACGGGACCAUAAUCACCUUCUGCUACCAAAUAAUGUCAAAGAUUGGGCCGCUAGCUUAGCGGCAAUCCAGGACGCGGACCUUCGACAAUAAUUCUUUCGCAUCCAGUCGAAGUUUGCAGAAAUCAUCCAUCAAGAUGUCCUUCGUACUUCGGGGCAGUUCUACCUCAGAGAUCAACCGUCCAACAAUGAGAUAGACACAACGCUACAAAUGCAGGCUGACAACGCCCGCGACUUCAUGACCAUCACGAAAGACGGCGUCUUCAUCCACGCUCCGGUCCCAUGAGUCAAGUCGAAAGUAGUGAUGCUAUUUGUAGUUCUGAAACAUCGAUUAGCUCAUGUUGUAAUUAAACUUUAAUGAACUUGUAUGUCUCUUUGGUUUGGACAGUCAUUCAACUUAGAUGUAAUCAAUGCUAUUUAUUAGUAGGACCAUGAAUCACGCUAUUAAUGUCUUGAUUUUCCCUUUCGAUCCUUUUGUUGCAUACUUAUAUAUUGCUUAUGUAUUGUCUGUUGUUUGGCUUGUGCAUAUAGAUGCCGUCGUAUGUCGUGUACAAGGGUAAGGUUCCCGGAGUCUACGACGACUGGGAGGAGUGUCGGAGACAGGUUCACCGUUUCAGCGGUAACAGUUACAAAGGGUACACCACUAGGGUGGAGGCGGAAUCUAGAUACGCUCGCUAUCUAGCGGGAGAGAGGAGGGAGCGUUGGAGGAACCGGAUGAAGACCAGUUUCAUCGCGAUGAUGCUCAUCGUGAUGACCGCCGCUCUCUUCUAUGUGAUGGUAGUUUAGAUGAUCGAUAUCGACUUGUAAUGUGAAGACAAACUCGCUACUCACGGUCUCUGAGACUUGUAAUGUUCUAUGUUUGUUCGGUCUUUUGAAUUCGGAGACUAAUAUGAUGAAUUGUAUUCGGAGACUAAUCUUCUAUUGUAUUCGAUGAAUCUGCAGUUGCUGUGUGGUGCUGUCUAUAUUCUGUCCAAUAAUAUAUUUUGUAACCUGUGCAAAAAUCAGAGAAAGAAACCCUAAUAUUAAUACUAAUGGCGCAUCACCCCACAGUGCGCCAUUAGUAUGCCAAAGGAUACUAAUGGCGCAUCACCCCACAGUGCGCCAUUAGUAUGCCAAAGCACACGGCUAAAUAUGGCCCCCAAGGAGGCAUACUAAUGGCGCAUGUUGCUCUAUACUAAUGGCGCACGGCGUGGUGCGCCAUUAGUAAACCAGAUACUAAUAGCACACCAGUGGUGCGCCAUUAGUAUAUAAUACUAGUGGCGUGGUACUAGUGGCGCACCAGUAAUGCGCCAUUAGUAGGCAAAACUGGUGCGGCACUAGUAGGCCUUUUCCUAGUAGUGUAAGGGGAAAGUGAUGUGCGGUGUCGGGGCCUGGUCUUCGAUCCCGUUGAUCGGUUCUUCGAUGAUGAAGCAGGGGCAACAAGGACAAGGUGGGGGUCACUGAUGGAUCACUAACCAACCUAUACUAAGCAGAUUAGGAUAAGCAGGUAAGGUAACAAUAAGAAGGUUACAAAAGCAGGCUAUGCAUCAGAAUAGGAGCAAACAAUAACAAUAGCCAAAUCUAAUGCAAGCAUAAGAGAAUUGAAUGGGCGAUAUCAGGAUGAUCAAAGGGGGGGCUUUCCUGGUUGCUCUGGCAAGGAGGGGUCAUCGUCGACGUAGUCGAUCACAGGGGCAACAUCAGUCUCGGGGUCUACCGGAGAGAAGAGGGGGAAGAAACAGUAAAUACAGAGCAAACAAGGCAUCACAAGGCAUAACAUGGCAAUAAGCUGUGCCGGGUGUGACCUAACGUAUGGCUACACGAUAUAGGUGAAGGCCGAACUCAACCGGGAAAGUUUUCCCAGUUCUGGACCUGUGUCAGACAGGUGACCGGAGGGGGAAUGUUCCACGUUUAGAUAGUUAGAGGCAUCUGACAGGUAUGUGGGUAGCGUAUUUGGGUUCAUCUCGUUUUUUUGAGCAACUUUCAUGUAUAAAGUUUUUCGAUCCGACCUACAGUUUAUUUUCUAUGAUUUCUCAAAGCUUUAAAUAUAUUCUGAAAUUAACAGAUUUAAACUAAUUCAGAAAAGGAGUUUAUUGCAUCAGCAUGACAUCAGCCUGAGGUCAGCAGUCAACCCAGCUAACUCAGGUCAAACCUGAUAGCUGGGUCCCACGUGUCAUAUAGAGUGGGUUAACCAGAGAGUUAAAUUCAACUAAUCAGGUCAAUUAGCAGAUGAGCCCCAUCUGUCAGCCACUAAAGUAAUUAGCAUAUUAGUUUAAAAUUAAAUUUGUUUAAUUAAUCGUGGGGGACCACAUGUCGGCCCCUGGGGUUGCCCAGUCAGCACCGUUGACUGGUCAAAGCAGUCAGCGGGGCCACUGGGGCCUGUUAGCAGUGACCCCGGGGGUGGCCCCAGGUCGGCCACGUCGGAUGCCAGCGCCGGAGUUGGCUCCGGCGAGCCAAAACAUGGCGGAGGGCGCCGGCGAGCCUCGGGAUUUCGCCACGGUGGCCCAAAACGGGUGUGGCUACUCCCGUUCGAAAGCUAGCGACGUCGCGCGUCGCAUGGAGCUACGGGAUGGUCUCGGGGAUGACCGGAAUGACACCGGCAAGCGGCGGAGGCGGCGACGCGUACGGGGAGAUGACGGAGACGGUGAAGCAGCGUGCUAUGGAGUAAAAGAAGAGGCUGGGCAGGUUCUACGCGGUGCGGUGAAGCUGUUCGGCGCACACCCGUGACCAUUUGGUCACCGGAGGCACGCCAGCGACGAGCACGGGCGGCAGCGCGUUUAGGCGCUCGACGAGCAAGGGGCUAGGGGCCACGGGGGCGAGGAGAAGAGAGCGGGGAGGAAGGAGAGCUCACCGAGGAGCACAAGGAGGCUCGGUGGCAGUUUAGGAGCUGCAGGGGCGGCGCCAGAGACGAAGAAGAUCGACGGCAGCCGGAGAUGGGGACGAAGGGGAUCCGAUGCUGCAGCGCCUCCGAGCUCCAGCUGAGGCCACCAGUCGAAGGAGUCGACCCCGUUGGAGCUCACCGACAGGGUCAGCGAGUGCGGGGCCGCUGGUGGCCGCGACAACGACGAGGACGGCGGCGACUGCGCUGGAGUGUCGAUGGGGAACGAGGGGGGAGAGGCGAGGAGCGGGCGGAGAGGGCGAGGAGAAUCUGUGAGUGGGUGGAGGUAGGUGUGGAGGACCCGAGGAGCCGGACGGGGAGGCUCUUAUCCACCAGCGGCGUUGCCGGCGAGGUGGUCGGGCGGCGAUGAGCCGCUGUAGCGGCGCGCACCGAGGGAACAGGAAGGAGGGGAGAACGACCGGGGAGGGGGCAUGGGCCGGCCUAGCUGGGCCAGCUGGCGCGGGUGGGCCGAAGCCCAACUGGUGUAGGGGCUUUCUCUCCCCUUUGCUUUUUUCCUUUUCUCCUUUUCUAUUCUUUUCUCUUUUUUUGUAGCUUUUGCAUUGGCUUUUAGCCACUAUUGACUUUGCAAAAUUAUGCAACUGGCCAAAACAAUUUCAAAUAAUUAUUGGGCACUACCAAAAAUAGAUUGUGAGGCUUUAGAAAUAGUUUGCCAUUUUUAUAAAUUAAAAAGGCAUUUAACUUAUUGCUUAGGUCACUGUUUUAAGUAGUUUAGACCACUCAAACCUUUUACAAAAAUGUUGGUCCACCACCAAUAUUAGCUAUGGAUUAUUUGGAACAUGAUGAACAUUUUAGUUUUCAUGUUUGAGAAAUUUGAAUUUCACUCAAAAUCUGAAAUUGAAUUCAAGUGGAAUUUGAAAUGGAGUAUUGAUCAUAGUGACUAAGCACUAUUAUAGCAUCAUUACACCAGGGUGUUACAACUCUCCUCCUCUAUAAGAAAUUCUCGUCCCGAGAAUUAAGAGGUAGAAGGGAAAAGAUUGGGGUAUUCAGCAUGGAGGUUAUCCUCGCGUUCCCAAAUGGCUUCAUCUUUGGUAUGAUUCGACCAUUGCACCUUGAGGAACCUGGUAACCUUCUGGCGGGUUCGAUGUUUAGCUUCUUCAAGAAUGCAGAUAGGAUGCUCUUUGUAUGUGAGAUCAUCUUGAACUUCAAUCAAUCCCAGAUCCACUUCACAUUCCGGAUCCUUGAAGCAACGACUAAGUUGUGACACGUGGCAGAUGUCAUGGACAUGAGAGAACUGAGGUGGCAACUCCAAUUGAUAAGACAUCAUUCCUCGAUGGGCGAGAAUGCAGAAGGGACCAAUGUAGCGCAGAGCUAGUUUGCCCUUGAAUCUGAACCGAUGAGUGCCCCUCAAAGGAGUGACACGCAGAUAAUCUUGAUCACCAGGUUGAUAAGUUGAACCCAAGUGUUUCCGAUCAUAAUUGCUCUUCUGGCGGCACUGGGCCGCCUUGAGAUUACCCUGAACAAUGCAAACCUGCUCUUCAGCUUGUUGAAUAAUAUCCGGACCAAUGAGUGUACGUUCCCCGGUUUCUGACCAAUUCAGAGGGGUUCGGCACUUACGUCCAUAGAGCACCUUGAAGGGUGCCAUCUUCAAGCUGUCUUGAUAGUUGUUGUUAUAAGAGAACUCCACAUAAGGGAGAGAUUCUUCCCACUUCUUGCCGAAAGAAAUAACACAAGCCCGAAGCAUGUCUUCCAGAAUUUGGUUGACUCGCUCGACCUGGCCAUGGGAUUGGGGAUGAUAAGCAGUGCUCCAGGUAAUAUGAGUUCCCAUUGCCUCUUGGAAAGUAUCCCAGAAAUUUGAAGUGAAGAUACUGCCACGGUCUAAACUGAUCUUCUUCGGAAUGCGAUGGAGUGACACAAUUCUUGAGAUAUACAACUUUGCUAAUUGACUAGCAGUGAUUGUCUCCUUGACUGGCAGAAAGUGAUCAACUUCCAAGAAUUGGUCGAUGACGACAAAGAUAGCAUCAUUACUUUUCUGAGACUUGGGAAGGCCAGUGACCAAGUCCAUCUGAAUCUUAUCCCACUUCCAUUCAGGAAUCGGAAGCGGUUGUAGAAGGACAGUCGGUUUCUGAUGUUCUGCUUUGACGCGAUGUCUAACGUCGCAUUCUUCGAUAUAUCGAGCAAUGUCUUGCUUCAUUUUAGACCACCAGUACUUCUGACGGAUUUCUAAAUACAUCUUCGUACUUCCCAGAUGAAUAGAGCGAGGGGUGUCAUGCGCAUCUUUCAUCACCUUCUCUGUCAUAAGCUCAAACCGGGGUACUACAAUACGAUCUCUAAAGUAUAAGGUCCCAUCUUCAGCAAUACGAUUUCUCUAAGGAAAGAUCCUUUUUCAUCAGAUCAACAUGAGCAUCUUUGGCUUGAGCGGACUUAAUUUCUUUCAAAAGAUUUGGUUCCAAGACAAGGUUAUUCAGAGAACCCUAUGGAACUAGUUGAAGGUUCAGCUUGCAAAGUUCUUCAUAAAGGCUGCGUUGAGCUUUAUGAACCAUGUGAUUAUUGCAAUAAGACUUGCGGCUCACGGCAUCGGCCAUUACAUUAGCCUUGCCAGGUGUAUAAGAUAUACCGCAGUUGUCGUCAGCAAUAGCUUCCAUCCAUCGCUGCUGACGGAGGUUUAGAUCUGGCUGAGUAAACAGGUACUUUAGACUCUGAUGAUCUGUGAAGAUCUCACAAUGAUUACCGAGAAGGUAUUGUCUCCAUAGCUUCAGUGCAAAGAUAACCGCAGCAAGCUCGAUGUCGUGAUCUAGGUAGUUCUCUUCGUGACGACGCACUUGACAGGAGGCAUAAGCAAUUACUCUGCGCUAUUGCAUUAGGACAUAGCCUAAUCCUUGUCGUGAAGCGUCGCAAUAGAUGACAAAGUCCUUGCGAGAAUCAGGGGGAGCAAGCACUGAGGCAGAAGUCAGCCUGUCCUUGAGUGCCUGGAAACUUUCCUGACAUUUUUCUGUCCAAUUGAACUUAAUGCCUUUGUGAAGUAGAUUAGUCUGUGGCUUGGCAGUCUUGGAGAAGUUCUCGACGAAACGGCGGCAAUAAGUGGCAAGUCCGAGAAAGCUUCUGACUUGCUUGACAGUCUUCGGAGGGGUCCAGUCAAGAAUAGCCUAAACUCGCUCUGGGUUGACGGCAAUACCAUCCUUGGAGAUGACAUGCCCAAGGUAGGUUACUUCGGGAAGCCAGAAUUCACACUUGGAAUACUUGGCAUAAAGCUGAUGCUCUCGAAGCUUUUCCAGAACAAGACGAAGAUGUUCAGCAUGUUCUUCUUUAUUCUUCGAAUAUACCAGAAUAUCAUCCAGAUAGACUACAACGAACUUGUCGAGGUAAUCUGUGAAUAUGUAGUUCAUCAGACGAGAGAAUGUAGCUGGAGCAUUGGUUAAACCGAAUGACAUGACGAUGUACUCAUAUGAACCAUAUCGAGUAACGAAGGCGGUCUUUGGAAUAUCCUCUUCAUGAACACGGAUCUGGUGGUAACCCAACCUCAAGUCGACUUUAGAGAAUAUCGAUGAACCCGUUAGUUGAUCAUACAGAUAGAUCAUUGAUCUGAGGAAGGGUAUAUUUGUUUUGAAUUGUAGCUUGGUUGAUAGGACGGUAGUCUUGGACCAAGUGGUUCGUUCCGUCCUUCUUUUUGACGAAGAGAGAAGGUGCUCCCCAAGCAAAGGAACUUGGAUGAAUGAAACCCUUGUGAAGAGAUUUGUCGAUUUCCUCCUUAAGUUCAAGGAGCUCAUGAGGAGGCAUCUUAUAGGGUCGUUUGGCAAUAGGAACGGUGUCUGGUUUCAAGUUGAUGACAAACUUGACAGCCCUGGCAGGGGGUAUUCCUGGAAGUUCUUCUGGAAAGACAUCUAGGAAGUCACGAACAACUAGAAUAUUUUCAAUUCCCUCAAGAGGUGUUGUGUUCAACGCAUUCAGGACAUAAAGUCGUGCUUCAGCGUUUUGAACCAGAUGAGCAUUGUAGCUUACUAUCUCAUUUGAAGGGUGCAGAAGGUGGACGGUUUUAGUGGCGCAAACGAUAGAAGUCGUAUGUGCUUUCAACCAAUCCAAUUCCAGAAUGAGGUCAAUAUUGGAAGACUUCAGAAUAAUGGGAGAGGCAUGGAACUCUAAUCCUUCAAUCUCAAUGAUGACAUUGUGGCUAACCAUGGUGGCUCGACAUUGGCCCGCAGGGGUGAUUACCACUAAUGGAAUGUGCAUCUCUUCGUAUUUAACGCCAUACAUGAAUGCAAAAUCUUCUGAUAUGAAAGAAUGUGAUGCUCCUGUAUCAAAUAAAAUAGCAGCUGGUACUGAAUUAAUGAGAAGAGUACCCAUCACAGUGGCAGGUUGGUCUUGAGCUUCAUUCAGAUCAACAUGAUUAUCCUGACCACGACCAUAAGGUCUGGCAUUGUUGUUAUAGGGUUGAUUGUUACGGUCAGUUGAAAGUAGAGCCAGCUGGCUCUUUUUCUGAUUGCACUCUUUGGCACGGUGACCUGGACGGCCACACCUCAAGCACAAUUCAUCAUUGGGGUUGGGAGCAGGAGCUUGGGGUGGCAUAGCUCGAAGAGGCUGCCUCUCCGGAGGAGGAGGCAGACGAGUUGAAGCAUAGGAUUGUCUUGGUGCAGGUGCAGUUGGACGAUACAUGCUGUGGGGAAUCCAUAUCCGAUGCUUCUGCGCUGACGGGCCCAAAGAUGGGCCAGCGUCACGGCUACGCCUGAGGGAUCCCUGGUGUUCCUGAAGACCAGUCUCAACCUGAAUAGCCUUGUUUACCAAGGUGGUGAAGUCGGCAAAGUCAUGAACGAGCAGUGCUAGCAUGAUAUCUGGGUGAAGUCCAUCAGGAACUUUUCUUGCCUGCGAGCAUCAGUUGCAAUGUCUUCUUCAGCAUAACGUGACAAGUCCAGAAAUUCCCGCUGAUAAGCAUCUACAGUCUUGUUGCCUUGGGUGAGGUUGCGGAACUCUCGCUUCUUCCUGUCCAUGAUUCCUUGAGGAAUGAAGCGGGCACAAAAGGCAGCUUGGAAAUUCGGCCAAGUGAUGAUCGUUCCAGUAGGUAGGGUACGCCUAUGGCUGUCCGACCAUUAAGCAGUGGGACCCUUGAAGAAGAAGGAUGCGAAGGUGACAUAGCUGGCAAGGGCAACACUAGCAGACUCCAUUUCAUAUGUGAUGUCACAGAGCCAGUCAUCAGCAUCAAGGGGCUGAGUUGAGCUGCAGUAGAUUGUCGGGUUGAGGUGCAUGAGGUCCUGCAGAGUAACUGGGGCUGGCUGCUGGUCCAUAUUCGAAUGAGGAAACUGAGUCAUCAUUCCUUCCAUGAACUGGCGGUUCAGCUCAAACUGUUGCAUCAUUCCAGCAAAGAAUUGAGGCGGUGGUGGAUCGUUGGCACCACGGCCACGACCAGCAGGUCUAGCCAUCCAGCUAACAUGUAACAGGGGUUAGUUUAGCAUUGAGCAUUUCCAAAGACAAAGGAUCAUUCAUGAUGAAACAGUCAUAAUGAAAAAGGUACGAUGGAUACCACUUAGUAGUCGACACGACAGUGUGUGCACUAUUCAAGAUGCUAUUCUAAGGAGUAACUAUGGCUUAUACAACUUUGGGGUGAAUGUGGUCACGGGAUCCUAAUGUUAGAGUUAGUAAACUCGUUUAACCCGAGUAGAAGAGAGUUCAGAGUCCCAGACUAUAGACGAGGAGUAAAAGAUCCUAAUACCACCCAAUGGCGACGUGGGCCCAUAAGACACACAACCAUGUUAGUAAAAGUUUUGUAGUGACUAGACUCAACUUCGGCCAAGUGGUUGGAAAGGGGGAUACCUACAGGCAGUCGGCUCUAAUAUCAACUUGUGACGCCCUCGAUUCAAUCGUACACUAAUCAUACAUGCAAAUGUGUAUGAUCAAGAUCAAGGACUCACGGGAAGAUAUCACAACACAACUCUAGACACAAAUUAAAAUAACACAAGCUUUAUAUUACAAGCCAUGGGCCUCAAGGGCUCGAAUACAUAAGCUCGAAUACACAAGAGUCAGCGGAAGCAACAAUAUCUGAGUACAGACAUGAGUUAGACAAGUUUGCCUUAAGAAGGCUAGCACAAAAACAACAACGAUCGAAAAGGCAAGGCCUCCUACCUGGGAGCCUCCUAACUACUCCUGGUCGUCGGCGGCCUCCACGUAGUAGUAGGCACCCUCAAUGUAGUAGCAGUCGUCAAAGGUGGCAUUUGGCUCCUGGACUCCACCAUCUGGUUAUAACAACCAGAAAGAAGAAAGAAGGGGGAAAAGGGGUAGCAAAGCAACCGUGAGUACUCAUCCAAAGUACUCGCAAGCAAGGAUCUACACUACUUAUGCAACAUUAUGAAAGGAAGGUUGUAUAUGUGGACUGGGCUGCAGAAAUGCCAGACUAGAGAGAAGGCCUAGUCCUAUCAAAGACUAGCAUCUUCUGGAAACCACCAUCUUGCAGCAAACAGGAGGGAGUAGAGUAUAAUAAAGUAUAGUAGUAGUAGUGUUAUCAACCUCGGCUAGACAUCCUUUCUCGACUCCCUGCGAGAAAGCAAUCCCAGAGCCAUACUAUCCAUUUCUCAUAUCCAUGUCUCAUCUCAAGUAUCCAGUUCUAGUUGUAUCGAUCGGGAUACAACUCCAAGUGUCUGUUACCAUAGGACAGGCUAUCGAUAGAUGUUUUCUUCCUUGCAGGGGUGCACCAAAUUACCCACCACGCUCGAUUAACUCCGGCCAGACACACUUUCCUGGGUCAUGCCCGGCCUCGGCCAAACAAUACGCCGCAACCCGACCUAGGCCUAAUAGAGAGGUCAGCAUGCCGGACUAAACCUAUGCCCCCAGGGGUCAUGGGCCAUCGCCCCGGGAACUCCUGCACGUUGUGAGGGCGGCCAGUGAGUAGACCUAGCUACCUCCCUAAAAAGGCAGGUGCUUACCAGUCCAACCCGGCGCGUGCCGCUCAGUCAUUAACGUCUAUUUAGCUUCACCUGAUGCAUACAACGCAGAACGCCCAUACUAUGCCCACGUGAUGGUUAGUGCUAUCAGGCCAAAGGCCCCUCGGAUCAAAUAUCCAAAUCGUAGUGGAUUAGGAACGCGCGGUAACAAGCAGAGAAUCACGAAAGAUGUGACCCCGUUGCCCCAUCUCGAGGACUUGCGGCAAGGGCUAAGAAUGCCCGGCCACGCCUCGUAAUUAUCUUGCGGGCACCUUCCAGGUCAACCCGACUCCACAUCACUCACAAUUAUGCUCGCGCAGGUACCCCUCAGGGUCGACCCGUCUUUAGUAACAUGGUUCAGUGUAAAGUCAUAGUAAUCAUAGUAACUGUGUGUCUAAACAUCAAGGGGAAAACCCAAGUAAUCACCCCCGGUGAAUUCCAAUUGAUGUAAUCAUCAAGGUGAACGUAAGAGGAAUCACCCCCGAGGUUCACACUUGAGGGGUUGCACGACAGAGUCAUAUCGGAAGUGGUUAAGGCGGAAUCACCCUCGAUGACCACGACCAAAUAGCUACACUACAGGGUUAACAUCAGAAGUGCUGUAGAGGUAUCACCCUCGGCAUUCGAUAGUAACCCAGCAGUGUCGAGCAACUAAGGGGAAAGUGAUGUGCGGUGCUGGGGCCUACUCUUCGAUCCCGUUGAUCGGUUCUUCGAUGAUGAAGUAGGGGCAACAAGGACAAGGUGGGGGUCACUGAUGGAUCACUAACCAACCUAUACUAAGAAGAUUAGGAUAAGCAGGUAAGGUAACAAUAAGCAGGUUAUAAAAGCAGGCUAUGCAUCAGAAUAGGAGCAAACAAUAACAAUAGCAAAAUCUAAUGCAAGCAUAAGAGAAUGGAAUGGGCGAUAUCGGGAUGAUCAAAGGGGGGGCUUGCCUAGUUGCUCUGCCAAGGAGGGGUCGUCGUCGACGUAGUCAAUCACAGGGGCAGCAUCAGUCUCGGGGUCUACCGGAGAGAAGAGGGGGAAGAAACAGUAAAUACAAAGCAAACAAGGCUUCACAAGGCAUAACAUGGCAAUAAGUUGUGUCGGGUGUGACCUAACGUGUGGCUACAUGAUAUAGGUGAAGGGGGAAUUCAACUGGGAAUGUUUUCCCAGUUCCGAACCUAUGUCAAACAGGUGACCGGAGGGGGAAUGUUCCAUGUUCAGAUAGUUAGAGGCAUCUGACAUGUAUGUGGGUAGCGUAUUCGGGUUCAUCUCGUUUUUCUGAGCAACUUUCAUGUAUAAAGUUUUUCGAUCCGAGCUACGGUUUAUUUUCUAUGAUUUCUCAAAGCUUUAAAUAUAUUCUGAAAUUAACAGAUUUAAACUAAUUCAGAAAAAGAGUUUAUUGCAUCAGCAUGACAUCAGCCUGAGGUCAGCAAUCAACCCAGCUAACUCAGGUCAAACCUGAUAGCUGGGUCCCACGUGUCAUACAGAGUGGGUUAACCAGAGAGUUAAAUUCAACUAAUCGGGUCAAUUAACAGAUGGGCCCCAUCUGUCAGCCACUAAAGUCAUUAGCAGAUUAGUUUAAAAUUAAAUUAGUUUAAUUAAUCAUGGGGGACCACAUGUCGGCCCCUAGGGUUGCCCAGUCAGCGCCGUUGACUGGUCAAAGCAGUCAGCGGGGCCACUGGGGCCCGUUGGCAGUGACCCUGGGGUGGCCCCAUGUCAGCCACGUCGGAUGCCGGCACCAGAGUUGGCUCCGGCGAGCCAAAACAUAGCGGAGGGCGCCGGCAAGCCUCGGGAUUUCGCCACGGUGGCCCAAAACGGGUGUGGCUACACCCGUUCGAAAGCUAGUGACGUCGCGCGUCGCAUGGAGCUACGGGAUGGGGGAUGACCGGAACGACACCAGCGAGUGGCGGAGGCGGUGACGCGUACGGGCGGAUGAAGGAGACGAUGAAGCAGCGUGCUAUGGAGUAAAAGAAGAGGCUGGGCAGGUUCUACGUGGUGCGGUGAAGCUAUUCGGCGCACACCCAUGACGAUUUGGUCACCGGAGGCACGCCGGCAACGAGCAUGGGCGGCGGCGUGUUCGGGCGCUCGAUAAGCGAGGGGUAGGGGCCACUGGGGCGAGGAGAAGAGAGCGGGGAGGAAGGAGAGCUCAUCGAGGAGCAGAAGGAGGCCCGGUGGCGGUUUAGGAGCUGAAGGGGCGGCGCCGGAGACGAAGAAGAUUGACGGCAGCCGGAGAUGGGGACGAAGGGGAUCCGAUGCUGCAGCGCCUCUGAGCUCCAGCUAAGGCCACCAGGCGAAGGAGUCGACCCCGACGGAGCUCACCGACAGGGUCAACGAGCGCGGGGCCGCCGGUGGCUGCGACAACGAUGGAGGACGGCGGCAACCGCGCUGGAGCGUCCAUAAGGAACAAGGGGGGAGGCUCUUAUCCACCCGCGGCGUUGCCGGGGAGGUGGUCGGGCGGCGACGAGCCGCUGUAGCGGCGCGCAUCGAGGGAACAGGAAGGAGGGGAGAGCGACCGGGGAGGUGGCGUGGGCCGGCCUAGCUGGGCUAGCUGGCACGGGUGGGCCGAAGCCCAAGUGGGCCAGGCACUUUCUCUCCCCUCUGCUUUUUCCUUUUCUCCUUUUCUUUUCUUUUCUCUUUUUAUUUGCAGCUUUUGCAUUUGCUUUUAGCCACUUUGACUUUGCAAAAUUAUGCCACUGGCCAAAACAAUUUCAAAUAAUUAUUGGGCACUGCCAAAAAAAGAUUGUGAGGCUUUAGAAAUAGUUUUCCAUUUUUAUAAAUUAAAAAGGCAUUUAAUUUAUUGCUUAGGUCACUGUUUUAAGUAGUUUAGACCACUCAAACCUUUUACGAAAAUGUUGGUCCACCACCAAUAGUAGCUAUGGAUUAUUUUGAACAUGAUGAACAUUUUAGUUUUCGUGUUUGAGAAAUUUGAAUUUCACUCAGAAUCUGAAAUUGAAUUCAAGUGGAAUUUGAAAUGGAGUAUUGAUCACAGUGACUAAGCACUAUUAUAGCAAAAUGAUUAGCUUGAUCUCAGGGAUUACUGUAGCAUCAUUACACCGGGGUGUUACAAGCGAUCACCGGGUUAUAUCUAGCAAUUAAAAGGGUGUGUGUUUUAAGUAUCCGGUUCUAGUUAUCGUAAGGUUGAAGUACAACGCCGGGUCGUCCUGUUACCAUGGACAUGACUAUUCAAAUAGAUCAAUCUUCCCUGCAGGGGUGCACAACAUUACCCGACAUGCUCGAUCCCUCUGGCCGGGCACACUUUCUGGGUCAUGUCUGGCCUCAGGAGAUCAACACGUCACAUCCCUACCUAGGCUCAACAGACAGGUCAGCACGCCGGUCUAAAUCCUAAGCACGCAGGGGUCUGGGCCCAUCGCCCGUUGCACACCUGCACGUUGCGAACGCGCCAGAAGCAGACCUGGCCUCCCUAAUACAAGAGCAGGUGUUCUAGUCGAAUAAGGCGCGUACCACUUUGUGGCUGAGGUCCAGAAGGCUCCUGCUGAUACCACGAUGUCGGUUGCACAUAUCUUGUCCCACGUGGCAGUUAGUGUGUAUAAGGUCAAUGAUCCAACUCAGAUCAAAUACCAAUAUCUCGUUAAGCGUGUUAUUUUGAAGUAACCGCAGACGUCGACCAGGACCAGGCCCACCUGUCUCCUAGGUGGUCACAACCUGCCAUGUCGCUCCGUCACAAAGAUCCACUCAGAGGGCCGUCUGGGCAAAUGUCCUUUCAACCCCCAAUCCAUGAAUCACUCGUGGGUACUCCAUGAGCCGACCCGACUUUAGUCACAUCAUGUAACCUGUAUAGUGUGUAUGUAUGUAUAAAUAUACCCAUGAUCACCUCCUGAGUGAUCACGACCCGGUAAUAUAGCAUGGCAAACGGACAACAAUGUUGGGCCACUGAUGAUAAACUAGCAACCUACAUUAAGCAUGUAGGAUUGCAGGUAAAGGUAUCAACAAUUGUAGCAACAAUGACAGGCUAUGCAACAGAAUAGGAGCUAUCGAAUCAACAACAGUAGCAGAACUAAUGCAAGAAUAAGAGAGAAGAGAGUGGGCGAUAUCUGGUUGAUCAAAAGGGGUUUGCUUGCCUGGAAGCUUUGCAUACAGAUAUGGAUCCUCGAUGGUGAAGUAGUUGAACACCGGAUCAACCGCGGUCUCGGGGUCUACCGGCAAGAAGUAACGGAGGAGGGAACACAAUAAAUAACACAACAAUCAAUGCAUCACAAAGUAUGACAUAGCAAUACGCAGUGCUAGGGGUGACCUAACGCUCUGCUAAGCGUUACGGACGGAGCGGGAAAUAUCCGGUAAUAUUUUCUCGGCUCCAGGCAUUUAUCGGACAGACGAACCGGAGGGAAAUGUUCCAUGUUUGCACUGUUGUGAGCACAUGACAGGUAUGUGCGCGGCAUAUUCGGAUUCGUCAUAUUUUUCUGAUUAUUUUUCAUAUAUAAAUUAUUUUUAUCGUACUUACGGUUUAUUUUCUAUGUAUCUCAAAGUUUAAAUGAUUUUCUGAAUUUAUAGAAUUCUUUUAAUAAGAAAGUAAACAGCAAAAUACUUUUGUCACCUAGUGCUAUUCUAGCCAUAGUGUAUGACACUGGGCCAGUGGAGUUCGGUUGACCCAGUCAAAUGUUAACUAGUCAACAUAUAAACAGUGUAGGGGGCCACAUGUCAUUGACUUUGACUUUUGUUAAAAUUUGUUUUUCUUUAAACUAACAGUGGGUCUACAUGUCAUCUACUAUCUAAUUAGCUAGUACUACUAAUUAGACUAACAAGGCGGCAUAGCAGCAGUGUAAGAGCAGCAGCGGGAAGUGAUACGUCUCCGUCGUAUCUAUAAUUUUUUAUUGUUCCAUGCCAAUAUUCUACAACUUUCAUAUACUUUUGGCAACUUUUUAUACUAUUUUUGGGACUAACAUAUUGAUCCAGUGCCCAGUGCCAGUUCCUGUUUGUUGCAUGUUUUAUGUUUUGCAGAAAACCCAUAUCAAAUAGUCCAAACGGGGUAAAAACCGACGGAGAAUUAUUUUGGAAUAUUUAUGAUUUUUGGGAAGUAAAAUCAACGCGAGACGGUGCCCGAGAGGGGCAGGAGACAGGGGGCGAGCCCCAGGGAGGCAGGAGCGCCCUGGACUCUCCUAGGCAUCCCGUAAGGCGGUUGAUGCUCUUCUUUUGCCGCAAGAAAGCUAAUUUUAUGAGAAAAAUUUGGGCGAAAGAUUCACCCCAAUCGGAGUUAUGAAUCUCCAAAUAUAAUAGAAACGGUGAAGGGGCAGAAUCAGGGAACACAAAAAUAGAGAGAGACAGAGAGAUAGAUCCAAUCUCGGAGGGGCUUUCGCCCCUCCCAUGCCAUGGGAGCCAAGGACCAGAGGGGAAACCCUUCUCCCAUCUAGGGAGAAGGUCAAGGAAGAAGAAGAAGAAGGGGGCCUCUCUCCCCCUUGCUUCCGGUGGGGCCGGAGCGCUGCCGGGGGCCAUCAUCAUCACCGCGAUCUUCACAAACACCUCCGCCAUCUUCACCAACAUAUCCAUCACCUUCCCCCUUCUAUCUACAGCAGUCCACUCUCCCACAACCUGUUGUACCCUCUACUUGAACAUGGUGCUUUAUGCUUCAUAUUAUUAUCCAAUGAUGUGUUGCCAUCCUAUGAUGUCUGAGUAGAUUUUCAUUGUCCUAUCGGUGAUUGAUGAAUUGCUAUGAUUGGUUUGAGUUGCAUGUUUUAUUAUUGGUGAUGUCUUAUGGUGCUCUCCGUGUCGCGCAAGCGUGAGGGAUCCCCGCUGUAGGGUUUGCAAUAUGUUCAUGAUUUGCUUAUGGUGGGUGGCGUGAGUGACAGAAGCACAGACCCGAGUAAGUAGGUUGUUUGCAUAUGGGAUAAAGGGGACUUGGUACUUUAAUGCUAUGGUUGGGUUUUACCUUAAUGAUCUUUAGUAGUUGGGGAUGCUUGCUAGAGUUCCAAUCAUAAGUGCAUAUGAUCUAAGAAGAGAAAGUAUGUUAGCUUAUGCCUCUCCCUCAAAUAAAAUUGCAAUAGUGAUUAUCGAUCUAGUAACAUAGUCAAUUGCUUAGGGACAAUUUCACAACUCCUACCACCACUUUUCCACACUCGAUAUAUUUACAUUAUUGCUUAUUUAUCUAAACAGCCCCUACUUUUUAUUUACAUGUUCUUUAUUAUAUUGCAAACCUAUCCAACAACACCUACAAAGUACUUCUAGUUUCAUACUUGUUCUAGGUAAAGCGGACACUAAGCAUGCGUAGAGUCGUAUCAGUGGCAGAUAGGACUUGAGAGAAUAUUUGUUCUACCUUUAGCUCCUCGUUGGGUUCGACACUCUUACUUAUCGAAAGAGGCUACAAUUAUGCCCUACACUUGUGGGUUAUCAAGACCUUUUUCUGGCGCCGUUGCCGGGGAUUCAUAGCGUGGGGUGAAUAUUCUUGUGUGUGCUUGUUUGCUUUAUAACUAAGUAAUUUUUAUUUGCUAUUCUAAGUUGUUCUCUAUCUUUAGUUAUGGGUAGGAAAUGCAAAAUACCAAAAAAUUAUUUGUACCUACUACACCAAUGGUUGAAGAACCACUCAAAAUCUAUCACACUCCUGAAGCUUUUUACUUGGAUCAUCUUUGAUCCCUUUGUGCUCGUGCUGAAACCCCCACUAGCUUAGUUGAGGGCAAAUCUUUAGAUGAGCAUGCUUGUUAUACGUGACAUCGUAUAUCUGAAAAAGGGAAACUUUUACUGGAUCAAAUUCAUCGUUUGCAAUGCUAUGCUUGGACUUUAUGUGAAAUAUAUGAUGUUACUUGUUGUUCUGAAAACCCUUAGAAACACCUUCCCUACCAAUGUGAGGUUAUUGAUAAUGGAAUCGUAUCUUCAUAUGCUAAGGGUGUUUAUAAUUACUAUGAUGUUCAACAAAUUGAAGAAUUUGUUGCUAUUAAGGGUGCUUAUGAAAGUGCUUCUUUGAUUGAAAAGUAUGUUGCUACUCUCUACAAAUCUGAAAUUUUUUCCAUACUUGAAUAUUGUUAUGAUAAUUAUGCUUCUAAUGCCUAUGUUAAACCAUAUAUUGAGAAAGUCUCCACUGUCCAAGAAGAGACUAAUAUUUUGCAGGAAACUAUGGAAGAAGAAAUUGAUGAAACUAUGAGCUCAUUGGAUGAAAAAGAUGAUGAGGAGAGCGAAGAACAAAAGGAGGAAGAGCGGAUUAGCUACCCGUGCUCACCUCUAAUGAGAGUAACUCUUCAACUCAUACAUUGUUUAAUUCCCCUUCAUGCUUACCGAAGGAUGAUUGCUAUGAUGAUUGUUAUGGUCCCGUUGAUUCACUUGAAAUAUCCCUUUUUGAUGAUGCUUGCUAUGCUUGUGGCCAAGAUGCCAAUAUGAAUUAUGGUUAUGGAGAUGAACUUGCUAUAGUUCCUUAUGUUACACCUGAAAUUGUUGCUAUUGCACUCACACAUGAUAGUCCUAUUAUCUUUUUGAAUUCUCCAAACUGCACUAUAUCAGAGAAGUUUGUGCUUAUUAAGGAUUACAUUGAUGGGUUGCCUUUUACCAUUGCACAUGAUGAUUUUGAUAGAUGUAAUAUGCAUGUGCUUGCUUCUCCUACUUGCAAUUAUUAUGAGAGAGGAACUAUAUCACCACCUCUCUAUGUUUCCAACACGAUAGAAUUGCAAGAAAUUGUUUAUACUUUGCAUUGGCCUUUACUUGGUGUGCAUGAAUUCUUCUUUUAUGACAUGCCGACGCAUAAGAAGAGAGUUAGACUUCGUUAUUGCAUGAUAUAUGUUACUUUGUGCUCACUACUAAAUUACAAAUCAUUGUUAAUUAAAAUUGGCAUUGAUAUACCUUGGGAUCCGGGUGGAUUCAUUACUUGAGCACUAUAUGCCUAGCUUAAUGGCUUUAAAGAAAGCGCUGCCAGGGAGACAACCCGUACGUAUUAGAGAGUCAUUUAUUGCUGUUGAGUGCUUUUAUAUAGUUUAAAAACAAAAAAAAAGAGGGGAACCCAAAUUUUUUCAAAAAGGAAAGUAAAAAUGAGAGAGACAAGCAUUGUUGAAGUUGGAGAGCUCCUUGAACUUUGUUCAUGCUCACGGAAACUUUGUGAAUCUUGAUUACAGAAACUUUUCAUCAAAAAUAAUUAUCCCCUUGUACAAUUCCAUUGUAUUAUAAAAAUAAUGUGCUAAGGUUUGCCUUUAGGAUGUUUACAAUGCUUGGGGAUGCCCCGGAAGGCAUCCCCUCUUUCUUCAACAAGUAUCGAUAUGCUUUCGUAUUCGUUUUGUUCAUGCGAUAUGUGCAAGUCUUGGAGCGUCUUUUGCAUUUAGUUUUUACUUUUCUUUUAUGCACCAUGCUGGUAUGAGAUAGUCCUUGGUUGAUUUAUAGAAUGCUUAUUACACUUCACUUAAAUCUUCUGAGUAUGGCUUUAUAGAAUGCUUUAUGUUCUUCACUUAUAUCGUUUGAAGUUUGGAUUGCCUGUUUCUGCUCACAUAGAAAACCACCAUUUGUAGAAUGCUCAUUUGCUUCACUUAUAUUUGUUAGAGCAUGGGCAUGUCUUUUGUACAAAGAAUUAAACUCUCUUGCUUCACUUAUACCUAUUUAGAGAGAUGACAGGAAUUGGUCAUUCACAUGGUUAGUCAUAAAAUCCUACAUAAAACUUGUAGAUCGCUGAAUAUGAUAUGUUUGAUUCCUUGCAAUAGUUUUGCGAUAUAGAGAUGAUAAUAUGUGGGAGGUACUAGUAGAUGGUUGAGGGAGUCCUGGAUUAGGGGGUAUCCGGACAGCCGGACUAUAUACAUCGUCCGGCCUAUUGAAGCGUGAAGAUACAAGACUCAAGACUUCCGCCCGUGUCCGGAUGGGACUCUCCUUUGCGUGGAAGACAAGCUUGGCGAUCCGGAUAUUAUAUUUCCUUCCUUGUAACCAACUCCCUGUAAACCCUAGCCCUCUCUGAUGUCUAUAUAAACCGGAGAGGAUGGUCCUUAUAAGGCCGAUCACAAUUACAAUCAUACCAUCAUAGGCUAGCUCUUAGGGUUUAGCCUCUACAAUCUCGUGGUAGAUCUACUCUUGUACUACUCAUAUCUUCAAUAUUAAUCAAGCAGGAAGUAGGGUUUUACCUCCAUCGAGAGGGCCCAAACCUGGGUAAACAUUGUGUCCCUUGCUUCCUAUUACCAUCAGCCUAAGACGCACAUAUUGGGACCCCCUACCCGAGAUCCGCCGGUUUUGACACCGACAUUGGUGCUUUCAUUGAGAGUUCCUCUGUGUCAUCGCUUUGAGGCUUGAUGGCAUCUUCAAUCGCCAACAACACCGUCUAGGGCGAGACUUUUCUCCCCGGACAGAUCUUUGUGUUCGGCGGCUUCGCACUGCGGUCCAAUUCGCUUGGUCAUCUGGAGCAGAUGGAUAGCUACGCCCCUGGCCACCAGGUCAGGUUCGGAAACUUGAACUACACGGCGGAUAUUCGCGGAGACUUGAUCUUCGACGGAUUCGGGCCUGUGCCAGGAACGCCGGACAGUCACGACGAGCACGGCCUAUGUUGGGGAACAUAGUAAUUUCAAAAAAAUUCCUACGCACACGCAAGAUCAUGGUGAUGCAUAGCAACGAGAGGGGAGAGUGUUUCCACGUACCCUCGUAGACCGAAAGCGGAAGCGUUAUAACAACGUGGUUGAUGUAGUCGUACGUCUUCACGGCCCGACCGAACAAGCACCGAAACUACGGCACCUCCGAGUUCUAGCACACAUUCAGCUCGAUGACGAUCCCCGAACUCCGAUCCAGCAAAGUGUCGGGGAAGAGUUCUGUCAGCAUGAUGGCAUGGUGACAAUCUUGAUGUUCUACCGUCGCAGGGCUUUGCCUAAGCACCGCUACAAUAUUACCGAGGACUAUGAUGGAGGGGGUGCACCGCACACGGCUAAGAGAUCUCAAGGAUCAAUUGUUGUCCCUCUGGGGUGCCCCUCCGCCCCCGUAUAUAAAGGACCAAGGGGGGUGCGGCCGGCCAAGAGGAGGGCGCGCCAGGAGGAGUCCUACUCCCACCGGGAGUAGGACUCCCCCCUUUUCCAUGUUGGACUAGGACUUGGGGGGAAGGAGAGGGAGAGGGGAAAGGAAAGGGGUGGCGCCCCCCUCCUUUUCCAAUUCGGACAUGGGGGGGAGGGGCGCGCGGCUGCCCCUUGGCCUCCUCUCCUCUUCCUCCACUAGGCCCAUUAAGGCCCAUUAAGUUACCGGGGGUUCCGGUAACCUCAUGGUAUUCCGGUAAAAUGCCGAUUUCACCCGGAACACUUCCGAUGUCCAAACAUAGGCUUCCAAUAUAUCAAUCUUCAUGUCUCGAUCAUUUCGAGACUCCUCGUCAUGUCCGUGAUCACAUCCGGGACUCCGAACAACCUUCGGUACAUCAAAACAUAUAAACUCAUAAUGAAACUGUCAUCGUAACUUUAAGCGUGUGGACCCUACGGGUUCAAGAACAAUGUAGACAUGACCGAGACACGUCUCCGAUCAAUAACCAAUAGCGGGACCUGGAUGCUCAUAUUAGCUCCCACAUAUUCUACAAAGAUCUUUAUCGGUCAGACCGCAUAACAACAUACGUUGUUCCCUUUGUCAUCGGUAUGUUACUUGCCCGAGAUUCGAUUGUCGGUAUCUUAAUACCUAGUUCAAUCUCGUUACCAGCAAGUCUCUUUACUCGUUCCGUAAUACAUUAUCUCACAACUAACUCAUUAGUUGCAAUGCUUGCAAGGCUCAAGUGAUGUGCAUUACCGAGAGGGCCCAGAGAUACCUCUCCGACAAUCGGAGUGACAAAUCCUAAUCUCGAAAUACGCCAACCCAACAUGUACCUUUGGAGACACCUGUAGAGCUCCUUUAUAAUCACCCAGUUACGUUGUGAUGUUUGGUAGCACACAAAGUGUUCCUCCGGUAAACGGGAGUUGCAUAAUCUCAUAGUCAUAGGAACAUGUAUAAGUCAUGAAGAAAGCAAUAGCAAUAUACUAAAUGAUCGUGUGCUAAGCUAACGGAAUGGGUCAUGUCAAUCACAUCAUUCUCCUAAUUAUGUGAUCCCGUUAAUCAAAUGACAACACAUUUCUAUGGUUAGGAAACAUAACCAUCUUUGAUUAACAAGCUAGUCAAGUAGAGGCAUACUAGUGACACUCUGUUUGUCUAUGUAUUCAGACAUGUAUUAUGUUUCCGGUUAAUACAAUUCUAGCAUGAAUAAUAAACAUUUAUCAUGAUAUAAGGAAAUAAAUAAUAACUUUAUUAUUGCCUCUAGGGCAUAUUUCCUUCAGUCUCCCACUAGCACUAGAGUCAAUAAUCUAGAUUACACUGUAAUGAUUCUAACACCCAUGGAGCCUUGGUGCUGAUCAUGUUUUGCUCGUGGAAGAGGCUUAGUCAAUGGGCCUGCUACAUUCAGAUCCGUAUGUAUCUUGCAAAUUUCUAUGUCUCCCACUUGGACUAAAUCCUGAAUGGAAUUGAAGCGUCUCUUGAUGUGCUUGAUUCUUUUGUGAAAUCUGGAUUCCUUCGCCAAAGCAAUUGCACUAGUAUUGUCAUAAAAUAUUUUCAUUGGACCCGAUGCACUAGGUAUGGCACCUAGAUCGGAUAUGAACUCCUUCAUCCAGACUCCUUCGUUUGCUACUUCCGAAGCAGCUAUGUACUCUGCUUCACAUGUAGAUCCCGCCACAACACUUUGUUUAGAACUGCACCAACUGACAGCUCCACCGUUCAAUAUAAACACGUAUCCGGUUUGCGAUUUAGAAUCGUCCGGAUCAGUGUCAAAGCUUGCAUCAACAUAACCAUUCACGAUGAGCUCUUUGUCACCUCCAUAAACGAGAAACAUAUCCUUAGUCCUUUUCAGGUAUUUCAGGAUGUUCUUGACCGAUGUCCAGUGAUCCACUCCUGGAUUACUUUGGUACCUCCCGGCUAAACUUAUAGCAAGGCACACAUCAGGUCUGGUACACAGCAUUGCAUACAUGAUAGAUCCUAUGGCUAAAGAAUAGGGAACUUCUUUUAUCUUUUCUCUAUCUUCUGCAGUGGUCGGGCAUUGAGUCUUACUCAAAUUCACACCUUGUAACACAGGCAAGAACCCUUUAUUUGCUUGAUCCAUUUUGAACUUCUUCAAAACAUUGUCAAGGUAUGUGCUUUGUGAAAUUCCAGUUAAGCACCUUGAUCUAUCUCUAUAGAUCUUAAUGCCCAAUAUGUAAGCAGCUUCGCCGAGGUCUUUCAUUGAAAAACUCUUAUUCAAGUAUCCUUUUAUGCUAUCUAGAAAUUCUAUAUCAUUUCCGAUCAGCAAUAUGUCAUCUACAUAUAGUAUCAGAAAUGCUACAGAGCUCCCACUCACUUUCUUGUAAAUACAGGCUUCUCCAAAAGUUUCUAUAAAACCAAAUGCUUUGAUCACACUAUCAAAGCGCUUAUUCCAACUCCGAGAGGCUUGCACCAGUCCAUAAAUGGAUCGCUGGAGCUUGCACACUUUGUUAGCUCCCUUUGGAUCGACGAAACCUUCUAGUUGCAUCAUAUACAACUCUUCUUCCAGAAAACCAUUCAGGAAUGCGGUUUUGACAUCCAUCUGCCAUAUUUCAUAAUCAUAAAAUGUGGCAAUUGCUAACAUGAUUCGGACAGACUUAAGCAUCCCUACGGGUGAGAAGGUCUCAUUGUAGUCAACCCCUUGAACUUGUCGAACACCUUACGCGACAAGUUGAGCUUUGUAGACAGUAACAUUACCGUCAGCGUCAGUCUUCUUCUUGAAGAUCCAUUUAUUUUCAAUUGCUUGCCGAUCAUCGGGCAAGUCAACCAAAGUCCACACUUUGUUCUCAUACAUGGAUCCCAUCUCAGAUUUCAUGGCCUCAAGCCAUUUUGCGGAAUCUGGGCUCACCAUCGCUUCUUCAUAGUUCGUAGGUUCAUCAUCGUCUAGUAACAUGACUUCCAGAACAGGAUUACCGUACCACUCUGGCGCGUAUCUUACUCUGGUUGAUCUACGAGGUUCAGUAACAACUUGAUCUGAAGUUUCAUGAUCAUCAUCAUUAUCUUCCUCACUAAUUGGUGUAGGUGUCACAGAAACCUGUUUUGCGAUAUACUACUUUCCAAUAAGGGAGCAGGUACAGUCACCUCAUCAAGUUCUACUUUUCUCCCACUCAAUUCUUUCGAGAGAAACUCCUUCUCCAGAAAGUUUCCGAAUUUAGCGACAAACGUCUUGCCUUCGGAUCUGUGAUAGAAGGUGUACCCAACAGUCUCCUUUGGGUAUCCUAUGAAGACACAUUUCUCCGAUUUGGUUUCGAGCUUAUCAGGUUGAAGCUUUUUCACAUAAGCAUCGCAACCCCAAACUUUCAGAAACGACAACUUUUGUUUCUUGCCAAACCACAGUUCAUAAGGCGUCGUCUCAACGGAUUUUGAUGGUGCCCUAUUUAAUGUGAAUGUGGCCGUCUCUAAAGCAUAACCCCAAAAUGACAACGGUAAAUCUGUAAGAGACAUCAUAGAUCGCACCAUAUCUAGUGAAGUACGAUUAUGACGUUCGAACACACCAUUACGCUGUGGUGUUCUAGGUGGCGUUAGUUGCGAAACUACUCCGCAUUGUUUCAAAUGUAGACCAAACUCGUAACUCAAAUAUUCUCCUCCACGAUCAGAUCGUAGAAACUUUAUUUUCUUGUUAUGAUGAUUUUCAACUUCACUCUGAAAUUCUUUUAACUUUUCAAAUGUUUCAGACUUAUGUUUCAUUAAGUAGAUAUACCCAUAUCUGCUCAAAUCAUCUGUAAGGUGAGAAAAUAACGAUAUUUGCCACGGGCCUCAACAUUCAUCGGACCACAUACAUCUGUAUGUAUGAUCUCUAAUAAAUCAGUUGCUCUCUCAAUAGUACCGAAGAACGGUGUUUUAGUCAUCUUGCCCAUGAGGCACGGUUCGCAAGUACCAAGUGAUUCAUAAUCAAGUGGUUCCAAAAGUCCAUCAGUAUGGAGUUUCUUCAUGCACUUUACACUCAUAUGACCUAAAUGGCAGUGCCACAAAUAAGUUAAACUAUCAUUAUCAAAUCUGCAUCUUUUGGCUUAACAUUAUGAAUAUGUGUAUCGCUACUAUCGAGAUUCAAUAAAAAUAGACCACUCUUCAAGGGUGCAUGACCAUAAAAGAUAUUACUCAUAUAAAUAGAACAACCAUUAUUCUCUGAUUUAAAUGAAUAACCGCCUCGCAUCAAACAAGAUCCAGAUAUAAUGUUCAUGCUCAACGCUGGCACCAAAUAACAAUUAUUUAGGUCUAAAACUAAUCCCGAAGGUAGAUGUAGAGGUAGCGUGCCGACCGCGAUCACAUCGACUUUGGAACCAUUUCCCACGCGCAUCGUCACCUCGUCCUUAGCUAAUCUUCCCUUAAUCCGUAGUCCCUGUUUCGAGUUGCAAAUAUUAGCAACAGAACCAGUAUCAAAUACCCAGGUGCUACUGCGAGCAUUAGUAAGGUACACAUCAAUAACAUGUAUAUCACAUAUACCUUUGUUCACCUUGCCAUCCUUCUUAUCCGACAAAUACUUGGGGCAGUUCCUCUUCCAGUGACUAGUCUGCUUGCAGUAGAAGCACUCAGUUUCAGGCUUAGGUCCAGACCUGGGUUUCUUCUCCUGAGCAGCAACUUGUUUGUUGUUCUUCUUGAAGUUUCCCUUCUUCUUCUUCCCUUUGCCCUUUUUCUUGAAACUAGUGGUCUUGUUAACCAUCAACACUUGAUGCUCCUUCUUGAUUUCUACCUCCGCAGCUUUUAGCAUCGCGAAGAGCUCGGGAAUAGUCUUUUCCAUCCCUUGCAUAUUAUAGUUCAUCACAAACCUCUUGUAGCUUGGUGGCAAUGAUUGGAGAAUUCUGUCAAUGACGCUAUCAUCUGGAAGAUUAACUCCCAGUUGAAUCAAGUGAUUAUUAUACGCAGACAUUUUGAGAAUAUGCUCACUGACAGAACUGUUCUCCUCCAUCUUGCAGCUGUAGAACUUAUUGGAGACUUCAUAUCUCUCAAUCCGGGCAUUUUCUUGAAAUAUUAACUUCAACUCCUGGAACAUCUCAUAUGCUCCAUGACAUUCAAAACGUCGUUGAAGACCCGGUUCUAAGCCAUAAAGCAUGGCACACUGAACUAUAGAGUAGUCUUCAGCUUUGCUCUGCCAGACGUUCAUAACAUCUGAUGUUGCUCCAGCAGCAGGCCUGGCACCCAGCGAUGCUUCCAGGAUGUAAUUCUUCUGUGCAGCAAUGAGGAUAAUCCUCAAGUUACGGACCCAGACCGUGUAAUUGCUACCAUCAUGUUUCAACUUUGCUUUCUCAAGGAACGCAUUAAAAUUCAACGGAACAACAGCACGGGCCAUCUAUCUACAAUCAACAUAGACAAGCAAGAUACUAUCAGGUACUAAGUUCAUGAUAAAUUUAAGUUCAAUUAAUCAUAUUACUAAAGAACUCCCACUUACAUAGACAUCCCUCUAAUCCUCUAAGUGAUUACGUGAUCCAUAUCAACUACACCAUGUCCGAUCAUCACGUGAGAUGGAGUAGUUUCAAUGGUGAACAUCAUUAUGUUGAUCAUAUCUACUAUAUGAUUCACGCUCGACCUUUCGGUCUCCGUGUUCCAGAGCCAUAUCUGUUAUAUGCUAGGAUCGUCAAGUUUAACCUGAGUAUUCCAUGUGUGCAACUGUUUUGCACCCGUUGUAUUUGAACGUAGAGCCUAUCACACCCGAUCAGCACGUGGUGUCUCGGCACGAAGAACUUUCGCAACGGUGCAUACUCAGGGAGAACACUUUUACUAUGAUAAUUUAGUGAGGGAUCAUCUUAUAAUGCUGCCAUAAAUCAAAGCAAGAUAAGAUGCAUAAAAGAUAAACAUCACAUGCAAUCAAUAUAAGUGAUAUGAUAUGGCCAUCAUCAUCUUGUGCUUGUGAUCUCCAUCUUCGAAGCACCGUCAUGAUCACCAUUGUCACCGGCAUGACACCUUGAUCUCCAUAGUAGCAUCAUUGUCGUCUCGCCAAUCUUAUUCUUCUACGACUAUCGCUACCGCUUAGUGAUAAAGUAAAGCAAUACAGGGCGAUUGCAUUGCAUACAAUAAAGCGACAACCAUAUGGCUCCGCCAGUUACCGAUAACUCGGUUACAAAACAUGAUCAUCUCAUACAAUAAAAUUUAGCAUCAUGUCUUGACCAUAUCACAUCAUAGCAUGCCCUGCAAAAACAAGUUAUACGUCCUCUACUUUGUUGUUGCAAAUUUUACGUGGCUGCUACGGGAUGAGCAAGAACCGUUCUUACCUACGCAUCAAAACCACAACGAUAGUUUGUCAAGUUGGUGCUGUUUUAACCUUCGCAAGGACCGGGCGUAGCCACACUCGGUUCAACUAAAGUAAGAGAGACAGACACCCGCCAGUCACCUUUAAGCAACUAGUGCUCGUGGCGGUGAAACCAGUCUCGUGUAAGCGUACGCGUAAUGUCGGCUCGGGCCGCUUCAUCUCACAAUACCGCUGAACCAAAGUAUGACAUGCUGGUAAGCAGUAUGACUUAUAUCGCCCACAACUCACUUGUGUUCUACUCGUGCAUAUGACAUCUACGCAUAAAACUUGGCUCGGAUGCUACUAUUGGGGAACGUAGUAAUUUCAAAAAAAAUCCUGCGCACACGCAAGAUCAUGGUGAUGCAUAGCAACGAGAGGGAAGAGUGUGUCCACGUACCCUCGUAGACCAAAAGCGGAAGCGUUAUAACAACGCGGUUGAUGUAGUCGUACGUCUUCACGGCCCGACCGAUCAAGCACCGAAACUACGGCACCUCUGAGUUCUAGCACACGUUCAGCUCGAUGACGAUCCCCGGACUCCGAUCCAGCAAAGUGUCGGGGAAGAGUUCCGUCAGCACGACGGCGUGGUGAGGAUCUUGAUGUUCUACCAUCGCAGGGCUUCGCCUAAGCAUCACGACAAUAUUAUCGAGGACUAUAGCUAAGAGAUCUCAAGGAUCAAUUGUUGUCUCUCUCGGGUGCCCCUCCGCCCCCGUAUAUAAAGGAGCAAGGGGGGUGCGGCCGGCCAGGAGGAGGGCGCACCAGGAGGAGUCCUACUCCCACCGGGAGUAGGACUCCCCCCCUUUUCCAUGUUGGACUAGGACUUGGGGGGAAGGAGAGAGAGAGGGGAAAGGAAAGGGGGGGCGCCCCCCCCCCUCCUUGUCCAAUUCGGAUUUGGGGGGUGAGGGGUGCGCGGCUGCCCCUUGGCCUCCUUCCUCUUCCUCCACUAGGCCAAUUAAGGCCCAUUAAGUUACCGGGGGGUUCCCGUAACGUCCCGGUAUUUCAGUAAAAUGCCGAUUUCACCCGGAACACUUCCGAUGUCCAAAUAUAGGCUGCCAAUAUAUCAAUCUUCAUGUAUCGACCAUUUCGAGACUCCUCGUCAUGUCCGUGAUCACAUUCGGGACUCCGAACAACCUUUGUUACAACAAAACAUAUAAACUCAAAAUGAAACUGUCAUCGUCACUUUAAGCGUGUGGACCCUACGGGUUCGAGAACAAUGUAGACAUGACUGUGACACGUCUCCGGUGAAUAACCAAUAGUGGAACCUGGAUGCUCAUAUUGGCUCCCACAUAUUCUACGAAGAUCUUUAUCGAUCAGACCGCAUAACAACAUAUGUUGUUCCCUUUGUCAUCGGUAUGUUACUUGCCCGAGAUUCGAUCGUCGGUAUCUCAAUACCUAGUUCAAUCUUGUUACCAGCAAGUCUCUUUACUUGUUCCGUAAUACAUCAUCUCACAACUAACUCAUUAGUUGCAAUGCUUGGAAGGCUUAAGUGAUGUGCAUUACUGAGAGGGCCCAGAGAUACCUCCCCGACAAUCGGAGUGACAAAUCCUAAUCCCGAAAUACGCCAACCCAACAUGUACCUUUGGAGACACGUGUAGAGCUCCUUUAUAAUCACCCAGUUACGUUGUGACGUUUGGUAGCACACAAAGUGUUCCUUCAGUAAAUGGGAGUUGCAUAAUCUCAUAGUCACAGGAACAUGUAUAAGUCAUGAAGAAAGCAAUAGCAAUAUACUAAAUGAUCGUGUACUAAGCUAACAGAAUGGGUCAUGUCAAUCACAUCAUUCUCCUAAUGAUGUGAUCCCGUUAAUCAAAUGACAACACAUGUCUAUGGUUAGGAAACAUAACCAUCUUUGAUCAACAAGCUAGUCAAGUAGAGGCAUACUAGUGACACUUUGUUUGUCUAUGUAUUCACACAUGUAUUAUGUUUCCGGUUAAUACAAUUCUAGCAUGAAUAGUAAACAUUUAUCAUGAUAUAAGAAAAUAAAUAAUAACUUUAUUAUUGCCUCUAGGGCAUAUUUCCUUCAGCCUAGACCUGCUAUCUGGCAAUGGUCGGGAUAUUAUCCCUGCAGUAGCCCCGGAUCUAAAUCCGGAACAGGAUGCGUUGCCUAAGGACGAAGGGGUGGAACCCGCCCCGCAGGCCGCACACUCAUCGGUGGUGGAGCCGAAUACAGGUCUCACCGCUGUUGAGGCCUGUAAUCCCGGGCCCCGGGACUCGUAUCCGGUUGUUGGUUCCGGUCCGCAUACCAUCGAGCCAGCCAAGCCAGGUUGGGCUCCGGUAAUGGAGUUUACAGCUGCGGACAUCUUUCAGCACUCGCCCUUUGGCGACAUGCUGAACUCAUUAAAGUAUCUCUCUUUGUCAGGAGACUCUGGGCCGAACUAUAUCCGGCUUGAGUGGGAAGCAGGCGAUGAAGGAAUUCGCUGCCCACCCACCACCCACUUCAUUGCCAUAGUCGAUGAUUUAACCGACGUGCUUGACUUCGACUCUGAAGACAUCGACGGUAUGGACGACGAUGCAGGAGACACACAGGAGCCACCACCCACAGGGCGGUGGACGUCCACCUCUUCAUACGAUAUAUAUAUAUGGUGGACACUCCGAAAGAAACAAAUGGCGAUGAGGCAAUGGAGGAUAACCCCUCCAAGAAGAAAGCAAAACAUGGGCGUCGCCAACACCGCUCCAAGCCCCGCCAAGGGAAUACCAGCACCGGAGACGAAAACAAUCCGGACGGUGCCGAAGAUGAAUACAACUCCGAUCAGCCCGCCUUUGAGCAGGCCGAACAGGAAGAUGGGCAGGACAACCCAUAUGAAUAGCCGACGGACGGGUAUCCGAAGGAGGAUAACUACAUGCCCCCCUUCGAAGACGAGAUUAGCCUCGGCGACGACGAGUUCGGCGUGCCUGAGGACCCCGCGGAGCAGGAGCGCUUCAAGUGCCGGCUUAUUGCCACCGCGAGGAGCCUGAAGAAGAAGCAACAGCAGCUGCAAGCUGAUCAAGACCUGCUCACAGACAGAUGGACAGACGUCCUGGCAGCCGAGGAAUAUGGACUCGAGCACCACAUGGCUGACCGUCCGCCUUGAGGUCGGGAUAAAACGGCAUAUCAGCCCGAAUACCAGCCUGCACCCCCACGCCAGUUUACUACGGCACGGGCAAUACUCAGGACCUGCGUGAUAGAUUGGAUAACACCGCAGGACAACCAAGAUCGAUCUACGGAUCACGAGGGCGCGCCGCAGCACAUAACGAUGGCCGUCAUACCGGAUACACUAACAGUAAAUUCGGCCGACCCGAACUCAAUCAGCCUGAUUUGGCCGGACUGAGUCGUGACAUAGCCCGGCACAGAGGCGCCGCACACCCCCUCUGCUUCACUGAGGAAUUGAUGGAUCAUGAAUUCCCAGAAGGGUUCAAACCCGUAAACAUCGAGUCAUACGAUGGCACAACAAACCCCGCGGUAUGGAUUGAAGACUUCCUUCUCCACAUCCACAUGGCCCGCGGAGAUGAUCUACAUGUCAUCAAGUAUCUUCCCCUUAAGCUCAAAGGACCCGCCAGGCACUGGCUUAACAGCCUGCCCGCAAAUUCCAUUGGCAGUUGGGAAAACUUGGAAGACGCAUUCCUUGACAACUUCCAAGGAACAUAUGUGCGACCUCCGGACGCCGACGACCUGAGACACAUCACUCAAUAGCCCAGAGAAUCAGCCAGGAAAUUCUGGACUUAGUUCCUAACUUAAAAGAAACAAAUAGUUGACUGUCCGGAUGCCGAAGCCCUGGCGGCCUUCAAGCACAAUAUCCACGACGAGUGGCUCGCCCGACACCUCGGCCAGGAGAAACCCAAGUCCAUGGCAGUUCUCACAACACUAAUGACCCGCUUUUGCACAGAUGAGGACAACUCGUUGGCUCGCAGCAGCACUAUGCCACAUUCUGGCACGUCAGAUGUUCGUGACAAUAAUGGCAAGCUACGGCGCAAUAGACACAAGCGGCGGAACAACAGCGACAACACCAAAGACACGGCAGUCAAUGCCGGAUUCAGCGGAUCCAAAUCCGGUCAGUGGAAGAAGCCAUUCAAAAGAAACAAUCAGGGACCGUCCAGUCUAGACCGUAUACUGGAGCGCUCGUGCCAAAUUCAUGGCACCCUGGAAAAGCCAUCCAACCACACCAAUAGAGACUGUUGGGUAUUUAAAUAGGCUGGCAAAAUAAACGCCGAAAACAAGUACAAGGGGCUGCACAGCGACGAUGACGAUCAGCCCCGGCGUCCGAACACGGGGGGACAGAAGAAAUUUCCCCCCAGGUGAAAAAGGGUCAACAUGAUCUACGCCACUCACAUCCCCAAGCGGGAACGGAAGCGAGCACUACGGGACGUCUACGCAAUGGAUCCAGUCGUCCCCAAACUCAACCCAUGGUCAGCUUGUCUGAUCACCUUUGAUCGUAGGGAUCAUCCUACUAGCAUCCGUCACGGCGGCUCGGCCGCAUUGGUUCUAGACCCAAUCAUAUACGGAUUUCACCUCACAAGAGUCCUUAUGGACGGAGGCAGCAGCCUGAACCUGCUUUAUCAGGACACAGUGUGCAAAAUGGGCAUCGUCCCUUCAAGGAUUAAGCCUACCAAAACCACCUUUAAAGGUGUAAUUCCUGGAGUAGAGGCCCGAUGUACGGGCUCUAUAACAUUGGAAGUGGUCUUCGGAUCUUCGGAUAACUUCUGAAGCGAGGAGAUAAUCUUCGAUAUCUUCCCUUUCCGCAGUGGUUACCACGCACUACUCGGAUGAACCGCAUUCGCUAGAUUCAAUACGGUACCACACUAUGCAUACCUCAAGCUCAAGAUGCCAUGCCCGCACAGGGUCAUAACAGUCAACGGAAACAAGGACCGCUCUCUCCAUUCAUAAGAGCACAUUGCAGCCCUCGUGGCAGAAGUACAAUGCGGCCUCCUCCGGCAAACCACCAAUCCGGCGACGACAACCUCAAGCACCUUCAAGCGAGUCCAGAGCACCCCGCAACAGGAUCACUAGGCACGCCAAGAGCGUGACUAGCAGUCCAGCCUCCGCUCAAAUCCCAUCAAAGAAGCAUUCGUGCCACGCAUACACAAUUACGCACUGAAAAUACCAUGGGAACUGGCGGAGGCGAAGCAGUGGCUCAGUCAAUAGCGCGGUAUCACCGCCUCAUACCUUCAUAACCUUUCCUUUCACCUUUCAGGACAUUGCUUUAGUGCAGCCUCUUCAUAAGAGCCGGAUCGACGGACUUCCAUAGGAUAGAAACCCAAGGAGGCAACUGGCUUUGCGCACAGAAGCAAAUACCCAGGUGGAAUCUAUUUACAAUCGUUAUACCUACUUUAUCUAUCUGUACGUAGCCUGCCCCCGGAUAGGGUAUGUCAAAUAAUCCUAUUUAUCUCCGCUUAAUGCAUUCAUUGUAAACAUACGCUUAAACGUAUUAUUCAUCAAUGGGAGAUCAUAUAUAGCAUCAGCUUAUUAUUCUUAUUUGAGCAUUUUUUCUUACAAAUGUCUAUUUGAUAUUGCAUCCGUACACCUUGGUACGUUCAGUUUGCCAGGGGCUUCUUAUGGCACCCCAUAAUACGUCAAGGCAAGUCCGAACACUUUCAACAGUGCGGUAACCCGAACUUAUAGCAUUAUAUGCAUCAGCUCCGAAUCAUGUCUUGGGUCUACAGUUGGAAUAGCCCGGCUCCCUUGUUUUGGUGCCUCACGUUCCGUUAUAUCGGCUAAGGUAGCGCAGGGAGAACUACGGCGAUUGUGUCCCGAUUCUUCCAGACGAGCACCUCGGUAGAGAAAGCCGAAAACUGACCGGCAUGAUGUGGCGAGAGCUGGUCGCUGUUCGAGAGGUCUUAAAAUCCUUAAAGAUUUUUCCGCUUUAGGCGAUAAUUCGGCUUUGUCCGAUCUAGGCGUAUAUAGCGCCCCAAUUCGGCCAUCUAGAUUCUAGGGGCUUCGCCGAAAUUUAGAAUUCUAGACUUCUAUGGCUAAGUGAAGGUUAUAAAGCUGCAUAGUCCGAUUGCCUUGUUCGGUGCGCCGGACACCUCCUUAAGGGACCAAACAUUUGGAUAAAGAGUGUCCGGGUUUUCCACGAACACCCCAGUACUAGUUGCAUGGGGGCGGAAGCCGACGACUGGCCUACUUUCAGAAUUUUAUAAACAGCCGCACAGAAAGUAAUAUUUUAAAUAACAAAAGCACUACAUAGCGCAAGUAACUUCGUCCUUAAAUUACAAACAUGACAGAAGUGAAUUCAUUCUAAAAUUAUGUCCUUGGUACAUUCAUCGGCCACGAGGUGAGCGCCCUUCAUAACGCCAUCAUAAUACUUCUUCGGAUAGCGAUGCGGCUUGCCCUCCGGUGGCCCGUCCUUCACUAGCUUCUCCGCAUCCAGCUUGCCCCAAUGCACCUUCGCACGGGCAAAGGCCCGACGGGCACCCUCAAUGCAAACGGAUCGCUUGAUGACCUCCAGUCGCGGAUAGGCAUUCACCAUCCGCUUGAUCAGGCCGAAGUAGUUGGUGGGCAGGGGCUCACCAGGCCACAUCCGGACUAUGAACUCCUUCAUAGCCACUUCGGCCGCCCUGUGGACUUCGACCAACUGCUUCAGUUGGUCACUCGGAGGCAUUGGACGUUCGGCCCCAGCAUACUGGGACCAGAACAGCUUCUUCGUUGAGCUCCCCUCCUGAGCAUGGUAGAACUCUACGGCGUCUGAUACACUGCGUGGCAGAUCUGCGAAUGCCCCUUGAGAGCUCUGGAUUCGGGUAAGUAAAAGAAACGCCUCCUCCACAUGUUUGCUUUGCAUAAAGAAUUUCUUACCCGCCGCUAUCUUUUUGGCCUCCUGGAUUUCUUGCUGUGCCUUCUCGGCUUCGGCCUUUGCAUCUUUUAUACUUGCAAGGGCCUUCGCAAGCUUGGCCUCUUUCUCCUUAAGCUCAUGCUCCACAGACUCAAACUUUUUGCCGAGCUCCUGGAGCUCUUGUUGUACCUCGCCCACUCAGGCAUCUUGCUUUUAGCGCUCUUUGUGCUCCAAGGCUGCCUUGUGUUCGGCCUCGGACAUCGCCUUCUUCAGAGACGCCACUUCGGUGGUGGCCUCUGUUAUCAAAUCACGAUGCUUCGUCGUUAGAAUAACCAAUUUUAUCUAUCCUACAUUAUAUGAGAAAGGGGAAUCAUUCACCUUUGCUCUCUUCGAGCUGCCUCCUCGUGAGGUCAAGCUCUCCCUGCGCCUGCUCCAGGUCUUGUUUUAAUCUGGCGAUCUCGGCCGUACGGACCGCAGCGGCAAGCAGCACAGCCUGCUUAUUCACAUUCAAACUUAUUAUUAAACUCCUGCGGAUUAUAAUUGACCCUCCGUUUGGCUUUUCCUUCCGAACACCAAACAGAGUAUCAGGGGCUACUACCUAUCGGGUGGUAAUUUCACACAUUUUCUACUUACCUCAAAGCCUGUCAGGAGGCUGGUGCAGGCUUUGGUUAGUCCGCUCUUGGCGGACGAAACCUUCUGAAUCACCGCACUCAUAAGAGUACGGUGCUCUUCAUCUAUGGAAGCGCCGCUAAGCUCUUCGAGCAGACAAUCCGUUGCCUCGGGUGCAACGGAAGUCCUCAACACAGACGGCCUUCCCUCCCUAACGAGGGGCUGCCAGCCUGAGUCCGGAACCAUUGAAGGCUCAGGAAAAGUGUUCGGCUGAGAGUCCGGCUUACUGCGGCUCUCAUCAACCCGAUCCGCGGGGAUCUUGAACCCCGCGUGCCCGACGUCUGGAAUGCCGCCUCGGAGCGCCUCCAGAGCCACCUCCCCCUGCUCUGGGAGCCUUUGGGAUAACACCUCCGUGUCAUCUGCAGGCUGAGGAGUAGUGGCCGUCAGGAGCGAGUUCAUCGCCGAAUCGCUCAAGGACCCAUCUGAAGACAAUGCUUCGGGAUGGACCAUGGCCGGACUACAUACAAGUUCGGCCUUAUAACAAAACUAUGAAGCAAAAUUAUGAUAGAGUGCGGUUACUUACGAUCACACUGCGGGCUUCUUCCUGGGCAGCCACCCCUCCUCGCUAUUGGCGGUGGUGGCGGAGUAGUCCGGAAGGGACGCCUUUCCCUUCUUGGAUGUCCCAGCCUCCCCCUCCGGGGCAGCCUUCCUCUUUUUCUCCCCCCCCCAAUACGGGGAGGUGGAUUUUCUUCUUGUUUCCCCCCGCCUCUGCGGGAGGAAUCUGCCUCGUCGUCAUCAGACGAUGAGGAUAUGACGGCCUUGCGCCAGGGGCCUCUCCUGGUCCCCUGGUCCGCCCUCUCAGGCCCCUCAUCCUUUCUCGAUGGGGCAGCCUCCUCCUCCUCUUCUUCUUCUUCCCCUUCGGGGGAGGAGUGUACCUCGUCGUCUUCGGACGAGGCUUGCGCAACCUUACGUCGGAGACCCUUUCGGAUCCUCGGGGCCUUCUUAUCGGCCUUAUUCUCCAGCCCCUUGUAGGGCGCCGGGACCAGCAUCUUCGUCAGGAGAGCAUUAGCUGGGCUUUCCAGCAGCGGAGCCGGAUAGUCAAUCUGCUCCGCUGUCUCCACAUAAUCCUGAAUAAAUAUGCACAAUUACUUAAGGCUCCCCCAUGAAUAUAUUGGGAAGAACCGAAUCCGAUGGUAGCCUGACAACUCACCUGACUAGGAGGCCACGCGGCGUGGAGCCCGCGGUCCUCGGAUAUGGGAGGAUGUACUUCGGAGGCCUUGAAUAACGCCUUCCACCCGUUUUUGUGCUUCAUGCCAUAGAGCCUCCGAAGCGUCUGGUGUUCGGCCGGGACGAACUCCCACAGAUUAAAUGGCCGCCUUUGGCAUGGCAGAAUCCGAUGAUGAGCAUGACCUAGAUCACGUUGACAAGCUUGAUGUUCUUGUCCUUCAUGCCCUUGAUGCAGUUUAUGAGUCCGGUCAGCUAUGUGGAUUUGCCCCAGGACAGACCCUUCUGUUCCCAGGAGGUGAGCCGCAUGGGGGUUCCGGAUCAGAACUCGGGGGCCGCUGCCUAGUUGGUGUCGCGCGGCUCGGUGAUGUAGAACCACCCCGACUGCCACCCCUUCACGGUUUCCGCAAAGGAUCUGUCAGGCCAGGUGACGUUGGGCAUCUUGCCCACAAUGGCUCCUCCGCACUCCGCUUGCUGGCCGCUCACGAUCUUCGACCUCACACAGAAGAUUUGCAGCCACAAGCCUAAAUGAGGCUUGAUGUGGAGGAAAGCCUCGCAUACGACGAUGAACGCCGAGAUGUUGACGACAAAGUUCGGGGCUAGAUCAUGGAAAUCUAGCCCGUAGUAUAACAUGAGCCUGCAGACGAAGGGGUGGAGUGGAAACCCCAGUCCACGGACGAAGUGGGCGAGAAACACGACCCUCUCGUGGGGUCCUGGAGUUGGAGUGACCUGCCCUUCGUCCGGUAGCCAGUGCGCUAUGUCUGCGGCCAAGUAUCCGGCCGCCCGAAGAUUUGCGAUGUGCUUCUCCUUUACGGUGGAAGCCACCCACUUGCCUCCUGCUCCGGACAUGUUUAGCUGUGCGGAGAAGACUUGGACUAGGGCGCUGGGGCUCGAGGGGCAAGAGUGGGCAAAGGAGGAAGAAGGCGUGGGUAAAAAUGGGGAACUCUUAUCCCUUUAUAGAAGCGACGGAAGCGGUGCGCCUCCCCACUAGCCCGUUGAGAAUCGCUUACUUCCCAAGCGCCACGAUUGAUGGCACGGUGGGAUUACCCAUACCCGUAUUGAUGAGAAUCCCAUGAUAAGGGGACACGAUCUCUGCUUUGACAAGACGUGUCAAGGAAACCGCCUCACAAUACGCGUUGUGGCUGGUUGUGGAAAAACGGUUCGAACAAUGACCUGACCGUAAUGGCAUAUCACGUCGUCUAAAAAGUUGUCAGCUGAAGUAUCAUUCUCUCUACGGUGGUAUGUGAAGAUCAUUUUGCAGAUCCGGACACGAUCUACGUGUUCGAUAAUAACCUUGGAACCCGCCUUUCAAUGCUGAAGAGAAGACUGCGCGCUGGACUCAUCGUCAUUGAAGCCUGGUUCAGGGGCUACUGAGGGAGUCCUGGAUUAGGGGGUAUGCGGACAGCCGGACUAUAUACAUCGUCCGGACUAUUGAGGCAUCAAGAUACAAGACUCAAGACUUCGGCCCGUGUCCGGAUGGGACUCUCCUUUGCGUGGAAGACAAGCUUGGCGAUCCGGAUAUUAUAUUUCCUUCCUUGUAACCGACUCCCUGUAAACCCUAGCCCUCUCCGGUGUCUAUAUAAACCGGAGAGGAUGGUCCUUAGAAGGCCGAUCACAAUUACAAUCAUACCAUCAUAGGCUAGCUCUUAGGGUUUAGCCUCUACAAUCUCGUGGAAGAUAUACUCUUGUACUACUCAUAUCUUCAAUAUUAAUCAAGCAGGAAGUAGGGUUUUACCUCCAUCGAGAGGGCCCGAACCUAGGUAAACAUUGUGUCCCUUGCUUCCUGUUACCAUCAGCCUAAGACGCACAGAUCGGGACCCCCUACCCGAGAUCUGCCGGUUUUAACACCGACAAUGGUUGUGUUCAGUAAGGAUGUUGGUGUUAAGGUUUUUGAUUCCCGAAGCAUGCACGUAUGGUUUACUAACUAUGUAACCAAAUUGGCGCGCAUUGUAUUUUGAUUGUUUUUCUUUGCGUGAAGGUCGGGGGAGCGCGAUGGUUAACUCCUACCAACCUCCCCCCUAGGAGCAUGUGUGUAGUACUUUGUUUCAAGGGCUAAUAAAUUUUUGCAAUAAGUAUGUGAAUUCUUUAUGACUAAUGUUGAGUCCAUGGAUUAUACGCACUCUCACCCUUCCAUCAUUGCUAGCCUCUUCGGUACCGUGCAUUGACCUUUCUCACCUCGAGAGUUGGUGCAAACUCCGCCGGUGCAUCCAAACCCGUUGAUAUGAUACGCUCUAUAACACAUAAGCCUCCUUAUAUCUUCCUCAAAACAGCCACCAUACCUACCUAUCAUUUCAUUUCCAUAGCCAUUACGAGAUAUAUUUCCAUGCAACUUCCAUCAUCAUCAUAUACAUGACUUGAGCAUUCAUUUUCAUAUUGCUUUGCAUGAUCGUAAGAUAGCUAGCAUGAUGUUUUCCUGGCUUGUCCGUUUUUUGAUGUCAUUGCUAUGCUAGAUCAUUGCACAUCCCGGUACACCGCCGGAAGCAUUCAUAUAGAGUCAUAUCUUUGUUCUAGUAUCGAGUUGUAAUAUUGAGUUGUAAGUAAAUAAAAGUGUGAUGAUCAUCAUUAUAGAGCAUUGCCCCACGAAAAAAAAGAAAAAAAGAAAAAAAGGAAAAAAGGAAAGGCCAAAGAAGCCUAAAUAAAAAAGGGGGCCAAAUAAUCCCAUCCAAAAAAAGAAAAAGAAAAAGAAAGAAAAAAGAAAAAGAAAAGGGGCAAUGUUACUAUCCUUUUACCACACUUGUGCUUCAAAAUAGCACCAUGUUCUUCAUAUAGAGAGUCUCCUAUGUUAUCACUUUCAUAUAAUAGUGGGAAUUUUCAUUACAGAACUUGGCUUGUAUAUUCCAACGAUGGGCUUCCUCAAAUGCCCUAGGUCUUCAUGAGCAAGCAAGUUGGAUGCACACCCACUUAGUGUUAGUUUGAGCUUUCAUACACUUAUAGCUCUAGUGCAUCCGUUGCAUGGCUAUCCCUACUCCUCGCAUUGACAUCAAUUGAUGGGCAUCUCCAUAGCCCGUUUGAGUAGCCGCGUCGAUGUGAGACUUUCUUCCUUUUUGUCUUCUCCACAUAACCUCCACCAUCAUAUUCUAUUCCACCCAUAGUGCUAUAUCCAUGGCUCAUGCUCACGUAUUGCGUGAAAGUUGAAAAAGUUUGAGAAUACUAAAGUAUGAAACAAUUGCCUGGCUGACACCGAGAUAGGCAUGAGGGGUACCUUGUGUUAAGAAAAGGGAGCAUAUAAGACUAUAUGAUUUUGUAGGGAUAACAUUCUAAAGCAUUGAUUGUUUGUUGGGAUGCCCUAAGUAUUAUUGUUUUUAUGUCAAAUGAUAGACUAUUGCUUUCAAUCACUCGUGUCUUAAUAUUCAUGCCUUGAUUAGAUAUAUGAUCAAGAUUAUGGUAGGUAGCAUUCCACAUCAAAAAUUAUCUUUUUUAUCAUUUACCUACUCGAGGACGAGCAUGAAUUAAGCUUGGGGAUGCUGAUACGUCUCCAUCGUAUCUAUAAUUUUUUAUUGUUCCAUGCCAAUAUUCUACAACUUUCAUAUACUUUUGGCAACUUUUUAUACUAUUUUUGGGACUAACAUAUUGAUCCAGUGCUCAGUGCCAGUUCCUGUUUGUUGCAUGUUUUAUGUUUCGCAAAAAACCCAUAUCAAAUGGAGUUCAGACGGGAUAAAAACGAAUGGAGAAUUAUUUUCGAAUAUUUAUGAUUUUUCAGAAGUAAAAUCAAUGCGAGAUGGUGCCCGAGGGAGCCAGGAGAUAGGGGCACGCCCCAGGGACGCAGGCGCGCCCUGGACUCUCCUGGGCACCUCGUAAGGCCGUUGACGCUCUUCUUUUGCCGCAAGAAAGUUAGCUCUAUGAGAAAAAUCUGGGCGAAAGAUUCACCCCAAUCGGAGUUACGGAUCUCCGGAUAUAAAAGAAACGGUGAAGGGGCAGAAUGAGGGAACGCAGAAAUAGAGAGAGACAGAGAGAUAGAUCAAUCUCGGAGGGGCUCUCGCCCCUCCCAUUCCAUGGGAGCCAAGGACCAGAGGGGAAACCCUUCUUCCAUCGAGGGAGAAGGUCAAGGAAGAAGAAGAAGAAGAAGGGGGCUCUCUCCCCCUUGCUUCCGGUGGCGCCGGAGCGCUGCCGGGGGCCAUCAUCAUCACCGUGAUCUUCACCAACACCUACGCCAUAUUCACCAACAUCUCCAUCACCUUUCCCCUUCUAUCUACAACGGUCCACUCUCCCGCAACCCGCUGUACCCUCUACUUGAACAUGGUGCAUUAUGCUUAAUAUUAUUAUCCAAUGAUGUGUUGCCAUCCUAUGAUGUCUGAGUAGAUUUUCAUUGUCCUAUCGGUGAUUGAUGAAUUGCUAUGAUUUGUUUGAUUUUCAUGUUUUAUUAUUGGUGUUGUCCUAUGGUGCUCUCCGUGUCGCGCAAGCGUGAGGGAUCCCCGCUGUAGGGUUUGCAAUAUGUUCAUGAUUUGCUUAUGGUGGGUGGCAUGAGUGACAGAAGCACAGACCCGAGUAAAUAGGUUGUUUGCGUAUGAGAUAAAUGGGACUUGGUACUUUAAUGCUAUGGUUGGGUUGUACCUUAAUGAUCUUUAGUAGUUGUGGAUGCUUGCUAGAGUUCCAAUCAUAAGUGCAUAUGAUCCAAGAAGAGAAAGUAUGUUAGCUUAUGCCUCUCCCUCAAAUAAAAUUGCUAUAGUGAUUAUCGGUCUAGUAACGUAGUCAAUUGCUUAGGGACAAUUUCACAACUCCUACCACCACUUUUCCACACUCGCUAUAUUUACUUUAUUGCUUCUUUAUCUAAACAGCCCCUACUUUCUAUUUACAUGUUCUUUAUUAUCUUGCAAACCUAUCCAACAAAACCUACAAAGUACUUCUAGUUUCAUACUUGUUCUAGGUAUAGCAAACACCAAGCGUGCGUAGAGUCGUAUCAGUGGCAGAUAGGACUUGAGAGAAUAUUUGUUCUACCUUUAGCUCCUCAUUGGGUUCGACACUCUUACUUAUCGAAAGAGGCUACAAUUAUCCCCUACACUUGUGGGUUAUCAGGAAGAAGUAGCAAGGAGCAGCAGCGACGCAGCAGAGCGUCAAGCAGAGCAGCGCAGUAGCAGGCACGCAUAGCAGCGGCUAGCGGCAUGUAACAGCAGCGGUACCAGUGGGCGGCUUUAGCAAAGAGCAGUUGCAAGCAGAGCACCAGUGGCACAAGCAGGCAGUAGCAUCACACAGCAGCAACAAUACAGAGCAGCAAUGGCAGAUAGCAGCGCAGCAGGCAACCGCAAGCAGUAUCAUGGGAAGUCUCGAGUGGGCAGGCAAUCAUUCGAUGCCUGAAAUAGGGCAUGAAAGGGGUUCAAGGCAAUGGUAAUAAGUAUUGUGUCUGAUAGCAGAAUUGAUGAUCUCUCGAAAGGUGGCUCGUGAAUUACAUAAGAGGUCACACACGAGGGACAACCUUGGGAACAGGGGGUGUACAGGAGAGUCAGGUUUUGAUCCUGUGGAACUGUGGGUUAUGGGCCCACCAUGUGGGUUAAAAGUAGGAAAGGCGGUGACGUCUUGCAUGAUCAUGUAAGCAAGGCAUGUUAGAGGAUAGCCUGUCAGUUAUGUCGGCAACAUUAUCGGUACCAUUUUCUUGCUCGUUGAACGAGGCAGACCAAUAGGCAAAGUUCUUGUCCAUCGGUGGUACCGGAAUGUCAUCAACGUUAGUAACAGGGUCUUACUCACAAAGUGUUAGAACGAGGUGCUUACCUAAAUAGGGAAUUAUCACUGCUCAAUUAAGUCUGGUUACAAGAAAGGUUAAACAAAACAAUGGAAAGGAAAAUGCGAUUAUCAGACUAAACAGAACAAUGGAAAGGAAAAUGUGUUUAAACACAUAUUUCAGGGGUAUAUUCUUCCCAAGGGCAAGCAGAGCAUGAUAUCCAUGACAGGAUAGAAACUAGAAAACCAUUUAGGUAAGGGGAGAGGAAUUUCAUGACAUUACCAAAACAACGGUGUCUAGAUAAUUGACGGGAAAAAAAUAGCAUUGUGCUUCAAAUGUUCUUAUUGAAGAUCGGAGGACCACAGACAUGCCUCAAGAGAGCAUUGACAUGGUCUUGAAGCAAGGUCAGACUUUGGAUACUCAAAGGAUUCAUCAGGAACAACUUAUAGAAUAAGUCUUACAAUUUCCUCAUGGAAGAAUGGUUAACCUUGCUAAAAAGGAAACUAUAACAAUAUGGCCCCGGCCAGGUGUGCUAGGCAUGACAUCACCUUACCGGGUCAUAUAAAUACCAAUGUUAUAACUCUUGGAAAUAUGUUCCAACCAUCAUAUUUGACCGAGAUUCAGAUCUGAUUGGUGUUAGGAUACCUCAGACUCAAGAUGCUUGAGAAGAAAAAGGUGCGACACAUAUUGACGAGAUGACAUUCUAAUAUUCUCGGGAAAUGAACUAUGGGAGCGAGUUCUGAAACAAGAGUUCAUCAUUAAUCAAGGAGAUGGCGAGGAGGUGGUUGAUGGACUCAGCGACAAUUUAUUGCAAUUUCCAGAAAGAUGGAUUUGCACAAUUAUGUGAAGGAUAUAACAUUUGUAAGAUCAAAUGAUAUAAUGAUGUAUGCUCAAGGAGAACAUCCACGAGUAAACAUUGGUUGAAAGGUGCACCCGAAAUAUGGGCUUAGGUAGCAUGAUCAAUGUUAGAAUGGUGAUUCGAUAACCAAUACACAAAGAAUGAAACUAUCAUUCAUUAACUUACAGGCAAUAGGGUUGCUAGAAGUUUUGAAUUUUACACAUCACGGUCCAGUUGUCAGUAUUCUGGUUAGGAACAGCAUGGGUACCAAGAACUGAAUAUAGACUACGAGAUAUAUCCCUUGUAUCAAGAAUUCUUAAUAGGUGGUGAAAUUCUCACAACUUUCUUGAUACAUAAAAUGGUAAUACUCCAAGGUAGGACAUAAGAUAAGUUGGAUUGCCAGGAACUCAAGGUAUAGCCACAACACGAACAAGUUUGUGUUGGAAAGAAGGCAAUGAAGUAGUUGAUGAUAACACAAAUUACGAAGGAUAAGGAUGGUAAUCCCCAUCAGGAAUUCGAUUAAUAUCCUGGAAGGAGUCAAAAUGUUGUUGAUGAUCAUGACAAAUUUGGUCGAGAGGCUCCACGAAGAAGCAAUCGAACAGCGACUGCAUCAAGCAAAAGUACUGAUGCAGUGAAACAUUAUUGCAUCCAUGAAUAUGACACCAACUCAUAAUCAAGCUUGUUAUUCAUGGUGGAAUGAUAAGACAAGGGAAUCGACAUAAGAUUAGCUCAUGAUAUAGCCGAGCAGGCCAGGAAUGACAUGGUCGAGUACAAACUCGUGAGUAAAGGAGAUUACCAAGAGUUGUUUAAUCAUGGUGCGGACCCGAUUUAGUUAUCGGUGUCCUCGAGUGAAUAACAACAAGGAACACAGGAAAAAUUGAAAUCGAUGAGGAAUAAUACUUGAUGAAGGCUCAUAAUAAGCAACAUGGUUCGGUGCUAUUAGCGGGAUACCAGAGGGUAAUACUCAGAGGUAGAGCAAAAUAGAGGGUUGACAAGUGUAUUGAUCUGCAGAAGACAAGUACUUUAACUUGUCUGAGAAAAGGAAUCAAGGAAUAUCAAUAUGGCCGAAACCAUAGCUGCAAAGGAUCCAAUUUAAUGACACCAAAAGAAUUAUCCAACUGAUUAAAUGUUGUGCAAGAAUCUUCCAUGAUAAGUUCCACAUCGGGUCCAUGGACAUGAACACUAAGUUCAAGGUCAACUCCCACUUCUCCAAAGUAGAACCUUACAUUCACUUCUCGUUUUGAAAAUGGCAUUAGCGUUGAAAAUUUUACCUGGUGAAAUACCAGAUGAGUACGACCAGUGAAACCUCUCGGAUUUACACAGAUUAGGGAAAGCAAUGGUUCAACCCACCGGGGCAUCUUAGGAACAUAUACCACAAACUUCAGAGUAAAUAUCACCAACUUGAAAGUAGAGUAUGGUUGGCCAAAUCAGAGAAUAGGAUUUACCAAUGUCAUUAUUAUCAACAAAAGAACUCCGGGUUUUGAGAAUAUGCAAGAACCAUCGGAUAAUAAUCCACCAAAGGAUCUAGCGGACCGCAAAGGAUCUAUGGUGAGUAACGGUACCCAACCAGAAGAAGAAAGAAUGCAAGGGAUCAGAUUAUAGAAACAACUGACUAAUUCAAAGCUUAAAUGUAACAGAAAUAUGAUUUCCAAAUCAAGGGAUCAAAAGCAAACGCUCUGAUUAAGGAUGGAUAAGUUGAGUAAGCUUAGGGGUACAAUCAAUGACAAUUUGAUCGGUCAAGAUCAAACUCAUGUUUAAAAUGACGUCUGAGCCGGAAGGAUGAAUUCUAGGAUCUGAUUAAGGAUUGCGAGCAUUCACAACAUAUUGAAUCAAUGGAUUCAAAAUGAUAAUGACAAGGGAUGCCAAUAAUAUUAUGAGACUUAUGGGAUUAAGCAUAAUGCAAGCAAGCAAGAAUUUUAAGAGCAAUAGGCUGCUCAGGAUUUUUGGAAGACGGAAUGGUAUUUCUAAGACUUUUGGGAAACACAUGACAAUUGGGAACGAGCGGAUACUCAAUAAGUGUGAGGAAUUAUCCGUAGGGGUAUUUAGGUGGCAAAGAACUGCAAGGCAAUAGGCACAAGUAUUGUCGGAACAAUAGAGAGAAUUUUGAGGUACCUUGUAAUAACAAGAUCAACUAGGAAUAAAAGUAAGAACGACAAGUGUAUGUAUUUAUCCAUAGGGAUAUAUGGGUGGUAGGGAAUUGCAAAAGCGACGGGCUCAAAGUCUCGAGAAAACAUGGGAGAGUAUCUUCGGAAUCUUCUAGCGCACCAAGCAAUCAUCUAGAGUGAGGGGCUCUCCGAAAGGAAAUAGUUACGAGAACCUAGAGUUAGAGUCGGUAAAAAUCAUUUAACCCGAAUAGAAGAGAGAUCAGAGUCCCAGAGUAUAGACGAGGAAUAAAAGAUCCUAAUACCACCCAAUGGUGACGUGGGCCCGUAAGACACACAGCCAUGUUAGUAAAAUUUUAGCAAUGUCUAGACUCGACUUAGGCCAAGGAGUGUGGAAGGGGGAUUCCAACAGGAAGACGGCUCUAAUACCAACUUGUGACGCCAACAAUUCGAUCGUACACUAAUCAUGCACUCAAAUGUGUACGACCAAGAUCAGGGACUCACGGGAACAUAUCACUACACAACUCUAGACAUAAAUUAAAGAUCAUACAAGCUUCAUAUUACAAGCCAGGGGCCUCGAGGGCUCGAAUACAUAAGCUCGAUCAUAGAUGAGUCAGCGGAAGCAACAAUAUCUGAGUCCAAACAUAAGUUAAACAAGGUGCCGUAAGAUGGCUAGCACAAACUGGGAUAAAGAUUGAAAGAGGUGCAUGCCUCCUGCCUGGGAUCCUCCUAAACUACUCCUGGUCGUCGUCGGCCUGCACGUCGUAAUAGGCACCUUCGGUGUAGUAGGGGUCAUCGUCCAUGGUGGCAUCAGGCUCCUGGGGUCCAACAUCUGGUUGCGACGUCCGAGAAGAAGGGAAAGGGGGAAAAGAGGGAGCAAAGCAACCAUGAGUACUCAUCCAAAGUACUCACAAGCAAGGAUCUAUACUACAUAUGCAUUGGUAUCUGUAUAAAGGGGUAAUAUUAGUGGACUAGACUUCAGAAUGCUAGAAUAAGAGGGGGAUAGUUAGUCCUAUCAAAGACUACACUUCUGGCAGCCUCCAUCUUGAAGCAUGUAGAAGAGAGUAGCUGGUAAGUUCACCAAGUAUCAUCGUAUAGCAUAAUCCUACCAGGCGAUCCUCUCCUCGUCACCCUGUGAGAGAGCGAUCACCGGGAUGUAUCUAGCACUUGAAAGGGUGUGUUUUAUUAAGUAUCCAGUUCUAGUUAUCAUAAGGUUGAAGUACAACUCCGGGUUGUCCUAUUACCGUGGACACAGCUAUUCGAAUAGAUCAAUCUUCCCUGCAGGCGUGCACCACAUUACCCGACAUGCUCGAUCCCUUGGGCCGGGUACACUUUCGUGGGUCAUGUCCGGCCUCGGGAGAUCAACACGUCACAGCCUACCUAGGCUCAAGAGAGAGGUCAACACACCGGUCUAAAUCCUAAGCGCGCAGGGGUCUGGGCCCAUCGCCCGUUGCACACCUGCAUGUUGCGAACGCGGUCGGAAGCAGACCUAGCCUCUCUAAUAUAAGAGCAGGUGUUCUAGUUCAAUCCGGCGCGCACCGCUUUGUCGCUGGGGUCAAGAAGGCUUCGGCUAAUACCACGACACUUGUUGCCCAUAUCUUGUCCCACGUGGCAGUUAAUGCGUAUAAAAUCAACGACCCAACUCAGAUCGAAUAUCAAGAUCUCGUUAAGCCUGUUAUUUUGAAGUAACCGCGGAUGCCGUCCAAGAUGAGGCCCACAUGUCUCCUGGGUGGUCAUAACCUGCCCUGUCACUCCGUCACAAAGAUCCACUCAGAGGGCCGUCUGGACAAAUGUCCUUUCAGCCCCCAAUCCGUGAAUCACUCGCGAGUACUCUACAAGCCGACCCGACUUUAGUCACAUCAUGUAACUUGUAUAGUGUGUAUGUAUGUAUGUAUAAAUAUACCUGUGAUCACCUCUCGAGUGAUCACUGCCCGAUAAUAUAGCAUGGCAGACGGACAAUAAUAUAGGGCCACUGAUGAUAAACUAGCAACCUAUAAUAAGCAUGUAGGAUUGCAGGUAAAGGUAUCAACAAUCAUAGCAACAAUAACAAGUUAUGCAACAGAAUAGGAGAUAUGAAAUCAACAACAGUAGCAAAACUAAUGCAAGAAUAAGAGAGAGAGAGAGAGAGAGAGAGUAGGAGAUAUCUGGUUGAUCAAAGGGGGUUUGCUUGCCUGGAAGCUCUGUAGAGAGAUACGGAUCCUCGACGGUGAAGUAAUCGACCACCGGUUCAACCGCGGUCUCGAGGUCUACCGGAAAGAAGUAACAGAGGGGGGAACACAAUAAAUAACAGAGCAAUCAAUGCAUCACAAAGUAUGACAUAGCAAUACACAGUGCUAGAGGUGACUUAACGCUAUGCUAAGCGUUACGGACGGAGAGGGAAAUAUCCGGUAAUAUUUUCUCGGCUCCAGGCAUUUAUCGGACAGAUGAACCGGAGGGAAAUGUUCCAUGUUUGCAGUGUUGGGGGCACAUGACAGGUAUGUGGGUGUCAUAUUCGGAUUCGUCACAUUUUUCUGAUUAUUUUUCAUAUAUAAAUUAUUUUCAUCGGAGUUACGGUUUAUUUUCAUUGAAUUUACAAAGUUUAAAUGAUUUUUUGAAUUUACAGAAUUCUUCUAAUCUGAAAAUAAAACAACAAAAUACUUUUGUCACUUAGUGCUAUUCUAGCCAUAGUUUAUGAUAGUGGGGCCAAUGGGGUUGGGUUGACCAAGUCAAAUGUUGACUAGUCAACAUAUAAACUGUCUAGGGGACCACAUGUCAUUGACUUAGACUGUUGUUGAAAUUUGUUUUUCUUUAAACUAAUAGUGGGUCUACAUGUCAUCUACUAGUACUACUAAUUAGACUAACUAACCGGCCGGUCACACGCGCGGCUGUGGCACAGCCCGCCACAGACACACACCACACAUACACACACGGCGCACACACACCAGCUCAUGGCCAUGGCCAUAGGGCAGCAGCAGCGGCAGCUAACAAGGCGGUGUAGCAGCAGUGUAAGUAGUGUAAUAAGGCCAACUCCAGCGCGCGACCCCAUCCCGUCCGGCCCCGUCCGUUUGAGGUAAAAUAGACAAAUCAGACAGCCUAGGGCGCGACGGCCAGGACCCAUCUGGUCCGUCUUGUAUCUGGGCCGACCCAUUUCGGGCGCAAACAUGCGCGCGGUUUGGAUCGCGGCAGACGGCAAACGGACGCCUCGCUCGUCCGCGUCGGGGCCGCGUGGCAGGCGGCCACCUACCCCCCACCGCCCGACAUAAAUGCACACGGGUGGUCGACCCCACCUGUCAUCUGCCCAGGUGAACAGUCGCCGUACUUCUUAAGUGGGGAAGCCAUGGACCGGCCGUCGUCCACACUCCUCAGUCCAGCCCUUCCUGCCUCCUCGAAACCAACACCCCAAACCCUAGCCUCUCCCUGUCCCCGAUCUCGCCGGCCGGCCACCUCGCAGCCAUGGGCUUCUGGAACCACGGCCGCAAGGGGAAGCACUACCGCGAGGCUAGCUCGUCCUUGGGCCGCCGCCGUGGCUCCGUGAAGAAGGAGCCCGCAUCACCACCGCAUCAGGCCCCCGCGCCUGCCCCAUUCACCAUCGGCCCUACGGCCGGCGGCGAGCGUGACCGGCAGUACAUCGCCGCGGAUGUAUGACGCCAUUAUUGGGAGGCGAGGACGCCUUUUCCGUGGAGCGACGUGCACCUCCCCAAUAACUGGCACCUCUCCGUCGACCGGGUCCUGAUCCCGCCGGUCCCGAUGAGCGGUCAUGCGCGCUGCGAGGAGAUCGAGCGUCACCGCCGCCUCCUGCCAGACAACCUAUACUACGACAGGUACGCCCCCAACUCCUGGCUCUGGGACACGUGGCUCCAGGACGAGCACGACGUGCGGCGCGCGUCAUUAUUCGCCGGCACCUCAUCGGGGCCGCGGCGGCCACGUCGAGAGCAUGCAACGCAUGCUUCCCAGGUGUGCGGCCUCACACCAACGCCGUCGCCUUCACUGUCUCCAUCUCCGUCUCCAUGCGCACGCACAAUGAGCGCCAAUGGGAGGCCUGGCUCAUGCAGCGUGUCAUGGAGGACUCCAUGCAGCGUGUCAUGGAGGACAGCGGAGGAGGAGGCCUGGCUCAUGCAGCGUGUCAUGGAGGACUCCAUGCGCACGCACAAUGAGCGCCAAUGGGAGGGCCUCGAGGAGAUGGUGGCCCUCUCUGCGGCCGGCGAUGUCGACAUCCCCGAGUUGGAGAUGGUGAAGGCGGAGGAGGUGAUGGAGGAGGAGCCGGUGGCCGCGUUCCACGCGGGCCUGGUGGGCUAGAAGUGGAGCUGGUCGUGCACGGCUCCGGAGAUGGCCGACGCCGUGGGGGGCCUGAACUGGUGCCCUACGCCACCGCGGUCACCGGAGCGGGAGGCCUCGCCAUGGGAGGGAUGGUGCAGGAACCUCCGGCCUUCUAGCCUGCCCCCGUGUACCACGCGCCGUCGUCCUACCUCUGGACGCCGCCGGACUACGUCGACCUCGUCAGCGGCGACGACGACAACGGCGGCCACUGAAGACGGCCACGGCCACGGCAUCGACGGGCACGACACGAGCGCGCUGGCGUUUUUUUUGUUUUUUAUGUAGAUUAUGGCAAUGUGAACCGUGAAACUGGGCCGUUUUGUGGCCGUGAUGGUUAAUUUAUAUUUUAUGUUUUUAUAUUUGUGUUUAUUUAAUUGUUUCUACAUUUUAUUUUAUUAUUUUAUUUUUUUAAUCACGUCUACCCCGGACAUGAUUUGGGAUGCGGCCGAGCGUUGGCCGCAUCAAAAACCCAAUGGACAGAAGCGGACACAGGCAAACCCAUUGCCACCCCAAAGGGAUGAAAUCCGACCAAACCGGACGUCCGUUUGGGGUUAUGCGCUGGAGUUGUCCUAAGAGCAGCAGCGGGAAGCAUUAGCAAGGAACAGCAGCGAUGCAACAGAGCACCAAGCAGAGCAGCGCAGUAGCAGGCAGCAGAGCAGCGACUAGCGGCAUGUAACAUCAGCGACAGUAGUGGGCGGCUUCAGCAAAGAGAAGUAGCAAGAAGAGCAGCAGCGGUACAAGCAGGCAGUAGCAUCACACAACGGCAACAAUACAGAGCAGCAGCGGCACAUAACAGCGCGCAGGCAGCCGCAAGCAGCAGCAGGUAGAGCAAUACGCGACCGCGGCAGCGUAGGGCAGCAGACGAGCGAGCCGGGCUGCACGGACGGGUGCCGGCAGGGGAGCCCAGGGCGUGCACGAGGCUGUCGGGGCUCCAGCGCGGCCACGGUGGCUACGUUCGGGGGUGGGUCAUCUACCACGAUGAAUCGAAGGGGAUCACGGGGAAAUCGAUGCGGUGCUCAUCGGGGAGGACGCAGGCGAGCUCGAGAGGGGUUGGGGAUGGCCCAGAGCAGCAAAUCGACGGCGACGUGCGGCGGCUGUGACAGAAGAAGUUGAUCGUGCCAUCGUCUUGGGGCCUCUAGGUGCUUACAGAGUAGUUGACGAUGACAAGUGCGACACGACGGAGCUCCUGGACACACCGGCGAGACGAGAGGCGGUCGGUGGCCACGACAUCGACGCGGCGACAGCGACGACCGCGUUGGGUGCCUCUCCAGAUCGGGGAGGAGAGCGAGGGGGAAGAGGGGGGAUAGUGGCUACGGUUUGACCGGGGUCGCGGGGUUGAUCAUAACCUAGGGGGGCCAUGGGAUGGGUGCCACGGUGGCAUCGCCAGCCAGGGAGGCCAGGAUGGCUGCCACGCUCCCCUUUGCCUCCUAUAGCGGGAGGUGGAGGAAGAUGGAGGUGGGCUGGGCCUCCCUCUCUUACAUUUCUCUCUUUCUUUGUUUGUUUCUUUCGUUCUUCUUUUUCUGUUUUCUUUCUAAUUUUUUUUGUUUUCUAUUUACUUUCAAUAUUAUUUUGGUUUUAUAAAAUAUGAGACUUGGUCCAUAAUUAGUUAUGCAAUAUUAGGCACUGCCACAAAAGUUUUGGGGGUUAUUUAAAAUAGUUUUUAUCAUAAAUUAGGAAAGGCAAUUUAAAUAAUGAAUUGUCCCCUUGUUUCAUUUAUUUUAGGGAUCUCAACCAAUUUACAAAAUGUUGGUUAGUGAAUGACAAUUAUUUAGUGGAUAUUUUCAACCUAACGAAGAUUUUCAAUUGGGCCAUUUGCAUUUCUGUCCCUAACUUGAACCACUUACUCAGAUUUACCCCUAAUUCCAAAGCCUGCUCAAAAAUGCCCAUCCGCCGUUAGUUCCCCUUACAGAAUUGCCCUUCUGCUCCGUUUUCGUUAGGUCAAAGGGGUUUAACCAUUUACUUGAUGUUUUUUGGACAUUUUGCCCCUGCCUCCUUUUGUCACCGACAUGUAGGACCCACUAUCAAGGUCAAAUGGUCAGCAGUUGACUGGGUCAACGAGGGAAUGGGUCCACUUGUCAUAGGUUAGUUAUUUUGGAUUGAUUGUUUUAGAUUGAUUUAAUAUGCCAUUAAUAGAUUAAUUAACUAAUUAAUGCCCACAUCAUGGAUUAACCCUAAUCUAAUCGCAAAAAAAGAUUAACCCUAAUCUAACAGCCCCACGUGGUGGUGGGGCCACUGGCUGCAGUUUGGCUGGCAGAAAUUGGGCGACGCCGGCGCUGGUCCAAGCGAGGACGCACGGUGGCGAACACGGCGGCGCACGGGAGUGAGGCAUAGGGGACGCACAGUGGCGAAUACGGCGGCGCACGGGAGCGAGGCAGAGGGGGCGCACGGUGGCGAACACGGCGACGCAUGGGAACACGGCGGCCCACGGUGACAGAUCGGGGCAAGAUGGCGGCUGGCUGGAGGCAAGGAAGACAGCAAUGGCGCGGACUAAUGAAGGCGCGCCGCAUCAAUUCGAUCUGCACGGAGGGCACAGAGAUCUUUGCAAAGCUCCUGGACAUGGAGGUUGAGCCCGAGGAGGCCAUUGGCCCUACAAAGAACAAGGCAGCGGCGGCGGAUCUCUGCACAAGGAGGGAGGAAGGGAAAGGGAGGGAGAGGGGGAGGGAGAGGGAGGAUGGGAUGGAGACAGGGCAGCGGCGCGUGGGGAGCUAGCAGCGGUAGCGCCCGGUCUAGGGUAGCCGGAGCUCGCCGGAGGUGAGAGAGAAAGGCUAUGAGGUAGGGGAGAGAGGUGGGUGAUUUUUCCCUUUUCUUUUUUAUUUCUCUGUUUUGUUCGGGUCCCACAUGUAAGUGACAUGUGAAGCUAGGGGCAAAAUGUCCAGUAAACGCCCCGUAAACGAUCAAACCCCUUUGACAAGACGGAAACGGAGCUGAAGGGUAUUUCUGUAAGGGCACCUAACGGCGGUGGGGCAUAUUUGAGCAGGCUUUCGAAUUAGGGGCAAAUGUGAGUAGUGGGUUCGAGUUAGGGAUAUAGAUGUAAAAGACCCUUUUCAAUUUACUAUUUGAAGGAAUAAUAAUUUAACUUCUUAUUUGAAUUUGAAUUUGACUUGAAUCUUAAUCAAGUGACAAUUGUCUUAGUAAAUGAUGAUGACAUGGCAUCAUUAGGGUGAGGUUACUGUAGCAUGAGUCUCGGGGUGUUACAAUCUACUAGAUAAUACCCUGCCCGUUGCUGCAGGAUGUAUGCACGGAUACAAUUGAUGAACUAUUUGGAAGCUAAUAGGAAAUAUUGCCAAGCUGAAGCAAAUAUGUUAUGUUCUUUACAAAAUUAAGUAAGAACAAUGAGUUGCACUUGGACAAAAAACAUGUUUAGUGGAAAUACCGGCACCCUGUAUUACCAUAAAAUCGUAGAUGAUACAAUGCAUUCACGGAUGUAUCAUUUACAUGCAUAGAACACACUAAUGGAUUAAUUGUACUUCCGACUGAUCACAAUACUUCAGGGAAUGCUUCUGUGAAGAAAGAUCAAUAAAAGUACAAACAGUACUCCAAAUCUCUGAAGGUGAUAACGGUCGUGGACAAACUCAACACAGAUAUGGAUAACAAACCUAUCUGUAACAUUCCUGGGCAAACUUGUGCGCAAACAUAUUAGGAAAUAGACUGUUCACGUCAAUGGAAUAGUCCAAAAGUGCUUUUAUCAAUUUAGAGAUACAUAUAGGCUAAGGUAUAACGAACCAGAAGGUGAAGAGUUGUUGCCCAGUCAUGUACGUUCAGAAAACUACUUAUAUACUUCUUUAAUAUUUUUCCUCUAGAUUUCCAGAAGGAAACAGAUAAGUAAAUUAUUGUAGCUCAAUUUCUACCAAUACCGUGCAUUAUGUAAGUGUAUAGACAUUCAUGCAUAUAGCGAGGGAGUAGUGGACCAUACCAAUUCUAUGUCUGGUCAACCACGACAUAUGCAUCCGGUGAAUUGGACUUCUCUCAAAAAAAUCCGGUGAAUUUGACUGUUUAUUCUUCCUUUCAACAUCCAGCGAAUCCAAACUUUGUUGGAUCUUAAUUUUUUAAUAUAUCAAGGAAAUGAUAAGCAUAAUAAGGAGGCAGGAAGGGCUACAACCAACAACAUAUCCUAAAAGUAAAAUAUAUGCCUCCUCGAAAAUUAGGAAUGUGAAAUACAUAACUAAGAUAUAUAGGGGGGUGGAAAAGGAGUAUGUAACUUGUGGAAGAGAUAGACCUGCCAUAAGACUGCAACAAUGUAUUUCCUUGUGCACCUCUUCUGCAAAACUAAAAAGUAAGUGAUCAUCAUAUCACUUGUAGAAGUGCUAGAUCAUUAAAACAAUUGAAAAUUCUUUUAAAAGAACAAUUGAAUAUGUUCAUAAUCAACAAAAUACAGAAGAAAUAGUGGAUGUUCUCCCAAAGGGAGAAAAGCACUUGUGUGCAUCAUAUUAUUCAAAAAUCAACAAACACCUAAAACACAGAAGAAGGAAAGAUAGAGAAUGGUUUAUAUAUUAUUACCAUUCUACCAAACCGGAAGAGAUGAGAUUGCUUACCAGAACCUAGUUGCUCCAUAAAUGAUUCAUAAUGUUAAAGGGCUUCAUUGUCACUUUUGACAGUUCGUUGGAUCGUCAAAUUCAAGUGAAGCGAUGACAACACAAAGCAGUUCGUGAUCCAGUAGGAGAGAAAACCAAGCAGUGCGGAGACUUCAUACAAGGGUUGGUAUAGCUGCAGCCCACCGCGGAUGAGUUGCAACCAAGAAUAGACAGUCUGCAUGCAUGCUAGUAAAGAUCUACCAAAACACAAAAUAAUAAUGUGUCAGCACUACUAUUCCUAUUAUCCAACAGGUAAACAUGAAUGUAUUAAAACAAUCUGAUGCCAAUAUCUAUGUUGACAUGCGCGUGACAAAGAAAAAAAACUGCAGUACUUAAUUAUUAUUUUUUGCACUUGACUAAUCUGCACGUAGCGUGAGUAUGCAAUGUCAUCAAAAAAUAAAAAUAGCAUAUGAAGAAGUCAUCUUCCCUACACAUAGAUCAGCAUUUGGUGCGGAAGAAACAGAGCCAUUGUAACGCCCCGGAUUCGAUGCGCCAGGUGUCCUCCAAUUAUUCGUUGUUGUUGCCAUGUCAUUUGCUUGCGUGUUGCAUUUUGCCAUGUCAUCAUAUGCAUUGCAUCCUCAUGUUUUUCAAAACUUGCAUCCGUUCGGGUCCUCCCGGUUCUCUCCGUUGUCCAUUCGGAGUCCAGACCUCUCGCGCGCGUCCGUCGCACCUCUCAGACCUUGUUUCGUGUGCGGCAUAAAAUGUUCUCGGAAUGGGAUGAAACUUGGUGUGCGGUCUUAUUAUAGUGUAGACAGACCAACUGCCAAAUUUUGUCGCAUUCGGAGUUCGUUUGGUAGUCCAACCGUCGUUCGUAGCGGCACCGUUGCCGGUUUAUUCGUCGGACGUUUCGGUCUCCGAAACUGCCACAGGGCCGCACCUCUUCCCUCUCAUCUCAGCCCAAGCCUAUCUCUCACAUCCCACUUAUGGCCUACCUAACCCCCCCCCCCUCCGCUCCGGACUGUCCGAUCGAGAUUGAACGACUCCGAAACGAAGCAAAACACCUAACCCUAACCCCCUUUUGCUAUAUAUAGACCCCUCCUUCCAAUUUUGGGCAUCCCUAGCCCCUAAACCUACCCCUCCUAGCCUCCUCCCACCUCUAGCCAUCGCAUCUUCCUCGAAAUCCGCGCCCCAACCCACAGCCGCCACCUCCACCUUCCAGCCGCCUCCUUCUCCUCAAUUUCCGGUGCCGGCCAUCGCUCCAUCGCCACUUGGCGCGCCCUAUUUGGUCAGCCGACAUCUGAGCACCGCCCUCCACCACUCCAACGCUGCCACAUAGCCCCACAGCCCCCUCUCCACCGCACGGCCCGCCGGGGUCCGGAUCUGGCCUGUCGGGCCCAAGCAGGCCAGACCGCGCCAUCACCCGUACCCGCUCGCUCGAUCGAUCCAGAUCGGGAGAGGAGCUCCCAAUCCAGAUCGAACCACGCCGCCACCGGCCUCUCGCCGCCGCCUGCACCACGGCGACCCCGUCGGAGCUGCGUCAGAUCCGGUGAGCCCCGACCUCACCGCCCUUCUUCUCUCCUUCCUCACUAGCUCUCUCUCUCCCUCGCAGCAAGCUGCCGCCGACGUGCACGUCUCCGCUGGCCUCGAGUUGCUGCGCCGCCGCCCGGAUCUGGAACCCCCCUCGCCGGAUCACCCGUUCCCGCCGCCCCGACCUCCUUCCGGCGACGCGGCGCCGCCGCCGUCCACUCCUGAAAGCCGAGCCUCCCCCUGCUUCCCUCGACCCCCCUCUGGAUCGAGGAAGACGACGACAGGCGCCACCGGCCCUGUGGGCCCGCGGCCCCGACCCUGCCAGCCCAGCCCCGCCAAGCCAGGCCUCCUCCUCUCCGACCUGGGCCAGGCUCGCUGGUGAGCUGCCCCGCUUAAGCCUCGCAAUGCGUCGUAUAGUUAUCCCGCGCACGUGUUUUUUCCUUCCAAAAAUCGGCCAAGUCCCCUGAUCUGUAACAUUUUGUGCCCAAGUUCAUCGCAUCAUAACUCUGCAUCCGUAGCUCCGUUUCGUACGUGUAAUAUAUCUAAAUGUUCGCAAUGAGAUGCUUUACAUUUCAUUCCAUUGUAGCAUGUUUGUUUGAGUUCAUCUUGAUGCCCUAAUCAUCGUUGCAAGAGUGCUAUAUGAUGUUAAUCUGGUGAAAUUGUUAUAACUUGAUGAUUUGUCAUUUUUGUUGCAUUUGUUGUGUGCAUCUUAUGAGCUUGAUGUCUAUAUGUGUUUUGAUCUAAAUCAUGCCAUCUUUACAGAGGUGCAAUCCAUGUAUUUUUGUGAGUCUUGUAGUGAGUGCAUCAAGCUUGUAAAGUAGGGUACUUGCUGUUACUGUUUUGCUAGGCUGAAUCUGUUAUUUCGUGAUGCUACGUAAACCUGCUGCUAGAAGUCAUUCUAUGCAUAAUCUGGAGAUGUUCACUAAGGAUUUUUUGUUAUACAUGGCAUUCUCUAUCCAUCCAUGCCCCUGGUUGCAAUAAUAGCCUGCUGUAGCUUCUUGUUAUAAUGCUCCAAACUUGCUAAAUAAUGUUGUUGUCAGCCUGUUAACGUUAAGUUCAGUUUUUCCAUGUGUGCUGCUAGUGAUCCAUGCACCCUAUGAACUAUUCUAUUGCCAUGAUUAGCUUCAUAAACAUGUAUUAUUGCUGUUGGUUACCUUUUCAUGCCAUGUAUUGCUCUGUGGUGAGUGGUACAAGCUCACCAACAUGCCUACUUAUCGUUGUUCUUGCCAUGUUUGAAUUUGUCAUAUAACUUGCCAUGUUUACAUGGGUGCCAUCAUAUCUUCUGAUCUUUUUUGGCUCAUGGUCAGUAAAGGACUUUUCUUCUAUGCAAUUAGUAGAUUCAUUCCAUGCCUUUGUUUGCCAUGAUAUGUUCCUGUAACAUGUUGUUUGAUAGCUCUAAACAUUAUAACCUGAUGUUAUUUCUGCAAAGUCUGAAACUGUUACUAUUUGCAAUCUUGCCAUGUCUUUUUGAGCAUGUUCUAGUGAUUUCUGGAGAUAGCUCAGUGUUCAUGUUUUGUCAUGCAUUACCUCUACAUCAUGUCCAUGCCUUUUGUUCUCAUGUUGGGGUGCUAUAGCAUGUUGUUUUGAUGCUUGCAAUAUGCCUAGUUGCUGUUUUCGACAGCUUGUCCUUCAAACUUGUAUAGAGUGUAUGUGUUGAACCGUUGCUCCGUUUUGAGUGUGCUCUAUAUGAAACUUGCUUGUUUUUGCAUGUAGUUUCAUAUUAUCAUGUUGCGUCCUUGUUUUGGUGUGUUUGCUUGAUGUUUGUAUGCAUUUUGCAUCAAUGACAUGUUUAACUUGUUUUGCUCAUAUCUUCUAGGCCGUAGCUCCAAAUCUAAUGAACUUUAUAUGUAACUUGACUAGAAUCUUGUGUAGAUCAUCUUGGUGCAGCUUAACUUGUUGUUUAACAACUUGAACAUAAGGUUUAUUCAGAUCUGGACCAAUUUCGAAAUUUGCAUAUGAGGACUUACCGGAAUUGUUAUAUGUUGUUCCUGGCCUCAUUUAAACUUGCCUUGAUGUGUUGCUCUUGUUUGCAUCAUCUCUUGCCAUGAGUAACUUCAUGUAGUCUUGUCUUGCAUCAUGCUUGGUUGUGCAUCAUGUCUUGUCUAUGUGUGGUGUGUUUACCAUGUUGUGUGCUUCUUCUCGAUAGUUCCCGUUUCGUUGUGAUCGUGAGGAUUCGUUCGUCUACGCUUGGUUCGGCUUCAUCGUUCGUCUUCUUUAUAGACUCGUUCUUCUUCCUAGCGGGAUUUCAGGCAAGAUGACCGCUACCCUGGAUCUCACUACUAUCAUUGCUAUGCUAGUUGCUUCGUUCUAUCGCUUUGCUGUGCUACAUAUCACUUGUUCUUCAAGCCUCCCAAAAUUGCCAUGUCAGCCUCUAACCUUUUCACCCUUCCUAGCAAACCGUUGCUUGGCUAUGUUACCGCUUUGCUCAGCCCCUCUUAUAGCGUUGCUAGUUGCAGGUGAAGUUGAAGAUUACCACAUGGUGGACAGGAUUAUGUUGGGAUAUCACAAUAUCUCUUAUUUAAUUAAUGCAUCUAUAUACUUGGUAAAGGGUGGAAGACUCGGCCUUAUGCCUGGUGUUUUGUUUCACUCUUGCCGCCCUAGUUUUCGUCAUAUCAGUAUUAUGUUCCCGGAUUUUGCGUCCCUAACGCGGUUGGGUGAUUUAUGGGACCCCCUUGACAGUUCGCUUUGAAUAAAACUCCUCUAGCAAGGCCCAACCUUGGUUUUACCAUUUGCCUCACCACCACCUACUUUUCCCUUGGGAGUAAUUAAACCGAGGGUCAUCUUUAUUUUAGCCCCCCCCCCGGGCCAAUGCUUGUCUAAGUGUUGGUCCGAAAUGAGUAGACUAUGGGGCCCCCUCGGGGAAACUCGAGGUCUGGUUUUACUCGUAGGAUGUCUCAUCCGGUGUUGCCCUGAGAACGAGAUAUGUGCAGCUCCUAUCGGGAUUGUCGGCGCAUCGGGCGGCUUUGCUGGUCUUGUUUUACCAUUGGUCGAAAUGUCUUGUAACCGGGAUUUCAAGUCUGAUCGGGUCUUCCUGGGAGAAGGAAUAUCCUUCGUUGACUGCGAGAGCUUAUCAUGGGCUAAGUUGGGACACCCCUGCAGGGUAUAAACUUUCGAAAGUCGUGCCCACGGUUAUGGGUAGAUGGGAAUUUGUUAAUGUCCGGUUGUAUAUAACUUGACACCAGAUCCAAAUUAAAACGCAUCAACCGCGUGUGUAGCCGUGAUGGUCUAUUUUCGGCGGAGUCCGGGAAGUGAACAUGGUUUUGGGUUAUGUUUGACGUAAGUAGGAGUUCAGGAUCACCUCUUGACCAUUGCUAGCUUCACGACCGUUCAAUUUGCUCUCUUCUCGCUCUUAUUUGCGUAUGUUAGCCACCAUAUAUGCUUAGUCGCUGCUGCAACCUCACCACUUUACCACUUCCUUCCAAUUAAGCUUUGCUAGUCUUGACACCCAUGGUAAUGGGAUUGCUGAGUCCUCGUGGCUCACAGAUUACUACACCAACAGUUGCAGGUACACGUUAUGCGAUGAUCAUGACGCGAGAGCGAUGUUUCCUUGUUUUGGAGUUCUUCUUCUGCUUCUUCUUCGAUCAGGGGAUAGGUUCCCGGUCGGCAGCCUGGGCUAGCAGGGUGGAUGUCGUUUGAGUUUUUGUUUGUGUUUCAUCUAUAGUCGGAUGGUGCUCUUAUGUAUUAUGAUGUUGUAUUCGUGUGGCAUUGUAUGCCUCUUGUAUGUAUCCCCAUCUAUUAUGUAAUGUUGAUGUAAUGAUAUCCACCUUGCAAAUGCGUUUCAAUAUGCGGUUCUAUCCUUGGUGGGACCUUUGAGUCUCUUUAGGAUAGUAUCGCGUAUUGGGCGUGACAGCCAUGAAACAACACUGCAAGAGAAACACUUGGACAACGGAACCAAUGAUGAUCCCAUAAUGCUACAAAAAUACAUAAGACCUGCAGGGAAACAAAACCUGGUAAUGAUAGUGAGACAAAUAAAUCAUACUGAUACUGUAAAUCGCUCGGAUGUUUUUGAAAUGUCUGUGAACAUCUAUAACAAUAACUGACUGAUUCAGCUCGAAAAAAUACUUCCCUGGUAGCUAGUGUUGGAGGUGGGGAUAGAAGGAGUGUGCAACCUUGUUCCAUGGUGCUUUUCAAUGAUAUUGUAAAUCGCUCGAACGUUUUUGAAAUGUUUGUUAGCAUCUAUAACAAUAACUGAUUGAUUUAGUUCAGAAAAAUACUUCCCUGCUAGCCAGUGUUGGUGGUGGAGGAGUGUGCGACCUCGUUCCAUGGUUCUUUUAAUGGAAGCCAUGGCCCCUUCUCCAACCUCCCGCUGGUCCACGGCCAGCGUCGCUGUCGGCCUUCCCGCCUGCUGGCCUCGUCCUCCCGGAAUCGAGUGUCGGGGCAGCUCUGUCAUCCUGUGGAGCAGCGCCAGCUUCCUCGUGCGCCUUGUCUGCCCAUGAGAUCUGACAGCUUUUUCUCUGCCUGGUGAUGCCACUUCUAUCAAAGUUCCAACUGCUACACCCGACCGGCAGAUGUUGUCGGGCCGCCGGAUCUGAUUCCCAUCUGGAUGGCUCAAUUCCUCAUGGAAAAGAAGUAGGGUGGGGAUUUAAUUAGAGAAAAUUCUUGAGACUGCGAAAUGCCAAAAACCAUAGGGAGGUAAAGAACAAGAAAGGAGCAGUCGUGGGAAGCGAAGGGGACUGAUGGAUUCUCCAAAGGGACUCCUCGGCCGCCUGCGCUGCGCCUUCUCUCUACUCGUCGGUUACUACUGAAAUAAGGGAGAGGAAACGAACAUAUAGAGGAUUUACUCGAGUGGAACCAAGCGUGGCAUUAAACAUUUUUUUCUCUAUGCAGUGCUGAUGUGGCUCACUUGCUGAUGUGGAUAGGUUGCAUGUCAAGAGAAAUAAGAUAGUGGGGAUGAACUAUUUAGAUAUUAUAGAUGAACAAGAAACAAUAACUGGACAGAAACAAAGAGGAAGGAAAAAAACAAAAACAGGGCAAAAAAACUUAAACAAUGACAUCUCUCUCCCUUCUCGUUCUCCAGAACCCCUGGAGGAGCUCUUGCCGAAGAGGAAUGGGAAAUGGGCGAAAUGAAUGCGAGGUACAAAAACUACUCUGAGAGAGACAAACGGCCCGCCAGCCCAACUAUCGUGACAAACACCCCGGCCCGCUACUAGCAUCAACCUGAAAACGGGCUGCGCGACACACAACACCCGUGAGCGAAUGCACCAGUGGGACAAAAAUAGGUUUGCACGAAUCUUAAAGACAGACAAGAUCCAAUGGCUCUGGACUUAGAUGUGAAGUAGUUAUUUCACAUCUAGAUGUGAAAUAGCAAAUCUGAUAUAAUGACUGUAAUGUUGUAGUCUGUAGAUGUGUGAUUAAUGCACAAUUCAUUUUUUUAUGCAAUACCAUACCUUCAAGAUUUAUAUAAUUAAUGCAAUGUUGUAGCAUGUAGAUGUGUAAUUAAUGCACAUGUUCAUUUUUUUUGUGCAGUGCCAUAUCUUCCUAUCUUCAAGAUAUAUAUAAUUAAUGUAAUAUUGUAGCAUGUAGAUGUGCAACUAAUGCAUACAUUCAUUUUUUUAUGCAGUACCAUAUCUUCGAGAUAUAUCAUAUAUAGUACAACUAAUGUAUGUAUAACGUGUCGAUGUGGAGUUAAUGUACACACUCAUUGUUCGAUUUGAUUUCAUAUCUUCAAGGUAUAGCCUAUAAAUAUAGAGUUAAUGUGAACAUUCAUUGUUUGAUACAAUAUCGUAUCUUCAAGAUAUAGAACUAAUGUAUGAUGUAGCCUCUAGAGUGCAAUUAAUGUACAUAUUGAUUCUUUGACAUGGUGUCAUAUCUUCAAGAUAUACAACUGAUGCAUGUGCCCAUAUCAUCAUCUCAAACAAGGCUAUAUAAACCAAGCCAUAGCUAACGAAGUCAUGUAUCACACACAUUCACAGAGAAGCCACACAAACAAUUAUAACAUCAAAGGGAUAGAGAAGGAUCUAGUGUAGCAGAUACAAAAGCCAUAGCCAUGGCGAAACUCAUGUGCUUAUGUUUCAUCAUCCUCACUAUUGUGGUAGCCGUGUCGGCUGACGAAUGUGAGGGUGACCGACAGGCCAUGAUCAAGGAGUGUGCUAAGUAUCAAAAGUGGCCAGCAAAUCCGAAGAUAGAUCCGUCGGACGCAUGUUGCGCCGUGUGGCAAAAGGCAAACAUCCCAUGCCUUUGCGCUGGUGUCACCAAGGAGAAAGAGAAGAUAUAUUGUAUGGAGAAGGUUGGCUACGUUGCCAAUUUCUGCAAGAAGCCGUUCCCACAUGGCUACAAGUGCGGAAGUAAGUGAAAUAUAUUAAGGGAAUUUCGAUGAUCGGCGUUGCAUACAUGCAGUUUUGAUAUUUGUUAUUCUUCGGAUUCACACGAUUUUGAUUUUAGUGAUGCAUAUUAUAUGCUUCUUGUGCUAUUCUGAUCAUAUGUUGGGCCAAAUUGAAUGGUCUUGCAGGUUACACAUUCCCUCCUCUGGCGUAGUGACUCUAGUUUAGCUGUGGGAGGAGAAGCUUGACUUUUACAUUCCAUGUGCCUGGCCUCACAAUAGCUUUCCUUUCAAAUCUGUAAUUCAUGAGGCUGUGCUCAGAAAAUUUUAUGUUGAGCACUUUGUAUGAGAACGUUUCUGAAACUAAUAAAGCCUUCUCCUCAAAUUGUCUAAAUUAUGUUUGUUCAUAUAUCAUUUUUU
rnacentral:lncRNA from 1 species